UAAUACAAGAAGUUUGUGUUCUAAGCAGCUGCAUGACAAUCUUUACAAGGAGGCAAUAAUUAUUGACCAUGCAAAUAAUCAAUUAUCAACUCUUCAAGAAAGGAAUUGUAGGUUGCAAUCUCUAUCGCCUCCAUUUUGAUGGAGCAAAUUUAUUGAAGAAAAAAUAAACAUGGCUAAGCUCCCGAUAUGCACUAAAGGGUAAAUAAACAAACCCAAGUUUCUAAUUUACUCUAAGAAUAAGAAUUGUUACCUGGUUAGUGAUCCGUUUAGUAAAUUAUAGCAAGUUUAAGAAACGCAAGAGCACAAAACAUUAGGGUUCAUGGAAUACUAAAUUUUCAACGAACAGUAUGAGUCAGGCAUUUGCACAAACGUCUUAAGAGCAAGAAAAUUUAUCUAAGAAAUAACAUAGGAACCUGAAGAGAGAUCACUCCUCCUUUUCCUCGCCUUUCUCCUCGUUACCCUUCUUCUCCCCGGCCCCGAAGUCGAGCACGAACCCUUCCCACUCCUCCGACCCCUCCUCCUCCUCCGGGCCCUCCGCAUCGACACCGGUCUCGCGCUUCUCCUCCUCCUCCACCUCUUCCUCGUCGGCGUCGGACUCGGACGACUCCAUCUCGGGGCGCGUGGGUGGGAUGCGGUGGCGCAUGCGGGCGUAGCCGCGCGGGAGGAGCCCCUUCGAGAUUGGGCCGUGGCCAUGGGUGGGGACGGGGAUCGGAGGAUGGAGCACGGCUGGGGCCAAGGAGAGUCGCCUCCGCAGCGCCGCCGCCCACGCGACGGCCGAGGAGCGGAGCAUCAUCUCAAUCGAAGAAGGGGGAAUGGAGGCUUUGAAUUUUGAACUGAAACUGGCGCGCAGUAACUUAGCCAAAUUCUGGUGCCACUUCUACUUUCUAUUACUUAUUCAAUCAUAUGAAGUUGCAGGGAACGAAGGUCAAACUCGGGGUUUUUGCCUUACAUGGUUGAAAUAGUACUUAAUUGCAGCUAAAUAGAACAAUCUUAGACAAAAUACAAGUUUACAUAUUGUAGAAUUUUUUAACAUAAGCAAAAAGACUAUUCUAUAUCGAUAUAAUCUCAUCUAAUUCAACUGCACAUGAUCGAAUAAGUUACUUAGGUGUAACAAUAUGUUUCUCUAAUUACUUUGCAUUUACAAAGACAUUAACCAAACACCCUCUGGUCAUCUUUUGAGCACAUAAGAUAAGCUUCUCUCCGCGCAAACAACUGUAGAUCCAGCAACUAUGGUAAAACCAAAUGAAAUAAUUAUUCGCAUAUUUGCGUUCAUUGUAUAACUUACAACUAAAUAACAUCAAAUUUCAGAUAUUAAAUAUGACUACAAUUAGGUAGGAAGAUUAAGUUAAAAUAAAUAAAUUAAUCGUUGCUUCCCAAACUACUACUUAUAAUUCACUCCGAUUCACUUUGGUUCUGCCGAACUAAGGAAUCUUUUUGAUAUUUAUGGAAGCCAAACAGAAAAACACUUACAAUUCUCCAAUGAUUAAUCCCCAAUAAUUAUAAGCAUUAUUAGUUCCAUUCCAAAUACGAACCAAAUGACUCAAAACUACGCAGAGAUCGAAAACGUUAAAAAGGAACAACACGACACGACACAACACAACACAACUCGACACAGCACAGCACAACACAACACAACUCGACACAGCACAGCACAACACAACACAACACAACACAACACAACACAACACAACACAACGCUUAGUAUUGCGAAGACUCAAUCGGAGUCGUCCGAAAUUUCAUCCGGGAUAUCGUCCAUCUCGCCGUCGAGGUUCUCCUCGUCGUCCUCGUCGAUGUCCUCGCCGUCGUCCUCGUCAUCUACGUCGUCGUCGUCGUCGAAGUCCUCCUCCCCUCCGCGCGCGCGGGCGUAGCGGCGGGAGAGGUCGAGAACCGGAGGGAGAGCGAGGUAAACCGGCCGGUUCUGGAUAACCGGGCGCGGGGAGAAGACGAACCGCCGUGCUGCAGAGAACGCGAUCGCCGCCGCCGCACGCUGCAUCUCUGUAUCGCUCUGCUUAGGGUUUCUACGCAGGGGGAGUGGGGUUCAGCUUCUAGGGUUUAUGGUUGGGGUUUAAAUAGAACAGCAAAGUAUGACGUGCUCGAAGCUUCCCGAGUGUUAAUGGCCCGCGUUGACCAUGGGCCUUCGAGUAUAUUUUGGGCCCAUUAGUUCGUUAACAUUAAGGACUGUUUGGUUCGUAUAUUUUGGAUCCGGAAUGAGAAUUGGUUUGAUCAAAUCCUGCUAAUUUUGUUUGGUUUACAGGAAUCGAUUUGAGACUCCCAUUUUGGAUCGGAAUUGGAAUGGUCCAUUAACUUACAAAUUGAUUCUGGUCUCCAAGUUCGAAUUGAAGUUUCAAUUCCAAGCCCACACUCACCUCUUCCUCAAGCCAGCCCCACAUUUUUCCAUUUUAUCCAUCAUUUCUCUUCUUAUAUCUAUUUUUUAUUAUAAUUUUAUUCAAAAAAAAUUUAUGCAUUUUUUGUAAUUUUUUGCAUAAAAAUUUUUAAAAUAAAUUCAUUUUUUUUUGGCAUAGCUCUAACUUGAGAGUAGUAUUAUUUUUUUUAUAUAUAAAUUUUAGAUGGUUUUAUAAAAUCACAUUUAAAAGUAAAGAGUAAAAGCUGUUACCACCUUUUAAUUACUCAAAUUUAAAUGACACCUCUACAAGAACUGUAGCUCUGCUGAGUAAGAUUAUGCCUGGAAAUUCUUCAGGAAGCAGGAAUGGCUAGUCACUGAUGAUUAUUAGCAGAAUAAUCUUCAGAUUACAGGUAAAGAAAUAGCGCACAACACGGCAGUUUACAGGUAUCAAGUUCAUUAAAAAUAAGGAACAUGAUAGCAGUGUAAUAGCAGUCUAUUAACCGCCACACUGAUAGACAGACGAAAGUGGAUGUAUUUACUGGAGGUUUUAAUUUGCCCCUGACGAUCAUCCUUUCUUUGGCAUUGCAGCAAGUCGUGUAUACAUCCUCGCCAUCGAUCGGUAUCCUCUGAUGUCGCCAGAUCGCAGAAGAUUGCCUGGAUAAGCAAAAGAAAAGAAAAAGGGAAAAAAAAAAAGAGAGAAGAUAAUUAGAAAGUUCAUAGGAGAGCAAAGACAGACUCUCAGAAAUUUAUGUAUUACACUUGGGCGAUAUUGGUAAUUUGCGAGACUCUGGUGAAAGUUUAAAGUUUAUGGGCCAACUAAUACCAAGUCCCAGUCAAAGUUCGUAAGCUUCAGGAAUUUUGAAAAGAAAAAUGCUUAACUAAAAGCAUGGCUUUGAACUAACCUGAAUCACAAUUGAGAGGACUAUCCGCUUCUGGAUGCGCCAUCAGAGCUAUUAUAGCUCUGCAAACAGAUUGGAGGGUCCACGCAGGGCUCCAAGCAUUCUUCAAGAUAUCCAGGCAUAUCUCCCCAGUCUAAAAAUAUAGAGAAUAACUGAGUAUUACAAUAAUACCAAGCUUUUAGCUUAAAUUACUGGGUUAGAAUGGCUACAUAAUUCAUUAGGUAAUCUAGGGCAGGCACCUUGCAACGCAAUACGAGACAAAGGAAUCAAAAUUCAACCAGAAAAAGACGACAGAGAAGCCAAAAAUGAGAAAAUUCUACUGCUUAUAAAACCUGCCUAGAGUGCCUAUAGUAAUCCUCCCAAUCUAUAGAACUAGCAGAAUAUCUCGAGGACCAAUAUCAAAUAAACCUGCCUGGAAUGCCUAUAAUCUGUCUUAUUUUUAAGACAUGUUUCUCAGCCCAUAUCCCCUGAUAAGAAAAUAAGGAAAUGAGGGCUUUGAAAUAUAACUUGUUAAUCUAAGCUAAGUGUGGUCAAGAAACAAGAUCCAUUAAGAAGUUUAUAAUGAAUAAAUAUGACUUUCUGAUUCAACUCAAUAUUAACUUGCUACGGCCUGAAACUUGAUGCAUCUGCGAUCAGAUGAUGUAGACCAUAGCAAUUAUACUUCAUCUUGUCCACCUUUUUAGCGUAAGUUCCAUAAAAUCAGACAUUGGACUUUCCCUGUAGCAGCCCAAGCUACUUAAUAUUGAGUUACGCGGACGAGCGAAGUCCGCCCCGAGCUCCUUCAGGGGAACUUCAAGUGCCUCUUGUGGGAACGUUGCGAAGAAUGUGGAGCAGCAGUUUAAGUAUACGGAAGUAGGCGGCCAAAAUUUUCCUUAACAAUUGAUUUAUUUGUUUAAUUAUUUAAUUUUGUCAGAUCAUUUCACGUCGCCGCAAAAGUUUAGCAUCUGAUAUCGAUAGUAAUUUUAUGAUUCUCUGCAGCCUAUUAUCUGCACGAACGCGACGUGUCAGAACCGAGCUAAGUGGGCUCUUCUCCGGCAAGAGAGCAAGUUCACAGAUUGGCAGAGGGUGCGGAUGUAGGAGACUUCGAAGGAGAUUCCUGCCGAGUCUCUUCCCCGGUCGUUGGAUGUCAUUCUGCGACAUGAGAUGGUUGAGAAGGCGAGAGCCGGGGACACGUAAGAAUAACUGAUUCCUAUGUCUACCGUGUAAUUCGAGCCCCAUUUCUGGCCUGUUUGGCCUGAUUAGAACUGCCAUAGAAGUGCUGUUUGAGCGCAUGUUCGGAUAAGCACUACUUCUUGGUUAAAGUCUCUACCCUUCUAGAGACUUAAGAUUGAAUCAAACUAGAGCUGCUGGGGAUACAUAAGAAUCACCGGUUCCUAGUUUAGGGUUGUUGUGUGCCACUAGCCUAUUUCUGACCUGUUCGGCCUGAUUGAGCUGCUGUAAAAGAGCUGCUUGCUUACAAGUGUGUGCAAGUGUGCAGAUAAACUCUAGACUUUUGUUUGUCAUAUGCCUGGCUUUUGCUGCCUUCCCAUUAGAAGAGUUGUUCCGGGAGCUACAUCAAACCGUCGUGUAGUCACUUAUUCUAAUACCUCCAAUUUCGCUUUUUAUGUAGGGUCAUCGUCACAGGCACGGUGGUUGCUAUACCAGAUGUGAUGGCAUUAACUUCCCCUGGAGAAAGGGCAGAGGUCCGGCGGGAAGCUUCUCAGCUUCGGAAUGGAGGCAGCAGUCAUGAAGGUGUAAGGGGUUUGAAAUCUUUGGGAGUAAGAGAUCUCUCGUAUCGCAUUGCUUUCAUAGCAAACUCAUUGCAGGUUUGAAGAAUUUGGACUAAUUUGAGCUGCGAUUUCAAAUUUGAAAGUUUUCAUGACAUCGCUCUUAUUUAUUGCUGUUUUCUUCUUGAAUUUCUGCAUUUUUGAUAUCUAGGUGGCAGAUGGUAGGAGAGAUGGCGACCUUAGGGACCGAAAAUUGGAUAGUGAUGAUACCGACAGACAAGAAUUCAUUGUAUGUUUUGAUUUUGAUAACCAUUUAUAAUAUAUUUUCUAUGAGGUUGUUACGAAUUGUGGGCUUAAGUUAUGGCAUGGAUAAAUUAUCGCAGAAAUACAUCAGAAUUAUAUAACUGCUUUGCGAUCAUUUUAUCAAAUAUCCAAACGUUCUUUGGUGUACUUGUUAUUUAUCUUUGCAUUAACCUUUAUAGACGGAGUAAAUGUGAGCCAUUUCAUUAUAACAUUUGACUAACAAGCAUUUUUUUGUAUUAAGAUUUUACUCCACACUUCUCCAUAUGUGGCCCUUGUGGCUACAUUUGUCAAGCACAUGCAUGAAAGUUAGUAUUUUAUUAGGCUAUUAAAAAUUUAAAAAAAAAUCUAACUACACUGCAUUUCUUGUCAGCAAGAAGAGGAAGAGGAGGUUUUCAGGAUGAGAGACACUCCUGAUUUUUUCAAUAAGCUUGUUGAUAACAUAUGCCCUACUGUUUUCGGUCAUCAAGAAAUUAAAAGAGCAGUCCUCCUUAUGCUAUUGGGUGGUGUUCACAAGAUUACACAUGAAGGAAUUAACCUCAGAGGUGAUAUUAAUGUGUGUAUUGUUGGAGAUCCCAGUUGUGCAAAAUCCCAAUUCCUGAAGUACGUUUCAUUUUGACCUUAAUUCAUCAUACUUGUUGCUUUUUCUCAUCAAUGUCAGAAGUUGAUAUGAUGUUUGCUUUCUCAUAAAAUCAGAAAAUAUAGUUGAUCGUAAUUCUUAUUAAUGAAGUGUUCUAUCCUUUUGCAAAUGCUGUCAAGCACAUUAUUCUCAUCUUGGUUCUGAUUAUUGUUUAUCAGAUACGAAGCUGGCCUUGUUCCACGGUCUGUUUAUACGUCAGGAAAAUCCUCAUCGGCUGCUGGUUUGACAGCAACAGUUGCUAAAGAGCCAGAAACAGGGGAGUUUUGUAUUGAGGUAGUAUUGUUUGCUAUUGAUUUCUUCGUCUUCUUUUCUUUUGGCACCUCUCUCUCCUAAACUCCAACAUAGCAGUAGAAAACUGAAGUCAUGUGUAGUGUUCAAUUUUACAUGGUUAAGGAUGUGGUUUAUACAUUUUGACUAUACCUGAAUAAUGGAGGAGUUAAAUGGAUUUUUUCAGUUUUAUGUCCAAUCAACAUAUACCUUAACACUUCUUGUGAAACUUAUUUGGUUGGGUUUUUGUGUUUAGUGUUUGCUGUGAAUACUGGUUCUUGAUAAUCAUACUAAUCAUAUUUGGCUUAUAAUUUAUUCAACAAAAUCCAACUUCUAAUUUCUAUCUAAAUGGAAAGGAAAGCUUAAAAUGUGAUAGCUGUUGAACCAGUGCAGAGAUCAUUGCAUUACAUUGUCUUUUAUUUCAAGCUUUUCCUUUUUAAAUGAUUGAUUAUUAUGCCACUGAUAUACUUUUGCUUCAUGCAGGCUGGCGCACUUAUGCUGGCUGAUAAUGGUAUAUGUUGCAUUGACGAAUUUGAUAAGAUGGACAUUAGGGAUCAGGUAUAUCUUUUGUUAUUUUACCAGUGUUUGGAAACUUAACAUAGGAUUUAUUUUUCUUUCAAGAUGACCUGUGGAUUUCUUACUUGAUCUGUCGAUGUUAAGGUUGCCAUACAUGAAGCAAUGGAACAACAGACCAUUAGCAUAACAAAAGCUAGCAUACAAGCAACUCUAAAUGCUAGAACUGCUAUCUUAGCUGCAGCAAAUCCAACAUGAGGACUCUAUGACAAGACCAAACCCCUCAAAGUAAGCCUCAAUAAACUGCAAUCGUCAGCUUCUGCUUCCGUGGUAAAAAACUUUAAUAUUUAACUUUUUCACGAGCUAUUUGUGUAAAGCUUUGUUGACCGAGAUAAUGCUUGAUUUGUGAUGUUCAUCUGUUUCUUCUGUACCAGUACAAUGUGGCCCUUCCUCCUAUUCUUUCAAGGUUUGAUCUGGUGUACAUCAUGAUCGAUGAACCCGAUGAUAACACCGAUUAUCAUAUUGCUCACCACAUUGUGAGGGUUCAUCAGAAGCGCGAAGAUGCACUUGCCCCUCCAUUUACCACAGCAGAGUUGAAGCGAUAUUUUGCUUAUGCCAAGUCUCUUAAGCCUCAGGUUUUCUUACUUCUUUAAGACCUUUUUCCUUAAUUUUCCAAAAUGAUUGUUGUCUUGUCUUAACUUGUAUGUUAUUUCUAAUGCAGCUGAGCUCUGAAGCUCGAAAAGUGUUGGUUGAAUCAUACGUGGCACUUCGCAGAGGUGACACUACUCCUGGCACUAGAGUUGCUUAUAGAAUGACAGUCAGGCAGCUAGAAGCAUUAAUCAGGCUGUCUGAAGCCAUUGUAAGGAGUCAUUUGGAUAAAGUUGUAAGUGCCACUCCAAUUACUUCUUCAUUAUUCAUAUUUUUACUUGUCUUUAGUAAAUCAGGUUUACCAUAUUUGGUCAUGUCAUGAAUUUUUUGCAGAAAUUAAGUUUACUGUAUGUUCUUAAAUUUUUUGCAGGUGCUUCCGGCACAUGUUCGAAUGGCUGUAAGGCUGCUAAAGACAUCUAUAAUCAGGCAAGAACCUUUACUAUUUAUCUAAUGACUCUGUGCAUGUCUUGGACAAAAGAUUUUAUGUAUUUAUUGCAUGUGUAGUGUUGAGUCGAGCGAGAUAGACCUCUCUGACUUUCAAGAUAAUGAAGAUGCUGACGGGAAUAGAGUUGCUGACCAAGAAACUGCAACUCCAACUGAAAAUGCUCAUCCAGCACCAGAAAAUGAAGGUGGCUGUGUUUGCUGUAGUUAAAAACUGCCAUCUUGUUAUCCUCUUUGUUCAAUUGCCCGAAACAUCUUAUUUCCCCCCCCUCUUUUGAAAUGUCGGGCCACGGUUUUUUAUCUCGAGGGACUUGAAAGAGCGUAUGUAUAAUCUUUUACAGUUGAUGCUCAAGGGAGUGAGGGCCAGCAGAAGAAAAAAAUGGUUAUAACUGAAGAGCAUUUCCAGAGAGUUACUCAAGCAUUGGUCAUGCGCCUGCGGCAGCAUGAAGAGACUGUCAUGCGAGAUGGUAUUAGACUCUGAUUUUUGCAGUAUAUAUUUUUCAUACUUCUAGCAAAUCUUACAUUUAGUUCUGCAUCUGUAAUAGCUCCUGUAUCUCACAUUGAAUAAAUGCAUUUGUAAUAAUCACUUUAGGAUGCUAGUCCUACAUAUGUGUGGACUAUGAUAGGCCUGUAAUCACCUCAUUAAUUAUGAAAAGUUCUGCAUGGACUAUGAUCGGCCUAGUUGUCAUUACCUCAUUUAGUAUGCCUAUCCUAUAUCACCUUUUCAUUAUAAUUGGUUCCCUUUCCGACCUAGAAGUAGUACUAGAUCUAAUGUCUCAUACUAACUGCAUUCAGCUGCUUUUGUCCUCCAGAAAACUGGCUCUAGCAUUAGGGCACAAAUUACCAUCUGUACCUACUACAAUGGGGCAAGCUAUUUCAUGUUAUAUGAAUCUUUCUGUAACUAGUACUUGAAAUAGUAUACCUAAUAAGCUAUUUCAGAUUUUUAAGAUGAGUCUUAUAGAAAUUACGCUAGGACAGGGAAAUCCUGCCUGAAUUUUCACUGAUAUAAGCUUUGGGAAUUCUAAUCAUUUAGGAAUCCUACCAAGAUAUCCUAAUACUUCAAUAUGAGAUUAUGCAGGAUUUAGGAUAAGUACAAGGCAGAUUCAGUUCUGAAUGUCUUAAUCAUUCCUAAGUUACUUUUGUUCUGGAAAUUUCGCAUGUUGUGCUAAUUUAUUGCUUUUUUUUUGGGUAUUUGCGUUGUCAGAAUUAGUAAACACCAUUUUAUAGAUCGUGUCAUGUUCAUCCCUUCUUAUGCAUCUUCGCUGAAUUCCCUUAGUUCGUAACGUUAUUAUGCAAUUUAUGUAGGAAGUGGAUUGGCUGGCAUGAAGCAAGGGGACUUGAUUGUUUGGUAUGUUGAGAAACAGAAUGCUGAAGGUGCAUACAGUUCCACUGAUGAGGUGCGAGAAGAAGUUAAAUGCAUCAAGGCUAUCAUAGAGGUAAACAUACUAGUGCAUAUAGUAGACAGUAAUUUGUCUUAACAACGAUGCCAUUAAAAAAGACCUUGUUAAAGCUCACUGAGAUAACAUCAAUGCAGAGGUUGAUACAGAGGGAAGGUCAUCUGAUAGUGAUAGACGACGGCUCAAGCUCAGCGGCACCUUCGGCAGAUGGAGGGGAAACGAGAAGAUCCACGGAGAAUAGAAUCUUAGCAGUGGCUCCAAAUUAUGUUAUCGAUUAACACAUCAAGUUAACAUAGAACUAACCUAUUCAAUUGACAUGGAGAAACUAUCAGAUUGUGCCACCAAUUGUUCCGUACAUCAGGUUUCGUUGAACUGUAACGAUACAUACGGACUCUAUGAAAGGUUUCGCAGUUCAGCGGUCCUGCUCAGAAGAAGAGGAUUAACGAAGGCUUUAGUUUGGGACUUGCGAAGAGGAGUUUCAUUUCCUAAUGUUAUUUGCUAUCCUCAGUUGCAAUACAUUCUUCAGGAUAUAAGCUAUGCUCGUGCUUCCGCAUGACGAAUCUAUCACUCGCCCUGUUAAAGUUUGAUAUAAGCUGGCAACAACAUUUUCCUUUCUUAGAUUUUGCCCAUUUGAUUCUGUAUGAAAUGUCCUAUUAAGAGGGUUGUACCGUGGUUAAAGGUUGUGACUACUUGGUAACUGAUUUCCUUUUAAGGUUGUAUUACAAUUUGUUGCUGUAAAAUCGCAACAGUUUUCAGCUGCCAGCAGGAAGCGGCCUUCUCUUUAAGUCGUCUAACACAGAUCAGUCGGUCAGCACUUUUUCCCCAAUUGCAGAGCUAUUAUUUUCAUUCGCAAGACAGGAAGAUAAUGAAUGGAUCAUGUACUUGUACUUUUGCAGCACAAUGGCCUGGGUUCUUCUUUGGCUUAGCCUUUGAAGUGACUUUUUUACCUUUUUCAGAUUCGGAGAUCUAAAAAGAAUUAGGGUGCAAUACAUUCUAGAUGUAAAUCCUAAUAUAUCUUUAAUUGUAAUCAAUCACCCAAACAAAACCUACGAGACUUCACUUCCCUCACGUUACAAUUGGGUCCCACCCCAGCCGCAUCACAAAUUCACAAUAACGCAACUCAGAUGGAAAGUCUAAAUUUAAUUUGCAGGCGAAGAACAUGGCCACCACAUUUGUCUAAAUCGGGAAAACGCCCAUGGCAUGUGAGCUGUUUCGAGCAAUGGAACAGGUCAUCCGCAAACACAAUUAAUAUCCUGCACUUCUUCUUCUUCUUCUUCUUCUUCUUACAUUAUUAUUUGAUAAUUUCUCAACGAGCAAUCAUCUCCCAUCAUUCAUUUGGUUUGCUCGUGAUUGAUUGCCGCCGCAACUCUCGGGGCUACGAGGCCCAUUUUGUCCUUUCAAUCACCCUCCUCCAGUUAACCUGUACUCGUCCAACCACAAAACGGGAAAAAAAAAACCAACAAAAAUCAUAUAUAUAUAUAGUCCAACCUCAAAACGGGAAAAAAAAAACCAACAAAAAUCAUAUAUAUAUAUUGUCCAACCUCAAAACGGGAAAAAAAAAACCAACAAAAAUCAUAUAUAUAUAUUGUCCAACCUCAAAACGGGAAAAAAAAAACCAACAAAAAUCAUAUAUAUAUAUUGUCCAACCUCAAAACGGGAAAAAAAAAACCAACAAAAAUCAUAUAUAUAUAUUGUCCAACCUCAAAACGGGAAAAAAAAAACCAACAAAAAUCAUAUAUAUAUAUUGUCCAACCUCAAAACGGGAAAAAAAAAACCAACAAAAAUCAUAUAUAUAUAUUGNUUGAUUCAUAUUUUCAGUUAAAUUUAUUUCUAAAUGAAAUAAAUGAAGCGGGUAGCGUGCUAUCUAUCUCUCUCAAAAAAAAAAAAAGUCUUCUGUACUUUUGAAAGUACGAAGACCUGCUUGUAUGUUGUUUUCGAUGAUAGGAAAUUCGAUUCGACGAUCGGCUCCGUUAAGUAUAACCUACCUUAUUGGAAUUCUUUAGAAACCAAAUUUUAUAAUUUUUUUACAUCAUUUACCAAACGAUCAAAAGGUCUCAAAAAUGACUAUUUUAAUAGCCGAUGUGGCACGUUUUUAAGUUCAACGGUGUAGAAGUAUCCAAAUUAAAUAAAAAUUUAAUAAAAAAUUCUACUUAACAUCAAUAGUAAGACCAAUACUUCCGAUUUGAAAUUUGAGUCAUUUAUCACUGUUUUUUAUGAUAUUUUCAUUUUCAGCCGUUCAUUUUGAGGCUACUCGUUCACUAGACAAAUGAAAUCAAAAAAUUAUGAAAUUUGGUUUCUAGAUAGUUCCAACAGCGUAGAUCAUGUCUAACGGAACUGAUCGCCGAAUCGGAUGUCCCAUUAUUGAAAACAACUUACAAGUACGGAGGCUCCUGUACUUUCGAAAGCAUAGGAGCCUAGCUAUCUCUCUCUCUCUCUCUCUCUCUCUCUCUCUCUCUCUCUAUAUAUAUAUAUAUAUAUAGUGCAUCUGGUAUGCUUCUGGAAGAACGGAGCGCUCCGUGCUUCCAAGUUGUUUUAGAUGUUCGGACUUUCGAAUCGACGAUCGGCUCCGUUAGACUUGAUCUAGAGUAUUUGAAAUAUCUAGAAAAUAAAUUUUGCGAUUUUUCGAUAUCAUUUGCCAAGUGAUUGAAGUGGCUCAAAAUCAACAGCUGAAAAUAAAAAUCUUACAAAAUAUGAUGUUAUGACAUUAAAAUUUUAAAUCAAAGUUAUUGAUCUUGUUUUAUAUGGUAUAAAAAAUUUUCUAUCAAAAUUUUAUAUGAUUUGAAUAUUUCUAUCCCUUUAAACUUGCAAAUGGCCCACUAUGGCCAUUAAAAUUAUUGAUUUUGAGCCCCUUCGAUUACUAUGCAAAUGAUAUCGAAAAAUUACAAAUUUAUUUUCUAGGUACUUCAAAUACUCUAAAUCAACUCUAACGGAGCCGAUCGUCGAUUUGAAAGUCCGAAUAUCGAAAACAACUUGGAAGCACAGAGAGCUCCGUGCUUCCAGAAGCAUACCAGCCCACUUUAUAUAUAUAUAUAUAUAUAUAGAGUGUGUGUGCGCGCGCGCGUGUGUGAAAAAAUUAAUACAACUCUUACGGUAUAAAUCUAGCUUUAUAUUAUGAUUUUGAAGCCUGUAGGUUUUGUUAAGGAGAUCCACCAUGCUGCAUGUAAUAAUUUGUCAUUAGAUUGUUCCCCAUCACUCUUGGUAGGCAAAUUGUGCUAUUUAGUAUUUAUGUAUAGGCAGAGAUUUUUUAUUUAUUUUUAACAAGACAGAGAGAGAGACAUUGGGCAAAGAAGUCCAAUUGUGGAAGUGGACUGUUCAUUUCUACUCUCUCUCUCUCUCUCUCUCUCUCUCUCUCUCUCUCUAUAUAUAUAUAUAGUGCGUCUGGUAUGCUUCUAGAAGAACGGAGCGCUCCGUGCUUCCAAGUUGUUUUCGAUGUUCAGACUUUCGAAUCGACGAUCGGCUCCGUUAGACUUGAUCUAGAGUAUUUGAAAUAUCUAGAAAAUAAAUUUUGCGAUUUUUCGAUAUCAUUUGUCAAGUGAUUGAAGUGGCUCAAAAUCAACAGCUGAAAAUAAAAAUCUUACAAAAUAUGAUGUUAUGACAUUACAAUUUUAAAUCAAAGUUAUUGAUCUUGUUUUAUAUGGUAUAAAAAAUUUUCUAUCAAUAUUUCAUAUGAUUUGAAUAUUUUUACCCCUUUAAACUUGCAAACGGCUCACUACGGCCAUUAAAAUUAUUGAUUUUGAGCCCCUUUGAUUACUAGGCAAAUGAUAUUGACAAAUCACAAAUUUAUUUUCUAGGUACUUCAAAUACUCUAAAUCAACUCUAACGGAACCGAUCGUCGAUUCGAAAGUCCGAAUAUCGAAAACAACUUGGAAGCACAGAGAGCUCCGUGCUUCCAGAAGCAUACCAGCCCACUUUAUAUAUAUAUAUAUAUAUAUAUAUAUAUAUAUAUAGAGUGUGUGCGCGCGCGCGUGUGUGAAAAAAUUAAUACAACUCUUAGGAUAUAAAUCUAGCUUUAUAUUAUGAUUUUGAAGCCUGUAGGUUUUGUUAAGGAGAUCCACCAUGCUGCAUGUAAUAAUUUGUCAUUAGAUUGUUCCCCAUCACUCUUGGUAGGCAAAUUGUGCUAUUUAGUAUUUAUGUAUAGCCAGAGAUUUUUUAUUUAUUUUUUACAAGACAGAGAGAGAGACAUAGGGCAAAGAAGUCCAAUUGUGGAAGUGGACUGUUCAUUUCUACUCUCUCUCUCUCUCUCUCUCUCUCUCUCUCUAUAUAUAUAUAUUAUAUAAUUGAAUCCAAUAUCAUUGAAUCAAGCAUCUGAGGAUUAAUUCCUUCUUUGGUGUAUCCCUACUGAAUUGAUUUUUUUUUUAAUGCGUUGCAAAGGUUAUUAUUACAUGCGACAUGUUAAAUAUAGCCUCUUUCUAUAUACCUGGAAGUGUAGUUUGUUGGCAUGCAUGUAGCAUUUAUAGCGAGGCCAUAAUAUCAAAUGGAUUCACUUACAAACUUGCCCAUUUUGAGAGUACCUCUACUCGAGGUGGAGUACCUCUACUCGAGGUGUAGAACAAGAACAAAAUUGAGAUGUAAACCAUUUUAGAUCAAUUGCCACAUGCAUUUAGAAAGACUAUAUAUAGGAGUAAGCCAUGAACUUUGUAAACCAAUUGGUUAUUAUACGCAUUAAUCGUAACCUUAAAACUUAUGUACUGCUUAUUUUGAUACCACUCUGAUCGAAAAGCUGCACCCAAGUACUGUUCAUCAGUAUAACAAUCUUGUACUAAAGAACACUUUAAACAAUAACUAGUGACGCUUUAAAGCACCUGCAAGAAUAAUCCGACACCUGUAAAAACGUAGAGCAAAGAGUUGUUAGGUAAACAUGUUGGGAUAAAUAUACCGAUGCUUUUUAAUAUACCGUCAGAAAAUUUUUAUCAGUAUUUGAUAAAAAUAUAUUUAUUGGCGACGCUUAAUUAUGGUAUCGAUAUAUGCCAAAUAUUAAAAAUGUUAGAAUAGAGCGUCGUCUAAAAAACGUCGUCUAAAAUAUAUUUACUAUAGUGGAUCCUGAAUGCUUUUAAAUUCUAUAAAAAUUAUAAAUAAAUUUAACGCUUUAAAGUUUUUACUCAUAGGCAACUAUUGUAUAUCAUCACUAGUUGGAACUACAACCAAAGUAUAACUUGGUCACUAAUUUGACUCCCAAGUUACAACUAAUUAAAUUGCAUUUCAAUCGUUAAGUCGAGUGUAGCUAAGUUGGAGAGCGCAAUAAGAAAAUAAAGAUAUAUUAAUGUGGCUCGAUCUUAGCAAAUAGCAAUUCAUUACUUAUUUCAUUUGCAUUGUAAUUGCGAAACUCUCCAAUCAUUCAUUACCAAGGGUUUGCUAUUUUUAUUUUUCCUUUUAAAAAGUUAUAAAUUGCAUAGAUUGAUCCAUCAUCAGAUUUUAUUUAAUCCAUUUUAUCAGUGCGUGAAUCUUUGACCAUACAACCAUAUUUACUAAAACAAAUGAGUAGCAUGUUAUCCGAUUCGUUCAUACUUUUUUUUAAAAAAAAAACCCAGGUAGUAAUGUAGAGCAACUGACUUUAGAAUUCAGAGCGUUUUUUCUAUUUUUUGCUUAAAAAUAGAAAAGAAGUUAGGAUAAGGUGUAGUAAAUGUUACAAUUCCUUUUGGUCUUAGACUUAUCAUUUCUCAAAAUAAAUUCAAUAGAUGGUGACACCAUGACCAUAAUUAAGAUUGAUCAGUACUACAGCCCUUCAGUACUACAUCAAGAUGUUGGUAUCUCAACCAGCACACACAAAUUUAUCCCUAUCCACCAUACAAAACACCCAAACCUACCCAAAAAAAGAGAAAUAAAAACAUUUUUUUUUAAAAAAAAGAGAGAUGUUGAUCUCCCUCAGCUUGAUUGGAUCCACUCACCUUCCUCUCCCCAUCAUGGGCCCCACCACAUUCAAUUGCCACUUACAUGUUCCCCUUCCUAACCCUAAUAGUUUUUAUUAAUUAAAAAUAUCAUUAAUUACUCACAAAUUAAGACUCUAUAUAUAUAUAUCACUACAAAACAUGACUAUCAAAGUCUCUCUUAGUGUUGCGUGUGGGAGUGUACCCAGCUCACUGAUGAUGAAGUUGAUGCAUGGAGCCCCCUCUUGACCCACACACACGCGCACCAUGAGGUCUCAUCACCUCCCCCCCGGUUAUUGUACUCCUCCCCCUCACCAAGCUAAGCAACUUGUAUGUGCACGAAUAUUAAAGCAAGGACAGCUGUAUUAAAAUAAGGGGCUAUUAUUAUUUAUAUAGAUAUAUAUGGGCCUAAAAUAACAAUUAUGACAACGAAAACAUGGUAGACGCAAUCAAAUGAUAGAGGACCCAUUUGUGUAGACUUAUCAUUUCUCUUUACAUUUAUUAUACAUAAUCUUAGUUUUUUUUUUAAAAAAAAAAAAAAGAGAAAAAAAAAUUUACUAGGCAUUAAAGAGUAUAAUUCGCAAGCAUUAGUAAUAACAACGUGAAUAGUACAAUGGAAAAGUAACAUUGUCGGAUGCAAUUUUAAAUGAAACUGAUAUUAUUAUAGGCGAAAAGAUGACAAAUUAAAUAAUAAUAAUAAUAAUAAUAAGGUAGAAAUGGAACAGUAACAACACCUCCCAAAACUGAGAUAGAUCAAAUUACAUACACCACACUGCACAUGUCCUUAAUAGCAAAUAAUAACGAUAAUAAUAAUACUAAUUACACAUCCUCCUCCUCCUCCUCCUCCUUCACAACGAAAACAAAAACAAAAACAAAAACAAAACCCAACAUAGAUACAGAAUUAAAAAUGACAUACAAUAAGAGAAGAAAAAGAAAGAAUAACCAAAUAAUGCAAACGGUCGAUGAUCAUGCAUGGAUACGUACGUACGUAGCACCAGUUGUACAAAGAGACCGCGAGAAUUACAUAACAUAUAUAUAUAUAUAUAUAUUAUAUAUAGCAUAUGUAUAUAUAUUAGGCCUUGGCCGGUUCGGUCUCAGCCGGUUCGGCUGGGGCCGGUUCUCGAUCUCCUCCUUCUUCUCCUCCGUUGUGGAUUCCGCCACGGCGGCGGCCGAGGCCUCCGCGACUUCGGGCUCUGCUGCAGGGGCCUCCCGUGGGGCCUCGUCGGGGACGAAGGUCCCCACCUUCUCGAGGAGGAAGACGAUCGGGCCGGCGACGAGUCCCGGGCCUGACUUUUCCACCACCUCGCUUACGGCCUUCGAGCCCGGAAAAUCUGCAUCACAAUUCGCACGUAAAAUUAUUCUGAUAUCAUGUGAAAUAACCGUUUUUUUUUUCUUCUCUAAAUCUUAAGCUACUAAAAACUAUAUUUCAUGUAAUAUAAGGUGUGCAUACAUAUAUAUAUAUAUAUAUAUAUAUAUAUAUAUAUGUGUGUGUGUGUGUGUGUGUGUGUAUUACCGAUUUUAACUAUUCAUCGAGGAACUUAGUCAUGCGGCGGCGUUUUUCUUAACUCACUCUCUUUGGGCGCUUUCACCAAAGCCUGUGAAAAUCAUAUAUAGCAAACAUUUAAUCUAGCAUGUAAUUAAUUUGUAAUUAAUAGGAAAAAAUAUUUUUGGGGGCGGUAAAAAAUAAGAGAAAUAUAAACCUGAUCUCAGCAGGAGCAGCUUCAUAGAUCUCAAAACUUUGGGCCCGAGCUCACUCUUCUUCUCCCAACUCCUUGUUAACCUCCUCCUACAUAAAUAUAUGUACAUAUUUCAUACACAAUAUUUAUAUCAAAAUAACUAGAACAUAUAAAAAUAUAAAAAUAUAUAUGCAUGCGUUAGAGAAAUUAACCUACCUUAUCGAAAGAUUUGACGAACUCAGAAGCCGCGGCUUUUUUGCGCUCUUGUCGAAAACCUUCCUGAGCUGUGGAAGGACCUUAGUUUGCCAAUAACCAUCUUUCUCUGUCUCUCUCUCUCUUCUUUAUAUAUCUAUAUAUCUCUCCUCUCCACCUUAAAUCACCUCUAUAUGUAGAGAGAGAGAUCUCUCUCUCUUUAAUAUAUUUAUACAAUCUCCCUCUUCUUAAUCGUAUGUAUUAACACAAAACCUGGUUAUGCAUCAACAACAAUCAUCAAUAAUAAUCAUGAAAAAGUAAAUCACAAAAAUUAAAGGAGCAAAAAAGAGGGGAAAAAAAAAAAAAAAAAAGAGGAGAGAGAUACGUACGAGAGGUUUAGUUUCUUUUUCGCUAAUAUGCGUUGUUCGUAUAUGUACAGAAACCGGAAGGUUUAGGGGCCGAGCGAUGAGGCGCCUUUGGGGGAUAUAGAAGAGCGCGCCACGAAAAGGCCCUCGAGUUGCGGCGAAAUUACGGGAAUACCAGGGGUUUAAUAUAGAAAGGGGCGCGUACGUGGCGCGACUCUCGACGAACGCGUGGACGCGGACGAUGCGAGCUGGAACGGGGCCGUAUCAGCCGCGUGAUGGGGGAGCGGACGGUGGGGAUCGGAUUGGUGUUGUGGGGCCCAAUAAGGGGGGGGGUGUUCGGGAACGUAAAGGGUGUUUCGGUCAUUUGGGGCGGGUGGGUGGCAUGGGUUGUAAUUUUGGGGAAGUUUUGGGGUGGAGAUUGGGGGCGACAGCUGGCGAUGGGCGCGCAUGUUUGGGUGGCGAUCUCGAGCGAGUGGGACCCACCCCGGCGAGGAAUUUGUCUCGGUGCAUUGGGGGGUUAUUUGGUGAACCCGGUGCAGAAUUUGAACGGUGGAUCGCGAGAGGUUGUUGAGAAUCGGACGGAAAUAGGUUGCAAGUCCACGGUUGUAGCUGUGCACAGGGUUCACGAAAUGUUAUCAGCGGGCCAGGAGAGAUACGGUGUGCGCCACCGGCCCAGGCCCGUUGGAGUGGAAGGGAAACGUGAAGCGAUUAAUAUUGGAUUUGCUACUUUUUUUUUAUUUUUUUUCUUGGUAAAAAUGCACGGAGGCCCCUCAACCUAUAAGAAAUACUUAAAAAGAUCCCUCAAAUAUUGUUGUUCUUUUGGCUUUUUAUUUGAGUUGUUUUGUUUUUAAAUUAAGUUUCGACAAUAAUUUGAAAUUAUGGUACCUAAAAGUACAUAUUUUUAUAUUCUGAAUGGUCUAAAAAUAUAUAGUUUUUUUUUUAAUUUUAGUAUUUUUUUAAUACUAGUAAAUUAUGAUAAGAAUUUCUACCUAAGAAAUAAACAGCCAUAGUUUGUCCCUUUCCUAUAGCAAUUUCUAUCAUAAUUUUAUAAUAUUAAAAAUAUACAUUAAUUUUUUAUUUUUCAGUCUGUGAGAAUAUAAAAGUAUAUUUUUUGUUGCGCAAUUUUAAAAUAUUUUGAAAGAAGUUUGAGGAGUCGAUCCCAAAAUAGAUGAUAGUUGAGGGGUUUCUUUUUUUUUCGUUCGAAAUUUCGAACUUUUUUUUUUUAAAAAAAAAUUUGGUGUGUUUCGGAGGGAACGAGUUGAGUGAUUUAGUAAAACGGUCCGAGUUGGGGCCCAGUGAGGACCGAGUUGGUGUUGGACCGGACCACGUGGCUUCGCUGGCGCGGGGGGCGGUGGGACCCAAACGGCGCGGUGGCUCACUCCGUUUUGUUUUGUUCCCAAUUUUGUCCCUCCCCCGUAUCAUCGCUACUUAUUCUCUCCUCUCAACUAACGGCUCUAUUUGUCAUUUGCUGCUACCCAAAAAUAAUAAAAUAAAAUAAAAUAAAAUGAAAGAGAAAUAGUUGGAAUACUAUUUGGCAAUAAAUAAGACCAAACGACAAAAAAAAAGAAAAGAAAAGCGAGUUUAGUCACAAUUUUAUAACUAUUAUUACUCCUAGCAGUAAAAAUUACGUUAAUUUUAAUUCUAUAUGAUUAUGAAAUGAUUGUGAAUUAUCGGUUCAGACAUAAUACAGAGAAGUUGGUGGAUGAUAUUGGUUACAUUUUUGGAGCAGAAUCAUAGGAAUUAGAUAAAUUAUCUAACACUCCCUUAAUUUUGGUUACUAUGUUAAUUAUGAUUUAACAAUUAUGUUAAGCUCUUAAAAAGAUUGAUAAUGCUGGUAAAACUAUAUAGGGAUGGAAAUAGAAGUGAAUUUUCUAUAUUAUCCUGAGACAUAACGUAAAGAGUAGGACGAUUUUUAGCACUAUAACUUAGAAAUUUCAAUUGGCAGUUAACACCGAAUUCAACACAUCUUUGUCAUUUACACAAGAAGUUUAUGAUCAAAUAUCUAAAAAACCAUAUCAUAUCUGGCUUUGAAAAAUAGUCCAUAUAUAUGUGACGUAUGACCAACCUAGGGCCAUUUUUUAACUUAAUUUUUACCUAUUUUGGGCUGCUUUUAGAGCAAGCUCUUCAAAAAUAUGGGGACCCUGGGGUUUAAUAGUCCCACAUCGCAUAAGACCUAGUCUGAGAUCGCAGUGUCUAAAAGCCAAGUCAGUGACAAAUGAGCUUCGUGUUGGCUAUGCCAAAAAUGAAAACUAAUUAAGGGUGUUUGCGCCUUCAAAGUAUAAGUUUGAUAUGGAGCAUCUCCACAAUUUAAAUCUAGUCAAAUAAUAUUAUAAAAUAACUGGAUUUUUUUUUUUUUUGAAAGAAAAGUAUAAUAGCAAAAUAUCCGCUUCGUUCAUUUUUCAUUAAUGAGCGCAACUAAAAAAUACAAAAUAAUUAAAUUUAAAUUUGAAAUAUCAGAUAUCAACCAUCAAAUUUUUAGGCACGCACGACUAAAACAACUACUGAAAUAAGCACGAACAGAUAAUAACUCAAUUAACAGACACAAUUUGCUCCUACGCAAGUAAGUACAAACAUAACAGCUAGCCCCCAAAAUAAGGAGUAGGCCUAGUUGCAAUAUCUCGGCAAGAAUAGGAUUCAUGGGCGCGCAUUAGAAAGAGAAGUUGCGGUGUCAAUCGCUUUUGGGAAAAGCCGAGAAAGGACAAGGCCGAUUAAUUUGAGUAGAUUAAAAGCACUUGUGAAGAAGUGUGAUUAGUACAAAAGGAGGCUGUCUUAUUUGGUCUUCUCUUUCAAGUUUCAAGUAUCCACCCCCCCUCACUUCAGAUUCCUCCUCCUUGGAUUCUCAAAAUGUAGCUGCAGGUAAAAUUUCUCCAGGGAAAGUGAGAGAGAUAGACAGAUAAAGAGAGCGACAGUGGCGUACACUGUUGUGGGUCUCACAUUGUCUGAUGAACAAAAUAGUCCUACAUCUAUCUCUCUCUCUCUCUCUCUCUCUCUUUUCUAAGUAGAAUUUCUAUAUAUAUUUAUCCAUGGUUAGUCGCAGCGCACGUAAGAUGCACAUCAUAUUAAUGUUGUUGAACACAUUUAUUCCUGUAUGUACUUUUAUGUAAUUUUGUUACUUGGUAGGAUAUUUAUUUCUGAUUAAGAAAGAUAGAGGAAAAAAGAAUAAAUUUAGAUUCGAAUUGAUAUGUACAAUAAAAAUUGAGUUAAUAUUUAGAAUUAAAAUUAAGUUUUAAUUUCGAACUAAUGGUUCUUGGUGGCGUAGGUCUAUUUUUUUUCAAUUGAUUUGUUCCCCAAAAUGUUAUCUCUUUCCGUUUUAGAAAAAAGAGAAAUAGGGAUGUAAUUAAAUUUGAUUUUAAGUUUUAAAUUUGGAUUAGAUUUGAUCAUACAUUGAUUGUCUUUUCUUUGAAUUAAAUUUUCGUGGAUAACUUUUUAAAUGUAUAAAAUUUAAAUUAAAUUUUGAAGAGAGAGGAGUAGGUAUCUUUUUCUAAUUAGUACCUUCCCAUGUAUGUUUAAUUUCCUUUUUUAAUGUAAAAGAAAAAAAAUUUUAAUUUCCUUUUAGCAUUAAUUUCCUCUAUCAAUCCUAUUUAGAUAGUACAAAUAUAUAUAAAUAUAGAUUUUAUACUGGGUGUAAUUGCAUGUGUAUUCUUAGAAACUAAUAGAAUUUCGCAUUUAUCUCUACCAAAUUUUAACUAUAAUAUAUAUCCCUCCAAAAUAGCAUAUUUUAUAAGUACAUUCCUCUCCAUUAAUUGAUCGGUUAAAGUUAUUUUUUUUUUGGUACAAAUAACUAUUCUAUUUUUGGAUAAAUAUCAAUUUAUAUGUUUUUAAAUUUUUUUAUCAAUUAUAAUGUUUUAUUCCAACUUUUACGUAAACUAUAAAUAGUAAAUUGUAAAUAAACAAAAGUUAUCCUUUUCCCAGGAAUGGUCAAAAUUUAAUGGUCAAUUAAAGACAACCAACCCAUAGGAAUAUAUUUGCAUAUUUCAAAACUUUUUUAAAAAAUAUGUAUUUGGUAAUUUAAAGACUCUGUAAAUGCACAUAAAUUAUCCCUAAAUUUAGGUAAAUUGUGUUUGCUCCUCAACUACGUUUUUGCCCGUGACAAACCACUCUCAAAGCCUCAUAAAAAGACGCAAAAAAAAUUUACGAAAUAAGGAAAAAAGAAUCCAAUGCUUUUGCUCUUGGCCAAUCACCUUUCAUGCUUAUAUAAGAACAUUCAUGAAACCUCUGAAACAUAUCUAAUACUUAUCUUUAAGAAUCUUUAUUUAUUCUCUAAUGUUGAUAAGGACAAAGUCCAUCACGAAUAUACAUGAUGACAUGUACCCAACAUGUUUUUUCCUUCCAAGUAACCUCUUUGAUUAAUUGUGUGUGUGACAUUUGAUACACUGGAGGGGCUUUGUGGUCAUGGUCAACUCGGCUCAUCUAUUGGAGGAGGUUAAUUAAGUGCUGGUGACUUGUAUUAGGGGGUUUCAUGUUCAAUAUAUUCACUUAUAAAUUGUAUUAUAUUAUUAUAUAUGUCUCAUGCAAGGUGAGAUGUAAUACAACAAGGCACAAAUUUAAAGAUGCUUACUGUAUGCGGAAUAGUGUUUUAUUUAUUGUUGGUGAUUUUAAAAACAAUCUUAUGCACUUUCAAAUUUGACAUUUGAGUUUUCUAACUUUGAUAAAAUAUUAUAGUUCGUCUUAUCGUAUUAUAUAUCUAUCGGUAUAUUUGACUAUCUAAUCUGUAUUCAGAUUCAUAUGUUCCAUUUCUAAAAUAUAACAAAGUAUAUAAGUAUUAGUGUAAUAGAUUAAACUUAUAUAAUAUUAUAUAUAUAUAUAUAUAUUAUAUAUAUAUAUAUAUUCUGUGGGUACGUACCCACGGGGAUUCAGUGACUAAGAAGAUGAUUUUAUUUAUAUGACCAAAAGAAGAGUUUUACAAUUGCACGAAAUAAAUUUAGAUAUUCUAACCCGUGACUACAUUGCAGAAGGAACCAGGGACAACUUAAUAGGGGCAAAAAAAAUAAUAAUAAUAAAAUAAAAUAAAAUCAGAGGAAAUGAAAAGAAAAAAAAAACAAAAACAAAAUCAUCAGGUGUGUUGUUAGGUACAUGUUUGGAGUUAACCAAUAGAGGUUAAUCACGUAUUACUAGAUUUUAUAAUUAGCAUGUAGCUAAUACUUUUUCAUAUGCUAAACAUGUCCAUGGAUUGUUUUUAGCCCCUAAUUAAGCAUUUUGCUCUACACAGUUCUCGAUUAUAUUAUCUCAAAUGUCACAAUCAUUAAAACCUUGCAAUUAAUGAACUAUAAUUUCUUCAUACAUCCAAACUGUUAUCUAAAACAUCCAUCUAGAGUAUAUAUUAACACAAAUAAGUUCUUAUGAAGAGAUUUGACUAUAUAUGAGUCCCCACCAUUCCUUUUUGUAAUGUGCAAAAAGGAAAAAAAAAAAUGAAGGAAAAAAAGUAAUUCUACCUAAUUGAAUAAAUUAACUCUUGUGCAUGUAUAUUUAUUAAAACCUGUAGGGACAGGUAUUUAAGAAACUAAUUAAUCCAUCCAAAUCUACCAAGUGCACCUCGCACCAAUUCAUGACCAAACGUGUUAACAAUACUCAAUUCUCUAAUGAUUAAUUUGGUACAUAGUGCUUAAUUAACUAGUAAUAAUUGAUUAUUCCCAUUAGUUUAAUUAAUAUGUCCCUCUCUACUAUGAUUCCUUGCUAUAAAAAACUUGUAAGCAAUAAUUACUUAGUACACUUCGUAGCUGGCUCCUUACAUUUGCAAUAUUCCUCUUGUUGCUUGUUUAAGUGUUCCAGUUGUAAUUUACUCUACAAGAUGCUUACUUUUUUGAGUAAUUGUAAGAAAAUUUGGGCAUUUUAUUUGGUAUUUUGAGGCGCGAAAUGUCGCGAGGUUCAAAUUUUUUGUGCGUGGAAAGUUUUGAACCUAAUUGAAGUUGAUCGGUGCAGCGCGGUUACGGACUAGUAAUGGCUGGUAAUUUCAAGCUUAUUGUUCGGUUUCGACAUUAACUUAAGAAUUAGUGAGUCAAAUUUAAACUUUUGCUUUAUAAAAAAACUUUUGAAGUAGGAAUCUCUUUUUAAUAAAACCCCAUAAUAUGCGACUGGUCGUAAAUCCGAAAUUUUGACUUGUACCAAAUCAUGCUUUUCUUGAUUGUUGAAUUAUUAUAAGUUUUUGGGGUUUCAUAUGUGAAAUUUCUCUCUUAGAUUUUUUUUAAUUUUUUUUUUUAACAUCUGUUUAAUGCAUAACCCCAUAUAAUUAAUUAUAUUAAUUGGGAAUUAAAUGAUGUGAUUGUUAAGUCUCUUUUGGAUCAGGUUGCGUUGGACCAAUGGGCUUCAUUAAAAGGCUUCAUAAUGGGCCUAAAAGCACAGCUUUUUCAUGGGAAUGGGCUUUAAUGGGCCUAAAGAGUGACUUUGCAAACCUCGCGUAGCCCAUAGCCCAUAAAAGCCCACUGUUUUAUCGAAAAUAAAACUCAAUUCAAGUUUAUUGAAUUUAAUAAAUUACGAACCACGCAAUGAUUUUUGAAGCUUCUUGGGAGAUAAAUGUGAAUUCUAAACACAACACUUAAGGGGAAAAAAAAAAAGAAAAAAAUAAUUACAUGUUUUGAGUAUAACUCAAAAGGUAGUGAAUUUUAUGUUAAUUAACACCUUUUUCAAGCGACUUGUUCAGCGUCCAAAGAAUUAGAUUCACUUGCAAAAGUAGCAAGUUGUUCUUUUGUGCUUUUGGAUAAGAUAUUCAACAGUGUGCUUUUUUUAUUCUAUACGUAUUUUGUUUCGCAGAAAACUAGCUUUCGAUGGACAUAAGUUAGAUAACUCGAAACUUCGACACAAAUCUCAAAUUUUAAUGCACGCAGACCCGAAUUUACGACAUUUUCGUCGUGUCCGUGUGUGCUCAUGACCUAACUGCUAAGGUAUUAGGUAUUUUGUAAAUUGAUGAUGUUGCUGUUACUAAGAAUAACUUGAUGGGAUACAAUAUGGCCAAAUUCAUAGCAUCAAGCAUUACCCCUAUUAUUAUAUAUUUUGUCUAAAGAAACAGGUUGUCUCCUGCUUGAGAAUAAUUUUUUUUUUUAAUCUUUUUCUUUAAAAGAAAGAAUAUCUUUUAUCUUAAGAACUAAAGUAUUGCAGUUUAUGAAGCACUAUGAUGGAAUGAACGAAGGUGCACCGAAAAAGCAUUUGAAUUCCCCCAAAAGUUUUCCACUUAAAGAUAAACUUCUUUAUUAGUGACAUAUAUAUCCAAUUGAAUUUGGACAUCAACUAUAGUGACCUAAUCUAACUCACCUACUUUUUUUUUGUUUUAUUUUAUUUCUUUUUUAAUUCUGUCCAUUGAUUCCACAUCCUAAAAAUCUAUCUAGAAUCGACUGCCCUAGAGCAAGUGGCAAAGGGUUUGGUGGUUGGUAUCCGAGACCCAAAUUCGAAUUCUAGUUGAUUCACAUUUUUAGCUAAGUUUAUUUUUAUAUAAAAUAAACGAAGCAGAUAGCGUGCUACCUAUCUCUAAAAAAGGAAAAAGAAAAAAGAACCUAUCUAGAAACUUCGAUAUUUAACUUGCAAUCAGAGACGAAGAGCAGCUAAAAAAAUCACUAUAAUAAGGGCUCAGACGUAGGCCCACGCACAUAUAUAAACAAAAUCGAACUUGCGACCUGUCCCUCACAUAAAAGGAUGCCUCACUAACCCAACUAUAAGUGGCUACAUUUAAUCAAACAUAGAUUGCUGGACCGCUCGAAUCUCUUAAGUGGUUUAAAGAACUUAUUGUAGAUUCGUACAAGUUAUAUUUUUUGUGUAAUUGAUUAUACAAACAUUUAAGUGGUGGUCCUUUUAUAUCUCUCCAAUCAUCAACAACGAUUUCUCAACAUCUAUCUUAUUCUAUCAUUUUUGCAUGAAUACGAUACGAUACAGCUAAAGUUGUGAAAACUCUCUCACUUAUGGUGUAAACAAAAUAACUAAAAUGAAUAAAACUAAUUUAGUUGCCUUGGAAAACAAAACUAAAAAUGGUGCAACAUCGAUCGAACAUGUGGUGUAAGUGGCGCCAGGAAAUUCGGAGCAUUCAAAGCGCAAUUGGUCCCAUCAUGUUGCCACAAGGAUAAUGAGACUUUAUUAUUAUUAUUAUACAACCAUCCAAUUUGCACCUGUAACGAUUUUAUUAAUGAGUGAUAGUGAAAUAUAUUUAUUUAUCAAUGAAUUACACAAUCACGAGUCUUUUAUGAUUCUGCAAGUACUAUUAUGUGCCUGUUUGGCUCAAAGUACUUUUAUUAGAAGUUCUCUUUAUAUAUAAAAAAAAAGUUGUUGUGAGAAAACGCCUCAUCAUUAAACUAUGUUUAAUAUUUUCUCGUCAAAUCUGGGAGUAGAAGUUUAAGUUUGAACUACUGCUGUUGAGAACCUUGGUUCGUUUUAGUUAAACACCUCAACCGACGUCUCAAAAAAAUAUAUAGGGAGUUUGACUGCUAUAUAUAUUCAUAAGAGUAUGUUCGUUUUUAUACUUAUAAAUAAUUUUUAAUAAGAAAAAAUUUUGAAUUAACAAUUCAUACCGUUAGACAUAAUUUAGAGCAUUUGAAAUUUUUAAAAAUUAAAUUUCAUAAUUUUUCAACAUCAUUCAUCUUACGAUCAAAAUAUCACAAAAUUAAUAAUUUUUAACGGCCGGUAUGGAAUAUUUGCUAUUUUAACAGUGUAAAAGAUUCGAAAUAGAUUGAAUUUUUUUUAGAUAAUGAUAUUCACUAUCUCGAUGAAGAUCAAUAAUUCCGAUCUUAAAUUGAAAAGUUCGAUCAUUCUUUUUUAGGACGUUGUUCGACUUUGACCGUUCAUUUUGUGUCCGCUUGAUGGACUUUAUUAUAAUUUUAAAAAAUUAUAAAUUUUAUUUUCUACAAAUUUCAAAUGCUUUAGAUUAUGUUUAACGGCGUGAAUCAUCAAUUUGAAAACUACGUCAUCGAAAACAACUUAUGAGUAUAAAAUACUCUAUACUCAUAAAAGCAUAAUAGCCCUACUAUAUACAUAUAUGUAUAUAUUUGAAGAUGAAAGCCACCCACAGUAUGUGACAAGCAUGUUAAAUUAUUAUAUCUGGUUUUAUAUAUAAUAAGCUUAUUUGGCAUGGGAAAAGUGAAUUAGAUUCGAGAAACAAGUAAGCAUUUCUUUUAAGAGAAUUUUAUUUUUUAAAAAAUAAAAAAAGUUAAAAAUGUGAAUAAAUUAGGAUUCAAACUUGAAAUCUUAGGUAUCAAUCAUCAAGCUCUUUACUCAGGUCGGUGAAACAAAUGUGUUGAGAUGAGAUUUAGCAACCCGAAUGCGUCGGAUGCUGCUUGAGGAACCUGAUCUGAUCAAAUAGUUUAGCUUGAAUACAAAUCAUGUGUCGAAUUCCACUUAAGAGGUGAAACCUAAAUGAGAUUAGAUUCAGAAUAAUAUAAAUCUCUACCAACACUUUUCUCUCGUCUUAUACUAUUCAAUCCAAAUUAAAAAAACAAAACCGAACUCACAAUAAAUAUCUAUGAAAAAUUUUCACAACUUAUAUAUAACCAAUAAUAGUAAGCCACGUAAGCUGGUCUAAUACCAAAACCACUGUUGCAAUCAUGCCAUAUGUUUUGUCUUACUUUACACUCCAGUCCCUGCAGAUUAUUUUAAUUAUUUGAACUAAUUCUAACAAGACAAAAUUAAUGAUUUAUCUUAGCCCUUAAGCCUCGCCUCUCUAUGGAAAGCUUAAUCGUGCUACGCUGUGCUUAAGGUACAGCACAUAUCUCCUCCAUAUCCUUCUAAAGAGAAAUUAUUGGGUGGACCAUAGCUUACCGUGGACCGGUCUCUCAUUAUUAUAUGGGAAAUGCUUGAUUUACAAUUGCUAACGAAUAUAAAUAAUAAAUUUUAAUGAAGUUUAAUAAAAUUUUGCUCAUUUAAAAGAUUAUCACAGAUGAUUCAAAUUUUACUGCAUUGAAGGAUUUAGAAUUUGACUAUAAAGUGUGAAACUCUGAUUUCUAAUUAAAAAAUAAAAUAAGGAUACUCUUAGUAUAAUGUGAUUUUUUCACAAUAAAUAUUUAGAAACUGUUAUAUUUUAAUUUUAGAUUCUUUAGUGGUUGGUUCUAUUAUGCACUAUUUAGAGUUGAAUAAAUAUGAAUAUAUUUAAUUAUAUAAGAAAGUUAGGUAAAAGUAUAUUGUAUAAAUAAACACAUGUAUAUCACCAACAAGUUGUUUCUGCACCGGGUCUAGGGAUGUAGUGGACCCGGUCUAGGGAGUGGCUUCUCACGCUCUAGAUUCUCGCAGCCGCGUUAUUGGGCGCAUCGGACGGCCCCGGAGCUUCCGCUUCUGCGGAGCGCGAAGCAGCGCACACCGUGGGAUUCCCACCACGCAGGUGACGUGUCAGUCUCUCAUCCGUCCAAUUUGCCCCCCCACCUCUCCCCGCUCCCCUCUUUAGACCUUUCCCACCCCCUCUAACAAUGCGAAAGGUUGUGUUGUGUUGCGUUGUGUUUUGUUUUGUUGUUAUUCUCACCCACCACCUCCAUUUCCCUCUCUCUCUCUCUCUCUCUCUCUCUCUCCGUCUCCUUUGAGCGAUUUGCUUCGUAUUUGAGCCUUUGGUGGCGAUUUUUUUGAGGUUUUUGUGGGAUUUUCUUUGAUUUGGGGGAUUGGGACGGGGAGGGGGUCGGGAUUAGGGUUUUUGAAAAGAGAAGGGGGUUUAUUCGGGAGGUGAUCGAGCUGGAGGGAGGAGGGAAGCUAGGGUUUUUCUGCGGAGAUUUGUGGUGCGAUCUUAUGGCGUCGGAGAUCACGAAGGAGAAGGGUAUCGUUUUCCGCUAAAAUUUGAUCUUAUUUGGUUUAUUUUUUGGGAGAGAAAGAUCUUUUUUCCCCCUUUUUUAUAUGACAAUUUCCUAAUGAGGGAUUUAUAGUUGCUUCUUACGGAAAAAAGCUACUUUUUUUUCUCCGCACUUUUCGUGAUGUCUGUGGGAGGAUCCGUUUAAUUUCGAUUUCAAAAAGUAAACCGUGUCGGAUUUGGGUUAUUGGUUCACUUUGAUCUUUGGUUAUGUUUCUCCACUCAUCUAGAGUGGAUAAAAAUUUGUAACAAAUUUUUUUUUUUCCCCCCGGUCUAGUUGCGAUCCGAGCUUAUGUAGCUCUAAUUUGCAAAAGAAGAAGGAAAAAGGAGAAAUUUAUGAUUAUAAGCUUGUUCGUGUUGUGUACGAAUAUGAUGAGUUGGAGUUUUGACAAGUUGCUAAAAUUAUUGUAGAAAAUAAUUGCAUGAGCUUUGAGAAUAUAGCAUCUGAUGCAUGACUUAAGAUGUAUAAAGCAUUUAUUCUUUCUUAGGGUAUGAUAUUUCAUUGUUGGGUGCAUUGACUUUUUCCCCCUUUUUUCUUUCAUAUAGAUGUGCAAGAUGUGGUGGAAAAUUUGAAGUUGGAUUCUAAUUCUAAGACUGCGAGUGGUGAGAUGGUAUGAUGAUAUUUAGUUUAGUUAUGAUUAAAUCUUUUUUGAUUGUACAGUAUGUUGGAUUAAAUUAUAUUAUAGUGCUUAAGUUUUGCCAAAUUUGAUUCAUUGGCUCUAUCUUUAUCCAUCUCUUUCUAUAGGCUGGACAAAAAGAUGGGAGCACAUCGGAUGCGAUAUCAUGCAUCUCUUCAGCUGAUGCUAAUAGUAGCAUCAAAGAAAGUGAGGUCGAACAAGAGGCCUUGUUUUCUGAACCGAGCAGCUACUAUACCGUGAACGGAUUAUCUGGUUAUCCUUAUUCAGGUAAAUUCUAUCAUAUGAACCAUUUGGAAGUGAAAUUAUUAUAUGUCGACUCAUCGUCGUGGUUUAUUUUUGUCUGUUCUUAUGGUGGUGAUCUCUAAUUGUAUAGGCUUUGAUGGUUCAUUUGGGGGAUGGGAUAGCCAAACUUUUAUUGGAGGAACUGAAGGCUUGGAUGUUCAGCACUCUGUAAGUUCUUUCUUUUUCCUUUCCUUUUGAUUUAAUUACGGUGCUUUGUGAACCAAAUAUAGCUUUAUUUCCCAUCUUCCCCAAUUUGGUAUUGAGUCGGCAAUUUCUUUUGCACCUUCGUUGAGAUUUUCUUGUGAUUAUUCGAUAGGAUGGUUAAAUGCUAUAACAUCCUUUUUGCUGGAUGGCCAUUUAUGAAGAAAGGUGAUAGCAACGUGAUGACAACUUGUCGAAUAUGAUGCUAUGAUUUCUUAUUUCUCUAGUUAAUGUCUUCCUGCAUUUAUCAUUGUGGGCUCUACCUUUCUAUUGGGAAAUAUUAAAGAGUUGAAGAGUAAUUGCCAUUAGCUGAGCUGUUCAGGUCAAGGACGUUGAGGGAGAAAACUGGGUUCUAAGUGCUGCCUGCUGCCUAUUUGGGCUUAUCCUUUUCUUCUACUUUCAGUUGUAGAAUGUCCAAUAGAAAAGUCUGGAGCUUUCUACUGUGGUGGGAAACAACAAUGUAGUUUUGACUUGGGAGCAGAAUCUCCAAUUUGGAUCUUCUAAAUCUGCUUUAAAGAGAAGCUUUUGCUAGGGUUAUCAAUAUAGUAUUUUCUCUUAAUACAAUUAAAAUACAACAUCAUUAAGCAACGCUACACCCUACGGCAAGAACAAACAGGCUCUAAGUAGUAAAGAAACAUUGAAAAAUCGGUUUGCUCUUAUACUUUUGGAACUAUACAAUAUUGAGCUGAUCAUUGAUUAUCUUAUAUAAACAUGUCAUUUGUUAUGCUUUUCAGACGGCAGUUAUUCUACCUAUCAAUUUGUUUUUAAUUCUCUUUUUUAAUUAAUUUUUCAGGCUAAUCAGGUGGACAAUGGUUCUUUUGUUUACUACUUUCCUGGCUUUCAUCCUGGAUACUCUCCUUACAGUCCAGUUAUUCAUGGAGCUGUGACUAGUCCUGAUGGACAGUAUAUGGGUCAGCAGCUCUUCUACCAAAGCCCAAUCUAUUCCCAACCACUUGCCUCUCCAGGGUUUGUUUCUCAGCCAGUUACUUAUCCUCCGGAAUUAAUCCCUGCUUAUUCUUGGGAUUCAUAUGCUCUUUUUGUCGAUGGGAUCCAUGGUAAUGGAUUUGGUGGAGAUACAACAUUUCCAUUUUCAGGAAAUAAUUUGUCUCCCCAGGGUCAUGCACGAUCUCCUUCAAAACCUUCACCCCAAUCAAAGUCGAACUCUCUUGAAAAGAAAGGAGCCUCAAAUCAAUAUCUCAAGCCUGUGAGUAAGGUACUGCAAUGUCUGCAAUCUUUGUUUCCUUGUACAUAACUAAAUAAUCCUUGUAAUCUGUGUCUUUUCUUGGCUUUCAGCCCAAUGGUUCUAUCGCCAAAGAUGUACCACCGACUAACAAGGUUUUGUCAUAUGCUGGCCAAGGGAAAAUUCGGCUGCUGUAUCCGAACAGCCCUAGCAAUACCAAGGAAAGUGGAAGAAAUGGUGCUGGGACUGAGAAGCUCAACGGAACUAAUACUAUAGCACCUGCAGAUUUUGAUUCAUUGAAUGAUCAAAAAAGUGGCCCGAGAACCACUGUUAAAAACUCAGGGAUACCCGAGGUUGGGUCGGGUCAACCAAAGGAUCCCGCCAAGGAGAAUGACAAUAGCAGCACCAUGAAUUUAAUAGUAAAGAAGGAUGAAUACAAUCUGCCAGAUUUUCCAACCAAGUAUGAUCAUGCGUUGUUCUUCGUGAUCAAAUCAUACAGUGAAGAUGAUAUCCACAAAAGUAUAAAAUAUAAUGUUUGGUCGAGCACCCCAAAUGGAAACAGGAGGCUUGACAAUGCCUUUCAAGUCGGACAAGAGAAGUCCAGAGAGAAAGGCACCAAAUGUCCUGUCUUUCUAUUCUUUUCUGUAAGUCUGGGCUGACUAUGUUAAUUUGAAUUUUGAAAACAGAGUACAAACAAAGAAAAGUUUUCACUAUGUUGAUCUAAUGUUUUAUCUCAACUAUCUGUCCAUUCUCCUCUGCUAUAACAUUCUAAUUAGCUUCUGUUCUUUCUUUUACAGGUAAAUGCAAGCGGACAGUUCUGUGGUCUAGCUGAGAUGAUUGGCCGAGUUGAUUUCAGCAAGAACAUGGACUUUUGGCAACAGGACAAGUGGAAUGGUUAUUUCCCUGUAAAGUGGCACAUAAUUAAAGACAUCCCUAAUCCACAGUUCCGUCAUCUAAUAUUGGAGAACAAUGACAACAAGCCUGUAACGAAUAGCAGAGAUACACAGGAGGUAUGCUUCUUAAGCUUCUGCUUUGUCAGAUAAAUUCCAGUGCAAGUAAUUAUAAGCAGCGAAUAAUGGUUAAAACCAUCUACGAUUAUCAAGCAAAUUUAAGGGCUUUUAAUAGAUUUUCAGUUAGUUGUGCAAGUUAUUUGUUUUCUGUCUCAAGCUUCUGCGUAGAUUAAAUCAGGUUGUUUGAAAACUUCCUCGAGUUAUAACCUAUUUUCAACUAGUAUUUGUUUUCUCGGGAAGUAAAUAUCUAUGCAGAACCUGUUCCUGUACUCAGCAGUAUUUCUGUGUACAUAUCUCAGGUUAAAUUUCCCCAAGGUACAGAGAUGCUGAGCAUUUUUAAGAGCUACUGUUCUAAAACUUCCAUAUUGGAUGAUUUUGCUUUUUAUGAGAACCGGCAAAAGAUACUCCAAGAGAAGAAGAACAAGACUUCUGCCUCAAAGUUGGAGCUUUUAGAGGUAAUCUACAUUCUUUUCAAAUUUAAUUGGCUUGAAAUAUCUCCUGUCAUAGCUUUUUUGUUUCUUGUGUCGGCAUCAUGAUAGAAUAAAGGGAUUGCUAUUCUAGACACUUGAGUAAUCUUUUUUAUUAUUGCUCACUUACUAGUUCAAUCGCUGUGUACCAAAAUUCAGUUUUCGUAGUUUCAUCCAUUGGUUUCCUUCGUUCCACAGUUUCAUCUAAAGGGUUCUCUUCUUUGCCGUAGAAAUGAAUUUCUCUAAUUUCUCUUCUUGGUUUGGUUUGGCCAGAAAAAAACUACUGAAGUAACUGAAGUUCCAAAGCCCGUUAGUGUCGACUACAUAGUUUCAGGCGUACAAAAGAUUGAUUUAAAUGCGACUAAGGCCAAGGAGGACCUCUCAGCUGUUGGUGUUGUUAAGAAAUGAUUAUGACUUCUGAAACUCUCUGCGAAAGAACAGUAGUUUUUUGGGAACAACUUCAGAAAAGUAAAUAAAAUAUUCUUCUUGAAGCCCGUUCAAGCAAAAGCGAAGAUGGAUGAAGCUUCAUCGCAAGACCACCCAUGAGCAGUGUCCCUUCGAUGAAUGGGUGGUCGGCCGUUCAUCCGUCUGAUGGGUCGAAGAAGAAAACUUAGGUGUACUGUCGAAGUUGAUUGUGCAAUUUUCUCUUUUCCUGUUCCUUUUUUUUAAUUUGAUGCCCCCUCUACUUGUUUUUGCCUUUGGGGGAUCCUUUGUUUCUAAUCUUUUGAGGGCAUCUAAUCUGGUGGGAGAUCUUCUUUUUGGGUGGAGGGGAAGAUGAGCUUUUGAAAGUGAUGGUGCCCUUUUGAUGCCUUUUUAAUUUAAUGACUGGUGGUUGGGUUAGGUUAGGUUCUCUUUUGUGGGUUGCGAAAGCCAUUCCAGUGGCUUUCGCAAGAUACAAGCUCUAUAGCUUGUGGAUUGUUGUGUUGUAAAGUAUGACAAAGGGAGUUGGCAAAGAAAAAGCUCCCCAGAAAAACAAAAAAACAAAAAAAGGUGAAAUGGAUGUCUUCUUCUGCUUCAUUCUUUUCCUGGGAAAUUUGCUUUUGACCCCUGCUUGGUGCCAACACAGUUCUUGCACAAAUAUGAUUUAUGAUUUCUUUGUUAAUCUCUUUUUCAGUAUAAUUAUGUGGGAAAUUGCUCUGCAGGACAGGCUUAACAAACACUUAUGUAUUUUUGCUUCUUAUUAGUAUGUGAUGCUUAAAUGAAAGGUGGGUAAUAAGAUGAUAGCUUUUUUUUUUUUUUUUUUUUUUUUUUUUUUUUUUUUUCUUUUUUAAACUAUAAUGUGUGUCUAAGAACCAGAGAAUGCAUCAAUCAUUGUGCAAUUAGAAUAUCGUGAAGGGUUAGCUAAUAAUUCAUGACUUGUAUUAUUAUAUGUUUCCACGCACUAUCAUGGGGAAUCAGAGACUGUAAAGGAAAUUUGUUCAAUUAAUAUAUAUAUAUGCUGUACGAAGUGUAAAUUGAUAUCUACAUGUAUUAGUCUCACCUUUUUAAAAUUUUAUCUCGGAUUAUGUUUGAACUUGCCCCAUCUCUUAAAAGAGUGAUUUUAUGCAUAGCUCAAAUAAACUAGAUGAGUAAGUUGUCUUUUAUGUGCAUUGGCAAAACCAGUUAUUGAAAUGGCCGAGCAAUUAUUAUAUAAUAGAGAGCGAUGUGUAUAUCAUAAAUAGAACUAUAAUCACAGUUGUCCUAUUUAAAUAAAUGAUAGAUGCGUUACGAUUUGAUAUAUGUAUUUUAGUCUUUUAGUCAAUGAGAAUAGAGUUUUCCUCAAAGCACAAAUUAAGCCUACCUCUAGAGGUGAGCUUGAAGGAUGUACUCUCUUUUCAUUAUUAUAUUACUAUUAUUUAUUUUUUACGAACAAAUUUUUUUUUCAUUCGGAGUCUAUGGCAUUGAAUUAGGAAAGGGGCUUCAUGGAGCCCCUAAUCAGGUACUCUAAUUUUAAGUAUUAACAUAUUAAGCAUUGCUCCAAGUAAUAGUACGGAUAAAAUUAUUAUCGACUAAUUUAAGUACUCUAAUUUAAUGUACCUUCGAAAGUUUGUAAUGGGCAUAGCAUAUUACCCAGAUUUUGAAUACAAGUUUGCAUGGCAAGCAAUUGGCGACCUCCUAUCAUUUACAGCAAACUUGCUUCUUAUUCUAUCCCACUAUUUUUAUUCUUAUUUAUUUAUUUAUUUAUUUAUUUUUCUAUGUGGAGCACAAGACAAAAACAUGUCAUUGUAACAUCCACAGAGGUAUCCCAAACUGCUGCUAUUUAACGUGAUCCUCAAACCACAUACGUAAUUACGUAUACGAAUUUGCUUUCGAUUAAAAAGAUUCCAUUAAGAUUCAGAUAUUUGGUACUUCUAUAUUGAAGCAAAAGGAAAAUGAGUGGCUACUGCUUGUCUUUUGAAUUAUCUUGAUGGCGAUUUGCGAGAAACUGAGCUCAUCACUCCCUGAUUUGGCGUCGUUGCUUUGGCUUCUUUACUUUUUAAGCAUUUUAUUUGACUUCACUACGCGAGGUAACGAAAAGACAACAGAUAUGAAUUUAUGCAAUUAACCACUUAUUAGAAAUUUACGAUGUUAUUACUGGAAUAAUUGCUCUCGCAAAUAGUCUAAACAUUAAUUACUUAGAUAGAGCACCAUCAGCCUCUUCACUCGUGAGGUUUAAGUUAUCCCUUUUGUUUACAUUUCUCUCUAUUUCCUAGUUUAAACUCUGUGAAUUAUGAAUUGGAUAAAUAAAGCAUGUGCAGGACCACUUUAGAUCAUAGAAGAUGUUGAAUCCUGUUAUUACACACUAUUCAUCUUCUAAAAUAAGUUUCGAAUAAUCAAAAUUAGUUGCCGUACAACACGAAAAAUAAUGAGUCAGCAAUGUUUUGUAUUUAUACUUCCGUUUACAACACUGAUUCUGAGAUUUAAGUACCACAAAAUGGCUGUUUUAAAUAGUAGGAGCAGGGCUUAUUCUGAUUUAGAAAAUACCAACCAAAUCAACAACAUUGCUAAAAGUCGAAUGAACAUAAGCCCUGCUAGACACUCAGGUAAAUUUUCUCAGUAUGUGACCGAAAAUACCAUCUACUAACAUGACAUAUUAUUAGGAUGUAUUUCUCAAGUAAUUCCACAAGUGAGCUUUACCUGUUAUAAAAGAUUCAGAAAUUAUUUUCUCCCUCCCUAGAUGUUCAGUAGCAUCAGAAAGAAACAUUCAUGAAAUGUGCCCAUACAAACUACAUUAAGACAAUAUGAAUUAUAGAAAAAGAAAAUUAACAAACAAAAUUGUCAUACAAGGUGGCGCACAUCGCUUUGACAUUUAUCUUACCCCCCAAACAAAACACAUAUGAUUCAAAUAAGUGUUACACUUCUUACAAAAUAAAAACAUGACAGAUGUGAAAAGGAGUGAGCAAAUACAAACUUUGUUGCGUGCUAAGAGCAACAAUCCGACAGUCCUGCGAGUACCCCGCACUUGAGAAGCAAAGUGUAUGCAUUUCACUUAAUGAUAAUAACUCUAUAAUCGCAAAGAUCAGAGCACUUAUGACACUAUUGCUCUCAAAGGGAAAAUGGUAAAAGUUCCUGGCGCAGCUCUUCUUUAAAUAAAACAGCGCCACUCUAAAAAUACUCGAAAUCAAGGUAAGAAGAACCACUAGAGUCGCACUUCCCUUCUGAGGUAGUAACCCCAGAGACGAUAACAGCCUCUGCCGCCUUCUUCUCCUUACUAACAACAGCAAAUUGUCCAUAGUUCACGGGAUCUGGAACAUGUGGCGGGCUGGCGCUCCUCACCAACGCCCAAUUCACGCCCUCAAAGAACGGAUGCUGCUUAAUCUCUGUCGCACCCUUCUGAUAUGCGAACCGUUUUCCCGGAUCCUUCACAAGUAAUCCGCGAAUAAGAUCCUGUGCAGCAGAGCUCACAGGUGGAGAAUCCGGAAAUCUUAGUGGCUGCCCUAUAACAUUGAAAAGCGUGGCGCGGUUACCCGACCCCUUGAAAGGGGUGUUCCCGUACAAGAGCUCAUACAGGAAAAUGCCGAACGUCCACCAAUCAACUGCGCUGCCGUGCCCCUCUCCUUUGAUGAUUUCUGGUGCGAGGUACUCGUGGGUCCCGACAAAUGACAUUGACCGCGCGUUCGUGGGCUCUGCCAUGAAUUCCAAGGACGAGCGAUGGCCCAUCCCAAAGUUGGAUCUUGAUUUGCGGUGUUUCUUUGGGAAAAUGCGGGGGAGGAAUGCCGAUGGUUGGAUGCAGACCUGGAUGAUGCUCCCACCGUCAAGCAUGCCUUUGCCACUGCUGUUGAUGGCAGAGUGGACAGAAGAGGAUUUGACAAGGGUCGGGCUAACGGAGCAUUGCAGGGAGAGGUCAAAGUCAGAGAGCAUGAUGUGGCCCUCUUCCCGGACCAGCACGUUUUCCGGUUUCAGGUCACGAUACACGACACCAAGCAUGUGCAGGUACUCAAGCGCGAGCAGCACCUCGGAUGCAUAGAAUCUACUUGGAACAAAGAAUAUGAAAGGAAUAAGGAUCUCCACAAUUCGAGCUAACCAUAAAGAAUUUCUGAAUAGAGGAGGAUUGUAGUAAAGGGGUAUCAACUAUCAAGUUUGGAUGGCCACCCAAAUUAAAGUGGCAAAAGUUCACAUAUGAACACAUUCUACAUGUUUAUAUACAUGCAUGACAUACUGAGUAUUCCAUAAUAACAACUCCAUGCGACAAUUCUAUCAGUUCAUAUAUUGGAUUUGGAUCAUAUGAAAUCAAAUUGAGACAUUGAAUGCAACAAAGAAAAUCAUUUUCCUUCCAUUCUUUUACUUCCAAUCAUGAUUUACUAUUAAAUUUUUUUGAUUAACUACAAUAUUAAUACCUGAUGUUCGACUUUGAUUUCAAUUUCAUCCUCGUUUUUUCAAUUGUAACAAAUAUAGUCCCUGAAAUUUAUUUUGCAGGAGAAUUGUGUUGUUUGUUAGUCUGCCUUGUGGUAAAGGCACCACAUCAGCAAUAUCUUUUUAGACUUGCUUUGCUAAAAUCAGAACUGGAGAACCUAAAAGCUUAUAAUAAGUCCACUUCCUUUGCCCACAAGAACCUUCAAUAUAAACAUCCAUGCAACUAUUCCUGUGUCUCUGUUAUAGAUAUCCUAGCUCAUUUAUCUAGACCUAUCAACAGUACUCUAGAAAUAAACGUUUUAUCAAGGCAACUGAUAAUUUCCCUUCUCAUUACCUAGUUCAGAAAAUGAUUUCAAAACCACCACAAAGUUUUAGAUCACAAAAGCAAGAUUACCCAAUCAUUUUGCACUCAGAGAACGUGAAAGUUGUGACCUGAAGAAUAAGUGUUAAAGAGAAGGCCAAAGUGCUGAAAAGAUCAGAAUUCCUUUUCCCAAUUAAGAUACAUCGCAGCCUACAGACUCAGCAAGCUUGAAGUACACAAGAUAAUAGAGAAACAUCUCUCUUACUCAAUAAGCACCAAAAUUCUAGCAUUAGUAUAGCACAAGAAAAUUUAGCCAUAAUUAAUCUGACAAAGUUGCUUAUAUAUGCAGCAACAAUUAUAUAGAUAUAGGAAAAGAAGAUACAGAAAGAAUAAGUACAAUCACCAAACAAAAGGAAAAAAAGAAGUCUCAGCUUACCUUUCAAGAAAGAAAAUAAAGGCUAACUCUCACAGAAGCAAACUAUCUGCAGAGAAGAUUAUUUUUUAAAAAAGAAGAAGGAAAGAAUCUCACCUAGCAGCUUGUUCAGUGAAAUACUUAUUAGGCUGCUUCUGUCGGAGAGAAUGGAGGUUCCCACCAUUGCAGUACUCCAUGACCAAGCAAUAAAACUUCUCCGACUCAAAGUGUGAGUAUAACGUUGGCAAGAAGGGAUGAUCGAGAAGGCUCAGAAUCUCUCUCUCUGUCUGUGCCCUAAUAAGCUUAUUUCUAUUGACAAGGGAUGCCUUAUCCAUCACUUUCAUUGCAAAAAAUGUACCGGUUCCCCUAAGUUCAACAAGAUAGACACUACCAAUAUCCCCAUAUCCCAAUCGCUUGAGGAGCCUAAAAUGACCUAAACUAAGGGGUGGGUCUCUAGAAUUAGCCAGUUGGACGGCCUCCCAACGGCAAUCACCACCGGUGUGCCGUCUUAUGUUUGGCAUGGGAGUGUUACCAUCUAUGCUAUCACUCCUAUCGCUACUGACACUGGAUCUGUUUAGUGUGGUGUUGGAAUCAGUAUAGUUUCCAGCGCUAGUCAUUGUAUAUGCAGUAAUUGUAUGUACUUCUGUGGAGUUUGUGGUUGAUAGUGAGGUAGAAUUUGUUUCUGAGAUUGUCAGCAAUUUGGGACUUGGACAUGCGGUUGGGUAGUGACUUGGCCCACUUGGGUAUGUAUCCAAAUUCUUCAAAUAAAAAGCACUGUCGUUGUCGAUUGUUUCCAAAUUUGUCUUGUUGCUUGAUGGUCCCUCAUAUGUUGCUUCUGGGUUUGCAAAUGAUCGAGGGCUUGGGCACGGACUAGGGAAGACACGAGAGGUAAUGUCAUGUUGAGAGCAUUUUGUAGAUUCCAGGAUGGUACUUGCAGUCAUCUCCAUUUAAUUGUAAUUUAAUGAUGUGUUGUUGCAUGACAUCAAAUUCACCUGAAACAUUGAGUGGACAAGUAAUUAAAUAGGCACACAGCAUGUGCAGCUUGGUAAAUAACUAAGACAAAUUUAGGCUGAAAGGGUUUAAUCGUUAUAUAAAGAGCGCAAAGAAGCGACCAACGAAGAGAUGUUUGCUGCGCACAACACAUCAUAUUGGAAGAGGAGAACCAAGUUGCACAGAGUACCAUAAGAAUAUUAAUAAGUUCUUGGCAAUUAGAUUAUUAAUUAUUUCUCUUCAAAAUUUGCUGUUAACCGACAUCAAAACUAUAGCAUAAGGUCUGAAGAUCAAUUGAAUAUAGCAUAGCAAGCCCCUAUUAACUAUAAUUUUGGUGAAAAUGAUUGAAAUCAUUACGCGCCAACUACUGCCUACUAGAAUAAAACUUCGAAAAUGAUAGAUUAUCAUGAAAUUGGGGUAAAAAUGCAUCCCAACAAACCAUUUAAUAGAUAAAAGAUGAAAGCACUGCACAAUUUAUUAUGCUUAAAAUCAACAUUCAUAUUAAAACACGUCCGAAUUAAAGGACAUAAAAAUGCUGAGCAAAACUAGAAGCAAGAUAUUGAAAGAAAAUAGCAAAUUUUGACAAAGUAGCAUCCAAGCAUACACACUUAACACCUCUGCAAAUAGUAUAUGAUCACGACGAACAUACAUAAAAAGCUAAGAUCAAAAGUUACUACCAAUCGCAAUUCACAAAACAUUACCGAUUAAACAAUAUCUGCACAAUCCGAAGCCUCACACUAACCCUAACCCUCCUCCACUAAAACCACAACGAGAUCUCUCCGACGGAGAAGGUCGAAUCGGAAACUCCCAUAGCUCUCUCCCCGAAUCCAAAAGGGGGGAAAGAGUGAAGACGAAGAGGAGAGAGACGCCCCGGAUAAACCGAUGUGCGUGAUCGAAUACAUUGUUGCUAAAUUUAAGGGGAGAAAAAAAAAAUUAGAUAGAGGAGAGACGUGGGAGGGUGAACGGAGAGAUGAGGGAAUUGGUCGUGGAAGAGCACAAAGAGAGAGAGAGAGAGAGAGAGAGAGAGACGAGGGGGAAUGGGCGAACCAAUUUUUGGUGGGGAUGGUCCCCAACUCGAGACGAUCAACUUCGCUUGCUUUCAGAUUCGUGCCGGUUUUGUGAUGGACGAUGGAUGUGGUGUCCGUGUCCCCCACGAAUUAAGAGAGAUUUGAACAAAUAGGAAUUUUAAUAAGUGUAGUAUAUAUAGAUUGAGGAAGGAUUAGAGAAAGAACCACGUGGAGGGCUAAAUAUUGGAUGGUGCAUGAGUGCGAGAUGCACCGGGUUCUGAAAGAAAAAAAGGGCAAAAAGAAAAAUAAAAAAAAUUGAUAUAAUGCAAGUGGGGAUGUUAGUUGUAACCUCCUUGUAUCUAAUUAAUUACUCGCAAUAAUCAGUGAACGAAAACGGAUUCGGGCAAGAGGCGAGAAAAAAAAAAAAAAUGAUCUGCCCCACAAACGUUUUUUAUCCGCUCCGAAUCCGACUUUAAUUUUCUCUAUAUAUAACCUCUCAAUAAUGGCACAUUUUUUUUUAAAAAAAUUAUAUAAUAUAAAUCUUAGGUAUUUGUAUAUCCGAGAUUCAAAAUUUAAAAUAUAAAUUAUUUUAUAUUUUUAAAUAAAUAUUUUUUUAAAAUGAGGAAAAUUAAUAAUUUACUUUUUUUUUUUUUUUUUUUUUUUUUUGAGAGAUAUCUGUUUUAUUUAUUUUAUUUAAAAAUAAGCUUAACUGAAAAUAUAAAUCAACUAGAAUUUAAAUUUAAAAUUUCGUCAUCCAGCGAUCCUUUUUGCCACUUGUUCGGUUCACAUUAAAAAAAACACAUUUAUGACUCUAUAAAUAGAGGUCUAAAACCUAACCCUAAGUCAAUCUGUUCCUCUCCGACUCCCACUCGGAGCCGACACAUCUCUCCUCCCUCAAAUCUCUUCCUCCUCUCCUCCGCCUUCUGCUGCAAGUCUCAAAUCUGCUUUCUGCCCUCCCUCAACAAAUUGAUUUGCUUUCUGCUCUGAACAAAUUGAUUUGCUUUCUGCUCUGAACAAAUUGAUUUUGUUAUUGAAUGUAAAGGAAAUGAUGGCAUGAAAGUAAAAGGUCUGAGUAGGAGAGCAUUGCAUUCUUAACCCAAGGUAGAGGGCCCUCGCCCUUGCUCGAGUCGUAGCACUGCGGCUCUCGCAACCUCUUCUACAACAACAACAAAUAUCUUCUUGUCUUUUCCAUGCGUAAGCGUGGAAUCGGGGUCGGAGUAAAAGGCGUGGGCCGCGUCCGGAGACGUGGACGCCGGCCUAGACCUCUCCCUACAUUCCGAUCAGAGUCCCUGCGAUAAUCCAAUGACUAUCAAUGCUCUCCCUCGCUGAUCAAAUCCUUUAGUCUGAUCCUUUCAUCUGCAUUCACUUAUUAUUGCCUAAAUUGUUAUAUACUUAUAUUGGAUUAGCCUAUUUAGAUUUCAAAGUUUUUCGCGUCAAAUUGUCGACACCAAAAAGGAGAAAAGGUUUCUUUUGAUAAUCGAACACAUAGAGCAGAGUCGCUGCCAUUAUGUGUUUGGUAGUACCCAGCUGAUUUUGCUAUUCUCUCUAAAAUUUUUCUGAGAAUACAUAAUCGCAGUAGUUACAAUUACUGUAAUUCAUCUAAACACUGCUAGCUAGGGAAUAAAUUUCUCCCAGAUGAUUGAAACAAAAUCCGAGUCAGGAAUGGAAAACCUCCUUUAUUAUGCUUUCUCAUGCAGGUGAAGUGCUUGACAUUGAAGAUGAUUUCCCUUUCUCCGGGCUAGGAGUCCUCAUCCUUUCUAUGAUGCAGUAGCGUUAAUGCAGGUAUGGUAAAGUUAUUGGAACUGAUACUGUCGGCCGAACAGAUGCUGCUCGAUGAAGUUGCCUUCCCCCAGCCCUGCUUUGCUGCACGUAGCGCAGCCGCUCUCCACCGCAAGGUCAAGGAGAGUCGCAUUGCACUCCUCGCCCUACGAAACGCGACCAAUAACCAGUAUCCCCUUCUUGCUGCUGUGAUCGCCAGCUGCUUCGUUUUCGGUAUCAACGAACUUCACGGCGUUGGCUCCGUCAUUUUGCUGUUCUUUUGUUUCAACUGAUCAAGAAAUUUGUAUGAUGGCUAGGAGUGUGCAAUUGUGUGUAUCAUCUGUAGGCUAGUUUUGGUCUAUUGCCGUGUACAAGACAAAGAAUUAAUCUGAAGUAUUUAAAUAGGAAAAUAGAUAUAUUUAAAUGAUGAAAGAGGUGUGUUAUGUAAUUGAUAAUUUUAUGUUGUUGUAUGUUUGAAUUAAAGCUUCAAAUAGAUAUGAAUAUUCAAGUUUGGUCACAUAAAAUAGUUUAGUGAUAUUUCCUGUAAAAUGAUUUAGUUAUUGAGAUAAAAUUUUUGUUGGUUACUAUGUCUGGAACAUUAUCUUAAGAUAGUGUAUAUCCAUGAAAACUUGUAGUGCAAAGACUGUGAUAAAGGAACUUGUGAGUUUCAUGAAUUUGAUUUCGACCCCCUCCAAUCGACGUUGAAAAAUCGAUCUCCAUGGAAUUGUGAGUAAGAUUUCAGGUAAUCUUACGACUUCGGUGUCGAAAUAAAUGUCAUCGACUAUAGCUCUUACGACUUCGGUGUCGAAAUAAAUGUCAACGACUAUAGCUUUUUCAAAGUUACCAGUUCAACCUCUGAGAUCUAUAAAAACAAAUGCAUUCUUACUUAACUAAUGAACCUACUAAUCAUUUUUAUGAUUAUAUUUAUACAAGAGUUUUGUCCUGUUUAUGAAUUUACGAUAGAGGGAUCGUGUACCACUUCAAAAGGGGUUUAUUUUCGAAAAUUCCCAUGGAUCCCAAAGGCUAGAGAUGUCAAUUGGCAGGGAUGCCUGAGAUUUUAUCCGAACUUAAAUUCGAAUGGAGCGAAUUUGUCUGAUGCUAAACGGAUAUAGUUUUAGAUAUGAAUAUCAAAAAGAAAAUCCGACGAAUUUGGAUUCGAGUACGGAUUUUGAGUGUAUCUUAUCCGAAUUCGAACUCAAAUUGAUUUUACAUUUAUAUUAUAUUUCAUAUAUAUAUAUAUAUAUAAGUGUUUGAUGUUAUAUUUAAAUUUUUAUUAUAAAAUUUUAGUUUUAAUGUAAUAUGUUUUGAAAUAUUGUAAAAAGAAAUAAUUGUUUGGGUUCGGAUUUUUGGGUUUGGGUUCGGAUUCGGAUUCGGAUUUGAGUUUCGAAUUUUUAGUCGGGUUUGGAUUUGGAUAUGAAUUUUUAAAAUUCAUCAAAUUUGAGUUUGAGUUUGAAUUUUGAAUUUGAUAAUUGAGUUCGGAUUCGGACUUUUAAAAAUUUGCUAUCACUACCAAGGGCCAAGGGGAAGUUGGCCAGUAGGUUUCCAGCAAUUAUUGCACCAAACUUUUAAAUGUUGUUAAUUGGAACCAGGACUCCAUAUCAUCUUUAUGUGAUUUAGCUAUAGAGGACUUGACAUCAAACAAUAAAUUAUUAAAUUUGAUCUGUAACAUUAAGUAGGCCAAACUUCUCAAAAUCUACUGCCUUAGUAUUCAAUAAUAUGAAAACAAUUGUUCUUUACAAAGGAACGAAAAAAUUAAAAUUGUUUCAUAUAUUACUCUUUCGAGAAUUGUAUAUUAUUAUUAUUAUAUUAUUAUUAUUUUUAUAUCUAUUAUAGUUCAUAUUUCGAUUCCAAGGUUUUUACGACUACAAUUAGAAUAAGAUUUUAGCUACACCACGUCCAUGAGAGAAACUCUUAUUCGAGGGUAUAUUUACCGAAAUAGUAAAUAUCCGGUUCAUCGCAGACCAGGUCCAUGAAAUAUUUUCUCCACGGUUUUUUACUUUUUAACCCCUACGCCUCUUUUCUCUCUCUACGCUCAAACCUUUCGAAACGCUACUUUUUAUUAUUUGCUUUGCAAACGAUUUAUAUUAAUUUUUCGUACACAAAUUUAUGCUUAAAUAAAUCUCCUCCCAAAAAACCUUCUCGAAAUCGAACCUACUUGUUCGACAUUGUUUCGAUCUAAUCACAUUCUCAUGUUCCUUCGCUUGUGAACAAAGGUUAGUUCCCUUCUUUCUCAGAUCUAUUUUCACCCCAUAUUUCGUUGCCGAAUCCUUCGUCUAUAUGUUUGAAUUAACCAAAAUUAUUCCUAUUUUUGGGGUUUAAAAUGCUGCAAUUUGAUAUUUUGGUGGGUCAGUUUUGAUUUUUUCCCCCAAUUUCUUUGCUUUUUUUGUUUCUUAUUGAUAUUAUUAUUAUUAUCUUUGUAACAUAAUAAUCCUUUUCUCUCUGAGAUCUGUGAUAUCCAUGAAGAACAUGUAGGGUAACAUGAAUGCUGGGCUUUUAUGUUAUUUGGAAACUUUAGGUAAUUACGAAGUAUAAUAAUGAGAGAAAGAUUUAUAAUUUUGGGGUUUACGAAGUAUAAUUUUAAGCAAAAGAUGCUUUAGUGAUGCUAGAGUUAGUGCAUUGUAUUUGACACAUCAUUAUUCUAUCUGUGUAAUUUACAGUGUAUUUUUCUCAUAUUUUAGCAGGCGAAAUCAAUAAAAGUAGACCCUAUUAGACUUCAGGUAAUGGAAACAGAUCAAAAUAGUUAACAUUAUUAUACGGUCAUUGGAUUACAUCGUGUUUCUUAUAUAGUAUUGUAACUGAGGCUUAAGAAGAAUUUGGCUAAAACUGAAUGAUCGGAUUCUCUUCUACUGCAAAGUCAUCUCGCAUAUUCCUUUCCGCAUAUUUGUUUCAAAAGUUGUCCUGCUACCCAACUCUACCUGUUACGAAGUUGGUUUCACGCGAAACUACUAAACAUGGUUAUAGAGUUGGGUAUUCGAAGAAUCGAGUAGUAUAAACAAUAAAGUAGUGUAUUUCUCACCAUCUAAAAAACCGGCUUUUUCACCUUUAAGUCUCCAUUAAUCCAAAUUCUUUUACUUCUUAGACAUUUGGUUUUUUUCUUAUGUGAAUAUACGUUGAUUUUGAAACCUGCAUUUCUGAAUAUCUUCUGUUCAACAUGGUUUAAGCAAAGUCGGGAAUUGCUUCGAAAGAUGUAGACGAGAUCAAUUCUGAAAAUUUUGGGACGAGUUUACUUGCAUUUUCUUUCUAGUUAUAUAUUUGCUUUAGUUUCUUGCAGAUCAACAAUUUGGUACAAAAUAAGGAGGUGAUAUGCUAAAAUGGCCUCGGAAAAGGAUAUCUUUGACGUAUCAGGACCGACACAUCUUACGUCUGUUGAUUGGUAUGAUGUUCUAACAAACUGCAUGAUGCCAUUAGAUUCCAAUUCAGGAUAUCCAGUUUACUUUUAGCUUGAUCUGAAAAUAGUGUGGUUUCUGAUUCUUUCAAUGCUUCCUUACAUACUGAAUCGAUGUAGUUUAAUUUCUUCUGUAUUUACCCUCAAAUUUUUUGUGAACUUGCAAAGGAUCAGGGUUAAAUUUCAUUUUUAUAAACUUGCAUACAAAGAAACUUUUUAUCUAUAACAUCUUUGUUUCAAUGUAAAUUUAUCACUUAGGAUGUGCUUUAUGACAGGCGUCAGAGUAAUGGAACAGCUCAAAAGUCGUAUUAUUAUGAAGGGGCUUUUUUUUUUUCUUCCAUACGCAUAUGCUCUAGAAGGCAGAAUAUUUUGGGGUAUAACACAGGAAAAAGUAGGGCCUAGGCGGCUUGCUAGUAGAUUUGCUCAAGGAGAUCGAGACCCAAUUAUAAUGCUCAUUGUUCUAACUAGGUUUAUUAUGCAAUAAUCAGUAUAUUCUUCUAGUAAUGUGGUUUAAAUUUGCUUAAGACUAAAACAGCUAGUCUUAGAAUUACUUUGAUAUUAACAAUGGCACACAGAUUGCAAGAACAGAAAACAAACUAUAUUGUUACAUUGUUUUGAUAGCAUUUGCUCUUUGCCUAACUUGCAUUAGUUUGGUUGAAAAUUCAUCGUUUCUCUUGCUUCCGUAUAUUAAAUAGGAAUUGUCAACACCACCGUCGAUCUGUCGCUGCGAGCCUAGUUCAAGGUGUGUACGUUCUAGAACGUGACAGGCAACUAAAUCGGCAGGGUCCAGAAGUCCUUGCGCCUCCUUGGUGGGAAUUCUUCCACUUCGAGCUAAUCCGUAAGCUUGUCGAUGAUGCGGACUUCUCUAUCUUUGGUGCUAUUUUUGAAUUAAAGCCAUUGGCUUCGAACGCCCCAAGAUUCGUCAUUGCCUUUAGAGGCACGGUCACAACGAAAGAAUCCGUUUCCCGCGACCUGACCCUCGACCUCCAUCUUAUUCAAAACGGCCUCCAUCGCACUUCGCGGUCUGCUAUCGCCAUGCAAGCUGUUCAAAACAUAGCCUCGGCUUUUCGUGAUUCAGUCAUCUGGCUAGCUGGCCAUUCUUUGGGUUCGGCCAUGGCGAUGCUAGCAGGAAAGAACAUGGUGAAAAAUGGUAUCUUCUUGGAAACCUUUCUCUUCAAUCCGCCAUACGUCUCUGCCCCGAUCGAAAGGAUCAAAGACAAGAACGUGAAGCGCGGGAUCCGUUUUGCUACCAGCAUAAUCACCGCAGGAUUAGCCAUUGCAUUAAAACCUCAGCAAGAGAGGCCUCACUCUGAUGAUCCCUUUGCCAUUUUAGCAAAUUGGAUUCCCCAUCUCUAUGUGAAUCCGGCCGAUCAUAUCUGUUCGGAGUACAUUGGGUAUUUCGAGCAUCGAGAGAAUAUGGAGGAGAUGGGAGUUGGGAGUAUUGAGAAGCUGGCAACCCAGAAUUCGAUCAGCGAUAUAUUCUUAAGGGCAAUGGGGAGGGAGUCAGAGCCGUUGCACCUUCUCCCAUCGGCGAAUUUGACUGUUAACUUGAGCCCUUCUCCGGACUUCAAAUGGGCUCAUGGGAUACACCAGUGGUGGAAACCUGACUUGAACUUGCAAUGUAAGCCAUACAUUUACACAUAACAAGAGUAUUGGAUCAUUGAAGGAUUUGGGAUUUGUGCGCAGAAUGAUGGAGGGGAUGUUUCUUUAUUUAAGUAGUUAUUCUCGAUGUAAUUUUUUGCCUUUGUUUCGAACUCAUAACUAAGAGAAUCAGGAUAAGUUCUUGGUUUACAGGUCAUUCUCAUGUGAUUAUUGUACAGUUUCAGUGAAAAUGUUUAUUUUUCCAUUUUUGUCAUCGGAUUUUGUUUUUCAGUGAUUGUCAUUGACAUAUGUAAGGUUGGACUGGGCUGAGCUCAAGCCUGUUUUGGGUCUGCGAUCAAGCCUCCGUUCUAGGUCGGCCUGGCCUGAGAAAAGCCCGUUCGAGAUCGAGCCUCAGCCUAUUACAUCUUACAUAGUGGUCUGGGCCAAAAAUCUUUUGGAAUAACUUACCUAUUCGUAGAUGCGGCGGCAAAGCAAUUUACAAACAAAAAGCAAAAGCUAUUGCCAUUGCAUGAAGCCAAAAUAAGCUUCCAAACACCAAGAAGCCAAAAAAACCUCACAUAGUGAAAGAAUUGUUAGUAUUUGAGCUCUGCUCGAUCAGCACUUCAGCAGAAACACGAAUCGAACCCCUGAAAUGAUCCAAUAAUGUAUCUUUCGAUGAUGUUUCUUUGGGUACAAAACGAUCAAUGAUUCUCCGAGUGGGGGCAAUGAUGGAUAAGCACAAAUAGGACUAAGAAAUAUGUACUACUACUACUACAACAUACAACGAAUACAAAGCACCAACGAUGCAUCUGAGGCCCCAACAAAAGAGCAUCAGUGCUUCUGCUUUGGGUGUCAUCGAAGGUACCAAGAGUAAACAGCUAAAAAAAAAAAAAAAAAAUUUACUUUAAGUUAAUUAUACCAGAUAUUUUUAUCCUUGUCUCUUUUCCAGAAGUAAAAGAUACCAAUCAACUGAUUUAAGCAUAUAUGUAAAAGUUUAAAGUAUUGUUUAAACUAGGAGAUGUACACCUAACUUUUAACCUUGGUUUUUGGCGUCUCCCCCGUUCACCUAAUUCUUGUAUGCUCAUUCAUAUCAUCCCUCUCACCACGUGUUAUGUCUCUACUUAUAUUUCUGCUGUUUCCUUCAUUUACUUUGUUUUCUCCUUAAAUUCUCUCUCUCUCUCUCUCAUAUACUAGUUUUCUGUAAGUUGUGCCAUCCACGGAUUUGUAUAACUAAAAUUAACACAUUUGCCAUCCACCGACCGUCCCUAGAGCAAGUGGCAAAGGACUUGGUGAUUGAUACUCGAGAUCCAAAUUUGAAUUUCAGUUGAUUCACAUUUCCAACUAAGUUUAUUUCUAAAUAAAAUAAACGAAGCGGGUAGUGUGCUACUUAUCUCUCUCAAAAAAAAAUAUUUCAAUCGACUGUCUCAAACGCAAGUGGCGAAGAGUUUGAUGAUUGAUACAUGAGGUCUCAAAUUCGAAUCCUAGUUGAUUCAUAUUUUCAGUUUAGUUUAUUUCUAAAAAAAAAAAUGAAGCAUAUAACAUGCUACCUUUAUCUUAAAAAAAAAACACAUUUUCUCAAAUUACAAAGAACUUUUGAGAGAAUAUUAUUAUAAAAAACUAUGAAGCACACCAUUUAUACAGCCAAUCACAUUUUAGAUUUUUUUUUUCCCAAUUUUGUAUAAAGAGACGUCACGGGACCUAAAAACAAAUAACAUUUUGGUCUAAAUUUGGGUAGCAAGUGUACUCUUGAAGCAUGUAUUUUUCCCAGGUACUGCAUCAUAAAAAACAAAAAGAACAUCUUAUCAAAAAGUAGCAAGCCAAAAUCAUGUCCUAAAUUCAGAAGGGACAAUUUCUGGUAUCGUAUAUAGUAAGCAACUCGCUAUGUUUAUUUUAAAAAUGCAUUCAGCCAAAAUAUGAAGCAACUAAAUUUCGAACUAGAUACCUCUAAGUACCAAUCAUCAAACCAUCAACCGACUACACUAAUGAUUGUUUGGUAGAAUGUAAUUGUACAUACAGUAUUGUUGGUGUUGGAAGCGUGAUUUUCUCUGAUAUCAAUUAUUGGAACCGGUAUUUAUACUGAUACCGAUUAUAUAAAACGGAAUCUAAAAUAGAACAAAAUAUAAUAUAGAGAAAAAAUAUUGAAGGGGGAAGAAGAAAAUUAAACUAAUACUUUAUUAAUAAAAAGCAUUUAAUUACAUCCUGAGCGAUAACCUCGGUCAUUAUACAGCCAUGUCUAAUGUGGCUUGUUCAUCUAUUUUAUUUAGUUUAUAUAAUAGAAAGCAAUGCAAGCAAAAAGAAUGGUUUAGUUUAGUGUAGUUAACAAGUGCAUAUAUAAAAUUUUAUCACGAUAUAUAUAUAUANNNAUAUAUAUAUAUAUAUAUAUAUAGAGUGCGUCUGGGGUGCUUUCGGAAGCACGGAGCGCUCCGUGCUUCCACUUUGUUUUCGAUGUUGGGACUUUCAAAUCGACGAUCGGCUCCGUUAGACUUGAUCUAGAGUAUUUGAAGUAUCUAGAAAAUAAAUUUUGCGAUUUUUUGAUAUCAUUUACCUAGUGAUCGAAAUGACUCAAAAUCAACGGCUGAAAAUAAAAAUCUUAUAAAAUAUGAUGAUAUGACAUUAAAAUUUUAGAUCAAAGUUAUUAAUCUUGUUUUUAUAUGGUAUAAAAAAUUUUCUAUCAAAAUUUAAUGUGAUUUGAAUAUUUCUACACCGUUAAACUUGCAACCGGCUCACCACGGCCGUUAAAAUUAUUGAUUUUGAGCCCCUUCGAUCACUAGGCAAAUGAUAUCAAAAAAUUGCAAAAUUUAUUUUCUAGGUAUUUCAAAUACUCUAGAUCAAAUCUAACGGAGCCGAUCGUCGAUUCGAAAGUCCGAACAUCGAAAACGACUUGGAAGCACGGAGGCCUCCGUACUUCCAUAAGCAUACCAGCACAACUAUAUAUAUAUAUAUAUAUAGAUAUAUAUAUAUAGUGAGAUUACGCCAACAUAGAAUAAAAGUAUUUUUUUGUUUAAAGGUAAUUAACCAUACCUUUUGUUUGAAAUUGGUCUUUUCAACUAUCGUAAUUAAAACCACAACUAAGUUAGGGGAAAUUUUCGCUACUGCAGUUAAGUCUUCUCGUGCCGAUCCAAUUUUAGCAAAUGAAUUCAAAUGCAUCGAAUUAAAAAUUCGAUAUGAAUUGCACACAUUUAAAAUUACAGUACAAUUAUAAUUAAAUACAACCAAACCGCCCCCAAGUAUAUGGUUGGUAGCGCUAUGUAAGUUAAUGACCUGCAGUUGGGACAUAUACAAAUAUUUAAAUGGAAGCUUUAAAUAACUUCCCAAUGUUUUAAAAACUUCCCUCAAAGAAAGGUCAGAAAUAGCAUGUAGCUAGGCUACAUAUUAACUGAAAAUUUUUGCAGGUACGAAAUAGAGUCAUGAUCUUACUGGUAAUGAGCUAGAUUCUUAUGGCGUAAUAUAGUUGUAACCAUCAAAGUGCAAUAAAUAAAACCAUAAGAUAAUUAAGUAUAGAUACACAGUACCACACAAGGCUUAUUGAAGUUCUUUUAUUAGAUAUCAAGAAACACUUUCACAUCAUUUUUAUGUUUGCUCAUGCCGAUAAGCAACCAUCACGCACCCCAAAUUAAAGCAUAAGGUUCUAAACUCGACCUUACAGGAGAAGUGGCCAUCCCAAACACGAUCUGAAACACGUUAAAGAACUUUUAAGACAACACAACAAGAGUCGAAAUUACGAUGCGACCCCAGGCAACUAGCAAAGUUUUCGUAGAAGGUGAUCCUGCUGACCAUCUGCGGUAGAAUGCGUUAGUUUACAUAAUUCGUUUUUGCUGUGUGCAUGCAUGCAUUAUGAGAAUGCGGGGAAUUAAACAGCGCCGGCGCGAAAUGCCCUGUUUAUCAACUUGAGCGGAAUGCAUUACUGUUGAAAAAAUUUCUGCACAGUGAAUUACAUAGAAACCAUAUAAAUCAGUGGCGAAUUGGGAGGUGCUGCAGGACAAGCAGUGGGUGGAGGGCGAAGCAGUAGUUUCUGUCUUAAUGGGCCUUGUCUGAGAGCGCGCAGAUAAGACUGGCCGUGUCAGAACCAGCUCAUCAUCCAGUAACUCUUUUCGUAUUUAUUUCCCUCGACCACUGUACUACAACAUUGCGUAUAUAUGUAUAUUUGUCCUCCUCUUAUAAACCAACAUUCAAACACUUAUUAAAUUUAUCUUCCCCUUCUGGUCCUCCCAAGUAACCCAAGACAAUGGCCUGCUGCCGCUUCCUCGUCGUCGUCGUCGUCGUCGAUGUCUUCGUCCUUCUCCUCCUCGCCCCAAACUCCUCCACCUCUCUCCCGUCGCCGCGCGCGGGGCCGGGCCUCGAGUGCCUCCCGGGCGCGCCCUCCUCCGGCGAGGGCGAGCUCGUCCGCGCGGCGCUCAACGCCACGGCGCGCCGCGUUGGCCACGCGCUGUACGGCGCCGCCUCCGCGCUCGUCGGCGGCGGAGCCGGGCCCGCCGACGCUCUCGCCCGCGCGGCCGCCGAGGACUGCGUGGAGCUCCUGGGCGACUCCCUCGCCCUCCUCUCCCGCUCCCUCCUCUCCCUCUCCCUCUCCCGCUCCCGCUCCCGCUCCCGCCCCGCCUCCGACGACGUCCGCACGUGGCUCAGCGCCGCGCUCACCAACCAGGACACGUGCGAGGAGGGCCUCGACGCGAUCCGAGACCGCCGCACCAGGAUCCAGCUCCAAGCCCACUUCAUCGACCUCCGCACUCUGCUCAGCAGCGCGCUCGCCGUCUUCGCCGCCGCCGGCGACAGCGGCGAAUUCUCGGGAAUUCCCAUCCAAGACAAGAAGAAGGCGAAGCGAGUGCUACUACGAGCAGCAAACACCGACGACGACGGUCGUAAAUCCCGAUUCCGAUUCCCGGAGUGGGUGACAAGGAAGGACCGCCGGCUGCUCCAGUCGCCGGGGGCGGACAUAAAGGCGGACAUGGUGGUGGACAGCAGCGGCGGCGGGGGCGGGAACGGGACGUUCGCGAGGAUCUCGGACGCGGUGGAGGCGGCGCCGGAGAACAGCGAGCAGCGAAUCGUGAUCUACGUGAAGGCCGGAACCUACUACGAGAACGUGAAGGUCGGGAGGAAGAAGACGAAUCUCAUGUUUGUCGGCGAUGGCAAGGGCGAGACCAUCGUCGCCGCCGGCCGCAGCUUCGCCGACAACUACACCACCUACCGCACCGCCACCUUUGGUACGUACGUAACGCUUCCAUAAUAAGAUUAAUUCAUGCUAUUUUUGUUGCGCUCCAACGAAACGUUAAAUGUUUUAAAGAUCGUCUCGAAUCGGUUUUCUAAUUAAUAAUUUAGUUAAAAUUGUAUUAUCUGUCGUUUUAUUAUGGAUAAUAAACAAAUCGGAACAAGCAAAUGGUCCUGAACUAGUGAAUAAUGAAUAAUUUAUUAAGCGUCGCUUUCUUUUCUCAGCCUUGUACACAUAAGUAAUAUAUAUAUAUAUAUAUAUAUAUAUAUAUAUAUAUAUAUAUACUUGCUUGCAUGUAUUCAAUUAGUAGCAAAAUCUUUGCUGAAAUGUGCAGCUGCGACGGGAGCAGGGUUUAUAAUGAAGGACAUGACGGUCGAGAACUGGGCGGGACCGGAGAAGCACCAGGCAGUGGCGCUCCGCGUCGGCGCCGACCAAGCGGUAGUAUACCGCUGCAAUAUCAUCGGGUACCAGGACACGCUAUACGUCCACUCCCAGCGGCAGUUCUUUCGCGAGUGCGACAUAUACGGCACCGUCGACUUCAUCUUCGGCAACGCCGCUGUAGUUCUUCAGAACUGUAGUAUAUGGGCUCGCAAACCCUUACCGAUGCAGAAGAACACAGUCACGGCGCAAAACCGAAAGGACCCGAAUCAGAACACCGGCAUCUCAAUCCACGCCUGCCGCGUCGAGGCCACGCCGGACCUCGAACCUGUGAAAUCGUCUUAUCCGACCUACUUGGGCCGGCCGUGGAAGCUGUAUUCGAGGACGGUGUACAUGCAGUCCUACAUGGGGGAUCACAUCCACCCGGCCGGGUGGCUCGAAUGGAACGCGACGUUCGCGCUGGAUACGCUGUACUACGGCGAGUACAUGAACUACGGGCCCGGCGCGGCGCUCGCGAACAGAGUGACAUGGCCCGGGUACAGAGUGAUCACGUCGCCGGAGGAAGCGAAUAAGUUCACGGUGGCGCAGUUCAUCUACGGCUCCUCUUGGUUGCCCUCCACAGGGGUGUCGUUCUUGGCUGGGCUGUCCGAGUGAAAGCACUAUGUUGGAUCUUUUGUAAUUACUUUUACCUGUCUUUUGUAAUUUGUACUCUUUCAAUUUUUAUUUAUUUCAUUUACUUUAGUUAACCUUAUUAGUUAUAUAAAUCAAUACAACUUUGAAUGAUAUAUGGCAUUUCUCACUUAAUGUCCGGUAUAUACUACGUGCUAACUUUAACUUUGUUUUAUGCAACUCUCUUCUUCUUUUUUCAAGAGAAUAUUCAACUUUCUUUCUAAAUCCGAAUCAAUGACUAAUAUCAUACGCCUUUAUUCAGUUUCUGAGCCUACUACGGUCAACAAAGAGUCAACUCUGGUCAACAAAAAGGACAGAGGAAUUUACCUUUCCCAUUGAAGGCCAAAGAGAAGGGAAAGAGCAAACACCGCAAAAAGUGUAAAGUAGAGAGUGAACGAACUGUGGCAGUGGGGGGAUGUGGGAUCACGUGUGGUUGUUCUUUCUCUCAUCCCGAGCUGCUCACAUGUUUCAAGUCAAUUUAGCUGGGCUUAUUCACUUAUUACUACCAUUCAAGAGGAUUUACGUGGACUUGAAAGUUGAAAUACAUGUGCGGUGUCGGUGGAAAAUAAAUGCCACGUGGCCACUUUGUGUGGUGGAAUUAAUGCAGUGCGCCCGUUUACUGAACUUUGCAGCUUAAAAUUGGACGCUGUAAAUUGAUAAUUGAUAAUAUACCUCCUUUUUUUUUCGUCUUUUGUUAUCUUCUUAACAGUUAAUAUCUGUUUCGAUUCGCUUUAUUAUUUCAAUUUGACUUAUUUCUCAUGAAAUUUUUGACAAGCCAAAAGACAAAAUCUAGCGAAAACAAAAAAAAAAAACUUACAUAAUCGAGAUUAAAUCGAUCUCAAUAAAAGAAGACCCAAUAAAAAUCCGCAAACACUCUUUUCUAAUUCCAGUCCAUUUGCGAAAGCAACCAUACAUUCAAUAUAGCGCAUGGAUAGAUUUAAAGAUCUAUAAAUGUGGCAGAAAAACUUACAAAACUCGGUUAUUCUAUUUUAUAUGAGAGCGAGAAAAACUCACAAAACUGGUUUACUCUACUUUUUAGAGAGAGCCUCUGAUUUGUGCUCGCUCCCAGAAGUAACAACGUAGCCUGCUCCAACCUGGAAAGUACAAUGACUAAAUAGAUAACGAACCAAAAGAAAUAAGGUAAGCAUCCAUGCAUGCACGACUAAGAAUACUAACAUUGUCGAUGAAAUCACUAACAGAUCAUUUUGAACCGUCGAGAAUAUACAAACCAAGAUGUCACGAGAACGCUUUAUGAUGAGAACUUAAUUGUGGGGGAUUUGGUAUCCGCAUCCACAGUUUGUUGAAGUUGCAAAGGAUAACAUGGUUUCUCAAGCCGUCAAAGAUAUACUCAAGUGGAUCAACUCAUUCUUAAGAAUCAUGCCUAUCUUUAGACCUGACAUUUGCCUAAGCUCAAAAUUUUUUUAUUCUGACCAACUGUUAAUGCCACAUUCCAAGUUAAAUAUAGUCUAUCAUAGUCUGUCACACUGAAAGGUUUCUUAAUCAAAUAUUUAUGCUACCACAUAGGCAGAAAUGAACAAUUUCGACAAUAUGGCUGAGAGCUUGGAGGAGCAAUGCGCAAGUUUAACCACCCUUUAUAUAGUGUAGCGAAGAGAAUGCCAAAAAGAGAAAAAAGAUUAAAAAAAAAAGGCAAAAAAAAGGAGCACAGGGCAAAAAGUAAUCACCUGACAAUCUUUCAAAACAGCGCGCUCUUGAAGCUGCACGUUACUGCAUAUAACGGACCCUUGAAUGAAACAUCCAUCUUCAAUAGUCACAUGAUCCAUCACAACAGAGUUCACAAUCUGCAACAUAGAAAGGAAUAGACACGCUAGUACCUUUACUAUCACAUCAGUAUGCCAAUUUCCGAAAACUAUUUAUAAUCUGAUACAAAUAGCUAUUAAUGGCUAACAUUAGAUUAACCAUACUAAAAUACAAAGCAGGUGAUGAAGGCUUGAUAAGAAAAACAAUACAAAGGUAAAGGUUUCUCUCAUUACCUUUACAUUGGAACCGAUUCUGCAGUGGCGACCAAUUACAGAUCGCUUCACACUACACUUGUCACCUAAUUGUGAGCCUUCAGCUACCAUGCAUUGAGGACCAACCUAAACCAUUUACUAAAAGGAUUAAUCACAUGGAAGGUAAGGGCAUGAAGGCCCAACAAAUGAAAAUUAUAUUUCUGGGAGACCAAGAUCUGAAAAAGGAAAAAGUAACACCACAGUGGCAAAAAUUACCAACUGGAACUUUAAAACUAACAAAAAUCAUAACUUACCAGAGUUUCAUAUCAAUAAAAACUAUGGAUGUUAAUAGAUAAUUAAAGAUUGCACUAUUCAAAACCAUGGGAAAAUUGAAAUGAUCUAGCCUAAUGCAUCAGACAGGAAAAAGGCACACUUUUAGAGGGAAUACCAAUAAGAACAAUUAAAGCAAUUUUGACAUUUCAUUCUUUUUUGUAUUCUCCCUGAGGAAAUCUAUCUCAAUAAACCGAUAAUUUCCAACAGUUAUCUAGUUCAUGGUGAACCCAGAAUGUAGGAAAAAAAAUCAGCACCACAUUAAUGAAUUAAUGUUCCAACCAGAAACAGAAGAGUUUCCCCUACUCAUAACCAAAAGUAAACAUGCAGCAGUGACACUUCUUUGUUUGUAUGGGCUGCAAAUCUGCAAUGAUUCAAAGGGAAGAUAUCAGCUUACCGUAGUUUUAGAUCCAAGAACAGCAGAUGGAUGGAUGAUGUUGUUUUGUGCGGAGAAAUAAUAACCAGAUAGGUGACUAGCCUCUCCUACCACCUAUAAAGGAAAUAAGUAACUUCAAAUCCCAACCAAAACUUGAGCAUAAGAAAAUUAUACACAAUUAUUAUGCACAAGAUUCUUACCUCUCGGUUUAUGUCAUUAAACGCCUGAACAGAGUUCAAUCGGGCACAAUACUUGCUUUUGCUAGAUAUGUAAGCACAACAUUUAUGUGAUUUUGGAGAUUCCAAUUGAGCACUGGAAGGUGAAACAUAGCAUUCUUGGAAAGAAGAAGGAGCAAUUUCUCGAUGUUGAGAGAGCCAGUUCAAAUUUUUAUUGGAAGGAACUGCACCAUUCCCAGUUUCAUACUUAGAUACUUCGUUUGUUGAUAUUUCUGACCUCUGAUCAACAAAGUAGUAACAAGAAUGAAGAAUAAAUCCAAUAAAAGGGAAAUGGAGGAAAAUGUAGAAAAGCAUACCAGUUGGGUUCUAAUAAGAUACGGUAGCACAUCCUGCCUAAUGCUGUGAAAUGUUUCCUUGCGAUCCAAAACAUCCUGCAGAACAGUCCUGACGAACAAUGUUUAUGAAAGUAAAACAGCUUUACUAUGACAGUCAUGAAAAGGGAAAGAGAAAUGAAAAAUAAAAUUACAAAAGAAAGAAGUCAAGAUAUGGAAAAGACAAACCUCUUAAAUGCAUACAUAUGAGCAUCCAUGAGAUCAGCUCUGAUUUCCAUCUGUUGGCAAGAAAAUAUUUGGACAUAUUUACUCAUUUUGCAACAAAACAGGGAAAUGAACCCGCAAUAUUGAGAAAUCAAGAGUUCAUCAAAAUCAGAUGCAGCAGCUAGUAUUUCUUUCUUAACGUCAAAGAGAAAAAAAAAAAAACUAAAUAAAUGGUGAAAUUUCAUAUUAAUCAGCAUAAAGCUGAUAUAUAUGGAAUGACAAUCCUUAUCAAACAGAUGAGUUGAUAUGGGAUAGCCUAGAAUGUAGAAGAAACACUAGGAUUUAGUAAAAACGCGAUAUCAUUUCCAAGGCAUAACUUCAAUUAGGAAAAGUUCCCUUGGAAUAAAUUCAUCAUACCCCAUUAUAACCCCUAGAUCUCUUUUCGCUCUGUGAGUUGAUAUGGGAAACCUUCAAACCAACCAAAAACCUACGCAGAUGUGAAGCUCCCAACACUGUCAACAGAUAUUUCUUUUGACUCUUCCUUAUGAGAUAGCAAAAAAGUUCGACAAAAUCUGUAAGUUUAGGACUACCGAAGGGGGUGAAAAAAGCUAACAAGUCCAAUAUAAAAUAUAAUUAGCAAAGACUGAACUUCCAAAACAGCGAUGCCCUUACCCCAAAUUUAAGUCUAAUGCAGUAUUCUCUCGCCUAAACAUUAAUUACAGUUUUCUUCUGUGGCCUGAAUAUAGAAUUUAAACCUAUGCCCAGCUGAUAAACACCGAGAGUGCAGUCUUGCUAAAUGAAGCAAACGAGUAGAAUAAUGAAAUCAGCUAUUAUCUUGAUUCUUGUUUCAUCAAAUAUGUAUCAGAAAAAUUUUGCAACCAGACCUGACCUACAGCACGAAGAAUACUUUUCUGAACCCGAAUAUCUUUUUCAACCUCAGCCCCUGUAAAGAUUUACCUAAUAAUUAGAUGAGUCACAAUGCAACAGCUCAAAAUACAGACUUGACUUCUCAUGACAAAGGAGCAUGCCUGAUGCAAUAUGUAACAAAAAUUGCCUUGUAGAAUCCAACCCGACAAUGUUGCAGCGAAUUGGUUUUUUAGCUUUAUCUUUUCCUCCAGAAGAUCCAGUAUCUGAAGGUCCACUGACAGGAACUGGACACAGCAGUGCAGUUACUGCUGCACCAUGUCUUCUGUGAGUAGCAGCCACAGCUCCAGGAGGUACAUCGGAAACAAGGUCACCACUGACAACCUACAAAAAGAAAUUUGAUGAGAAAAAAGGGUUCAGACUUUAGAAUACCCCAAACAACUUUCACUUGGAAUCAUUGAAAUAGUGCAAUUCUACCAGAACAUCAUUUGCGGUAAGAUGGUGCGCAACAGCUCGUAAUGCACCAGCAGUUCCAAUAUCUUCGGGGACUGCAGCUACCUACAUGAGAGAUAAUAUCCUUCUAUCAUUAGGAAUUAAGAAAUCCACAGGACUAAAACAUGCCAAGUUAUUGUUCAAUAGUUGCUCUCACAAAUUAAAUUACAAUAAAUAACAACCAACUCCUCCGGCCCAUUUAUUCCAUGAGUGAUGCUAAGUGUUUUCUUAAACUAAAGCAGUAAUGAAAUGGAUACUAAAAAGUAAGAUUACUUAAAUAUCUAUGUUUCAAACACUGUAAUUCAAGAGCUCACCUCUACGUGAAGGCGAUCUACAUAAGCACUUGAUAUCCAUCCGCCGACGCGAAGGGCGGCUUCUUCCCCCUCAACUACCUACACAACAUUACUCUAUCCAUCAAAAAUAGAAAAAAACCAAUUUGUGAUCAAUAAGAGAGAUACUGAAUUCCAAAGCGCACCACAAUGGCGUCCUUAAGAUUGCUAGCCUCGAGGAGCUCGAGGACGUAGGAGAGCACGGGGCGAUUGGCUACUGGGAGAAGCGCUUUUGGGGCCUCCUGAGUACGAGAAAGCACAAGAUCGGAGCUAUAACGAAUCAAGAGAGAAAGAAGAUGUAGAGAUGUAGAGAUGUAGGGAGGGAGUUGGAGAGGAGAAACCGGAGAACCUUGGAGACGAGGGGGGCGAGCUUCUCCGAAGCUCCCCCGGCGAGGACGACGACCUGGAAAUCCAUGGGACGGAUUCACCGUCCGGUGAAGCUCCCGGCGCCGGAGACGGAGGAGAUGGACGGAGUGGGAACGAGGGAAUUGUUUACUAGGGUUUUAUUUGAGAACAGGAUCGGCGUUGGAUUCGAUCCAGGGGAAAGUUAAAAAAAACAAAAAAAAAAAUAAAAAUGCAACUCGUUAGUCUCUCACUCGGGAGUUGGGACUUAGGACUAGAGGUUCAUGGGCCGUGGGGCCCAACUGGCUCUCGUUAGUCCGAAGCUGAAUAAUCGGGCUUGGACUCAAAUUAUGCAGUUACAAGGCCCAGCCCGGAUCGCAAAGCCCAAGGCUCGGACAUGCAGUGGACUCGUUGAAAAUAUUGUGUGCUCCUGGUGUACAGGAAGACUCCACGCAUCACUCCUAACAUUUGAUGAUCAAUGUUUCGUGAUACAUCUAACAUGGGAUUUUAGGAUUGUAGUUAUUUGAUAAAUGUACUCAUACACCCGGUGCAGGCAAUUAUUUCUUCGUGUAUAUGCAUAUAAUAUAUAACCUCGCGCCAUUUCCAAACAAUUCAAACCAAAAGGCUAAAAAUGGCGCCUUCCUCUUCCCUCCCUCCACUCUUCUCCCUCCUCUUCCUCUUCCUCUUCCUCUCGCCUCUCCCAUCCCUCUCCCUUCCACAACCCCACCCCGGCUCCGCGUCUCACCUCCUCAUCGACGCCGCCUUCUCCGCCGCCCCUCCACCGCCGCCGCCCCCUUUCCCCUCCCCGGCCGCCGCCGCCUCCCCCCUCGCCCCGGCCCUCUUCGUCCUCGGCGAUUCCACCGUCGACUGCGGCACCAACAACUUCCUCGGCACCCUCGCCCGCGCCGACCGGGCCCCCUAUGGCCGCGACUUCGACACUCACCGCCCCACCGGCCGCUUCUCCAACGGCCGCAUCAUCGUCGACUACCUCGGUCCAAUAACCCCCCACUUCAUAUCUCCCCAAUUUUCCUCCCAAAGAACCCUAAUAUUGCUCCCAAUCUGAUCUGAUUAUGUAUGGUUUGUCGUAACAGCUCUGCGAUUGGGGCUCCCGUUCGUGCCCCCCUACCUCGGCCAGAGUGGGAAGGUCGAGGACAUGAUCUACGGCGUGAACUAUGCGUCAGCCGCCGCCGGGAUCCUCUUUGCUAGUGGAUCCGAUCUGGUUUGUAACUACUAGUAUACUGCCAAUUUAUUGAAAAUGCAUUGUUUCUUCGCACAAAAAGAUGACAUUUUGAUGUGAAAUGGGUAAAUUGUUCGAUCUCAUGACUUUGACUGUAAGGUCGAACAGUUUCAAUUUAGGCAGAAAUUUGGAGAUUUGGCAAUACUUUAUAAUAAGAUACAACACUAAAAGUAUGUGGAAAUGCAAAAUUCUUUUCUAAUCAUCCUAUCUUUCAUUAACUGUAAGAUAGCAAAAGUUAAAAAGGAUAGCAAAUUAUUCAUUUUACAAUGAGUUAUAUAUAAAUCGUUGUAUUAGUUGAUUGACUGAUGGUUUAUCCAUAGUUUUUUGGUAUGAUUUUUUUGGUUUAUAUUUGCAGUCAAUAGUUUAAUGAAAUAUUCAACCAACUGAAAAUAUGUGAUCUGUUUGGGAAAAAAAAUCUGAGAAAAUUGACUUUGCUUGGUUGCAGGGUAUGCAUGUUUCGCUGACGCAGCAGAUCCAGCAGGUCACCGACACGUCUGAGCAGCUCGCACUGAGCCUCGGGGAGGAGGCCGCUGCCGACCUUUUUAGGAGGUCGGUGUUCUACGUCUCGAUCGGGAGCAACGAUUUCAUUCAUUACUACCUCAGAAACACUUCCAGUGUACAGUCUUUGUACUUGCCGUGGGAGUUCAACCAGCUCCUGGUUAACACUGUGAAGCAGGAACUCAAGGUUUCCUUUAAUCCCUCCCAAUUAGAUUACCGAUUCUCGUUGUCGUAUUUGAAGUUCACUAACCCUACUACUUAAAUUUGAGGAUGUGAUUACCUUGUCAACAUCUUUUUACUUUGUAUUUAGAUAAUGGCAUGUUGAGUCAUCUUGAUGUGGUAGAAACAAUCAAGUGAUAUGGUUUUGCUGAAUCCCAUAACUUGUACUCGCCUGUUUAUUUCCAAGAGAAUGAAUUGAAACACAGGCCUAUGUUACUUAAAACACGAAGAAAAAAAAAUGAAAAAAUGGUACCCUCCUUUCAUAAUGGUGUGCUUAUGGUCUUUUUGCCAUCUCAGUGAUCACUUUUCGUUCUCUCUCUCUCUCUCUCUCUCUCUCUCUCUCUCUCUCUCUGGUCUGACUGCUGAUAUUUCAGUAAUCGUGUUAAUUGCUUUACGAAUCUUCGGUUUUGAGAUGGAAUAUAUGCUAUCUAAGCUUUAUGAAUCUUCGGUUUUGAGCUGGAAUAUAUGCUGCUACUCAGAUAUUUUUAUGACUUGUGCAUGUUAUGUACUAUGUUAAUAUUACUCAAAUUGCUUUCCUGAUCCUUUUUUAGUUUCUGUUUAUGUGAAUCAAGAAAGGUAUUGCUUACUUAAUAUUGCACGUGUUAGCAUCUCUUUCCUCCUCCUGAUACACACAUCUGAGUGCAGAACUUGUACAACACUAAUGUCCGGAAGUUCAUAGUCAUGGGCCUAGCACCGAUCGGCUGCACCCCUCACUACCUGUGGCAGUACGGAAGCAUAAAUGGCGAAUGCAUCAAUGAGAUAAACAAUUUGGUGGUCGAGUUCAACUAUGCCAUGAGAUACAUGGUACAACAACUCAGCAGCGAGCUCCCGGAUGCCAUGGUCACCUUCUGCGAUGCCUUCGAAGGGUCCAUGGAUAUACUAAAGAACCGUGAUCGCUAUGGUAAGCACUGGUAAUUGAAUUAAGAACAACCGGGCAAAUGCAAUUCUUCUUUUUUGAAAUCUUUGCCAAGACAAACUUUUAUAGUGUUUUAUAGUCAGGUGGAUACUUCCAUGAAAGCAGCAUCACACUUAUUUUGUACCUGAGGAAUGCUUUAAUCAAGGCCGAAGACUACAGCAGCUCUUCUUAGAGAUUUUAAGGACUAUAGGCGCAAUUUACCUAGGAACAAUUUGAAAAUGCCCUGCCUUAAAGUAGGUCUUACAUUGCUUAGUUUGUGCAGGUUUUCAAACGACAACAGAUGCUUGCUGUGGGCUGGGCAAAUACGGAGGAUUGAUCAUGUGCCUGGUACCUGAAAUGGCCUGCAGUAAUGCAUCAAAUCAUGUGUGGUGGGACGAAUUCCACCCCACAGAUGCAGUGAACCGGAUCAUAGCAGAUAAUGUGUGGUCAGGGGAACACGCCACCAUGUGCUAUCCCAUGAAUUUGCAGGAGAUGACCAAACCCAAGCUCUAGUGUUUCUCUUGUGGUUAAGUUUUUGAUGGACAUUCAUUCACCUGUACUGUUUUCAACUCUGAUGCAGCCAUGUAGGUUGCUAUGGCAAAGGUGAAGUUCAAGAAUACUUAUUCUGAGAAAAGUUAAACAAAGUACAUAUAUUGCAAAGAAUAGUAUACAAGCAAAUUCCAGUUUACAAUGUGCAAUACAAGUAAAUACCUUCUUUUCUUGUUCUUAGUAAACAGGAUAAAAGGGGCAUGCCAAACUUGCCUAGUUUUGUAAUUAGAGACAAUGCAUAUGUAAUACAUGAAAGGGAGACUUUAUCACAUCUUAUGCAACAUGUUGUUGUUGUUUUUUCUUUCUUCCUACCCUUUUCCUAUUUGAAAGAUGAAUUUCUUGAUUAUUGUGGCGAUUAUAAAUAAUAAUUAUUUGUUCAGUGUUUGCUUUUAUUGAUCCAUUCUUUUCUGUUUUGUUUUUUUUUUCCAAAAAAAAAAAAUUCUGCUUACUAAUUGCUAUAGUAUGGUACUAGCAUGAUAAUAUUUGUUAAUACAUUUAUACACAAAUUAUUAUGCAAAAUACAAGUUACAAUAUUUGUACUCAAAUGCCACAAAUCAGAUCAAAGCCUUUAAAGUAGCUCCAACUUUAUCACAAAAUAUCACAACUCUAAAAGAAUAGAAAAACAACUAUCAGCAGAUUCAGCACUUUUUAGGGAACCACUCCAAAGUAAGUCUUAAUUUGUUUCCAACUGCUUUUUCCUUCGCAAUACAAACUCACCGCAAUCUUUCUAGUCUCUGUUCAGUGGUAUCUAACAAGUCGCAGAAUUGGUGUUCAUCUCGUACUAGUUGAUGAGCUCAAUGCGUAUCCUUGAAGUCGGCCUCCUUUGGAUUGUACUGUUACUGAAUGCAUAGCAUCACUGCCGUUAUGAAGUUAAUUUUGAGUACUGAGUUUACAUGGAAUUGCCAGUUCUCUGAGCUUAAUAAAGUGAAAAGAAUUUUUCUCUGUGCAAGAAGUAGAAAUUCACCGUUCUUGCAUAAGAAAUGUAGAAAAAGUUCCAUGACUUUUCAGUCAAGUAGGUAACUAUAGAUCUUCUUCAUCAAGUUCAGAGUUCACAACAAAGCUGGGAAAUACCAUCGUCAUAUCCCUGAAAUUUCAUGUUGUUUGUGUCAGAAAAGAGUGAAACUUGGCAAUUUGUGACGGCAUUGAGUGUGGCGACAAAUCAAGUAUUAUCAAGCAUGAAGAUGUACUCUGAAUAUAGUCGCAAAUUUUUUUCCUUAAAAUAUCAUACAAGUUGAUCCAGAGAUAAUUAAUGAGCUCCCAGUAAAAUAACGGUGAGAACGAUAGUCAUUUAGGGUGUUAUAGACAACAAAAUUCUGUUUCUGAUAAUAAGAGAUGCAUCCACUUAGAUAUAUUAUUUUAAAUUGCAGCUCUUUGUUCAUGUUGCACUUUAAUCUUCAAAAAGAUUCAGUUACCAUGAAUUUCCGCCUUUAACGAACUUAUCGGGGGCUACAAAGUAAGAGAUAAAAGAAGUACAAAACAUAAAAAGGAAAAAAAUUUGAAACUUACUUUAGGUAUGGAAGAGUCAUAUUCUUCAGCAAAGCCGGGUUUUGACUAACAAAUUCUUUCCAUUCGUCAGGAUCGAUCCUUCCAUCACCUUUUGAAUCAGCUUGGGAAAAUGUCUAUCACCAUACAAAUUAACAUAAACGAAUCAAUCAACAAAAAAACUUAGAGAUGCAUACAAAAAAUAUCGUAUGAGAGUUUGAAAAAAGAUGUAGCAAUUUGAAAGCAAGUAUUGUUUACCUUCUCAACAAUUACUUCAACGACGUCAUCUGAAAGGUGUAAACCAGAUUCAUCUAGGAGAGCAAGAACCAUCUCCUUCAACUGAAAAAUAGUCAAAUAUCAACAAAUCCACAUCCAAAUGGCUUCAUAAAUCUCCAACAAUGUAAAUAGUGUCAGAAUUUAACUUAGAAAAUGAAUAUUUUCAUGACAGCUUUUGAGCUAUGAUCUAGAUUGAUGUUAACCAUGGGGCAAGGUUAAUCUGAAUAAUGGUACACCACUAAUGCUAUUAUGCUCCUAAACAGUGUUAGAAUGAUCCAGAAGAAGAGUAAAAGAAAAUAUAUACAUACCUCAUCGCGCUCAAUGUAGCCAGUGUGUCUCAAAUCAUACAAUUUAAAUGCAACUGAAAAAAGGAACAUCCACCUCCUAUUAGGAGAGUUGUAUGAGAUAACAAGUCGAAAUUCCGUAGCUACUAAAUAAGAUAGAGCUCAUUUUAUGAAUUUAAUAUGUAUAAAGAUCCAAUAAACAACCACAGGAAACUCGGUCCUUGAACUUCUAAAGGCGACAAACAGCAAAUCAAGAACUCCAGAUAAAUUUUAAAACUUUGAGAAGCGUAGGUAUAGCAAAAAAUAUUAGGAAAAUGGAAGAGUGAGCAGUUUCUUACAAGCAAUUUUCUCUUCCGUCGGUGUGUCUGGGUGGAAGACGUUGAGGGAUCGAACAAAUUCUCCAAAUUCUAUAACCCCAUUUCUUUUGAUAUCAAACAAGUCAAAUAUCUGCAAUCAAAGUAUCAGCCAUUAAUUAUUUCCUAUAACCAUACUUGUCAAAAUUUUCACAGAAAGUUAAAUUGAUUUUGACAAAAUGUAAAUUUAAAUGAUAUAAAUAGAUUGUGUUGCGCUUUAGAAUUUGCGACUUUCGCACUGUAAAUUUCAAGGUCUUUUUGAACAUCCCAAGUUUACCGUCCAUUAGCAAAUGCACCAAACUCUAACCAAAUGCGAAAAGAUAACUGACCCUGUCUGCGAAGAGAUUCUUUCUCUUGCUAUUCUUGAAGAGAGCGAGUUGGAAUUCUUCCUGACAAGGAAUAAGUCGUUACAAUUUACCUUUUAUUAGCAAUCGGAAACCAUGAGCUAAAAUUGAGCAUGGCUUGUAACAUUUAAAUUUGACAGCAAAGCUGAGGAUGUACCUUGUGAAUCAGACCAUCUUUAAAUAUUGAAUGGCUUAGCUUUUUGAAUAGCUCAUACAAAGCUUCUACUUCGCACACAGAAACUGCAAAAGUUGCGAGCUUGUUUAGCGGUUAUGCUGAUGCUUGCUCAAGUGAAAGAGGUAGUAAAAUAUCCCUUAUAUUAUACUCAAACAGUGACUACCAUUUCAAUUUACACACCAUGUAUUCAAGAAAAUCUCUGCCAACCUAAAUUCGUAAAGCUUCAGUCUCAACAGUUUCAGUUAAAAUGAUAGUUUCAGGUUUCGGUUUGAGAUGCCGUUGAUAAGUCAUUGCAUUUUAAAACAUAUCAAAAAUAGAUAUAGAGUAAUUGGACUAUCAGAAUAAAACUUGAUUCAUAAUAUUCUUCAUGCCGAAGUGAUACAUUAUGCCACUUUAAUGAUAUAUAUCAAAGAGAUCAAACUUGUCUCAAACCUAAGCUUUUCAACUUCAAAAGCCAUGUUAGGAGGAAGCAGAGAGACUCACAAGAAGUUUCCGAAGCCAGAACAGUAGGAUCCUCAUAUCCGGGUGUAUGUUUCGCUAGUUUCGUAGGUAUGCAGCCCAUAAACUACUCAAAGAUUUUACAAACUCAAAACAUUGAAGAACUGUUAACGUAAAGGUUCAGAUGCUAACUUUUCAACCUGCAUAGCAGAAAAGGAAUGGUGAAAGAUAUGUAAGCACGGAAAAUAUGUACUAUUUAUUGUAUAUGUGCUAAACUCUUGAACUACAUCAUCUGGAACCUGAGAAAGUGCGCAAUGACAAAUAAUAAUAGAAAUGACACUACUCUAAAGAACAAUUGCAAGCACAGAGCAGAAAACAUUAAAAAGAAACAAAAAAAAGAAGGUAUAUAUCUUACAACUAAAAAGGAAAUCAUAGCAAAGUAGAUUUGGAAACCUAAGGGACUAAACCUACCUUAGAUUUUGUACAAAUGAUAUCCCUCUUCUCUCAAAUUUUCUCAGACACAAACCCCUUUUCCUUUAUAUAAAGAGAGAAAGAAACAAGGAAGGAAUCUCCUAAAACCUUUGACUAUUAUUUUAUGUGGCAAUGAUUGUAGCAAAAACAAUACACUAUUGUUCUUUGAGGUAUUUUAAAUUAGUUAGAACAUAGAGAUAAACAAGUUGAAUUAUUUGACAAGUGAUGUGGGUAUGUAUAUUUUAUGAGGGUAGGGCCUAUAAAACCAUGUAGUUUUGCUAAUGAUUUUUUAUGCUUAAAAUUUGAAACUGCUAAGUUGCUCUUGUGGCAGACCUUUCCAGAAGAUGUAGUCUGUCUGAUAAGCCCUCUCUGCUAUUCUAUUGAAUACAAAUUCCCAAGAAACCUUUUUCACUCAAUCUGAUAUACAAAGCAAGUUACCAUUUUGAGAUAUGUUAUUGCUGUUAUUACUAUCAUUUUAAAGGAACUUGCUUUUGAUUGGUGUCGGAACCAAUGCCGUAAAAACCGGUUCAAGUCAAGCCGCUUUGAAUCGGUCGAACCGUGAACCAGUAUCUGGAAUGGUCUGACUGACAUGUAAAACCUUAGAACUUAAGAUAUCUGCAUUAACUGUUCGAAUCGGUAAUAUAACCUGUAACCAGACUAACUCUUCAAGUUUUGAUUAGACCAAACAGCUUUCUAACUUAUGCUCAAUACUAAAUCAGAAGGUUGAAAAACACUAGAAUGAUAGAUUAGGUUUUCAAGAGCAAAGGUCAAAUAUUUUGCUUAGUUUAUAACCAAAUAGAAUUACAUGUUUUACUACUUCACUAAUAGACACUUCUACGUUGAUAAUUAAAACUAAUAACAUUAUGCUAGUUUUAUUGAUUUAACUAGCGGUCGAAUCACUGAAACUUGAACUAGUAACUUUAUCCUCUUAAUCCAAGAGUUACAAACCUACAAACACCAAUGACUUUGUACUUUUAAAAGCACAAGAGCUUAAUUCUUUAUAUAUAUAUAUAUAUAUAUAUAUAUAAUUUCAAAAUGUUUGGUUUGAAGCAUGAAAAAUUGUUAAUUCACCGAGAAAUAUGCAGUAGAAAUUGAGAAAUUCAAGGGGAAAAACCAAAACAGAGUAUAAAAAAUGGAGAAUUUAAGAAGUUAAAACUUACAUAAACCAAGUUGUUAGGAGGUGAUAUCAGCUUUGAUCGUUUCAACAAUUUGAAUUUUGGAGCGUCGGCACGCCUCUUACGUUAAUUUGACUUCAUCUAAUUAUUUUAAUUUAUUUUACUGCAAUAAUUUCACUAACAAAUUCUAUACCCAAUGAAAUCUACGUAAUAUACUAUAAGAUUGUGUUUCUCAACAUGCUGGCCAUAUGCAUACUUGUACCACGUGAAUAAAUUUUAAAAUGUUACGUGGGCAAUUGUAACAUUCUAUAUGCAAUAAUCUAUAUUAUUAUCACAAAGAGAAACCAUGUAAAUUAUUUUAUAUCUUAUUUUAAAACUUUACAAAACCCCCACCGUAUAAAUCAAUUUCAUCCCACCAACUCGUGGUACAAAAUAAAACAUUCUACUAGUGUAUUCGGUGCUUCGGGUUUACAAUAAAACGUUGUAAUUAAAGAUUUGAGCCUUAAUAAUGAUUCAGGAGUCACGUGAUUACUGCAUGAUUAGUCUAAAUGACAUUUGAGGACCAUAUCACUACUGCAUACUAAAAUAAAAGUAAUACGCGAGAAAAUAUUAUGAUCUUAGUUGCAGAAUGGUAAAGUGGGAACAUUGCUUAGAAAAUCUUAUGACUAUCUAUCAUAAAAAUCUCAUUAAUAGGUUAUAUCUAACCCAACUACAAAAAUGUACCACCCAUGUCAUAUUUAUGAUUUUUCUGUGCAUUAUUCCCACCUGUCAUCUUUGUCAUAAAAAUAAUGUGUAGAUUAAUUAACGAGCAGCCUAUAUAUAAUGGCAAUAAUUGCACAUAAGUCAACAUUUAAAUGCAUAUAAAGUACGCAAACCACGUCUAAUCAUCACAAUAUACUAGCCCAAUCAGAGUCUACAUGUUUUGAUAAUAACUUAGCAUUUUGACCACAUCUGAAAUUUGAUAUGUAUAAAUCUAUGUACAAUCUUCUAUGGAACAAAAGAAAAGAACAUAAUAAAAAUGGGAGCACACUGUAGCCACCACUAGGAGCUUAAUAGCAUGUGGAAUGGGAAAUUAAUGCUUGUUGUCUCAGGAUGGUGCCCUGGUACUCUGAUGGGUACCGUCGCCACCAUGUUGGUAGGAUUUAUAACUCAAUGCACAAAAAACUUCAUAUAAUGACUCGAAUACAGUCCAAUACUGAUGAACAAUAUGAUAAUACCAUAUGCAAAAAAAAAGCCCUAACUUAAUCGUCUCCAUAGUAGCUAUAACUUGAUGUGCACGAUAUUUGAUGUGACGACUCAAAUGCAGCUGGACACUAAUGAGCCACAUAUUAAUAAUGCUCCAGGCAUGGUCAGUGAAUAGCCUUCCUCGGAAUUGAACUGUCCCAAAAUUGCACCAUAGAACCCCAUACUAGGACCUAGAAGAUAAUGGAAAUUCUCAGGUACGUCAUAAAUGAUCCCCUUUACGUACACUGAAUUGCAUAUGUAAAUUUCCCUCAUCUGAAAAUCUCAUAUAGGGCAUACGAAGCACCAAAGGAAUUAUUCAACCGGAAAAGGAAAAAAAAACAGAGAAAUAUACAUUUUACAACUGUGCUGUAAAAGCUGCAAAUUCUCUAUCUGAGCAAUAUCUAAGUUGCACUACUACAUUUCAGGCAACUGGGAAGCAAAAGUUGGCGUUCGGUGGCUUGGAUCUUUAAUGAAACCACCAGAAGAUUUAGCUACUGUGAUUUUUAUGGUAUUGCAAACUAGAGAAAAUUGUUUUGGAUUAGUGUUUUCAACUCUUCCAGUUUCUUAAUGAUCUUUGGAUUCAUCAAAUCCCGUGCUUCCUUUAUAAGAGAGCCUUCUCUGCUGAAGUUGUAUGCAUCCACUACAGUUCUUAUCCAAGUGUGCAAUGCUUCUGGUGUUCUGCAAACCAGAGAAAUAUCUUCAGCUAACUGUUCUUUUUUAUAAAAAAAAUAAGAAGUCAAAUUACAGAGGACUUCAGAGAGCAUAAAAAAUCUGCAUAUGAAAUUCACCACAGCUUACGUGUAUAAGUAGUCCACAUUCUUUUCUUGUAAUUCAUCGCCAGGAAUAAAUGCAUCUCUUAGCGCACUCAAUCGUUCCUCAGGAUCCUCAAUUGUAAGGAGAUACUUGAGUAUUCUGAUCUCUUUCGGCAUAAGCCUUUGAAGGUUGCCAACUGCAGUCUUGUACAGAUGAUACAAUACAUCCUUUACCUGCAAAAUUUUUGUAUCGAAUAAAGCCAAACAGGUUUAUUUUCUCGUACCAGCGAACUGGAAGAAAUGCUACUAAGUAGCAAUGGAUCAAUCAAAAUUCUCACAAAUAAUCUCCACAUUUCACUAUUCUCAAGUAGCCAGGUUAUAGUUGAUGUAUCUGCACUCUGUCAAAAAUGUUUUGCACACCAAUGGUCCUUAACAUUUUGACGUAAAUUGCAGUUUAAAACCUAACCGUUCAAUCAUUACAAUGAGAUCCCUAACAUCUGCAUUUCAUCGCAAUCAAAGCUUUGUCUAACUGCCAUGUAAGUGAUUUUUGGACUACAAAGAAAUGCAAAGAUUAGGAACUCGCCUGCAAUAAACAAAUAUUGGGUACCCAAUAAGCCAUGAUGGGAAUUUGCAGCUAACUAUGCCAUCAAUACUCUCUAACAAUUGAGUUGUCCCCGGUCAUUAUUUUACCUCAUCUUUCAUCAUAUUGGAUUCUUUGGCAGCCGACCAAGCUUUAGUAAGCAUCAACAUUAGUGCAGAAUCAAGUUCCUUCUUCUCGGCUAAAUCGUCUAUCUUUCUACAAGCAGCAUCUAAAGAAGGUGAAUUGACAAUAUCCUGGAGCUUCAACUCAGCAGCAUUCAAGGCCUCAAUGCUUUCUGAUGCAUUGUCGUAUGCUUGUACAGCGGCUAGACAAACAUUCCCGAGAUUUGCCAACUCUGAGAGGAACGAAUAAAUAGUCGAGUAUUAACUCCCAUCAAACUAGAAAAAAUAAAAUAUUGAAAAUACCGAAGAGCUAAGAGGCAUCUAAAAGACAAAUUUAUGGUUUAUUGUCAAUGUGAAAUUUGAUUUAGUAGUUGACACUCUAUAUUGGUUUGUAAAGAACUUUAGUGCCAAAAAACUUGAUAAUUCACAGUGUUCACAUGUAGUAACAACAAGCUUACAAUAAUCUACAAUCUGGAUUUGCAUGGUCAUAAGACUCAUAACUAGCGGUGUAUUUUCCUCAGAAUAGAGAUAACUAUAUCACAAGAAGUCAUAAAUUGAAAGUUUCAUGAACGAAGCAUGAAGUUAAGCAUCUCUUACCAUUUUGCUUUUCUGGAUUUUCAUAAUAAGAUUCUGCAACAGUAUGGAGAUGCACAAAGAAUUCCUUUGUGAAAUCUUUACAGCGCUUAGCAACAAUAGAAUUAAUUUCUGACGGUGCCCCCUUGACUACUGCAAGAAGUUCAUUAUGCCUUUGCACAUCUUCAUCUAUCUGACAUUAGUAAAUAAAAAUCAAAUGACCUACCACUAAUACACUACAAAUAUAAAAGUAAGGAUGAAUAAGAAAAACACUAUUCAUCCAUUCACCAAAAAUAAGUGAACUAGGCUUUACAAAAUUCUUAGAAAAGAAUGGAUACCUCUUUGAGUUUCCUACCAAGUCGGAGAAGCUUAUGCCUCAUUUCUGGAUCAACCUCAGCAUCAGCUCUUUCCUGGCAGCGUUUAAAGAAGUGUGGUCUGAUGUUGUCCCAUUCUCUGCUGAAAGCCAAUAAUCUUCUCCAGUCAGUUGUUGUUGGCUUGUCAACCAUGAAUACUUCAAUUAGUUUGUCGCAAAUCCUUAUCAUUUUAGAGUCGUCCAUAUAUCUUUCGUCAGCUUCCACAUCUAUUUUUUCCUGAUUAUCUUCAGAUGAAUUUUGAUUUGGAGUCGCAUUUCCAGAGAACAUUGAGCUUGACAGCAAGUCUUCACCAAUGUCACUAGGAACUGCCGUCGCAUCACCAACCGCUGCAAGAGAUGAGGAAUUCGACCGGGAAAAACUAAGAGAUGCAUGACCUAACAUCCAAUAUCAGUUACAUCUAUUAUGUUACAAAUGGAUUGUUCUUAACUUCAUAAAUGGAAAAAAAUAAAUAAGUAAAUAAAUAAACAAGUAGUGCUGAAGCACUAAUAACCAAGUUCAUAUACAAACUUUGAUUUCCUCUUUUCAAAUAUUACCACACAAGUAUUAAAUUACUCGACCUCCAUUUAUAACUUCGAAGACCUUUCAAAACACUCUUAUUCACGAUCAAUCUUGCUCCCAAUAGAUCAAAAUUCAUGUAGCAAAGAAAAGUUUCGCAUCAAAAUCACAAUUACACAUCAAACCCUCAAAUUAAGAAGGAAGUAGCGAAUCAAAGCAGCCAUAUAUACAAAGCGAGUACGGAGCUAAAGAUAACCACGCAUCAAUCAUCUUCAACCAUCAAAUCAGAGGAUGAAGAGUGUUGGUAUUACCUCCAGGAUCGAAGGAGGAAGAACAAGCUCCGCCGCAGCUGCGCAGAAGCACUUUUCGGGGGGAGCUUCUUGUAGAAGGGAAUCGACACGAAAGGGUUCGCGAGAAAAGGGGGUUUCGGAGUGGAGGGGGGCAGAAUCGUAGGGGAAGAGAGGGUCGGAGAGCGGAGGACGACGCCAUUGCCAUGGCCGACUCCGUUGGAGCUUCCUAGGGUUUUACGUACGGGCUCCUCUUCGGAGCUUCGAGAAAGUAAAAUCCCGCCGCCAUUGCGCUCUCACUAUUUUCUUCUUUUUUUUUCUUUUUUGUGGGACUUUUUGCAUGUUAGUCCCUCAAUCUUUUACCAUUAAGACUAAGUGACGAUUUUUUCUUUCGGGCAAUAAAAAUUAUAAAAAAAAAUUACAAAAUUUCGAGAUAUUUACAUGCAACAAAUAAAGAUUCUUGUUGAGCACAAUACGUACUACUUAUUUAGCUGCAAUUUUGGCUACCAUUACUGUACAAAUACCAAUGCCCUUGAAAAUUGCUCUGCGAGUCCCCUCAAAUCCACAAAAAUAUGUGAAGCCACACGAAACCAAUCCAAAAUAAUGCAUGUUACAUGUACAUUCUCAUCCAACAUUACAGAACAACUACAUGAAUACAUGACACAACUAUUGAAAUUGAAGUCCCCUAUUUUCUCGUAUUAAAUUUCACAAUGUUGAGGAACCUCAAAUCAUGUAUCACUUCAUCCUGUGCAUAAGCAGUCUCCUUUUCCAACAGAUAUUGACCAUUUCUUUGCUUAUCUAAUUGCUACUCAUCAGCUUCCAUAAUCAUUUGUAAGAAAAAUAAAUCAAAAUCAAAAUCAAAACAAAAAAACCAUUCAUUAAGUUGCAGCCUUGAAAGUGGAAUAAUUCCUUCCCGAUAAUCUUAUGUAGCAACAAGUGCAGUUCGGGUUAGACGAAGAGCUCAUAAUGUACUCAGGAUUUAGUUGACUUUAUUAGUACUGCUCUUGAUCUUCUGCAAAGUGUCAAACACAGUUCAGUACAGCUUCGAAGGAUAAGCACGGCUAUUGCCCACUUGAGCGAAAAAAAAAGGAGGAAAAAGGAGAAGGAAAAAGAUUAACAAAAGAUGCAGUACGAAAAACGAAAGCAAAAACAUUACCCUUUGGCAGAUCUGUCAGCAGUGAUAACACCCUUCAGUAAUGUACGUGCAUCGACUGAUCUCUCAUGCAUGAUCUUGUCAUGGUAUAUCUUGCUUCCGAUUUCUGUUAUUUCCUCCUCUACCUCUUCCAAUGUUUGGUCCACAUUGAGUGUUAUCUCCCCUUUUCUUAUCACCGUAACACUAAAUCCGCCGGCUUUAGCAUCCCUGAAAGCAUCCUGCAUGGCGCGCUCGUGACGGUUAGUCUCAGGUGUAAGCCAUGUCAAAGUGUACUACAUUGAAAUUUACAAUAUAUACAGUCAAAACUUACUGGCAAAAAAGCAGUUAAAUUUGAGAAGUUUGAGAGGCCCUAAAUUCUGAAUUAAAAGGAAUCAAACAAGCCAUCAAUAUAUCUCUAGUUAACUGCAUCAUUUGAAAACAACAGGUUAUGAGUAAUUACCUUUGGUGGUCUAGCAACUACGAAAGCUUUCCCACUUCCAAGCAUAUCCAUAUGCGCCUGAACAAUGUAGCAGAAGUUCUUAGAAUCUCCCGGAUCUUCAAAAGCAAUCACAUGAUACUGCUUUGGAUCCAAUUCAAGAUCGGCAGCCAUCUCUAGAGAAUAAAACCCCACUCUCGGAACAUCUUCCUCAACUGUGUACAGUUCUAUACACUGUAGAAUAACAAAUUGUGAAAUAAUCAUAUCAAGAGUCCAAAUGCCGAAUAGCAAAAACAGAAAAAAGAGAGACGGAAAAAAAAAUGUACAUACACCUAAACUUAGUUUGAUUUCACUGUAUCUUCAUCAGAACUCAAUUUUGUUCAUAAAUAGUUUUGAGGAAAUAUUCUAUAAUCUAGUACUACUUGAAAGAACAGGAUGAAGAGGUACUAAAGACAAAAUUAAGAAAAGGAUAGGUUCCGAAAAAGUUUAGGUCAGUUGUUCAGGUGCCGAUUUCAAUUUGAUUUAUACAUUUUUAACCAAAACAAAGAAAAGCUAGAAUGACAAAAAGAAUACGAUAUUAAAGGAUCAAUUAAACCAUUUACCAGUACAAAUGGAAGAUCUAACCACGAUAGAUAAUCUUCUUCUUUCUCAUCAGAAUAUUCUUUGUAUUUGCUAACCACCGCUUGGGCACCAUACUUUUCCACCUCUCUUUUUAGCUUGUUCAUCUUUUUCUCUAUAUAUCUCCGCUUCCUUUUGGGAAUUUUUGUCAGUAAAUCCGUGGCAUCCUGUAUUUCUUUCUCUGUGAUCCAUCUAUCUAAAUCCUUUCCCAUAUUUCUCAUGAUGGAUUUGACCUCUGGAUCAGUCUCAGCAUUAUAAACUUCUAAGAAACCUUGAGACCAUUUCUUCGUAUGUUCCCAAUGCUCCUUUCCUCCUUUUUUACCUGGUCUAGUACUACCAUCACUGCACUCUAUAAGUGUCUUGGUUUUCUUCGAAGAUUCGCCAACGGACUUCUUUAAACUAUUAUCAACUGAAGCAUUAGGAGAAGGGAUGCUAGAUUUUGCUAAACCCUCCACUUUGGAAAGACUGCUUUCGGUUUCCUUUUGCUUAAGCUUUUUACUAAGAAAUUCAGGAUCCUUAUCAAAAGAUGGUCCUUUCCAAUAGGGAAUUAUUUUUUCAGGUGGAUCGUCCAAGCUAAUGCCAUCUGUUAAACAGAAAAUAAAAAGAACGAGCCUUGUAAUUCUACUAAAUGAUAAUGAUUUUUGUCAAAAACAGUGAUGAAAUGUUAGCUAUUUGCUCUAAAAUAUAUUAAACAGACCAAUGAGACGAACAGCUAGAAGAUAAUGCUAGAAAUAUAAUUAUUAGGCCACUGUAUGCAAGAUAACAAAUUAUACAGCAAAUCAGAAUCAACAAUAUACCUGCUCCAUAGUCAAGAUUUUCGAUCCUGGAAUGGUAAUACUCAUGCAGUGGCAAUAGCCUUUCAUUGACCAUCUCAACUUUUCUUUCUAAGCCUUCAAAGAAGGCACGCUUAUCAGUAGCAUCCAUCAUAUGAAAAGGAUCCCGCCCAGCCAAUUCGUUCUCUCGAACUUGAAAUACAAUUUCUCGAAGACUCUCAUCAUUCAUCCAUUCAAGUUCCUCACUCUCCAAAGCUGAUCCCAUUUCAUUUACAACAGCACUUAAAGAUAACUCCUCUUGUGCCUUAUCUUUUGCCAGCACGUAAUUUUCCUUGAACCCAACGCGCAUUUUUUGGAUAAUAGGGUUGAAUUCCUGGAAAUUCUUUUCAAUCCAACUCUCUUCACUCAUUAAACUUUUCCCUGUUUUAACAUUAGGACCAUUCAGUUCAUGCUUGUCCUGAGAGCCAUUUAUCACAGUGCUAACAGAAUCUGAUUUUCCUGUUUCCCCAGAUACAUCAACCUCAUCUGGGUGACUGUUAUUUUCCUUCUUCUCCAUGUUGCACACCCUUGAAGAAUCAACAGAUGAUAAAGAAAAAUCAUUAGUCUUGUCAAACUCAAAGGAUGGGCCCACUUCAUUCUCUAUACACGCUGCCCAGUCCUUUCUAGCAAAUUUAUUGCCAUUGAUUUCAAGUUCACGAUAAUCAACUGGAUUUUGGAGGCUUUUCUCUUGUUUUUCCUGGUCAGAUUGCCUUUCAACUAUUAAAUCAUCCAAGUCUUGAGAACUACUAAUAGAUGAGGAUUCAUUGGUAGUGACAUUAUGAAUGGAACUUCUGUGUUUACCAUUCAUAGUCUUUGUUGGUGAAGAGUUCGACAUAGAUUGAGGAUCCCAAGAUGAGGAUGUACUAUUUUCCUCGGUAAGAAAGGAAUUAGUCGAUUUCCGAUCAGAUGUAUCAUUUAGGAAGUCAUAUUUCUUCCUUUCGACUUGAGAAGAAUCAUUUGCAGUCGAUAAAUCAUUGAAACAAGAACCUUCCCUUAACUUCGUUUCAGCAGUAUAAUCACAACUAGGCUUUUUUGGAAGAAAAGCAGCUUUAUCAUCAAAUGAAUCUGACCCGAGUGUUGUUUUCUUGGCCCCAAGUACAUCGGUCGUAGACCCAAUCAUGUCAGCACUCUGUACAAGCUCAUCACUUACCUGUGAUUUAUUCAAUUUAGUCCUACGCUUCGUAGCUAGAUAUUCCCUCGCUUCCUUGACGGAGCUUAUGAUUCUCGGCUUAAUUUUCACAGAUUUUUUGCUAGAAGUACCAGAUGAGCUUUUAGAUUUUCUAUUUUUUGAUUUGGAACUUCUCAUUUCAUUCUUUCUAAUUUUUUCUUCAUUUGUUUGAACAAUGAAAGACGAGGUGCCAGCAUCCUUAUAAUCAGUGGAAUGUUCUACAUCAAACCCACUAUUUGCUUUCUCUUUGGUAUCAAUCUCUUCAUCCGUUUUUCGAUCAUCCACUUUUGUAUCGAUAAUAACUCUCUUGUCACAAAAUGUGUUCGAUAGUUCUCCUUCAGGAAUAAUACUGCGGUUAUUCAAAGAUUCUUCUUCAAGCAUUCCUUUGUUAUUCAUAUCCACCGAAGACUUCAUAUCCUUCUCUAUUCGGCCCUUGUGCAAAAUGGUUCGAGACAUGCUAACAUCAUCAGAUGCUUCUUUAAGAGCUUCAACUUGAUUAUCAUUUUGGUUUUGAUUUUCUCUUUCUAAUUCAUGAACCUUUUUAACCAUCUCUCUUAUUUCCUUUAUCUUAUCAUCAUUCUGAAAACUCGCAUUGGAAUGACUAGGGAUCAAAUUCUCUCUUAAUACCUCGGUUUGCUUAAUGCUUUUUAUUAGCUCACUCCUAUCUAACUCUGGCCUUCUUAGGGAAGCCACUGCCAACUCCGGCACAUCCUGGAGUACUUUGACACUUCCCUUCUCUAACUCCUCUCGUUUCAUCCUUGACAUUUUCUUUCUCCUCAGCAUCUCAACCUCUUCUCUACUCAACUCCACCUUAUCGUUCCCCACAAUCAAUUUUUUCAUGACCCAGAACACGCAGCAACCACAUAACAGAGCGAACCCAACUUGAGGGGUAAUCUUCAAAAUUGACUCGCCUUUUUUAGCGAUAAAUACCAACCCCUCUGCAAAAGACGAGUUUUUUCCCUCAACUACAUACUUAAAAAUUGAGCUACUUUUCGGGAGCAUGUAUUUCCCGCUCUCAAUAUCUUUCGCGAUAACUUUUGCACAAGAUAACUUAGAAUUCACACCUGCGAACUCUUCCCCAGCUCGCUUCGAUUCAAAAGACCAUGCUCCGAUUCGGCUCCUUUUAACGAUUUCUUCCUCAUUCACGACAACACGCGUAACAUUCGCGUCCGAAUCUUUAUAUACAGUAAAAAUAGGACCAGUUCCAAUUCCCCAGUACUCAGAAUCGUCCUUAUACUGAUUGAUCCAAUUCUCCAAUUUAUCCCACAAAACUGAAUCUUUAUAACUAUUUCCAUUUCCCAACCUAUCAUUUUCCACAAUGUCCUUCUCUGUACCCAAACCCAAAGUAGGCCCAACCUUUUCCGCUAACUUAAAAUCAGGAUUAAACAGUUCAGGAGCUCUACGAACCUGGUCCUCAUUUGAAGGAACGAUCUUCUCCCUCAACGUGUUCCGACGCCGAAGGGGCCUCCGGAAUCGCGCCGAAACAGGUCCGAUCCCUCGCCGAGAAGCGGCCAAAGGGGUCCAAGAUCGGUUUUUUAAGAGGAAAAUGGAGUCAUUUGGGGAUUUCCUUAGUGGGUUGUUCUUAUGGAAGCUCGAGAAGGGGGAACUGAUCGUUGGAGAGGAGAUUUUGCAGAAAAAAUUGGUGCUUUCGAGCACAGGCGAGGUGGAGAUAUCCAUGGAUUGGAGAAACAACAGAGAAAAGAUAUUGGGAGAGAGGAUUUUAUAUAGGGAUUUAGGGAACGAGAGGAGUGGGAAUUGGAUUAGGAGUCGCCAUGGCGAAGGGGAGUAGAGGGGAAAUGGGGAAAAGAACAAAACCUAAAGAGGCGCUUAAACCCCGGAUAAAUCCUCUUCGAGGACGAAGGAGAUUGGACCGGACGAAGCACUGACGGAGAUUCCGACCCGGGAAAGCCCGGUCUAGUUGAACCAGUCCCAUCAUUUUAUUUUAUUUUAUUUUAUUUUUUUUUGUUGGAAGAAUCACCUUUCUCAUUUAUAUAAUCUUUUCACAAAGCUAAACUGUUUUUUUUUUUUAAUACAUAAAUACGGAAAUAUUCUUGGACUUUCAGUUCCUCAGAUUUUAAUUUUUUAAACUAAACUUAUCAAAUUUAUUUUUAAAUUAAAAUAUCAAAAUUUUAAUUUAAAUUAUUUUAAAAUUAAAUUUAGUAAAACUACUAUUAUAUGCAAAUAUUAAAUUUUUUUUGUCAGACAAGCUUUACAAAAUUACUUUAAAAAAAUCGUCUUUAUCUAAACUGAGCUAAACACUUUACAGUUUUUAACUAAAAUCAAUUCUCAGAUCAAGUCUGAUCAGGGCUGCUAAAUUAGAGAGCUGUUUAGAAGAUGAACCAGGAGAGUUAGUUGCGAUGAUAUGUAGAUCAGAUAGAACUGACAAGCUGAUUCUUGGAGAUUUUUAGUUAAAUGGAUUUGGGCGCAACAAGUCAAACCACAUUGGUCGAGUACAAAGCAGGAAAAAAGAAUGCCCACAAGGCCCAUCAAAGGCCCAUCAACCCCGCCAAAAAGCCCAGAAGGCUCUCCCACGACAACCGUUUCUUCAAAUCCGCGGGUAAUUAGAUUUUGGCGCGCUCUCCCUCUCUCUCUCUCUCUCUCUCUCUCUCUCUCUCUCUCUCUCUCUCUCUCGAUUAACCAUUACAUCUUCUUGAUGAUGGCGCCAACGGUGAAGGAGAAGGAGAUUAAGAACAAGAACAAAGAGAAAGAACAACGGGAUUGAAUAGAUCAUUUAAUUCGAACAGUCAAAGAUUUUAACGGUUGUCCAAAUCCGGGCUAAAAUUGAUGUAAAAAAAUUUAUAAUUAUUUGUAAAAAAAAAUCUAUAACAAUAAGAUUUUUUAUAGAGAUUUCCUUAAUCUAUUACAUUUAAAUAAUCGUAGAGAUUAAGCUUCAAGAUAAUUAAGUAUUGAUAUUUGAUUAUUACAACCUUAAGAUUGUUAUAAAGUUUUAAAGUUCAAAUAUAUAUAUAUAUAUGCUAUACCAUGAUGGAUUGGAAAAUUAAUUAAUUUGGACGGCAAAAGAUUUUAACGGUUGUCCAAAUCCGGGCUAAAAUUGAUGUCAAACAAAGAUAAUUAUUUGAAAGAAAACAUCACAAUAAAAUUGUUAUAGAGAUUUGCUUAAUCUAUUACAUUUAAAUUAUAGAGAUAAAGUUUUCAGAUAAGUAUCGAUAUUUGACUAUUACAACCAUAAGAUUCUAACAAAGUUGUAAAGAUCAAAUAUAUAAAUAAACUUUAUAUACGUAAUCUAUAUUUUAAAUUCUAGAGUUUAAUUUCGUAAACCAUAUAUUAUUAUUAUUAUUAAAUUUUUUUUGGAUACCCGAUAAUAUAUUUUGCUCUCUUACUUGGACUCGGACAAGCUUUACAGCAAUUCCAUCCAUCUCAAUCUAUAAAUAUAUCCAGGAGUUAUAUUUAAAUUUGAUCCCAUAGUUCUCGUAGUAGGGAACUAACUGCAUGUAAAUAUCGCCUCAACGUACGUAUAUUUAUUAGCACCUUCCUUCACGUUGUAGUGCAAAAAUUUCGUCGUCGUCGUCGUCGUCUCAAAUAAUCAUCAUGCUACACCACAUGCGCAUGAGGUGGAGAGAGGAGGAGGCGAAGAAGAUGGAGACGUCCACAGCCCUGUCAAGCUCUCAUCAAGAAGAGCCCCUUCCUGCGGAGGAGCCGCCGGCGAGUGAAGUUGCGGGGGUCGACGAGACCGCGCCGCGUUCGGAAGCAGCGAGAGCAGAAAAUCAAGAAACAACCCGCCGUCGCAAACGGAGUCGGAGGAGGAAGCGAAAGCAGAAGGCUCAGGAAGUAGAAGAACGCAACAAAAAGAAGGCGCCGAAAAGGAAGAAGGUGAAGCAAAUGACACCCGAAGAAGAGGUAAUUUUUUAUUUUUUUUAGAAAAAGAAUUGUAUGCUACUACUUUAUUCGUUUAGACCGUUUGAUAUGAGAACUAAACUUUGGUGCAUAAUUUUGGUUGUUCUAAUUAAUAGAGAAUAGAAGAUAUUUUAGUAUAUAUUAGAACAAUGGUAAAUUGUGUUGGAUGUAGGGAUGUUAACGGGUCAAGUUUGGAUCGGAUUUUCAAAAAUUCGAAUUCAAACCCGAAAAUCAAAUUAAAAUUCGAAUCCAGAUCCGAAUUCGGCGGAUUUUAAAAAUUCAUACCGUUGAAAGAAGAAUUAAGAAAUAAAAAUUAUUAAAUAUUUUAUAUAUUAUAUAUUAUAUAUUAUAUAAAUAAAUAAAAAUAAAUUAUGUGUAUAUAUAAGGGGCAAUUGCUUAUAUAACUUUGAAAAGUUCCCGACUUUCCGAUUUACCCCUCUUAGAAGGCUAAUAUUAAAAAUAUCCUUUAUAUGUUCCAACCUAUUUCUAAUGUACCCUUAGAGUUAAAAUCUGUUAUAAAAUUACUAUUUUGCCCUUUCAAUUAUAUCUUUCCACUAUCACUGACUUUCUUAUUUGCCCUUAAAGUAAGAGGCACAAAAAGUAUUUUUACUUUUGUCUUUUCCAAUAUAACUCUCUGCCGUCACCAACAUUUCUUAUUUGCUCUUAAGUUAAGGGCAAAAUUGAUAUUUUAUUUUUUUUUAACUGUGAUAGAUGUUUAACUCACAUUUAACCCAAGUUAACUUAGCAGGAGAUAACUGUGGGGUACUUUACAAUAACGGUGGAACAUAUGAGGAGUAUUUUAGAAAUAAAAAAAAAGUAUGAGUAAAUCGGAUAUUUUCAAACAUAUGAGGGGUAUAUAGGCAAUUAUCCUUGUAUAAUUUAUUCGGGUUCGAGUUCAAGCCAGGUAAAUACAAAAUCCAUAUCCAUAUACAUAUCCGUCGGGUUUUUAUUUUCUAUACCUAUAACCGAACCCAUAUACGUUUAGCUCGGAUAAAUCCGAGCCAUUCGGGUUCGGAUUCGAAUAAUAUUUCGGAUAUCCAUACCCAUUGACAUCUCUAGCUGAAAGCAUUUGGGCAAAAAGUUGAAAAUAAUAUCUAAAUAUAUUUUAAAAUAAAAUGAUUUAGUUAUAACAGUAUUUUUAUAUUUUAUAUAGCAUUCAUAAUAUAAUAAUUUAUGUUACAAUUUAUUUUACAUUAUCCAUAAUAUAUGUGUAACGAAUAAAAUAUAAUACUAAUAAUUUCCUUAUGCUUUUAAUUAAUAAUGCUGUAAAUUUCAAUACAAAUUAAAAUAUAUAUAUAUAUAAUAUAUAAAAAUAUCUUAUUCAGUAACUUGUAAUUUUGCAAUCCACCAAAAAAUACUCUAUCUUCUCGAGUUCCUCCGUAUAGAAAUCUCGCCAACCCCUUUUUAAGAAGGUUAUUCACUGUUGUCACCUUUCUUUUCAAAACUAGUCACAUAAAAAUUUUAAUUUUCGAGGAAUUCUGACCUUUUACAGUUGAAUAAAAUUUCUGUCUUUGACUUUACUAUCCUGUAGGAAGUUAUACAGCUAUUUGACCAAAAACUUUUCAAACUGAGGCCAUCUACAAAGUCAUUACUAAAGUUAUGUGUUAUGUGGGAAACAGUUGGUUAUUUUACAUUAGACAAGCUAAGAUUUUGGAGUAAUUGAUUGUCUUGCAUGCCGACGCAGCAAGCGCAGCAGCGCAGGCUGAAGGCACGGGAGAUGAUGGCAUUGAAGAUCGGCGUAGAGAAUCCGGCCUGGGCAGUGCAGAAGACACUCUUUGUCAGCGACGUCAACGGGCACCAGCACCGCCUGCAGCUACCACGGUUGGAGGUGGAGGGGUCGCCGCUGCUGGAGGUGAUGAGCCCCGCUGAGACGGAGGACAUGUACGGAAAGGGCGCGAAGAUCGUGGUUCUCGAUGGGCUCCAGAAUGAGUACAGCAUGUUAUUCAGGGAUGUCGGCGACAACAACGGCUUUCGCAUCCUGGGCGCGGAUUGGAUGAACUACGUGCGACGGAACAAGUUGAUGACAGGAGAUUCUCUCGAUUUGUGGGCGUUCCGCCGCCCGUGUAAAGAUGAAGAGAAGACUGAACUGGUGUUUGUGUUGUUGCACCAUCAGAACCAGAAUCAAAGGGAGUCAGAAAAGAAGGCAAAAAUAGUAGAAGCAAAGAAAGUGUCUUCUUCUUCUUCUUCUUCCAGUUCUCCUCGUCCGGUCCAGAGUUCUUCGGGAAUUACAGCACAAGAUGAAGCAGACGCAGCUCUUGGGCUGCUGAAACUUGGUGAAGGGUACCAAGAAAUUCAAGAACACAAAUCGCAAUCGACUGAUCGAAAGUAAAGCGAUUUAAGUUUGUCAAGCAACUCCGCCAGAAACUAGCGGAGUUUUACACAUGAAAAAUACGGCCAUGUACAAUUUCAUUUACACAGAUUCUUCGCCAGCUCUUUAAGCUUUUCAUAAUAUAUUUCUUUGAAUCGUCCUAAUUGCAAAAAAACCUCCAAAUUCCUUGAUAGUCUUCAGAUUGAUACUCCACAACUCAGAUUUUUGGGUUGAUUUGGCCACCGGUUUAAUCAUGUAAAAUACCACUUUUCAUGUCGAGUUUUUGCAAUUUUGAACCAUUUUGAAACAUUUAUAAUUGGAAUAAGAGAACUUGGAUCAUCACUUCUUACUAUCAAUGUCGCGGAGGCAUCAAUCAGUUUGCACAGAGAGAGAGAGAGAGUAUAUAUUAGUUAAUUUAAUAUGAGCUCGAAUCCCAAAUUCACAAGAUGUAAGAAUAAUUUAGAAUGUUACAAUAGCAUCAGCAUCGGAUGGUUUGGCAUAAACAAUGACAGAGACCCAACCCAAACAAACCCAGAUUCCAAAGUUUUUAACUUCAUGUGCUUCAGCUACAGAGAUUGGGUAUGCAGACUCCGUUGUCCGGGUUCGGCUGCUCCUUCCAGAUCCGCCCCGUCACCCGGAGCUUCAGCUCCUUGCGGUCGCCGCCUGAGAAGAAGAGGGCCAUGUUCCGCUGUAUUAUGAGGCCGUCGUGGCUGUCACGGACCUUGCGGUGGCUAUCGCGGAUGCUGCGGGGGGUCCCUUCCCAUAUCAUCUUGCGGCCGUUGGCACCGACCUCGAGACUGUAGCUGUAGUUCCUCGCCUCCGCCUCAUCGCCCAUGAAGCGGAGGAACGCCAUGUAGACUGGUGCCAUCCCUAGCUGAAAGGCCUCAAAGUGCAGGCAGAAGUACUGCCCGAAGCAGUGGAAAACCUGAAGAAACGGGAGAGAGAAAGGAAUCGAUCAGUAUUAGCACGCCGAGGAGAGAUGAAACUAAACUUUACCGGAAUAUGGUGAUUCAUUGUAUGCUUAAUAAAGAUGCUCCUAACAGCUAAAAUCAGUAUAAAGACUUAGAUUGCAACCACAUGGGUAAAAAGUUUUGAGUCUUAAACUAAGCAACUUCAUGUGAAAUUGCUGAAGGUUAGCAGUAAUUUAAAACACCUAGGAUCUCACUGCGGUGCAACCAUCAAUGGGUAAUUACCGUUACCACACAAAAUUCCGUCCAUGUAUCACAUGUGCCCUCUGGCAAGAGCAUUUAUGACACUAAAAAUGCAAUUUUAAAGGAGUGUAUGAUUUUUUUUUUUUAUGAUUUCGAAGGAUACACCGGAAAUCAACCCUUUCAUAACACGGUUCAAGGCAUUGUAAAAGAGAGAAACUUAGCGUUCUAGGUACAAACGCUCCAUAAAGACAAUCUCAGAAAUGUAGAAUGCAAAACUAGAGUAGGUUUGACUCGAGCAAGAUGUGUGUAUAAUUUAGUUUCUCACUAAAGUUACAUCUAGUUGUAAAUACAGUUGUGAAUUGAGUUGAAACCGAAGUCUGGGUACUUACAGUCAGCAUCCAAGUUGCAUUUUCAACCUCUCGGGGGUUGGACUUCACGUACCGAUGGUUAAACGUGCACCCUGUAUGCAUGUCGACCUUGUGGUCAUCCCUUAAGUGAGUAACAAGGACAGGAAUGUCCCCAACAGCAGAACAUUCAGAUCCUGCGUAAGGGCAGUUGUAGGGCCUGAAACUACAUUGGGCUUCAUGCUUGAGCUUGCUGUAAUAUGGGAAGAUCUCAGGGCAACCGAGGGUGUAGUAUUUGCAAGGGAGCUCAAGCGAUUCAGCCACCUUUUCCAACGCUAAACACCGGAUGUCUCCAAGCUCUUGUCGACAAGUGGGGCACCGGUUAUUCACCCUCGACUUGCAGGUGGAACAUAGAGUAUGCCCAUUUUGGCACUGCAAAAUAGAUGGGAGUACGUUAAAACUCAUUUCAUCAUAAAAAAGAGUUCUAUUAGCAUUUUGAUAAAUCCAGUAAAUACAAAGUAUACAUAUUUUAUGACAACAAUAUCUGCAGUGUAAUGUAGGAGGAAUUCCAUCCUUGUAGUUCUGCCUAAUUUGAUACCUCUCCCAACUAUAAAUUAUUGGAGAGAAAAAAAUAAUGAAAAUCAGUUUUGAAGAAUGAAGAUACAUCCAAGGAUCACGAAAAGAAAAAUUAAAUGAUAGUACUAACAGCUGAUAGAUAGGAGGCAUAUUGGAGGAUCUACCAACUAUUAAGCACUGUUACAAGAAGCGGAAAGUGCUCUUUUUUUUUUCUUUUUUUCCUUUGAGGUUUCACAUAGCAUGUAACGCAGAAGGCAGACGCAUAUGUGGGUGCACAUGCAGAAGCCUAGGUUACGAUUUCAUGGUGCAUGCGAUCUCCAUGUUUCCGAGGCAACGGCAUUUCUAAUUGUUAAGUCCUUAACGGCAUAACAAAAAAGUACUGCAGGAAACGUAUGUGCAACUUUUCAAACUCUACAGGGUGGCAAAACAUAAUAAGCAAACUGGUCAAACCAUAGGGCGCAAAGUUGUUCCCUUUCUAUAUAUAACUGCAUAACUAAACCAGAAAAAAAAAAAACAAUUAAUCCAACUUUUAGUGCAGUGUCUCAUGAAAAGGUAUAACAUUACAUAUGCAGAAUCACCUAUUGAAAUAACUGAGUCAUUAGAAGCUUGCAUACAAGAUAAGAAACCCAUGACUAAAAUCCAAUUAAUAAUAAUUAUUUAUCAAGAAAGUUCUAUUCAGAUGCACAUGAUGCAACCAUCAAACCAUAUUUCUGAAGCUGCUACUGAUCAAGCUCAGAUAAAAUAUUGAUAUUAUCAAAUGUAAUAAAGAGACAAAUGAAUCAUUCAUUUUAUUACUCACUCACGUAACAUCUAAACAACAAAACAAAAUUGAAAAAUGAAACAAAGGAAAUAAAUGAGAAAGGCUAAAAUUCCAUCUCACUGCGUAAUCACAUUCAACUGCUACAAAAACAAACAUUGGAAUACUCUCGAAUUACAUAUCCAAAUUGGUACAAAAACACAUAAAUUUAGACAUUCUAAUUGCUACAAAACAUCAUUGGUAGCCUAAAAAGACCUGCACACGUAAAAAAUCACGUAUUUACAUCAUCAAAUUGAUUCAUCCCCUGCUAAUUUCAAUAGCAGCAAAUCAAAUCCCCAAUUUCUCUCCUAGAAAAAUUCCAAACCCCAAAAUCUCAAUCAUGGAUAAAACUGAAAAUAAAAAAGGAGACGGUUUGAGAUGACAUUAGAAAUUUUUUUUAAAAAAAAAGCAAAAAAAUCACAUCUUUAUACCACCAAAUUGAUUCAUUCCCUUCCAAUUUCAAACCCCACAAAACAAAUCCCAUUUCUCCCUUAAAAAGAAAACCCUCACAACUCGAAUCAUGAAAUUAAGCAACAAGAACAUCAAAGAAGAGAUCAGGAGGGCUGAUCACCUGGUGGAUGGGAGGGUACAUGGAGUUGGUGCAAACGGGGCACUCGAGGAGCUCGUGGACGCUGUUCGCCGGGUGGAUCGCCGGGCCGGCGCCUCCCCCACCAUUCCCGCUGCCUCCACCGCCGCCCCCUACUGCGGCGGCGCUAACCCCUUGCUUCACGAAGGAGUGGGCGAGGUGCGCGGAAGCAUCGUCGUCGUCGAUCCCAUCGGAGGAGGAGACGCACUCGAUGCUAUCCAACUCCAUCACCGUUCUCAGCUCCUCCUCCCCCCCCCCCCCCUCCCCUUCCCCUCCUCCCUCUUCGCCCGAACCCCCUCUCUCUCUCUCUCUCUCUCUCUCCCUUUGGGAGAGGUGGAGGGAUCGAAAGGAGGGAGAGAGAGAGAGGGGGAAUGAACACCGGAAAAGCUUUUUUUCUUUUUUCUUUUUCUUUUUUUUUCCUUUUCCUUUUUUUAGUUUAUAUAUAUAUAUAUUAUAUAUAAUAUAUAUAUAUAUAUAUAUAUAUAUUUUUUUUUUUUUUUUUUGGGUGGGGGGUUUCGGUUUUGCCUUUCUUGGUGCGUGGUGGGGUUGAGUUAAAGGAGAGAGAGAAUGCCACCGAGUUAUAUUAAGGACGUGAUAUUUUUAAUUAAUUAAAUAAUUUUUUAUUUAUUUAUUAAAUCAUAAUUAUAAAGAAUAUUAUUAUUCUAUAUUUUUUAAAAAAAUAUUAUUGAUUUGUUAUUGCUGAUGUCGUGUAAGUAUAGGAUAGUAAAUUUUUAUUUAGAUCGAGAAAAUAUAUUAAAAAAAUAAAAUUAAAUACCUAUAUUUUUUUAUUUAGAUGAGUGGCAAAGAUAAUUUUUUAACUUUUAAAUUUUUAAAUUUGAAUAGAAAAGAGUUAAUACUAUGAGGGACUAGUUUUUUUUUUUCUCUGUUUCAAUCUAAUUUAGUGAAAAUAAUUUUUUCUUCCAUUUUUUUUUUGGUCUGUCUAGUCAAAUAAAGUAAGAGAUGAAAUUAUUGAACAAUUCUUCUCAGGUUAAAAAAAAUAAUAAUAAUAACAGAGCUUUUCUUAAAUUUGAUUAUAGGUGGUCAAUAAAUAACAAGCAGAUUUGAUGUAACUAUCUAUUAUUAUCUAUAUCCCAGAGUGUUGCUAUUUAGUUGUUUCUGAACUUACUUUUUUCAAAUUUAGUAUCUAAACUUUUUCACAUACUGCAGUUCCAUUCCUCCUUGCUAAACUAAGGAAAAAAAAAAUGUUUGCCUAUAACUAAAUUUGCUAUUUUAUAAAAAGUAGUGUUUUUUGCUAAUAAUAAAAUUGUAACGUAUGGAAAAAAGUUUAUAAAUUAAAGUAUUAUUAGGUAAGAACAGUUUAAGGACCCAUACAUUUUAGGAAAUAUGCAUUUUUAUGGGGGAAAAGAAUUUUUAAAAAAAAAUGGUCAAAGGAGAGGGCAAAGAUGUAGAUGGUUUUUUUCUUUUUUUGUGCUUAUGCAUGAUCUGAUAAAAAUUGGUGACAGUAAAGGUGGUUAGGGCAAAAAUAUGCAGGGCAUUCUCUUUCUAAUAAAUUUGGUGAAAUGUUUGUCAACUUGUGGAGAAAUUAGCAAUUAAAUAUAAUAAUUACAGAAAAGCAUUAGUUUAGAGUUCUUUCACUUUGAACUUUUUAAGUCAACUGCAGAAAACCACAAAUAAGGGGAAUGUAAUUUUUACUUGUAUUAUUAAUCAUGGAUGAGCAUGUUUUUGGCACGACUGCAAAACAUGUUAUAUUAAUUCCAAGUGCUUAAAUUUGACUAUGGAGUGGGUACCGAUUAAAGUGUUUUGAGAACUUUUUAUUCCGGAUAGUAUUUGAAUCCGACAUAAGCAAUUAAUUUUAAUAAAUGUUACUCUGUUGUGUAAUUUACUCCCAUUUUGAAGGUAUCCAUGCACACGGUAACAUUUAUGUGGUCAAUCAAAAAAUCAGUUUGUACGGUCAAUGAAAGAUUCAAAUUCACUGAAUUAGCUGCAGGUUUGGUGCAGAGACUCGGCUCUGCUUUUGGAUGCCUAAACACCGCUUUUGUGCUCAAAAUAAUAGGUAUGAUUUUCUACGCGCCAGUGUGUAGAAAUUUCUAUGCACGGAGUUGCUUUAUUGCUAACGGAGGAUAAAUUUUCAUUAUUCACCGUCAGAUAUGGAUGGUGCAGAUUCAUUCCACCACCAACCACGCCACCGAAGGACUUGCUCUAACCAAAAGAAAAACAUGGUUGUAAACAUAGAUUAUAUUUUCUUAUCUAGACCCUGGAGAUGGAUUGAGUACUCUGUUCACAAUUCCAAAGCUCCUAAAAACAGAGGGAGGUAAAACAUAGAUAUACAGAACAGUAAGAAAAAUGAAUGUUACAAACAAAGAGACAGGAUUUCUUCUGAGAAAUAGAAGAGCCUCAUUGUAAGAAAGAUAAACUAAUAAAUUGACAUUUAUGCAUCCAAACUGCAUAAAAAAUACUUUCAUAAAAAUAGGCCUAUUUUCCAUUGUCAGUAGGCCUCCAAUUUCCUGUGUUUUCACAAUUACCCUAAAACAUAUUGUAGGAGCAAAGUAUUAAUGCAGGUGAUUAGCAUGCAUUUUUUUUCCCACGGUAAUGUACAAAUUCCUAUGUAGCUAUGAUGGUGGAUCGCCAUAGAUAUUGUUUUUGUACCAGCUCAAUUUUACAGUUGAAUUGACCACCAAUUGCCCAAUGAAAAUAAUAUAUCACAGCACAUUAAUAAAUUAUUAUUUUAUGUACAUUGAUUAUUGUUGUGGAAAGAUCUACAUGCUGGCCACCCGCGAAGGAAGCUCCGGCUCCACCUCGGAUUCUGCAUCUGACCUCUCAACCACAUUCUGCAAGGAGAGCAAGUACAGUUGCAUUACAUCGUGUGAUAUGUUCGGGAUAUGAAUCAUGAUAAAUAAACAGCAGAGCUGCGACAAUUAGGGUUUUGGGUAUCAAGGUGAAGAUAUAAUCAACAACUCUUUUAUAGACAACAGAAAUGGCGAAAAGAAUUGCAUGACACUAAGAUCUUAGCAGAUAACCAGACAAUAGCAAGCAAAAACUACAAUGCAACUAAAUUUGAGCUGCCAAACCAUACCAUCGGCCCUUUUUUGUUUUGUUGAGAGAGAUACAGGUCCAAAGCCCCUUCUCCGCAAAGAAUUUUGGCACCACUUCCGCGCUUCUCCGCAGUUCCAACAGAUUCCUCAUCAACUACGACAGCAUCUAUCUUCUCUUUCCCUGUUCUUGUGUCUGGAAUCUACAAAAGGAGGGAUUCUUAAGACCGUACGAAGAUGGGACUUAAAUGUAAAACUAAUAACAGCAAAAUGAUUACAAGAAAAGAGUAGCAAACUACACAAAAGUAACAAUUAUAAGUCAAACACAUAUUCACAACAGCAAUUGAUGUGUUCAUUUUUGCGCGGACAAGAAGAAAAGGAGAGCUCGAGAACAGAAAAUCAGGCAUGUUAACACUUGUACAGUACCUUUUAUGAGCAGAAUGCAUUGAAAUGAAUGCAUUUGUAAGAUAGAUAAAUUGACAGAUCAUGCUUCCAUAGGGGAUUGUGCUAUUCAGUAUCAUGACUAGACUACUAUUGUGUGCCGUUUCAAUCCAAGUCCUACUUAAAUCUUUAUAAAGACAAAUAGCAGAGCUAGAAAAGAGCAUAAAAGGCAUGAAAAAGCAUUAAUCACUGAAGCAAUUUUAUUUGGUUUGAGCUGAGACUAGAAAGAAUAGAUUUGCUACCUCAUACAUAGCUUCUGUCAAAAUGUUCUCCAAGAUUGACCGCAAGCCUCGGGCCCCAGUAUUUUUGUACAUAGCUUUCUUUGCAAUCAGCUGCAAUGCCUUUUGGGUAAAAUGCAACUUGACCUGGUACAGUGUAAUUAAGUGCAGGUAUAUAAGAUUUCUAAUGGCUAUAUAAGAUUUCUAAUGGCAAUAUGAUGUUAAAAACAGAGGACUAAACAGCAGUGCAUUUCUCCAAGAUUUCAAGCAAGGUGUAAAACCAGGGCUUACAUCAUUCAUUUGAAACAACUUGAUGUACUGCUUCCCAAGGGCAUUCUUUGGUUUUGUAAGAACCUGCCAAAAAUAAAUAAUUGUUCGAAACAAUCAUCCAAUAUAAAUCAAUGAAUCUCUGGACUUAAUCACACUUUGAAUCUUUAUUUAUGGCUUAUUAAAGGAAGCCAUAAUUUGACUCGUUAGACUUUAUUACAAAUUAAUGAAAAACAGAGAAGAAGACAUAUUAUAAAAAGAUAGCCAGGGAAUAGAAUCACAUAAUGGAGGGAGCUUAUUGUACAUGAUGAACAUAUGCCACACUUACCUUAGUUUUGCAUUAAAAGAUUGAUAAAGUGACACUACUGGGUAUCGAUAAAGAAAUAAAGAAUAAAAAGCAGCAAAUAUGUCACCUCAACAAGUUGAUCUUCGUUUAGGGCAGACAAACUAACAAGAACUGGAAAUCUUCCAACAAAUUCUGGAAUUAGACCAUAGGCAAUGAGAUCAGCACUUUCAGCCUGAAUGAGAAAAUUCCUCAUCAGCAAGAAUUGCCAGAAUUUUAGCUAAGAUUUACAAUUUGAAUGGAACAACAAAUUUAAGAGACGUCAAUAAUCAUUGAAAGUUUUAUAGCUCUUACCGUCUCCAAUAAAGAAGAUGCAACUGAAGCACUAGUCACAGCACCAGUUCGCAUAUUUGCACGUAUUGGAGCUCCAAAACCAAUUGAAGAAUCAUGUCGUCUGGAUGAAAAUAGAACGGAAUUAAAUCUAGAGAAAAUUUUAGAGAAGUGUUUUAGUGUAUAAAACAAUGUUUAUAUCUAAAAGACCUCUCUGAAAUUGUUUUCUCCAAGUCCACAAAGGCCCCCCCACAAAUGAAGAGAAUGUUUUUUGUAUCAAUCUGCAGAAAAGAAAGGCCCGUGAUGGAGACUAAUAUAUUGAGAAAAAUGGCUACACCAUGGAUUAAGUGAAACAUAAGAAAGCAGUAAUCUCUCUUUAAAAAAAAAAAAAAAAAAAAAAGAAUGACGUGAAAAAAAUACCUGUAUAUUGUCACCUCUUGGAUGCUUCCUUGCUCCUUUUUCAGGCACAUUAACAACCUAGUUCAACAGACAAUAUUAAACUCUAAGAAAGAGAACAAUAAAUGUAAUGCACACAAAGCUAAAAACAUCAGUCUUAAAAAAUGCUAUGCUCUGGACUUGAACAUGGGCCAAAGAGACAGAAUUUUGGGUGUAAAGGUAUUACAAAAAUAGUCCUAGUUACUAGGGCAUAAGUAUUAGUUAAAAGGCAUAAUUAAUACUACUGGGCAGGUCGGGUGUUAUAGCUGAUGCCCUGCUGAAAAAUUAGAAUGAUGAUGGCAAGUCAAAUGCCCGACAAGUUGGCAAAUAGUCCAGUCUAGUAGCUUAAUAGCUUGUUACAUGUUCAUCAUUCACAUAUUGGACAGCCAUAUUUUUGACAACAUGAUCAAAACUUCUGUGGGUGUGCACCUGGGCUAGAACUUCCAAAUCCCUCAAACUGUGAUCAGGUAAGUAUGUAACUGCAGUUUCAUUAAACAUCCAAGAUACAUGCAAGUUUUACAAAUUAAGUUUGAAAAUCCUGGACAAAACUAGUAAGCAGAAGAACAAGUUAUAUAUAUAUAUAUAUACAUAGUAAAUCAUGGUUGCAAGUUCUCACUGUUCCCUCCAGCAUUUUUAGUAAUGCCUGCUGAACACCUUCACCAGAAACAUCCCUACUGAUGUUUACGCUCUCAGCCUGCCAUUAAAAAAAAAAAAAGAAAAAAAAAGACCUCAGUCGCAAAAAUGAUAAAAAAAUGGUAAAUAUUAUCACAUUGUAAAAUUCAUCACCUUCUUUGUAAUUUUAUCAACUUCGUCAAUAUAUAUAAUGCCCUGCUGUGCAGCCGCUAUAUCGUAGUCGGCAGCCUUGGAGUCAAAGUAAGGAAGAAAAUAUAUAAUCAUUGAUGAGCACAUCAUAAAACACAUAAGAUGCUUCUCCACAAACAACAAUUUGCACAUGAAAAAUCACUUGCUUAGUUUAGAAAGAGAACUAAUGAGAAGACUUGAUAAAUAAAAGAUUGAAAAAGCAUCGCCCUUGCCAACAAGCAAACAACAAUUCCUAAACUACAUUGGCCUGAUGGAGUUUACAUCCUUACUAAUUCCACCAAUCUCUUCUUCUAAUAGCACUUGGCCACAACAAUAACCUCAUGGAGAUUAAUAAGGCCGGUGAUCCAGAAAUAUCUUACUACACACACAAGUAUGCAGAUUACUACGAGCAGAAAGUAUGCCAUUUCCCAUUUCCAGAUUUCUUUUUUAUAUGAUCAAGCCCUUGGACUCAAUCAUUUUUGCUAAAGAUGCUUGCCAGACCCUCAUCGUAGAAACACCUCGACUUUCUAGCUUCGUAAGGCCAGGGUGUGUCCAGUACCCAUGCUUUCAAAAUUUAGUUGGAUCAAAAUUGAGAAAGAUUACCAUUGAAAAGAAAACCCUUUCAAAAUUGAGAAAGAUUGACUCUGCCAAUCUGUAAACUUGUUCUCUAGAAAUUCUAAUAAUUUUAUGAAAUUGUGAUGAAACUAGUAGCCCAAACAUAGUUUUAUGCAUUGUAAGCACAGUUUCCCUUUUAAAUUAAAGAUCUCAAUAAAAAAAAGUAAGAGUUAAUUUUGGGAAAUUUUGGUUUUACACAAACUUUAAUCCCUAAUCUAAUUGGAUCAUGCAGUAAUUUUACAAUUUUUCUUUUUCUGAAAUUAGCAAGUAAAUUUCAUUCAAUGGUACAAGGUAUUAGAUAAGAACACACAUUAAACAACAGUGCGAAUAGAUGAUUGCCAAUAAAAACAGAUCCAAAGUGUUGGCAGUUGGCACAAGAGUUCUGUGCUAAUAAAACAGUGAUGCAUGCUGUAUGUUAGCAUUGCCUUAAAUUCCAACCAAUAGUCAGAGGGUUAUGACCAGGACACUUAAAACCACGAGGCAGAUUAUUCAACCUCGAACUCAUAGCACUAAAGUAGUAGUUCUCAUAGGUUGACUAUUUAGUUCAGUGAAAAAUAUCAACCAAUAUUGUACAAAACCAAUAAUGUUCUGUAUAUUUGCAUACCUCUUUGACUAGACCAACAUUUGGUUAAAACAAGGUUUGUCAAAGGCAUGAGCCAUGAGGUUCCUCCAACUAGGGGUCUGGGGAGAAAAAAGCUAGCCUAACCUGCAUUAGCAAAAGAGCCUUUUUUUUUUAAUUCAUCACUCAAUGCCCUAAGACACAUGAAGUAAGACUUGACCACCACCCUCUGGAUAAAUCUUAAAAGCAUCAUUAAACCCAAGCUAACAUUAAAAAUUUUAGUAAAUCAGUUAGGAUUGAUUCAAAAUACCAAUAUUCAUAUACACUGAGUAGGGUCAGAAUAAUUCAGUCUUAUGUGCCAGUUUUUGGACCUCAUCAAUGCAAAACCCAAUACCUCUAGUACAAAAUAUGUACUGAAAAAACUAAAUCUAACAGCAAUGAACAAUCAUUCAUAUAUAGACUUUGCCAAGAACCGAAAAAUGCUCAUAGAGAAGAUGAACACAUAUCACAAUCUCAUAAAUAAGGCUUGACGAGUACCACUAGAAGCUUGUAUAAUAUAGACUCUACAUCUUCACCAACAUAUCCUGCCUGCACACAGCAACAAACUAGUUUAACCAAUGAUCUCUAAAAAAGUCAAAUAUGAGGGGCAGCAGUAUCAAAAUUUUUAUGCUUAUAAACUGAACACUUUGUCAUGUAUGAGAAACUACUGACCUGAGUUAGAGUCGUUGCAUCAGCUAUAACAAAGGGUACAUUCACAAAUCGAGCCAGCGUUUUCGCCAGUAAUGUUUUUCCUGUCUUGAAGAAAUGUUAUAAGGAUACAUAAAAGGUUGCAGCAAUAACCAAAUCAGUUCAUAGAUUAUAAUGUAAAGCAAGUUGCAGUGAAAUAUUAAGAACACGCACUUCAAUCUCACGAAUCAAGAACUCAGCGUGUUAACAUGUUGUAAGUAAUUGGAACAGACAACUGGUGUAAUAUUACCAUCAUGUAGAUAUAUAAACAAGAAUAAGCAUGAGAUAAAAAGGAAACACCAAUAACAGGCUGAAGCAACUACCUGAGCCUGUUGGGCCCGUUAGAAGAAUGUUGCUCUUUUCCAGUUCUACUGCAUCAGCAUCAUUAUUAGUAUCUCGGUGUUCCCCCGAAUCACCUGCUGACCUAUAAUUUAAACAUAGUGAAUAAAUCGUAGUUUUAGCACCACAAUGCUAAGCUCUAUGAGAGUUAGCUCCUUUGUAACAAAAGGUGCUGUUCUAAGAUACAUUGUGUGAAAACUGUGAGAUUCUACCACCUCGAGAGCGUGUCGUCGUAAAUUCUUUUGUAAUGAUUGUACACUGCUACGGAGAGUACCUGCCAGGAACAAAAUAUGAAUUAUUUGAACUACUCAGAUUGGAAUCCAUAAAUUAUCUAACAAAACUGAGCAAUUGAACCUAAAAAAAAACAAUUUUCAUGCAAAAAUCAUCAACUAAUGAGAAUUUCAAACCAGAAGGGUUGGUUACCUUCUUUGCCCUUUCCUGCCCUAUCACAAACUUAUCCAAACCCUUGGAAAUCUCCUUCGGAGUCGGGAAUUUGUUCCCGAGAUUGGAUCCGCCCCACGGGCUCUCCCCCAAAUCAAAGCUCCCUCCGCCGCCUCCGGCCCCAGGGCCGCCUCCCCCGCCUCCGGCGACCCUGAUCACAUUGAUCCGCCCGGGGAAGCUCGACGCUGAUGCGGCGAUCGAGUCCGCGGGCUGCUGCCAGAUCUCCGGAGGCUCCCCUCCCCCGCCGCCGCCGCCGCCGCCGCCGGAGGGCUUCGCCGGCGAUCGCGGCGGGGGGAGGGCGGCGCCGCGGUCUACGAGGUGGCCCUGGAGGGAGACGAGCUCGAGGGGGCCGGAGCGGCGCGGGCGCGGGAACUCGUCGCGCCACCGCCGCCGGUGCCGGCCAUGUGCGUCGGGGAUCCUCCCGGCGUGCAUCCGGUGGGAGGACGAGAAGUACGCCGACCGGACCGCUGCGGCGGCGGCGGCGGCGGAGGUCGCUCUCGAUCGCACAGCCGCGGACAUGGCGAUGAUGGAUCGAUGGAGACGAACAGGACGAAGAAGACGAAGAAGAGGCGUUUCGUCGACGAGAAAAAAAAAAAAAAAAAAAAAUUUUCUACUUUGAAUCUUUGAUUUCCUAAUAUUAAUUAUUACUUUAUUAUUAUUAUUAUUUUUAUUGUUUGCUCGAAUUUGAUAAAAUUGUGCAGGGAAGAAGAUGCAAAAGGGUUUGGGAAGGAAAAUUUAUAGGCAUAGAGAAACGAGGAGGGGGUAGGAGAGGAGAAAUUAUAGCCUGGACCGGGUGUACAACUAUUUAUUUUAUUUAUUUAUUUUUAUAAAUCUCAAAAAUCAUAGCCUAUUAAAUACAAUAAUAAUAUGUUUAAAAUUAUUAGCGCAUCAAAAAUCAAAAAUAAGAAAUUAUGGAUAUUCAUUUCUAACAAAUUAGAUAAGGAUCUAUUCUUUAACGCUUGGUCUUUAAAAUGUAUGGUUAUCGUGCACAAGAUCCACCGAAUAAUAAUUUAAUUAAUUUUUUUAAGAAAUAUACUAAUUAUAUCAAAUAUGAGAUGUGGAGCAUGGAGUUACUAGUACACCAGGCGUAGGCAAACUCUGACGUAGGAGAGGAGGCGUGCGGGUUUGAACGGACGGUGGAGAUUGUUUGGGCGUUCAUCUAACUGCUAAACUGCCCCGCGCGGUGCAUGGUCGGUUCUUCUGGAAUUUGCGUAAUUCACAGAAAUAGGUAGGUAUCUGUAAUCUGUGUUGAAUGCAUGAAUAUUUUACUUUGACUAUAUCUUUAAUUUAUUUAAAAAGUUACAAUAUUCGAUUAGACAAGAAAUGUGAACAUAAGCACGGAACAACACAUAUCACUAAUCAUUGAUAUCUGACAUGAAUAUCAAAUCAUUAGUAAUUUGUUAUAGGCUUUCUGACAAACUGAAUUAUUCUAUGCACGACCCGUUCCAAUGUUACUUGGAUGUAAUAUGCAUCAUAAAAUUUGCUUAGACUCAUUUUGAUGUUGGUAAAUCAAUAUUUUCAUGUUGAUGUUAGUAAAUCAAUGUAUCUAAUUAAUGAAAAACGAAUCAAUAUUUUUACACAAUUAAUAAAGAACAGGUUUGCAAAAGAAGGUCAAAUCCGAAAUACAACACCCCUCACAAGCAAGAGCAGUAUUCAGUCGAAGAGGACAGUAAGCAUGCUCUGAAUCUGACAGCUUAUUGGGAGCAAAAUACAAUCUCCAUAACAUUAGAUCACUAAAUAAAUAAAAAAAACAAAUUUGUUCUCCAGUAAAACAAAAAAAUAUACAAGGGGAAAGUUUAAAAAAUGGACCACUAAAAACUAAUACGUUUUUUAUGAGUUUUUAUUUCCAUAUCACACUACAGGAACAUCUAAUCUGGGAAUCAGAUGCAGUUCUAGCACUAUCUUCCUCGACUAUUGGAACCAUGUAGCUCAAUAUCUUUAUGCACUUCGUGAUACCAUAUAAUGCUUCUGCUAGUUGUGGAUUAUAGAGAAAAGCACUUCUCCAUAGAGUACUUCUUCCUGCGCUGCCAGAAAGUCGAUGAUUAACAAUUGUUGAGUGAGACCACAUACGCAACAAUUCAGGUGUCUGCUUCACGUCAAUCCGGCUUUGCCUUAUUUUCUCAUUCACCACUGAUUUGGGAAUGCUUCUCUAUACUUCAAAUCCUCCCCCUGAGAAAGCUCUUGUACCGCAGCAUCCCUCACACGUGAAUUCAAAAGCCUCUGUGCUAACCUAUCUUUUGCUGUCACUUUCUUCUUCAGCAUUGACGCCAAUGUUGGCUUCUUCACCUUGACCCCAACCGCAUUUCGCACUGAUCCCUCUGUAGGGUGCCCAAAAGCGUCAGAAUACGAAGUUGAGGCUAUAGCAGCUUCCCUUAGAACUUCUUCAUUGUGCUCACGAACCUUUGCAAGUUUCGCUUUCUUCAUCAACUUCACAUCUCUAUCUCUUUCGCGCAAAUUCUUCACUGCUUGUUUAGCCAACAUUCCAAACAUUUCCUCACCUAAGUCAAAAGACUUAUCGACAUCAUUAUACUCAUUCUUUGUAUCUGUCAUCAAAGUAGAGUCCUCCUUUACACUUUGUUCCUCACUUACUGCAUUCUGCUUAAUUGGAUUUCCCUCGGCAUCACGCAGAACUAUCGGUCCAUGAAAAGGGCAAAUCCUAAGAUCCCUUCUCUGACAUAGCCCCCCCUUCUUCAAAGGUGCGAGGCAAGGUCGAAUCUCAAUAGGCUCUUCCUUAUAUAUCGUUCGAUGAACAUUGAGCUCUGCAAUCUUCUCUGCAGGUAUAACGGCAUCGUAAUCUACCCUGCCCCAAUGGCCAUCAAGCUCGAGCCCCCUCUGGUUUGCCAAUGCAUCCCGGUUUGCACCCCAGUUGUCCAAGAAUGGGCCCCACGUCAUCACCGGGGCUUCAGCCAAAAGCUUUGACCUUUCUAAAUUUGAACUAGAAGCUCUUCCAUCCAAGGGCUUAGUUUUAUCAUUGCUAGUACUCUGAACAUCCAUAUCAUUCACAACUGAACUAUCAUUAAUGCUAGAGGGCCCCGAAUUAUAAAUUUCUACCUUCCCCUCUUCCCAUAAAUCCUCUUCCUCCUCAUCUACCUUCAUGGCCUUUUGCUCAUGAGCAUCAUCAAGAACGCAGCCAAGCAGCUUGCAUCUAUUUCGGACUGAUUGGAUAUUAUUACGGAUGUCAAUCAUCUCCUUCAAUGCCAUAUCCCUAAACUUGUUAUCAGCGAGCUCAACUCUAAUGAGAACAGAAAUCCACUCUUGCACUGAUGCCAAAUGCUUUGAGACUAAUAGCUUGUGCAAUUCCCUUAAAGCAUCAAACACGGCCGUGUUCUCGUUGUUUUCGCAAACCUUCUCCCCUUCCUUCAAAGAGCCCAGUCGAAUUUGCUGCAACUCGAACGACUUAAACUCCUCCACUUCAUCCUCAUUAGAAGUGAACUCCUCCCGUUGGGAAUUGAUAAUCUCAAAGCAUUCUCCAAUCUCGUCAACCGUAGAUUGAAUCUCAGCUUUGAUGGAUGAAUAGUUCUCCUUGAGAUUCUCAAGCUUGCUAAGAAGAAUCUCCUGCGUCCUUCUUUCCCUUUCCCUCCUCUCUUGUUGAAGCCGAGCAGCAUUCUCUAACCGGUUCGGGAAUUGGAAUUUAAGUGUGUUCUUCAAGUAGUCAAAGCCCAGGCGAACCUGCCUAUAGUGGAUGCCGAAUGAGGCAUUCCAUUUCUCCAACAGCUCGAUGGUCUUCUUGCGGAGAUUGGACGCGAUCGAAGAUGGAGGAGGAAGCGGCAUGUUUCGCCUGAAACCUACGCUUAAGGUCAAGAACUGGUCGAGAUUGACCACAAAGAGAGAUCUGAAGAGCUUCGAACGCAUAAACAGUUCGUCGAUUAUAAGCACAGUAAGGUAUCGCACCUGCGAUUCAUCAUAACUGAAGGAGUUAACUUACUUGAAAUCAUUCACCAAAAAAAAUCAGUCGAAUUCACUAAAAUUGAUCAUUUUGUUUGAACAAAUUAAAAUUUAAUCAAAUUUAAUCCCAUUGUGUUGCUUGGAAAAGAUGGGAAAUCAUUCCGACACUCUUGCUUUUCUUAGUGUAAUGGGAAAUACAAUACAACUCCAUCUUCAAAAAGGGUAUCUUAUUGUUAGUGCCAAAGUUAUCUAUUCUCACCGAAUUUCACUAACUAAUAAUUCCAAACAACAAGGAAUUGGACCUCUAGGUUUUCUCCGCAUUACGAAUAGGUCAAAACGGUAUCUUGAAGCCCUAAUUCUCGAAUCCAACAGAGAGAACACCAAUUCCGGUUAGGGGAAACCAGGGUUAGGGUUAGGGAACGACCUGGGAGUGGGGCUUCUUCAUGUGGUCCAUGAGGGAAUCGACGGCGACGCGGAUCUCGGCGUCGGAGGAUCGCACGGUGGAUUUGAUGGCCUUGAGGAGGCGGGGGUCGACCUCCCCCGCGGUCGAGGUGGUGGCGCGCUCGAUUAGGCGCGGCACCGCCGCCUCCCCGCUAUCGCCGCCGCACUGCUCCGCCGCCGCCGUGCUCCGCCGCGGCUCGUCCUCCGCUCCGGUUUCUCCCAUUCGAUUUCAGAGUUCGGUUCCCGGGAUUGGGGAAGAGUCAAAGCGACAGAGGCGAGGGUUUGUUUGUUAAGUACGCACGGUGGUGUAUAGAGACACCCCCGCCAAUCACCGUCCAAUGAAAGGGCUAGCUUUCGCGUGACGGAAAUAGGUGCUUGGACCUGGUCCGCCAUAUCAUCCGUGGACCAGAAAUUCUUAUCCAAUCUAGGCUUGAAACCUUCAUUUUUUUGGGGAAUGGGAUGAAAUGCACAGGAAGCACUCAAACCUUCGUCCAUUUAUUUAAGCAUUUAUUGUUGCAACGUAAAAAUUAAUUUUUACAAAUUAAAUGUGAUAAUAAUCAUAAAUUUUAUCCACGAAAUAAUUUUUGAUAUAAGACGACUCAUCUAUACUGCUUGCAUGCACUCUUCAUUAUUUUCUUGACUAAUUGACUAAAAUAUUAAUCUCUUUUAAUUGAUAAAAUAAAAUAUAAAUGGUUAAUUAUUAAAAUUUUGAAAAAACUCGACGACAAAUAUAAAUUUUUAAAGUUUAGAUAACUAUCAAAAGUUUAGAUAGUUGCGGUGAUAUUAGCCCCUUUAAAAAGUAGCGAAAUACUAAGCCUACAAGUAAGAGGGGUUUAUGUAUUCCUGAAAAAACAUAUUUGCACCGACCGUCCCUGGAGCAAGUGAUAAAGGACUUGGUGAUUGGUACCCAAGACCCAAGUUCGAAUCCUAAUUGAUUCACAUUUCCAGCUAAGUUUAUUUCUAAAUGAAAUAAACGAAACAGGUAACAUGCUACCUUUCUCUCAAAAAGAAAAAAAAGAAAAAACAUAUUUGCAUGCAAAUCUCACGAAAGUUAGAACCUGUGGACAAGUCAUAUUUAUUUGCCAACAAAUGUACGAGACACGUUAAUUUUGCGAAAUUUAAAUAGCAUAAACCAAAUAUCUACAACAACACUAUAGUCUUGAUUUACAUUCUUCUGACAACCAAGUUCUUUUCUCAAACACACUUAAAAACAUUUAUCUACAGGGAAAGAUAAAGCAACCAACGAUAUAAUUCACAUUAACAACUAUACUACAAUAAACUGUAAUCCUUAAGUGCCAGUUCUUCAGUGCUUUUCCCAAAAGCAUCUUCACCUUGUGAUCGGAGGCCCCCAAAGAUACAUUUGCUCUGCCCCCAACAGAAUAAGUUAAACAAACUUCAAUCUAUACAUAUAAAUAUAAAAUAUCCAAGUUCUGUAGUGAAUUGAAAAAUAAACAUUAUCGACACAUUGGGCAUUCUAGGGAUGGAAUCUUACCUUUUCUAUUUUUUGAAAUUUGAUUUCUCAUUUCUGUUAUUUGUCCAUUCAGCAGACUCCUGUUUCUUUGAAAAAUAAAGAAAAGAGAUUGUCGCAGUAUUGGAAUUACCGGGGAAGCCAGAAAUUACUGAGCAGGUGAAUUAACGGACUUCUCCGAGCCUUGCGGCAUAAGUAGUGCAAGCUGCAAGACACGUUGCUGACAGAGCUUCACUGGAUUCUUCAAGAUUAAUAUAUUUGAAUUCGUCGCCUCAGACAAGAAGACCCAAGCAAUGCUGUAUAAAUCGCCUUUCUCAAUCGCAAAAUUCCACUCCAUCGUCGAGAUAGAAAACCAAUCUUUGCUUGAGGAUGUCGUAGCUUUUACCUCGACAUAUUCCUUCUUGUUCUCUUUCUCAACGAUAAGGUCGUAUGGCAAACCCGUUUCUGACUCUUCAUUUACCCAUUUUACAGCUUCAGAACCAAGUUUCUUCGUGAAAUACUUGUAGGCUGUAAUCUCUCCUGCCCGACCUGUGCUGUAAGAUUGGUGCAGAUCUUGAGGUCCCAUGCAUAACCUAUCCUGCUCAAGAUCAGCUUCGAGAUCUGAAGCUGAUUGCUCAAGUACAGACUUGGGAAUUGAAACUAUCCCCUUCUCGACUAAACAACUUGCGUUUGAUUCUUGACCGUCAUCUGUACUUUCAGGAAGAUCAUGCGAGCAAGUAACAGCUGCAGAUCCAGUUUGUUCUUUUACAAGAUCGGCAACUGUUGCAUAAUGUUCUGGCGCAGAAUUUGUGGGGCCCCAAGAUGUUGGAGGCCAGUUGGAUGCCCUUGCUUGGUUCUUGGUUAUAUUCAAACUUUUUUGUAGGAAAGUUUUGGGUAAAUUAAAAGCUGGAGCACAAACUUCAUUCUCAUCAAGUGCAGAACCGCGGGAAAGCGACCAGACAGUUUCCCCAGCAGGAAGUUCAGGAAGAUGUUGGUUUGUCAUGACGUACUCUUCUAACUGCUCUUUCGUGGAGCCCAACUUGACCAUAUAUGCAAUUGUGUGAAGGAAAUUCGUGAUAUGUAAUUCAGGAAUCCCAUGAAAGAAAAGGCGAGAAAGCUCCAAAAAUAGCGAAUGUGUAUCCACUCCAUCUGUAGCAUACAAGGUAUUUCCCUACAAGAUAACCGAUAGUGGAACGAGAAUAAACAUGUGGAGAGAAGCGUUACAAAGAAAAAUAUUAUACUUAAAGAAUCUUGAAUAAGCAGUUCCUUUCAGGCCCCAAAAAAAAAAAACAAUGACGGUUUUUAAGUUCCGCAUGACCUCAGGCGCACUUUGUUUUGCUAGAUGCAGUUUGUUCAAAAUCUGGUCUAAGCAGUUUAAAAAAGAAAAUCACACUACUCAGAUUCUCGAUAUUAACGUUCCUUUCGUUUUCUUAGUAUGUGGGCUUUUGAGCAACGCUAAAUAAAAGAUAUCAAAGCAAAAUGACAGUAUGAACAUCACUCUUUAAGUCCACCAUGCUAAACAUUCUUGUCUACACUCUUCCACAUACUGGAUCAGCAUAUCGCCUACUUAAUUCUUCGAAAUAAGUGAUUUACUCUAAAAAUGAUUUAAAUUCCAGUGCCUUUUUCUUUUUUUGAAAGUUAAAUUCCAUUACUCUAAUAGUUCUCUUCCAUACCUACUUUCACUCAAACAAGUAACAGUACUCGUGUUUUUCUUAAGGUUAAGAAAUGAUUCUGAAAUUUGUGAGUGUCCUUUCGAGUAUCCUCUAUUAGAAAGAAUUAUUUGUAACACUCCCACAGAAGCAUGUUUAAGAAACUCAGUAUAUUUUAAAUAAACCUGUAUAAUCCAGUAAUCCAGGGGAGGGUGAAAGUAAACCAACCUGCAAAAGACAACUGCACUCUGAUCGUUUAUUGCUGCUACUGUUAUUACCCUUUAGAGUAUGCUUAUAGAAGAGUUUCUCAACCACUAUAACUUGUAGCUGGCCAAUCUUUUCAUUUUCAAACCUUUUCAAGUCAAGGUAUAUCUCUGGAUGCUUCUUGUAUAUAUAGCGCUGUGCAUAAGGAAGAGCCCAAUCGACCAUAUCUACUUGCUCAGAGUUAUCCAUCAGACCAUAGAAUAUGGCUUCACGAGAGACCACCUAAGGGAAACCAUAAAAAAACAAAAUCACCAACUAUUUUGGAUGCAAGGACCGCAUUUCAUAGAUACACAAUAACAUACCUCUGAUAGGUUAGGAACACCAAUAUCUCGCAGCAAAGCAGCAACUACUCCAGAAAGUGUUGCCUUUUCAGCAUCACUAAGCUCACCGAAUUGUAGAAGAUAAACAUCAGGGACAUCUUUGAACUGUUCCAUUAGUUCUUUACUGUCAGUCCAACAGACGGGGCCGAAGUGGGGAUGGAGAGAUACCCAUUUGUCCUGCAUGGUGGGAAGCACAGUGUUUUCCUGUUUAAGAAGACUUUCUUUCAAGUGCGGUAAUUUUUCAAGCUUCGUUGGUCCAGAGUAGAAAUCAUCAGCCCAUUUUGAGAGAAUCCGAAAUACCUGGAAAAAGGGUAGUGGACGGGAAAACUUUUUACGGUCCAGACAAUCAAUAGAAAAUACUAAUGGAAAUAGCCAACUUAACUAUCCGAAAACGGGGGGAAUUUUUAUGUUUUGCAACUUUAGUACGGUUUCCACUUUUUAGGACCAAACUGAUCCUCCACUUUUUAGUGUUUUCACAACUUUAGCUCCGAGUGAUCAGCACAAUUGUUGGUGAUCCAUUGACAAUUCCAAAAACAAUUUUAAAUAACCAAUGGACAAUCCCGUAAUUUUAUAAAAAAACCCAUAGACAAUACUAGAAGUGUGCAGACGUGGUUAUAAUUGUGCAUCAACCAUUCAAUGUACAUCAUGUUCAUGUACCGUUGCGGCCGUUAGUUCGGCCAAAAGGUUGAACAGUGUACUAAAGUAGCAAAAAUAGAAAGAGUGGAUUUUUCACAGAUUCCCUGAGGGCAAAAGGUUUAAACCACCGUGAUUAGCACAUCCAUAAGUUUCCAGAGUAAAAGAGUGCUUACUUUAUGAGCAGCCCUUGAAGGUGAUGUAAUUUGUGACAACUGAACUAACACCAGAAAAUAUAUAUCAGUAGAAGGAGCCUCUGGCACACCACAAUCAUUUACAAAAAAAUCACGCAGGUCUGGAUAAAGACUAGAAACUGUCAAGUGUUUGGAACUUUUACUUUCAUAAUCUGUGCCACACUCAAGAUUUAUCUCUCUUAUCAGAUCAAGACAACCAGUGGGGUCAUGCCAGAAAACUUCACUGGGAGACGUAAAGUUACCAGGCACGAUGUCCGCGUAAUUAGAGGUGUACGCAGAUGGCAUAAAUACGUAGAGACCUGAUCUGAGCUCCGCUGUUUUUUCCCUUGAUGAAGAUAGUUCAUCCCGAACAAAAGCAUAUAACUUGGACAUUUGAGAAAUACUGGAAUGAAGUACCAAAGCUUUUUAGUAAAGGUGCACUUAAUGAAAUAAAUAUAAGAGAAAUUUUCAUUUGGAUUUCUUACCACUUGCUAAUCCACUUGCUAAUUCAUUUCACGCAUUAAAAUUAUUUAGAAACACCUUACAAUAGUAAAUAAAUGUACAAGUGAAAAAGAAUCCCAACCUCACAUUGAUAAAUACUGCCCCAAAUACAGAAUGUCUAAACCAAUAGAAAAACUGCCAUCAACUAAUUUGCUAUAAGAGAAAAGACAAGACAUUUCAUAAAUUAUUAAAUUGUAAUAAUUCUAUAAACAGAAUCAACCAAGAUUUGGACCUAUAAAUACGCAUCAUAAAUUGGGAUUGUAAGAUGACUUUUAGUAGUACCCCACCCAAUUUGAGACAAACAUGAAAGUCAUUUCAACUUGGAAAUGAACACGAUGGUUAUAAGUACCUCAACCUAUGGGCCAAGGAAGGCAACUAAUUGAAGGAAAUGUAGCCUUCGACUAUUACCCUUGUUUAGAGGUACUACAUGUGCUGUAUACUUAUCCUCAAGAAUAAGCGGUGUUGUAGUUAAUAAUCAAUUAGGCUUGUCUUCAAUAUGGAGACGAUAGUUGAUUUUUACAGAAAAAAAAUCAAACCCGCCCACCUCAAACAGCAAAAAAAAAAUAAUAAUAAUAAUAAUAAUAAUAUUUGUCCCUUUGUGCAAAACUGUACUGCACCAAUAUAUGUCAACACACGUACAUAUUGCCCGUGUCAUAUGAAAAUAUAAGAAUAAAAGCUAUAGACGAUAGAAUAAGCAUUUGUACAAAAGAAUUAGAAAUCUCAUGUAGUUACAAUUACAGUGCUAUUCGAGAUAAUAUGGAAAAGAGAAAACUUAGAAACAAGUAUGAACCUUUUUUAAGUAGCAUUAUAGGUAUAUUACCUGGCUUUAAAAGAUGUAGAUUCUUUCCAGUGCUGAAGUACUUUCAUGACAUCGCCGAAUGUAACUUGGACCUUAAAACCAAUUUGCUCCAAAAGUUUUUUGUUAUUUAUCUGCUUCGACAAUAAUAAUGGCGAAUCAGGGUAAAUUCUAUGAUAGAAACUCAAAUAUUUACUUGUGAGCAGCUACUCAAGUAAACAGAGGGAGUUACAGAUAAAUCUUUAUAUGCUUCGUCUCAAUGCUGACUGGAGGAUAAAUUUAAACUUCGGUCUGAGAACAUAAUAAAGCUUGAAAAAAGAAAGCGAUGGAAUUGACUUACCCUUGGAACAGCAUAUGGGGCAACUGGUCCCAGAAUAGAGCUCACAGGCUCGCAAUCAUAGAAAAGAUUUCCAGGAUAGUGAAGUUCGUUGUCCAUGCUUGAGGCUACCCAUCUGACAUUGCAGAUGCUUUUCAUGAAUGUAGAUGUAAAUGUUUUUGGCCCAUCUUGAUGUUGAUAAAGAGUGUGCCCGUUUGCUUUUGAACUGAAAUAAUCGUCCCACAUAUCAUCUAAGACUUUAAGGAGAUAUUUACACCUACCCAGUUGUCUAUUUGAUGAAAGUUCUGAUACCAAACUGUCCAAUUCUGGCGAAACCCAAUCCUUCACAAACAGUUCACUAAAAUGUGACAUCGUACUCCCAAAUUCAGUAGGAAAAACAUCUGCAGAAUUCUUCUGGACCUCCACUACUUGAACAAAGUCAGUAACACCAAUAUCUUUAAAGAAUUCCCUCCACUUGGCAAGUCCAUUAGAUAACAACUUGGUAUUUGUGUGCUUUAAAUAGACAACAUCUAUUUCAUUCCACACAAUGGUUGAAUCACCAAUUAACUUUUGUACAGAAAUGGGGUUACCAAACUCUUUGCUAAAGUGGACUGGCUCCUCAGAGGGGCAUUUAAAUCCAUGAUUAGUAAGUAUAAUUCGUUUCCGCCGUAAGCUAGAGAUUAUGCCCGCCUUCUCCAUAAUGCAAUCCCCGCAAGCUGAUUGAAAGUGAUUAAAUACAAAGGAUAUGUAUUCAAUCAGUAACCUCUUACUGGUCUCUGUGUUUGUUUCGCAAGGCGUAAGUGGGAGGAUAUGCGUUCUAAUAAUAUCAUGUGCAGACAGCUGAUGAACACCAAUUUUACGUAGUGCGCUUACGAUGUUAUGUAUUCUUGCUUCUUCUUCAUCGCAACCAUUUGGUAAAGUAGAGAAGAUAGACGGAGUCACAGUCCUAAGAUUGACAUACAAAUUAGGGAAAUGCCCAAGCAAAUUUUGAUCUCCAGACCUCAAAGUAAUAUCAUCACAAGGCAACCAGAUCGGCCCGUCAGACACAGAGACAUAUGAACCAUCCGAAAGUGGAAUAAAUGGGACCUUUCUUAGAUCGUUCAAAAGAUCUAACUCUGUCUCCGUACUUCCAUAGAACACAGGUGUAGAUGAGUUGAUACACAAGGCCUUGUUGAAAGCAUUUAGCCAAGAAGAUAGCCAGUCAAGACCCAGUGUUUCGAUACCAUCUUUUUCCUCACAUAUAGAUGACAAAACAUGAAUUAGAAGUUUUGGGCCGUUGUCUUGAACAGCUAAUGCCUUAGCUAAUGAAUCUGAUAAGAUUAUAUCUUUAUGCAAAUAACCAAGGCCGACAUAUUUUUGAAGCAAAGUCUCAGGUAUAAGAGUACGGACCUGCUCAUCCCAACCUCUAAGCACCUUGCAUGGCGGGACCCACUGUGAAUUGGCGCCUUCGAGGAGCACACAAUCCGCCAUGCGCAGCUUAGUCAGUAUCAUAUGUGGGAGAUGAGAAAAAAAGCCAUGAACUUCCCCUAAAGGAGGAACAAAACUCAUGAAAGAAGAGAUAGCUUUUCCUGGAUUCUCUUUAAAGCAAGAAAGCUCGCAGAAUGAUUUCAGAGCACUAAUGAACAAAUCAGGAAGUUCCGAUAGCAACCACUGGUUCCAAGCACUAUCUUGAUCAAUUUCUUCUCUUGAUGAAGGCAAAGAAAAAUCACCUUGAACGAUAAAUUUGAGACCAUAUUUUCUCAGCGGGAGAAAUGCAAAGGCAGGUUGUUGAUCCAGAUGUGGUUCAUAAUUUCCAUCGCUAGACGUCUGAAGCGUGAAAGCGAUGGCAACCUUGGUGAUUUUUAUUUCAGGACGAAUGAUGGAAGCUUGCAAAUCUUUGCUGACAACCAACCAGCUCAUCUUCUCUUUACCAUGGGAAAUCGCAACAAUGCCAUCACUGCUUGUCUCUUUUUUCAUGACGACAAGUUUAUCAUCAAGCAUGUUCUUGAACUUUAUGCAUUGAAGCCGAUGAAGAAAGAGUAACAAUGAAGGAUGUAACUCAGAAAACAUGGAAAUGAUGGAUGUCAUGCCCAUUCCUUGUUUAAGCUUUGACUUGAAUGGAAGCACAAUACAAGUUCCCGAGGAGCUGAUGCCAGGUUGAUCAGGAUCACAUAACAAUUUACUAUUUAUGUACUGGAUAUCGCAUGGAAGAAUAUUUGUUGGCAAAACAAAACCAAUCUCACCAUCGCUGACAUCAAACUUUACAUGAAAACCGUUUGAAUGUAUUUCCGGAGCAUCUGUGACCUGAAUACAAGCAAAACAAUGUCUUUAGAUGAAAAUAUUAGCGAUUAUUUGGCAAACAGAGGACAAUAAUCAUGAAUGAACAAUUUCUGUCAUAGCUGAUGGAGGAAUUUUCAAGACAUGGAAAAGUACAUCAAUACAAAACUAAUUCUCGCUAUGAUAAAAUAUUAAUCACAGCAGCAUCAUGAAGAACUAUAACAUCCUAAUUUCAGUUAUAUGGAAGAUGUAAAUCCUCUUAUACUUUAUAAAUAAGAACACCUACUGAUCUUAUUAAACUUACACGAAACACAGAUUUAAAGCCGAUGCCUUUCUGACCUAUAUACCCAGCACUAGAUCCCUUCUUGGUUGAAGAUCCAACAUCACAAAGCGCUCUAAUAUUAUGACCCGAAAAUCCUGUUUCAUUGUUCAGAACAAUGAUUCCAGUGGGUUGAAGAAUGAAAAUUAGUGUCGGUACCACAUUAUCUGGAUAAGCAUUAUCAUCAGCAUUCUGCACCUGUAGCAUUUCAAGUAAUGUUUAAACUUCAAAAAAUUUCGCAGGCAGAAAAAUAUGAAACGAAAUAUGAAUCUUAUUCUUUUCUAAAGUGUCUCAUGAAGUUCAAGAGGCAAAACAUAAAAUAUAUGCUUAGAUUUGCAUAUGUCUAUAUUUGAAUGUAAGGCAUGGAAAUAAAUAGACAAUAGAAAGUUAAGAGACUGUAAAUCCAAAAAUAUAUAUUCUUAAAGUGAUCUACAGGUCUAGGGGGCCUCUAUACAACUCUCGUAAGAUUAUUCUCAUAAGAUUAUGCACUUUAAUUUUGCAGCAAAAGGUGGCAAAUUUAGUCCUCUUGAUUAUUUCCAUGAGGCUUAGACAAUUUCAUACAUAAGAUAUAGAGAAAGAAUCAACAUAUAACAACACAUAGCUACUGCUAAAACAAUUAGGACUCAAAGCAUAGUACCCACAGAGCAAUCCAACAACAAUAACUAUCAUAUUUGUUUGAUGAUUUACCAGCUCAAGUAAGAAAUGAGAGUCAUGCGAAUACAGCUCACGUGAAAGACAAUGAAUCGCUCUCCCAAGGCGAGCAUGUUGCUUCUUCAGAAAACUACUUGCAGCAAUUGGGGCAUCCGGGUCUAUGCCAAAUUCCUCACGCCUUAUUGUUUCAAUAAGAAUCCUUGCAUCCUUGAUUCUUUUAUCAUCUGAUAUGUUGGAAUGGAGAUCGUCAACAAUUUCCCCACCAAGUUUUUCUGUACAAACUAUCAUUUUGGUAUCCUGUUUAAGUGUUUUCUCAUGCUGAUCUAAACUUUUCAAAUUAUUUUCAUAGUUAAGUAGCAUUUUGCUGCCAGUAUGAGAUAAAUUCCCAGAUACAUUGGAUGUAUCAUGUAACUCUUUUUUAAGGUCGGAUACUCCAUCUGUAGUUCUGGAUGAUGUGAACAAGUCAGCAGCAGCUCCUAAAUUAAAAUCUCUGUAAUCAUUUAUCCAUUCAUCUAUGUGAAGGGUCAGACCAAUGUCAUGAAGCAUAAUACGUUCAUCAAUCUGCUUACAUUCAUUUAAGACAAUUGAAGCAGCAUCUUUGGCGAAAGCACGAAAGAUCGAAACCAUUAUCUCUGCCAUAAAACUGCGAAACUCUGAAGGGAGAAGCCAAAGGCAGUCAAUAAUACACCUUGACACAAGAGAAUACGAAUUGCUUUCCAUACUGAAGUCCUCAAAUAGUUCACCUACUUUUCUAUUUCCCUCGAUCUCUUUGGUAAGUUUUGCUUCCGAAGGGUAUGAAAAAUUCUUUAGUUUUAUGGUAAUUGCACGCUCAACAUAACAUUUGAGAAGGGACUGAGGAACCUGAUGCAAGCCCCCAUACGAUCCAAACAAUGAUAACAACUGUAGCACCACUUUGGCUGCUGAACCUUGUAUAAAAGCUUCAAGAAGUUCAUCGAAAGAAGCUGAAUUAUUGAUCCUAAUGAGUCGACCGUCUCGUGUCAGAAUGCACAAUAAUCCAUCAAUAUAACCUUCAUUUAUCAACCACUCUACAAGAGGACCAAGUGAAGGAGCAAAUAAGUGAUCCCAAUGCGACCAAGAUUGUAGAUCUGAGAGCAAUGGCGCUUUCAGUAAAAUUUCCUUUGCAUCUUUAGUAGAAACAGGCCCCAGAGAACCAAUACAGUGACAUGGGUUAAGAGUGACAUCAGAAGAUUUAGCUGAGCUUUCUGAAACUCUCUCAAUGUUUGAUAAUAAGUUUGCACUGUAGCACCUCCCUGAUAAUGUACCAGAAAAAAGAAGCGAACUCAGAGUGCCACAGUUGCGGUGGCUUUUAGUAGCAUCACAGAAAGCCUCUUCAGAUUCAUCCGCCAUUAUCUGAAAACUUAUAGUGGGAAAUUGGUUUUUUAAAAGCAUGGCAAGACACUGCUUAUUAAGAACACAUUUAUCUCUCAUGUUCCUUGCAGCUUGAUCUAGCAUAACAAGGAGCUGUUGCUCAAGCAUUGAAACUUCCAGAGGAUUUCUACAGGUGCCAUUAGUUAAGAGCGCGUGUAAUCCUUUAGAGAGCAUAGAGAUAUGUUUUUCUAAAAACUCGGAGAAGUUCCCAAAACCAAGAUCUUUAAAUUCCUUGACAGAAAAUUUUUGAAUUAACCAUCUCUCGCAAUCAUGAAAUACAAAUUUCUUUUCAAGUGGAACUUCCUUCUGGUCAGAGACACAGUAAUUUAAUCCAAAGUAGGUGGCAAUCUGUCUUAGAACAUCAUCAACGUCAGCACCUGCAAAUCGAAUUUACCACAAAAGUGAGUACAAUCACAACAUCAUAUAUAGAUCAACAGCCUUUAGCUUCCAAGUACAUUAGUCAUAUAAUACAUUUUACUAAUGAAUGAAGUUUAGGAAAUAGUUAUGCCAUGUGAAGCAAUUCUCGGUUGUCUUAGUGGAACUUAAGAUCCAUUUAUUCUUGUUACGAAGUCAGUUGAAUCAUAUUUUAACAAACAUUAAUCUCACCAUGAGUUAUAAAAUUUUCACAACCAUUCUUAAUCCACGGAACCCAGAUGGAGAGCUUGACCAUGCUGAAGCAUGAAGCAAAAUCUUACUUCCAGUCAAUUUGACGUCUCAUAUUGAAAUUAUUGUAAGUAACAUAAACUCUGAUUAAAUUAUUUGACACACACAUAAACUGCACAUUCACAUAUUAAUUUAUUAUAUAGACUAAUCUUCCUUUUCAAAAUUAACAUAAAGAAGAGCAAAAUCCAGAAUCAAAUUUGCCAUAAAAGAUGUCUUAUUACUCUCCAACAGAUUAGUGCUUAGAAGAAAUUACUCACUUCUCCCAAAUUUAUCUGCGCCUUCGCAUUCAUUUGAUGAUGUGUUUUGUCCUGAUGCAGGCUGAUUAUCAACCAUAUUGAUAGAAGUGCUGGUUGUGCCAUGAACACAAGCAUCUUCUGCAACGGUGUUGCUAAUGGACUCGCGAACUGAAGUGCCUUCCACAAGGCUAUCCAGUAGUCCAUCUUUUAUACAUUGAAUCUGCACAAUAACAUGUGUAACAAAUAUAGGAGUGGGCUGUUCAGUUUUGUCCAGAAAGCAAGCAAAAUUAAACAAGUAUUAAUUAUCUGAAUAUCCCUGAUUAUUAACGAGCUUCAAAUUAUUGAAUUGAUUAUGACUGUGCAGAAGGUAUUUCUGAAUUUGUAAUAGUUCUACCUAUUAAUUGAAUCGUAAAAUUGGCGUCACACAGAAAACAAAAGCCACAGAAACACCUCGCAUCAGUUGCAAUUGAGAGAGUUCAAGCAGAAAAUGGAGAAGUCCAUCAGCUUAGUCAGAUGGCAUUAGCAUAAGGAACCCAAUAGACAUAAUUUUCUACAACAGCAAAAGAAUUUUUUGUUCACACAUGGUCCCAAAAGCAGUCAUCCAUAUUUAAUUUGUCCCACUACAUUACACAACAAAACAGCCAAAAUGAAAUUGGACAUGACAAAAAUCCUUUUACUGAAGCUGAAACAUUGUGUGUUUGUAGCAAUGAUUUAAAACCCGGUCAAACUGGCCGGUUCGACCGGUCCGACCGUGAUCCAAUCUAUAAAACAGUUCAAUUCAACCCCUUGGACUGGAAAAGUCAAAAAAUCAUUUUGAACCAUCCGAACCAGUGGUUCAACCAUCAAACUGGUAAACUGGUCCCAUUUUAAUCAAACUGGCCAGGUCUUUUUGUUCAAUUUAUAUUAAAAUCUAAUGGCUAAAAAUCAACUUAGUUGAUUUUAUUUUCUAUUAGCACAGAUUAAUUUUAUAAAAAGUAAAACUUGAAAACUUAUGUCUACAUAAUUUAGUCUAAAAUCAGUAUUUUAUUUUAUAAUUAAGUAUGAUACUAGAAAAAAAAGAUAUGCAUUUUUUCUAUAUAAUAAAAUUUAAAAUAAUAAUUAAAUAUUUAUGAUGUCAUGCUGACCCGGUAACAUUUUCAGUUGCUGUUCGACCCGAUUUUUAAAACAUUAGUUUGUAGUUGAUGAGUUGCACAGAUUCUCAACAGAGAAUAUCAAGAGCAAGGAUGCUUACACCAAAGAAUACAUAGAAAGAGAAUAUAGCAUGCAUACAAACAAGCAAGAAGCAAGAAAACUAGCAAAGCGGCAAAUUGGCAGCAUACAGAAGAAAAAUACAUGAAAAAAAAAUCCAAAAGCACUCUUCUAUAUUGUGAACUUUUUACGUACAAGACAACAGCAGCACAAACACCAACUAAAAUGUAGAACGAGAAGAGAAGGGAUGAUUUAUCUUAGCAAAAUGAGGAUUAUUACCUCCAAAAAUGGCUGAAAAAUUUGGAAAAAUAUGUGUAAAUAUUAUCAAAAAACAGAAAACUUAAAUGGAAAGAUCAUUUCUAAGUUAACGGGAGCUAGUAACUCACAGCAACAUUCAGCAAACCAACGCCAGGAUAAGAUAGAAACAAUCUUUGCAUCUUCCUCUUCCGUUUUUCAGAUACCCCAUAAACAUGGAACAUCAAUCCAGCAACCUGCACUCAAUUGAUAUUUGAAUAGGCACAAAAUGUCUACAAAUGAAAGGCAAUCAAACUAAUUAUAAUCCCUCUGUGUUUAAUGAGGUAGAUUGUCUCAUGUAGGAGCUUGAGUUGGGUUUUCCACGUUAAGGGGAUAAUGAAUGGUAUUAAUCCUCUUUUUUUUUUAAGUUCCUUCUUGAGUUCUAUUGGACAUAAUUAAGAGCUUUUAGGACCUUUGCAUCCUAAAUCAUUUCUUUAUUGCCAAAAAAAAAAAAAAAUCCUAUCCAUCAGUCUAAUCAAAAUUGGCGCAUUUUUGCCAUUCUAAUUGAGAAGGAUUUGGUUUCAUUUUUUCUUUUUUUCCACCGAAGGAGAGUUUCAGACUGAUUCUAUCUUGGAUGAAACCAGAUGAAAAGCAUAUGAACCAUGGCAUCAGGCUUUGGAGACGAAUGUACCUCGGCUGGAGAGUGUUUCUGGCAUACCUCCUUCCAGCUUGCAACAAACCUCAUAAGUUCUUCAUUUGUCAAUGCAAGUUUCUGUACCUUUUGCGGAUCUACAUGACCUUGUUUUUCAAGUUUCUUUUUCUUUUUCUGAUCGACUACUACAUUUCGAGUUUUAGAACUACGAAUGUCCAUGAUGUUAUCCAAAGAAAAGAGUCCCUGUAAUGAGUCACUGAAAUCAUCAGAUGGUGCUGAGAAAGAGUCCACGUGAACCAGAGGGGCAUCCGAUGAACUUUCCAUCUGUUCUUUCCAUAAUCCACUUUCCCUGAGAGAUUUAAGAGCAGCACUCUCCGCUCUUCUUGCUCCCUUUAUAAACUUGAUAUACAACCUGCAGUUGACAGAAAAUAUAAAUGUGAUUUAACACACUUGGCUAUCGCAAAUAUUUAGGCCAAUAGUGCAGGCAAAAUUAUCUAAAUAUACAUUUAGUACAGGAAAAACUUGAAUAAUGUACCCGAAGCUCUGAACUCGCACGCCUAGAUGUUCUCUCCCAGCAACUGCAUACCUCUUGACUAGAGAAUCUAGAAAUUCCUCCACAGGAACAGUCUCAUUGUAUCUGUAUCUAUAAAUGAAUGUGGAGAGGUGAGAAACCAAAUUUUCCGUAGUUAUCUGGCAUAUUUCAGUUGCAUCGCGAGAGAUCGAAAAGUAACUCUGAACAAGCGGAUGACGAAGGAGACUUCCAAGUCCAAGAUCUUCGAAUUUCUCAACUCCCUCACUCUUGCAUAUUUCAACAUUCAAAUCAUGCACCGAUGUCAUUCUCCGCACGCUGACAAAGCAAUGUAUAAAUGCAUUCACCUGACUCAAAAGAGAGAAAGUAAGUAAACAGCAACCAUGUGCUCUGUGAUUGGAAAAUUUUUGAAACUGCGUUACGUUUCACUUCUGAGCAAAAAUUACAAACAUAAUAUUAUUAUGUUUAUAAAUUAAUAAAUUUAUAUAAAUAAAAUGAUAUAUAUAUAUAUAUAUAUAUAUAUAUAUAUAUAUGAGUCCGGCUACUAUACUUUUAUAAGUAUAGAGCCUAUUGUACUCAUAAGUUUUUGGCCAUUAGAUCUACCCUUUAAUUAUUUUCACCCGUUGGAUUAUACUAUUCAACGAACCACCCACUCAACCCUAGGGGGCCCACUAUCAAUCUAACCGUAACCACUUUCAUCCUAACGGCACAUUUUUUCAUCUGAACAGUCAAAAAUUUAUGAGUACAAAGGGCUCUAUACUCAUAUGAGUAUAGUANUAGCCCCAGCCUAUAUAUAUAUAUAUAUAUAUAUAUAAAAUAUCAUUUAUUUAUAAAUUUAUGUUUUAUAAUUAUAUAUAUAAUAUUUUAUUUUUAUAUAGAUAUUAUUAUGUAAAUUUGUAUUUAUAAAAAUUUAUUUAUUUAUUUAUCUAUUUAUUAUAUAGCAUUAAAUAUAAACCAGCAGAUAUUAUAUUACAUACUUAUUACAUAAUAUAAUUUUGAAUACAUUUAAUUUACAAAUAUAAAUUAUAAUAAUAGUAUACAUAGACAGGUAAUUAUUAUAUAUAAAUAAUAUAUAAUACAUAAAAUAAUAUAUAUAUAUAUAUAACAGUGUUUCAUUUACGUUUUUUUUCCGACAAAUUAACCAAACAACUUUAGCUGCAAAACAAUUUUUUUUUUCCAACGAACCAAACACUAAAGUGCGUAAAUUUUUUUUCACCGAAAACUAUUUUUCACAAUUUUACAUUGAACGAAUGAAGACUCUUAGCUAAAAAGCGAAAUAUGUAGUACUAAAACAGCUCCUCAAACUUUUUGUAAGGGCAUUACUUAACCAACACUCCACCUUAAUUACAACAGCAGCAGUAAUCAAAUUAACAACAACACUAAAGAGAGAGAGAGAGAGAGAGAGAGAGAGAGAGAGAGAGGGAGCGAACCUUCCCUUCGACGAAUUGGAUGUGGCGCAAGGUAGGGACGUCGUGGUAGCCGUAGCCGAGAGCUCCCCAGGAGUGGAGCUGGAGGGACAGCGCCGCCGCAUGCGACACCCGCCACGCCGACACGCCCUCGCCCGCGGCAACGAGCUCCGCGUAGGCCCUCGCGGCGGCGGCCUCCGCGCGGUCGACGCCGAUCGCCGUCCGCCCUCGCUGGGGGAUUUGGAUUUGCGCCGCGCCGCUCAGCUGCGGGCCGCGCCCGCGCGCCGGCGAGCUCCCGUGGUUGGGUCGGAAUCCGCUCGAAUUGCCCCGCAUUGCAGGACUGGGAAAAAAAAAAAAAGUAGUAGCUGGCUGGACUCGGGAGCGGUCUUCUUCAUACUUUUUAUAAAGAGGAGGGGAGGGAAGGGAAAGGAAAGGAAGGAAGGCGGAAAGUCAGUGUGGAAUCGCGCGCCCGUACGGACUUUGCAUAGAAUUACUGUGCUAGCACGAGACCAACUGUCCUUAGAGCAAUUGGGCAAAAAAUUUGAUGAUUGGUAUUUCAGAUUUUAAGUUUGAAUUCUUGUUGAUUCAUAUUUUUAGCUAAGUUUAUUUUUAAAUAAAAUAAAUAAAACAGAUAGCGUGCUACUUAUUUCUCAAAAAAAAAAAAAGCACGAGAAAAGAGUUGGCUGUCUUCAAUUUUUCAGUCCUAAUAUCGAAAUGGUAGUGAUUCUUUUUUAGAUUGAGUAGUUUUUUUCGAAAUAAUAUUAUCGAUUCAAAGAUCAGAAACAUCAAGAAAAUUGAUCCAACUGCCAAAGAAUUAAAAAAAAACAAUCCUUUUAUAUUUUCAAAAAUAUAGUAGCUUUACUUAACAAUUUUUAUUAAAAAAAACAAUUUUUAUUAAAAAAAUACUUUAUGUACGCCUUCUAUGGUAUUACACUUUCUUUUAAUUAUUAAUUGAUUAUAUUUAAACUAUGAUUAGUUAUAACAAAUAUGUUCCGACAAUAUUUAAAUAACUUGGGUAAUAUUAAUUUUCUUUUAUAGAAAGAGUGCUACAUCAGCUUUAUAAAUAUUGAUCUUAUUUUAAAUAUUAAUAAUAUAUAAAAUAAAAUUGCGAAGGAUUUGUAUAGUACUCAGUAUAAAAAUGUAAUAAAUUUUAAAGUAAGAAUAAUCUAAUGAAAAUUAUUAUUUUCUCUAAUAAGUGUAAUUCUAUUGAGAAGCUACGCAAUGAGUUUUUAUUAAGAUAAUUUGAUAAAUUAUAUAAUUUAUCCCGCAUCUAAAUUUUAAAGACAUGCCUCUAUUUUACAGCAGUCGGCAGAAUUUAGUACCUAAUUGAGCGAUAAUUUUAGAAAAAAAAAAAUCUAAUAAAAUUGAAUGAGAAGCUGCUUUUUUUUUUUUAUAGGUUCUCCUUUGGUUUUGAUUCUUGGGUAGGAAGAAGUAGGGACGCCAACGGGUCAGAUUCGGGGCGGAUUUUUAAAAAUCCGAACCCGAACCCGAAAUCUGAAUACAAAUCUGAAUCCGGCGAUUUUAAAAAUUCAUAUCCAAAUCCGAAUCCGACCAAAAAUUCGAACCCGAACCCGAACCCAAAAUAAUUAUUUCUCUUUUCAAUAUUUCAAAAUAUAUUACUAUUCAUAUCUAAAAUUAUAUUCAUUUAGUAUCAAACAAAUUUAUUUUAUUUGAAUUCAAAUUCGAAUAAAAUUUUUAAAUAUCCGUAUCCAUUCACAUUCCUAGCCAGAAAGCAGGUGAGACCGUGAGAGGCAGAAAAAGAAGGAUGGAUGCUGAAGACUAGAAUAGCCAUGGGCCCAUUUCCUUUGUUUGUUUAUGUCUGCUUCUAACCACUUCUCCCCAUUCACUUUCCCAGAAUGCCCCUCAAGCAACCUUCUCGCAUUGGCUCGUACUCGAAUCCGUUUAGCUCCUUUUGAUUUUAAAAGUCGCCUCCAUUGACCAAGGUCAAUGGAUGUUUGUUUUUUUUUUUUUUUUUCGCUUUAUUUAUUUUAUUUAUAAAUAAAUUUAACUGAAAAUAUAAAUUAAUUAGAAUUCGAAUUUGGAUCUCGGAUACCAACCACCAAAUUUUUUGUCAUUUGCUCUAGGAACGAUCGGUGUCUGUUAAUACUUUUCAUUACACGCAAUUGUACGAAGAUUAUCCUGAGUUGGUACUUUUUGUAAUUCACUUGUAACUUUUAAUUUACUAAUUUUUAAAACUUUAUCAAGUAGUUUGUAUGCACGAUUGUAUUGUCCUAAUUGCUUGUAUUGUAUAUAAUUUUAUAAAACUUUAAAACGCAAAGAAAUACAUUUUAACUCUUCAAAAAUAUUUGUUCGGCUUUUCAAAGUUGGCUUCUCAAAAAUGAUAAAGUUUACUCUUCUGAAAUCUCAAUUUUGUUUUUGUAACCUAUAGUUAAUGCAAAUUCAGCCAAUAAGAAAAAUAGAUUUUAUUAUUUUAAAUUUUUAAAGUUAAAUAUAAAAUCGAAUGUUUUUGAACGAUAUGUCCGUGAUCAUUCCUUUCCUUAUAAGACCUUGAAACCACUUCGGUUUCAUAUUAGGAUAGACUUAUUGCACUCAACCAAAGUUCCACGGAUUGUAUGUUUCACCAGUUUACAAUAAUAUUUCAAAAAUCUUCGUAUAUUUCACAUUUGAAAUGACAAAUUUAUUGAGAACUAACCAUAUCAUUUGAAUUGGGAGUUUUUUAGGAACUUGCAUAUUAUUGUUUAUGAACUAAUCAUGAUUUUUAUUAAAAAUGAAAAUGACAUAACCUCCUGACCUAUGCUAUUGUAAUAUUGCUUAGGUAAUAGAAACUAAUCAAUCUCACCUUUCAGAUGCGCAUUAUCAGAUGAAUAAAAUACAUGAAAUUUUCAGCACUAGAGGUUUGUAAUUGCUGCAGUUGGAACGGCAGAGAAUUCGCUCUUCUGAGAACCGCGGCAUGAAACCAAGAGAAACAAGUACUAUCAAUUUUUAUGCAAUGUUGAUGUAUUAGUAUAGAUAACAUAAAAGAGUUUAAUUAAUUUAUUAAGAUAAAACUUCAAAUACUAUUCUUGUAGUUUCGUGCUUUCUCAUUUUAAUACCUUAUAGUUUAAAGUGUAUCACUUUAAUAUUCUGUGAUUUUAUUUUUCUCUUUUCGUCAGCAUUUUCGUAAACUUUUCGUUAAAUCAUAUAGAAAAAAUUUCAAAUACCCCACCUAUGGUUUAUGAAAUAUUCACUAUAGUACCUUGUGGUUUAUCGAAUUUUCACUUUAACAUUCUAUAGUUUUAACUUUCCCACUAAUGUAACGAAAAAAAUUAACGGACGGAAUAAUAAAAAAAUAAAAUAAAACCGAUACAUCUUAAAUCACAGGGCACCGAAAUGAGAAAACAUAAAAUUACAGAAAUAGCAUUUGAGGUUUUUUUUCUAUUAAUUUAUUAAUUGAUAACUCUUUGUGUGUGAAUGGUAGUUUAAAAUAAAAAGCUCUUACCUGAAACAUGGAGACAAAAAUGUCUAGGACUUGUGUCCCCAAACUAUUAGUUUGGAAAUGAUGUGGAUGGGCGCUGCCUGGCCCAUCUGACGGUCACCCUUCUCUCUUUCUCUACUGCUUCUGCUGUUCUCUCUCUCUCUCUCUUUCUCUAAAAACAUGGGGCACCAUUUCUCUUUUUUCCUUUCCAUGGGCGCCUGUCGGAUUGGACACGUGGUGCCCAUCCGCAUCGUCUCCAAACUAGAUAGUUUGGGGAUGAUGCCCGCCGAAUUUUUGUCCAAAAAACAUGGAGAUGACUUCUUGAACCCAAAUAGCAGGCCGAAGCCAGUCAUAAACUCACACAAUGAGCCUCACAAUAAAUAAAAUCUAAUUUUCAAAUAGCCCCUUUAACUUGAGUUUGUUUCUGACACUCUUGAACUUUUAUUUUUCAGUAUUAAGUUUUCCUAAUUAGUUAGGUUGCGAAUUUCCAUAAAUUUGAUGACUCUAUUAGCUACUUGUAAAAUUGAUUGAAAUGUAGUAUGUUAACUGUUUUGUUUAGUUUCUAAAAUAUAAAUCGGUUACAAAUUGAGGGGACCAUUUUGGGAUGGGCGAGCUUCUCUAUACAUUUUAGUUAACAUAUAUAUAUUAAUGGAAGUGUCCUCAUUAAUAAUCCAAAAUCCUACUUACCUCAGCAUAUUAAUCCAACCAAGCAACAAAAAACAUACAUAAUCCAAAGUCAGAGAAAGCAACUUAAAACACUUAUUAAUUAAGCACACACAAUGAAUGAAAAAUAAAAGCCAAUUCAAUUAACAGUAGUACUUAUUCCUAAGCCAAAAGCUAAUAAUAACUCAGUCCACCCGGUGGUGCAACGGAGUAUUUCUCCUUCCCACCAAUGGCUCCGUCGCCGGAGAUGGCGGCGGUCGCCGACCAGCUGGUGGACGCCGCGAGGAUGCAGUUCGGGCCGUCUCCGCUGCCGUACGCCGAUGCCGCCCGCUGGAUGAUCCGCCACCACCUCCUCUCCCUCUCCGACAUCUUCCCCGCCUUCCGCGCCGCCCUCUCCCCCUUCGUCCACAACGACGGCCGCUCCGCUGUCCUCCUCCACGUCCACGGCCCCAUCCCCACGUAUAUCCCGAUCUCCGUGUGGCUUGUCGAGGCUUAUCCUUACGUCCCCCCCUUAGUUUACCUCUCCCCGCCCUCCGGGACCGCCGUCGCUGAUAAACAUCCUUUCGUCGACCCCUCCGGCACCGUGUUCAGCCACUACAAUCUCUCAUGGACGUUCCCGAGCUCCAACCUCGUCGACUUGGUCCGAGACCUCUCCGUUCUCUUCGCGGUGCACCCUCCGUUGGUCGCGUCCUACGACCUGAAGGACGACGUCGUAGCAAAGAUCCUCCGCGACCUCGAUGCGGGGAAAGCCGACACCGAGCGGCUUUUAACGACGCAGACCGAGAUGAGGCGACGGCACGAAGUGUUAGAAUGUUUGAUAAAACAGAUGAUAGGUGAGGUUGAGGAGGCGGAGGAGCAGCUGCAGACGGCGGCGACGAACGUCGACGUGAUGGAGAGCUGGGUGAGGGAGAGCAGGAGGAAGAACGACGUGUUAAACGGAGAGGUCGAUGCGGAUGACGUGUUUGGGGCGUGCGAUGAGCCGUCGCAGCGGCUCAUGGAGAGCACGGCGGCCGACAUGGCGGCGGAGGACGCGAUGUACGCGCUGGACUGCGCGCUGAGGGAGCGGCGCGUGCCGGUGGACGGGUACCUGAGGAGCGUCAGGGAGCUGGCGAGGGAGCAGUUCUUCUUCCGGUUCGCGUCGCGGAGGGUUUGCGAGGCGAGAGAGGUGGAGAGGCCGGGUGUUGGAAGCGCUCGGCCGGCCGUAGUGGCGAAAUAGUAAAUUUAUGGGAUGGUUGCGUGGAGAGGGCAAUCAGCUGUUUUGCAAGUGGUAACAGAAUCAACAGUUAAAUAUUUCAGACCAAUAAAUAUUUCAAUUUUAAAUUUAUAUCCUGCCGGUUAGUUUUUAUUUUUAUUUUUGAAGUCUCAGAUGACUCUCUGAGCAGUGGAUGGAUGAGCUAAAAAGAGACCAAUGCGAAGUGCUACCACAUUAACAACAUUUAAUAACAACAAUGUGAGAACCCUCAAGUAUUACUCUCUAACACAAUUAUACAAGCUGUAUCACUGCACAAAACUUGUCUAAUUAGACAAACGUUUAAGCCUUCUGCUGGGAAAUAAACAUCGUCAAACAAAAUUCCGAUAACGUCAAAACAACAAUUUAGGCUAAUUUGCUCCAGCAAUAAUAAAAAUUGUUUGUUUUACAAACAUCAAUAUCCCGGGUGUGAUGCUUCUCAGAGGAUUGUAAACCCAUGCUCUCACAAGUCCAUUAUAGAUAAACAACAGAAACGCAGGAAAGAAAAAAAAAACUGCGAGAUGUAAACCGAGCCAAGAUACCAAGAUCCAACAAGACAUCAGCACUAUCUUUUUCCCUCAAGAGAUUCAUUUCAAUCAUAAACUCUUGAUCUCCAGUUCCAAAAUGGCAAAGAAAAGCAAAAGAAAAAAAAUAUAUAUCAAAAGUGCCGUGACUAAGGGCUUAACAACCAUUCUUAACUUAACAAAAACAAGAACGAACCCACUGGAAUGGAUGAACCGUUGGCGAAAAAUAAUGCCGAAAAGUUACUCCACAACCACACAAUCUCCCUUUCAAGCCUCGAAGACAACGCUUUUGCUUUACGACUCAAUCUUCUAAGUAAAACCUCGCCAAAGAAAAACAAAAAUGCAACAGUAUCAUGCGAAUAAUGCAGUAAAUCUUCCGGGAAAAUCCCAUACCCCUCACUGUAUCAUGGAUCCUCGUUUUUACACCUAUCCGUUGAGGGUGGGAAGGAACAACAAACAAAAGUGUAUGAGAACAGCCUCGGAAGGACCAACAAACAAAAGUGUAUGAGAACAGCCUCCAACUCCACUGCUAACUAGAAAAAGAAAACAAUACAGUUAGUCACUAGUUAAUAUUGAUAUGCAGUGGUAGGAAGAUGAAACUUGAAAGAAAUACACCUAUUCAUUCUUCAAAGGGACGGCAUGAUGUACAUGGUAAGUUGAAAAAAGAAAAAGAAAGAAAACUUGCCAUAGGUUCUAUCUAGUUAUAUAACAAGAACAUUAAUGCAAGUUUUCAAUGUUUUGACGUGCGGUGCAGUGUCACAUGCAGUAAGUAAACCAAAAAGAGCUCAUAAACAUAAGAUAUUUGUCUAUAAAAUAACCAUCUAACUACAUAUUUCGAGCAUCCGUUACGAAUGAAACAAUGUGAGGAACAACAAGAUUGUAUCUUUCUUCUUCAUUCAUUUUCAAACAUAUACAUAUAGAAAGAAUUGUAACAGAAGAAGUUUAUAGAUCCUUGAUAAGCAUGCAAGUGCAAUCUUCCAGAAACCCACUAGAAAUAAACUUUUACAACAAAUCAACUUUUAAGCAUGCCAUGUUCUAAACAAAUUGCAGUGCUUCUUUUGCAUCCUCUCAUUUGACCAGGACAGAGAAUCUGUGCAAGUUGAGGGGUAUCUCAUCUUUUGCAAGCCUACAAUGUACCCAUGACCUUAUAAGUAAAAUCAUCUUUUCAUUUACUUGAUUUUAGAUCUCAAACCAUGUAAAUUUUCAAGAUGAAUCAAAUCAUCUACAUAGAAGUGAAAAUUAAGUGAAUGUCCACUGUUAUCAAGUAAUGCAUGUUAUCACUUUCAAGACAAAAAAUAUUACUGUUCUUGUCUAUCCUUCUGCACUGAAGCAACAGACUGACAUAAAACUACAAAACUCAACCUCACCCCCCCCCCCUCUUCUUCUUCUUCUUCUUCUUCUUCUUCCAAUGGAGCAGAUUAAUAGCCGAAGCCCAAAAUUUCUGAGAAAGACAACCACAGUAUGCGGGAAUUAAGAUACACUGCAGGUGCAUGUGCACAUGCAACACAUAAUCAGGUACCCAAUACGCAUUAACAUUACUAAAGAGGAUACUAACAUGACAGAAGAAGGAUCAUGUUGCAGUGUCGGAUGUGCUAAUUCAACAAACAAAUAUAACAACUAUGAUACAUCAAAGAACAACAAACAAAAUAUAUUUCUGUUUUUCUAUGUGUUUAGGAAGCAAAUCAUCUACAUAUAAUGCCUAACUUGUUUAUAUCUACCUAUACAGUGGUACCAAUAGGAAAAUCAGUAAAUUCCUAAUUCCUAUAUGACCUCACUGCAAAGUUUGUACAUCAGGCCAAUUUGGAGACGUUACAGUACUGUAUGGGAGUAUUCUGGUGCACAUAUCACAUUUCGAUAUGUUAGUGGUUUUUGCCUUCAAUUUAAUUAACAAUCUUGUACAAAUAGAAUCAAAACAAUACUCAGUUCCUAUAUUACCAGCAACCCCACAUUAUCUAGGUUCAAAUUGCAACUGGUUCAGGGGGGCGAAAAAAGAGAUAUGACUCCCAGGCAACUGACUGAUAUUUAAAGAUGCACAGCAGAUCUCUUAUGGAUGCAAAUGUAGAAGAGAUGUUCGCUCCAACAGUAACAUGUAGAAAAUUCAUCUUAAAGUCUAAGGAAAAUUACCAGAAAAGCUAAAUGUUGUGAUCAAGUGAAGUCAAUCCAAACUAAUUACUAUGACCAGGUUGUUUCCGUUGUUUUAUCAUACACACCAUAAUUUACAACCACACUAUGAUAAAUGUUCAUAAGCAAUUUAGCAACAUCAAAUGAUAAUAUAUACUUUUAUAAAAAAAAGUGAUAAUAUAAACUACAUGGAAAUUGAAUGUUGUUAAAGUUAACAGGAAGAAGAUGUUACAACUCCAAGCAUUGUCAAAUCCUUCAAGGGAGAUAACUAUAGCUAUAAAUUUUAAACUUGAAUGUUUCACCAAAAGCUAUGUGAAGUAAUAUCUAAAGAGAUAAGGCUAACUAAAAUGUAGUCCCUAAAGGUUGGCCUUGAUUUCAAUUGUCCUCAUAGUGUAACAAUUUAGCUGUGUGUUAUGCACAACAAUUAAGUCCUUUUGUAAUCCACUGUCUGAAAAAAAAGCACCAUGUAAGCAAUAUUGUUCGCAUAUACUUUUUUUCAAGAAAAAAUCCAAUAAAAAGCAAAUGUUACAAGGCCUAGCGGUCCACUACAACAAAAAAAAGGAAAAAAUAACAAAAUAUAGCAUAUGCCAAGAUUUUGUGAAUUACAAGCCCUGGGGAAAGAUGUAGUUUCUAAAACAAAUGUUGGCUAAAGUAAGAGCAUAAAGUACCAAUAGGUGAUAAAAUUCUAUUAAUUUCCUCAAUGAAUGAAUUCCUCUAGCAUGGACAAUGAGAAAUCCAGAGUCACAAUAUUUCAACAUACUCUCAUAGUAUUUGCCAUUUCAGAUAUACAAAUUCAUUUAAACUUAGAUAUGAUAGGAACACGUAAAUUGCGAGAACAAUACUUUGCCUGCAAUUCUAUUAUAUCUCCGUAGGACAUUAAGCAAGAUAAAUUAAGUUAAUUAACGCAUUCAGAUAAUAGUGAAAGAUUGAAUAGCCAACAAAAUAAUAAAUUCCUAAAAUAAGCAAUGAAACAAGCAUGGAUUACCCUCAAAACAGGGAAGACCACAAGCAUUCAGAUAUAGCUGCUUACCCUAGACAAUUGUACUAUUAUAAGUGGCACAAAGCUGAAGAAGUGUGUUCUGAUUAGCCGGGUCAACAUACUUCUCAAUGACAGCCGGAAAUCUCCCUGGAGACUGUGCAGAAAGCCUGGCCAAAGAUGUAACCAAAAAAUGCUUCGGAUCCCUAAUUUCCUUGAGAGGAUCAUCCUCCCUCUUCCCAGCAUAGUGUAGGCGGGCAAAAGAGACAGAAUAGCCUACAGUUUCAUGAAUAUCUAGCACAUCAUCUUCUACUUCUGCUCCAAACUUGUCCGAUUUGGUCAGCAGAGUAAUAAUACCAUCUAGCAUUUUACCCCAAAGCUCAGCUGCUGAAGCCUCUAACAGGCUCGGAGACUCACAAAUCAAUCUUGUCGAAGCAACAGCCGUCAGCUUCACUUCAACUGAACCAGAAAUCAGCUUCAGAUUAGGAAUCCAGAAUUGUAGAAGGAUCACAGGAAAUAUAUUAGGUUGAACCGCAUUAACAGAGUCCACAAGAACGUCUGGCCUGUGCUUGACCAAAACCAGCGACAUGAAAAUCACCAACGAAUUCACAAACUUCACAGUUCGCCGAUUCUGCAGACGAGUGAAGAGCGCAGCCCAAAUGUUUUUAAUGUGAGGUGUGAUCAUAUCAUAGUUAAGAUUCUCAACCACCGUGUUAAGCACAAAGAAACCCAAUUCUUCUGUACUCGGGACAGAGACCAGCCGGCUGAAUAUAUCAAGGACUUGAAGCAGCCGCCCCUCGUUGUUCAGCUCAUUGGGGACCUUUUGCAGGUAGGCCUGCAGCAAGCGAACUAAUGCAGGAGCACUUGCCGACCUCUUCCACGAAUCUGGUGAAAGAAGCACUUGGAAAAGCUGCAUGUAGUUACCCGAGAUAGGUGGCUUGCUCAAUUCGAUAAGCUGAGCGAAUAUCUGAAAGGCAUAUGGCCAGAACUCCGCAAUGUCCUCAACUAAAAUCUUUUGAAGAACUGGGAAAAGGCUCAUCUCAAACAUCGGGAGCAACGAUGGGUCCUGCUCGCCAGACCGUCCAACGACGGCAGCGAUCGCCUCGAACAAGUAGUGGUUAAAGGUGGGAUUCUUCGGGUUCUUGCAUACUUCAACCAGGACCGAUGCUAGGCUUGAAACACAGCUCGCGGCAACCUCGCCGCCAAGAUUAGCUACCCCAAGGACCCUCAUCAUGCACUUCAUAAUAUACGGGUUUUCCUGAGAUUCUGGGAACUGCAGAGCAUUAAAUAGGCCAGUAAUUACCUGAGGGACAACAGGGUUAAUAUCUGAGGCGGUGUACCGUGGGGCGGUGGGGACGGCAUUCGAUCCGGGCACAACAGCGGGUGCUCUGUCCUUCACCAGAAGCAGCUUUUCGAUGCAAUUCGCAGCAUAGGAGUGGACCACAUUGGAUUCCGAGGCGAGGAACCUUAUAACACUCGGCAGCAAGGCCAGUGCUGCGCUCUUCGGGAUCUUGUCCCGGAACACGGUAAAGAAUUUGAGCGCCCCGGCCUUCAGCAUGGGAGUUGCAUUUGGGUCCGGCCCCUGCAGCUCGGGCACGAUCACAGAUGUGAAGAAGCUCUCCACAUCGACGAGGUAGGCCGGAGCGCCGCCCGACCCGGUCUGCUUGGGGGUGAGCGUGACCGCUAGGUAAAUAGCUGCGUCCUUCUCCUUCCAGUUCUCGGUAGGGUUGGCCGCAAACGAGGCCAGCAUUGCCUGAAUCUGUGCGGAGACGAGCGCAGUCACCUGCUCCCUGUAGUUCGACGCAAUCCCUUUCAAAAGCUCGCAAGCAAUCCGCCGCAAGGUGUCGACAUCGCUGCCCUCGAUAUCACGCCGGAUGUACUCGACGUAGUUCAUCUCGAAGAGCUCCUCGUCCUCAUCGCGGAGCCGGAUGUUCGGGAAGACGAUGCUGGUGCAGAUCUGCUGCAGCACGUCGGGGCUCCCGAACAGCGAGUGGUGGACGCUGGUGCUGACGGUGGUCAGGAACUUGAUGGCGGUGACGGUGAGGUGGUCGCGGGAGGGGGAGGCGGACGACGUCAUCAGCAGUCCCCAGACGGCGGAGGCGAAGUCCUUGAGGUAGUCCUUGAACUCCUCCUCGUUCUUCUCCAUGUAGAGCUGGAGGUUCUCGCAGAUGGCGGCGCGGAGGGCGUCGACGGUGCCGUCGGCCUCGACGGCGGGGGGGUAGGCGGCGGUGAGGUAGGCGCGGAACUCGGUCAUCCACUCGCGCAUGUGGUCCUCGAAGAACUCGGGGAGCUCGAUGGCGUUGAGGGAGUGGAAGAUCUCGCAGCAGAGGCGCUGGGACUCGAAGAGCGGGCGGAGGGCGGCGGGGGAGGAGGGGAGGGAGGAGGAGAUGAGGCGGGAGGUGCGGAGGAAGGCGUCGAGGAGGGGGGCGGCGAAGAGGUCGAGGCAGUACUUGAGGUCGAGGCGGAGGGCGGGGGUGUCGAAGGAGUGGCGGAACUUGAGGAAGAGGGAGUGGGCGGCGGAGAGGACGGCGUUGGCGCGGGGGAAGUCGGCGUCGGCGGAGGCGGCGGAGAGGGCGGAGACAAGGUUGGGGAGGAGGGAGGGCCAGCGGGCGGGGAAGUCGGCGGCGGAGGCGAGGGCGAGGGAGUCGGAGAGGAGGGGGCGGAGGCGGUCGGGGGAGUCGAGGAGGAGGGGGAGGAGGAGGGACUUGAUCAGCUCCCGGUCGGGGCCGGGGAGCGGGUUGUCGGCGUCCGGGGACCAGCGGGACCGGAGGAGGUUCUUGAAGUGACGCGCGGCCGCCAGCGGGCACCUGCGGUCGCGGACGGGAGGGACGCCAGCCGCAGCAGCGCCAGCGGGAACCCCGGGGCCGACGCCGCCGCCGCCAGCGACGACUCCGCCGCCCGCCGCACCGACGCGUCCGGGGACAGGGACUGCAGGAACCACCCCGACAGCGCGUCUAGGGUUUCCGCCGGCACGUCCAUUAUUUCCCUCCCGCUAGGGUUUUUUUUCUCUGUCGGAACUACACUACACUACACCACAAUCGGGGAAAUGGCAGUGAAAGUGGACGGGAGAGAGAAGAGGAACUCUCCGACUUAGAGAACGCGAGUUUUCCCUACCGGGUAGGGUUUCCUUUCCUUCAAACGAGAGAGAGAGAGAAGGGAGAGAGAGGAGGAGGGGGGAGUGAAAGGGUUUUUUCCCACAGCUUCGAACGGUAAAUAGAAAAAUGAAAAAGUUGUGAAAGCUCAUCUCGGGCACGGUACUGGAGUAUCAUUUAAAAAUAAUUUUUUUAAAAAAAUUAAGGAACAAAGAAGGGGGGUUUUGCAUAUUGAUGCUUUUCAAAUUUUAGAGGCACAUUUUUAAUCAAAAAGUUUCGGUUUGAUUAUUAAACUUUUAGAUUUUAGAUAUUCAAUAGUUUUGCUUUUAAAAGCUUUGUGUUUUAGUCUUUGUUUUGUUUAGAAAAAAUAUUAUUGCUUUCCAAUGAUGUUUUUGUAUAUCGUAUACUGAAUAUAUAUUAAUCUGAAUCAUUAUUAAAGUAUAAUUUUUUUAAAAAUUAAACAGUUGGACUAGACAAAUGAGGUGAAUGAACAUUCAAUAUAUAGAUUUGUGAAACUCAAAUAUGUCAAUGCAUCGCGUACAAAUAAUACAUUUAUUCUAAUAAGAUAGAAAGUCAAACAAAAUAAUCUUGAAAAUCUUUAAAUUUUUUUAUAGUUUUUGUUGCCUUUUUUCUUACUGCCAAACUAUCUUUUUAUGGUUUAUCGACUUUUAUCUUCUUUCUUUUGCUCCCUUGUCUCUCCCCUCAAAUUCUCUCUUCUUCUCUUUCCCUCAUUUUUUUUAUUUUCAUAUUUUCCUUUGACGAGAUACUAUCAUGCGAGAAGUCCUCUCCUCUUUCUCAAUUUUUUUUAGCGCAAAUGACAGUAACAUACGCUGAUUGACUUAAUUUGAAGUGUUGAAUACAAUAUAAAUUCAUCUUACUCUUUAUUUUCUAUAAAAAAAAAUUAUGAUGACGCGUAAAAGAUAAUCAUAAGGAAGAGAAAAUAUUUGUAUCUCUUUUUCUUUGUCAGGUUCGGUUAACAAUUUCAGUGGGAUGCAUAGAGAAACUUACCAACAUGAUUAUAAUGUUUUUAAUUUUUUUCAUUGACAAUAGAUGGUGACAGAAUGUUCAUGGUUACAAAGACGACCUGGAUUUCAAAUAUGUUGCCAUAUGAUUUGUCCACAUUGGCGGGUUAUGAUUAAACCCGAUCCACAUAAGAUGUGGAUCAUGAUUUAUCCUAAUAAAUUUAGGAUAAGUAUAAAUUAUAUGUUUUUUAUCGGUUAAGAAACAUAUCUUAUAAUGAAUAUUUAUUAUAUGUUAAUAAAUAUCCCAAUCCUAAUCCUAGUGAGAUUCAGGAUAUUUAGGGGUUCCGUUAUUCUAUAUAUACGCCCCCAUUUUCUCCCGUAGGAACGACGAAAAAAAAAUACGAUCUAAUUCGAUAAUCCACAAAAUCUUCCUUCUUCUCUCUCCUCUUCCUCUCUGGGAUUUCCACCUAUAUUCCCGGGGUUUUAGAGCGUGGGUAUAGGAGAGGACUCUGGUAGCCCUCUCCGAUUCACAUCCGUGACGUAAGGCGUACGCGUGGAAGAAGACGAGAAACGUGGGAGAUCCAGAAGCAUCAAGACAAGGACGAUCCAAGAAGGCUUGUAAAACGAGCAACUCGAUCUGAUUCCAGUUUCCGGAUACGUUUGCUAUCCGGUUUGUAAGUUUUCGCUGCCUAUUAUUUCCAACAAAAUAGAUUUCAAAUGGUCUUUAUUGUCUUAUUCUUAUUUUUCAAGAAGGAUAAUUAAGUGGAAUAAAUAUAAAAUAAAUAAUUUAUGCUGACAUGAAAAAAUGCGUAUCUUAGAUAAAAAUUUGUGAACCGUAGCAUAUAAAAUUUAUUGAACAUUGAUCUAGCAACUGAGAAACGGAGUGUUAAGCCUCUUUGACAGUGACAACCUGUGAUGAGGCUCAAUUAGCAAACACCAUUUCGGUCCAUAUUUGAUAUCUAAUAGUUCGAGUGCGGUAAUUUGAAAUUUCUUUGUUUAGGGACUAUGGGGGCGUUACAAACUCACCCUGUUUAGACCCUAACGUUCUCGUCGGAUCCAAACCAAAUCACAGACAGACAGAUCAGAACCAUUACCAGGCGAUGUGAGAUUCUAGAGGUGGCUCCCACCAAACCCAUUGGUGUAGCACUUUGUCCCGCACAGCACUUAGUUCUCACACUUUCGGCUGGUAUUUGCCUCUGAUACCAAUUACAACGACCGGAUCCGCUAGCAACAAUAACUCGUUGGGCCCAAACCACCGGCCCAAAAUGCUUAAGCCCAGUUAUUAUUACUAGCGUGUAGGCCUCAUAUAAACUGAUCGGAAUCAGUAUCCCAUCCGAUGUGAGACUAUUGGGGGCGUUACAUGUUGAAGUAAUUAAUUUAACAUCAAAAAUUAGAAGGUUGCCGGUCAAAAUGAAAAAUUUGUAAAGAUUUAAAAAACUAGUGGUGUAAAUUAUCCUAAACAAAUUUUAAAAUAUGGGAAAAAAAUCCUUGCGUUCAAGUGCUUUUGUAUGCGAAUGAUUGUGCAAUGGUGCUAUACCCUCUUUCACUCUAUUUUUAUUUUUCCUGUAAAAACCUGCAAUUGUAAAAGAUAAUAAAGUGCUAUCUUUUUGUAAAAUGUUUAUAUAGUAAAAUAUAGUAUUUUUACCAUCUAUACCUUCUUCAUGCCAGAUUUUUUUGAAAACAAAUUUAGUGAAUAAUAAGAUUGUUUCAUAAUUCUUUUUCCUAGAAUAAUAAAAUGCUGCAGAUGAAUAAUAAUAAUAAAAAAACACCCUUCCAAAUGGUAUGCACUAGGAGUGUCAACAAGCCGAACACGCAUGAGUUGAGGUCGACUCGUUUUAUAAAUGAGCCGAACACGAAUUGAUUCAUUAAAGUAUCAAGCCGAAAAAUUUAGCUCGUGUUAACACAAGCCGAACACGAGUUAGCUCAUGAACAACAAAUUUAAAAAAUUAUGAAGAAUACAUAUAGAAAAUAAAUUUGUGAGAUCUUAUUUUUUUGGUCUUGAUCUAAUAGUUGAAACUUUACAUAUAAAUAAUAUUUUUAUAAUUGAGUUAGAUUUUAUAUUUAAAUUAAGCUAAAAAUUAAUUAAUUAUUUAUAUAUAUAAAUAUAAAAUAUAUGCAUUCGAGCUGUUAUCGAUCUGAUCAUGAUCAAAUUGACCCCGACUCGUUGACAUGCUAAAAAAUUUAACUCAUGUUUAAUUCGUUUAUUAAAUAAAAAAUUUAAUAUUGAACUUAUUUUGAGAGAGAUAGGUAGCACGCUACCCGUUUCGUUUAUUUCAUUUAGAAAUAAAUUUAACUGAAAAUGUGAAUCAACUAGAAUUCACAUUUUGAGAGAGAUAGGUAGCACGCUACCCGUUUCGUUCUUUUUGUUUUCUUCCUGCCUUUCAAUUUUAUUUCAUCCUUUUUUGCAUGUUCUUUUGGAGGCCCUGGCUGCUUCCAUUUUGUACGCUUAGUUUAUUUUGCUUAAUGAAUGAAGCAGAUAGCUUGCUAUCUAUUUUUCAAAAAAAAUCAACUAGAAUUCAAAUUUGGAUCUCGAAUAUCAAUCAUUAAAUUUUUUACCACUUGCUUUAGGAACGCUCGGUAAUAUCGAACUUAUUUUAAGCCGAACAAGUAAUGGCUCCCUAGUAUGCGCUAUGCACGCCAAACCUACAAGGAGAAAAUGACAUUAUACUCCCCAUUCACGAGUACCUCGAAAUAUCUGACCCCACCUUUUUUUUAUAUUUUAUUUUUAAUUUCAAGCCUACUACCCCGAGAUGACGAAAGUCGGUGACAGUUAUCUACACGCGGUGCACCAUGUAUCUCGCAGACCGGUCUUCAAUUCAUCACAUGUAUUAAUCUCAACCGUCCGAUAUAACACAAUCCUUCACUCUGAUCGAAAUAUGGACGGGUUAAUAAAUACGCGGUAAAAUAAUGGAGAGUAAUAAAAAGUCGGUGUAAAACGUGCAAGAAUGCACCGGUGCAGCCAAUAAUUUCUCCCUAUGUGAUCCGUCCCCCUUGCCUUAUAUCGGCGGUGUGGCGCACCUGCGCCCUAAACGGCAUAAAACCUCUCCGCCCCUGCGAGUGGGGGUUCCCCGACACCUGCUCCACUCGCGCGCUCCCUCUCACCACCUCUCCCUUCUCCCCCUCCCUUUCUAGGGUUUCUCCGAAGAAGACGAAGACGAAGAAGAAACGCUCCUCUCCUUCCUUGAGGUCAUCAUCUUCCCCCCUCUCCUCUCCUAUCACAUCUAAUCUCUCUGUAGAGACUAGGGUUUUCGCAUUGCUGAUGCCUCAAGCAUCCUUUCCCCCUUAACUUUUCCUUCUCCUGAUGUUGGUUUCCUCAACAAGUUAAUGUUUUGUAGUUACUGUCACAUUAUAGUUGGAGACGCUGUCGGUUAUGUGUGCACUUUUAUGCGGCGGAUCGCGGGGAUUUAGUUGUUUUCCGGUCAUAAACGAUUGCGGACGAUGCUUGUUUUGUAUAGGUUGUUCCAUCUUCAUCAAUUGGAAUGUGGUUGAAUUGUAUGUGGCUAGAUUCAGUGAAAUGUUUUAUAGGCUGGACAUAGCUAAACGGUUCAACGUUUUGAAUGAUUAAGGAUGUAGGGAGGAUCAAAUUCGGUUUUGUUCUUAUGGAGCGGUUGCAUGAAUCUAAUGUUACAGUGGAGUUGUAUAUUUGUGAUUGUUUGCGCGAGUGAACUUUACUCUACAAUCAGUUAGAAACUUAGAAUGUGGAUUAAAUUGACAUUCAUAGACGGUUAUAAAUGUACUUCGUUUUGUGGUGGGUCUGGUCAAUUUUGUUGUUUUCUGUCGUAAAAUGAUUGCUCACAAUACUUGCUUUGUAUAGUUCCUUUUAGCUUCAUUAUAAGUUGGUGACCCUUUCUUCUGUUGCUUGAUGUUAUCUAUUGUGGCUAUUCACACAGAGUGGAGGAGGUAUGACUUCUCAAGUUACGCCUUCGAAGCGGCCUUUCGAAAGGAACCCUUCAGAACCGUAUGGAAGGGGAAAGUGGCAAAAGACUACACCCGCUACAUCUCAGCAGGGUCAGUUCAAAGUACUACCAUGGGCUCCUAUGUUUCGAAUUCUUUGCCCUUCAUCAAAGACUGGAGGUUUGAUAGGCAAAGGCGGCAGUAUUGUAGCAAAAAUACGGCAAGAGACUGGUGCAAAGAUCAAACUGGAGGAAAAUAUACCUGGCUGUGAUGAGCGAGUUGUUAUUAUAACCAGUUAUGAGAAAGAGAAAGAGAAAGACAUGGAUGUUAGUCAUAAGCAGAGUAAGGAGAAUGAAAAGAAUGAACAGACUGCAGCAGACAACGAUAAGGAUAAUGAUAAUGAUGCUGAUGCUGCUGCUGCUGAUGAUGAUGAUAAUGAUAAUGAAAAGGAAAGUGUUGAGAAAAAUGAAGGCAAAGAGGAAUCAGCUGUCGAGGGUUCAAAGCCAGAAAAGGUAACACCAUCGGUAUUGAAGGCUCUUUUGCUUGUCUUUGAGAGGAUCGUUGAAAUGGAAGAAGAUAAAUCUGGUGGAGAUGAAGGAGAAAGUGAGAAGUCCAGUCAUCCUGUUUCUCUGAGAUUAUUAGUGUUAUCCGGCCAAGUAGGCCGCCUUUUAGGAAAAGGCGGAAGUGUAAUUAAGCAGAUGUCGGCUGAUACUGGGGCUCAUAUCAGAGUACUUCCCAAGGAUAAGCUUCCUCUAUGUGCCUCCUGGAAUGAUGAGAUAGUCCAGGUAAGAUAUUUUUCUUACUAUUGCUCAUGUUAAUUUUUUGGUAAAGUCAUAAAGAUGCCUAAAGGCCCUAAACUAUAGUAAAUUUUGAAAUCUAAAGUUUUAAAAUUUUUGAUUGUACAACCUAAGUAGCCUAAGCUUGUAGAAUGUUUGAUUUCAUAACUCCUAACAAAAUAUUCUGUAAGUUAACAGAAUACUCUGCUACUUAGCAGAGUGUGGAAUGACUUCUUUUGAUGAGUUUUGAAAAGAUCUAACAUCUAGUUGUGUUUGAUGAAAAUAUCUGAAAUUAAAAGAAAUUAAGGUGCGUCAUGGUUCAGAUCUUACUGAUUUGUUUACUUAUCUCUUUUAUUCUUGUAUGUUUACUUUUUUAGACUCAUACAUAAUGGCACCAUUUAUUUGAAUCCAACACUGUUGUUUAGUGAUGCUGGAAAUUUUCUAUUGCAUCUUUCUGAUUUUCAGAUCACUGGAGGGAUGGACUCUGUGAGGAAAGCACUUCAUUUAGUUGGUCAGCAACUUUUGGACAACCCCCCUCGAGAGCGUGAUUCGUUUAUUCUGAAUCAACCUGGCUCGUUCUCCCACCCGUUGGGUCAAAGGCCAGAAGGCCCGCCAGCAAAUUAUCACCUCCCUUUUCAAGGACCGCCUUUUCCCAACAGGUCAUUUGAUGCUGUUGAUUACCGUUCAAAUGUUGCUCCACCAUUCCCCAAGUUCCAUGAAAGUGUUGUGUCGGGCCCACAUGAAGUUCCUCCAGAGAUAAUUGUUUAUAGGUUAUUAUGUUCCAAUGUUAAGGUUGGCGGUGUAAUUGGCAAGGGUGGCAGUGUUAUUAAGAAUCUUCAACAUGAAACGGGUUGUGAAAUAAAAGUUCUUGAGACAACUCCAGAGUCGGAGGAUCGCAUUAUUGUAAUAUCUGGGCCUGUGGUAUGCUCCUACAUUAUUUUUAGCCUUCUUUAGUAAUCUAUGCAUUGAUAGUACGUGGGGCUGCGAUAAUGCUCCGACAUUAUUUUUCAGUCGCCUAGGUGCAUGGUUAAGCUUCUUUCAGGAAAAGAAACAAAAAUUUCCAAUUAUCUUUAUUUAGAGUAUAAUUGAUGCCUAUGUAAAUUAACAACAGUGAUUAUGUUACUUCUUGUCCUCGUUAUCUAAUUUGGUGGAAAUGUACUUGUCUUUGAUUCUGUAUGUCUUUUAGCUACUGUUAGCCUGUUGUUUGGCAUGAAUCUCGUGCAAUGAAAAACCACUUCUAUUGUGCGUUCCAUUUGAACCAUUUGUGAUAGGUCUUUGACUGGUUGCCAACAUCUACAGUUUCACAAUUAUUUCAUUCAACAAGCAAGGUUCACUAAUUUGAUUGGUUACAUCUUGUAUGUUGUAGCACCCGAGUGAUAGGAUCUCUCCACCACAGAAUGCAGUUCUUCUUGUACAACGCAGACUUCUGAUGGCUGUGCAUGAUAAAAAAGAGAGCAAUGUGACAACUAGGGUUCUGGUUGCAUCCCAUCAAACUGGCUGUCUCCUUGGUAAAGGAGGUUCUGUAAUAGCUGAAAUGAGGAAACUUUCAGGGGCUCACAUUCGAAUUUUGGGUAAAGAUCAAAUACCAAUAGGCGUGCAGGAUAAUGAUGAAGUGGUUCAGGUGUGCUUUCUAUUCUUUUACAUAUUUUUUUUGCUAUAGAAAAAUGUUUCUCAAAAUCUGCUUCAAUCUGUGUCAUACCGAAGGGAAACAUUGAUUUUUGAAUCUUCCCUUUGUAGGUUAACGGUGAAUUUGAGGUUGUUCAAGAAGCUCUUGUGCAGAUCACGACUAGGCUUAGGCAUCAUUUGUUUCGUGAAAAAUUUCGUGCUUCGAAUCCUAAUAAUUUUGGCGAGCAAGUGCCUCCUUUCGGUCCAUUCAUGGGAAGACGGGAAUUUUCACCCCCUAGGUACCCCAAUAUGCCCCCUUUUCAGAAGGAUCCUUUUGGCCGUCCUUUUGAUGAGAGGCCUAUAUUUGGCAAUAUGAUACACAGCCCAGGCGUUCCUCAUGGUGUUGAAAGGUCAGGACCUUGGCCGCCACAGGUAACAGACAUCUCUUUCCUAAGAUUAUUUACAAGCAGUUCCUGUUGCCUCUUGGGGCAUUAUAUUUUGGUGUGUUAGAAAUAUACAGAGCUUACCCAAACUAAAGCAUGUUUUGAAAUGGGUAGCUUAAACUUUAACAAUUUUGAUUUUACUAACUAAAUGCCAGUAUAAUUGCCUUUCCACCGGUCCUUAGGUAUUUCUAACUGUUUUAGACUGAAUAUCUGUAAGCUAUCAAAGUAUUCUGCAUCUUGACAGAUUCUCUUUUAGUAGAUAGUAAAAUCAAAAUUUUUUGCUCUGAUACCCAUUUCAAGAUUCUCUAUACUGGCCACUGGGAUAAGGGUUGUACAUUUUUUCCCUACCUUGGCGUUAUAAACAGAGCUUCAUUUUGUGGUGCAAAUGUAACUUUUGCAGAAAUAUUGUUCUUUGCUAAACAAAUUUCUGAAUCUUUACUAACUAUAAAAGCUUGAAAAGGUUAUUGGAAAGUCAAUAUUCUAUAGGGCCUAGCCUAGUGGAAGUUUGAAUUUUUAUGAUUUCACUUCUCUUUCUAGAUAUUAAAGAUGCUUUACAAAUUGAUGCUGUAAUUUAGCGCUUAAGAAUUAAUUUAGAAGUGAAUUACAUAUGCUUUAUGUAUCUUCUAGCUCUUCAGCUUUCAGGAAUGGAUGUAUUAUGGUUCUUCUGGUAACUCUUAUUAAUAUGUAAAAUAGAUUAGGAUAUUCAUUGGCCUGAAAAUGCAUUUCAUCGGUUCUUGUAUAAUUUGACGUUGGAAUUUUGAAAACGUGGCUUUAUCUAUUUUCAAUAAUUAGAAUUGGUAUCUUCGGUGUGUUUUGAAGUUUUUACCAUAGUACUCGCCGCUUUUUGAAAUUACUUGCUGUACAAAUUUCUUUCCUUUUUGAAUAAUAGGGUAUGAGGGAAGGUGGUCCCAUGCCUCCACCUGACUACCCAGGAGGACCUCAAAGAAGAAUGGGUGGAUUUAGUGGGUUAGAUUCUUGCCCCCACAAUCUUUUAAUAUUUUAAAGCCCUUUUCUUCUGUCGGAUGUUCAUUGAGUUCCUCUUUGUUGCAUAAUUCAUCAUUUUCUAUGCAGUGCCAAUCAGCCGCCUGUAAUUACCAAUACAACUGUGGAUGUUGUUGUUCCCCGAUCUCUUGUACCUUCCUUAUAUGGGGAGGAUGGAGGAUGUUUGCGACGGAUUCGUGAGGUUUGCUUUAAAUUUAUUUUUAAGUUUUAGGCACGUCUAAAAUUUAGUGAUUGACUUCUUCUCCUUUUUCAGAUCUCAGAAGCUAAAAUUUCUAUAACUGAACCUAGACCUGAAGCUACAGAGACUGUGAUCAUAAUAUCUGGAACUCCUGAGCAGACGCAUGCUGCCCAGAGUCUUAUUCAGGCCUUUGUUCUGAGUGAAUCGGGUUCUACUUGAUUUGCCGACUCUCUUUUGGAAGGUGAUAUCCUCCCCUUUAUGAUCGAUCCAUUAUGUUUUGAUCUGUAAUUUUCAUUGUUCCGUACUAAUUAAAUUUCUCAGCUGAAGAUCAAGAUGUUUGAAGAAAGCCAGAAUAUAGUUUUGCAGAUUAGAUUUACAACUUUAAGUGGAACAACUGUAGGCUCUUUUUAAGUUUGCCAGUGACAAGAUCGUUUCUGAAAGGCAUUACAUAGUAUCGGAAAUGAUAAAUUUCACCAUGGUAGCGUCGGUGUCAGUGCCAGUGCAUGAGAACUGAAAUGUGUUUAAAACCUUUUGUACAAGCAAAGAUGUUAAAAUUAAGUUAAUAUAAUUUUUUCUAGAAAAGAGGGUAUGCAUGCCCUUCUUGGUUUCAUGUCUGACCCGGUUAUGUGCCAGCAUAACUGUCUUAAGUUAAGUGCGAGUCUUAUUGUAAACUGAUUAUUGGUAGGCGACUUUCUUGUUUUGUAAAUCUUUUGCUCUAUUAACAAUUUUAGAACUGUUUGCAUAUGAUGAUUCAUUUUCUUCCUGCUUUGCCUUUUUGUUGUAGCUCUUUUUGGAGGCCCUAGCUGGUUGGUUCCAUACUGUACGCUUAGUGCAUUUUGCUUAAUGAAAUAAGUAGGUAGCGCGCUACUUCUUUCUCAAAAAAAAAGAUGAUUCAAUGAUGCCAUGCUGUUGAUUUAUGUGAUAUUACAUAGCGGAAAUCCGACGUGUCAUCAUGAUCUCUUGAUACGAAGCUUCUAGCUGAGUACUGUUAUAGGCUUUGUAGAAUGCUAUUUUUGUUUAUACAUUAUCAAUGUGUUGUUGAUGCUUAUCAUAUAAAAAUUGUUGAUUAGUUCGGACACACAGCUCAAAGGUGCUGCAUGUGUUUGUCGAGGGGUCCAAAGCAUUUCUUAGAUUGAAUCAGCGAGUAAACAUUAAGUUAUGGAGCGAAAUAAUUUCUUCGAUACCCAUAUGAAAGGAUCAAAAUGAAAUACCUUCAUAGUUUGGAUGUUUUCACUCUUACUCUCCCCAUAAUUACAUAGCGCGCGUGUGAAUUUUGUGACAUCUAGUUCAUGCGAAAGUCGACAUGCAUCUGGAUCGGAGGAAUCUGCUGGUGCAGUUGUAACUUUGAACCACUAUAGCAAGCAUUGAUAUUUUUCCGGAGCGUUCACGUGAUUGCUGCUUCUGCGUGUUCUUUGUACUUGGACCAAAGUAAUGCGUAGAAAACGUACAAUUUUGACAAAAUUUUUUUUGAGGGUUUGAUUGGUUUCAUCCCUCCACUUAAAAUCAUCUUCCUUAAAUCUGAAUGUCUCAGCAGCUAUUGGCUAUUUAUCUUUUCGUACAUAAAGGUAAAGGGGAAGCAGCAAAUUACACAAAUAUUUUUGUGGGCCGCAAAUUUAAUAUAAUAUAUAUUUUUGAUCAAAAUCUUUCGUAUUAUAAAUGUUAAUACAUCAGUAUAUUAGAACAUCAUUUUGGGGCAUCCAAACACGUUAAAUAUAUAACCUUAUACAGGACUCUUGGUGCGGUACUCCAUAACAUUAUUGUUUCCAAAUUGUGGACGAGGCAUGUGUGAUUUAAGACUCUACAUUAAGUUUAGACCCAAAAAAAAGACAGAAAAAAAAAAGCAGCACUCAAGGCAUGUAACACUACUGCCGCGUUGAUCUAUUAAUUAAAUAAUAAUUUGUAAUUUUUUUUAAUGAAAAAGAAAAGAGAAGGUGCCGCACUGCUGCGCCAGUUUCGCUUGAGAAGAUGGUGUGGGGUGACUGGGGUCUUCAAACUCCGAGUAACCUUUUUUCACGACGGCUGUUAAAAGAGCCCACUUCGGCCGCUUCACUUUUUGUUUGAAAUCCAACGCGGUGUUGGUGGAGGGCUCAGAAUCUGUGCCAAAAUAAUUAUGUUGAGAUGAAGAGGAGUCUAAUUAAAAAUAAUACAAUACUUAUAUAUUAUAAUGAUGGCUUGUUUUUUUUUUUUUUUUUAAAAGUACUUUUUUACAGAGCGGAGAUAUUUAAUCGGAUAACAAAAGACUUUCUCGUGUUGAAAUGUGAAUUAAUUAGAAUUCAAAUUUGAAAUCUCAGAUACCAAUCAUCAAAUUCUUUGCCACUUACGCUAGGAACGAUUAAUUAUAUGAAAUAUUUUUAUCUUUAGAAAUCUAAGAGUUCAGCAUCAUCCUUAUGUUUACAUUAUUUUAGAAAACUCUAAACCAUUAGAAAAUUAAAACACAAUAAAUUGAAGUGCAAAAUCUAGAGUAAUACUCACACAAUAGAAUGUGAACUAAUAAGUGUAAAACGAAUAACCCCGAAUUUUUGAUUCACUUUUUAUGCAUUAUAGAUAGAUAUACAUCUUGUAAUUUGAAAUUUUAUUAUCUGUAACUGAGUUUUGCAACUGGUCCAUUGUAGUCCACGGUCCAGCGAAAAAAACUUCUCCUCUCAGUAGGAGCCUCUCUCUCUCUCUCUCUCUCUCUCUCUCUCUCCGUGUCCCUGCACCUCAUUUUCUCUGUACAUUACCCUACAUUUAGAUCAAAAUCACCAGCUUCGGCUUCUUCCCCACCUCACUUUUUUGGUUCACAUUUCUCUCGUUUAGGUAGAAAACUGGGAAGGGUUUUGGUUCGAGGCAUCAGAAAGAAGCCCAAAAUCUCUGUUUUUUGCUCCCUCUCUUUGAUUUCCUUCUUUUAACAGGUUAGGAAACCAAAUGGGCAAAUGGGUUUUGGAGUUUAGAGAGAGUUUUUAGAGAUUUUACUCACUUUUGUGCCACCCAUUUGGCCAUUUCCUUGUUGUUGUUCUAUGGUGUUAUCCAACUAUAAAAUGUGUUUUUUUUUUUUUUUUUGCAGGAAAGGGCUGUAGAAGCUUCAAGUUCUGAUUUUGGUCCAUCGAUGGGGACUGUGUCUCCAUCUUCCUUAUGUGCCCAUCAUGAGGAAGAAUCAAGCAUUGAUGAGUUAGUGAUGCAGCAGAACCUACUGUUCUCUGAGAGCCUCAAGGUGCUUAUGCUCACAUUUCCCAGUUUACAUAUAAUUUCCCUUCAAUAAGUGUUUGCAAUAUUUGGGCUUUGGGAACUUGCAUAUAUAGCAUCAUCCAAUUUUGGUUCACAUUGAGACAUUUGUUGCAAUUAUGGAAAAGACCAUGUCCUUCAAUUUACACCUUUCCCAAAACUAGUUGUAUAAUGUUCACAUUUCCAAUUUCUCUAAAUAUUUCAUUAGAAUAUUGUGUGUUUUAGUGAAGGUGUAUGCUAAUAUCUGAAUUUUUUUUUUUUGCAAUUAAAUUUAGUCUACUACCCAAUUUUAUACCCCAUCUUCAGGAAACUGUAAAGUUGUACUUUUCUUUGGAGAAAGUAGGAAUUGGACUUCACCCUUUCCCAAUACUCUUCAUUUGUGUCUCAAAGACAGAUGGGGUUCCCUGUAGAAAUUUUUCCUUUAUAAAUAUUUUGCUGCCACUCACUUUAGUAAUGGAGUUAAAGUUCAUUUCAGAGAAAGUAAUACAGUUAAGUUGGCGAAUUGCGCCCUGUGAUGAUUCUGUAUUUUCUGGGAAUAUAGUUCAUAUCGGGCAGCAUAUCUGUACCAGUUAAAGUUGAACCCAUAUGAAUGUAAUUCCGAUUGUUGGAUAUCUUCUGAUCUUUUUUUUUGUGUGUUUUCUGUGCAGCUUUUUCUGCAAUUUUUCUGCCGUUGCUUAUAAUUGUUUAUAUUUUAAGGUUAAUCUGUCUUAUGCUUUCAGGAUUUGAAGAAUCUCAGGUCACAGUUGUAUUCGGCAGCAGAAUAUUUUGAAUUAGCUUACAAUAACCGUAAACAAAAGCAGAUGUAUGCUUAUAAUUUUGCUCCUUUCUUAUUAUUUAAUUGGAGGUCCAGAAAUGAAUUUCUUCUUCCCUUGAACUCUUUCAGGAUGAUGGACAGUCUGAAAGAUUACACUGUCGAGGCUCUUGUUAGUACUGUAGAUCAUUUGGGCUCUGUGUCGUAUAAGGCGAAUGAUCUUCUCAACGAAAGAGUUGAAGAGGUUUCUGGAACCGAACUUCGAGUUUCUUGUGUUGAACAGGUACUUUUAGUACUUGAAAACACUAUUUGAUUGGGAUAUGUUGUGGGAAUAGUUACCACUAUCCAGCCGAGCAAUAGUGGGGAUCAGUGGAAUUACUACCUGGAAUUGGCUUAUAGCAGUCCUAUCCCUAGGGAUAACUAUUCUGUUUGAUUGGGUAGACUGGAAGGGAUAGGCCCUUGAGUAGCUAUUUAUUCUAGGUUGUCUCCUCUAUCCUCAACCGUGGGUAGACUGGAAGGGAUAGGCCCUUGAGUAGCUAUUUAUUCUAGGUUGUCUCCUCUAUCCUCAACCGUGGGUAGACUGGAAGGGAUAGGCCCUUGAGUAGCUAUUUAUUCUAGUUUGUCUCCACUAUCCUCAACCGAAACAUAGUGGGAAUAGCACCUAGAAUUAAAGUUCUUGUGAAGGAUCUUAAUCUCUAUCCCUAGGAUGGGAUCCCCACCAAAACAUUGUUUUAUAAAAUGAUAGUUAUUCUGAAAUAUACAACAUAUGAUCUUUGUUGUGCUGCUGUCAGAGAAUAAAGACCUGUCAAGAUUACAUUGACCGUGAAGGGCGUUUGCAACAAUCUCCUGUCAUCAAAACUCCCAAGUUUCACAAGCACUGCAUUUUAUCAGGCAAAUUUUAUUCCUUUGUGAUCUUCCUUUGGAAAAGUCGCUCCAGUAAUGGUGGUGCAAAUGUGGUUACUUUACUGAAUUUUUUUCCCUUCCAGUAGGUAGCACAAUGACCGAGUUAGGGACACAUUCAAUACCAAUUUAUCGAGAAUCUAGGCAACCUAAGGCGAAUGGUGAACCACUAGUUCUACAGCCUGGUAUUUCCACCUCUAUCCCAUUAUUCCAUAGAUACACUUAAAAAGAGUGCCAAAAUUAUACUUUAUUAUUAUUAUUAUUAUUAUUAUUAUUAUUAUUUUUUCCCAGUGAUAUCUUCAACAGUUAGGGAAAGGCCACCUUUGUUCAGGUACACAGUUUAGUCGCAGGAAGUGAAGUUAUUUCAAUUUUUUGAUUGGUCAAUCUUGGCUUUACAUUUUAUAACACCUCAAUUUCUUUUUUCUUCUUGCAGUAAACCUCCUCCUCAUUCUACUUCCAAAUCCGAAAGGUCGCGCUCUCUAUCACCCUAUCGGAAGGCACGUUCACCAUCCCCGUCCCCAUCAGUUGGGAAUUCUACUGUCAAAGGUAUUGGCUUAGUUACAAAUCCUCUGAAGGAGUGUUAUAUUUUGCAAUCAUUCUUAUCCUCUUUGCCGUGUAUGUAGGAAAAAGACCUCUUUCACCAGUAUCACCCGCAAAUCCAUUAUUGCGCACUGCAUCACUCUCAAGUCGAGCAGCUGUCCGAAGUUCAUCAAACUUUGUCCCCUCGGUAUGCCAACUUCCCUUUCUUUCACGCUUGCAUAUUUGUCCUGGUGUUUAGAUGAAGCAAAUAUUUCUUGAGGCCCGGUUUCAAUAAAUCAGCAAAUAUGAAAUGAUUAAGUCGUAGUAUGCUUUACUUGUUUUUCUUUUUUGUUUUCCUCACAAUCUUUGGUGUAAGAAGUAUCCAGAGAUAAACUUCUUUAUUUUGCGACUGUUAGUUCAGAAUCUCAUCUUUUUACCUUUAUAAGGAGAGUUCUUGCUGGCAAUUUCAGCAACAGAGAUGCUUUCGGCGGAAGCUAAUAUAAUUUCAUCUUUAUGUUGCAGUAUUCUGGGGAGAUUCAUUCAGUGUCAUUGCCCUUGUAUAGUGAAAAUAUGAAUGGUAAAGAGGCAGAAAAAAGCUUGAAGAAAAGCAGAGGCUUCCUCAAAUCCUUGCUCACAAGGCGCAGAUCAAGGAACGAUGAGUCAUUGUACAGUUACUUGGAUGAAUAUUAAGAAGCGUAUACGUGAAAAAAAAAAGAGUGCAAAAGCCAAGUAACUUGUUCAACACCUUUUACUUUGUUUUUCAUUUUUCUCCCUCAUAUGGUGUAAAGGAAAUUUAUUUAUAAAAUUGAAAAACUUCUUAUUUGUCUUAUAGAGCUUCGUAGCUAUAUUGCGAGAUUUUCUGGUGAAUUAAUAUCUUGCUGAUUCUGAAGCUAUAGCUACCAGGGAAUAUUACAAAGCAUCACAAUUUCGGAGAUUCCGGGAGUUCUACUUAGAUAUAAUAAUUUAUAAUUUAGGGAGUCAAAAAGAAUAAUUUAGUAACCUAUUAGUAAAGAGUUUGAAACAGUGAAUAAUGAGCCCAUUGUUAUGCUAGUGUUAAUGCCUGCAGAAUAUAUAUAUUUUUUACCAGAGAAGACCAAAAGAGUGGAAAAGUAAAUGAUAUAUUUACUAAAUUCAUAAUUUGAAUACUUAUCCUGUUGUUUGUAUAUAGGGUUGAACAGUAAAUUGAACACCCAAUGCACUCUCAGAAAUCAUUAUAUUCAAUCCUUCACAAUUACUAUCUUCCUAAGGACUAAACCCUAAAAUAAAGAUAAUGCCCUUCAAGGAAUGAACUCUUGUUUUCCUUGCAUGGAACUGCAUAUGCAUAUGUGCAAUGAUUACUAGUCCAAGCAACUGUGAAAGAUUCACAUCAUUUUGCUUAGAGAAACUGAGACUCUUGGUUUUGUUUCGACAAUCCAAGUUAUGAAGGGAAGUUUAUAAUUUAUCGCAUACAUGGUUAGAUGCCUAACUGAACUGUCUAUUAGAUAAUAAAACAAGCAAUGCAGAGCUCUGUGCCAACCACAUUAGACACUUUCUGUUUUAUGCCAUUCACUCUAUGUUACCAAAUUUGGGUGUUGUUCCUUUUUUUUUGUUUUCCUCUGCACAAACCAUCUUCAAGUACCAUGUUCAUUUUUAAGUAAAUUUUUGACUAAAUGAACCUGGCAGCCUUCUCUUUGCAACCACUUUGUCUUCUUGCUGAAUCAUGCUUAAUUUCGUAACUUUUUCUUGUGAACUGGAUACCGACGGUCGUAGUUACUUAUUUGUUAAGCUUUUCUUUUGGCGUCUGCUAAUCGGACAGUUGUUACUCGCCUGUUAAGUUCUUAUUUUCAAAGCAUUUGCUAAUCGCAGAGUCGGUUGCAUAGUUGUGCAAUUUAUGGACAAUGAUUGGUGUUAGGUCAAAUUUUUUCCACUAUUAAUGAUUGGAAGGUACAUGGAGGCUUAUAUCAAGCUUUAUAGUGAUCCAUCUCAAUAUCUUUUUAUAGUACUCAUCUUUAGUCUCUUUCAUAUACUUACUGAUAUUAUUUCGAUGAGAUAUUUGCAUACAAGAUUCUUCUUUCCAUAUCUACCACCAUUAUUUGCCUGCAUAUUUUCAGAAGUGGUCCUUGAUUUCUCAUUAUUAUUGUGUGUCAGUGAAGGGGCAUUCUAGCAAUUUUGUAAUAAAUUGAUUGUGGCCUAAAUUUGCAAAAACCAAAAUUAAGGGCUAGCAUUACAACAUAUGGAAAAGCCUAGAUUUUUUUUUUUUUGGCAAAAAUCUCCUAAACAGUAAAUUUGGAAUUUUUCUCUUCUAUUAUUCUUUCAACAGUAUGCAUAUUUAUCAUGUAUUCAGGUGCGAUAAUAAACUCAGGAGUUCAAGUUUUUGUCUAAGCUUAAAUAUGAGACUCGUACCGUAACUUUAGGAGUUUUUGAUACAGGGUCUAUGUGCUGAAUCAAUAUUAAUAAUCUAUUAGAUAACACUAAGGGUGUGUUUGGUUCGCACUAUGAAAGAUUACUAGCAAUAAAAAGAUGUCCGAGAAUCUUAUUCCUAUUCAUCCUAUUACUAAGAAUGUGUCAUUUCUGUGUUUGGUUCAUACGGUUAUAUUAUUUAGUCAUGUUAUUUAAGUUUACAAAAAAAUAUACAAUUAAUUAAUUUAUUUCUUUAAUUAAUUUUAGAUAAUGCCACAAAAAAUUUCAACAUCUUUUUAGAAAAAAAGAGAGAGAGAACAUAGGUUAGAGAGAGAGAGAGAGCAUAAUUAAAGAAAUAGGAAGAGAAAGAGAAAUAGAGUCGAGAUUAGAGGGAGUGAGAAAGUUAAGAUUUUAAAAAAAGAGGGGGAAAGAGAGCUUAGUUUAGAGAGAGAAAAAUAGUUGAAGUUUAGAGAGAAAAAAAAAAGUUUAGAGAGAGAUAUGAGGUUAAAGUGUAAAGAAAAAUAAUACCAACUAGCCGGCGGCGGGUAGGGAGAAAGAAAGAGAUUAGACAUAUUAUGAUUACCGCAAUCCAUUAAUAUGAGGAUACCCACCAUCUCUCAAGGGAAUGAGAUUAGUACUUUGGGAUGAAUCUCAUUCCCAAGUAAAUCUAAUAUUACCAACUAGAUUACUUAGUGCGUUUAGCCAAACACCGUCAUAUUUUUUUAUUUCUAUUGGAUUACUAGAAAUUUUAAAAAGAUAGCGCGAACCAAACGCACCCUAAUAGCUAACAUAAAAACUGGUUUAGCUAAUUCCUAUUUCAAUAUUAAGAAGUCAAAAGUGCUUAAUUUAUGCUAACAAGUGAUUUAUGAGAUUAUCAUUAUUAUUAUUAAUUUUCUUUUUCCCUUCUGUUCUACCGAGAACAUGUCCAUUCACUAUCCUAUAGUAAAAUCAUCAACCUCUGGACUGGAGCUCUCAGUUGAUGCUAACACUUAAUAGUUUAUUUUAAUUUCAAUUCUAAAUAUUCAGUAAGUCAAAAGUGCUUAUUUUAUGCUCAGUACAUCAUUAUUAAUCACACCUCCAAAUACGCAGAAGUGAAAACUAGUUUUAGUUUUUAGAAAUAAAUAGUCUUACCCAAACAUAUCAGAUGAUUUUAUCAAAUCCAUAGCUAAUUUUAUGAAAUUAAUGGUUUUAUAAUCACCUUUUAUGAAAUAAAACUGAACCAAUUAACAGUAAUAAUUAAUAGAACUAUUAAAUUAGACAUAAUAUUCAACUUAACUAACUAAAAUAGCUCAAAUGAAAAAAAAAAAAAAAGAGUAGCUAUUGACCAGCAAUAUAUUGACAGAUUUUAAUCAGUUCUGAAGAAGAAAAACAUGAAAGAGACAAAUCAUUUCCACAAACAAAACCAAAUAUACAAGCAAAGGAUGUUUAUCAUGUUGCAUUUACACAUCUCCUCACUUGGGUGUGAAUUGUUUUUCUUGUGUUCCUCAUUGACAAAAAAGAUAGAAGACACAACAAAAGAGUAAAAAGCUCCUGCAACACAUCCCAGGAGAACCUGCAUUUAAAUCUCUGUAUAUGUAUCGAACACUUCUCGCCGCUCUCACAACAUCUUCAUCAGGCAUUGGCCCACAAUAUGUUAUCUCUCAUUCUGUAACUCAUCAUAUAUAUAUAUAUAUAUAUAUAUUAUGAUGAAGGAAAAAUGCGCCCUCUUUUCGAUCUUCAUGCCUUGUUCUCAAUGUUACUUUCUGCUGCAUCCCCAAUUUGCACUGCUAUUAGAAGUGGUUGAGUCAGUGAAGCAUCAGAUUGAUUGAAAAGAAACACUAAAAAUGCGUUUAAAGUGUGUAAACUUAAAGUACAAAUUCUGAAUAUAAGUAGGAAUGAGAGUAAUUAAACUAGAAAGAAGAGUUUAUGAAAAGAGCCCGAGCAAUUAAACCGCAAACAUGAAUUUAAGGUAAAAGCCUGGGUCAAGGUGUCGGCAGGAGCAUUGUCCUAGAGCCGAUAUUCGCCCCUUGGCAUGCACAGCUCUGAGCUAGUCUCAGCUCUAUUGAUAAAAACGAACCUUGGUUGUCAAAGAGGCGCUUUUGAUUGACUCGCUUUCAUUUUUGGAAAAAAAGUGUUCUAAUAUCGGAGAGGAGUAAUGAGAAAAUCGCGAUAUCAUUAAGGAGCUCAAAAUAGGACCGCAUAUAGUGAGAACAAACAGGUUCUUUUUACCUAGGAGAUGGCGGGCGCAACUCGAACAGGCUUCAAAAUUCUGAGGACUUUUUUCGCAUGCUCGAAGCAGAGAAGGAUUGCUCCGAAAAAGUAAAGCAAGGUAAAUUGUAGCUUUCUCAGCACGCUGUAUGUUAAUACAACAUAACUAACUUCAUCGUCGCUCCUUUUGGUCAGCGAACCGAGCAGCCCAGGCACCAUACAACCUGAUUCAAAUUAAAGAUCUCCGCUAUGAGAAAACCAUAAGAUUACUAGAGCUUCUUGUUUCAAGCAGAGUUAAGAUUACAAUUUUUCAAAAUUGCACUGCAGUACAUACCAGGGGCAUUCUUAGGAAUGUUGGACCAGUUUUCUGGUUCUAGCUUUGAUUUUGAUGCCUUAAUCAACUCAACAAGAGAUAGAUUAACCUGCGUUAAUUAAAUUAUCGGUGAUUUUUACAGAAUUCUCGAACACGGAUUAAUCUAGUUGAAGCUUAAGCAUGAUUCUCUGGAGAAAACAAAAUGGCGAAAUACAGUUUCAAGGGACAACAUUAGUUACCUCAUCAGGUCUUUCAUGGCUUACUAAAUGACCCCCGUGAAGUUCGACCAUUCUAGCAGCAGGGUAGAGCUUCUCCGCAAGCCUUCUUGCAUGAUAUAGUCGAGCAAUGAUGUCGUCCCUGGCGAAAUAUUUUUCAGCAUAUAAGAAUUAAAAAAGUUGAUUCAUUCUAACUCGUAGGCAUGAGUGAGAUGGGGGAAGAUCAAGAGAGUUAGUAAUCGAACCUCCCAUGAAUAACAGAAACCAAAAAUCCUCCUGAACGAAUCCGGUCGAGUUCAGUUGAUGUCAGUUUGUGCGUCCAGCAUGCGUUAAUCUGGCCUUCAAAGCCAUGGCUGGACUGCAUGCCGUUCGACGUAAGCCCCUUGACGUAUUCCUGCCAAAAGUGGAAAUAGCAUUUUCCGGUUCAUAUAGCAGCACAAGGUAUUUCUUCCAAUUAUAAGGGAACAAGAAUUGCAUAUCUAGCAUUCUUAAAUUGUCAACAACUGUUUAACGAUGGCGUUUUGUAAAAGGACUGCUCGUUAUGACGGUUACGUCUUGACGCAUGCACUACAGUGAUGUAGAUUCCGAAAUUCGAAUGUCCUUGACAAAUUGAUCUUGUAGUGUCAAUGUACAAAUUGAUGAGUGCAUUCGCUGAGGGAAUCAAUGUUAUUAGACAUCUAAAUCACUAAGGAAAUGAGUUGCCUAAGAAAGUAUGAAGUCGCUAAGUGGCAUUUAAACAUGAUCUGUAGAAGUGAUAAUGUGAAAUAUUCGAAAGCAUCAACAACCAAGAGACUUGGUUCAUGCCAUUAGUUCAAGGUCUAAGUUUCUGACCUGAUAUAGAAUUUUUCUUCUCGUACUCGAUCCAAUAUGUUCAUCAAGAUAUUCCUGCAAAUGACGUCGAGUAGAAGUACUUAAUCGACUGCAACUGUCAAUUAGUUAAGAAGCACAAAUUUCAAACUAUCUUUUCUUUAAUCUGCUGCUACUCCAGCAGGAAAUAAAAAUCAAACUACAUUCCCACUAACCUUCGUAUAAUGGACUUCGAGAUCAAUAACAGCUCUUUGUUCUGGAGUCUUUGCUCUUAGAAAACGAAAUGCAAGGGACAUGGUUUUGCGAUCGAUCUAUUAAAUAAGAAAGCAAUGCGCCUGUUUAGUAUAAGACUGAAAUAGAAUAAGCCUGCUUUAUUGCAACAAAAUGAAGCAAAAUAGUAUCGAACGCAAUGUAGAUCCAACAUUAAACACCAGAACAACAAUCCACAUAUAAAUUAAACAUUCGCGAUGGGCAAUUAAACCUUUGGGAAGCACUCGAAGCCGCCUCCAGUUGUAUUUAGCAAAGCCAAUGAUAAAACCCUCUCGGGCGCAAUUGCCGCCAACUUUGAAGCUAUCAUAGACCCUAUGUUAUGUACAAACAUGUAAGUGAUCCGCUUUUGAUAAUACUCUCACAUCAAAAACUUGUUAAUCCUUAGUUUUUGGAAGAUGAAAUAAGAAAGAAAUUAAAAGUCGGAGGGAGAGUUACCCAUCGAGUGGCCAAAGAUAUGAGCCUUUCUCCAACCUAAAUGAUCCAACAGAGCCACUGCAUCCUUCGCCAUGAUUAUCGUCCUGCGACACGUAAAACAAGUUAAGCACAUACUUGCAAAGAGGAUCAUCACUCCCCGCAUCACCGCGCGAUAUCCGAGAGGCGUGAAUUAUACCCAACAAUACAAUUUUUCUGUACUGAAUCCAAACAACAAACAAAGUAUGAUCUACGCGCGCAAACAAUCAUCUACAUCUCCAAAAAUGCAAAAUUUUCUUUUUCUUACAUCAGUGAUUAAGAUAAACAGAAACAUGGGAUUGGAGACGUGAUCUCACGUAUAUUGGGAUCUCUCUGCAGGCACAGAGCUCCGGCCCAUCCCGCGAUUAUCGAAGCAGCAGACCUCUAUCCCUUCACCAUCCUCCGCGGCCUCCGCCGCCGCCGUCGCAGGCGCCUCCUCGUCCUGCGAUUCUGCAGUCCCCGCCAGACCCUUUAUCUGCGGAGACCACAUGUCAUGGGUGCCGGCGAACCCUGCAAUUUGAAAACAGUUAGUUGUUAUCAUUAUUUAUUCAAUCAAAACAUAAUUCAAUCAAAAUUCACCAUAAAUAAUUGAAACCGACGAACCCUGCAAUUUGAAAACAAUUACUUGUUAUCAUUAUUUAUUCAAUCAAAACAUAAUUCAAUCAAAAUUCACCAUAUAUAAUUGAAACCGACGAACCCUGCAAUUUGAAAACAGUUCGUUGUUAUCAUUAUUUAUUCAAUCAAAACAUAAUUCAAUCAAAAUUCACCAUAAAUAAUUGAAACUCAGUUGAGGAAACUAUAUAGAGAAAAAAAAAAAAACCAAUAAUGAGGAGAACUUUGGUGGAUCCAUGGCCAUAUCUUUGGUAGAAGAUACGGAUCCCGUUCCCAUGGCUCCCCUUUUUCUCUUCUUCAGGGUGUUUGCUAACGACGCAAUAGGGCAUCUUAACUCCUCCCCUCUCCUCUCUUGUGCCCAAAUUUGGUGUUUAAUUAAUCUCUUAAAAUCAAACAGAGAAAAGUGAGGAGGAAAAUGGGAGAUGCGGUUUUGGCGAUGAUAACAUAUAAACUCUUUAAUUUUGUGCUUGUCCAACAUGUUUGUUUAUAGUUUGAGCCCAAUAAAUUGGUAAAGAAAAAAAAAAUUGAGAAACUAUUUGCAUGCACGUGGUGUAUCCAUGUUCUACACCGAAAAUUUAAUAAUCCACACCUUAGAAUUAAAAUUAAAAUCUUAAUAUUAUAGCGUGUGAUGUGCAAUACGUUAACUAUCUAUAUAUACCAAAAAAAUAAAAUAUUUAUUCUUACAGAUUGUUGAUGUAUAGAUAAAUAAGUAUAAUAUUUUUCGGCUACUUAUCUAACGCAUAAAUUAAUUAAAAUUUUCAUAUUAUGUAUCCAAACACAUCAACUAUUUGUAAAGAGAAUAUUAAAAAUAUAUAGCAGCAGGAUUUAUGUAGAAUAUCACAAUUUUAAAAUCUAUCAUACAAGUAUUAUCUAGUCCUAAUAUAAUUAAUCGCGUUAAAAGAAAUAUUAUUUGACUUGCUAGAAACAGAUAUUUAAAAUUUAUGAGCAAUAUAAAUUACACCUGGUGCAGGGAACAAUUUACCCCUAGAGAUGAGUGCCACGUCGGAGAUACGGUCGGGUGGGGCCCACGUUAGUUGGUGGGAAGAGGGAGUCAACUAUGGAAGGUGGGCGACUCUUCUAUGAAGCCUAAAAAAAAAUAAAAAAAAAUAAAAAAAUAAAAAAAAAUCCUCGGGUCAAAAAAUAUCCCCUAGGGUCAACAUCUUUGACCCAAUAUUUAUUUUUCAGGAAUCUGAUCCUCUCAAUUAUGGGUCAUUUUAAUUUAGUUUUUUUGCUUUAUGGUUUUAUUCAAUGGAUCGAAGAUUUUAUUUAAUUUGAUCGUUAUUUGAAUACGUUGAUUAAUGUGGAUUGUUUUUCUGUGGCUAAGUUAUUUGGCUAAGUCAUUAAUUUUCAUAUUAUUGUAUUCUUAUAAUCCAGCAAACGUAAUAAAAAUAAGUAAGAUAAUAGAUGUAUCAAUUAGGCCAAUGCAUUUUGAUUAUUGUAAAAACCAAAAACAACCAUCCGCAUAUCAAGAUUUUUGUAUUUUUCUAUUCCUUUUUUCCCCUCAUGUUUCGUUUGGAAUGAAAGAAUGUAAUUUUUCUGUAACCUUUUUUCUCGAUACAAGCGGAAUAUCUAAGCAUUUUUUUUUUCUGUUUAUUCAUAUUCAAUGUGUUAGUCGCUGUUUGAUCAAAUAAGAAACAGCGUCAUAGACAAUCCCCAAAUACCUCAAUUUUAUAUAAAUUAUAUUGGAUUGCUACAUUACUAUUACAAAACCCUAGGAAACGUUGACUUUGGAUCGUCUCCUAGAGUUUUUCGCCUUUUUUAUGUAUUCAUAAGUUUUCAAUCUCUUUCAUUCCAGAAAUUGAAGAAGCUUCGGUAAUCUAAGUUCUCAUCAUUCUGAUCGAUCAGGGUAUGAGUUACUCGACCCUCAGAGACAAGGUUCGCGCUUUUUUUUUUUUCUUUUUUUUUGGGGGGGAAGCACAAGUUAAUUGACAAGGCUCGGCCAUGGAUUGAGAGUCAACACGAACACCAAAGUUGAUAAUUUUUCACAUGAUGUUAGAACUUAACAAUAAUAGCAGGAUUACAUCGAGCCUUUCUCUAUUUAUAACAUGUUUCUAUGACGCAUUUAGUCGUAUAGACUUUUUAAGUACAAAUGGAGAACAAAACUGUAAUCAAAAGAUGCCUAGAGAUUAAAAAAAGAGUUUACAACAUUAAAUAGUUCGAUCUAUACAAGAGCAACUACAAGUUUCAUAAGUAUAUCGGACAUAAUCCUACCAAAAAAAAAAGAAAAAGAAAAAGCACUUGGUGACAAAAUUUGCAGCAAAAACAAAAUGAAACAAAAAUGAGUACAUUACAACAACACAACCGAGCCCCAAGGAAUGAAAAUUUACAGUUGAUAAGCCCAAUCAGGUAGAGCCGAGUUUUGCUCUCAUCCUCUGGAGCUUUCACACGAGCUCCCGAGGCUAGCAGAAAUGUCACUUACCAACAACCUGACGACAUGUCGACCAGAGAGCCUGGCGAUCUCCACACACUCUUCUAAGUCCGCAUUACAAGCCAACAACACCCACUCGGGAUCAUCGUCAAGAUACUUAACAUCAAACAUACCAACCUCCAGCUUCAGCCUCUUCGCUAUUUCAUCUUUCAAUUCGGUAACAUUUCCUGCAACCGUGAAGCGGAAUCUUACAAUAUCGUCCUUGUAACUCGCCUUAAUAGUUACAACCCUUGAAUUUGCCAUACUCGUUGGAUUAUUGCUGGUCGGCCCAACAUUGUGCUCAUCAUGAGGAAUUUCUACAGCACAAGGGCAAAGGUUCUUCAAGUAUUUGGAGCUUCCUGAAUCUUCAACGAGCAUUCCAUUAAGUGGAGAUUGCGGCUCUACUGCCGUAGUAUUCAAGCAAAUAAAAUUUGUAUUCGGAUUAAUCAAUCCGAGUGUACAAGAAGGUUUUAAUUCUGGUCCCAAGAAUGUCGAAUUAAACGGCCCAGAAACUACGUUUUCAUUUUGUGGGCUUGCAUGACAUGAACCUUCCGAAGUGUGGGUAUUACUGCUGCCUUCUUCUGAGGAACUUCCUGAUCUUGAACAGUGAGGAAAAAGCUUUUUCCCCGAGCCAUCAUUGUCGGGUGAUGUAUCUCUUGUUGACAAUUUGUUCUCUCUUUCAGUAUGGAGAGUAAAAGGUUUCAAAGGUUCACUUUCCUUUGUUUUGUUCGUUUUGUCUACAUUAGAGGGAGAGGGCAAAGAACCAACAGCAACAGGAAGAGGACAUGGGAGAGACGGUAAAGUAAAUGCACCAUCAACAGAUUCGAUGACUUGUUUCAAUUUUGAAAGCGAGCGGUUGACCUUGUUGAUCUUGCGAGACGGCCAUCUCAAGAUCCCAUGUUGCCUACAUAUGCGCUUCAUUGUCGUCGGACAUACUGCCAAUCCAAAAAAAAUUAAAAAAAAAAGAUGUAAGUUCUAUAAAAAAUGGACUUUUCAGCAAUUUAGAAGUGACAAUGCCAAAUGGGAUAAAUUAAUAAUAAUCAUGCAAACUUAAGCGUAUGAGCUUACCGCCAAGGCUUUUUGCAGCAUUUUUAAGGCUUCCAGCAAAAUAUUGUUGAAGAACUUCUAAACUGAUUGUUUUCUCAGCCUUUCCGCGCCUCCUUUCAGAAGGUUUAUUGUUCUUGUUGGCCAGUGAGGAACUAGAUGUUCCACUACCAUUCUGUUCAAUUACUAUUCCAUUAUUUACAGCAUUACCAUUCGCCAGAAUAUGUUUCUCGGGCAUAUCAGAAACUCUAUUAUCCAAUUUCCCUGCCCCAUUAAAUCCUUUAUCAAAGUUACACUCCAGAGAAGCACGAGGAUGACCAGAUGCAAACUCUCGAUUGUCAAUCACCAGCAUAUCUAUGGAUUGUAAUGUGAUUCCUUCUUGUAGUUCUACAUCAGCAACAACCUUCAAACUACGAAAACAUCGCUUCAUAGAAAUUAUCAUAGCUUCCAAUAAUACCCUUUGCUCCCCAGCAUUCUUGCACUCGGGGGGCAAAAAGAAUUCUAGUAUAUAAUCAUCAUUUCCUGUAAAAGUACUUUGCAAGCAUACGGCGAAACAGCCGGCCAAUCCACACAUACGAGAAUAGUGAACAAGGGGAUACUGGGUCUUAGAAAAUUGGGUAAUAUCUUCUGAAAAGCAAGGUCUUCGAGAUUCAAAUGCUAUUCCAGCAACCCCUUGUCCUUUCUGUAAAUGGUGCUCCACACAGGCGUCCCUGAAUCUCCAUAUGUGAGCAUCAAUGACAUGGAAUGCCACAUCACUUGUCGACAUGCACACUUGUCCCAUGCAACUUCCAUCAAAGCUAGAGCAGCUCUUUCUUAAGCCACCACCAUGGGCCAGGACACUACGGUGUCUGCAAGGCACCCAAGUCUGCGCCAAGGGCAACUUGUGGUCUUCGCAUACGACAGCUAAGGUUUCCAGUAUCUCAGCCAAAGCAGUUUGACGGCCUUUGUUGCAUAUCUGGUUUGGCAAGAAGAAUCUUCCUUGUAAGAAAACAAAGACAUGACUCAGUGGGUGUUUGGCCUGGCUUUAAUAACAGCUUCUAUGCUUUGAGAAGCAGCCAUGUGUUUGGCAAACAAAAAAAGUAAAGCUUUUGCAAUAGUAAAAAAGCAGAAUUGAGCUUUUAGGCCCCAAAAGCAGAAGCUCCAAUAGGAAUCUUUUGCUUCCUUGUAGCAAAAGUUGUUGGAAAUAAUUUAAUAAAAAAGCAAUUAAUGCUUUUAUGAACAGCUCUACUCAAACACCAUUUCUGCCAAAGCUCAAGCCAGGCCGAAUAGACCCUUACUAAACUUGCGACAAUUAGGGUCUUACCUGAACACUUGGAUGAUCCUGAAUUUCGGUGCUCUUCAAAUUUACUGCCUGCAUGAAAUACUUAUAUUAAGCAAAGUGCAACCACCCAACUAAUAUAUGCAUUCUUAAUACAUAAGAUAAGCUUAUUCAGUAACUAUUUAGUGAUGCCUUGGAAAUGAAACUUCGAGACUUUAAUAUUGACUUUGACUCGGUUAUCGAAUAAAAUUCACAGUAGAUCUAAAUAAAAGAAAAGUUAGCAGAUUAUAACUAGUUAUUGCACUAAAGCUUUCUAUGACAAUUUUCAUGUCCUAAUGGUUGAAAAAGCUUAAGUGCGGAUCUUAAACCAACUUUAGCAUACGUCAAAUAUCCACCUGCUUACAUGCCAAAAGAUAUUAGAAAAUGCCGAAAGAAUCAUGUCCUUACCUACGCCUCAACUUGAUGACUCUCUCCCCUUCACUAAAAUUUAUGAUUCUCCAUUGUUGCAUAAAAUAAUAAAACUGUUUUUUUUUUUUUCUAGCUUGGCGUUUAUUGUUUGGAUCCAAAAAAUUUCAAUAAGACAAAAGAAUACACGUGAGCAAAAAGCAAUAGAAUUUAUGAAUGGAAAGAAAUCCUUAACAAGACUGAAUUAUAUCAGAAAAGGAAUCACCUUGUGUAUUUUCCUUGUUCCAAUAAUAAAAGGCCUUUAUCAUUACUUUCCAAGACUAAAAGUUAUAAGCAAUGGUGAAUUCAGCACUAUGCCGUAAAGGAUUCACUGACAAUAUGUUCUGUUUGUUGAGGAACAAAAUGCAUUUUCAAUACUGUUUGAUCUUAUAAAAUCUAAUUAAUAACUCACUUAAAGAAAAGUACUGAUAGAGAAAACUGACUAACUAAAAACAUAAACUCAUAGAAGAAAAGGAAAAAAGGCAAAAGGCAAAAGAACAGGAUCGAAAAGAUGCUAACCUCGAGAGCUUUGCAGACUUUACCAACUUCACCCGCAUAGUUGAUCUUUUGUGAUGUCAUUAUGAGCUCGAUGACAGCAACACAGGUGUGAGCAGAAGGAUAAAAAACGGGAAGGGCUACAGUGCCCCGUACAUUGUAAUUGAGGGCAUGGCAAAGCCGCGGGUACUCUUUACUACUAUAAUACUGCACAUUGGGAGUCCAUUCCGGAACUUUCUGCCUGUAAACCCGGCCUGGAAGACCCAGUUCACCAUCAUUAUCCCCAUCUACUGAGAACAUGUAAGUCAGGGACACUGUGCGGUACUGGAGCAGAGCGACACUUUGGUGAUCUAGGACAAAAGGUUGGCCCGAUGUAGUAAGUACGUAUCGGUCCCCAUUCUUCACUGGCGCCCAAACUUGGACUAGUAAGUGUUGAUCUGUUGAUUCUUUGAAUUGUCGAAGUGCCUGAGUCAUCCGCUCCUUGAUGAUAUAGGUGUGGUCGGCAUUAUCCUCCUCUACUAGCAAUUGAAGCGGCCUUCUUUUAUCGUUGGUUCCAUUAAUAUUUCUGCUUACAGUGUCGGGAUUGUCUGAAAUGCGGAUAUGAGUUUAGCCAAUAUGGCGUUAAGCAUUUGCAUGCAGAAGAAGAAAUCAUCUACGCAGGAAGCAAAAAGUAAAGAGGUGCAAACACGACAAAGAGGUGAAUACCAUUCCAAAGUGUGUGAGAACUAGAUGGAGGUAUUAGGACAUGAAAUUAAGAAGAUAAGCACUCCAAGUUCGUUUACUAUAACUUAAUGCAAGCCAUGUUGUUACCAUACCUUCACAAAAUUCAAAGCAAUGAAAGCUCUAUAUAUUCUAACCAGUCCAUCCAAUUUCUACCUUACAAGACAUCUUAGUCUACAAAAAAUUUAAAAAAAAUAAUCACAAAGAAGAACACAUUUUUACUACUAGAGAGAAGGACAAAGACUAUUCUUGAAUCUUUUCUUAGUAGAUUGAUCUAUCAAACAACAAUAAGCAGAUGCAAGAUUACUAGCAUGCAAUCAACUACCGAGAAAACAAAAAAGAAGAAACUGAAAGAUCCCAAACAAAUCUCAUGUCUAUAUAACGCCAAGCAAUUGUGCACAGUACUUGCAUAUUGUUUCUAACUAUAACAAUAAAUAAUCCACCGAAACUAAGUCUUAAAAACGUAUCCUAAUUCUCGAAACAGAGACUAAAUAGUUCCCUUAAAUUUAAAGGUAUCUCUACAUCCAAGGAACUCAAAAACGGCAGCAUAUAAGUAAAAGAAAAUCUCAGGAAAUAGAGCUAAACUCAACUAAGACUCUCUUUUCCCCUCCUCCUAAGAAAAUCUCGGCUUGGACGAACUAUAUUAAAAUUUCUCCAUUAGGUUAUCUCUGCAAAAGAAGCAGAGCUCAUUGAGUUUCUACUUUUCGCCUCAAAAUCUCAUUUCUAAUUCCCGCGGCAGCAGAAACGUUGGAUUGUUCUCGUUAGCUUAAUACUUUAUUGGAGACAAUUGUCGCUGAAAUACGAAGCAAACGUUUGUUCACGCAAACAACUACAAAGUACUCGUACAAGGAUCAAAAUUUAAAAAAAAAAUUAGAAUUGCAAGAGAGAGAGAGAGAGAGAGAGAGAGAGAGAGAGAGAGAGCUCACAGAGGGCUAGCUCGGCGAUGGAGGUGGAAGCGUCGAAGGGCCGAUCCUCGAAGAGGCAAAGCGGGGAGGGAGGGGAGGGGAAGGAGAGGUGGAGGAGGCUCUGCGGCGGCGACGAGGAGGAGAGGAGGGAGGGCGAAACGAGCGCGUCGAAGGGCCACUCGGCGUCGUCGGCGGCGGGGGCGGGGCGGCGCGGGGGGAGGAGGCAGGAGGGGGGGUCGGGGUCGAGGUCGAGGUCGAGGUCGAGGUCGAGAUCGUCGAGGUCCAUGAGAGCUCCUCGAGCUUCGGCGGCUUCCUCGUCCCUACCCGGCAUUGAGCGAAGGAGGAAGCACCAGCGGGGCAGGGGCGGGGGCGGGGGCGGGGGCGGAAGGGGACGGGGAGAGGGCGGUGAUUCCAUCCGCUGGGGUUGUGGUGGGCGCAUAUAUUUUACUUGGUGCCUCGCCCACUUGAAACUACCAGUGGACGAGACGAAUAACAUAACACAAGGUUAAAAUGAGGCGCACAGGGACUGACUGUCUGAGGGACCCCUCCAGUCUCCACUAUAAAAUAAAAUAAAAUAUUCUUAAGUGAAUCCCCUCGACCGCUUUUUUAUGUCCAUAUGUACUAAAUCGAACAUCACAAAAAAGAUCAACAAAAGUUUGGGAUAAUAGUAGAAUCUUAAAGCUGCAUCCGCAAGAUUUUUUUUUUUUUGGAUUGCGAGCGUUAGAUGGAUUUUCAAUACUAAACCGGCCUGUAAUUGUUCCAUUUACCAGAUCCUCCAUUCAAUUUGAAAAACAACUCACACAAGCACAAAAAUUAGAGGGUGCACUUAAAAAAAGUAACGCAAUAAUUGAGAGGGUACUUCGUACAUUUUAUCUCAACCAAUGAAAAUAACCGCAACUGGAUGAACGGGAAAUGGCGAAUUGAGUGGUCAGCCGAGGUCCCCCCGCCACCACGACGAGGGGCGUUUUGGCGCCACGCGCGACGCGAGCUUCUGCACACGUGGCGGGUCGUCAUUGGUCGGCCGGGCUGUUCCGCGUGUGCCGUGGCGCAGGGAAGGAGUGGCGCUCCGGUCCGUGCACCGGUCACCGUGUACCGCGUCGCGCACCCACCGCCGCGUCGCAGCGGAGAUUAAUAAUUAAACUCGCGGGCGGUGGCUGGAUGUGGUCACCAGGGGUCGGCCUUUGAGGUUUUUUUUUAAUCCGCAUAUACACAAACAUACAUUUUAUUACUAUUUUUUUUUAUAAAAAAAUCAUGAGAGAGUUGUUGAGGUUUUUUAUUUUAAAAAGGUUAAAAUAUAUGGAAACCCCGAAGUGGUUCCAUCAACUUUAACUAUUUUAAAAAAAGCUUGUAAUUGUUACAUACUUUUUUUCUUUUUCUUUUUUUUUUUUUUAAGUCUGCUCUUGUUUUGGAACAUUUAUGAUUUUCGGGAACAUUUGCCCGACUUUUGUAGUUCAAUUUAUAUUCGUUAUGAAUAAAAUAUAUAGUAAGCCUUUUCUUUCUCUCUUAAAAAACUAUUUUAAUUCGUAGCUCUAUUGAAAUUAGUUCGAGUCCGAAAAAUUUGUUAAAUUUAACAGCUCUAUUAAUAAGUUUAUUAAAAGUUCUUGGCUUUAAUCCUUGCUACGGCAUUUAUUUUUUCGCUAAAUUAUAGAAAAUUUUUCUGUCAAUACUCACUUUUUUAUUUUUCCUCCCUGUCAUUUAAAAACCUAUACUUUACUCUUUUGUAAAAUAAAAAAUAUUCACUUCGCCCAUUGUCGUUAGUGCUCCAUUAGGAUUCAGUUUAUGAAAUAUUAUUAUAUAUUUUUUAUAUCAAAAAUAUCUUUAGCCCUCUCUCUCCUGCUCCCUCGCCCUCCUCCGCCUCGCCGCUUCACCACCUCACCCUCCUCCGCUGCUUCACCCUCGCCCACAUCUCCGUCCGUGCCCACAAACAACCCCUCGUCCUCCUUCGCCACGUCGCCUUCGCUCUCGUUGCCCUUGCCCACCUCUCCAUCCACACCCACCUGGAUUUCCUCUCUAUUGUUGCCGAAAUAGACGGGCGACGAGGGUACAGGAAGAGAAGGGGAACAGGUAGAGAAAAAAAUAGAGAGAACCGCGGCCGAUCGAGACGCGAACCGCUACCGAUCAAGGCAGCAGAUAAGCAAGAUGAGGGAGGGAACGAAAAUGGUGAGAGACAAAUUGGUCAUUUUGUCAUCAUAGUUCACACCAUACCCUUCUAUGAACAUUUUUAAUUUUACAAAGAAACAGAAUGUAGAUUUUUAAAUGACAGAGAAAAAAAAAAGUAAAAAAAGAUAAUUGAUAGAAAAAAUUUAUGUAAUUUAGUCUUCUUUUUUUUUUGUUUUUUUUGUUUUGAUGUGAGAUAAGGCGUUUAUUUACGUAGGGCGCUCAACCUUAAUCAAAACAGUGAACGUUGAUAGAGCUAUUUCCAAAUGGUUUAUCGCUGAGGAGGUCUCCAUUUAAUUAUAUUUUAUAUUCUAAUUGUGAAAGAGAUGUUGAGUUUUGUUUAAUUGGAGGUGUUUGGAGGAAACAUUUGUUUACAUUAAACCAAGUUAGAAUAGUUGAGAAGGAUCAAAACACAAUUGGUUGGGAGAAUUGUCUAAAGCGGAAUGCUAAGUAAAGCUUAAUUAAGCAGCUAAUCAAUAAUGUAAUUUAAUGAUAAAGAGGACAAAGAUUUACAAUAUGCUUACCUUGUAGAAUCCAACUAAGGGAUUCAUCUGGAUGCAUGUAUUAGGGGAAUAAUUAAAAAGUUAAAGUGGGUUUUGAUUGACUGGAGAUACAAAUCUUAGCUUUAAUUUGAUAAAAGGGAAUAAACUAUUCCUCUUUAGUUUGCUCUCCAAUAGUGUGUUUAGAGGUACAAAAGUAGAGUUGCUAAUAAGUAUGAAUAUAUUGUAUUUGUUCCCGAAUAUUAUAGUUUGAACAAGCGAACUAAAAAUAGUUUGAGAAUUAGUAUGCAAUUAAUCAAAAUUUGAUAACUUAAGUGCAAGAUAGCACGAGUGACCUGCGCUUAAUUUUAUGUAAUUAUAGAUAAUUUUGCAAGGAUAUAGAUUACUUCAAAUUUUCAACUUUAGAGCUAUAGAGUGUUUAUAAAAAUAUCUAGUUUGAAGGGGUUCGUAUAUAAUACGUAGAAAGAUGUUUAUGUUUAUUUUAUAUAUUCUCAAAUUUUAGAGUUUUGUACGAAAUUUGAAAAGGAAAAAUUCAAAGCAUAUAUAUAUAUAUAUGUAUUUUCAAACUUCUCAGACGCGCAUACAUAAAUCUCAAACUUUCAUAAAAUAUUCAAAUGUCAAUUUGAAAAAAUUUUGUAAGCUACAAAAGUGAGAUUUCAAACUUGAAUUAUACCUGAUGCUUGAUUUUGGGCCUAAUUUUCCGGCCAUACCAAGAAGCAACUUAUAAAUCUGUAGGCCCAAAUUCAGUUCAAAUUAACCAUAAUGCGGCGAUUAAUCAAACUUGUAAUUAAACUUUGGGUCAACCCAGGCUGGAUCAGGUGGAAAACAGAAAAAAUUAUGGUUUGAGCUCAAAAUGAUUAAAAAAAAUUAAAAAGAGGUUUUAUUAAAAAAAUCUAUGUGAAGUAUGUGUAAUGAUGAUGUUCUUUUAUUUUGUGUAUCAUUAAAACCUGAUUAUAAUAUCACCAACCAUGUCUACUAAGUUUUUGAGAGAAAUAAAAUAUGCUAUUUGUUUGUUCUAAUUUUUUAGAAAUAUAUAUGACUGAAAAAUAUAAAGUAAUCGGACUUCAAGCUUGAAAGCUCGUAUAUUGGGCAUUAAAUUCUUUGUCACAUGCGCGCUACGGUUGGUGAUAUAUACACGCUACAUAGCUUAAUUAGCAAUUUGGCAAAUUAAUUUAUUAAUAAAAAAAAACUUUCCAAGAAAAAACCAACCAAACUUGAACCAGCCAAAUAGACGAAGUCCUAAAACUGGCUUUGUAGUUUUUUUUUUUUUUUUUUUUUUGCUCAAAUCAACGAAUCAAAUUAAAAUCAAACAAAGAUUAUCGUGCUUAGUUUGAUUUUUUGGCACCACCAAGUUUACUUUCGUUUUUUAGUUUUUUUCUACUAAUAUUUCUAAAAAAUUUUAUUUUUGGUGAUCUAACUUUCUAUACAAUUUAUUCGGAAAUUUAAUGUUAUUUUUACUUCAUCAUUGCCUUAUAGACACUGAAUUAGAAUUGUGUAAAAUGGAAAAAAGUUCACCUUUUUUUUUUCUUCUGGAAAGCAUUAAAUAAUUUUUCAUUUUAUCAAUAAUUCUAAUUUUUCUGUAAUUGAAAAGCCAUGAAUAAUUUUUCUUCUCAUCUAUAUUUUAAAAAUUUCUGUAAUUAAACAACAGUAAAUUGUUCCCCGACGCUAAUAAAGGCGUUGAAUAAUAAUUGGGUGGUUUUAUCUUUAACAAGAAUAGUAAAUAAAUUUUAAACAGUAAAUUAUUUACACAAUUUUAAAAUAACUUAAUAUCUAAAUAAUAUUUUUCAAUCCUCACUCGUAAAAUGAAUGUUAAAUAUUAAAAUAUAUAAACACCGUUCUCUAAUAACUUAACUUUUAAAGUAUAACGAUUGCUUUAUUUAAUAUUAAAAAAAAAGAUCUUGAAUUUGAGUCAAGUCAGGUUCUUAAUAUUAUAAAUUUCUUUCCUCACAUAGUAAAUUUUUAUAUAUUUUAAUAUUUAACAAUAAAAAUUAUAAUAUCUUUAAAUAAAUAUUUUAAAAGAUUUUACCUUCAAAUUUAAAUUUUAAUAUUUUAAAAAAUAUAGCAAAUAAUUCAACGUAUGUACAAAAUAAUAAUUCAUUAACUGUAUAAAUUUAAUUUUAUAAAUAAAUUCUUAAAAUAUUACUUGUAAGAUUGUAUACAAUAAUUUUCAAGUAUAUUAAUAAAAAAAAAAAUUCCUUUCCUCCGCUUCCGACUCCUCUCUCCUUCUCUCUCUCCACUUCGAUCUCUCAAAUUCCUCUUCCCGUCGAAUCGCCGAAUCAAGCUUCCAUGGUAACGUAAAAUUCAUCAUUUUUUUUUUUAUAUUCUAUUUACCUUUCAUCCGUAAUCUCUCUCCCUCACAUCUCUCGCCCAUCGAUUUCGAGCUCGUAAAUAAAUCAUCUUGAAAUCGGGAUUUAAUUGGGCUGCAGUCGGCGCUGUUCAACUUCCACUCGUUCCUGACGGUGGUGCUGCUGGUGAUCUGCACCUGCACCUACAUCAAGAUGCAGUUCCCCACCAUCCUCGAUCGCAAAACCGGGUAAUUUCUCUUUCAAUUCCACAAUAAUGUGAAAAAAUCACUCUCAUAUCUGGAACGAGCGAUUUGUCCUCGUCAAUUUGGUAUCCUGAUGAUAGAUCCACCCGCAAACCCUAACUUUGAUGCCAAGUAUAUGUUGUCUUUCGCUUAAACUGGGGAUAAAAACCCGGCUGUUUUUAGUGAGCUAGGGUUUUGGUGUUUUAGAUUCCUUUCUAGAUUAUUGUAAUUGAGAAGGAUUUAGUGCUUGAUUAUGUUCCAGAAAGGGUCUGGAAGAUUCCUGAAGAGAAUGGUAGCGAAAGGUAUGGAAAUAUGCUGAGCUGAAAUUUUGAGUUCGGUUUGAUUCGUUCUUUUACGAGAGUCCGGAUGAAUAAUAGUAUGAUUAUAGUAUUGAUUAAUAGGAUCUCAGCUUUGUAAAAAAACAAAAACUAGUAAUAGGCAAUUGACUUACUUAGUCAUACCCUUCUCGGCAACGGAAACCGCUACAAGCAAGCAAAUACAAAAGCAUCGUGACAAGUGUGAAAAAUCAAGCAUUGAUGCCCUGAAAUUGAAAUCUAAAUUGCUGGGAAAAAAAUCCACCUACGAAAUAUCACUUGUUCUGCAAGCCUAGUUCCUCCGUAUCAAUUAGUGCCAAAAUCAAUGAUCGAUAAGUUUCGAUAAUGGCUGUUGUUCGUAUGUGCGAGAUAUAGGUUUUCACAAUUUAUGAUUUUUUUUUACUUUUUUUUCGUAUGUAUUCUUUUUAGAUGUUGUAGAUCGGAUUACUCACCUGGGAAGGAAUCCCGUCCGACUAUUGCUCUAUAACUCUCUUUGUCUGUGAUAAGUUCAAGAUUAAGAGUGAAAUGUACUAAUGUUGAUAUAACAAGUUGUGAAUGUUUCGUAGGCACGAAAUAAGAUAGAAACUAGUAUGUAGCGUCAAACAUGAUCUUUUACAUGAUCUUUUAAAGGCUGCUAAUCAGCUUAUAUUGUAUUAUUUCUAUGUCAUAUUUUUUUACCUUGCCUUUUCUUUCAAUUUGAAACUCCUUCAAUUAUCGUUGCACGUAGAUCUUAAGGAAUUGUUGUUCAUAUCCAUGUUAAUGUUCACAAUUUCUUAUAAGAAAUUUUUCAUAUUGGCAGAUUUCGUGGCUUCUUCUGGAAAGCAGCCAGAAUAGGUAUGCUCAUUUAGUUCUAAUAUGCCAAAGUUUGUUCACAAAUCCAUUUAUGUUCAUGCAAUCUACUUUUGUGUGUGUGUGUAUAUACAUGUGUAUGCUUGCACACAUACAUAUAUCAUAUAUGUUUGUUUCGGCGAGAAAUAUGUAGUUUGAAGUUUUAGUUUGGGUUUUGGUUUUGGCUGGUAUCUAUGAGGAUCAGUACAGGUAAUCCGAAGGAUUUGGCACUUUCCAAUUUGUUUUGGCUCAUAAUAAACCAAAAAAGUAUGAAAAGAUAAAUUUUUUUUUUUUUUUUUUAAGAUGUGGAUCAAAAUAUAGAGUGCCACACUGAGUACUGCUUAGUUUACUGCUAUGAGGAUCAAUGUGGCAGAAAACAUUUAGUCAGGACCAUUUUAAGAGAGAAUGUUCAAAUUAGACCAAUUUGGGAAUAAUCUAAUCUACAGUACAUAGAUACAACACAUAUAAAAGAAAAUACUACAGGAUAAAAAGCAGGUAGAGUUGAUGGAUAUCAGGGAUUUUCUCAUUCCAGACAUUUUGAAUGAGAAAAAUGGAAUAUGUCAAUUCCAAGUGCCUAGUUCCGUGGGGAACAUAACGACAUUUAGAAGAUGAAAAAUCCAGCCAGCCUUAUGUAGCUCCAGCUCUCCGGCUCAAAGUAGCAUCCAUUGGAUGCGCACCAUGAGAAUCAUUGAUGACAUUUCCUGUCAAAUCAUGAAUGAUCGAAGUCAAGCAGAAAUAUGAUUUGCUCUUUUGCAUGUUUAGUUGAGGUUGAUUCAUUUCAAUUUGUGAGUUUAUUUCAGUCUAGUCGUAGCCUAAGCUCUAUCUCACUAUCUGUAUAUAAUACAUCAGUCUUCUCGAUUCUUAUUCAGGUGAACGCCUAAGCCCUUGGGUAGCCCUCGGAUGCUUUAUAAUGGGGGUAUCGAUAAUCAUUUUCUGACACUCAGAUAUAUAUUGUGCCAACUUAUCUACCUGUAUUAAGUGGACUUGUGUUCAGGUUUUGUAGAAGACUUGUUAUCAUUUUUUUAAAAAAAUUCUCACUACUAAUGUUUUUUGCUCUAUUUGUUUGUAUAUUUUCUUUAUUUAUAAAUUCUUAGUGCAAACUAUUGCGACUCUUUCUGCACUUUUUUUGUAGGAGAUGAUUCCUAUCCUCAUCUAAGCUUAUCAAAUAAUUCAUUCAUCUUUCCGAAAGUAUCUAGGGUCUUUUUGCAUAAUAGUUUUUCUUAUUCAAUUUGAUCGUUCGCGUUGUUAUAUGUAGAGCUGUAAUCUUGCCGCAUUCAUUUCUAUAUCUAGUUUGGGAUUUGCUUUGUCAAAAGUCCCCACUUUCAGACGCUACAAUUUCAAGCUAGGCCUGUGUCCAUGUGUAUCGUCUGAGAGACAUUUUCUAGCUGGAAGUUUAACCGCAAGAAUGUUCUUCAUCUGGGACACCUGAUGUUGGUGGUUGGAAUAUCAGUGUAAAGUUAAUGUGGAAACUUCUGUGGUUAUGAAAAUUGCAUGUUAGUGAGCUAAUGCCCUAUUAAAGGAAUAUGCAGAAAAUUGCGCUAUUCUAUCAACUUCAGAGCAUUGUAUGGGUGAUCCGAGUACCUCCGAUCCUAGGCACCCCAGCCAGUUGGAGGAUGCCUGCUAGUCCUAGUUAUUGCCAAUACUACUUGACGAGGAGUAAGGGAAGCAUAGAAUCGCUGGAUAUCUCGUCAGAAAAAAUCUUCUUCCGGAAUGUGGUGCUCAACAAAAUUGUUCUGAUGACAAAAUGAGUACUUUGCAAAGGAACCAACCGAUUGCGAAACGGCAGAUAGUAGUCCCAGUUGACAACUUGCAUUCGAGUGUUGGACUAGAACUAACGUUGAUGUGGCCUUUCCAAGCCGAACACAAGGGAAGCUGCCAACACUGUUCCCUCCCAUCGCGUGGAAAGUCGAAGCUUUACUUUUGGAGGUGUAGGCAAGACUAUCAGUUUUAAAGCACCUCUUCUUAAGUUACGAAGAGUAAAGAUUACUAGAUAGAAUCUAUAGAGUUAACCGGUUGAGUUAGUUUCAGUUUAAAACUAUUGAACGAUGAGUUAAAUUAAUUUGAGUUGAUAUGGCGCAUAUGAACAUCAAACCAAGAUAGGAAAGUACCGAGGCAGUUCUUAAAUUGUCAAAUUGAGUAGUAAUGAAGGACGCGCUGUUUUGCCGUGAGAGAUUUUGAACUAAAUCUCAGAACGUGCUAACAUCUAAGUCUACAUAAUUAUUAGAGAAAGCGAAGGAGAGUCUCCGCGUUGUAGCCAUGUUCUGUCUCUCAUGUUUAUUGCAAAUGUAAAGGGUUCAGUACAAAAAACUCCAAGAUGAUUCAAUGCCGUGGAUGACUAAUAUCAGCGACGAAAUCUCUGAUACGCAGUACAAGGUGCAAUAGCAUAAAAGCAAAGGACGUAUGCGAAAACUUUCCACCAACCAAAACAAUGCACCACUCACACAACAAACCUCUUCACUAACAUAUGCAAAACAUUCAUUCGGUGUCCAGUAAGAUGAAAAACAAACCAAACAAUAAACCGCAAUCUUGUUGGUUUGUCGCAAGACGAGCGCAAAUGAAUGCCACUCUGGUGUAAUAAUCUGUUGCACUCAGUUUCCGGUGAUCAGCUGAUCACAGGUUUUCAAGAGCCAGAUUUCAAUUACAAGCCUCUUGCAGCGAAAGAUCUAUUGCCCCAACUAUCAUCACCAAAUGAUAGAUUCAACAAGCCAAGAUACCUCAAUCAAUCCAUUUUCUUCAAUUUCUUUCAAGAUGUGAUACCAACUUAUUAAAUGAAACAAGAAAAAGGGCAUUCAGUUAGAUACACACACUUCCAAUAGUUUACGCAUGGCCGACAACAACAAGAUGACAGAAUGUUAACAUUCAUCUUUGUAAACCAACGUGAGAUAUAUUUACCACAUAUAACAAGUAUUAUUAUUACCAUCACUUGCAGACACUAAUGGUAGGAUGAAUUAGCAUAAUGUAUAUGAAAAAAAUAAAUCUCAGAUAAAACCCGAAAAGCAACCCAAGAAGAAACAAAAUCUGAGGUAAAAAUUAUCAAUUAAAUAGUGAAAUAGUCCACGAAGAAAUCAAUUGAAGUGGAAAAGGUCAUCACCCAUAAAGCUACGGCGAAAAUAGCACCAACUUCAAACAUGACGACAAUUCAUGAGAAAUGGAACCGAUACGCUAGCAAAGAAACAAAAAAGAAGAGCCAGUUAUGGUUACAUAAUCGAAUUAUCCAUUAAGUAAAUCAACAACAGCAGCGAAGAGUGUAGAAAUAAGCUUCGAGUAUGAACGAAAGAAGCAAGUAUUCCCUGACGACAACACAAAAGAAUGCAAAUUGCACAACAGCUUGCACGAGCACAAGGUAGACUAGAUAACUACCGAAAAUACACAAAUUGGCUCUUAGAAUCGCAGGAAUAAGCACCAGUAAGAAACAAACAAAGCACAAAUAUUGUCGCGCGCAUAUUUUGAAGUAGUGAUAACCAUAUAUCACCACACAACUGAAUAGACUGAUGGGAAUGAACUAAUAAUUCAUGUAUGCAAUACAUCCAUACUUAACAAGAUUCCAAUUUUUUUAAAAAAAGCAAUCAUAAUGCAGCAAGUGAUGAAAGAAAAUAAUCCCCACUUUUUCCAGCACCUCCAAUCACAUAAUAGAGAAACAGCACAAAUCGCAUCAAAAAUUGACGACAUAACAAACUUGGGCAACAUUCCAUCUUCACUUAAUAAUAACAAAGCGAUUAUGACGGUAUUAUAUGUAAAGCCAUUACAAUCCCCACCAGAAUUACUACAUCAUUAUAUUCGUAAUACCAUUCAUAUAAGCAGCAGAGGUGCGAGUAACUCACAUAAAUGCUCCAUAACAGGAAACAAGCUCACAUACGAUCCAAAUAUCACAUACUAUUAGAAAAAGGGAGAGAGCAAAAAAAGAAAAAGAAGAAGAAAAAGAUUAAAUAUUUUUGUUUUCUCUGUUUGGGAGUUGGGGAUGGUACCUACCGAUGAUCCAUAGGAAUCAUCGGAUCUAGAUCUUGUCGAUGUCCUCGUCCUCGAACUCGACGUAGUCGUCGGCGGCGCCGUCGUCCUCCUCGUCGAGGCCGCCGGCGAUGCCCUCGUUGAGGCGGGUGGUCUCGGGGAGCUCGCCGUAGGCCUUGAGGAGGCGGGCCUCGUCGGGCAUGUACUUGAGGAUGACGUCGGCCUUGUCGUCCUGGUAGUCGCGGAGGCCGACGAGGACGAUGUCGCCGGCGGCGAUCCAGACCUUCUUGUGCAUCUUCCCGCGGAUGUGGCAGAGCCGCUUCGUCCCGUCGAUGCACAUCGCCUCGCACCGCCCGUUCCCCAGCAUCCGCAGCACCUGCGCGUACUCCUGCCCGUCCUCCUUGAACACCAGCUCCCGCUUCUCGUCGUCCGCCUCGUUCUUCCCCCGCUUCCGGUUCUUCCCUCCCUUCCCCUUGUUCUUCGGCAUCGCGACCGACCUCCCAAACCCUAACCCUAGGAACCCUCUCUAUAGAAGACGAGACGACACGAGACGAGGAGGAGAGACGAGGAGAGACGGAAACCCUAGAUCGAACAGAGCGAAAACGGAUGAGGCCUUUAUAUUUAUAUUGUUAUUAUUAUUAUUAUUAUAUUAUUAUUUAAUAUAAUAUUGUUGAAACAGGAGAACAGGGUUGCGUUGGAAUCACGAAACCUAGUAGAAGUCGGUAUGAAAUGAAACGGAUCGGAUAUUGUUCUAAUUAUAUACCCGCGCAUCGAUAUUUCAAUCUUAUGCGCAUCCGAGUAGAGUAUCCGAAUCCGGAUGCGACUAAACUUUAAAUUAAAUUUACAUUUAAUUUGUGGAUCCGAGUUUGUAUGAGGAAUUUGAAUACAAGCCGAUGAAUUCGAAUUCAAAUUUAAAAUUUAGGUUCGAAUUUUAAAAUUUUGAGCAUGUAAUUUUAUUUUGAAUUGUGAAUUUUAUUUUAAACAUUAUUAUGGUUCGUUGAAUUUUUGUUGAGCAAACUACAAUAAUGAGCUGAUUGUGAUUUUGAUUCCCGCUAUUAACCAAACGAGUUAGAAUAUUUCAUCACUCUAUUUUUCGUUCCGAUUUAUUUUGAUUUCGCUCGUCACUGUGAGUUAGCACCAACCUUUAAAUUUUACCGAAUAAUGAUUCAGAUAUGUAAGAUUUGAACAAGGGCAUGAGAUUUUAAUUGUAUUAUAUCUUGUUUUGUGCUAAUUCUAGCUCAUGUUCAUAUGCAUAUUAGUUUAUAUUAUUAUUGGACUACAAAUUCGAUUUAUAUUUGAAUUCCAAAAGAACAUCUCAAUUUAUAGUAACAAAAAUUCAACAUCCAAUAAUACAUAUCCUUAUGCUUCAAAUAAAACAAAAAAAUACAGACAUAAUUUCGACAACUUUCCGACCGUAUCCGAUCUGUUUUCGCCCUACUAGAAGAUAAACGAAUGUCGUUGGCCCGCCGACUUGAUCCGUCAAGCUUCAAAAUUACAGGCCCGAAAAUAAUUCAGAUGAGAACUGCGCACACAAGCCACGAUUAUAUACCGUCUUGACUCUGGGAAACAUAAUCACGUUUACUGAAAAACUCAGCUGGCUUGCCGACAUAGAUAAGAAUACAGAAUGGCAUUACAAUUCAGGCUGCGUUAUACAUCUGCUAAUUUUGUUGUGAAAAAGACAAACGAGGCAUCAGCGACCGUCGAUGCCACGAUAUUUGCGAACAAUGGAGCUUCGUCCUCGACCUUUGUAGUUUAGCAUUUGCAUUCAUCGCGCAAUGGAUCUUCAUUGUGAGAGACCAAACACAGUUCCAAACCCUAUUUCAAAUACCAGGUUCCAAUAUGUAACUACACUACCAGAAGGUAACUUUUAAAACAUUGGAAUGUGAGUGAAAAGGAUUUAGGACAAAUCUGAAAUACCUGUCAGAGUCAUCGCACAGAGGAUUUUUAGCGUCUCUUAAAUUGGAACAUUUUGCUUAUAUCUGGUCUUAAGCAUGGAUAACCUCCUCUGAAUAGGUAACUUCUCAUCCUUCUUCCCCAUUUUAUCCAAAUAGAAUACGAUUUUCUUUAGAGUGAGCAUUACUUCUUCGCUUUCGUAACCCAACUCUCUCUCUUGGAUGCUCAAAAUCCUUUUCAGAUUGCACAAUAUAUCACCAUCGUUCUUUCCCAAUCUUGCCUGAACGGAGACUAGGCAGUCGAGAGCUUCACCUGCAGAUAAUAGAAAUGGAUAUAAUACUACUCCAAGUGAUAACAUUACACACACAAUUAUUUAAGACAAAAACUUGCGAGGUCUCAAAGUAUUUCCAAACACAACUACUGCGAAAUCAAGGCAGCAUAUAACAUCCUUACCCACUGGAAGAGAUUCUUCUCCAAAUGAACCCUCCCGUAUUCUUACAGCUUCUAGAGCCAGACUCUCAGCUUCUUGAUCCUGAUUUAGAUUGUACAGAGUAACAGCAAGGUGUAACAUAGGGACGGUUAUAGAUUGAUCAUCUGGGCGAACUGAUUUCGACAUAAUAUGCAAACAUGUCCUCAGUAGGCGCUCUGCCUCCACAAAAUUUUUUGAACGAGAAUGCGAGGCGGCGAGAUUCAGAAGGUGUGUCACUGAAUUGGGAUGUUCAAUCCCUUUAAAUCUUUCGGUGAUCACCAAGCAUUCUUGUAGUAGCUCUCUUCCCUCCUGUUCCCUGUUUGGAAAUAAUAAUGAGAUAUUAUAAGGAUAUCAAAAAUAAUAGAAUCAAAAUAUGUAGUACAGAACUAGAUAAGAUGCCCCCUUUACAUUUACUGUAACAAAUGUUGCCUUUUAAUAUAGCAGGUUCUUGUACUAAGGGUAAGCGCAUACUAAUUAUUCUGAUGAAAGCGAAGGACAAGAAAAAAGUAAAGAUAGAAACAAAGAAGGUCAAUGGAGAACUAAAAGCAAAAAAAGAGUGACUAUACUAAUAUUUUUACAGUGAUUGUAAUGGUUACCUUCCUGACACAUGGAGCAGUUCUGCCAAGUCAACCCUCAUCUUCUCAAGAAGACUGUCAUCCAAAGCCAUGUAAUUUGUAUUCUUGAUAACUUGGAGGCCUCUUUUGUACAUAUCAAUAGCUUCCUCUACAUUACCUGCAAAACUAAUUUUAAGUUGAAAAACAAAACAUAAACAUAUGACAAGCAGUAGUUCUUUAAGUGCUGCCUAUAGAAGAUACUUCGAACUCGAAAAUAAACAGAAUAGGCUCUUAGUGUUCCAUGACAAUAGCAAAGUGAAGCUAGAAUCCACCUUUUGCACAGAGAGCGUGUGCAAAUGAAGACAUAGCCAUCCCAGUCCUUCCGUCAUUCUCUCCAUAUGCUUCUUUAUAUAUCUCUAAAAUUCUUGAAAAGAGAGAGAAACAAAGAGAAAAGGAUAAUUAGAAAGUGAAGAUAAAUGGGAAAUAAGUAAUAUCUUACCAAAAAAAGAUAGCUACAGUAGCAUUUAAAUCCUAUUCAAAAAGGUAGGAAAUACAACAGGGAUAAAAACUUGUAUAUGAUAGUAUUAAUUUUCGUUAGAAUCUUGUUAUUAUGGGUCCUGCAAGAAUUAAUUAGUCUUCCAUCAUUGGAUACAGAUACUGGAUGGGUGAGCGAAGAUCAUAGGGUCCAGUGGUAUUUUAUUUCUGGGUCUUUAUUGGAGUCUGCAUUCACUCGAACUGUAAUUGGAUUUUAUUGAGCCCAGUUGGAGACCGUUUGGGUUUACGUUAGUUUAGAUUAUGGUUUGAUUCUUAUUUAUUUGGGAAGGGAUAGCUACUUGAUCAAUGAUAUUAGUAAACUCUGCUGAGUAUUGAAAGUAAAAGAACAUCAACUAUAGAAAAUUUAGACGGUAUUAUAGAGUACCCUUACCCAUAAUUUAUUAUGCCAUAAUAGAACAGAAUACAGGAUUUGAGAAACAAGCUAAAUUGGGUAAGUAGAGCUUGUGAAUGUUCCAAGAAACAUACCACGUACUACAAUACCUGCUAAAGCAAUUUUCAGCCUCUACUGCCUUUCCUUCACUAAGCAACAAAUUGCCGAGGCCAGAUAAAGGUACGACAAGCUCCUCACUUCCCAUUCCUCUCUUCUUUUCCAAGAUAUCAACAGCUCGCUGAUAGACUGCUAUAGCUUUAGUAGAUCUUCCAAUUGAUCUCAACACCUUUGCAAUGCCCAUAAGUGGUAGUAUGAGAAAAGGGCUCUGGUUUCCUACAAAAAUUGUAUUUCUGUCAACAAUUUUUCAUCAGCAACUGAAAGCAAGAAACACCAACCAAUGGCGAAAUGGAUAGCUACAAUACUUUUACCAGUAAAUAUAAAAUUACAUACACAAAGUCAUGAAGGACUUUUCUUCUAAUACAGUAGUACACUAGUGACUAUCAAUGCCAACUGUAAUAAAGAACAAUGAAAUGGAUUAAUGGCAAUCACGGUCCCUCUUUUACUAUCUUUCCAUAAUGUGGUAAAUGCACCAGCAAAACAACCUAUACAGUAUUCCAGCGAAAUUAAGCAUUUCUUGCAAUUUAAAAUAUUAGGCACUUCUGUUUACCUGAAGUAACUAAUGGCCAAAUCAAACUUAGUGCUAUGGUUAGGUCCCCGACAGAACGAACAAAUUGGACUAUCUCACUUUGGUACAUAUGUUACAUAAAAAACCCUGGUGUUCAACUAAACUCUUUAGAGUUUAAAGAAGCAUUUACCAAUUUUGGUACUUACCAAAGUACACCUCUAAAAUUUUCAGACUCCUUUCAUAUGCAUGAAGAGCAUCCUCAAACUUGCAUAAAGCGGUGAACAUACUGCCCAUAUGCACCAGUAUUGAAUCCACUAGUGGAACAUCAUCAUUCAGCAUGCUCACAAUCUCAUCCAACUGGCAUGCACAAGAUCAUAGAAAUUAUAAGUAAAGCAAAAGACAUGAAAUUAUUUCAGUCCAAAACCAUAAAAACUUACCGGUUAAAAAAUAAAGUUUAAGUACAUUCUUUUACAGGUGAUGCUUCAUGGGAAUAUCACAAUCCAUUUGCUCCAGGUAAGAUUUUGAUUUUCUUAUGAGUCGAAGGAAAUAGGAAAAUGGUGUUUAGGAAAAUGUAGGAAAAUUACCGUGUCUAAAAGAUGUUCAACAAUUUUGAAGUCACCCACGCCCAUAUAUCCUAACGCUAUGAUGUCUAGAGUAGCAGCUUGCUCUAUGCCUCUUAAACCAUCUUCUAUUUGUUCCCUCACUGAUUCAUAAUUUGCUCGAAGUAGGUCAAUGGCAUCAUCUUUAUUACCCAUUUCAAGCUGGCUUUUAAUCUCAACAAAGAAAUCUUGAAGCUGUCUCUCAAACUCGCCCAUACUGUCCAUGUCAGUGUAUGCCUUAUCAGGCAAUUUUGAUCUGCUAAAGGAAAAUUAGCAGAAGUAUUAAACCUAAGUUGAAUAGAAUGGUUUUUCCGACACAUCGUAUGAGAUAGAAAAGACUAAUGCAAUUAAAUUAGAGGGCACAGCAAUGUCAGAGGAGAAAAAAGACACAGAAGUGUGACACCAAAAGAAUAACAUUUUAGGGCCAAAAGAUGAUGAAGCACCACCAUAGGGUAAAGAAUAACAAAUUAAGGUAAAGCAUAAUAUAAAUACACAAAAAAAAAAAAACAAAGUUGGAACAUGAAUUAGAAUAAGAACAACCAUCAAGAAACAGGACAAGUUUACAUAUAUUUUUUUUAACCAUCAACACACAAGCUAUGUCAACAAACUGCCUUAAUCUAACUCAGCUAGAUGACUCAAACUUUCAUUAAGAUCAAUUAGCAUAAUUUAACGCUUCUUAAAUGAAUAUUCAUCGAAUCGAACCACAAAUUCUGUUAAAUGAUUGUUAUUCUCUGAAAGCUUAGGCUCCUACAGAAUGAUGUUUUAGUGUUUUAUAUUCAACAAAUUUCCCUAUCUCAUAACAAAGCACCUCAUCUGAACUCAACGAAGAAUCAGCUAGGGCAAAAAUGCUCAAAAUAAACACAUUGUAGCUCAAGCAGCAUAAUCUACAACUACAACAACAACAAAAACAACAGACCUUUGUGAAUUCUCCUCCUUAGAGAAAGGAACGCUCUCCUCCCUAUAAGCAUAACGGAGCUUCAAAGAUCCAUCUCUUUGUGCUCCCAACACUCCACACCUCACAAAAACCCCAAUAUCGGCAUUCGAGGAUCGACGAGGGACUCUGAAACUGGCACAAAGAAGCACGAGUAAAGCAAGGUCUCUUCUUCUCUAUUGAGGCAUUAGAUCGAACAUGUGGUGAGCAUGAAAAGCUUUACCUUGGAGGGGACAGGAGGAGGGGUGAGAGGUGGAGGAGAGACGCGGCCAUGGCGCGGCGCUUCUCGGAGCUCGGCUCGGUUGGAGACGAUAACGACGCUGAUAAUAAAGCAUUAGUAGUAGUUUCGCUUUUGUUAACGGAUUAGAAUGGGCCAAGAGUAGGUCCAUAAUUUUAGCCCGGCCCAUUGUUUCGGCCCAGUUAAAAUUUAUGGAGAGCCCCUAAUCUAUAGGCUACUUGAUGUAGACACUUUUUUUUUUUAAUUAUUGAUAAUAAUCCUAUCAUUUGAUUAUUUUAAUUUGAAUAAAUUUUCUGAGUCGAAUUGAGGGUUUGCUAAACUUUUUGGAAAGAAUUUGUAGACUACCCCUAUCAGCUUAUAUUAGUAUUUUCAAAGUUCUUGGUAUGACUUUUGAAUACUGAUUAUUCAAAAAUAGCCCAGUAACCUUGAUCUAUAGAUUGUGGCCCAUGAUUUUUCUUUAAUUUUGUAUUUUGUAUUUACCUUUUGGAUUAAUUUCAUACAUAUCAUUGCAAAAAUAGUGAAUGACAAAUAUAUCCCUAUAAAGUUCAACUUUUAUAUAUUGUUUCUAUAAAAGUUAUGAUGUUUUCAAAUAUAUCUCUGCCGUUAGAAUCUGUUAGAAAAAUUUAGUUAACUAUAGGUUAAAUACUUAACUCUAGUUAGUUUUUGACAUUUUUACCUCUUUAUAUUAUACUGUUAUGACUUUUUGAGGGAUAUAUUUGUGAUGGCAAAAUUAAAAAUAUAAAUGAUUCUCUAACGGUAACAAACCAAAGGAAAAUACUUGAAAAUAUUAAAACUUUUGUAAGAAUAAUAUAUGAAAAUUGAACUUUGUAGUAAUAUAUUUGUCGUUUACUAUAUUUACAGUAACAUGUAUGAAAUUAACCCUUACUUUUUUUUUUAUCAUUCACCUUCUCUAUAAGCUUAUUUGAGUUUUGUAUGUUCCAAAAUGACUAUCAAGUGAUAUUUAUUUUCCCUGUCUUCUGGGCUAACUCUUCCAAAUGCUAAAGCUUCCCAGAUUCUACCUUGAACAUGACUAUUCUCUUUAUUAUAUACAUUUUUUAUAAACUUGUCCAUAAACUCCUAAUUAACCUCAAAAACUACCAUAAAGAUGGUAUAACUUUUACUGACCGCCCCUAAAGCAAGUGGCAAAGGACUUGGUAGUUGGUACCCGAGACCCAAGUUCGAAUCCUAGUUGAUUCAUAUUUCCACCUAAGUUUAUUUCUAAUUGAAAUAAACGAAGCGGGUAGCGUGCUAUCUAUCUCUAAAAAAAAAAAGAUGAUAUAACUUUUAUAAUCUGAAAAGUUGGAUGCACAAACUCCUUUUUCUCGUGAAGGCAUCAUAGUAACCGAAUUUUAAAUUAUCGACUUAUCAGAAAUCUUUAAGAAUAACAACCAACUUUACUGCUUCAAUAAUCACUGAUCGUCCCUAGAGCAAGUGACAAAUGACUUAAUGGUUGGUACCCGAGACCUAAGUUCGAAUCCUAAUUGAUUCACAUUUCUAGCUAAGUUUAUUUUUAAAUAAAAUAAACGAACAGGUAGCGUGCUACCUAUCCCUCAAAAAAAAAGAAAAAAAAAAAGAAAAAACUUUACUAAGCAGUAAUCAAUCUUUUUAAUCAACUAUGUAAAGCAAAAUUGGAAAGAAGCAUAAAUGCACUUUCACCCAAGGGAAACUAAAGCACUUAUAAAUUUUUAACAAUGACAUUGGGAGUUAACAAGAAAUAUAUAUAUGCUCACCAAAGAGCAAAAGGUUUUAGGAACUCCAAGACCUUGGCCUAUCGAGUCUCUUGAGUCCCUUUUAGGAAUCCACACUAACCAUUUAAAAGCACACAAAGACACAUAUGAGUAACAUAUCCCUUUGGGAUGAGCACAACACUAAAUGUUGGGGACAUCUAUAUGUUUGAUUUUUUAACUAAAUUAAAAUUAAGCUCAAAAUUAAAGCUAGCCUUUGCACGGCUAGGUUUGAGCUUUUUGGCCGUUGGAUUGCGAACUCCCCACCCUGUGGCCGUCCCCGAUCACCACGACCUCCUCCAUCCCCACCUCGCCCUUCCGCCGCCGCGCCUCGAUCUGUUGCUGCGUCGAUUUGUAGUACAUGACGUAGAGUACCAGCUGCGCCACCGCGAACAUCACUCCCAGCCCAUUAGGGAUCUGUCAUAGACGCACAAACUGUAUGAUAUAAUAUUGUUCGGUAAAAUAUUGCUCAAGUUAUACUAUUAUAGAAAAGUGUUACAGAUACAGUAGAAUCAGAACAUUCACAUUAGGAUUUUUAUUUUUAGGCCUCAAAACGGUCGCUUUUAACAUGGUAGUUGAACUUAGCCCACAUAAUUUAACGAGGUUUUGUGAGCUCAACUAACCACCGCUAGUAUUUAUUGUUCAAUUCCCCGUGUCUUGUAACGCACAUUGUUCUUUUUCUUACAUAUUUAUGUUUAAGAUAUUAAGACAAUUUCUAAAUUAUUUCUUGUCACAUAAAUUUUUUAUGCAUAUAUUUUUGGAAUAAAGAUAAAAGCAGUUGUUAAAAGUAACACGUCAAAAUGCAAUUGUUUCUAAAGCUUUGAAACUCUGUUUCCUUUUACAAAAGCAGGAAAAAAAAAAUGCAAUUGUUUCGACAAGCAGUAUUAUUUGUACACAUAUCAUGUACUUGUAAAAUUGUAAAUUUUUACCUUUUUUAUCAAAAAUGUCUAUUUUUACAACAAAAAAAAAUCAAAUAGAAUUUUUUUAACCCUAGGAUUUUAUAGGUGUAAAAUAUACACCUUAAAAUUAACGAUAUGCAGCUUUUCAUUUGUACACCUUUGUAAAUGGAUAUGGAAUAUGUGCAAUUCUAACUACUAUUUUGGACCCAUAAAUACCAAUCCAAGUGUGUUACUUAAAAUUGGUUCAACACAUAAAUUGAAUUCAUUGACUUUGAGGGCCAAAUUCCAAAAAGCAUUGAAUAGUAGUGAUAAAAGCAUCCAGCCCCAGAAAAUUAUUGUCAGAACCCGGUGUAUUGGUACAUCUUACACAUACACACGCAACAUAUAUUUGAUAAUCAAUGUGUUAAAAUUUUGAUUUUAAUCAAAGAGAUUAUAUAAGUAAGUGAUUGCAGUGAAUGAAUGGAUUAUAUAUAUGAUUGCAGCGCCAUCUUAUAAAGUGAUUAUGUCUAAAAAGUUAACAGUUUUAUUUGUUACGGAAAAGAUUCAUAUAAUAAGAAACAACUCAAAGCGAACUAUAUAUGUCACAUGUAUGUACAAAUAAUUAUUUGAGAAAUCAAUUGUAUGAAAGGAAUAUUGUUCGAUUUGUAAGAAAUAGAUGCCCAAAGUUUAUGAAAAAUUUUAUUUGGAUAUCUUAUAAAUGUCAUAGAUUGUAUUGAAUAAAUAAAUGCUAAUUUUGAGGUCAAUAUAAUAAAAUCUUAGGAAGGCGGUGCACGGUGCACCAGAUGCAUGCAAUAAUUUCUAUUGUUGCCGGGUCUAAAGGCUCCACAACUCACUGUUUCAUGCAAAUGGAGACAAAGUGUUCAGAAUAUAAAGACCACUUCUUUGUUUUUCUUUUUUUUUUCUUUUUUCUUUUUUUUUUCCUUUUUGUUUGUUUUGGUAUGUGCCCGUAGGCCCCUAGAAGCCCCAAACGCUCAAUGGGGUGUUGAUUUUUUUUUUUUUUUUUUUGAGAGAGAAAGAUAGAAAGUUAUUAAGCUAUUAUUUUAUUUAUUUUCUAGAAAAAAACUUAACUAGAAAUAUGAAACAACUAGACUUUAAAUUUGGAAUCUCAAAUACCAACCAUAAAAUCCGUACGUUUGGUUAUAAAUUAAGGUUUGAACUUUAGCCUCCCCUACAGGGAGAUGCUAUCCUACCAACUCAGAUAAGGUGGUUUGGUGAUACGAAGAUCACUCCCCCAAAAGAAGAAAAGUAAUUAAACUACUAGUAAAAGUAACUAACUUACAGUGAUAUAGGGGUCAAAGCGGAUAAGAGCGUAAGCAGUCCAGCAAAUGCCGUUAAAGAAGGAUGCAAGGGAGAGAGACAGGGGCAUGUACUCCACGCUUUUUGUCUGUAUCACCAUUUUCUACAGCACACACAAAAAACCAACAAAAGCCCAGGUAAUUAAUUAAUCAACACCUUAUUUAUAUAAAUUUCUCAAGAAAAAGGAGGAAAAAAAAGCACAAAUAUAUAUGUAACCAUUAUUUCUAAUGUUUUCAUAUUUAUAUACAUCCCUCUCAUGCAAAAUAUCUGAUCAAUCCAUAUAUAGUACACCAAGAAGCUCAUGCAUGCACAUGGCCUUGUCCAACUAACCAUGCAUUUGUUAACAUGCACUUUAAUUUGUUGGACUUAACAAAACCUUAACCAAACUUUUCACACAGUAGAGUAAAAUACUGAGUCUUAAUUACAUAUCUUUGUAGCCCACUCUAAUAGUUAGAAGAUGAUUUUGAUACUUUUUCUAAACUCUCUCACAUUUUUAUGAGAUGAUGAUAAUAAUUUGUACCAUGACGGAGAGCGGCGCGGCGUACAUCAUGGUCCCGAAGAUGACGCAGAGGACGCCUACAAUCAUCGACCGCUGCUCAUGAGUGUGGGCCAAGGUGAGGACGAGUAGCGCGACGAGCGCGACGAAGGCCGUCUCCGCGACGAGCACGACGAACACCUGAAGCCGCUUCUUCCCCCGGGAGUAUACGAGGAAGAGGAGCACGUAGGCGAGCUCGAUCGCCAGGCCGGAGCCAUUGAUGGUUAUGACAAGCAUGCUAUGGGGGUGCACCAUGGGUAUCCCAUACACCACCCACAUCAUGCAGUUGAGGAGGGUGCACAGGUAGGGCACUGGAGAGAAUUGUUCCACUGAACCCUUCUUCCAUAUUGUAUAAAAAGUUGGCCUGUUACAUGCAUGGAUAUUAUAAAACAUACACACACACAAACAAAAAGAAACUCUAACUAGUUUACGAAAAAUAAUUUCCCAAUUGGGUAGUAAUAUAUGUGCAAGUGUAAAAAUGGAGAUUGCACUUACGCUGGUGAUAAGAAUAGCCCUAGAGCAAUUGCAUUACCUUCAAAAAACAAAUAAAUUCAUAAAAACAAGUUAGAAAACUAUAGGAUUUUAACAAAUUCAAUAGAAAUGAAACUAAAAAGGUGUUCUUCAUAUACAGAAGAUAAUGGAAGUUUUCAAGAAGAGAAAUAUUAAUUUGAUCGAUCGACACCCCAUGAUACAUAAAACGAAAACAAGCACUCAGGAUAUGAGGUGAGUGACUAGGAUAAAAAAAACUAACAAACAACAAAAGAAUAUUAGAUGUACCCUAAUUAAGGAUCAAAAAAAGAUAAUUUUGUAAAUUACCUACGACACCAACUGCAGUUCGGAUGGUAUCAGCAGAAACCAUGGCUGUUUCAAGCUGUUCAAAGAGAUAGAUCGAGAGCACUUGGAAACAAAAAAAAAAAAAAAACUCUAUAGGACUAUUUCUACAAACUACAAAUCACUACUUGUUGUAAGAGUAUGCCUCAAAGAAGAGAACAAGGGCCUCCUUAAAUAGAGGGAUGAGGCUAAGACCUUUAAUUGCUCUCUCUCUCUCUCUCUCUCUCUCUCUCUCUAAGUGGCUUGGUGCAUGACAUGUAAUGGGUGAUAUGGAUAGGAUGCAACACAUGUAAGGGUGGGAGUUAAGAGAGGGAUGAGGGGACUUGGCACUGCUUUCGAGGAUGCCAAAGCCCUAGUGCCUAUUCAGAAACUGUUAACUGAACCAAGCGCAUCCAUGCAGUUAAUUCAUACACCACACUCAAUAUACAUUUACAUAAUCCAAAAAGUAUAUAUAUAUAUAUAUAUGUGAUCUCUAGCUACCACCUGUAGGGGUCCAUGCAUGUAUAAAAUAUCGUAAGUUAUAAAGACUAGUUACGUACGUACGUAGAUAGACAUCAUGCAACCCUAACAGAGGGCGCAGAGGUAUUAUUCAAUUCAUAAAAAGAUUAGGUAUCUAAAAUUUUAAACUUUCACAUACAUAAUUUUUUUUUUUUUAUGAUUUCGCGCACGGUGCACCUGGUGUAUUCCCAUGCAUGUUGAACAACAUUAUGACCACAAACAGUUAAAACUUGUUAAGUCCUAUUUCAAAUUUGCAACACCAGUGAGCCAAAUAAAUAAAUAAAUAAAUAAAUAGCAUUUAUUGUACACAAAUAUGCAAAAAAACCCAGCCCACCUACUCUUCCCAGUCCCUAGUGAGCGUUACAAGGCUUAUCCACUGCCAUUUAUUUAGGAUAAGUCAAAGCACUCCGCAAAAAAACAAAAAAGAAAAAGGAAAAAAAAAGAAGCACAUUUAAUGGAAAAUAAAAAUCCAAUUAAUAAGCAAUUAAUUCUGUGUGAACUCCACUUGUCAUUUGAUUCGGAGUAAGGGGGUGUUUUGCAUGUUUAUAGCAGUGCCUUUUGUUGCUGUGCAAGUAAAUUAGAGGUGCUUAUCCAUUACUACAAUGAAGGGAGUGAGGAUAUAUGACCAUAAUUAAUUAUGGGGUCAAUGGAUUAAUUAAUUUUAAGGAACAAAUAAGAUUCAGAUUUCAUAUCUCUAGAUUUCAUUAUUUAUUAAAGAAAUUAAUUUUAUUCUGGCUUUUAGUGAUGGCACGUGUAAUAACCUUAUGGGUUCUCGCGGUAGGCGACUAUGGUUUGGAUCCGUAUGACUCGUAUUGAUCAACCUAGCUAGGUUUAAGGACAUGAAGGAGAUAGCAAAGGGUGUGAGAUGUGAUUCAAGAGCUUUACAUGUAUUAAACCUACAUUGUAGUCAAUUAUAACAAUAGGUUUUCAGAAGCAGCAGCUAUAUAUUUAUAUGUGCAAUUCACUGGUUUCAUCACAUCAAUUCUUUACAUGCAAUUUCUCUCACUUUCACUAGGGACGGCGUUUUCGAUUAGUCCGAUGUACGAGAUUUUCCUAUCGAAAAGCGAGAUGCAUAUCAUAUCUUGCCAACAUAGUGAUUACAUACUAUAGUGAGGGUGUGCAAAAAUAUGUGAAAUCAUUUAUAUUUGAUCACAUCAAUUCUUUAAAUGCAAUUUCUCCCUUGGUUACUAUCACUAGGGAGGGCGUUUUCGAUUAGUCCGAUGUGCGAGAUUUUCCUAUCGAAAAGCGAGAUGCAUAUCAUAUCUUGCCAACGUAGUGAUUACAUACUAGCUGAUGGUGUGCAAAAAUAUGUGAAAUCAUUUAUAUUUCAUCACAUCAAUUCUUUAAAUGCAAUUUCUCCCUUGGUUACUAUCACUAGGGAGGGCGCUUUCGAUUAGUCCGAUGUACGAGAUUUUCCUAUCGAAAAACGAGAUGCAUAUCAUAUCUUGCCAACGUAGUGAUCACAUACUAGUCGCGUGCAGAAAUAUGUGAAAUCAUUUAUACUUGAUGCUAUAAACUCGCGCUCAACCUGUUGAUUGGACGUGUUCUAUCUUGUGAUAGUAGCACCCAGUGCACAUGCAUGCCAAGGGAAUUGUUAAGGAUAAUAGUUCUAUAUUGGAUUGAGAAAAAAUCUUAAUCUAUAUAUAUAUAUAUAUAAUAUGCGACGGUAUUUCUACUUAUUGGGCUAAGUUAUAAUUAGAUUGGUUUGAGCUCUUUAACACAUUUAAAGUGUCAUAUCAAACAGCCUUGUGUUGUGUUUAGUUGGUAAUCUAGGAAUACCACAAAAUUUCAGAAGAGCAUUCCUAGAGUUAAUUAUUAUGCCAAAAACAAAAUUAAAAGCUACACUAGAAACAAUUAAUAGAAAAACUUUUUAAUGUCAUGUCGAGAAUUACAUGAGAGUGAGUGGAAACAUCUUUAUUCUAUAAUUCGAGGGAAUUUUAAGCCCUUUUAAGGCUAUUAAGUGUGUGGAAGAGGUAAUAUAAUAAUUAAAGUUGGAACAAAUGUCAACAUACAAGUUUUAUCCAGGGAAUUUGUCACAUGAUAGUGUUUUUCCCAUUGAAUUGCUGGAAAAUUCCUUUGCAUGAGGCACAAAAUAAAAGGCAAAAAGAAUCCACGUACAAAACACUAGGGAGUGGUUAUAGUUGAAGAAUAUUGGGUUAUAGUUGGGGAAUAUUGGGCUGCUACAAUUAAUAUAGCAUAGGCUUAUUCUUUUUUUUCCCUUUUUUUUUUUGGUGGUGUAAAGUGACAUAAACUUAUUGAUGCAAAGCAAGAAGAUAACAAAAUGAAGUUUAUAAUUAUUGAGGGUGAUAGAUAGUGGUAUCAACCUCUUUUAUAUCCAAUUGAAACCCAACACGAAUUAAAACCUCGCAAGGAUAAAUUAGAAAGCUAUCCUACGCUAGGAGGGGUUAAAGUACAAAAACAUUAUGAUCAGCAUCUCUGCAUAAUGGUGCAAAUUAAUAUAUCUUUUCUUUUCUAAAAAAAAAAAAUCUUUUCAGAAAAAUACACUUCAACACACACAUACACACCAAAAAAAAAAAAAAAACUUUUGAAGAAAAGGAAGGAAAAGAAAGCAUCCCUCAACAAUUCAAUAUCUUAAUUAAUUGAGAUUGUGGUGUCAAUUUCUUUACAACUGGAGAUAUUCUCUUUAGAGCAAUUCUACCCGUACGUACAAUUAACCUAUAUAUAUACUAGAGUGUAAAACUUACACCCACAAGUUUUGGAUGGAUUAUAUUAGAGAAAUUCUACUCUUACACUUCAAAAAAGUGUGUAGAUAUUAUAUCAUUCCAUUCUAGAGUUUAUAAAAAUUCAAAUAGUUUUUAGUGAAAAUAAAAAAAAAGAGUUGAUGUAACGAAUAAAAAAUUAACGAUCCUUGAAUGGAGUAGGUUUAAGAUGUGCACUCCAUUUUAGAAUAUACCAGUAACGUUGGUUAUUAUAUAUAUUAAGAGAAAUUUUAUUUAUAUAUACACCGCAAAAGAAUGAUGUAGAUCAAUCUUACACUUCCUAUCCUAGGGUUCAUAAAAAUUCAAAUAAUUUUUAGUAAAAAUAAAAAGAUUGAUAGGAUAAAUAAAGAAUUAAUGCUAUAUAAUGUUAUGUUUAUAAACAUAUUUUACAAUACUUUAUAAGCUAGCAAAUAUGAAAGUAUUUAAUUGAUAAAAAAUUAUAAAUCAUGAGAAAUAAGCGCGACUUACAAUUUCGAGAUUGAAAUCUAACUAUUAUAUUGUAUAGUUUAUAAAGUGUUGUGAAAUUUGUUUGUAAGAGUUAUUUAUUUUAUCAACUUAUAUGGUAUUGGAAAUAGACCCCUGAAAUUAUUCAUUUUAUCCGCUUCGAAAAGAAAAGUCAAUAUGAGUGUAUUUAAUUAUGGGAUGGUUUGUUACAGACAUUGAAAAGCACAACUUCACAGUGUAUAUAUCUAUAUAUUGAGGAGCUUUUGGACUACUAAUCCUACAAAAAUUUUUAAAUAUAAAAAUAGGCAUUACAAAUUUUUAUUUAUAAAAAUAGGCUAAUAAAAGUAAUGAUUCACCGUUUUUAUUCUAAUUUAUAUAUUUUCUAAAUCCAAACUUUUAAAGAUGUAUAGUAUUAAACACUAAAAAUAAUUGGGAAAACUUAAAAAAAAAAACCCAUGUGGUUUUGCACUUUUUCAUUUUAGUACCAUGUGGUUUAAAGUAUAUCAAAUUCGUACCAUGUGGUUUUGCACUUUCUCACUUUAGUACAUAUGGUUUAAAGUGUAUCAAGUUAGUAUAAUGUGAUUUUAUUUUUGUAUCAAGUUAGUACCAUGUGGUUUUAUUUUUCUCUUAAUGAAAUAUUAAACCACAGGAUACUAAAAUGAGAAAGUGCGAAAACACAGGAUACUAACUUGAUACACUUUAAACCACAGGGUACUAAAGUGAGAAAGUGCGAAACCACAAGAUACUAACUUAAAACACUUUAAACCACAGGGUACUAACGUGAGAAAGAGUGAAACCACAAGGAGGGUUUUUGAAGUUUUUCCAAAAUAAUUUUAAUAUUUUGAAGAAAGGUAUUUUAAAAAAUAAAUAAUUUAUUUACCGUAUAGACCUAAUUUUGUAAACACAUUUGUUAGAGAACUAUUUUUAUAAUUAAAGUACUUUCUAAGGCUAUUAAUGAGGUGGAAGUAGCUCAUAACUUCCGUGACUCAAUAUUAUUUCUAUAGAAAAUGUUUUUAUCCACGUGCAAAUUUUCGGCCGCUCUUUGAACUUCUUUGAUCAGAUUGAAGCUUCUACGAAAAGUUUGUUUUUUUUUUGUUUUUUGUUUUAGUUAAGCUGUUGGAAUAAGCCAUGAAAGCAUCUCCCACUGAUCUCAACUUUUUGUUUUUAUUUUACUUCUGAGUCUCUUUUUAAUUGAAAAAUAAUAAUGCUCCGCUAGUAAAGUAGCAUGGUCGAGCUAACCUCUCUAUUUGUAUGGGUCGUAGCCGCUACUUAAAAGAGCCCAAUUUGAGUCCUUCGAUGAAUUCACGCACUGCGAGGAGGAAAUGUUGAGGAGAUAGCGAUAACGUUCAAAGGCCAAAUUGCUAGCCUGUUUGAACAAAAUAUAUAUAUACAUAUAUAUAUAUAUAUAUAUAUAUAUAUAUAUAUAUAUAUAUAUAUGAUAAUAUAUAUAUAUAUAUAUAUAUAUAGAGUGAGGCUACUAUGCUAUCGGAAGCACGGAGCUUCCGUGCUUCCACCUGUUUCGAUGUUGCGACUUGUCGAAUCAUCGAUCGCUCCGUUAAACUUGAUCUAGAGUAUUUGAAUACCUAGAAAAUAAUAUUUAUGAUUUUACGAUAUCAUUUGCUCUAGUAACGAAGGGGCUCAAAAAUCAACGGCUGAAAAUAAAAAUCUACAAAAUGUAAUAAUAUGACAUUAAAAUUUUAAAUCAAAAAUAUUGAUCUGGUUUUAUAUAGUAUAAAGAAUUUUCUAUCAAAAUUUCACAUGAUUUGGAAGAUUUCUACACCGUAAACUUGCAAACGGCUCACUACGGUCAUUGAAAUUUGUUGAUUUUGACCCAUUCGAUCACAUAGGCAAAUAUAUCGAAAAAAUAAUAAAAUUAUUUUUCUAGUACUCCAAAUACUCUUAGAUCAAUUUAACGAGCCGAUCCGACGAUUCAAAGUCGCACAUCGAAAACGAGUGUGAAGCACGGAAGGCUCUCUUUCGAUAGCAUAGUAGCCUCACUCUAUAUAUAUAUAUAUAUAUAUAUCGCGGUUAAGUACUAUCUAUAGUAUCAAGGAUUUGAUGCUAAGAGUUUUCCGCCGUUAUAUUUAAACUCUUUGAUUAUUUACCUGUUAAAUUAUACUAUUCAACCAAACACUCACUCAACCCUAGAGGCCCAUUCGAUCCUAACCACCUGUUUCUGCAAUCCAGGGACUACAAAAUCAAUAGCACAAAUAGCUUAGUGCUAUUGAUAGUAUUCCAGCCUAUAUAUAUAUAUAUAUAUAUAUAUAUAUAUUAAUAUAUAUAUAUAAUUGAGCCUAGAAUACUCCCAAAAGCACCAUGAAGAUGAUGCUUUUGAUUUUUAGGCCAUUGAGGGAGAGAUGUAGGGUUGAGAUGAUGGUGGUAUGUGUGUAGGUGAAUAGUGUUUGAUCCAAAAAUUAUUAGUAAUCAAGGAGUAGAUCAAAGGGCUAAAAACUUAGAAGCACCACGGGUUGGUGCUUCAUAAAAGUAUUCUAUAUAGAAUACUUUUGGUACUUUUAAGAGUAUUCUACAUCUCUCCCUCUAAUGGCUAAAAACUCAAAAGCACACUCUCUUGGUACUUUUAAGAGUAUUCUAGCUCAACUAUAUAUAUAUAUAUAUAUAUAUAUAUAUAUUAUAUAGAGAGAGAGAGAGAGAGAGAGAGAGAGAGAGAGAGAGAGUCCGGCGCUAUGCUAUCGAAGCACCAAUGCUUGUGCUAUCAAGUUUCUACCAUUAGAUUAACCCGCUUUGAUUAUUUUUAUCCGUUAGAUUUUACUAUUCAACCAACUACCCACUCAACCUGAGGGGCCCAUAUCAUACCUAACCGUACAAUUUCUUAAUCGAAGGGCUAAAAACUAAUAGCACCAAUAAUUUGGUACUAUUGAUAGAUUCCAGCCUCUCUCUCCUUCUCUCCUCUCUCUUUCUCUCUCUCUCUCUCUCUCUCUCCUCUCUCUCUCUCUCUCUCUUCUUCUCUAUAUAUAUAUAUAUAUAUUAUAUAUUAUAUAUAUAAUAUAUAUAUAUGUAACUAGGCUGGAAUACUAUCAAUAGCACCAAGCUAUUGGUGCUAUUGAUUUUUAGUUCUUGGAUUGAGAAAUGGUGGUUAGAAUGAUGUGGCCCCCUAAGAUUCAGUGAGGGUUGGUUAAUAGUAUAAUCUAAACGGAUAAAAAUAAUCAAAGGGUUAAAUCUAACAGUGAAAAACUCAGAUAGCACCAAAUCCUUAGUACUAUCGAUAGUAGACCUCAGCCAAACUCUAAAUAAUAUAUAUAUAUUAUAUAGAUAUAUAUAUAUAUAUAUAUAUAUAUAUAUAUAUAUAUAUAUUUGAAUCUUUUGCUUACAUAUCCCUUACUAGUAUUUAAAAAAAAAAAAUUACCCCUAAAUAUCCAUCUAAAAAUUCAAUUAUAUUAAUAAACCCUAAAAAAAAAAAAGAGAGAUUUGAAAGAAAAUUUUAAAACCAGCGUAAUAUUUUAGUCAUUUAUAAAUAAAUAAAAUAAUUUUAAAGUUUUGAAGCGCAUAUUAGAGAUUCCCACCGCGAUUUCUAUGCAAUCAAUAAGCUUUAUAGUAGGCACCUAGCAAUUGCCAAAUGAGACCAAAGUACGAUAUAAAGUUUCUAGAUGACUGGUGCUAGUUCCACAAUACUUUGUGUACCAAACAUUUAUCCAAAACUAAAAAAAUGUUUGUAUGGCCCAGAAUAAAAGGGAAAUAUAAAAGCUGAGAGGAUGAAAUAUCUGGAAUUGCGGUCUCUCUCAUAGUAGUGAUGUAUUUGCGGAUCUUACAAAACAUUAAGAUUUGAUUGAUUAGAAUAUGCAGUAAAUACAAAUCAUAUCAUUUUUCUUAGCUCAUCAAUAAAUUAACGUAGGAAAAAAAAAAAAAAAAAAAAACAUAGACAAAGCACGAGAAAUUGCUGCGAUAAUUUGCUACAUUAUAUACCUGAUAAGAACUUCCUCCAGGGCAAAAUUCUUCCUGAGACUAACAUGACUAUGUAACAUAACUUCCGACAAAAUUAGCCACUGAUUUGGCGUUCUUGAGCCGGUAUCAUUUGGUUAAGUAUCUUCAAGUAGAAAGAGGGGAGAAAACAAAACAAAGUAUAAUUAACCUUCUGGAAAUGUCCUCAAGUAGACACACAUCAUAAAAUAGUUGUCAAGAGAGUAGAAGGAGCUCAUAAGAGAUGUUGGCUAAUAUAAAAGCUAAAAUGCGGAUAACCCCUUGGUUAUAUUGCAAUUUGAGCUUUACUCCCUCAAUAAUCAAAACUUACAGAUCAGCCUAUAUUUACAAAAUGUUGGCACUUGCCACAAUUUUCUAAUUAAUCAAGGGAUCAUCGGAUCAUCCGUAGGUUUUGACUUUUGGACGGGAUGAACCUCUUAACAUACCAAGGUUAGGGACCCAAAAUGGAAAAAUUCAAAAUGGUAGUGUAUCACGCUUAAACCAAAACCCACCCCCUCCAUUCCCCAAAAAUGAAAAAAAGUCUGAGACCCGACAUGCAACUUAGCUUUAUAAUGUAUCAAGAGAGCGCAUAUAAACAUGCUACAUGAUAUCAACUACCAGGUUAGAAUAUGAUAUUGAGAUUUAAACAAGCCGCAAGUCCCGGAAUAUGGAUGUUUAAACAUAUGACCACAUUCUCAAUAUGAGAAAAGGAAGAAUAACUACCUUCUAAAAUUGGCAGGUCACAAUACCACCUUGAAAAUGGCAGAGUGCGACUUGUUACAUGAGAAGAGCAAAAAGGGUUCUUCAGGGCGCUGGAAGAAUAACUUGACACGGCGAUGUGUAAAAUUAGCCGGCAGGAAUGUCAUCUUGGGCUGAUAAUUUCCCAAAGACAAUUAUUAGUAAGACGUCAUGCUCAGGAAUGAGUUCAAAGUUUGAAAAAAAAAUAAGUGGAUCCUAGAGAGAGAGAGAGAGAGAGAGAGAGAGAGAGAGACGCACUGCUGAGUAUAAAUCCCUGGAGCAGGCUCUGGGCUCGAUCAGCCUGUUCUGGACUUCCAGAUAUUUGAACAAUUUUUUCGGUCAAAUCAGGUCUAUCGUCAAUAAGCGUAACGGUUGCUCCUGAAAUCUGCUUUCAAUCAAAUAGCCACAAACGAAUAUUGUCAAGGAAACACAGUAGCAUGCUUAUUGCUGAAACAGACAAAUUUUUAGUAGUUGCAUAACCUCACUAAUCUGUGCAAGCUUGCUUCUAGAUCUCAUCAUGAGGUUUGGAACAGCACUCUUCGGUAUGACAACCUCCAGCGUGCUUCUGGUGACUAAAGGAACAGGAAAUCUGAUGCAACACCAAAAGAUUAGACUAAUAAACAAGUGAAAAAGAAAUUGAAAGAACAAUGUAAAGAGGGAAUUGUAGACCUUUUCAGACUACUUUGUCUCCCUUCGUCAUCACCAUUGCUGCCUUCUUGUUCAAAUGACCCACUUGCACUGGCUCUGGUAUCCUGGUAACAAAAGGGUUAUAAUAGACAGAAUUAACAAAGGGAUGUCAGAGAACAAAGAAAAGGGAAGUUCUAAAAUCCAGGCUCUCUGAUAAAGAUCUACUAAUGCCACUACACUUCAUAUAUACUCAUAAGAUUCCUUUUUCUUUUCCCUUUUUUUUCUAAAACUAGAAUUCAGUAUUACUGGAGAAGGAAAAUCAUAAUAAAAAAAAAAAGAAAAAGUGGAAGAUGAAAAAAAAAUGUUGUACUUAAUAAAUAUACCUUUGAAUGAUACGAAGUUGCAGCAGUUUGCUUAUGAUGGUAGAGAGCUGCCCCUUUGCUCUCACCACGAGGUGAACAUUUUGGAGGAGAAUUAGAUUCACGUCCAGCGAGGCUGCCAAUUUGAUUUAGGCCAGAAAUCGAUGCUUGCAGCAUAUCAUUUGGUAUACAGAUGUCACGGUAUAAAUAACUGCGCAGCUUUGCAGUUACUUGGACUAGAGCAUUUCGGGCUGCUCUAAUCUCACCAACAAUCUGCAAGUGGUAGUCAGUGUCAGGCAUGUUGCUCCAGAAUUAUAUAGCGAUUAAGCUCUGUAAUCUGAGAAAUAUGCAUGCACAAAAUAUCAUUUAUAGAACUGCUCGAUGUUUUGUAUAUUUGCACCUGUGUCCAUGAAAAUAUACAGAAUUUGCAUAAUACUCUUUUAAAUAUAUUCACAAACCAAAAGUAAGUUAAGGACAAAAUUACCCUUAUUUUGCAUCAAUAGACCUUGAAAAUUUAGAUCUGGAAUUUAAGGUGCCAAAGUAAUUGCCUAUAGAUAGAGGUUAUUGGUGCAAAUGAAUAGCAUUAUAAUGACCAUUUCAUGAUUUAGCGUUCUAACAUGUUGUGACAAAAACGUUGAGCAGACGUGCAUUACUUAAAUAUGGGCAAUUUCCAAUGGUAUGGCACAAAUUUCAACUUUAAAUAGGUGUAGCAUGUUAAAUAGUCAACAUGCAAAGACACCCUCAUGAAAAGUUUCAACUAGAAAAGUUGACUAAAUUCUUGACAGCCAUAACAACCAACCUGUACAAGCUCAUCAGCUUCCAAUGCGCAAAGAGGAAGGUCCUCUUUUGGUAAGAUCUGUAUAUUGGCACUAGUCGACCUCUGUAUAUCUAAUAAUGACCCAUCCCUUCCCUCCAAACAGUCAAUUUCACUCGCGGGGACAAGAAGCCUUGUUGUUAUGAUGUUAUCCUUGUCCGGACCUAGGUCUACAAUGUGAGUUUGGAUAUGCAAUAAUGCUUCCUGAGCUGGGAAAAGCUCAUCAUCCGGACCCUAAAGAGUAACCAAAUAGAUCUUAAUCAAUAAAACAGCUUAUAUAAGUAGCUCACCUCCAUGCCAACUAAAAUAACUUGGCACAACAUUUUCAAAUCUACAAGGGCUAAGACCGGCAUAAAACUUGUUGAAAAGAAUAAUGCACUUACACAAUUAUGGCUCAGCAUCAAGUAGUUAUUAUCACAUAAGAAUGAGAUAGCCGACAUUAUCAUGUAUUGGAAUUUAUUGAAGAAGAUCAAAAUCGUACAGUAACAAAACCUCGGCAUUGUAAUUGUGCAGAAACACAUUGUUUUCUUGACAACCUUGAAAGAAAAGCAUAUGUUGACAGACAUAUAUGAAUCAACAUGCAAGAAUGCAAGGUGGAGGAAUAUUUGAUAUAAAACAAGAGGAUGUCAUACAGCAAGGCGGAGGCUCCGUACGUGACAAUCUAUGCUUAAGAGCACAUAUGCUUUCUUGAAUCUAACAGGAGAGUGAACAAUUUUUCACCUUUACAUUCAAUCAACUAUCAGAAUAAACUUAAGCCUAGUUCUCUGUUGUUGUUAUGGAUGGUAGGAAACUAUCAAGGUCCAAUGAAAUUUCAAGGUCUUUAAUGGAAUAAAGGGGAUAUCAUGGUUUAUACCUCUUUAGAAGUGAUAAUGAUGACCCUUUCAUCCGAGCCAGCAACAGGAUCACUAACCAUUACAUCGACGCCGACAUCAUCUCGAAGCAUGUCCAUAAUUCCAUUUGAUGAUCCCACAAAGCUGUCUGCUUUGUUACUGGGGCACAGAAUUCGGAAUACGAGGUCCUCAUAGGGAAAUGUUUCUGAAUGGUUGUUCGGUGGAUUACCAUCUGAAUUAAAAGCAUAUCCUGACGGCUCUGCAUCAUAAAAGUUGUUCCUAACUCUAUCCGGUCCCGCAGAAUACCGCGAGCCCAGCUCAGCCUCUUCAGCGGCAGACAGGCGUAUCCCGUUGUUCAGCAACUCCUCUUCAGGGGGGAAGUAGCCAUCCGGCGAAUGCAUACGUCCACGAAAGGGACCACGGUCGCGAUGCAUGCUCUCUUUCAGGCGGUCCGAAAUGAUUGCUACAGCUUUCUUCACACAGCUACCGUCGCCAACAAUCUGUAAAAGAAGGAAAGAGAAAAGCAGGCAAUUGACAUGAGACCGGCAUUUUGAUGGCUUCCCAAGUAUAUACGGCAAAACUGACUAAUUAACAUGAUUAUCCUGAAAGACGGCACAUUCCGAGUGCGAAAAUUCAGCAUGUAAACUAUUCUUAGUUGUUAUAUACAAUUGUUUCAACGACUCGUUUUAUUAUAUGCUCAUUCUAUAAUCUGUAAAGUGUUCCGCCUCAUCUACCUCAAAAUGUAGGCCAGGGUUAGGGCAGGGUUUGCGGCAGUACCUGAACAACCUCCUCGGCGGUCGACACACAGCGCGGCGUGUACUGAUCCCGGGGGAGGAUCCUGAUGUGCGUCCUCGUCUCCAUCCUCAUCUGCUCUAUGAUCUUGCCGCCCCUCCCCAGCAGGCACCCGACGUGCAUCCGCGGCACCACGAGCCGCGUCGUGACCCGCCCCCUCUCCCGCUCCCGCUCCCUCCCGCCGCCGCCGCCGCCGUAGCUAUCGUCGUCCGGCUCCCCGUCGAGCUCGGCGUCGACGAUCCGCUCGUGGAUCAGCAGGAGGGCGUCCUGCGCGGGGGAGACGACCGGGGGGCGGCCGUCGGGCUCGCGGCGGCGGUCGUCGGCGGUCUCGACGACGCGCUCGUCAUCGCCGGGGGCGAGCUGGUGGACGGCGACCCAGGCGGCUGUGUCGCGCCGGACAGCCUGGAGGGCGGCGCCGGCGCGGCCGACGACGGCGGCGGCCUUGGAGUCGGGGCAGAGGAUGCGGAAGGAGGUGGUGAACGCUGCGGGGAAAGGAAAAGGAGGAGGAGGCGGAGGAGGAGGGGGAAGCGGGGCGGAGGCGGCGUCCGUGGGGGCGAUAUUUGGAGGAGGAGGAGGAGGAGGAGGAGGAGGAGGAGAUGGGUACGAUGGAUAAUUUGAUCUCCCUGGUGAACAAGAUCCAGAGGGCGUGCACCGCCCUCGGGGAUCAGGGCGAGGAUAGCGCGCUCCCUUCGUUGUGGGAUUCGCUCCCCGCGAUCGCCGUCGUCGGAGGGCAGGUACGGAUCCGCCGUUUUCCGAUCCGUUUUAAAGUUUUUUAUCUUGAGAUUCCGUUGAUUUCAUCACGAUUUGUGGGAUUUGGGCGUUGAUCUUGAUGGAUCUUACAUAUAAAUGAGAAAUCUUUGUGAAUUUUGUAGAAUUGAGAAGAGAGCAUGGGAAAGUCGGCAACUUUGUUCUUAAUGUGGCCAUUUAUCUAGGGUUUUUUGUAUUAUGGCAAUGCUUUUAGUAUUUUAAUUCGAGAGAUCUUUCAGAUCUACUUGAGAUUUAAGGUCUUAUAACUUUGCUCUUGUUCACCCAAAUUAUCUUCGUAGCACCUGAUGACAUUGGAAAAUUGAGUCCUAUUGUAAACAGUUUUAAAUUUGGGUACAAAAAAAUGUAAUGCUAUGUUUGGCNAGAGACGAUUUUGAUUGACCAUAUUCCAAGCCGUACUAUAGGUUAAGUUGGAAAUAAACUUAAAAAUUAUGUUUGAUUUGUUGUGGUUACUUCUGAAAUUACGCAGAUAGAGCUACAGAUAGAAGUUCCAUUGAAAUAAUGUAGCUGCUGGAAAAAAUUAGUUACCAAGAUUAUCUCUCAAUAUCACAUAUACAAAAAUAAAAUCUGCAAAUACAACUGCCGAAUGCAAAGAACCAAAACAAAAACAAAAACAAAAACUAAAUUAAUAGCUACAACACUCUCAAUUAUACAGCCUUAUAGGCCUGGCUCGUGGACGACAGACACAUUACUUGCAGAAAUUGCAUAUAACGUUUGUUUGGAAAAAGAAGAGUUCAAUAAGAAAUUGCGAAAAAGAAACAUAAGCAAAUAAGUAAAAUUUAUCUCACUAUACAUUGUAAGAAACUUGAGGAACAAAGAUACAUUCGCCGUUUUUGCACCCCACAUCUCCGAAUAAAUGUUAAUUAUAUCAGAAUCCAAAUAGUUUCAAAUGAUAAAAAAGAUACUAAACAGCCUACUUGUCCAUACUCAGGAAAAUUGUCCAACAUAAAUAUUAGCCAUUUCAUGCCAGGUUCAUUAAAAAGAACAAUGAAAAAACAUAACAGAGCCAACGCGAUUAGAUGGGAACUGAUAUAUACAUAUUACAGGUACAAACUAACGCAAUAAAGGACAAUUACAGACUUUCAUCUCUUCUGGCAUCUUAAAAAGGGCCACAGGUUCAAUUUUCUAUAUAAAUUAGCAUUAAUUGGCGCUCGGUGCAGGUAAAAAAAGGACCAAAGCUCUUCUUAAGCAUGGAUAAGCGAACGCCCAGUCUCCUCCACUGACGACAAGGAAGAGAGGAAUGAUGUAUUUCUGAAAUCUAGCUUGGCCUGAAAAGUUCGGGAAUCAGACAUCUGCCUCACAAAUUUAGUAAACCUGUUCCAGGUCUGAGGUUCGAAUAAGUUUUUGUUCAUUCUCACAUAGUUAAAAGAGAGAGAACUCUCAUGGGCGCCGCUUGAAUAGAGCCUCGAGCUCUUUAUGACCUGAUUCACUGAAUUAUCAUCCAGCUUAGUGAGAGAAUUUUCCCCUGUUAGUGGCAAGUUAUACGCUCUAGCAGCUGCAACAAGUUGGCGGAGAAACCCUUCUGGACUACUCUUACGGUUUAUCCUAUCCUCCGGAUCUCUUAAAUCGAAGCACGUGCAGCAUAUAGUCAUGUUAUAUCGAGCGAGUAAUCGGGCAAUAGGGAGGUAACCAUCUCUAACUAAGGUAUUAUAAUAUCCCGCGGUUAGUUCAGAUGGGUGAGAAGCCGUAGCAUAAUGCCAAUGGAUUCCUGCUAUUUUUGCACAUAUAGAAACUCCGGUGCCCCAGAAAAUUGAAUUGGCAGCAAUGCAUAGCCUCUCCCCAUGGAGAAGGAGCAUGCCAGAAUACCACUCGAGGAAGAAGCGACCAUAUGGUGUGUUCCAAGAGCCAUCCUCGCUUCUGAAGAAAUCUGUUUCCUCAGUAUUUUCUUUUAAAUGGCUAGUCUCGGGUGGACCCCUGUCUCCCCACUCAUGCAUUCCGACACGUUGCGCAGAGGCACUCAGUGAUGCAAGCAUGUACUGUCCAAGAGAAGAAAAAAGGUCAGAUAAUUAGGUGUUGGUUCACUUGAAUACCAACCAAAUAAAUAAAUCAAUCAGGCAGACCAAGCAUAACAUCGACAUAAAACUAAAUGAUUCUGGAAUAGCAUAAAAAUUCAGGGUAAAGGAAAAUCAUAUCACCAAACCACAUUGUGCCAUAGGGAAUACACCAUACAUACAUUCCUACAUGCACAUGCAUGAACAUAAAAAUACUAAAUCUGCUGACGCACCUUAUCAUAGCACUGGAAUUCACCAAGUUCAGGUUCGCUGGUCGUUUCCAUUAGCUUCUCGGUAGGGCAUGAAGGAUAUCUGAGUUCACCUCCAGGACCCAUCCCUACUUGAACUUCCUAUACAAUGCAGAAUAACAGUAACCUAACAGUAAAAAAACCAUUCAACCCUGUUGAAUAAAUACACUGAAAAAGGAAGCAAAGACUUACUGUUACAAUAGACCCAAGGAAAUCCUUGAAAGUGUCUCGGAAGCUCCUCAUGAAAUCCGAGUAAGCUUGAAUCGGUGACCGGCCCUGGAGAACAGGAAGAGUAUCGCAUCCCAGUGAGAUGUAUUCCUUGUUCCUUCUCCUAAACCUGUCAGAAUACGCCAAAUUUGGCUCCUUUUCCAUCUCUUCAAGUACCCAUUUUGGAAGAGGUAUCCUGUUAUAAUGGAAAAAACAAAUAAAGUAUAUCAUUGAUAUGAAUGGUGAAGUAUCUCAAGUGCAGAGCAUGUUCGUCAAUCUAACAUACAGUCAGCAUGUGUAUUUGAUUAUGUUCACACUACAUGGUGCUUUUAACUAAGACAGAUUGGAGUAGCCGGUUUGAACAUAAUGCAUUGAACCAGUCGGGAUGUUAAUUUACCAUCGCAAUCACUAAAACUACUCUGGCAUCUUAUUCAGCAUUCAACUGGGCUUAUAUAUAGCUGUAAGUUCAUAAAGCACAGUUAAGUAUAAAAAAUUUUUCUCGUAUACAAGAGUAGUGAAUUCAUAGACUUCACCAAACCAAACUGAAUAUUUUGUAAAGUGAGCUGGCGAGUAGGAUAUUCUAGCAACUCUAGCUUAUGAAAUUAGGAUUAAUCCCCCAAAAGAUUCUCGAGUCAAACAAGAAAGAUUAUAGCUAGUGAUAAGUAGAUAGUCUUCAUUUCUACUUUUCUGCAACAGUAUACUUCAUUUCUACUUUCUUGAAACAGUAUACUCACUCCUAGUUAACAAUCAGCCGCUAGUAUCAAAAAUGAACCCAAUAUCAAAAAUGAACCCAAGAAUAACAGUCACAAUGGUAGCUACUUUACACUUGCAAUUUAUCCAAUGUCCCAAAAUAGCAUAAAACAAUUUAGUCAUUAGUUUUCCUGUGUUUUCUUUUUUCUCUGCGGCAAUUACUACAGUUUGCAGCCUAAGUUAUGUUUAACACACUGGAGCGUCAAACGAAAAGAAUUACACAUGUUAGGCAUAGUUGACCCAUGUUGUUUGAUACGUGCUCAUGCAAGAACCUUAUCAAUAAUCAUAUUAAAAUAUAUCUUGAUACUCCCUCCUUCAACUCAUAAUGUUUUACGCUAAUCGCGCUGAUGCUCUUGUGCGAACACAUACAAGUUCUCCAGACUAUUUUACUAGAGAAAUAUUGGCAACAAGGAUGUGCCGACAAACAGCCAUUUACUAUCGACCAACACUUACAACAUUGAUGACUUUUAGCUAUGUUGCAUGGACACAGACACAAGAAAUGUGGUAUGACACAACUUCGACUCUGAAACUCGACUAAUCUAACAAAAUUAGGACAAAUAUGAUAGGGGCACAAUUACUAAAUAAAUGUUUCUUGUUUAUAUGUUUUCUCAAUUACAAGAAGUAUCCUUUUUUUCAUAGUUUCUUAAAUUAAUAAUAAAUAGUCCCUAGAGGCCCUCAAUCGCUGUGUUCAUGGUGGUGGUGGUGCUGGUGGUGGUUGAUUAAGGAAUUAUCGACGAGGUUGAAGGGGUCUUCGGGUUGAACUUAGAAGUAUAGCUGGGAAAUGCACUUUUAAAUUGAUGUGAUCACUCCCAUUUGUUUGGAAUCUAUUAAAUAUUGAAGUGGCAGUCAAAAAAUAAAAAAAAAACAACUUACUUCUAAGAACUUGACUACCGCAUGUAGUCGAAAGUCAAGUUCUCAAAACUAUGCUUUUUGUAUGCUUAGGUCCAAUCGAACACUCCCAAAGGUUAAGACUAGGGAUUUAGCAGCAAGACAUGUCUUGGGUGAACUUAAGGCGAAAAAAUAUAUUAACAAUUGUGUGCAUCACGUCCCUACGAAUUAUAAAACUUCAGCCACAUCCUAAAUGGAUCUGCCUUUGUCCAUGUUAAAGAGUAGGCAAAUAUGAAAUCUCAUUAUUGCAUUCCUACGUUGGAGAUUGAUGGGCAUGCAUCCAUAAAGAGCUAGAAGGAAGAGUGUCCAACAUGAAAAACAUGAAACGAUAACAAUUAUGGAAUGCUUGGCUAUUAUUACCGAAGUUGCAUUUUUCUAACCAAAUCAACAUCAGUAGAAGUAUGCUUUGGUGAUCCUUAUUUUGCAAAUACCAACAUGUUAAAAAAAGUAUAUCUAAAAUACCACCAUUUCUGAUAAUAUCAAACAUUAUGUAACUCGAGAAUUGCAGUAUCAUUGGCAUGGGAGCUGCCGAGGCCCAAGACCGGCAUGGCGUUGCAUGCUGACAAACUUCAGCAUAGAUUCACUUUUAUAUGUUAGCAUGGUGGCAAGAUGGGCACUUGCCUAAUAUGCUAGACAGUGCCAAUUAACUCAAAAAUCCUUGACGUAACUAAAAUACACUCUCUACUUCAUAAAAUGAAGAGCUAUAAUUUAUAGCUCCCUUGUACUUAAUCAAUUUAGUUAAAGUUAAUGCACAAAAAGGGUUUACUGCUAAAGCAUGUUAGCUCGAGUAAGGGCAUGUUUGGCAUGAUGAAGUUGUAAGCAUGGUGAACUCGCAUCUCCACUCAUAUCAGGGUAGACAAAGUCGCAAGUCCAAGCCAUGCACAUUGCUUGCAUGCUCUUAUUUGCCGUAGUUGGAAUGUCACAAGUGUUGGCCAUGUUCCAAUGACAAAAAUUAGUUGGCAUCGAAAUUCCUCAGGCUAAUGGAGCUUCGCCCCGAUGGAGUUUCACCCUGAGCUCCACCAUACCAAACACGCCUUAAAUGAGCACAAAAUUAUAAUAACUUGGUUUCUGGAAAAAAUAAUUCCUGUUUUCACUUUUUCAAGCAUAAACAUCAGCGACUAAACUUCGUACUAUACAAACAAAUUCUGCACUUGUAUACCCAUCUGCAUAACAAGAUGUCCAAACCCUUAUAUUCGCUUUCCACCACGGACAUUCAAAAAAUAAAAUAGAAAAGAGACAGAUACUUAAAAUAUCAAAAAUAGCCUCCAUUGCUUCACAACUUCCUUUGAACUCCCUUCCUCUCCCCUCUUUUUCUCCUUCACCAAGACCCAAAGAUCACAAAAUUGUGCGAAGGAAUAAAAUGGAGAAGAAAGUGAUGGUUUAGUGUGAAACAAGGUAGGAUGGAGGAAGACCUUCCGCCUGAAGUUCAAACAAAUCCACUUGGGCUGCCUUAUGCGUCAACCAUGCACCAUAGCAAAUAUGGUUAGGCGCUUACCACCUUCCAGGUUGAGCCAUUAAUUACAAAUCACGCAUCUGACAGAGCACAACCAAUUGUUUCACAAUUAUAACAACCUCUCCCAUGUUCCUAGGUCAGUAGGUAGGUCCACUGUAGUUGUGGACCCACCUCAUCAUUGUCAUCUCCAUUCGCCACAGCUUCUCUCCAUCCUCUUGUCCACCUUACUUACAAAAAUAAUAUAUAUGAAUUUCAGGAAGAUCUAGGUACCACCAAAACUUCCAAUAGUAUUGCCUUCAGUAGUCUCCUCAGUCUUUCCUGAUCCUGAUGUUCCUCAAGAUGGUCGUCUUUUGUCGUGCUGUCAAUAGGGGAUCCACUUCUGAGUUGUUGCUUUGUUGCAUCUAACCUGUCCUCUCAGCACCUUGGACAGCACAGAGUGUAACAAUGUACACAACCUACGCAUGCACAAAAGCUACUGUUUUUUUUUUACUUUCUGGUUUAUUAAUGGGGAAAAGCUUUUUAUACAAUUAAAGUGUAUCUAGGUACUUUCUUCCUACUUUUGACGUCCUUUCGGAUGUUCAAAUUUUAGAAUUAGAGAGAAAAGUAAUUUUCAACUUAUUUCAAAGGGAUUACUUGUACUUCAGCUAAUAUUUUUGUUAUAGAUUGAAAUCUUGAAUUGCAAUUGAAAGCUAACUAGCCUAUUCUUUGGGAAAUAUCUCAUGCUUCUGUUAACCCAAAAGAUCUUGAGUGCUCAGUUAUUUUUGUAAAGUUUGGUUUCCAUCAAAUGUAUCCCAAAACUAUCAAGCAAUUAGUUUUGCUCAAGACCAAAAAGUAAUCUUCUGAUCAAAAGUAAGAAAAGUCACAAGACAGUAUUCAAUUAACUAUGACGUAAACUACAUAGCGAAGAGUAGUUCAAAAAGAGUUGAUAUUACUACCGAAGGAUUAGAAUGUUGAGGCUUUGUUAUCGUCUUUGAAUCAACUUUAACGGGAUAUUAUUUCAUAAAGGUUUAUGUUAUUUCCUCUAUAAUCUGCUAGGUAUAAUCUGCUAGGUACUGCCGCUUACUCUUCGGUGAUAAGGCAUUUGAAUUUAUGGUCAACACCAUUAAACAUGAUCUAGGGCAUUUGAACUUCUUAGGAACCAAAUUUCAUGAUAUUGUCAUUUAUUUACCUACUAAGCUGAGCAAUUCGCAAUACUUGAGGAUUCGGCUGACUAGGAAUUUGUUGUAAACCUCUGCACUCAAGUGUACACCGGAUCAGCACAGAUGUCUUCGAUGAAGAAGCUCCGAGGAAGAUUGAGAGGUCGACGCCCUGCUCGUUGAUUUGAGUUCCACUGUAGCACUUGAUGAAAGUGUUUAAACCAUCUCUUGUAUUUCGGGUCUAGCAAUUUGUUUCCAGAAAAAAGUUUCCACAUAAAUUUGAUGUGUACUUCUCUCAUUCAGAAGUUUACUUGCUUUCCAUGACUUCUUGUUUGAGUUAAUGGUGCUAAUUCUUAUGCCUGGAAUGUUAUGGAUAUUGUGUAUACCAAGUGUUUGAUAAUUUGCCUCACUUACUAUUUUUAGAGAUUACCACCUAUUCACCCCCUUCAGGUGGUCAGUUAACCUUUGACCUUGUCACUAAAUAAGAUCCUUAAUGUAUUAAAAAAACUCCAGUGAAGAUCAAAGUUUACAGACACAAAACCCAGGGAAAGGCAAAUAUUGGCAGCUUUUUGACGAAUUAUCUUUAAUCCUAAUUUUCCAUUAUUAGACCAACUACUCGUUUAGGGGAUCAAGAAAGGGCCCAGCAUCUCCGGCUGGCGCAAAGAUCCGAAUUCCAUAAUAAAUUCUAACCAAAUCCAUGACUCUACUUAAAUGCAACUGAAUUAUUGAUCAAAAACUCCUUUUUGCAUCAUCACAUACCAACUAGGAAAGUGUUUCAUGUCACUGAACUCCAGAGACAUGGGUCAUGCGCACUUGCAUGCGCUCCGGAUUGAUCCACUACAAGCAGCAAAAUUAAGAAUAUGGUUACUAUAAAUGGAAUUUCAUCACGUUCUCCUAAUCUGUUUGCCUUUCUAAACAUAUUGCUAGAUAUAUCCAUAGUGAAGUGAAACAAUACCACCAAGCUUUCUUUUCCUUUGUUUUCUGAAUUGGAGUAAUCAUUAAUUCAAUUCACAAAAAGCACAACAUAAGAUCAUCAAACUCUAGAAAGCGAAACAAAGAUGAAAAGAUAAAUCAAAAGCGUUUAAACUCAAGAAUUGACGACGAAGGGUUCAAAUUGGGGGAAGAACAAACCAGAAAGGAUCGCCGGGGUGCGCGCCGCAGCUAUGAAACCCCAUGAUCGCGCGCACCUUGAGCCCGUGGCGCUGCGCGAGGGCGACGAGCUCGAGGUACCCCGACCAGUCGUACACCCGGGGCCCGUCCCGCUCCACGAUCCCCCACCAGCACUCCACCGCGACGCCCUCGACCCCCGCCGACGCGAGCGCCGCGAACGACGCCGCCAUCGCCCUCCGCCGCGCCACCCGCCCCGCGGCCCCGACGGCGUCGGCGGGGAGCGCCACGAAGACCGCCGCCCCACUCCCCGACCGCCGGGGCGGCGGCGGCGCGUGCUCGAUCUCGCCGCCCCCGCCCGAUGAGGAGGAGGAAGAGGAGGAGGAGGACGACGACGACGACGACGAGGACGAGGAGGAGUCCUCCAGGGACCCGUUGGGGCUCUUUGAGGAGCGGACGCGGGAGGCGAAGAGAGCGCGGCGGCGCGGCGCAGCCGCGAGGAGCGGCGGGGCACAGGCACGGGCUCUGGCGCGGGCGGCGGCGGCGGUCGAAGGCGGCGGCGGUGGGGCGGAGAUCGCCGCCAUACGCUUCGCUUCUGCGAGCUCCUUCGAUAGAGCUUCGUAUUGUGUACGUACACGAAAAAAAGUAAGGAACAGCGAAAAAAAUUAAAAUAAAAAAACAGGGGUGGGUCUGGGUUUCGCUUCGUUCACGUUUGUUUCGGCUCCUUCUGACGCCUCUCCGGUACAGAAACGGAAGCGAGUGGAGUGGGUGCGAUAGGAACGAGGUGCGGGGCCCACGCGCAUUAUCGCUGACGUGGCAGUCCCCGCUCAGAUUGGCGCUGGGCGCAGGGGCCCGGUACCUUUUGUGUGACCCUGGACCCCAUCCUUCACAUAUAGGAUAUAGGAUAUGUUUGGUUUCCUAAAAUUACUUUGAAUUUUUUUUUGGUUUGAAAAGUAUUUUUUCUUUGUUUAAUUGCUUGUAAAAAAAAAUAUAGAAAAAAAAAAAUUACAAUUUUUUUGAAAAAACGGAUUUUCGCUUUUCGCCCACCGUCGGCAAAAACGAAAAUCUCUAGUAAAAGACACGGCUCAUAGCCGCUCACAAAAAAUGCGGUCCACGAGAAAGGUUGGUUCUCGUGGACCGCAUGAGUGGUCCACAUCACUCCCUCUCUCUUUCUCUAUAUAUAUAUAGAGAGAGAGAGAGAGAGAGAGCUGAGCUGGAAUGCUAUCGGUAGCAAAUGAAUUUCGUCGUCAUUCAUUUGUUUUCGACGAUGCAGUUUCCAAAUCGAUGAUCGGCAUUGUUGAAUAUGAUCUAUACCACUUGAAGUAUUUAAAAAUCAAAUUUUAAAUUUUUUCGACAUCAUUGCCCUAAUGAUGAAAGGAUUUCAAAUUUUAUAAUUUUAAUAGCAAAUAUGAAACGUUUUCUCGUUUAGCGGUGUAAAACUAUCCAAAUGAAUUGAAUAUUGAUUAGAAAAUUUUUUAAACUGUUUAGAACAAAAUUUAUACUCUCGAUAUUGAUUAUAAAAUUUCUAUCAUCCCUUUUUAGAGGAUAUUCAUUUUCAGCCAUUUAUUUUACGUCCACUUGAUGGACAAGAGAACAAUAUUGAAAAAGUAUGAAAUUUGGUUUCUAGAUACUUCAAGUGGUAUAGAUCAUUUUAAAUGGUGUCAAUCGUCGAUUUUGAGGCUCCAUCAUCGAAAACAAAUGGGUGACAACGGAGCUCGUUUGCUACCAAUAGUAUUUCAGCUCAUCUCUCUCUCUCUCUCUCUAUAUAUAUAGUUCGGCUACUUACUCUUAUGAGUACGAUCACCCUUGAACUUAUAAGUCGUUUUUAAUGAUAAAGCUUCUGAAUCGACGAUCCAUAUUGUUAAACGUUAUUUAAAGCAUUUAAAACUUCUAAAAAUCAAACUUCAUAAUUUUUCGAUAUUAUUUACCUUACGAUCAAAAAGUCACAAAAUUGACAAUUUUUAACGGCCGGUAUCUUGCUAGUUUAACGGUGUAAAAGAAUUGGAAUAGAUUGAAGUUUUGAUAAAAAAUUAUAUUCAGUAUCUAGAUAAAUAUGAAUAACUCUGAUCUUAAAAUGAAGAAUUCGAUCAUCAAUUUUUAGGACGUUAUUCAAUUUUGAUCGUUCAUUUUAUACCCGCUUAUUGGUCUUUAUUAUGAUUUCGAAAAAUUACGAAAUUUAGUUUUUAGAAGUUUCAAAUACUCUAGAUUAUAUUUAACGGAGUGGAUCGUCGAUUUGGAAACUCCAUCAUCGAAAAUAACUUAUGAGUACAAAUGGCUCUAUACUCAUAAGAGUAUAGUAGCCCUACUCUUUUUCUCUCUCUUUAUAUAUAUAUAGAACUAGGUUGGUAUAUUAUCGAUAGCACGGAGGUCUCCGUGCUAGCAAAUUGUUUUCAAUAAUGCAAUUUCCAAAUCACGAUCGACUCCGCUAGACUUAAUCUACACUAUUGAAAGCAUUUGAAAACUAAAUUUUAUAAUUUUUCUAAAUCAUUUGGCUAGUGAUCAAAAGAUUUUAAAAUUAAUAAUUUUAAUGAUCGAUGUGAUGCGUUUGUAAAUUUAAUAGUGUAAAAUAAUCCAAAUCUAAUAAAUUUUUAUAAAAAAUUCUUUUCACUGUUUAGAAUAAGAUCAGUAACUCUAAUUUUAAAUUCAAAUCUUUUAUUAUCAUUUUUUAUAAGAUUUUUAUUUUCAGUCGUUCAUUUUUAGACUACUCGUUUGAUAGGUUAAUGAUGUCGAAAAAUUAUAAAAUUUAGUUUUCAAAUACUUUCAAUAAUAUAAAUUAAGUUUAAUGGUGCCGAUCGUCGAUUGAGAAACUGUAUCAUUGAAAAUAAUUUGGUAGCAUGGAGGCCUCCGUGCUACCAACAAUAGUAUCCCAGCGGACUCUCUCUCUCUCUCUCUCUCUCUCUCUCCUCUCUCUCUCUCCUCUCUCUCUUCUCUCUCCUCUCUAUAUAUAUAUAUAUAUAUAUAUAUUAUAUAUAUAUAUAUAGUUCGACUUAAAUACUAUAGAUAGUACCAAGCGCUUGGACUAUUGAGUUUUCCGCCGUAGAUUCAACUCUUUGACUAUUUUUACUUGUUAGAUUAUACUAUUCAACAAUAAACUCACUCAACCGUAUGGACCCACAUUAUCGUAAUUGUACAUUUUUUCAUCCAAGGGCCUGAAAACCUAAUAGCGUCAAUAGCUUUGGUCUAUUUAUAGUAUUCCAGCUAGUUUUAUUUAUAUAUAUAUAUAGGAGAGAGAGAAGGGGGAUUGGGGAGUCCGACGGAGACGCGGUCCGCUUGGGGAGGCCCCCGUGUUGUACUUGAGGGCGGUCGCCGUCGCGGCGCAUAGGGGCUCCGCGGAGAAGAGCGAUCUAGAGAGAGAGAGAGAGAGAGAGAGACUGUUGAGCUGGAAUACUAUUGAUAGUAUUUCGCCUCUUUUGCUAUCAAGUUUUUAACUAUUGAAGGAGAAAUUGUAGAGUUAUGAUGAUAUUAGUCUCUUAGAAUUGAAUGGUCCCCCUAAGGUUGAGUGGUCCCCACUAGGUUAUAAUAUUGAAUUCAAUGAUUAGAAAUGAUCAAAGAAAUUGAUCAAAAAACUAAAAAUUUGAUAGCAAAAUGGGGUAAAUACUAUUAAUAGUAUUCUGGCCCAAUUCUCUCUCUGUAUAUAGAACUAAACUAGAAUAUUAUUAAUACCACCAAGUUAUUGGUGCUAUUAAGUUUUCAAUACUUGAAGUGAGGGAUGUACGGUUAGGAUGAUAGUAGCCCUUAUGGUUGAUCAUAAGGUAGAUCUAACAGUGGAAAAUUUGGUAGUACCACCUGUUUGGUGAUAUCGAUAGCAUUGGGAGGUGACUAUAUUAUAUAUAUAUAUAAUAUAUAUAUAAUAUAUAUAUAUAUAUAUAUAUAUAUGCUACUAUGCUAUUAAUAGGCACAAAGUUAUUGUGCUACCAGUUUUGGCCAUUGGAUUAAGAAAUGUGUAGUUAGGAUGAUGUGGGCCUCUAGGGUUGAGUGGAUGGUUGGUAGCACAAGUGCUUCGUGCAUUAAUAGCAUAGUAGCCGGACUAUAUAUUAUAUAUAUAUAUAUAUAUAUAUAUAUAUAUAUAUAUAUAUAUAUAUAUAUAUAUAUAUAUAUAUAUUAUAUAUAUAUAUAUAAUAUAUAGUUGAGCUAAAAUGCUAUUGAUAGCAAAUGGGCUUCGUUGUCAUCCAUUUUUUUUCGAUGAUAGAGCCUCCAAAUCGACGAUCGCACCAUUGAACAUGAUCUAUACCGCUUGAAGUGUUUAGAAAUCAAUUUCAAAUCUUUUUGACAUCAUUUGACUAAUGAUCAAAGGGUUUCAAAAUUUGUAAUUUAAUGGUCGAUAUGAUGCGUUUUCUCGUUUAACGGCGUAAAGAUAUCCAAAUCAAUUACAUUUUCGUUAAGAAAAUCUUUAAACUAUUUAAAACAAGAUCUAUACUCUUGAUCUUGAUUACAGACUCCUAUCAUUAUUUUUUAAAGAAUAUUCAUUUCAGUCGUUCAUUUUUGUGUCCACUCGAUGGAUAAGAGAACAAUAUCGAAAAUAUAUGAAAUUGAUAUCUAAACACUUCAAGUGGUAUGGAUCAUGUUCAACGGUGCCGAUCAUCGUUUAGAGACUCCAUCAUCGAAAAACAAAUGGGUGGCAACGGAGCCAUUUGCUAUCGGUAGUAUUCUAGUUCAACUCUCUCUUCUCGCUCUCUCUCUCUCUCCUCUCUCUCUCUCUCUCUCUAUAUAUAUAUUAGUAUAUAUAUAUAUAUAUAUAUUAUUAUAUAUAUAUAUAUAUAGAACUAGGCCGGAAUACUAUCGAUAGCACCAAGCUAUUGAUGUCAUUAAGUUUUCAGCUCUUGAUGAAAAAAAUGUAUGAUUAGAAUGAUGUGGGCCUCUUAGGAUUGAGUGAGUUAUUGGUUGAAUAGUAUUAACGUAACGAUACAAAUAGUCAAAGAGUAAAUUUAACGGCAAAAAACUCAGUAUUAUCAUACGCUUAGUGCUAUCGAUAGUAUCCCAGCCGGACUAUAUAUAUAUAUAUAAUAUAUAUAUAUAUAUAUGCUACUAUACUAUCAAUAGUACCAAGCCUUUGUACUAUUGAGUUUUGACCGUUGGAUGAAAGGAUGUGCGGUUAGAUGAUAGUGUUCCCCUAGGGUUGAGUGUGGUGGUGUUUAAUAGAUAAUCUAAUGGGUAGAAAUGAUCACGGGAAGAUCUAAUGGUAGAAAACUCAAUAGUACCAAAGGCUUGUACUAUCAAUAGUAUAGUAGCCGGACUAUAUAUAUAUAUAUAUAUAUAUAUAGAGUGCGGCUAGGAUGCUUAUGGAAGCACGGAGGCUCCGUGCUUCUACUUUGUUUUCGAUGUUCAGACUUUCGAAUCGACGAUCGACUCCGUUAGACUUGAUCUAGAGCAUUUGAAGUAUCUAGAAAAUAAAUUUGCGAUUUUCGAUAUCAUUUGCCUAGUACGAAGUGGCUCAAAUCAACGGCUGAUAAAAAUCCUACAAAAUAUGAUGAUAUGACAAUAAAUUUUAGAUCAAAGUUAUUGAUCUUGUUUUAUAUAGUAUAAAGAAUUUCCAUUAAAAUUUCAUGUGAUUUGGAUAUUCUUAUACCGUUAAACUUGCAACCGGCUCACCAUCGGCCGUUAAAAUUAUUGAUUUUGAGCCCCUUCGAUCACUAGGCAAAUGAUAUCAAAAGAUCACAAAAUUUAUUUCUAGGUACUUCAAAUACCCUAGAUCAACUCUAACGGAGCCGAUCGUCGAUUCGAAAGUCCGAACAUCGAAAACACUUGGAAGCACGGAGGCUCCGUGCUUCCAUAAGCAUACCAGCCCACUAUAUAUAUAUAUAUAUGUAUAUAUAUUAUAUAUAUAUAUAUAUAUAUAUAUAUAUAUAUAUAUAUAUAUAUAAUCUAUAUUAUAUAUACACAUAGAGUUUUGUUAGAAUACUAUUUGUAGUAAACGACUCGCGUUUAUUACCGAUUUGUUUUCGAUGAUAGAGCUUCCAAAUUGAUGAUCGACCGUAAACCAUGAUCUAAACUAUUUAAACUAUCUAGAAAUCAAAUUUCACACAUUUUCGAUAUUGUUCUCUUGUCCAUCAAGUGAACAGAAAAAUGAAUGACUGGAAAUGAAUAUCCUUCAAAAAAUGAUGAUAUAAUUUUUAUAUUUGAGAUCUAGAGUAUAGAUCUUAUUUUAAAUAGUUUAAAGAAUAUUUUUAAUAAAAUUUAGUUGAUUUGAACUCUUCUAUACCGUUAAACGAGCAACGCACCAUAUCGGCCAUUAAAAUUAUAGAAUUUGUGACCCUUUGAUCGUUUAGUUAGUGAUGCUAAAAAUCAUGAAAUUUGAUUUUUAGAUAAUUUAAAUGGUUUGAUCAUGUUCAACGGUGCAAUCGUCGAUUUGGAAGCUCUAUCAUCAGAAACAAAUCAGUAGUAAACCGAGCAGUUUACUACCGAUAGUAGUCCAGUCAAACUCUAUAUAUAUAUAUAUAAUUGCUCAUAUGCUUUUAAAAGUACUAAGUUAUUGGUGCUUGUAGAUUUUAGCCAUUGGAUUAGAGAGAUAUGCAGUUAGGAAUGAUGUGGGCCCCUAGGUUUAGUGGGUGGUUGUUGAAUAGUAUAAUCUAAUGGUUGAAAAUGAUCCCAGGAGUAGAUCUAACGUAAAAACUUACAAGCAUCAAGUGCUUGGUGCUUUUACAAGCACCAUAGCUGGACUCAUACUAUAUAUAUAUAUUAGAGAGAGAGAGUUCGGCUGGAUACUGUCGAUAGUACGAAGCAUUGGUGCUAUCAAGUUUUCUGCCGUUAGAUUUACUCUUUUAUCAUUUUAUCCGUCGAUUAUACUAUUCAACUAACCGCCCCGCUCAACCCUAGGAGGCCACAUCAUUCCUAAUUAUACAUCUUUUAAUCCAAUAAUAAAAAACUUAAUAGGCACCAAAUUAUUGUGCUAUUAAUAGUAUUCCAGCCUAUAUAUAUAUAUAUAUAUAUAUAUAUAUAUAUUAUAUAUAUAUAUAUAUAUAUAUAUAUAAAAAGAAAUAAAAAUUAUUAUACAUAUUUUAUAUUUUUAUUAUAAAUAUUAUAUAUUUCUUUAUAUAGUAUUGUAUCCAUAUUAUAUACAUAUAUUAUGUUUAUAUAUAUAUAUAUAUAUAUAUAUAUAUAUAUAUAUAUAUAUAUAUAUAUAUAAUAUAUAUAUAUAUAUAUAAUAUAUAAUUAUAUAAGAAGAUGAAAAAUUAUUAUACAUAUUUUAUAUUUUUAUUUAUAAAUAUUAUAUAUUUCUAUUAUAUAGUAUUGUAUCCAUAUUAUUACAUAUAUUAUAUUAUAUGUUUAUCAAUUUAUCAUAUUAUAUAAAUUUAAUAUAUUUAAUUUAUAAUAAUAAUAAUAAUAAUAUAUAUUUUAACAAUUAAUAUAAAUAAAUAAUAUAUAGGGUAUAUAAUAAAAAAGAAAUUCCUUCCAACUAAACAAGUGAGGUUGAAAACUUUUUUUCUUUUCCUUCCAAUAAACUUGUUACAUAGAAUCAAACAGCCCCUUAUCAAAAAGUCCUACUUCGUAACAUCUACAUCACAUUAUUUAUUCUUAAUUGAAUUAUAUUUUUUAAAAGUAUGUAAUAAAAAUAUUCUAAGAAAAUAAUGAUAAAAUAAGUGAAUUUCAGGAGAGUUUUUUGAUUGGAUGAGAGCAUCACAUCAACAGCACAAGUGUUGCAUUUUUAGAUAUUUCUAGUCACUGAUUAGGGUGAAUUUGGACCGUCCAAGCAAAGAACGGUGGAGGUUGAACAGCCCGCAUGCGAUGCUGUUGGAAUGGAAAAUAUUGUACUUCUGGUAAAAACAAGGGAAAACAUCAAAAACCUAUAUAUUGAUUCGCACUUUUUCAUUUUAGUACCCUGUGAUUUAAAGUGUAUCAAGUUAGUACCAUGUGGUUUCGCACUUUCUCACUUUAAUACCCUAUGGUUUAAAGUGUAUCAAGUUAGUACUAUGUGAUUUUAUUUUUGUAUCAAAUUAGUACUCUAUGGUUUUAUUUUUGUAUCAAGUUAGUACUUUGUGGUUUUUAAACCACAGGGUACUAAAGUGAAAAAGUGCGAAACUAUAGGGUACUAACUUGAUACACGUUAAACCAUAGGGUACUAAAGUGAUAAAGUGCAAAACCACAACCGCAAGGUACUAACUUGAUAUACUUUAAACCACAGAGUAGAAAAGUGAGAAAGAGUGAAACGACAAUGGGGUAUUUGAAGUUUUCCCUAAAAAUAAAGAAAAGAAGAAACUGCUACAUUUCCGGCCUGUACUUUUGGGGGAAGCACGUGGCCCGAUAACGGCCCUCCUGACCGGGGAGCUCUCCCUGAUGCACGAAGCAAAUGUAAACUACAGAAUCACAGUCUACAAGGAUCUGUUGGGAAGUUCUGCAAUUUAGAAUACUUUUAAGGCAUGUUUGACGCACCUGUUUUAGACUAUAGAAUCAAAAUAACAUUUAUUGAUUUCGAUUGUUGUUGUUUGCUUUACAAGAAUCGAAUUUCGAAUCUUAUUCCAUUCUGGAAUGGAAAUGACCAAAUUCAUUUAUAGUUCAAUCUGAUUUUGAAUUCCAGAUUGAUCCAUUCUAAGAUAAAUUGUUCAAAAUCUUCGUUCAUCAACACCUCCUCCUCUCCCUUCAUUACUUUUAUAUUUCUUAAUUAAAAUCCUCUCUCAAAAAAUUUAUAUUUUCAUUUUCAUUUUCAUUCAAAUAAUAAAUUAAAUAUUUUUGAAUGAUUCGUCGUUCUAUUUUCUAUUCCAAUCCUAUUCCUGCACUAACUUUCCCAAACCGUUAACAGAGAACAGUUUUUAAAGCGUAAGGUGGGGCCCAACCCGUACAACAGGCUGGGUGGAGGCUUUAAAAUCGAAUUGUUCCUUUUUAUUCAAUAUAAGCCCAGAUCGGCCCGGAAUUUUAUUAGUGAUCCAUUACAGCCCAUUCAGGGUCUAUGAGGGCUGGACCCGGACCGAGCCAGAUAAACAAAUCGGGAUCCAAAACCUGGCACAACCCAAACACUCUCACCCGAAUUAAAAUUUAUUCGCUAUCACGUACGAUACGGCGUAGUCCGUCUCACUCGCAAAGUCGCACCUCCGCACGAAGCAUCUACAAAUGCUUGCAACCCCCGCGCGUUCGUUCCCCCCUCGAUGCCGCCGCAUCCAAGCCUAUAAGUACAACAAACCCCGCUCGGUUCGAGCUCGCGCGGCGUCAUCCAUGGCGGCGGCGGCGGAGACCAAAGGGGGCGUCAUCGGCGCCGGCGAGGUGGAGAAUGGUGGCGGCGGAGGUGGUGGAGGAGGAGGAGGAGGAGAGGUGAGCCUGAGGGAGUGGCAGGGAUGGGGCACCUCCUCCCCCGUCCCCGCCAUGGUGACCGAGGUGAUCAGGGAGCUUAGGGCUUUGGAGCUGGAGACCGAUUCGAGCAUGCGCUUCGGCGGCCUCGGCGGCAAGCUCCAGGUUGAUUCCCGCUCUCUUCCCCUUCAUUUCCUUGCUUACGGAUUGAUCGGAUUCGAUAUAAACUGAUUAUUGUGUUGGAAUGGUUGAAAUUUGUUGUGGAACUAGAGGGAUGCUAGUUUAGGGCCUGUAUGAACCCCUUUUGCUUGCUUUUUUCAGCUAUAGUUACAUGUAAUAGAGUAUUUAGCAAACAGAAAAGCUUGAAGCCUGCUGAAGUGCGAAGCGGGAAUAUGAUUUUGGAGUCCAAAAGUAGAAUCUUCAAAUUGGAACUCUAAGGUGGAAUUUAAUAUGGCGCACUUUCUUAAACAACACUAUACCCUACAGGGGGCCAAACAAGCCCUUAGAUAGGAAAUUAUUUUAAUUAAGGAAACAAGGAUGGUAAUGUAGGGUUCUAUGCAGCACUUUUGACAAUUAUACUUGUGACGAAAACUCUCUCUGGUCACGUAAGAAGGGCCUGAGGUCAGAAUGAUGCAUCACACUGAUUUGUGCAGUAGCUUGUAAUUUCAUUUAUUACUAUCAAGUUUAGUUCUAGGAACUUUUGCUUGUAUUGUUCAUUUCACGUGCUGAAACCUUUUCCUUUUAAGUGUACUUUAAGUUUGAUUUGAAGUGGAAGCUGUAAUAGAUCCCCAGAUUCUGUACAUUUUUUGAUGCAUAGUUUUAUGCUUACAUGACAGUUUAACUAAUGUAACUUUCAUGUGAACUUUGUAGGGUGAAUUUAAGGUUCAGGAGGAUAAGAAACAUAGGAAAGUAUAUGAUAGUCUAACUGAUUCUGAGAGGAAGCUGCAAUUUUUCGCUGCUCGACAGAUAGCUUGUCGUUUGCUUGGAAGUAGGGGCUAUCUCUGCCAGAAGGUAUUAAAGCUCUUUCUUUCAACUUCUCUCUCACCCAUGAUUUACUAUCAUCAGCUUCGUGCUUGCAGCGCCAAAAUGUUAUCAUCAGGGACCUGCAGCCACCUGUAGCCUUUAUAGUAGGUUUAUAAGGCUGGUCAAGGGUUAACAGACAACAAAUCUUCUUUUAAAAUAUUUAGGUAUUUACCCAUUUAAAAUUAUUUAUUUAUGUGUACCAUCGUGAAAUCCGAAUUUUCAUAUAACCUGUCAAAACCUUAAUUUCUUACAUAUAUAGCCUUGUACAUUAAUUUCUUACAUUUGUAGCCUUGUACUACUGAAAUGCCCCUCCAAAAUUGUUUGAUUAAUGCAAUAUCAACGUUCUCUUAUGAAUUGGAUGACUCUCCAACUUAGUAAUAUAAGUGAAUUUUUGUAGGAAACUGUACUUCCCAGGGGUACAUAUGAAAAUUUAAAUUUUACAGGUCUUGGAGGGACAUAUAUCGAAGUAUCCAUCUCUUUUAAUUCGGUGGCUUGUCAUUGAUAGAAUCACUCAAAUCCUUUCUGCUUAGAUUGUUUAGGACCAUCUGCGUGUAAAUUUUUGCAGUGCUGGCUCCCAAAGGAAGAUUGCAUGUGCUCAAGAAUUGUUCCAUGCUCAUUGUGGGAUGGUAUAAGAUUUUGGUUAUACAUGCAUCCAAAGGUAUUUUUGCUUUACAGUAAUUACCUCAACACCUUGCUUUGCUCUAAUACAUUCAUUAUGUAAACAUUCUUGUUCUUGCAGGACUUUUUACGCCAAAAUAACACUGGAAAGUUAUUGUGGCAAAUUUUUGGCACCCAAGCUGCAACUUUGUGUCUUUUUGGCAUUACUGAACAUGAAGAAAUUAUGUGGCAUGCAUUCAGCCAUGCAGGUUAUAAUGGCUGUCUUGAUUGCUGUCUUGAUUGAACUAGAGUAUAUGAGUUCUAGUAAACCUAAGUAUUUCUAUUUGUAAAUCUUCUAUUGUAAGUUAAGUUUUAGAAAGACUAGAAGCAGCAAUAGCAAAGUUAAAAGUGCAAAAUCUCAAAAUUUGCUAUUCUUUGCAUCCAAUAUUAUAAUAUUAAAGCACUAGAGCUCUUUCCUGUAAAUAAACCUCAUCUAUAAUUCAUUGACCAUGUAAACCAGAAUGAGGAGAAGGAGAGCAAAUGAGCAAGGAAAAGCUCUUUAAUUUUCAUAUGACUGUAAAACCCAAUUUCCAGGUUGCUUGUCUAAUUUUCUUGAAGCAAACGUGAGGAAAUAAGAGAAAGGGCACAAAAGGCAGAAGGUAAGCUUCUUUUUGAUGCCUAUGAUAGCAACCCUCUUCAAAUGGAGGAAUGUAAACCAAAAUAAAGUGUGGAAGAAGCAGACACUGUGAUGUCUAAUCUGAAUGUAAAAUAAUGCCGUGAGAUUGCACGCAAAAAAGAGAUUCCUAAUCUUGGCAACUUUUCAAACUUUCUUUUUAAGUUCGGAGUAAUGUUAGAGAGAGAGAGAGAGAGAGAGACUUGGAGAAGAAUCUGAUCUGCCGCUCAAGUUUGGCAGAAACUAAUAACUGUCAGAUCUCAAGUAUUAUUUCCAUUUCUGAUUCUUGAAGCAGGCAAAUGUUGAUUGAUAUGUGGUUAUCAAUGUAAUCUGCUAGAUUCUUUUAAAGUAAUGACUUAGCCUUUCUAUUAUUGGUGGUAUUAAUGUCACAAAUUUGUGCUCAUAGAAUAAUUUUCUUACCUUUCAGGUUAGCCAUGAGUCAUGACAUGAAUUUCUUUUUCUCCCUAGGAAAAGGAAUGGUUUGGUUGCUCUACCCGAAUAAGAAUUUGUUUCCCAAGUCAGUUCAGGACAUUGUCAUUGAUGGAGUGUUUAGAAAGACUGGAGGUCAAGAUAUGGUACUCUUAUGUGCUUUUUCGAUCUUUUGCAUUCUCAUUUUUGGUAUCUCUCUCAUAUUGAAUGUCGUCCUUGUCAUCACAAAAAUUGUUGCUGGUCUGCAAGUGUGCAAUUUCAUACAGGGAAACCUUUUGAGUGAUAUUCUCAUGCUUGCGCGUAUUACUCCUCAUACCAAAACACCCAUUGUUAAAAACUUCAAGAAACUUACAUGUAACAAGCCAAAUUUUUGACCUUUCCAACAUAAUGGAUUCUCACGAAAUAAGUCAUUCAAGUCACUUUUUUCGAGUUUGUGUAAGUUCUGCCCUCGAGCAUGACUAGUUUUCUGACUGCAUGGUUUGCACAAGAGCACGUAUAAUUUAAUAUUGGUAAGUGCAAGGACCCAUCAAUUUUUCUAAGCUUGGUGAUAUCAAUUAAAAGUUUCAAAUUAUAUGGGGAUGCUUCUAAUUAAUGAGAGCAUUUCUUUCUUUUUUGUUAUGUUACUGUGUGUAGAAGUUUUAGCUCAUCAGUUAACAGGCCUAUACGGAGACUAGUAUUUUCAAAUUAACUAUAUCUAUUAUGCAGGAUCUUGGAGACGAGCCUUUAAAUUUUGUUUUGAUUGAUGGUACCUGGAGUAACUCCGCUGCAAUGUAUAAAAGGUUGAAGGUAUGUUCUUGGGGUUGGAGACAAACCUUUAUCUAUCUCUCUCUCACUUUUGCAGUUAACUAACUUUAUAAGAAUUGGCUUUGGCUUCUAUAUCACUUUGAUUUAUCUCUAGGAGAGCCAAGUCUAGCUUCUAUGUCAAUCCAUGUGAACUUUCUCAUGUAAGGGACAUGUUUCUUUGCAGGAGAGGUGGAAGUUGACGUGGGGAGAUGAAGACCUGCCUUGUAUUUCGUUGUCAACUCUUGGCGCCUCUGUGAUGCACAAGCUCCGGUGAGAUUAGCACUGGCUUCUUUCUCGCAUGUUUGCAAUCCCUACCCUUUCCUGUUCUUUUGCAGUACCUAUUGAGGGUAAAUAUGCAUGGUUAUUCUCAGACUUCCCCUCAAUUGCUACUUUGAUGCCGAUCUUCCAAUUAUACAUGUAAGCCCCUAAACUUAGCUGGUAUCAUGCAUUGUAAUCUCUGGGCUCCUUUGCUGUCCUAAAUCAUUCUUUGUUUAGUCUAUGCGCUCGGCACAUAGUAAAUGAUAGGUUUUGGAAUGAAAAUUUAUAAGGGAUCACACGGCAAGAAAUUAGCCAAGUUCAGAGGCUUAUCUUUUUGAUUGGAAGAUCAGGACCUAAUUAUAAUUCAAUGAAAGAUCAAGGACUGUUGCUCAUGCUACAGAUCUGUUAGUUCUCUCUUCUUAUCUAAUUGAAGCAGACCUCAGCCAUCAUGGGACCGCACUUGCACAGCUGCUGCUGCAGCUGGCCUUCUCUCGGAAUUACACCUCCGUCCUCAGCUCAGUACACUCAGAUUGGAUAAACAGGCUGAGGCUGUGGAACAGGCGCUCGAUUUUCUGCUUGACUCCCUCACUAGUCGACGACUCCGAAUGGGAAGAUCAAUUACUCGAAGAGAGAGACAUAAGAAUUGCGUAUAACUAAAGACUACCUCGUGGAAACAAAAGAGAGAUACAUGGAUUUUCCAGGAGAACUGGAAAUAGCUAGCUGGUUCUUUUGAUCAGUUUUUGAGUCUGAAGGUGCCGCCUCAACAAUAUAAUUCUGAUUGAGAUGAUAUUGUUUUUGUUCUUGUUUUCAUUCAAGUCGAUGGGAAUAUGGCCCAUACAUUAGGAGAUAAAGAUGAAAAAUCAACUGAUGUUUUAUACGGAUGCGGAAACUUCAACAUUGAAGUUGUCGCCGGCUGUGUAAUUGCUGAUUUCGGACUUACGAACUAAUUGCUCUCACAUAAUUUGAUGCUGAUUAUUUUUGAAAUUGAUGCCAAUGAAACUCUGCCUGAACUGUUCUUUCUGCAGAUGCACACUGUGUUGCAUUUCGUUGUGAGCACCCUUGAGCAAACUGUAGGAAGCGAUUGUGCCGUGGUUCCGUAGUUGUUGUCAAUACAAGGCAUUUCAGCUUCCGAGUAUUACUGCUACACUCCACUGUUCAUUCCUAUUUCUGUUUUCUGAGUUUUAUUUGUGCGGUAUGUGGCUCGAAUUCUUAAAUCUGAACAGCUAUGUUCAAUUUAUUUUUCAAUUUCGGAGAGACUUUAGAUUGGACUGCAAUAACUAAGCAGCUAAUGAAAAUCGAGAAAACCAAAUAGAAAAGAUUUAUUUCGUUUUUACUGGGAUUUAAGCAGUUUGCCUCAUGACAACUAAAUUUUGGUCGCGUUUAGCAAACACAAUAAUAAAAAAAUUUGGAUCCACCUCAGGUUCGAUCUCGUAAGAGUCCAUUGCCACCCAACGAAGACUUGAGUUGUGAUAGGCAAAUUGAAGAAAAUAUUCUUUGGUGAAUAACAUAUAGACUUGAUUUGUGAUAGGCAAAUUGAAGAAAAUAUUCUUUGGUGAAUAACAUAUUUUUUAUAUAAGCUCACGUGUGUGUGUAUAUAUAUAUAUAUUGAGAGAUAGGUUGCAUGCUAUCUGCUUCAUUUAUUUUAUUUAGAAAAAAAAUUAGUUAAAAAUAUAAAUCAACUAAGAUUUGAAUUUAAAAUUUCGGGUACUAAGCAUUUUAUAGAAGUGGUCGGUUAAGCUCAAAUAUAUUAAAGUGCCUACAUUAUGUGGAAGAGUAUAUUUAAGAUAAUCAUAAUUUGAAUAGUAAUAUCCAAAAUACUUAUACCUCAUAAAAUUUCAUUCCUUUUAUUCUCUCUUUUUCGUUGAACGGCCGCACCAGCCUAAGACGCCUCAAUUUAAUUCCGCUUCGCCACUUAUCCCGACUCUUCUGGAGAGAGAGAGACCUCGUCACCCUUAUUCCGACUACCCCCUAUCCGGCGAUCUUCGCCGUCAAGAAUACGAAUUAUUCCGCUAGUUUCUGAUACCGUCUUUUUUAUUCCCGACCCAAACGGGAAGUGGUCCAUCCCAUUCUCCUCUUCCCCUCCCAACCCCCAAAACCCUAACCCUAACCCUAACCCUAAUUUUCUACCCCGGUGCAUCGGCUCCUUUGUUUCCUCCCAUGGCGGCUGCGGCGGAUGGGGCGGGCGAGGGCCUACAGAAGCUGGAGUACCUGUCGCUGGUGUCGAAGGUGUGCACGGAGCUGGAGUCGCACGUGGGGUGCGGCGACAAGGUGCUCGCCGAGUUCAUCACCGAUCUCGGCCGCGACUCCGCCACCGUCGACGAGUUCGACGCCAAGCUGAAGGCCAACGGCGCCGACAUGCCCGACUACUUCGUCCGCACUCUCCUCACCAUCAUCCACGCCAUCGUCCCCCCCAAACCCAAAUCCGAUCCCAACUCCAACGCCGCCUCCAAGAACGGCACGAAUCCCCCUUCCGCCUUCCCCGCCCUCGCCCGCCCCGACGACCUCGACCGCGCCCGCCAGCUCCGCCUCGAGAUUGAGCGCGACGCCGAGCGCAAGUCCCACGCUGAAGCGCGCUCCCGCCACGACGACGACGCUGAGUACGACAAUGAUUAUCGUCGCCGGGACCGGCACCGUGGUCGAGAUCGUGACCAUGACAGUGAUCGGCGGCGGGAUCACAGCGAACGGGAUAGGGAUAGGGAUAGAGAUAGAGAUAGGGACAGGAACAGGGAUAGAGAUAGAGAUAGGGACAGGGGCAGGAGCCAUAGAAGGGAUAGUAGGUAUGAGGAGGAGCAAGAUGAGGAUGAUAGGAGCGGUAGAAACCCUAAUUUUAACAGUAGCCAAAGGAUCUCGGAUGAGCCGGAGCUUUACAAGGUGUACAGGGGCCGGGUCUCGCGUGUGAUGGACACGGGAUGUUUUGUUCAGCUCAGUGAUUUCCGCGGGAAGGAGGGACUCGUGCACAUCUCGCAGAUUGCAAGCCGCCGUGUUGCGAAUGCCAAGGAUGCGGUCAAGCGCGACCAGGAGGUGUAUGUGAAGUUGAUCUCAAUGUCGGGGCAGAAGCUUAGCCUUUCGAUGAGGGAUGUGGAUCAGAAGACUGGAAAGGAUUUGUUACCCAUGAGGAAGAGCGGCGAGGAUGAGGCUCUGAGAGCUAAUCCAUCGAGCGGGAGCAAUGGGCCAACAACAAGAAAGGGCCUUUCAGGCAUUACGAUCGUGGAGGAGAAUGAGGGCGGUGGCUCAUCAAGGAGACCUCUUAAGAGGAUGAGUUCACCGGAGAAGUGGGAGGCCAAACAACUUAUUGCUUCGGGAGUGCUCGAUAUAAGAGACUUCCCAAUGUUUGAUGAAGACGGGGAUGGAAUGUUGUAUCAAGAGGAGGGGGCGGAGGAGGAGCUCGAGAUCGAACUCAAUGAGGACGAGCCCGCAUUCUUGCAGGGGCAGAGCCGGUUUUCGAUUGAUAUGUCUCCAGUUAAGAUUUUCAAGAACCCCGAAGGAUCUUUAAGCAGGGCGGCAGCACUACAAUCAGCUCUUAUUAAGGAGAGGAGGGAGGUGAGAGAGCAGCAGCAGAGGACGAUGCUGGAUUCUAUCCCUAAGGAUCUCAAUCGGCCGUGGGAAGAUCCAAUGCCUGAGACUGGUGAGAGGCAUCUAGCUCAGGAACUGAGGGGUGUGGGGUUAUCAGCCUACGACAUGCCCGAGUGGAAGAAAGAUGCAUAUGGAAAGGCCUUAACUUUCGGGCAGAGGUCGAAACUAUCAAUUCAAGAGCAAAGGCAGAGCCUUCCUAUAUACAAGUUGAAGAAAGAGCUGAUUCAAGCCGUGCAUGAUAAUCAGGUUUUGGUCGUUAUUGGUGAGACGGGUUCAGGAAAGACAACGCAGGUGACUCAGUAUUUGGCUGAAGCUGGCUAUACAACGAGGGGUAAAAUUGGAUGUACUCAGCCUCGUAGAGUGGCAGCAAUGUCAGUGGCCAAGAGAGUGGCAGAGGAAUUUGGAUGUAGAUUAGGAGAGGAAGUCGGUUAUGCCAUUCGGUUUGAGGAUUGCACUGGGCCGGAGACGGUGAUUAAGUAUAUGACAGAUGGUAUGCUACUUCGGGAGAUUUUGGUCGAUGAGAGCCUUUCACAGUACUCUGUUAUUAUGUUAGAUGAAGCCCAUGAGAGGACCAUUCAUACUGAUGUUCUCUUUGGCUUGUUGAAACAGCUGGUCAAGCGCAGGCCGGACCUUAGGUUGAUAGUCACUUCAGCCACACUUGAUGCAGAGAAGUUCUCUGGCUACUUCUUUAACUGCAAUAUAUUUACAAUUCCUGGGAGAACGUUUCCCGUAGAAAUACUCUACACGAAGCAGCCGGAAACUGACUACUUGGAUGCAGCUUUGAUUACCGUUCUGCAGAUUCACUUGACAGAGCCUGAAGGUGAUAUCCUUCUCUUCUUGACCGGCCAAGAAGAGAUUGACCAUGCGUGCCAGUGCCUUUAUGAGAGAAUGAAAGGGUUAGGUAAGAAUGUCCCGGAAUUGAUUAUUUUGCCUGUUUAUAGUGCUCUUCCUAGUGAAAUGCAGUCGAGGAUCUUUGAACCGGCUCCUCCUGGGAAGAGGAAAGUGGUUGUGGCUACUAAUAUAGCCGAGGCAUCUUUGACUAUUGAUGGGAUAUAUUAUGUUGUCGAUCCUGGCUUUGCAAAGAUGAAUGUGUAUAAUCCAAAACAAGGGCUCGAUUCCUUGGUUAUUACUCCCAUCUCACAAGCAUCGGCCAAGCAGCGAGCUGGGCGUGCUGGGAGAACUGGUCCAGGGAAGUGUUACCGUUUGUACACGGAGAGCGCCUACCGUAAUGAAAUGGCACCCACUACUAUUCCAGAAAUCCAAAGGAUUAACCUAGGAAUGACAACACUGAAUAUGAAGGCUAUGGGAAUAAAUGACCUUUUGUCAUUCGACUUUAUGGAUCCCCCAUCACCGCAGGCACUUAUCUCUGCUAUGGAGCAGCUGUACAGUCUUGGAGCUUUGGAUGAAGAGGGGCUUCUGACUAAAUUGGGUAGAAAAAUGGCUGAAUUUCCACUAGAGCCACCCUUGUCGAAGAUGCUACUUGCUAGCGUGGACCUUGGUUGCAGUGAUGAGAUUCUGACAAUUAUUGCAAUGAUUCAGACUGGAAAUAUCUUCUAUAGGCCAAGAGAGAAACAAGCACAGGCAGAUCAAAAAAGAGCAAAGUUCUUUCAGCCAGAAGGCGACCACCUAACGUUACUAGCUGUUUAUGAGGCCUGGAAGGCCAAAAAUUUCUCAGGGCCAUGGUGUUUUGAGAACUUUGUGCAGUCACGUUCACUUAGGAGGGCGCAGGACGUGAGAAAGCAGCUCCUUACUAUCAUGGACAGGUACAGGGUUUGCUCUCCUUAAAUUCUUAUGCUUCCAUUGUGUCCUACUACUUGAGAUAUCCUUUUAUUUUUAACUGAUGGCAACUAUGAUUGGCUUACAUUGCUGCAUUAGUAAGAAUUGAUUGUUUCAAUUGUCCCAAUUUCUUAAAAUCUCUACCGAUCAUUUAUAAUUCCAUCAACAUUUGAUACUGCUCCAUGUAAUAGAUGCCAUCAACUUUUCUAUUGCUUGUUUUUUCCUUCUAGUAAAUUUAUUUAAUGUCGUGAGAGUAGAUGGUUGGAAUAUCAGAAAUGGAAUAGCAGAAGUGUCCAAAAAAAGUUCACUUUGCGUGCUAAUGCAGAUUUUCUUCAGUUUGUCUUCAGAGACAUGUUUCCUGGUAGCUAUAAGACAAUGCUUAGGUGAUUGAAAACCGAUUUGUCAAUUACACAGAAGGUAUUACGUUUAGCAUAAUGGAUUUUCUCGGCUAUUCUAGAUUUCUUUUAUUUUAUUUAAGUGGUACCUCUUUCGUGAUCUCCUAAGAAUUAUGCUGUGCUGCAUCUUCUGGCAGUUAUCUGGCAGUUAUAAGGCGGCCUUAGGUAACUGGAUUCAAAUAGUUAUAUACAUGGAAGAAAUUAGUUGUGGUGCACUGGAUUUAUAUGAUAAUCGAUAUUUCUUCAAUACUAUCAAUUGAUACAUUUAUGAACCACGGAGAAUAAUACUGCCGCUUCUAAUUUACAAAACCAAGGUACAGUAUAUAACCCGGAUUGACUUGAUACUACCAUUGUAGAGAUAUCUUUGAAGAAAUUAAGGGCAUGUUUGGUUCAUGAUUGGAAUAGGAAUGAAAAAUGGAAUUGGUCUGUUUUGGAAUAGGAAAUGGAAUGACGAAUCAUUCAAAAAUGUUUGGUUCACUAUUGGAAUGAAAAUUUAGAAUUUUUGAGAAAGGAUUUUAAUUAAGAAAUAGGAAAGGAAUGAAGGGAGAGGAGGAGGUGUUGGGGAAGGAAGAUUUUGAGUAGUUUACUUUGGAAUUGGUCAAUCCGGAAUUCAAAGCCGAAUUGGACCAUAAAUGGAUUUGGUCAUUUCCAUUCCAGAGUGGAAUGGAAUUCGAAAUUCGAUUCCUAUAAAACAAAUAACAACAAUCGGAAUCAAUGAAUCCCAUUCCAAUUCCAUAGUUUAAAAUAAGUGAACCAACCAUGCCCUAAGCGUUCGAGUCUCUAAAGGUCAUAAACGAAAAAUUUAGAUAUUGCAGGUUUUAUACAUGUUAACAUAUGAUUUGUCAGGUGUAUAUAUGGAAGUCUUAAUGCGUGCUGUUAUUGUGUAUUCAGGUAUAAACUGGAUGUCGUCUCUGCUGGCAAAAACUUCACGAAAAUCCGGAAGGCGAUUACUGCAGGUUUCUUCUUCCACGCGGCUCGCAAGGACCCCCAGGAGGGUUACAGGACAUUAGUGGAGAACCAGCCCGUAUACAUUCAUCCGAGCAGUGCCCUGUUCCAGAGACAACCGGACUGGGUCAUAUAUCACGAGCUCGUGAUGACGACGAAGGAGUACAUGAGGGAGGUGACCGUGAUCGACCCGAAAUGGUUGGUCGAGUUGGCCCCAAGAUUCUACAAAUCUGCCGAUCCGACGAAGAUGAGCAAGCGGAAGCGGCAAGAGCGCAUAGAGCCCCUGUACGACAGAUAUCACGAACCUAACUCGUGGCGGUUGAGCAAGCGCCGCGCCUAACUGGUGUAUCUGUAUCAAUUUUGUGUGUUUUCUUUCUUCUUAUGUACUCUUCGUUCAGUGCUUGUAUUGUUCCAGUAUCUAUUCAUCAACUAAGCAGUAAGUUUUCGAUCAAUGUAGAUAUGUUCGAGGCUAACAUCUUUUUAUGUGAUGAACUGAAGAGUCCUCUAAGGGCCUGUUUGUUUCGAGGGAAGUGGGGUGGAAGUGGGACGGGGGAAGUAAUUCUCGGUGAAAACUGAUCACUUUCGCUGUUUGGUUCACCGUAAUUUUAUUACGCCCGAAAGUUCAGUUCACCUAAAAUAAUAAACUUGACUUCGCCCUCCCAUGGGGCGAAGUCAAUUCCGGUGAAAUGAAAAAAAGGCAAGAAUGGAUUAAUAUGUUAAGGUUACCUCUUCUAAAAUAUGAUCAAAUUUGAUUAGAUAAGCUUUAAUAUAUUUUUUGUUUAAUUUGUAUAUUUAGAAAAUGAUGAAAAAUGAAUUUGUUAAAUGUUAAUAAUUUUUUAACUUUAGAAUUUUAUUUGUUGCAUUAUUAUAAUUUAUAUGCAAACAAAUAAUAUAAUUUUUUAAAAUUUUAUUUUAUAAUUAUACAUAUAUAUAAUUAUAUACAUAUAUAAUUAUAUUAAUUUUUAUUUAUUAUAAUUUAUUAUUCACUAUAAAUUAUAAAAUAGAUAAUGAUAUCACUUUGGAGAUAUACCGGGGGUGGAGGGUUACACUUUUUACGUCAUAUACUUUCUACCAAACAAACAAUAGAACUCGCAGAACUGGUGAAUUAAUUUUCACCCCAACUCCACUUUAACUCAAAGUCUAUUUCCAUCCUAAGUCUAUUUACGUUGAAACAAAUAUGUCCUAAUUCGAUGCAUUGUGAUUGGGUGUUAGCUCUAGUGUUUGUCCGUACAGUUUUUCAUAGAAUUUUUAAAUAAUUCAUAUUUACAAAAUAAAGGUGUAAAUUUUUUACAAAAAAACUUUUAUAUAAGCCAAAAAUUAGAUAAAUUUAUUAAAUACAAAAAAUUUAAUAAUGGCCACGUCAUAUCUAAACGAGGACCCCAAUUAGAAUGCCAAUUUUAACUCUCUCCAAUUUCUUAGACAAAACGCAUGAACAACACCGCCCCCUCCUUCGCCGCCCCCGCACCCCCCCUCCCACCACCCCUCGAUUAUAAAAUAGGAAGAGAAUAAUAAAUUACUCGCGUUGGGAGGGAUUUGGGAGGCGGAGAGGAGGAGGAGAAAUUGAGCUAGGGUUCAAAGAUCCAUCCUUUACCUGCGUAAUCGAGCGAGCGACUCCAUAGUAAUCGUGAUCGUGAUCUCCUGCAAAUUGAUCCCAAUACCCGACCAAUGGAUUCCGAUCUCUGGAUCUCGCGCCUUGCUGCGGCGAAGAGGCACUACUCGCUGCUGCUCCAGAAUCAGAAUCGCCAAUUAGGUUUUUUCUCCCUCUUCAAUUCCGACGAUUCGUUGUUUGUUUUAUGUGGAUUUUGGGGAAUUUUUCUCUUUUUCUUUUUUUUUUUUACGAGUAUUUUGCUGUGCAGAUCGGCUCGGAUUCAACGAUUUGGAGGUGGAAGAGGAGAUCCGCGGCGAUUUCUCGUGUCCGUAUUGCUACGACGAUCACGAUUUCAUGUCGCUGUGCGCCCAUUUGGAGGAGGAGCACUCCCUCGAGUCCAAACUCGCCGUGAGCAUCUAAAAUUUCUCAUCUUUGCUUCUUUUUUUUUAAUCGUGUUUCGCUACGUUUCCUAAUCUAAUGAUUUUUUGGUGUAUUUUGACAAUCGAAGGCAUGUUUUGAUUACAUGUUAAUAUGAACAGGCACCCUUUUUUUUUUCUUUUUUCUUUUUUUUCUUGCAUGGCGCAUAGGCUUCUAAGGACUUAUCGAUGUGUUGAUGGAUUAUUGGAUGAAUCGGUGUAAUUUUGAAAUAAUAUUGAUGAUUUCCAAGUAAAAGUUGCAUACUUUAGGAAACUGAUUGCCAAAAAAACAUAAUAAACUAUGCAGAAUAGUUAUUGAAUUGGCAUAACGCAGAUUCCGUUUGCCGUAAUACUUAGCUAAGCAUCUGAAACUUUGAUAAUAAUGCUAGUUGGCUGCUUAAAUUCGUGGUGCAAGUUAGAUAAAAGGGAUGUUCCAAGGGUGCAUGGACUAGUGAUGUAAAUGUCCUCAUAAUAGAAAAUUUUUAUCGGAGUUAAAAGUUUAUUCAUGAUAUAGAUAGAUGCAUAUGUCUUUAGGCUGUAGGAAAUGAAAUGCUGUUACUAUGUUGUAUUUGUGUGAUUUUAUACAUUUUUUAGCUAAUAGUAACAAAAAUUUGUUUGUCUUUUAUAUUUUUGUAUGACUGCAACCCUAUGUUCAAUAGAAUCCAUUAGUUUAAUUUCUCUUUGUCUGAACAAUUUAUGUUGAUUUUCAGAGUUGCUUCUACCAUGUGGCCUACUUUUCAUGAACUUAAUAGUUGUAUCAUCUUCAUGGAUCUAAAUGUGGCUGAUGCAGUUAUGGUGUAACAAUGAACUUGAAGAAAUCAAUUACAAGUUGACCAAGAUUGUGAAGCUAUCGACAUCUAUUUAUUCUCUGCUUAUAUAUAUAUUAUUGCAUGAUUUUAGUUUUACAUAACACUAAAAUUCUGUCUGAAAUCUACCUUCUUUUCUGGCAAUAGCAAAAAAGUCCAUAGGUAUGUUUUCGACAAAACUAUGUAUCCGAAGACUGGUUGACCUUUUUCUUCCUGCAAAUUUGUCUUGGUUGGACUGUUUCUAUCUUUCUUUCAUGUCACUAGCAUUCUUGCUUGUUGAGAAUUUCUCUAAUAUCAAUCACAUGAUGUAACAAUAUAUUACUUUUCAAGCAUAAAAAGAAGUGGCCUCACUUUGGAAGUUUUAGUUGUUAUAUUUUUUCUAGUUGUUGUAUUUUUAGAAAAAUUCAGUUAAAACAUUAGUGCAAAACUGAACAAAUGAUAGUUUAAUUCACUUUUUUAUAUUUUCUCUUACAGCCUUGCCCCAUUUGCUCCGUUAAAGUUCAACGGGAUAUGCUGAACCAUGUUACCCUUCAACAUGGUCAUCUAUUUAAGGUAUCGUUCUCGAGACAAAGUACAAAGUUCAUCUUAUAGUCAAUAGAUUGUCGUAUCAUUUUUCUUUAACUGCUUAGAUCAAUUGCAGAGGCGCCAUAGGCUGCGCAGAGUUGCUGUUCCUAGUACACAGUCUCUUUCUCUGCUGGGGAGAGAUCUAAGGGAGGCUCAUCUGCAGGUGCUCUUAGGAAGUGGUGGCUAUCGAUCUGGUUAUACUACUAAUGCAUCAACUGCAGUUGCUGAUUCACUUCUCUCUUCGGUUGCUCUAAAUUUCCCUACAUUAGAUCCCGAGGAAACGGUGAAAUCUUUCCUUCCCGCUGUGGAGGAUGCUUGCUUUAAGAAAGCAACACCUGCGAGGAAUUGGAAAUUGAGGUAUUGUUAUUAUUCCUGUUUUCUACCGACAAGAUGAACAUAAAGAAUGCUUAGGGUUCAGAGGUUACCAAUGUCAAACCAAGUCCAAAACCGAAAAUUCGAAGAACUAUGUUCAGAAAAGAGAAAAGGAUGGGGAGCAAGGUUUUAAGUGCUCAUCGGCACGGACCAUAUCCACCGUGCCAUACUGUCAACAAGAUACCGGCACGAUACAGACCCCGUGCCGAUGGCAUAGUUCAAAAUCUUCUAUUCUUUAAAUUAAUAAGUAAUUUCUUCAAUAAAGUUCAAAAAAUGUAAUAAAAAGACAUAAUAAAUAGUUAUAAUAUUUUGUUACUAAAGAAAAUAAAUAUUUCAUGCUAUUAUGUGUCGGCACAAGAAUUUUUUUGACCGGCACGGCUCGGGACGUACUGUGCCGGUAAGUUUCUAGCACGACUCCGUGCCACGAUACUUAAAUCUUUGAUGGGGAGUUUAUAACUUACCUUGAAAUUUGCCUUGACUAACUCGUUGAGGUUGGUUUAUUAUUUUCUUUUGCAUGGAAAUGCUAAUGCUAUGUAAUCCCUUAUCUUGAGUGCACAGUUUCUUUUUCCUUGCCUGGAAUACUGAAUACUGAAUUGUGAAGAAGAUCAAACGAGUAAAAAGCCUUAAAUUUUGUUCGUAUGUCCAAACCCUAGUGUUUUUUUUCACGUGCUAACCACUGUCUUCAUUCUUGCAGUCUUGAUUCUUCUUUGAGUCAUGAGGAGAGGGAGCAAAGGCGAAGAAGGGCUGCUGUUAGGGCAUCGUUUGCUCAGCACCUUUUGGUCUCCACUCUUUUUGGUGACUAGAUAAGGUUUGGAAUGUACCGUCGCUGUAAGGAUGGGCUGUCGGCGAUUCCAGCUGGCAUUAACCGGAUGAAUGGAGGAUAAAUGCUAAUUUCUUUUUACUCAUCACCAAACUGAAGCGACCCUCAAUUCGAAUAUGUGAGAUUCCAAAAUUAUGGGAAAUAGAGGAAAAAGCCCAUUCUCAUUGUCUUUUGAGUUUUUUCUUCUGCUGCGUGCCUGCCCCUGCGGCGGACGCUUUCGCCUUUCAAUUGUCAAGCCUAUACCAAGCCAUCCUAAUUAUUUUUUUCUUAUAAGAAUUCAUCAACCCUUUGGAACUUCAAUAUAUAACUUACUCUGUUAAAUUUGAUCGAACACUUUGGGAAAUUCUUUUCUUAUUUAGAAAAGCGGAACUCAGAUUAUUUGUUCCAGCUUUAAAAAUAUGAGGGCAAGAUAUGCCGGGACUUGCAUUUGCAUUAGAAUGUUACUGUAGUACAGUACAAUUCUCAAACUGAUCAUUUUAAAGAGUACCAGCCUAGAUUAACUGUAAUAGCUAAGGUCCGGCAAAGGAUUGCUUUCGAAUAAUGUUUAGUUGCUUUCUAAAUGGUCGUUGAUAGAAAUGAUGGCGGGGAUAUAUGCUUGAUGAAGGAUUCUUUUAGCUGUGUCAAUCAGCUCUCUGAUUCAAAUCAAAAUGCCAACAGGUACGGUUAAAAGCAAAUUCACAGGAAAUUUAUCAAAGCUCUAAUUAAGCACGCAGAUGUCUGCAAAGGCAUGAUUUAGUCCUUUAAUUUAUAAAUAAAUAUAUUUGUAACAUACUAGAUGCUGAAUAAGACAUAAAUAAGCUCCCGAGGGUAAAAAUUAAGAAAUUCCUUUUGUUCCAAACAUUUACAAGAUACUAAAUCUGCAGUACAACCUGUACAACUAAGAAUUAGAAGGUAAUACUCAAACCCCCUGAAAGAAAAUUUACUUCAGCCGCUCCUUUAAUUGGCCAGGAGCAUCCAAAGAAGCCAUAACUGAAGGGCCAUAAUAAUAUAUGCCUGAAGAUUUACGAAAAAUAAUAAGCCAAGUUACUAUUCCUCGGGUAUAAUACACAGAAACCUUUUCAAGAUAUGGAAAGUGAAAAUUGAGUAGAUAUAUACCAGGAAGAAAUAUGUCGACUCGUUAGCCAAAGCUGCAGUAUAUUGGUUCAGCCCCACAGUAUUUCUCACAAGCUCUUGGACCUGGAAAACCAAAAUAGUAACAAUCUUGUCAGGUGAAUUGGUGGUUUUUGAUAAAAAGACAUCAAGCGAUAUCUAAAUAUUCCUUUCUCAGUUUUAGUUCAGAUUUUUCUAUAUUGUCUCUCCUUGUUUAAUUCAUCCUGUAUUUAGGAAUUUGGACUGCAUCAACCUCCCUAAAUGCUCGCCCCCUUCCCCACUCCAUAUGCAUACAAAUACUAUUACAGAUAAACUUAAAAAGUGCCCGAUAACGAACAAAGACAAUACAUACUACCAGUAGAAAAGCCAAGUCAUAAAAGAGUUAGUCUACAUUGCGAAAAUAAAAAAAAGAACCACAAAUUUUUUGAGGCUGGCCAUCUAUGUCUGUCUGCAACCAGAAGAUGUCAAUCAACAAUUGCAAGGAAACUGAGUCAGUAAAGAAAGUGUAAGCCAACAGGGGUCACAUUUGAUAAUUUUACAGCAAUUAGCAGGAAUAUAAACUUGUUCUCCUAGAAAGAAAAGAUGGAAAAUGCAGCUUUUGUGAAAAGGACUUUGUAAAUAUAAACAAUGAUAGAAGCUACUCAAAGAGGAAAAUUAGAAAGAUUGGCACCUUUUGAUGACAUUUUUGGGCUACCAACAUAAUUCUUCGGAAUUGAUUAUUAGCCUGAGAAAUCAAGGACUUCGACAAUGAACCCCCCAAAAAUAAGGAAUCAGGCAGAUCAACAUCUGGAAUAUAUCGGAGAUGAAGGCCCUUAGCAAACUGUCUCACCUACAAUCAAAUUAGACCAAUUAACUUCGAUAACAUAAAUUCUAUGAUUAAAAAAANUCAAAUUAGACCAAUUAACUUCGAUAACAUAAAUACGGUGACUACAACUUUUUAACAAAUUUACUCAACCAUAUUCAUAAUUCUUCAGGUUAGUUUCUUAUCACCAUACAAUUCACAAUUGCUUUGGAGUAGUUAACAAUGAUGAUAAAUACAAACUAGUUAGAGAAAGCAUAAGUAGGUCAUCAUUCACAUGUAAAUCCAUAAUUAGUUUGCUUCUCCAAAACAAAAAAAAAAUACAGAUGAAGUGCUGUAUCCUAUAUAUAAUAGCUGUCAAAUGUUUUACCCUAUAUAUAAUACUUAAUUAGACGUUAUGUCUUGAAUCUGAAAUACCUAAUCAAGCAUGGAUGCUAUAUGCAGGACAACUUAGAAUAUCACCCAAUUUGUCUUGCACAGAAGGAUUUUGGCGGGCGUAGGAUUUUUCGCAAGGGUAAUUACAAAGGUUUAUAGGAUAGAGAAGGAGGAAAUCUUUUGUUCGGUUAGCAAAGAAAUAAUAUGAAAUCAAAAUUAUCAGCAUAUGUCUAUCUUUGUGUCUACAAAAAAAAAAAAGAUUUUGAAAGCUAAGACUAAAGCAAUUAUAACAAGAUAGUGAAAACAUUUGAAUUCUCUAGGCAAUUAGCAGGAAAAACAUAAACCAAUUCUGUCUUCAGAUAAAUAGAAAAAUAGAUGGAAAAUUAAAACAAACUACUGCUCGAAGAGGAUAAUUUCGAAGAUUGGCACCUCAUGAUGACAUUUAUGAAGUAUUGACAAGAUACUUUGGAACUGAUCAUAAGCUUGAAAUGUCCAGGACUUUGACAAUGAACCCGCCAGAAAUAAGGAAUCAAGCAAGCCAACAUCUGGAAUAUAUCGGAGGGGGUUGUCCGUAACAAACUGUAUAACCUAGCAUCACAUUACAUCAAUCUUCUUUAGGUGAGUGCAAAAUAUUAAAAGGGGGUGAAAAAAGAAGAAUCAUUGUCAGAGCCGGUAGAUAAAGAUAUUUCCUAAAAUGUAUAGUAACUCAUCACAAUUUCUUUCGUCGUACAACAGGAGUUGAGUUUAACAAUGGAUCAAUAUAGAAGAGACUGAAGAAAACAUAAGCAAAACAUGUUGCACGUAUGCUCCCAUACUAACAUAAAGAACACGCAAAGAUACAGAUAAUAUGUUGCACACUAUGAGCAAACACUGACACUAUGUUAUGUCCAUAUGUAAUGCCUAACAAAGGGAUCAAACUAUCUUUAGAGGACUAAAAGUAACAAUUUUAAGCUAGCUAUCAUUUGGUGUUAAAAAAUAUAUAAAUUUGUUUGAAUAUUCAUACUGUUUUUAUCGGGUAAUACAGAACAAAAACAAAAUCAGUAUAGCAACACUUUUAAACAUAUUUAAUCUAAGCAAUCAUGUGAAUUUCUCUACUUACGUUGGGAUUUCUGUACUAAAAAGUGGACAUGGCAGCCGCCAUGGCAGGUUCACCAUAGAUAAAUUGCACCGCAGCUUAAAACACGAACCAGUUUCAGUUAAUAGCGACCAAUAUUUUGGCCCAAACCUGCCAUGGCAACCCAGCACAUAUUGCUGAAAACUAGCUGCUGUACAUCUAUUAUGUAUCAGGUCAACAAGUCUUUCUUUAAAGGGUCUGUUGCUUCAUUUAAUAGGUCUGAAGGCUCAACUUAUUCUUUACGUGUAGAAUCUCUCAAAUUCUCAAUACCUUCACUUGAAUGGAAAAGUGAUAGAAAAACCCUCGUCUUCCUUUGGGAACAAAAAGAGAUGUCGUGAAUAGACUAAUAGAAAAUGACAGCGACGGUGGAAAAGGGCGUCUGUGAAACCUCUUUGAGAUUCUUGGCAAUCACUAAAAUCCCCAACUUCAUUAGAAGCAAGCAGAGAAGAUUCUCAAAGUGGUAAGAAUCUUUCCUAUUUCCGCUCUACUUGCUCUGGUUAUUCUCAAGUUUCAGUUCUUUUCUUCUUUCAUGCACCGGAAACCGCAACCCUUCCUCCUAUUUCUUUUUCGCCUUCUUUUUUUUUUUGUUUUUUUUCCAAUUACCUUUUGUCAUUCAUGCUGUUUCUUAUAGAAAUAGAACACUGUAUGUAAGGUUAUCUACUAUUGCUUGUACAUGGAAGGUGUAAAAGUGCUGGUCACAAACCAAUUUCUCGAAUUGAAAACAUGACAACUGACCACAUAGAUUUUUUUUUCCCCAAGCAUGAAUGUCCAAAUUAUGGCAAUUUUCAUAUCAAUAAUAUUGCAGGGCACAAUCUUACUAAAAGCAUAUUGUAUUCUUCACAACUAAAACCAAUACCCUUCCAGAAACACAAUACCCAAAUAGCUAAUAGUCCACUAUAUCCUCUAACUAAUGCAGCAUCCUCUCCCGUGCCUAUUCUUGACUUUUCCCACCUGAAACUGUAGAAUAAUUCUUCGUAAACAAACGCUCAGCAACAUUUAUGACCAAUGCAUUAUAAUUAGAUGGCAUAAGAGUAAUUUGCAAAUAACUUAGAGCAAAGAAAGAAGGAUGGGGGGGUGGGAUGGUGUGGGUGGUGAGAGAAGGUGAUGAAAUUAGGAUACAAAAUGCCCAUACUUUAUCCUCAAAAAAAAAGAAAAAUAGGAGCAAGAAACCAAGUAUACAUGUCAUUUUCUGAAUAUUUUCCCUACAUUAGUAUAUAAACACCAAAUGUCUAUAUAGUAUCAAAUUCAUUUUUUUCUAUCCUGUUUAUUAUCUUGCAAAUUAAUUCUCACUCCCAAGACUCUUCUUCCAGAGCGAACUUCUAUCCUCGAGUUCUUAUCACAUAUUUGCAAAUAUUUUGCAAAGGAUUGCAAAUUCUCACAUAAGGCCAGUUUUCUGUCUCGAAAGCAUACUCCUAUAUCAAAGUCUCCUAUUACAUGUUUCAAUUUCUAAUGGCCAUAGUUCAUCCAAAAAUAUAUAAUUCACCAUAACCAUAUGCCUCAAAUCAACAAUCCAGUUGACUCUCGAAAGUAAGAAAAACCAUAGAAGUGCUCAUUUAUUAGUCCUCGCCUAUUUUGGUACCUAAAUCGAGAUCAACUUCACAUUAUGACCAAUCUCAAAUAAUUUGCCUUUCCUGAUUCUUCUUUUUUGUUUUUAACUCUGGCGAUUAAUCAAUCUCACAUUUACUCUAACAGAUCCCACAAUCACAUCAAAAUUUGUGAGGCAAAUCCGAAGACACUUGCAUCACCUCCAUAACGAUAUGGUAGUAGCCGAUUUAUAAAUCAAUCCUUGGACUUGGCAACAUAUCUGGAAACCUACAUUGUGAGUAAACAAACUUAAGUGAAAACACAUCGCUACCUAGAUGUUGAAUUUUAUUAAAUUCGAGUCUUUCAAACAAGACCAGCCUGGUUAAAUGCAUAUGGCUAACAACGCAUUCAGCCAACUCACAAAUAGAUUUUGUCAAAUUGUAUGAAACAACAAGUUCACCCUAUUACAAGGGUAAAUUUGUAUUGAGAUGCGUUAUAUAUAGUAAUAUGUGUUGUGUUGGACGUGGCUCCACUAGUUUAAUAUUAGAUAUUAAAUUUCCUAUUAGUGUUGCAAUACGUAAGGUUUCAGCACAAAACCAGUAUGUGCAUUAAAUGCAUGUCUUGGACAAUAACAUCUGAUCAAAAUGGCCACAUGAUGUAGGCCUAGUGCCACACAAAGCAAAGUGGGAGGCACAUACUGCAAACAUGCAAUGAGUGUGAUCAGCUGACCAGACACGAUAUGCAGUUCUUCCUUCCCGGAUUAUAGUAAUAUUUCAAAGGAAAAUAUCAAUUAAAUAUACUUAACAGCACUUUACCUCUGAUGGUAAAUCAGUAUUACUUAAUUUUCUUAACUGAUAAAAAAGUGACAUAAAAUAUCAAAGAACCUUUGUUAUGGAGUACUUGCUAAGCCAUUUGUUGUCUGUCCCCUCUUUAGGCAUACUUCUCUUAUGAACCUUUGAUGUCAUCAUCUAAAAGCAGUUCAAUUAAGAAUUUUUAAUAGGUUUCCAUAACCAUUGGAUGAUAAUGAAUGCGAUGAAAGCAUACCUUUGUUAACUGAAAUGCUUGCUCGAACUGUUGAACUUGAAUCCAUUGCUCCGAAAUUACAUUCUCCAUCUAGUCAUAUAAAAUGAAAUAACAAAGGAAAAUGUUUAUCUCAUUAUAUCUCCAUUAAUAUUUGGGCAAUGUAAUAACUUUCUGAAUCACAAAAGAAUACAGAGAGCAAGAGUGUAAAAUAGUGAAUCACAUAUUCAGAAAGGUGACAUAGCUAAAUGUUAUUAGUUUUAACAUCGCUUGGUUUUAUUGGUAAAUUCUUCUUCCAUAUUGGACUAUAGACAAGAGAUAGCAGGGUUUCCUUGAUGAUUCCUUGUCUUUUGGUUAUUCCUCCAAAAACUCAAUAAAGAACACGUUUUCGACUCCCUACUCUAGUAUGUCAACAAAUUAAAUUUAUAGCACCAUGAUUUGGCAACAACAUGAACUUCAUAUUAUAGUGGUCACUAUUAACAUGAAAUAUUUAGACUCUUAAAUUCCAUAUUUCAAACAAGAAAAUUGAUAAUUUGUCCGUACUAAUUCUAGAUCAACAUUGCUUGCAAAGAAUUUAAGAUGCUAACAACAAUCAUAUAUACUUUCUAGAUUAACAUUGCUUACAAAGAAUUUAAGAUGCUUCAAACAAUCAUAGAUACCUUUCUAACUUCUGAAGACAUCGCCUCCAAUCUUUUCUCUGCAUCAUUUGCUAAUGACUCUAGGAUAUAGAUAUUGGAACUAAUUGCUCUUGAUUGAUCCUUUAGAAGCCGCACCUAGUUAUUAUGCAUGCCCAUGUCACACAAAGAUCCACAAUUUAUUUCUUUGACUGGAAAAACUUGUUUCUCCCAACAAACUGAAAUUGCAUUAGAGCACGAGUGCAUGUAGAGUCUUAUGACCCUCCUUCCAUGUGCAAGGAAGUGCACUACACAUAAAUGUUGUCAUCCCAACACAUUCACACACACACACACACACACACACACACACACACACACAGAGAGAGAGAGAGAGAGAGAGAGAGAGAGAGAGAGAGAGAGACCUCUUCUUCCAUUGCUUUUACACUAUCUUGAGAAAAUGAUGAAUCACCUAGCAAUUUCUGGAAGAAGCAAAACAUGUUAAAUAAAAGAAUCAUCUAAAAUCAUCUACAACAUAUUGGUCAUUCUCCUCAUGUGACAAGCUGAAUACAACAAAAAAAUCUGAGACUAGGGAAAAAUAUGUAUAUAUAGAGAGAUAUUAUCAUAUUACUCUUAGUACAGUAGUACAAUACCAACUUUACAUAAGAAUGGGCUAACAUACUAGAGCUCAACAAAAAUGCACCAAUGAUAACAAAGAAAAACAUAAAAAAAUUGAUACAGGUAUUUGUACAUUAAAGGCCCAGUAUGUCCUUUGAACUCAAGAUUGUUGUUGCAUUUUCAAACAUCUCAAGGUUUUUGCACUUUAUUGAGUUGCAUUUAAUUAGCCCCUCCACUCUUAUAGAGAAUUAGAGGUAUUAAUGUGGUCCCUUAAAGUCAUUUUUGCUUGUUGUUAGUUCCUACUAUUAGAUAUCUCAAUUUUGAUCCUGGUAGUAGUCUUUCAAAGUAGCAAGCUUAACAAUUCAAAACCAAGAAAGUCAAUUAGCCACAACAGCUUUACUGAGAGGAUAUACUUUCCACACUGAUCCAAAAGAAACCAGCAUGAAAAAUCAUGAGCGACUAGAAUUGGAUGCAUACCUUAGUGUUCUGCUGUUCAUUUAUCAGAGACUGGAUAUCACGUUCCAUUGCCUCAAUAAGAAUACUGUCUUCCUCUACAUGAACAGUUUUGGAAUGUAACAACGUGGUACUUUCCGCCAAAAUAGAUUCUGCAUCCAUAUGAACAAGUUAUUUUAGAUAUUUCUUGCCACUAUCAAAUAUUAUAUGGUGCAACAACAAAAUAAUCAUCUAACUAGUAAACUAGAAAGGCACCUGAAGAUGUAAUAUUUUAAGUCUUAUUUUAUAUUUUUGGUAAAAAAUGUAAGAAGACCACCUCAACUAUAUGAUAGUCUGAAAUAAAUCCCUCAAAUAUUUUUCUUUUGAUUGACACCCUCCCAAUUGUUAAUUUCUUGAUUUUGAGCAAUUUUUCUUGGAAAGUCGUUAAAAUUAACAACUCAAUACCUAUCGACCACUAACAAUUAGCAGAAUCCAGAGUUCCAUCGGCAGAAAAAAAAUGUUCUAAACAAUAAGAAAAGGAAUAUAUUUAUAACUUAACAAAAUCUACAAUUUGAUAGAUAAAAGUAAUGUGAAUCAAAAGAAUCGAAAGUCCGGAAAGUUUGGAACAAAGAGAAACCGCCACCCGGAGUUUGAAACUCCAAAUCUACCACAAACAAUCAGUUCAUUUCAAGAAACGACCUGGCUCGAUUAACCUUUUCGCCUGCCAUUAGCAUGUGCCAAUCACAUGACAGGGUUUUAAAGUUUCCUAAUAGAACCAAAGUUUAAACAUAAGGUGAUGAUUUGAAAUCUGAUUUGAGUUCAGAUGGUGACAUUUUUUCGUGCGAGGCAUGACAGUCAAAUACAGAUGACAUUUAGAAGUUGACAGAAAAUAGAAAAUAGAUGACUGAUUAAAAAAAAAAAAAAGAAAUAAAAGAAGAAGAAAUAAAAAAAGAACAACAGUUCUUGGCAUUGCAAAAUUCAUAUUUUGAACUAUGGCGUCUAGAACCUUUCUUUUUCCCAAAGGCAGAUGAUUAGCACGAUCCUACUAUUCUGCAGCACAAAAACUUGAUUUAAAUAACCUACUUAUCUUGCAGCGUAGGGGUUUAAACUAUAAGGAUUGCCGCCAAUUUCAAGAAAACCUAAGAUAGUGGGGGCUAGGAUAGGGUGCAAUUACCCAAUCGACUGAUUUGGCGCUUGAGAUCCGCGAUCUCCGAUCUCAUCUCCGCCACCUCCGACGCCGACGCCGGUGCCGCCGCAUCCGUCCUCGCGGGGGCGUCGCCGCGAUCGGAGACGGCGUAGAUGGCGGAGAGCAAGGCGGCGGCGGAGACGACGACGGCGACCGAUCGGAUCGCGCCGGAGAAGCGGCGGUGGCCGCCGCGGAGGAGGCGGCGGCCGAGGGAGAGGAGGCGGAGCGGGAGGAGGACGCCGAGGAGGAGGAGGAGGAGAGCCCCAUCCGAGGCCGAGAUCGACGCCAUCGCCAUGGGAGCGAAGAGAGUAUCUCUCCCUCUCCUCGGGCGCGGCGUAGCGAAGCUCCAGUCGCUCUCAGCGGGACACCGAAAACGCACACAGGGGAGGAGGAUGCAACGCUUUGUGCGUCGCGGUUUGUAGCGCUGCUGACUUGGGCUUGUGGGCCCCACUUAAAUGGGCCCGACAGGUUGUGGGUCCGCAAAAAAAGGGACUCGGGUUGGGCUCGAGUGCUCGUUCGUACGAAAAUUGUAUUGCAUUUUUCUUUUUAUUUUAACCUUCUUUAUUGGGUAAACUUCAAAUAUCACCAUGUGGUUUCGCACUUUCUGAUUUAGUACUAUGUAGUUUAAAAUAUAUUAAUUUAGUGUCAUGUGAUUUUUUUCUCUCUUUUCGUCAGCUCCUCCAUCAACAUUUCGUUAAAUUAUAUACAAAAACUUCAGAUACCCCACAUAAAUUUAUCGAAUAUUCACUUUAAUACCUUUCAGUUUUAACUUUUUCACUGAUUUAACGAAAAAAAUUUAGUGGAGCGGAUAAUAAAAAAAGAAAAAUAAAACUACGUGAUACUAAAUUGAUAUAUUUUAAAUUAUAAAGUACUAAAAUAAAAAAGUGUGAAAACACAAGGGUGAUGUUUGAAGUUUUUCUUUCUUUAUUUUUUUAAAGGUAUUAAUGAAAUUAGACCUGAAAUUAUAACUCAUUUGGAAGAAUUGGUGGGAUUUCUUAUAAAACAAUAACUACCAUCUAAUAUUAUUAAUUAUAUAUUUAUUAAUAACCUUAAAAUAUUUUUUUAUUAAAUUACUUAUAAUAUUAUUUUUUUACUCUAUAAACGAGAAUAAUAAUCACAUUAAAAUAAAAAUAAAUUCUUAUUUUUCACCAAAUUACAAUUCUGAAUAGAGUUCAGCUGUAUUCCAAUUUAAUUUAAAUAAAAUUUAUUUUUAAAUAAAUUUGAUUCAACUUUUCUAUUUUAAUUUUAUUAUAUUUUAUUUAUAUUGACUAAUACACAAUACUAUCUGUACACUCUUCGAAGUUGGUGUUUAUCUUGCGCACUAUCCCGUCAAGAACUAAUAUUUUCUUUUAAUAGUCUUAUUAUUUUUUAUAUUAAAAUUUAAAAUGAGUAUAUAAAUUCUUAAAUGAGUAGGAUAUCAUAUUUGAAAAAAUCUGAAUUAAUGAUCCAUACGUUAAACUUGAUCAGAAUUUUGGCCUUUUUGCAUAAAAAAUUCACUUAUUUUGGGCUUUAGUAAAACCGGAUCAUCUUUUUCGUUUUUGCAGAUUCGGUCCGCUUUUUCAGCAAACUGACCAAAAUACCCUUAUUACUUUUUCUCUUUCCUCUUUCUCUCUCCUCUUCGUUUCUGUCGUUCUUUUUUUUUUCUCGCCAAAAAAAAAAAAGGCGGACCGUCGCCUUCUUCUUCACCGUCGCCUCCCUCCUCACCAAUCACCUUCCUUCUUCACCGUCGCCCCCCUCCUCACCCUCCUCUCCACCGCCCGCGACCCCCUCCUCCUCUCCUCCGCCGCCGUGGACCCCCAGCCCGAUCCCGUCGCCGCGGCGGCAGCGGCCGCGGCGAACGGGGUCGGGCUGGAUGCGGAGAAGAAGACAACGCUGAAGAAGAAGAAUCGGGAGGCCAAGCGACAGGGCAGGGGGAAAGCAGAAGCGCAACCGGCGCAAGGCACCAGGCCGCUGCCGUGAUCUUCUUUCGUCGCGUGCCCUACCUCCCGCUGCCGCGCAGAAGCCGCCGACCAGGCGCCUCUUGGCUUCUGCCACGACGACGUUCGAGACGCCGCGUCGCCGCGGACCCCCAGCCCGCAUCCCGUCCGCGCAGCCUGGCAGCGGCAAGCGUCGGGCAGCAGGCGCUGGCCGUGCGGAACGGCGGUUCGUGGAUCUGUUUUUAUUUAAACUGCACAUCUUUAACAGUAUUAUUGUAUAUAGCUUCUCCUCUUGUUGCACUAUUGUUCUCCUCUUGUUGCACUGUUUUCUCCUCUUUAAAAGAGGAGAAACAGUGCAACAGUGAGGCAGAAGCCAGUAUAAAUAUCUCUUAAAUGGGUACAGUUUAAGAUAAAUGGGUGCCGAUUUUUUCUUGUUGCACCAUUUUUUCUCGUAUGUUACACUGUUUUUAUUUUAAACUACCACAUCUUUAACGAUUAUUUAUACUGCUUCUCCUCUUGUUGCACUGUUUCUCCUCUUGUAUAAAGAUCGUCUUAAAUGAGUGCAGUUUAAGUAACAUGGGAUGCCAGUUUUUUUUCUUGUUGCCCCAUUUCUCCUUUAUUCACCACUAUUUUAUUUUAAACUACACAUCUUUAACAGAGAUACUUAUAUGCUUUCUUUUCAUGUUGUUGCACUGUUCUCCUCUUGUUGCACUGUUUCUCUCUUAAAGAGAGAAACAGUUCCGAAACAAGAGAGACAGGCAAACAAGAGAAGAAGUAGUAUAAAUACUCUCCUUACCCACCAUGGGCGCAGUUUAAGAUAAAAAACAGUGUAACAAGACGAAGAUGAGCCACAGAGGGGAAACGUGAAAAGAGAGAAACAGUGGCAAUCUUUCAUUUAAAGAAGUGUAAUUUUUAUCUUAGUGGGUUGCAGUUUAUAUCUGAAAGAGUGCAAUAAAGAAGAGAACAGUUGUAAAUUAUAUUUCAAAGAAUGUAAUUUCAUUUAAAGAGUUCAAUUUUUUAUGUUUAAAGCUCAGUUUACAUCUUAAAUAGUGCCCAAAUUGUAAUUUUUUUGUAUGUUAGACGAUACAAUUUCAUCUUCAGUCCUUUUUUAAUUAAUUUAUUUUAUCUUCUUUUUUUUUUCUUUUUUUUUUUUGUCACCUUCUCUGUCAAUAGCUACGGUAUCAGUGACGACGCCUGCUCAAAGACACCCACUCGAUGGCUACAGCGCGCGCAGUGAUCUCCACGAAUGUCGGCGAAGAUGCAUCGUCGUCGGAGGCAAGCCAGAGAAGGGGAGAUCGGAAGAGACCGGGAAGGGCACGGCCGAAGAGCGAGAGAGAGGCGCCGUCGUCGGAAAUUGUGGAGAGAGUCAGAGAAGAAGAAAAAGAAAAGAAAAUUGCACAAAUAUAAAAAAGUCACAGCCGCCUUAGGGGAUCGGAGGCGAGGAAGGUGGGGGCGCCGGCGGCGACGCCGCUCUGUCUUCGCCGCUCUCUGGGAAGAGAAAGAAAAAAAAGAACGAGAGAAAAAAAAGAAAAGAAAAAGGUAUAAGAGCACCUCCGCUCCGUCUUCGCCGCUUUGGGAAGAAAAAGAAAAAAGAACGAGAGAAAAAAAGAGGAGAGAGAAAGAGGAAAGAGAAAAAGGUAUAAGGAUAUUUUAGUCAGUUUGCUGAAAAAGCGGACCGAAUCUGCAAAAGCCAAAAAAAUGGCCCGAUUUUGCAAAAGCCCAAAAUAAGUGGAUUUUUUAUGCAAAUUGGCCCAGAAUUUUUUAGGUUUUCGAAAUUUUUGAUUUUUGAAUAUACUGUCUAGUGAUUAAAUGGUCUCAAAUUCACCUGAUACUAGCCAUUAAGAAAAUGCUAUUUUUGAGACUACUCAAUUAUUAAAUAAACAAUGUUGUAAAAUCAAAAAGUUUGAAAUCUAAAAAGUUUAAAUAAUCUGAAUUAAGGGUACGUUUGGUUCGAAGUAGGAAUCGUAAUUAGAAUCAGAAUCGAAAUAAACUGGAAUUGGAAUCAGAAUGACUCAUUACCUAAUUCUAUUUGGUUCGUUAUGUGAAUCAGAGUCGAAAAAAAUCAUUCCUAUUGUCGAUGUUUAGUUCAGAUAAAUAUAAAAAACAUAAUCAAAUUAAUAUACUAACUUUAUCUUUAUCUUUAUAAUAUAUUAAUUUUAAUUUAAAUUGAAAAUUAAAUAUUAAAAAUUUAUAUCAAAAUUUUAAAAUAAUGUCAAAAUUUUAAAUCUUAUUUUUUAAAAAAUUAAACUUUGAAAUUCAGUGGAUAAUUCAAAAUAUAAAACUAAAUUUCGAUUUAUUCAAAUUCAAACUUAAAAUUAUAAUUUUAAUUUUAAUUUGAAUCCAUAAAUUUAAUUUAAGUUUUAAAUAAAUUUUAAUUUGAAUCCAUAAAUUUAAUUCAUAAAUUUAUAAGUUAGAUUCAAAAUACUUGAUUAAAUUUUAGUUUUUAAUUUAAAUUCAAAUUAAAAUUAUAAAUUAUAAAUUUCUAAAUUUUAAACUCAUAUUUUAAUUAAAAAAUUAAAAAAAUAAAUUUAAUCCAAAUAAAUAUCCAUUCCGUUCGGAUUUAAUUUUUAAUCCGGCUUUCUAGACCGGAUUGAAAAUAGAGGUGAUUGGGAGAUUCUCAUUCCACUUGGGAAUCGUAAUUGGAAUAGAACUCCUGCAUACCAAAUACCGACAAACGAAUUCACCCAUUCCUUCCACAGGAAAAAAAAGCGAACCAAAUACGCCCUAAGUUUAACGAUAUGUAUUGUUAAUUUAAUUUUUCUAUUGCUAAAAAUAAUAAUUUUUUAUUUAAUUUAUAAAUUGAGUUUUUAUAUUUUUUAAAAAUAACAAAUUAUUGGUGUCCGUGGAUUUUCAAUCCUUGAAUUAAAAAGUAUGCGAUCAGGAUGAUAGUACUCUUCUAAAGGGUUGAGCGAGUCCUUGGUGAAAUAGCAUAUUCCGACAGAUGAAAUUAAUCAAAAUAAUAAAUUAAAAAAUAAAAAAUUUAAAAUAAUUAAAUGUUUCGUAUUUUUAAAAGUAUUAUCUUUAGAAAUAUUACAUCUGAAUACAGUAUUUCUGUUGGUGAUAGAGUAGAGGUAGAAAGGUAGGAAGCGUACAUUUUGACGAGCGCACAUGUACGCCUUCUGGAACCUUCCGAACUUUCUCCCCCACACCAAAACUCCACCACAUCCUUCUUACGUUUCCCCACCGCUCCAACCCUACACGAAAUCGACCCCCAAAACCCCAAGGCAAACGAAGAGACGAGGAAGAGGAGGAGUACCACCACCGCCGCCAAAAUUCGAGAGGACGAGCGGAAGCGGCGGAGGCCGAGCUCCCACCACCAUCACCAGCAGCAGCGGCCGGAGAAGCGGCGGCGCGAGGGGGGCGGCGGCGGCGGCGGCGACGGCGGCGGCGACAUGGGCGUCGACUACUACAAGAUCCUGCAGGUCGACCGGAGCGCCAAGGACGACGACCUCAAGAAGGCCUACCGCAAGCUCGCCAUGAAGUGGCACCCUGAUAAGAACCCUAACAACAAGAAGGAGGCCGAGGCGAAGUUCAAGCAGAUCUCCGAAGCCUACGAGGUUUCGUCCCCUCCCCCGCGAUCCGAUCCCUUCCUUUCGGUUCUCGAUCCGAUCGGUUCGGUCAUGAUCGAUUUUGCAGCGAUUUGAUCUGGUUUUCUCGUGUUUUAGGUUCUGAGCGAUCCUCAGAAGCGCGCGAUCUAUGAUCAGUACGGUGAGGAGGGGCUCAAGGGGGUGCCCCCGCCUAGUGCCGGUGCCGGAGGGCCAGGGGGCGCCUCGUUCUUCCCCGGGGAGGGCCCCACGACGUUCCGGUUCAAUCCUCGGAGCGCGGACGACAUCUUCGGGUUCUCGGGCCAGUUCGGUGGCAUGGGGCCCGGCGGCGGCGGCGGCGGAAUGAGGGGCGGGGGAUCGAGGUUCCCUGGUGGGAUGUUCGGGGAUGACUUCUUCGGGUCGGGGUUCGGAGGGGAGGCAUCGAUGAAUCCGCAGCGUCCUCAGAAGGCCGCGCCAAUCGAGAACCGGCUCCCGUGCAGUCUCGUGGAUUUGUACAAAGGAACCGCUAAGAAGAUGAAGAUCUCAAGGGAGAUUGUCGAUACCAGUGGGUGAGUCUCGUCUCUUGUGUUAAGUAAUUAGUGUUGUAUUCCUCGUUAUCAUGCUGAAAGGUUGAUUUUUGUUGGACAUAUAUAGGUGCAAACUACACCUUUUAUAUAAAGUAAACAUGCAUCGAUUAAUUGAUCUUUUGCUCUUGCUUUCUCCUCCUUUAUGUUGAUUGCUAGUCUUUGUUACCGGGGAAAGUUUGCGCUGUGUACUUGCACUAUAUGAUUAGUUUGCAUACAAUUUACGUACAUUUUGAUUCAUUAAAUGCUCUAUGAUGAGGCCUGUUAUGCUUCUCAAUAAAAUAUAAGAUCAUGGAAAUAAAUGAUACCAUCCAAGUUCAGUGCUUGUUAUCAGUUGAUAUUGUUUGUAGUAACUUGUUUGGAUUCUUAUGUAUGCGGCCAGAGAAAUUUAGUCUCUAUUUGAAAAUAUUUGCAGGAUUAGUUGAUUACCACUAUGCCAAAGAGAAAGGUUACAUGUUUGUUGACUAUAUUAGUUAACUACAUCAGUUUUAACGUAAUCGCUUUUUGUCCAGCUCAUCAUGCGGUCCUUUUUUUCCUGAGCAGUGGCAUAACUAUUUUUGUGCGUAUUUAUUGUCGUCUAGCAACUUCUAUGCGGCUAAAGUCCUGGACGUGUUUUCCUUUCCAAUUUGAUGCAUAUGGUGAUAGUCCCCUUUGUUAUGAGAAAAUUCCAAAUUGAUCUUUUUGGAAUUCAAUUCUUCUUUCCCUUGUCGUGAUAUUCGGUGACAUGCUGCCUUUUAUCCUGAAUGCAUGUGGCAUUCUCAUGUUUUAAUAUAACCGUUUUAUUCUAUGCUAAAACAGUUAAUGUUCAGAUUUAAUGGUGCAGUUGGAUUCAGUAAGGUUCGUGGAGGUGCAUUUUUAGUUUUGAAAAGCUUCAUCGCAUAAGUUGCAAUAGUUUGUAAAGUAAGUGAAGGACAUUAAAUAGUAACUUUUAAAGUUGGAAUUUGUUCUAUCAAUCUUUCACCGAAUGACUGAGUGCAAAUCUAGAUGCACAUUGGUUGUGAAGCAUUUGAGAAAUGUGUGCUCUAGAAAAUGGAGUGCGCGUUUGGGGGUGUGCUUUUGGCACCUCCAUGACAGUUAGGAGAGUUUCGGCACUGGUUAAAGUGGCUGCACGCCAUAAUUAACGUGGACUUAAAGGUGGCAGAAACUCGCCAAAUUGUACAAAAAUAGAGGGUUUCAAGUUUACAGGAAUCGAAGGUUUUCUCUACAUGACCGAAGUGCUUCAUAUAUCCAAUGAAUUGGCUCUAUCCUUCAGGCUAUUUUUCUUGCAGGAUUACUCAUAGUAUAUAUGAUCGUUCCCAUGAAUUGGUUAAGAGUCCUGCCUUUCUUGAUCUAUAAUAGAGUCCAAGCUGUUCAUCUCUAAGGAUUUGAAAGUAGUAGUAACUUUUUAAUUCUUGCAAAAUUUGGGGACUUCUGUGCCUGUUUGAAUGUAGGAAGAAGUCAUCUGGGGAUCUCAGUAUGGACAACUGUUUUUGUUUUAUUUUCUCGGCCUUCUAAAUUUAUCAUCAACUUGGGAGAUUCAUAGUUAGUAUAGCAUAAGAUGUACUGAAAGUUCGUACAUGCCAGGGUGGCUGAUUGUAGAAUCUUGUAUCAUUUGGAGAAUGCUAUAUAGAGAAUUCUUAUUUGCAAGUAGCUUCCGUUGUUUAAUUAUCAAGGACAACAACUCGUUGGUAAAAUUUGAGAUAUAGAAUCAAAAUCUACGUGAGCAUCAACCUAAGUAGGUUUGUUUAAAACAUUUAGGUCUACUUAUGUUUUGAUUAGUGGGAGGCUGAGAGCUAUGAAGUUGCCUUUUCUUGUUGACUCUGAUUUUUUUAAAAAAUUAAAUGGACGUACUUCUAUUUAUACUGAAUGAUCGUUCUAGGGCAAGUUUACAUAGCGGCGAGGUAUAAGUUUACAACAAUAUAAUGUUUCUAAACAUUAUUUUCUCCCUUUUUUUUGGGCAGUUCGUUCUGGUGGCUGAUUUGAUGCAUUGGUAUCCUAUAUGCUUUGUACAUCACUGCUAAACUAUGAAUGAAACGAUUUAAAAAUGACCUUUAUUUGAUGCUGUUUGAUAGAUUGGUUUAGAGAUCCUCUAAUUGUCAAAUACUGGCCGUUCUGUUAAAUAUGACUUUUGUGUUGAAAUGAUCUCCAAAUUGUUUUUUCUCCUUUUUUUUCUUGGGUUCUUUUGAUACUCAUUUGGUCAUUUUCAACAGGAGAAGCAUGACGGUGGAAGAAAUUCUGACGAUUGACAUAAAGCCCGGCUGGAAGAAGGGAACGAAAAUUACUUUCCCUGAGAAGGGAAAUGAAGCUCCGCAUAUUAUCCCUGCAGAUAUAGUCUUCAUCAUUGAUGAGAAGCCGCAUGAUGUAUUCACAAGAGAAGGAAAUGAUCUGAUUGUGACGCAGAAAGUCUCCUUGGUUGAAGCCCUAACGGGCUAUACUGUCCAUUUGACAACACUUGACGGUCGGAAUCUCACAAUACCCAUAAAUUCCAUAAUCCAUCCUGGCUAUGAGGAGGUCGUCCCCCGCGAGGGAAUGCCGAUACCCAAGGAUCCUUCCAAAAAAGGAAACCUUCGCAUCAAGUUCAACAUCAAGUUUCCAUCGAGGUUGACUUCUGAACAGAAGGCCGGGAUAAAGCGACUCUUAGGUUCUUGAGUGAAGAAAUGUGUGCAAAGUGCUGCUGCUGGUUGGACGUCAGUUGUGAAUAUCUUCAGUUAAGCUUACAUUCGACUGCUUGGGAGAUCGUCGUCUGUAGGUAAAUGUACUGAGAAUCCCUCAACUAUAUGCCAUUUUGAAGUAGGCGUCUGAAUUUUAUUUAGUUUGAUCGACAUCCCUCAACUUCUGAUGUUAUUUUCUGUUCGAGUUCUUUAGUUAAUUAUUUUGGAAAAUUUUGUUAAGUUAAAUGACUCUCUCUUUUAUUGGCCUUUACAGUUUCAUUUGCUAAAAAUCACCGAGCUGUUAAAUUUGAUAGAUCGCUCGAAUUUAUUUAGCUUUUCACUUUACUUGACUAAAAUCACUGGAAAGGAACAAAAAAAGAGAAAGGCUAAAAGCUCAAGAGGGUUUCAACAAUAAAAAUAAAGAUGAGGUGGUUAUUCAAAAUGGCCUGUUGUUGAGGUGUUCUCCAUACAUUUAUACCUUGUUUUUUAUUUCCCUUUUAAGUUUGUUAAGUUUUUCUGAGAAACCUUAUCAAUUUGAGGUAGUAUUUAAGGUCAUUAAUUACUCCUGGAGAAAUUCUAGUAUUUCUUAACAAGCAGAGAAUGUGUUCAGUGUACCGCACUGGCUUCCUCAAACCAUAGAUUGUGGCGAUAAUUUUAUCAUCAGGACAGCUGAAGCAGAGAUGCAGUUGAGAAUUACUAUUACUUCUUUAUUUAUGCAACUUCUUGUGACAUUUAUAAUGGCUUUCUUCUAUAGCAUUUUCGCGUUUUUUCGUAAGUAAAAAUCAGUAUGUUGUGUAGUAUGAAGCUAUCAAAUUCAGUUAUAUGCUUUAUAUUGAGGCUCUGCAGGACAUGCAAAUUCAGCAUGUAGGAGAUUUCCUACAAGCUUUGGUGAAGAUUGCUGUUUUAUUUGUCAGAUAUAUUUCAUUUCAUGUUAGAACUUCUAUAUCAUCUUUUGAUGUAACAAGAGUUUAGAGAAGUAAUACUAUACCUACUUACAUUGUUGUGCCAUUUCACUUUUACAAUAACAACCUAUUUUAAUUUGGUGGAUAUUAUGAUUUACGUGAAUAAAGAUUUAAUUUAUAAAUAAAUUUAUUAAAUAUAAUAAAUGAGGAGAAUUAAUGAAAAAAAAAGGUGCAAAAAAUUUGUGCUAUGCCUAUUAUUUACGGGGUCUCGCUACACUUUAACCAGUGGAAAAUUUAUGCAAAGUUUAGAGAGCACCCAAUUAAAAUUAGGCGGCUAGGAAAUAUUGCAACGAUGAUGUUCGAAUGCUGAUUUGCUUCUCUAUGCCUGUAACUAUCAGAAUAAUUUUUCGCAUUUUGAAUCGCUGCUCUAUGGCCGUAACUAUGAGAAUGAUUUUUCGCAUUUUGACUCUUGCUGCUUUGUGCCUGUAACUAUCAGAAUGAUUUUUUUCACAUUUUGAAUCGCCGACCCUAAUUAAACGAGCAAAGCGGUGACCAAUUAGUUUCUUUUGACCUUCCCUCAAGCGCCUCUUAUGAUUUCUUUUUUAAAAUUUUUUUUAUUUUGCCUAGUACUUAAUUUAUUUUUCUAGCUUAAUUAUAAAAAACUUUCUAUCCAUUUUAUUCCCGGUCUCAAAGAAUUCUCUGCAUAAAAAAUUCAUAGUGGUAAUUCUUUAUUUUUGUCCUGUCUCAAAUAAACUCGUUCUUUGAAAUUUUUCGUUAAUUUUAUUGGUAAUAUGUUGAGAUAGAAUAUUUUUAAGCUUACGUAAGUUUCUUAAGCGCACCUUUUAAGUAUCAAAAUUCUAGGCGAGCCAUAAAAAAAAUAUCCGCGUGGUAGAAUUUAAGCAUUUUUAAUAUAAAAUAAUCUUGGCACAUCAUUACCGUUAAGAUUAAGUUCCGUCAAAACUUAAUAAAAUUUUCAAAUUAUUACACUUAUAAUUUGCCACAAAAUUAAGCUGAAGGGUUGAUGUUAUUUAUUUAUUUUUAUUUUUUUUGUAGGAGAACAUUUGAUAUACAGAAUAAAGUGUAAGAGAUUUUUAUAAUUAUGCCUAAAAUGCCUCUAUCAUCUUCUUCUUUUUCUUUUUUCGGUUUUACUUGUUGAUUUAACGCCUGACAUUGGCUAGCAUCACAAGUAAGAUGUCUCCAUGAUAAGAUUGAGUUUAAGAAAACUGCAUAAAAAUGAUUUGGAGAGUAUUUUUUAUGUACAUUUUUAUUUACCUAUGUUGCAAAUAAGUUAUUAGAAAACUAGUAAAACGCACCCGCAGUGCCACACUUGCACGCAACUGAGAUAAUAGAAUGGUCUGGGAAGGAAAGAAUAAUUAAGUCAUUGACCGGGGGCCAAGAAUAAGAAUUCUAAUAACAUCUUCUUAACAAGUAUGUUAAUUCUUUGAUCUUUCCAUGUAAAGAAGUUAAUGAUCAAGACACGUUCUAAGUAGCCAAAAACCUGUGUAGGGCUUGAAUUAAUUCGAUAAGCAAUAUAUGUCCAAGUUUGAUACGCAUGCUAAAUUUGUUUAAUUAUCAGACACUUCCAUUGUUUUAAUCUUUCUCAAUUGGUAACUGUAAAAUCCAAACUUGUCGCUUCAUUUAUAUAGUCUCUUUUUGGCUUUAAUUCAGCUUAGAUAAAAAGCACACUAACAAACUGUUUUUUUGAAGACUCUUUAUCUAUUCUUAAACCGACUUAAUUAAAUGAAUUCUAAUUAUUAUAACAAUUCAUAAAAUUUGGACCAAAAAAGAAAUUAAAAAUAAAUGCGAACUACAUAUAUCAAGUUAUCAACUAGCAUUUGUGGAUUCAUAUGGAAGGAAGGAACGUUUAUUGCUUCCAACAACAAUGAAGAGGACAACAAGGUGCCGAUCUUACCCACAAAAAAAUUAAAAAAUCCACCCAAAAAAGAAAAACUAUCUAAUGUAUUGCUAACUCUCGCGUCACUCUAGAAAACCACUACACAAAUACACAAGCAAUUAAACAAAGGUAUAAAAGAAAAUACAAACACAUUUAUUUUAUUUUAUAUAUGCGCCCUAGCUACCAUCCUCCUCGUUGAAAAUCUCCUUUUUAAUGAAUUAGAAAGAAUCUGACACAAAUGAUGUGGUGGUGGUGGUCACGAUCGAAAUCAAGAGGCGGAGAGCGGGAAGCCGAUCCCGUGGCGGGUGGAGGGGAAGGUGGCGAAUAGGCCGCCGCCGACGAGUCCGGCGGCCACCGGCACCACCGUCAGCACCUGCUUCGUGUCGUACGACAGCACCGGGUAGAAGCACGACUCGAUGUUCGCGUCCAGCAGCGCCACCGCCGUGAACACCAACACCGACAUGAACGCAUGCAGAAAAUCAAUGAACCUGCAUCCGUUCGGUACAAAAAUAGUAAGACAUCGUUCUCUACUAACUUAAGCUACUGACUGUUUCUACCGACUGUUUCUGUUUCUUCACGUGCUAUCAGAAUUGUGAAAGGUGGAGAAUUUCACGGAACUUGAGGCGGUAGGUGGCGGCGACGUCGGGGGGCGGCGGCGGGGUGCCGUCGAUGACCCAGAGGCCCCGGAAGGUGGCGACGGCGUGCCGUACCUUGCCGGCGGAGUCGCGGAAGCUGUCGGUGAAGCUGAGGAGGAAGCAGGAGAGGCCGCAGAGGGCGACGAGGCAGGCGGCCAUGGCGCGGUUGGCGUUGUCGCACUGCCCCUGGUUGGUGAACACCGGCGACAGGAUCUGGAACGCCAGCACGGUGCCCGUCGGCAGGUGCUUCGCGAGAUCCGCCGUGCACUUCAGCGCCAGCCCGACCGCCGUCUCCCCGCCGCUCGCCUCUUUGCUGUCGGUGGCCGCCGUCGGUGGCGCCCGGUCUAUGAGCGGCUGCUUUUGCUCAUCGACGACGGUCUGCGGCUGCGGCGGAGAUUCUACGUCUGCUACGUUGGUGGCCAUUUUGGCUAUCUUUUAUCUGAAUCAGAUUGGAUUUGUUAUGUGCUCGUGUGUUUGGUUGAAUUAAAUAGAAGAAUAGGAGGGAAUUAAUUAGUGAGGGGUAUGGAAAAGCUUGCAAGGAAGCGUUGCGAGGAUUCCGGUGGAAGGGGAGGGAAUGUUGCUUUGGUUUUUGGCUUUGGCUUUGGCUUUUGCUUCUGCUUCUGGCUCUUAUAAGAUUUGUUGCGGGAGAAAGGGAUGGACGCGGUCUUUAUUGGAAUGUUGCUUUGCCUCUUGGAUCAUCGGUUUAGCUGCGGAUAUUGUGUACGUGUUGGCUGGAGCAGUUCUACCACUUCACUGUGGACCGAGUAUAUAUAUAUAUAUAUAUAUAUAUAUAUGCAAUGAAGUAUAUAUUCCUGGCUUGAAUGCAAAAGGAAAUACUGAAAAACUACUCUAUAUAUAUACCUCUAUUUCCAUUAUACAUUUUACUAACUAGAUGAAAUUAUGGGUGCGUUUGGUUCGCACUACGAAAGAUUACUAGCAAUAAAAAGAUGUCCGAAAAUUUUAUUCCUAUUCAUCCUAUUACUAAGAAUGCGGUAUUCCUAUGUUUGGUUCACACGGUUAUAUUAUUUAGUCAUAUUAUUUAAGUUUACAAAAAAUAUACAAUUAAUUUAUUUAUUUCUUUAAUUAAUUUUAGAUAAUGCCACAAAAAAUUUCACAAAAAAUUUCAACAUCUUUUUAGAAAAAGGGAGAGAGAGAACAUAGGUUAGAGAGAGAGCAUAAUUAAAGAAAUAGGAAGAAAAAUAAAGUUGAGAUUAGAGGGAGUGAGAGAGUUGAGAUUUUAGAAAAAUAGGGAAAGAGAGAGCUUAGUUUAGAGAGAGAAAAAAAGUUGAAGUUUACAAAGAAAAAAAUAAGUUUAGAGAGAGAUAUAGGGCUGGCAAAUGAGCGAGCCGGCUCGNAGCUGACAUAAGCUCGCUCGAGCUCGGCUCGUUUCCACCCCUAGAGAGAUAUGAAGUUAGAAUGAAAAUAAAACUAAUACCAACUAGCCGGCGAGUAAGGAGAAAGAAAGAGAUUAGACAUAUUAUGAUUACUCUAAUCCAUUAAUAUGAAGAUACCCACCCUUCCUCAAGGAAAUGAAAUUAGUACUUUGGGAUAAAUCUCAUUCCCAAGUAAAUCUAAUAUUACCAACUAGAUUACUUAGUGCGUUUAGCCAAACACCGUCAUAUUUUUUUAUUUCUAUUGGAUUACUAGGAAUCUUAAAAAGAUAGCGCGAACCAAACGCACCCUAUAUGUUUAUUACAGGAGGAAUAAUAAAAUGGGAAAACGGAGAAUUAUAUAUUACGUGGAGUCUUUACAGAAUUAUUUGUUAGUAUAUCCAUCACAUCAGUUUUUUUUAUAUAUGCUGAUCUUGAGAUUGAGAGUUUUGUCCCUCUGUGUAUUAAAAUUUGAGUUAUUGACCAGCUAUGUUAAACUUGUGCAAUGUUUUUGAUUUUUUUUAGAUAAACUUACGAAGAUCGUGAAUAUUUUCUUUGAAAGUUUAGUUCCAUUAGUUUUUUAUUCAUUAGUGAUGAGAAAUAUAUCCAAAACUUGUUUUAUUGGAUUUGAUUUAAGCAUUGUUGAUAUACUGAACAUAAAAAAAGAAAAAGAAAAAGAAAAGUAUUCAUGAAGUUAAAGCCUUCGGCAAGAAUAUCUAUGAAACUAUUCCCUUUUUUUUUUGUUUUUCUUGAGUCCGGUGCACUAGACCAUGUUCAUGAAAUAAACUUCUUCUCCAGGUGGCGCUUCAGAACAGUAUCUGAUCCAUCACAGGAUGUUUACUUGGAAGAAAAAGCAAUGUGCUGUUACUGUUCUUUGCUUUUAAGGCACAAUUACUGGAAAAUCACAUGCGGAAAUUAAGUGUUUAGGUUUAGAGAAAACGCCACUGUUUUUGUUAAAUUGGAUAAACAUUCCAUAUUAUAUGUAGUACGAAGAAGAGUGGUUUGUAAACAUCAGAAGCAAAUUUGACAAAGAAACGGGGUGAUCAUUAUCAUUAUCAUUAUUCUACUCAGUGUUAAUUAAAUUUAAAAAGCCUCAUUUACUUGACUAAGAAUGUAAUUAACAUGUUGGAAUAAUUGUUUUCGACUUUCCGGGUCGUGGUUUACUUCGAAAUUAUCAACAGAAUAAAAAAAAAAAAAUAAUUUGUUCUUAUGUGAUAUAAUAGUGUGUUUUUACUUGCCAUUUUGUGGCUUAAAAAAUGACACGCAAAUAUUUUGUUUUACAGCGUAUUUUUACUUUGCAAACGACCCCGUGGUUCAAAAAUUAUUCUUAACUAUUUUAUAAUUUUAUUUUUGUUGUACUAUCAAAUACAAUUAUAUGGUUUUUAUAAAAUUUUACUUUUAUUCUCUAUUUAAUUGAUGAUAAUUUUUUUCAUCGAAACAAAAAUAAAUCACCAAUUAAGUAGCUAGUAAAAUAUAUUUUUUUUUAAACCAUAUAAUGACACAGCGGAAAUUAAUGCGCCAUCCGAUGUAAUCAUAGGAGGGUAAAUUGAAGUUUACCCCAAAUUAAAAAAAAUAUAUAUAUAUAUAGUAAAAUAUUCUUAUAUGGACUUAGAAUUCGCUAAAUUUGACGAUUUUGCUCGAAACAUUUCUAUGUUGACUAAUUUUUGGAAGAUGUUUAGAAGCUGGAAGAAAUUUCCAAAGAAAGUUCAGAAUAGGAACAUUUUUUACGUUAAAUUUGGCUUGUGACAUGAUUAAGUUUUGUUCCAAAUAUUUGGGAUACGAUUUUUCUUGCUAUACAUUCUAUCUUUUUACUUUCUUUGUUGUUUUUUUUUUUCUUUUUCCCAUCACUUGGCUAUGGAAUUAUUAGUUGUAAAUAUUGCCUUGACCAAUAAAGAAAAUUACUUGCAUCCAAACAAGCACUUUUAUAGCAUAUUUUGUAGAUGAACAUCGAUCGAUCUUGCCUUUGGGAGCUGACCAAUUCCUAUUGGCCAAACCAAGAAAUAAAAAACAACCAGGUAGUUUAAAAUAUUCAAAGGAUUAACUUACUUCUAUUAUUGUAUCAUAUUAAUUAUGAGCUUAGGUUGUGUCAUUUUUACGUUAGGCUCACAAAAUAUGAACAUGCUUAUUUAGUAGUAGAUUGAUAUGUUGUUUGGUAACGCACGCGUAGAGACUUGUUCAACAGUAAAUAAACUUUCCUUAAAAAAAAAUUAAAAAGAUUAAGGCCUAAGACCUGGUCCAAACGUGGAGUAUCUUCAGCUUUUCAUAGGAUAAUAACUACAAUCUUUUAUUGAAACCUUAUCAACUUUUAAUUUGUUGUAACAUGGCUAUUUUUAAGUAAUUAAAUUUAGAGAUUUAGUUAAACUUAACAAUUCAAUUAGUUAUUAGUUGUUGUUUAUCGACAAAAUGUACACUUCCUUAAUACGAAGAUAAUUAGAGCUAUGAAUUUCAUGAACUCGCUAUUAACCUAAUAAAAUUUGUAAUUCAAUUUAAUGAAACAUGUCAAAUCAAAACAAGAAGGAAAAAUAUCAAUAAAGUUUAAGGAUCCAUUUCAAAAUGGCCAUUAGUUUUGUGCAGAGAAAUAACUCAAUGGAAAACAUACUAGGCCCUUAGCUCGGGCCCUAAAGCCCAUCUAGAGAAAGGGCCAAAUAAUUAAUUGGGCCUAUUUUGGACUGGGCCUAUUUUCAGCUAUUGUCUUGUUCACAAAAUCUUGUUAGAAUAGAGAGUACAGAGGGCCAUUUUUUUUUUUUUUUCCAGUAGCUUCUUUUUUGAGCAUCUGUUUGGCCAUUGCUGUAUGAAAUUUGCUAGAAUUUUGUUUAUUUCUUUUUUUUUUUUAUUGCUAGGUACAUGAAGUUAAUGUGAUGCCCUACUAUAAACCACUCAUAGUCAUAGGUUGGUAUACUGUACGCAUAGAAUUUGGCAUUCUGUUGACCUUUUCGUACUAUUAUUUUUACUACAAAAUUUUGUUUGGCUGUUCUAGGACUUGUUUGGCUCUGUUAAAGGGUAUAGUAUUAUCUCAUCGCCAGCAUGUACAGCUCGCACGCUAAAUCACCUUGAUCAUCUAACUGCACACUAGUUUUUUCAGUCCAUUUUUAUUUACUUAUAAGUAAACAGAAGUAAACGCUGUAUUAUUAGUAGGAAAGACUGUACAAAUUUGACUCGAAGCCCUAUAGUGAUUUGAUUUGGGGGGGGUGGAGGGAAAAGAAUCAAAGAUAUUCAUAGUGGGGUGGUGAUGAUUCUUACAAGUACUCUGGUGGUGAUUAUGCGAAAAGCACUUUGCCAAACUCAUUACCUAAAAACACAUGACAAAAUUAAUACAAGUGUUUUUCUUUCUCCUGGUUCCAUGAUUCAAACAGGGAGGAAGGUUGGCUCCAAUUGGGUCUUCUAGUCCUAAAAGUGAUUCCAAAAGCAGCAUCCACCUUGUAGUGCUUGAGUGUAUGAAUUCAAAAGGGCUGAGCUUUAAGCUUUUCAGCCAAAGUUCAGUUAAAAUACAUAAACCACUGAGUGCACACCACCCUACUUGGUAAAUCUAAGAUACCAAGAGUGUCAGUGUUGAAUUAUAGGUGACCCCAAGGCUUAUUAUGAUUCACUUUUUUGAGAGGGUGUACUUUGUGGACCCAUUAGAGCUUGAUCAUGAUGAUGGUGCUGUCCAAAGGGAAUUGAGUUUACUUACUCCAUGAGCAAUUUUGGAAAGUAAAGAUAAAUUCUAUAUAUGAGCAUGUUUAGAUGAAAAGACUUUCACUGAAUUGUAAGUGCCUGGUUAUGAGUUAUAAUAUAUGUGGAGCCCAUGAGAAGGGACAUGAUUGUAUCAAAACAGAAAUGUCAAAAAUAAAAAAUUUUAAAAUAUAUUAUCUGCGCAAUCAAAGGACACCUAAUAAUUAACCUGUUUAGCGGUACUCUAAUGUGUGCUACUUAAAUACUGCUGCUUGAGAAACCAUCACAUUUGCAAUUUCUUUUUGCAGAAUAAUUAAGAGUUCUACAUUAGAUCGUUUAUGAGGCUCAAGAGUUCAUUUCUACUUUUUACUAUAGCGAAACUUCAGAUUUGCCUGUUUGUAAACUCACUGGUGAGCUACUACGAAAGAAAAUAAAAACGAAAGCUGGAUCAAAUAAAUCCUAAUUAGUUUUACCUCUACGACUUAGAUUAGACUUUUUCUUAUUUUGAAGAAUAAAAUUGUUCAAUUUUCACUUUCAUUUAUAGAAACUUUAAGCAUUUAAUAGCAUCAUUUUCUAACACGCAUACAUUUUUGUAAGAGAAUAUAUAAACAGAAAGAAUUCUCAAAGUAUUCUAUCUAUUAUACCAAUUCAUUCAUCCUAGUGUAGAUGGAUAUAUAAGAUAUUCAAAAUAUUAGUUCUCAUUUUCACUCGCAAUUGUGCCCAAAAAGCGAAGUAUUCUCAUGUCCUUCUUAAGUUUCCGUAGGCAAUAAAAAUUUAAAAAUACUAUUAUGUGAAGAUAGCCUGAGUUCGAAUCCAACCAGAAUAGAAGAUUUGGAAUUCAAAUUCUUCUAGACUCCUAAUUUUUAAUUCAAAUCCACGUCUUGGCCUAUCAAAAGUUUCCGGCACAAAUAUAAUAACUUUUAAAGUAUUCGGUUAUGUUUCUCACUUUUAACAAUAAAUGAGUUCAACUUUUUACUAUUUUUUUACUUAAUUCAAGUCCACGUCUGAGCCUAUCAGAAGUUGUAAAUUAAUAGAUAGUGCAAGGGGUAACUUUCAUAUCCUCAACUAAUAAUUUGUUUUAUGUAGUCUUGGAUGUUAGUUUUCAUUUUUUGACUUUAGUGUCCAAGCGUGCCCUUAUUAUAAAAGCUCAUUGGACCGUCCAUCAUUUGUCUAAUGCAUAAGAAGAGUGAUGCAAUGGUCAGUGUCGAGCAAAGCUUAGUUCUUUCCCCACCAUUUAAUUUUAUCUCCCUUUUUCAUUUAUUAUUAACAACUGAAAAAAGAAAGCUGCUUUAAUUUAGUGAUCCAAUUUUUCAAUGUUAAUAAUUGCUUGAGAAGGAGAUGGCCCAAAAGGAAAUUUAUGAAAUUAAAAAGUAAUAUUUAUUAAAUUUUGUCAAAUUCGGUUACUGAAUAAUGAUCAAAUUUAAUAUUAUUUUUUUUUUGUUGAGAUUAAUUCGUUGCGUUGCAUGCCUCAUAAUCUGUUCUUUUUGGGUAAUGGAUUUGAUUGGGAGAGUAAAUCUUUUUUACUUAAAUUUCUUCCCUUUUUAGGUUUAAGGAAUAACUUUUAUAGCUGUAAAUAUAUGACUUAUGAGAUGACCCAAAAAGAGAUAAAGAGAAGCAGCUGGAUAAUUAUUAGCUUAAGUGGGAGGGUGGGUCUUGGCUAAUGUAAGAGGAUUAGAACAUUAGAAUAUCAGUUAAUAAAAGCUCUAAUUCAUAAUUUUUCUUUUAUAGAUCAAUAAAACGCUAUUAAAAAGAUUUAGGCCCAGUUUGAUAAUAUAGUGGCUAAAAUAUUAUUUUUAUAUUAUAAACAGUUCAAAAAAUUUAAAAAUACUCAUAAUCUUUCUUUCUCGAAUAUUUUAAAAUUAUGAUUACAGCAGUCAUCGGAGAAGUAUAUAACUACGUAUUUCUCUUAUCUCGAUUGCAAUUAUAACUUUAUAAUUUAAGAAAGUGGCUUUAAAAUUAUUUGAGCUCUCUAUAGUAUAAAAACAAUACUUUUGGCGAUUAUAUUGCUAAUUAAACCUUAAGCUGUCUCAAAUAGUAAUUCCGUAGAAGCUUUAUCUACCAAUGAUGAGCUUCUCCUUCUUCUAGAGGGAAAAUUCAUUUCCAAGUAAGGAAUAUGAUCAUGGUGAUUUCACGAGUUCUUUUCACCUUUGUUACCACAAAUAUUCGGAUGUCAAUUUCAAAGGGGUUUUUCCACAAGCACGCUUAAAUGAUACACCAACACUGCAACCAAAAAAGGAAAGAUGGUUCCAACUGGGUCUUCUUCUUCUAGAGGGUGAACAAAAAGAAGAAAAAAAGAAACAAGAAAAAAAAAAAAAGAGGAAGUUCUUCUAGAGAAAGGUGAGAAUCCACAACAGCAAUAUCCACAUCCACAUCCACAUCCACAUCCACAUCCACUUUUUUAAUGCAGUGUUUGAAUGCCAAAAAAGUAGGCUUGCUCGAGAGCUCUUGUUCACACCAGUUUCCUCAGGAAUUGAUCCAGGAUGCUACUUACAAUGCCACUUCACAGAAUUAAGCAUGUGCCUCCCUUUAUUAUGAGGUAAAUAUACAUAGACCCACUAAGUUUUUAUGUAUUGAGUAUAUAUUUAGAUCUAGAUAAUAGGGUUAUUUGGUGCCCCCCUUAUUUAGUUGGUUAUUUGUACACUUGCACUGUUAUUUUGAGGGAAGUAAUUAAAAUGAUGUUGAGGCAACGCAAUGUUAUUGUAUGAAAAUGUGAUAAUAAAUUAGUGUUAUAAGAGGUCAAGAGUUUGAUUCAGAGCAUGUGCAUUUAAAUACGAGGCUUAAGAUCUUGACUUCGUAUAUUAUAAAUUAGCAUAGAGCUAGUCUCAGAGUAGGGUAUCAAUUUUUAUUAGAAUUUACAUUAUGCAAGUAAAAGUGUAGGUGCAAUGCACAACUCGUAUGAAAUAAAAUGUACGAAAUUAUAAUAAUAUCGGUUUUCAAUUUGAGUUUAUAAACAGAUUAUAGAACGUGUAUAAUUAGGGGAUUUAUGUCUCCCUUAUGAAAAAAGAAUAUUACGGAAAUAUAUAUAUAUAUAUAUAUAUAUUGAAAUUGAUCUCUUUUGUAUAUAGCAUAGGCGCAGAUAAAACUCACCUAUUACCUAGUUUAACUAACAAAUAUUUACAUGACUAUAUAUAUAUAUAUAUAUAUAUAUAUAAAAGUUGCAAUGGAAAAGGCAACUUAGAAUCUUGUAGUGUGGCUUUAACAUUGCUCAUCAUCUUUACAGCAUUAUUGAUCUGCUCUUUUUCUUCUUUGUUUGUGUCAAAAUUAAACGCCAAUGUUUAUAGCAUAACAUCCACCAUUAGACAUAAUAUCAUCACAUGGUUCAACCAUCUGCAAAUGAUAACACUACACUAUACAUAUGUGCUGUAAAGAGAUAAUAUCCCUCUUAAAUCUUAAUUAAGUAUUAAUAGGUACACUUUUUCUUUAAUCACUCAAUAAUCUAUAAUUAGUGUGGGCUUUUUGUUGACUCUUUUCCCAGCAAUGCCAAUGUUGUCGCUUUAGAAUCUUAUCAAAUUGUGUUGUGUUUUAAUUAAGCGCAUUGUGUGAGUUAUAUAAAACUAGGCUGGAAUACUAUCAAAAGCACCAAGCUACUGGUGCUAUUAAUUUUUUAGCCUUUGGAUUGAGAAAUAUGUGGUUAGGAUGAUGUGGACCUCCUAGGAUUGAGUGGUCGGUUGGUUGAAUAGUAUAAUCUAAUGGGUAAAAAUAAUCAAAGGGCUAAAUCCAACGGUGAAAAACUCAAUAUCACCGAAUCUUGGGUGCUAUCGAUAGUAUUCCAGCCGGACUCUAUAUAUAGAACUAGGCUGGAAUACUAUCAAUAGCACCAAGUUAUUGGUGCUAUUAGUUUUUUAGCCUUUGGAUUGAAAAAUGUGCGGUUGGGAUGAUGUGGGCUUUCUAGGAUUGAGUGGUUGGUUGGUUGGAUAGUAUAAUUUAACGGAUAAAUAUAAUCAAAUGGUUAAAUUUAACGGUAAAAAACUCGAUAGCACCAAAUUCUGAUUGCUAUCGAUAGUAUCCCAGCCGGAUUCUUUCUCUAUAUAUAUAUAUAUAUCUAUAGAGUCCAGCUAUAGUGCUUGUAAAAUCACCAAGCACUUGAUACUUGUAAAAGCAUAUGAGCUCAAUUAUAUAUAUAUGGGGUUCCAUUGCAAUUUUUUUUCCUUCAGUAAGGCCCAUAUGUAUAAAGCUAUUCAAAGGAACUUUCCCUUUCUUUUUCCUUCUCAUUUUUUUAAUCUAACAACUUGUAUUUAUUUGAAAGAUGUGGGGGCUCAGUUGAAGUUGUUGUUGUGUCCCUUUUAAGGUGGGACCUCAAAAUCAUUGUUUCCAUAGAUUAAUCAUAUUAAUCAUUGUUGUAUUUUCAAAUAUUGUAAUUAUGAAUUAUGAAUUUUCCUGUUACUGCUGUUCAAGCUUAGAUCAGAGACAAACAUGCAACUCAGUUGUCACUUGGCAGCCUUGUUUAAGAAAUGUAAAAUAAGAGAAUCAAAAAUAUAAAAAUAUAAAACUCAGGACUUGUUUGGUAUCAUUAUCAUUUUUAUAUUUUUUAACAUUAUAUAUAUAUAUAUAUAUAUAUAUAUAAUUUGAUGUAUUGGAAGAAAAAACUUUUUUUUUUUAUUUCUAUAGUUAGUUAGCUUACAAUGUAUCCAGUCUAGUAAUAAAUGACAAUUUUUUUAAAAAAAAUGAAAGAAAAAAAAAUUAUUUUUAAGAUUUAAUUUUUUAUUGUUAAGUAAAUAUUUUGGAUAAAAAGUAUUGCAACCAAUAUACUGUUCACUUCUAUAUCUUUUGAUAUACAAUACUCUAUUUAAAAAGAUAAAAAAAAUAAAACACAAUAAAAAACAUUGCCUUAGGUAUUAAAAAUCUUUUCCUAUUUGAACAAACAUUCUAAUUUAAUAGAAUCACGGUAAGAAAACACAAAAAAAUAAUUACUCAUCGGAAGUAUAGAUAUAAUUUUUGUAUUUUUAUAAUUCUGCAUAUUGUAAAUUUCUGCACAUCAAACAGUAGAAUUGUGUUCUUAAAAAUAUAUAUGUGGUAUAUAUAUAUAUAUAAGUUUUUUUUUUUUCAAAAAUGAAUAUGAUUAGAUCUAUAUUAUUAGUGCAUAAUUAGAUCCCUCCUUUUUAUUUUUUUCUCUUCUUUGAUGCUAAGAAACCAUGGAAACCUAUAUAUAUAGCAUGGAAGCCAAUGAAUGAGCUAGUAAACUAGAUUUUGACUCCCUAGAACACUAUAUAGAUACUCGAUCUAAUAAAACAUAUAUAUAUAUUAUGUCUACAUUAUUUAGACCUCAAUUCAUUGGGAAGUUCACCAACCUAAUUGAUAGUAACAAGUGCUUUUCAUAGCUCAACCAAAUUAAAUUUGUUUGCAUCUUUCGUUUCUAGCAUUAGCCCACAUAGUCAAACAAGCACGUGGAGAUAAUUUGGUCUUGCGGUGCGUGUCACAUCGAAGUGCACUCAAAUUAAACACUAAAUAAAUAGUUCUAAAUGAGUUUAUUCUUUUUAAAAAGAUAAACGAAGUGAACAGUAACAGAAUGCUAUUAUAUUUUCUCUAAAAAAAAAUCUUUACUAAUUUGUACUAAUACUUUUUAUUUUGAAAAUGUGUACUUUGCUAAUUAUUUUUUCAAAAAAUUAAUAAAUCUCUUUAUUAUAUCUGUAAUUUGUUAUUUAUUAUUUGCCAUUAUAAAUCCUAUGUGAUAUGAAGAAAAAGAAUUAUGGACAAAGUUUCUGCAUGGGCCCAAAUCCUUCAAUGUCUAUAAAUUGCACUAUUCAUUCUUUUUCUAUUCUUUUUCUUUUCUUUUUUUUUUUUGGCACAUUAAAGGUGCCUAUGAGUUGUUAAUAAACAUUGUGGACCUUUGUUUGAAGGUUCAUGGAAACACUCUUAAAAACAUGCCCAAUCAAUAUUAGUUGUACGCUCGUACGUACAAUUCGGCAAUGAAAUUGAAGUUCCCCAAAUUGGUGGUUGGAUGUCUCGAAGAGGAAUCAAGAGCAGUACUACUUCAAAUAUCAUAUACUUAUGUGUCCAUAAAUUUAUAUAAUGUAUUAUAUGCAAGAUAUGCGAUUGAAAUUUAGAUUGAGCAUCUAUUUACAAAUGAAUUAAAGUUCAGAGUUCUUUGUACACUAUUCUUGUUUAUAUAUGAAAUAUUUUAAAAUUCUUCACAUCUUAUAGGUAAAUAUAUUAUGUUAACAAUUCAUAAAAAUAACUUUAUGAAAACACUAAUCUAUAGCAUUACUUAGUGUGUCCAAAUAGACCGCCAAAUGUUAUAUCACAAUCCUUCUAAAAAACAGGGCCGAGGAUUAUUCGGCACCCAAGAUAAGGUUUUUUUUUUUUUUUCUUUACACUCCUCAAUGCAAAUUCGUUCCCAAUCCAACCGACCAAACAAAACCUAACACUCUCUCAAAACACUACCAAUUUAUAUCCCCAAAUACGAUAAUCACAUUACCCACAAUUAAUUAUAUAUCUAAAUAUUAGUUAUAUCUAAAUUAGGAUUAGUACAUUGUUGUGUAGAAGUUCCAAAUGGUUGGUAAACACUAAUUAAAGAGACAGGCGAUAGGCGCUCUGUCCUGUACCUGCAGAACCAUCCAACUGCAGACUCUGCACAAACAUUGUCUCCUCCUAAGUUUAUAAAAAAAUUAGAAAAAGAGAGAAAAUAAAUUAAAAAAAAAAAGAGAGAGAAAUGGAAAAGAAGUUUAAAAUAUAUAGAAAAUUUUGCCACCUCAUCAGUGGAACUGUCGAAAUCUUUUUCUUCUCUUUCCUGAAUAAUGAAUUAAUUUGGUGAUCAUUUAUUAAGCUCCAAAAGAAAUGCUUUGAACUCUUCCUAGUGUUAUAUUUAUAAAUUAUUGAUUUAUUGACAAACAUGUAUAAUAUCUUUGAACUACAUAUAUAAACUAAUUAAAAAAACUAUAUAUAUCUUAGAUUAGAUGUAAAUUUUACAUCCCAUUGAUCCAAAGGCUAAUGCUUUCUCAUUAGUUUUAUUAAGUUUGUUCUUUAAUUUAGCAGCAUUAUAAAUUGUAUGAUGAAUAAAAUAUAAAUAUUUUUAUGUACGUAGAUGUAGAAAAUAAGGAUUCAAAUACCGUGUAACAAAAUUGCGCUAAGAACCUAUGUCGUGUUGUACUAAUGAAUACCGUUUAUAAAAGUACCUAAAAUAUUAGCACAUUAAAAUAUAAAUAUAUUUUUUUUACACCGACAUAUUCUAUGCUUAUUAUAUAUCUCUAUCAAUUUUUGGUACUAUUAAAAUAAUUACUUAUUAAUUUUUUUAAAAAAAUAGAUGAUAUUGAACAAUGCCAUCGGCAUUCAAAUCGUACCACACUAAUAUUUUGUUGACAUAGUAUUACAUAAGUCGUAUCAUAAUAAAUAAAAUAAACUAAGCAGCUAGCGUGCUAACUAUUUAUCAAAAAAAAAAUAAAUAUUUUGUUGACGCUGUAUCGCAGAAGGAACACAAUUUAUGCCAACGGAUACUUAAAAUCACGCAUAUAUGUAAUCCUAUGUUAACAUCUUAAAAAAACAAUAAUAAAAAAAAAAUAACAAACAAACUGUGGUAAAUUAAACCGAGAAACAGAGGACCGGGUACAUAAACAGUCACGAGCUCUGAGAAAUGACCUGGUGGGGCCAUCGUUGGGCUCGGGUCACUAAUUCACUCCACUCUAUGAAAGCUAGUCGCUCUCGUUUGACCAGAGCAAGUUAGAUCGCAUGGGGUGCAUGCCGCGGUAAAAACAAACAAGAAGUGCACAAAAGAAUAAAGAGAGAACUAAAAACUCUCCCUUUCACCACUAACGUGGGUAGUAGUAAGCGCCCGUAGUGCUCUCCUCACCUCUUCCCAACUUAUCUACUGCCCGUCUAAUCUAUCUAUCUAUAGCAUUAUAAUCGCUCUCAGGCAGUGAUGAGACAGGGAGGGGCACGGCCCUUGGACCUCCUCGCUAGGGUCCAAACCUGACACUGUAAUACUACCCCCACCUCCUCUCGCUCCUCCUCGUUAAUAACUUACACGCUCUUUAUUCCUUCUCUCUUCCUAACCCGGGAGAGCAAGAUAGCUAGCUAGCUCGCUAGCGCACACCAUGGAAGGAGGAAACCUCAUCAGCGUUCCGCUGCUAUGGCUGUUCCUGCUCACGAGUGUCAUAAUCAGCCCGUGUGUAUGUCUGAACCAAGAAGGGCUGUAUCUUCUGGAGGCGAAGCGCGGUCUGGACGACCCGGGGGGCGCCCUGGCAGACUGGAACCCCCGCGACGCCACCCCUUGCAACUGGACCGGCGUCUCGUGCUCGCCGUCUUCUUCGUCUUCUGCCGCUGCUGCUGUUGCCGCCGCCGUCACCUCUCUCGACCUCCCCCAGAACCUCCUGGUGGGGCCCCUCCCCGACGCGGUCGCCCUGCUGCCCUCCCUCCUCCACCUCGACCUCGCCUUCAACAACUUCUCCGGGCCCAUCCCGCCCUCCUUCGGCCGCUUCCCGAAGAUUCAGGUCCUCUCGCUGGUGAGCAACCUGCUCUCCGGCCCCGUCCCCGACUUCCUCGGCAACCUCUCCACCCUCCGCCAGCUCAACCUCUCCUACAACCCCUUCGCCCCCUCGCCCGUCCCGUCCUCUCUCGCCGAUCUCUCCCGUCUCGAGAUCCUCUGGCUGGCCGGAUGCAAUCUGGUCGGGCCCAUCCCGCCCGCGCUCGGCCGGCUGUCCAACCUCACCGACUUCGACCUGUCCACCAACUCCCUGACCGGCCCCGUCCCGGCCGCGCUGGCGCAUCUCGCGAGCGCCGUGCAGAUAGAGCUGUACAACAACUCGCUGUCGGGGCCGAUACCGCCGGGCCUGUCGAGGCUCCAGGGGCUCCGCCACGCGGACAUGUCCAUGAACCGCCUCGAGGGCCCGCUCCCCGACGACCUCUUCGACGCGCCGCUGCUGGAGAGCCUCCACCUCUACGACAACCUCCUCACGGGGCCCAUCCCCGCCGGGGUCGCCCGCUCCAAGACGCUCGUGGAGCUCCGCCUCUUCGGCAACCGCCUCAACGGGUCGCUCCCGCCGGACCUGGGCGCGAACGCUCCCCUCAUGUUCCUGGAUCUCUCCUCCAACGCGCUCUCCGGGCCCAUCCCGCCGGGCCUCUGCGACCGCGGCGUGCUCCAGGAGCUGCUGCUGCUCAACAACGCCUUCUCCGGCGCCAUCCCCGACGGGCUCGCCCGCUGCCGGACCCUCACGCGCGUCCGCCUCCCCUACAACCGCCUCUCCGGCGGCGUCCCCGACGGGCUCUGGGGCCUCCCGCACGUCUCGCUGCUCGAGCUCACGGGGAACUCCCUCUCCGGCGGGAUCUCCCCGGUCAUCUCCGCCGCCGCCAACCUCUCCAACCUCCUCAUCGCGAGCAACGGCUUCUCCGGCGUCCUCCCGUCGGAGCUGGGGAUGCUGUCCAAGCUCUACGAGUUCUCCGCCGCCAACAACCGGCUCACCGGGCCGCUCCCGGCGUCGCUCGGCGGCUUGUCGGAGCUCGGCCGGCUCGACCUGCAUAACAAUUCCCUCUCCGGCCAGCUGCUCCGCGGCAUCCAGUCCUGGAACAAGCUCAGCGAGCUGAACCUCGCCGACAACGAGUUCGCCGGAGGGAUACCGCCCGAGCUCGGCGACCUCCCGGUGCUCAACUAUCUCGAUCUCUCGAAUAACUUGCUCAGCGGCGCGAUCCCGAGUCAAUUGCAGAAUCUCAAGCUCAACCAGUUCAACGUGUCCAACAACCGGCUCUCCGGCGCCCUCCCGCCGCUGUUUGCGAACGACGCCUACCGCGGCAGCUUCCUCGGAAACCCCGGGCUGUGCGGCGACUUGGCAGGGCUCUGCCCUGUUUCGCCGUCCGGCGGCGAUCGAUCUUCAUCUUCGCGGCGCUCGUGCUCGCCGUCGGGCUCGCCUGGUUCUACUGCCGGUACCGCCGCUUCAAGAACGCCAAGCGCGGGCUCGACAAGUCGAAAUGGACGCUCACGUCGUUCCACAAGCUGGGUUUCAGCGAGUACGAGAUCUUGGAUUGCCUCGACGAGGACAACGUGAUCGGGAGCGGGGCCUCGGGGAAGGUCUACAAGGCUGUUCUGAGCAGCGGCAAUGCGGUGGCCGUGAAGAAGCUGUGGGGGCCGUCGUCGAAGAAUGCGGACCAGGUGUUCGACGACGGGUUCGAAGCCGAGGUGGCCACUCUGGGGAAGAUCAGGCAUAAGAAUAUAGUGAGGCUGUGGUGCUGCUGCACCCACAAGGAUUGCAAGCUUUUGGUUUACGAGUACAUGCCUAACGGCAGUUUAGGAGAUGUGCUGCAUAGCAGUAAAGGAGGGCUUUUGGAUUGGCCGACGAGGUAUAAGAUCGGGUUGGAUGCGGCCGAGGGACUCUCUUACCUGCACCACGAUUGCAUCCCGCCGAUCGUUCAUAGGGAUGUGAAAUCCAACAACAUCUUGUUGGAUGCUGAGUUUGGGGCUCGUGUUGCGGACUUUGGGGUCGCAAAGGCGGUCGAGACAAUCGGAAAGGGGCCCGAAUCUAUGUCCGUCAUCGCGGGUUCAUGCGGCUACAUCGCCCCAGGUCGGUGCUACUUGCUCUCCUACUUCCACAUUACUUCAUAUUAUCUAUCAAUUGGUUGAAACAUCUUACUUGCUUCGAAUCUAUCAUGCAGUAGUUUGGUGAUGCUUGAUCUUGAGAAGGGUUAAACUAGCAUAUGCAAUCCUCUCUAAAAUUUAACCUUUAAUCAUGUUUCAGCUCGAAAAGUGACCACCCCCCAAAAAAAAAAAAUAGUAGUCAUAUGAGAUGCCCUGUCCUGUGAUCUAUGAAAAGUUGCUUCUUUUAUAUUCCUGUAUAUUGAUUUCUAGCUGUUUGAUCUAAAGUUAUUCUUGUUAAGAUAAUAAGUUCGACUUCUUUCGACUGAACAAGCUUGAUUCUAUCUUGCACUUGUCUACAAAGGUUACUGCAAUACUUGCAGUCGGCCCUUCCAAUUGCACCAUAGUUUUCUGCAUUUUGCCGUCUGGAUAGAAUUUUUUAUGCUGUAUUCUUUUGUUUAUUACUCAGAAAUGGUUGUUAAACCGCAAUUGAUUUUCUCCGGAAUAAAGCAGCCUAGGUUUAUCGGCAUGUUUUGAAGUUUCAUCUCCAGAUGAGUUCAUUGGAUGCUCUUCUUCAUGGGACCAGCAAACAGAAAAUAAUUUUUUUUUUUUUCAGCUUGCAUAUUAUAUAUGUCUACCAUUUAAAAAAUAGUCAAGCCUUUCAUUUUCAUUUUCAGAUUCCCUUUACAAUUUUCUUUGUGUUCAUUAAUUGUUGCCUUUGUUUCUCAGCUACUCCAACUAUUCCCCAUCAAGACAUCCUCCUCUUUGUUUUUCAUGCCUUAGCUUCUCGGCUACUUCAAAUGUGCCCAACUGCAGCGUCCUACUGAUUAGUUUUGGCUUUGAAGUAACCCAUACUAUAACGACACACAUCGUACCUCACACUGAUUAGCUUCUUGCUUGUUUCAGAGUAUGCGUACACUCUUCGGGUGAAUGAGAAGAGCGACAUAUACAGCUUCGGUGUAGUCAUUCUCGAGCUGGUGACAGGAAGGCUCCCUGUGGACCCCGAGUUUGGGGAGAAGGACCUGGUGAAAUGGGUGUUGAGCACAAUCGAGCAGAAGGGAACGGACCAUGUAAUUGACCCUAAACUUGAAAUGUGCUUCAGAGGGGAGAUUCUUAGGGUUCUCAACAUCGGCCUGCUGUGCACAAGCUCUCUACCUAUCAACCGGCCCUCAAUGAGGAGGGUCGUGAAGAUGCUGCAAGAAGUGCGGGCCAAGAGCAAGCCCAAGCCCGAGAAGAAGGACGGCAAAUUGUCGCCUUAUUACUGCGAAGACACGUCUGAUCAGGGGAGUGUCGUGUGAGAUCGGAGAUGAAUCAGUCGAGGCUGUCUCUUUCGGCUUUAUAACGAGACAUCGAGUAACGCGGUGUAUAUUGGUUUUCCUUUCUGUGUUCCCUUUUUCCUUCUCACGAAGCUAGAAGGUUUUUAGCAUCUUUCCAAUUGCUAUGCCUUAUCCUGAUUGUAGUAUUAAAAGUUUGCGACUACUUUGUCUUAUGAUGUAUUAUGUGUUGAAUCAUCGAAUGAAUGAGAUAUUUCAAAGCUAGAAACUGCAUUCCGAAUCAAUCUGGAAAACUUUCUAAGUCAUGUUUGGAUGCACAAACUUUGGAAAAUGAUGGUUGGUUGAGAAGACGUCCGGAAUCCUGUAGUUAUGCUUCCUCUGAGUCGUGUUUCAAGACACUAACAAACAAUCUUGUAUGUGGGACACACUAUUUUGAAAAUUCAUUGACUCUGUCAAACUUGAACUGGUCUGAAUCAAGCUCCUAGGUGCAAUUACCAAAGAAACUCGCAUACUGCACUAAGUAAUCGCCAGAUAACUUGUUCCGACAUCCAAACAGGCCUGAUUUGGAAAUCCCAGUGAGUUACCGGUGAUAUCUCAUGCAAUAUGUGAAUUUUCGUACACAAUUGCAACACUAUACUUAUAUGAUGAUUUAUCUUAUUUUAAGAAAAUAAUCUAGUAUACUAUUAUAACAAUCAAAUUACACUUCUAAAUAAAAAAAUAAAAAAAAAGGGGAGGGUGGCUCAAUCAAGCCCUCGAGUCUAGCCUCACACUUCUACUGGAUGGAUGACAGCUUUGUAGUGGUGCGGAUGGUCGUAUUAGUACUGCCUUCAUGUGGGCCUUGCUAUUGAUAUCUACUGGGCAUCAAAUGGUCCCUCAAAAUUGAAAAUCUGUGAAGGACAUGCUGGGAACACAAAAAUACAACGAGGUAAAUCUCUCCCAUGAUCUAUUAUUGAUUCUUGUUUCUGCGGGUAACUCUUGUUUGCUAGUUAACAAAGUCAUGCUAUUAGUGGAAGGAAGGGACUACAAACAAUUCGAUCGGUCGAUUCGAAUGUUUCGGUGGUAAAGACGGUUCGUACGACGACAUAGAAAUAUUUGCGAGAUAGGUUGUAUUGUUCAUGAAUUUAGUUCUGGGAGCCAAUUGUGUGGCCAUGAGGGCUUAUUCCUGCGUAUUAGUGCUUCUUGUCUUGUUGGGCAUUGACUAGAUAGAUCUGUUCUGUAAGAACUUCUGGGUUCUAAGCAUCAGAAUGAGAGCAUCCUUCUUGUCAUGAAAAUAGUGGUGCUAAUUUGUACACCUCUCUCAUUGUAUUUUGACGGGUUUAAAAUGUAUGGAGUUGGAAUUGAGAAUCCUAAAACUGGUUAAGGGAGCACCUAGCAUGUGAACCUUUUAACUAAGAAUUUGUGUCUAAUAAAAGAUUUUGUCUCUUUUUUCUUUUCUAUUUUUUGAUUCCACAAAUGCUUGUGAUGGUGAGUAUAGGUGCUCGCCUUGUCCUGAAUCAAGAGGUUAGUAAUUAAACGGAACUUGUUAAUUCAUAAUUUAUCCUUAAUCUUAUCGAAACAUCUAUGCAUAUUGAUGGCACAAAUCAAGGAGUAACUCCCUCUUGCUAGCUUUAUUAGUUGAGGUUUUUUAUUGCUACCGACGCUAGUGAGGAGUGAGGACGACAUGUUUAUUUGCAGCAUUUAUUACGUUUUAUUCAGUGAAAGGACGUCCUUUGCAACGUAUCAAAUUGUUUUAGUGAAAGGACUAGACACAUAACAAAUUAGAUCAAAAAAUACUAUUUGUACAGUCCAAAGUGGCCCGUAUAACUUACAUCUUAUUAAUUCGAACAUUGGAAACCAUUUCUUUAAAGUGUUACAAAUAAAUAAAAUUAUAAUAAAACUACUGAGAUAAAAUUAAUAUUUGAAUAGAUGAGGUAUAAGGUUUACAUAUAUAUUUUUUAAAUGUACCGGUCUACACCGAAAGACCAACUUUUCCUUCGUACAAGGUCUCAAAUUGUGCCAUUUUAAUAUUUACCUAAUAAUUAUUAUUUAGACAAACUUCGCUAUCGGAAAGUACGCAUGUCACGUGUCCUUGAAAUGUAGAACACACACGCGAAGCAUAUCCUUCAAAAGUUGAUUCAAGUCCCGAACCCGCAAUAGAAGUACUCAUCAAGCAUAUAUAUUAAACCUGCCGAAUAGACAGAGUUUUUACUCUAGACGUCACAAUCAGUAUACACAUCACAUUCCAAGUAGAAAUAAAAUAUAUAGAUUGUAUACGAAAAGUAUCGCAUAACAUAAAUAAAAACUAUUUCUAUUACAUCACUUAAUCUAUUCAAUUAUAUACAUAAAUUUCAUCCAAAUACAGUCCAAAAUGAAGUUUGCAAAUUUUUCUUUUCUUUUCAUUACAUUGUUCUAAAAAAGGAUAUACAUCUCAAAAUAGCAAAAUAAAAUAGAAGAACAUUAUUCACUGAGCUACGCCUUUUUAUGAAUCCAAUACAGACUAUUCUGCCGAGCAGUCCACAGGAUAAUAUAAGUUGAACUCCCAGGCAAGCAAUAAGAAUAACUAGUUUCUAUAGGACCGAACAAAGCAGGGUUCGAGAUAAGCCUGAUACAGACCAAAGAAUGGUCGAUGGGCUUUCACGUCCCUUUACCUAUAAAUUCACAAACCUGAAGAUGUCAGACCAGUUUUAAAUAAUGAAGGAGAUGAUCUUUUGUACUCUGCAUCAACCAUGACAUGCCGGUUGAGUAAACAAAACAACUGGAAAAAAAAAAAAAAAAAAAAAAAAAAAAAAAAAAAAAAAAAAACGUCCGAAAAAGAAAUGAUCUCUUCGAAACAGAGCCUAAGUUUCCUAAAUUAUAUGAACAAACUUUUUUGUAGAACAAAUGCAAAAAUAGACAACUAACGAGCAGUACCCAGCUACAUUACAGAAAACCUACACAUAUUUACCAUCACAGAAUAGAAACAUCAGUGUAGAGUUGAAGAUGAUGUAUUUGUUGGACAGAAGCAAAAGGACGCUGCUGCUAACAAAACUAACACAGCAGGUAAACUCUGACAAGUGAUUACUUGAACCACACAAACUGCAGAUUCCAAUAAAUAGCUGCACACCAACCGAAAAUAUUUAAGACCCAGUAUUUACACACAAGAAAAACAAAAAAGAAAAGGCGCUAUGCUUUUCCAAGAACAUGCUUCUCAUAAAGUGCGAGUAUUUCCUUCUUAUUAGGAUUCCUCAGCUCCAGCAAUUGUGCACCAAAUCCGUGCUUAGUGAGCUCCUUCUUCAGCUUCAGAACGGUGUACUUGGUAUAAUCUUCAUUGUCAGUCUCGUGAGCCUCCAGGCUUGGCGUCAAAUUUUCGUCAGCUUUAUAAACAGACCCACCAUCUUCACUUUGGACAAACUUUAACGGGCUAGUAGUGCUCUUUGAUCUCUUUCUACCCCUCAAUUGGCCAUCAACAUCCAUAUCUUGCAUGGAUUCCGUGCCUCCUUCAUUAUCUACUCUCAAUCGCUUAUUAUGAGAAGCAGUUCGAAGCUUGCUAUCCAAUGCAGUCUCGACUAGACGAACAGAAGUCAGUUCCUGGUGGAGUGCGUCGAGUUUGCCUUGAGUAGAUUGGAGUUGCAACGAUAAGGCCUCUGCCCUGUUGUUGGCUUCUGCUCGAGCUGCACGUUCUGUGGCCAAAAGGGUCUCUAGGACUUGAACUGUGUUCGACCUCUGCUCAUUGCUCCGAUUCAGCAAUUCCUCGAUCUCACUUUCCCUCUCAUCAACCCUUCUCUCGAGCAGUGUUACCUUAGAUAGGGCAUCGGUUUCAGACUGACGUAGCCUCCGCACUUGUUCGAAAAGCAUUGAUUUGUCUUGCUCGAGGCUACUGGCUUUUCUUUGUAUUCUUUCAAUAACAGUUAAUCUUUCAAUUGACAAUCGCUGCGCUUCACUCUUCUCCUGCUGAGCCACAACUGCUUCUGCCUGAGCUGCAUCAGCAGAGGCAAUCACCCUCUUUGCAUCCCUUUCAGCAGUGCUACACCGCUCCACUGCAUCAUCGAUUUUUUUGGAUAUCGACAGGUAGUUUUCUUGAAUGUGCUUCUUUUCUUGUUCGAGAAUUUUGAUUUCCUUUUCGUACGAUUGAGUUCUGGCUUUCGCAAGAACCAGCUUCUCAUUCAACUCCUUGAUUUCGGCCUUCAAGGCAGCUGUUUCUUCAUCCUGGCUCUGAACUUUUGCUUCCGCAGCCUAAAAACAAACAUCACCAAAUAGAAUUAAACCNNNNNNNAAAAAACCCCCCCCCCCCCCCCCCCCCCCAAACAAAAAAAAAAAAAACAAAAAAGUUCAAUUGAAAUAGAAGUACAUGGAGGUCGUUCAUAGAUAUUUACCUCCAGACGUUCAACCAAUACAUUAGUGUGACUUUCUGCGUUCUCAAACUUAGCUUUCAUGUUCUUGAUUUGCUCUUCCUGUUAUCAGUAACAUAAUAUUGGGAAUGCCUUUUAGGAAAUAAUUAGGCAAGAAAGAGAACAGAAUCAAGAAGGGAACCUAACCUUUUCCUUGAACUGAGCAGCAAGCUCUGCUCUUAUAACAUCUUCCCUGUCCUGAGCCAGUUUGUUAGUUUUUUCUUGCACUGCCGAUGCCCUCUCGAGAGCUGAUUUGGCUUGUGCUGCAGCCAUUUCAUAUUUCUGCCUCCACUCUGAUGCCUCCUCAUCUGCAGAAGCAGCUUGUUCACGAGCUGCGGCCAAUUUCCCUUCAGCAGCACUAUACCUCGAUUCUAAAGCCGCUCUUUGUGCUGCAAACUUCUCUUCUUCAUUCUUCUGCUCUAACAAACUUUGCUCAUACUUAACUCUCCAAUCAGAUGAUUCACGACGAGCAAGAUCAAGUUCUUUAGAAAUGCUCAUACAGCGUUCUUCCAGGGUGCUGCAUUUGCUCCGCAAGUUAGAGAUUCGACCACUGAGAUCAUCAGAAACUUUCUGCUUAUCAGCAGUGGCUUCCUCAUAGCGCUUCAAAUACUCGGAUCUUUGCUUUUCAUUUGCCUCAUGAUGCUUCUUAAGCAGCUCCAAUUUGUCUUCAUUUGAACGACAUUUUAAUGCAAGAGCACUCCUUUCUGAUUCAGCCUGAUUUAACUGCUUGAUGAAAAGGUCCAUUAUAGGCCCUUCGAUACUACAAAGAAGAUGGGCUUAAGUUAAAAAGAAUCAAAAUAGUCAUUAACUGGACAUCAUUGUAAAGCUUCAAGAGCAAGAGCAAACCAUUGUCGUACAAAGGUAGCCAAAAUUUUCCAUUUGCCUGGACCAUGAGAAGAUGUCUCAUACUCGGCAAGCAAACUUUCCAGUACCUACAAAUGUAGAUAGGUCUGUAAUCUUGAAGACGUACAAAGAGAAAUAAUAAAUUAUGGACGAAUUAAGCUGCUUCGCUCAGCUACUGCUUUGUAGAAAAGACUAAACACUCAGUUACGAAAGAUAGUAGGUACAUUACACAAUAAAAGUGCCAUACCCCAAUAAUGUUACUGACUAUGGCACCUGGAGAAAGGCAGGCUGCUCGAAUCUUCUUUUCCAUGCUCUGUAUGGCAUUUGAACACUGGCGGUCAGCCUCCAAAAAGGCACUUCUUUUGUAUUCCUGCAACAACAGUCAAUUUAGAGUCAGUUGAUGCAAGUAAAAUAACUACAGAAGGGUCGAAUUCUGAUUAUUGUAAGAAAUAAGAAUAAUUAGAGGGAACCAAUACAAACAAACUAAAAAAAAAAUCGAAAAGACAACAGAGAGAAGUAGCAAGAGCAAAUGAGAAAGAAGGAUAUUGAACAUAUAGGCAUGAUAAUGCAUGGUCUUGGAUAUUGGUCUGCAGCAAGAAGAAUUGGUUGAGGAAGUGUCUAAGACUAGUAAAUCGUGGGCCGGAAGCACUGAAGUUUAACAUAGGAUCAAUCAACUGCACUAACGUGCGCAUUGUACAUCUUAAAACUGAUGUUAGAAUCAACCUUAUAAUAAUUAUUUAGAUAAUUUGUUAUAAAAGCAAUAGAUAAACAACACACAACACUUCUACAUUGCCUUAUAUUUCUAACAUCUCUUCUAUGCAAUGAUUCCAAGUAGUCUCUAUUUCACAUGUUGCAGUCGUCCCAGAAAUCAAAGUAACAAAAUAAGUGACAAUCAGAAAGCAAAAAUCCACACCUCAAAUGCCUUUCUACAGAAGUUGUGAAGAAGUUUUUCAUAAUGUGUGCGUACAGAUCCAGCCCCCACAGCACUAGCAUUAAAUGAGGCAAGAGACUUUUGAAGAGCAUCCUCGUGUGCUUCCCUCAAAACAUCCUGAAUAUACAAAGCUAGUACAAAUUAUAGAGCAACAGCAGCUUCAGCAAAUUCAUAAGAGACAAGCUACAGCACUUUACCUCAUCAGCUGGUUUUGUGCGGUCAAACGAUGACAUGUAAACCUCAGCAGCAUAAUCAUAAGCCCUGCGACAUUCUGCUUCUUCGACACUCUGUAGUAUUGUGUAUAAUAAGAAGGUCAUCAUUCAAGUGGGACAGUAAACAUAUGGUCAAAUCAUUUGAGUGAGACAGUAAACAAGAGGAUCUUUUAUUCAUUGGUAAGAACAGAAAAAACUAUUACGUAGCUGUAUAUGAUCCAUCCCACCCUUCCUCCUUAGUUCCCUCUUAGCAUGCCCUUUACUUACGACAGACAAGCCCUUUACUUAUAACAGACACAGAGAGAGCCCACAACAACCUCCUGAUACCAUACACAGAGAGAGGGGUGGAGGUGUGGGGAGAAGCACAAGAAAUCUAUAUAAUGGGGGGUGUUUGGAUUGACAUAAUUGUAGUUAAGUUGAAAAUCAAGUCUGGUGAGAGAAAAUAUUAUUGGUAUUGCCAUCAACUAGCAUAAUGUCAAAGAGAUUCACCGUCCAGUUUGUAUGCUAGAUUUUGGUGACUUCCAACCAUUUCAAGGGAAUUUCGUUUUCAAGAAUUUAAGCCCAUGGUUACCUACCGGAUCUUCUUGAUAUCUUCACGAUGGAUGACGAGAUUAAUAUUUUUACUCAUAACAAAUUUGAUUUGCAUUCAAAUCGCAACUUCAUCAAUCCAAACACUCCCUUAGUCUCUGAAACAUGACUAACCUGCCAGGAGGAAGAUAUUGUAGGGACAGCUCCAUUGUUGAUGGCAUCCAAGAAUGAUUGUGUGAUGCCAGCAAGAAUAGGACCUGUCAUAACAGUAGCUCCUACUUGUUUAGGCCUGGUUCGUUCAAAUACAAACUUUGUUAAUGCAUCCAAGCCUGCUCGAAAUUCUGGUCGAAGGCUCUCUAACUGCACAAUAAGAAGAGCAUACAAUUUAUAUAAGUCAAGUCCAUGAUCGACCACUACAUCACUACAAGUAUAAAACUAUGAGUAAUAAAUAUAUUAAAGCUAUAAUCAAAGCAAGAUAAACGCCUCACAGGGAUUUGAUCAAGGUGUCGGAGCUCAUUUUCAUUGUUCAACGGCCGAACUAGUGUAAAACAAUCUCUAUCUGGAAAGAGAGCACGUAUGGACUCGCGGAUCUAAAAAGCAUAUUGAAAUAAAUUAGCAAUGGAACUUAUAUGCACUAAAUAACGAAAACAAUUAACAACAAAAACCUUUCUACUUAACAUUAAUAACCACAGUACAAAUGUAAGCAGAGACAUACAAGUACCUCAUUUUUUGAAGAGACAUCUUUACCUCUGCCUUGGAUAGGCCUCAAAGCCAACUCUAAGUAGUCACGCGGCGUGAUUUUUCGAUUAUCUUCUGCUAAAUCUAAAUAGAAAUCCUGAAAACAGAAGACAAAAUUUGCACCACUACUUCAAAAAGAAAACAACCACUCAAGGAUGAAACAUGCAUCAAAUGUCUUUUUUUUUAAUAAUUAUAAAAAACAUUGUAAGAAUAUUGGAUUCUGACAAUUCAAAAGAUAAUCACCCUCAAUAACCAGACAAAGACCGGUGAAAAUUGUCCAAUCUCAGAUGUCGUGGACCUUCCACCAGCUGCUUUAACACGAAUGUGUUUCGUCAUCUCAGUAACAAGUGAGAGGCGAUCAAGGGCGGCUUCAUCGAUACCACCCAUCUGACAAGCAGAAGUAAGCAGAAUGGAGAGUAAAAUAUGAAGAUUUGGUUUAAGAAAUUAAUAUAAUGGAAUCGUCAUAAGAGCGAAGAAACUUGAUCUCAUUAUAAAGUAUCUAUACCUGGUUGUAAAUGAACAGGCUUGAUAGCAAGACAGCCAAGGAGAAUACUUGAAUGCUGUACGUUCCCUAUGAAAUAAGUGAAAGAAUAAAUUAAUUAUCCAAGUAACAAUAUCAGAAUGAAGCCUACAUAGAAUUUAGAACAGUAUAGGCAGUUCCCAAAUAAGAACCUUGAAAAACAUUGUGUUGGUUAAGCUUUAGUAGCUCUUUCGAUUAAAGAAGCCUCGGAUUUAAAAAAAAAACUAACAGUUAGUCUAGAGCCUUUUCAAUUAGACUUAUGCUCAAACAACCCCAUAUCAUUGAGGGAAAUACUCGGAAGAGGAUGAUGAUUGAUGAUGAGGACCAAAUGUUUCUUGUCUCCUAGCAUGCUAGCUUAUAUACAUUAGCUGCAAUAAAAUUUUUAUGGAAAGGGAUCCUGCUGUUUAUUUCAAAAUGUAAUAUAUUCCCCACCCAUUAGCAGAUUAUAUACUCAAACUCCAUUGUCAUACAGAGCAAGAAUUUAUCUUACCGUCUGAUCAUAUGCAUCGAUUCCUUCACUAUCUAGAAGUAAAAGACUGUACUCUGUUCCAUCAAGAGCAGUUCGCUUUAUUGGUGCACUCCACAUCCAAAGCCCCUUAGUGCAUGGUCUAUGAGUAGAAGCUACUUGAAAUCCACUGCUCAUUCCUAAAAGCUAACAGAUCCAUGUAUGUAAAUAUUGCCUUAACUAGAAGGCUGGCAAACAAAAGGCAAGAAUUAAGAAUACAAAUUCAGUAAGGCUGUAUUACAGUUCAAUCUGAUUGGCACAUGAAAAUUUGACUUGCAAAUACAGAUGUGAGAAGGGAAAGAACAAAAUUUACAGUUAGCUUUGGUUGAUAGUCUUGUAUUAAGAAGAUAGAAUGUUGUAUUUCUGAAGUUUGGAAAAUAUUCGACAGUUACAAUGACUUGCAAGUUCAGAUACUCCAACCAUAUUAGCAUCAUAUCUAAGUGCAAAAACAGUAGCAGCAAAUACGAGAAGAAAACUAUAGCCCAGGAUUUUUUUAGGUAGCAGGAAAAGAGUGGAAGGGAAUUGUACCUUCGUAUAUUAUAGUUAUCAUAAAGGUUCUUAAUAAACUUUACAGCCUAGCAAGAAGCAAUUGAACAAGACCUACUUGAUCAAGCACCAUUCUUAGACCUUGAAAGAUUCCAUAGGCAAACUAAAAUGCCAACUUAUUAUUCAAGGAUAUACUCGAGCAAGCCUAACACCAUCUGCCAGGGCACAGCUCAACAUGCCGCAAGCAGAGUGUGCCCAUGGCAGCACUUGUUGCAUAAGUCUGAGUUCCAAAUAAUUAUGAGCUUCAAGAUGAUAAACUUGCUCACUAUCAUAGUUGAAAUACUUGAAACUUGGGAUAAGAUUAAAUUAACGUUUGAAAUUCCAAAUGCAACUAUUUCUUUAAUAAACAUAUGUCCCUGAACGUAAUCCUCAUUCUAUCAGCUUUCAUCACAGAAAUGCAUGAAAUAUGCAUGAUAUAGAUAGCACCCCAUAUUUUACUAAUAUAAUCAAUAUCUUGAUUCUUCUGAUUUUUAAUGAACAGAGAAUUAAACCACCAGAGAAAUCAAUUAUCCUGGGGUUUACAGUAAGCAUUGCCAGGUUCCAUCAUUCAAAUGCAUAAUCAACUAAUGUAAAAGACCUUGGAUGCUCAAACCAAGUUCAGAGAAAGCAGGGAACCAUGAGUCGCAGUCAAAAAGAAGAAUCCAAGGCUAUACUGCGUCAGCACAACACAUUACUCCGGGCCAAAUGGCAAUAGUGGCACAUGCGUGGUAGGCAAUUCUUGAUAAUAGUACAUGAAGAGUCCUAGAUCACCUAUUUCACCUAAUUAAUUAUCAAAAUUACCACUUCAUAGAAGAGAUACUCACCUUAGAAGCAACAAUUUUUUACAUCUGAUGAGGACAAAGAUGCACACAAAGGUAUCUUUAUUUACUUACAAGAGUGAAACAUUGACAAACUGAAGAAUCAGAAAUUGAAGUAGGGAAUAUAAAAACACAGAAUUGCAGGGGAGAAACCUGGUUGAGGAUGAAGCUCUUGCCCUGUCGGGCACGGCCACAGACGGAGACGACGCCUAUGGGGCUUUUCACGAGGUGGAGGGCGGCGACGGCCUCGGGGUCCAUCUGGAACUUCCCUCUCUCGUCGCAGUACACCAAACGCAGCGGCCUCCCCGGCCCCACCGUUCCAGGGGCCACAGUGGAAGCAUACGAAGGAGACGGAGAAGCGGAGGUACCUCUAGGGCUAGGACUAGGGUUAGGGUUUCGGGGAUCGGAGGUGGGAGAGGCGUUCCGGUCCUUGGAGGCCGAGCCACUGUGGAACCGGAGCAUCUGCAUCAUCUUCGGCGCCCCUUUUGGCUUCACCCUCCUCCUCCUCCUCCUCCUCCUCCUCUGGCGAAAAUCGCGCUAGGGUUUCGUUCGAUCGAAGGGGAAAUAUUCGAGAGUUAGGGGGUGGGUUUAGGGUUUUGAAAAGUUGGGGAAUAUGAGGAAAGGGCCAGUACCAGUAGUGUCUUCUCGGAAGAGAGUCGCACAAAUGAGAAGGCGAAGGAGGCGUUCUCGUUUCUUUCUUUACAAUGAAUGCGAUUGCCGCCAACGGUGAAGGGUUUCAUUUUUUUAUCCUUAAAAAAUGUAAUUUUUUUUAAAAAAAAAAUAUAGCUCAAAAAUAUGAAAUAAUUAAAUUUUUAAAUUUCCGAAACCAUCGUACUUUUUUUUCUUAAUUUUUAUACAGUUUUUGUGAUUAUAAUAUUUAAAUACUAAUUUUUUGUUUAAGUACAAUAAUAUAUAUACAUAACUUAGGCUCAAUUUGUGAUUGUAGAGAAAUUGUAUUACGUGCGAUGAAAAAGUACGAUGAAAAAAUAUUUUGUCUGUUUAUUACGUUCCGCAUAUCGUAAUAAAUCGUUUAUGAUAUAUUUUUUACGACCCCAUCAGAAAGUAUAUAAGCAUAUUUCUAUAUAUUUUUAUCAUAACUUUAUUUUAUCUAAUAACGUUAGAUAGAUUUCAAUAUCAAACUAAGCCUUAAAACGUGGGCAUAUUGAGAGUCUUGAGAAUAGCUUUUGUGGUAGGCCACUAGCACUUCUGUUUGAGCAUAGAAAACAUAUCAUUUUCUCCGGUAAUUAGAAGGGGAUCAAACAAAAUCGGAAAUGUACAAAUAGGAGUGUGACGCGCGUGAAACUCUGCGUUCUCAGGGAGGAAUUCUACACUAUCACACUUGCACCACGUUAUCAAAUAAGAAGCCAAUAGCAUUCCUACUUUUCAAACAAAAGUACAAUAAAAAUAUUUUUUUUACAAUCAUGAUGGAACAUAUACUCCUAAAAAAAGACAUUUGAUUGGUUUGUUACGCCACGUCACCCAUAUACCCGUUGCAUUUUAGAAUUUUUCGUUCUCAGGCCACAGCAAAGUACUGUGCUGUGCCAAGCCAGGCCGAAAAGUCAGCCCAGCUUUCUACUCUUAAUUCUUAUUUUAAAAAUUUUUAAAUAUUAAAUUUUAUAAAGUAUAUCUAUAUAUUAUUAUGUAUUAAAUAAAUAGAUUUUAUAUAACUUGUAAAUAAAAUCAUUCAAAAUUUUAAUAACUUAUAUUUCAGAUUACUAAAAAAAAUAAAAAAAAAUCGUGCCUGACCAUCCCAUGGGCAGAUUGGGCUAGGCCCUAAUUCAGACAUUCUUGUUUUUUAUGAAUUGGAUACAAGAGUUAUAAAAGCCCAGAUAUAGAUCUGUUUGUACUUGCACCUGCACUUCAAAGUUCAAACUGGUCAAAUUAGUUGUCCGCGACAUUCAAUAAUAAGAACACAUGGUUUUGAGCUGAAGGGAAAACAUUCACAUCUUGUGAUAGUACAGGUACUAAUUUGUUUGACUACAAAUUAUCUACAAUUUUGUAGUACUGAGCAUGCUUUGAUUAAAAAUGGUUUUGAUUGGAGAUCAUCUUUUGGGGAAUGAUGUUUUGAUCAAUUUUGCCGAUUCCAAAUAUCAAUUGGCUUAUAUUUUAUCGAGUUCUGAGUGAAGAAUUAUUCUGCGAUAUCUUUGCAUUUGUGGGCAUGGCCAAAAAAUCUAACCAAAUUAUCUAUGGCUAAACAAGUGUCAACCAAAAAAUUAAAAUUGUUCUUCGUACAUAUUUAUCUACUAUCAACUUUUCUCGUUAUUUUAAUGCUUUGUUUAGAUAGAGAAAAAAUAAUAGUAAUUUUCUUUCAAAGAAUAAUUCUAUCUGUAUCUUCUUCUUCUUUUUUUUUUUAGAAAGAUAGGAAGGUCGCGUUUGGUAUCAUUGUUAUUUUCUAAUAAAUUUUUUAAAUACUAUUUUAUAUAAUUUAAUAUGUUGAAAAAAUAAUUUUUUUAUUGCUGAAUUUAUUUUGUUGAUAAUGCAUCCAGUCAAGUAAUAGAUGAUAAUUUGUUUUAAAAAAUUUGGAAGUGAAAAAAAAUAAAUUUUUUUUUUUAUUUCCGAGUAAAUAUUUUGGUGAAAGGAUUACAGCAAUUUAUUUUUCAUUCUUAAGACUUUUAAUGUACACAAUUCUAUUUUUUUUAAAAAUAAAAAAUAAACAUGAUAUCGAACGUAUUGGCAUCAUAAAUUUUGCGCCAUAUGGUGAACUAGAAUGAACUGCGUGAAAAUAAUCUCAGAAGCCAGAGAUAAGUAACAUGUGCUUACGUGGUUAGGAUUGACCCAUAACGACAAACAAAAUCAGGAAUGUGUCCGAUUACGGAGAAUGACUGAAUAACAACAUGCUAAAUUAUAGAUAGAUAAGAGAUGCAUAACAGAGAAAUCUUUUUAUCGGAGAACAAGAUCAACUUAUUUUUCUACAUUUUUCGCUUUUUAAAAGUCUAAUUGUAAUUUAUGCUUUUCUUCGCAUUUUCAACUUUUGAAGAGCAAUACAUAUAUAAGCAUUAUUGGGCUAUUCAGUCGAACCGAAUUUACAGUGUGGCGUUUGAAUUUGGUUGGUCUGAUCUCUCUCAUCAACUGAAUCACUUAAUUCACUUAUGGAUGCAAAUUUGGACGGUCAUUAUUCGUAGCCGCUUUACUCCUUGCUCAUUUUUUGAGAAAGUAUAUUUAACCGAGUAAACGGUUAAAAAAUUCGGCUCCCAACGAAAUAUUAUCUAAAUUAUUUAUUUUAUUUGUUUUUUUUAAAUAAAUUUAGGAAGAAAUACGAAGCAAUUUAAAUUCGACCUGGGCAUCUCGAAUAUGAGUCACUAACAACUGCACUUUGUAUGAUUCGCCAUUUUUUUUUUACUUUUUGAUAAAAAGAUUACUAUAGAAAAUUACUAGGAGCUAAGUCUUCGAUAUGUAGUUUAUGUACAACUUAGGAGCAAGCACCAUCAUUAAAUAAAUAAAAAGAAAUUAAAAAAACUGUACCGUCCGUCCUGGGGGCCUGGCCACGUGCCACAGAGCCCGUUUUGGAACUUUCUGCCGGCCCCUUUCCCCAUGGCACGGCCUUCCAUGUGAGCGCCCCACCUCCCCCCACCCCCCUUGUGGGUUUUUUAAUUAAUAUAUAAAAUAUAUAUUAGAAUGCACUGGUUAUAUUCCUGACAGUUCCUGACAUACUGUUUUCAGUCGUUCUAUCAUGACUAAUAAAAAAAUAAUUUUAUUAUAUUUUAUUUUUAAAUAAAAAAUAUGAUUGAUUUUUUAUUAAUGAUGUGGUAUAAGUGUGAUACAGUAGACGUCCUACUUUCCUUCUUUCUCAUCAUAAUUAUUAAUUAUUAAUUAUUAAAUGCAGUGUAAAUGUGAUACAGACAUACAGUAGACUUUCUAUUUUUUUCCUUACUCAUUAAUAAUUGUUAAUUAUUAAUCAACUAUCAGUUCCGGCGACACUAAUAAUUAUUCACGGCACUUAUCAUUCGCUUAAAAUUGGUACACUAUAGUGGCUUUUGGAGUACGCGGUGGCAUCCAAGGAGCCAAAAAAAAAAAAAAAAAAAAAACUUUUUUGAGUAAACGGCAUGCAGUUUGGCGCCCGUUCAACCCCUCAAUCCGCUCAACGGUCGGUCAGCAGUUGCAGUGGGUGGGAACUGGGAAUGCAAGUGCUGCUGGCUGCUGCUGGAAUUCAUGGCGUAGCGCAGCGCGCGAGAGAGAGAGAGAGAGAGAGAGAGAGAGAGGGAGAGAUUCCCGAGGUUGACCACCAACCCCCUACCCGUUGAAAAGCCCCUGACCCACUCCGUUUGUUUGAACCACUCACGCCCGAGUCAUUGGAGUAGCUGGAUCGAAUCCUCCAGUUGGGAUUUAUAUCUGGCUAGGCCCACUCUUACGUGUGACCUGCUAUUAUAAAAAUUUAUAAAAAAAAUCGACCGUCUCUAGAGCAAGUGUCAAAAGACUUGGUGGUUGGUAUCCGAGAUCCAAAUUUAAAUUCUAGUUGAUUCACAUUUUCAACUAAGUUUAUUUCUAAAUAAAAUUAACGAAACGAGUAGCGUGCUAUACCUAUCUCUCUAAAAAAAACAAAAAUUAAAGAUAGAGCCGUCUCAUGUUGAAAACCAUCCCAAAUUAUCUUUUUUUAUGAAAUAAUAAUUUAUUUAUAUAUAUAUAUAAUGUUACCUUAUGCGUGGAAUAAUGAGUUGGUUAAUAUGAUUUUUGUCAUCUAAUUUUUUUUAAGAAAAAACUAUCGUUGUAUGCAUUGGCACUGAGUAGUGAACUCAGUUUUUUGCCCAAACAAACGUUAGGAGGUGCGACAAGAAGAGAAUCUGCUGGCUUAUAAUUUAGCGACCUUUUGCUCGUUUCCUACUGCAGUGGCGUUUCUACACGCAUUUAUUAGUGAUGAAAGUUGGAAAGACCCUUCAACUAAAUAUCAUGUUUAAAUAGAUCCUCAAUGUUUUAGUUUGACAUAUUUCUAGUUUGUUUUUUUUAUUGUUGAUAAUAAAUAGCUCAAUUAAGUUAUUAACUAUCGCAAGCAUUAAUAGGGUCUACAGGCUUUACUCACGUUAAAAUAAAAAAAAAAAAAAGAACUAUCAACCAUUAAUGAUGGUACUCAAAAUUCAUGCUUGAUAAUAAUAAUAAUAAUAAAAAAAAUUGAUCCCUUACAAAAGAUUCUUUAUGCCCAAUUGAUAUCUCACGAAACCAUACGAUAUAUUAAUCGUAUGUAUGAUUAAUCAAAAUUUUUUAUAUCGGGUCUGUCGAUAAUUCUAUAUAAAGAACAACAUUCUCGAGAAUCCAUGGAAAUGCUUUUAAAUUUAAUACCCAAUUUAACUGAUAGAAAUAUAAAAAUAAAUAAAAUAAUUAGUUAUUAAGGCGAAAUUAACCCUUAAAAAUAAGCCUAUUUUUAAAUGCGGCCGUUGUUGUAGGAGCACCUCACUGGCUCCUUAUGAAUUGUAUAUACAUAUACGCCAUAUGCAGCGACGCACCAUAGAUAAAGACUCUCGAGCAGAAGAAAAUUUUGAAGUCGUAUGUAAACAGCAAGAGACAGAUCACACUCCCGCAGUACUUAGCGGCUGCGGCGGCGACGGUGUAGGCGAGAUCUUCACCUUUAUCACCUCCCCACCACUCCGCCAUGAGAGUUCCCACCACCGCCGCCAAGCCCCUCUUCAGCCCCGGCCGCGGCCGCCGCCGUGACCUCCCGCCGGCGGCGGUGGCGGCGCCGCCGUCGCUCUCCGCCUCGCACAGCCGCCGCCUCCGCGGCAGCGGCAGCCUCAAGGGGGCGCACUCCCCGAUGUUCGCCGCCGUCGUCGCCGCCGGCGCGCCCGGGGGGCGGCGGCGCGGCUACGCCUUCGAGGCCGUGGAGCCCUCGUCCCCGAAGGUCACCUGCAUCGGCCAAGUCCGCGUGAAGAGCAAGAAGAAGAAGAGCAAGAAGGCGACGCUGCGGUCGAGAUCGAAGAGGGCGAUCGGAGGUGAGGUGAGCUUGCGAAGAACGGAGGAGGAGGAGGAGGAGGAGGAGGAGGAGGAGUAUUACUGUAAGAAUCAGGGGUGGGCGUGUCAGAUUCCGGCGAGCAUAUGCGAGGCGCUGAGGGGUGCGGUGUCGGAGCUCAACUGCUUCUUCCUCCCCUGCGUGGGGAGAUCGAAGCCGAUCGGGGAGGAGGAGGCGAAGCGGAGGCGGUCGAGCGCGUGGCCGUGCGGGGCGGCGCUGGCGAGGUGGGUAAUGGCGGUGGAGGCGAGCGAGGGGAGGGAGAGGGGAUUGGGAGGAGGAGAGGUUGUGGAGGUGGUAGUGGAGGAGGAGGCGGAAACUGGGAGAGGAGCACCGGUGCGUGAGGCGAAAGCAGAGGCGGUGGAAACGGAGGAGAAGGGGAGGGUGAGUGUGUGUGUUCCGCCGAGGAAUGCUCUGUUGCUGAUGAGGUGUAGAUCGGAUCCGGUGAGGAUCGCGGCAUUGGAGAGCAAGUUUUGGGGAUCGCCGGCGACGAAGGGUCAAGUGGAUGUUGACACUGAGGAUGAUGAUUCUGAGGAUGAUGAUGAUGAUGAUGAUGAUGAUGAUGAUGAUGAUGAUGAUGAUGAUGAUGAUGAUGAUGAUGAUGAUGAUGAUGAUGAUGAUGAUGAUGAUGAUGAUGAUGAUGAUGAUGAUGAUGAUGAUGAUGAUGAUGAUGAUGAUGAUGAUGAUGAUGAUGAUGAUGAUGAUGAUGAUGAUGAUGAUGAUGAUGAUGAUGAUGAUGAUGAUGAUGAUGAUGAUGAUGAUGAUGAUGAUGAUGAUGAUGAUGAUGAUGAUGAUGAUGAUGAUGAUGAUGAUGAUGAUGAUGAUGAUGAUGAUGAUGAUGAUGAUGAUGAUGAUGAUGAUGAUGAUGAUGAUGAUGAUGAUGAUGAUGAUGAUGAUGAUGAUGAUGAUGAUGAUGAUGAUGAUGAUGAUGAUGAUGAUGAUGAUGAUGAUGAUGAUGAUGAUGAUGAAGAGAAGGAGCAGGAAUAUGAUAAUGUGGAUGGAGAAGAUACGAACCAAGAGGAUGGGAGUAUUGAAGCUGCGAAAGGCCAUAAAGGAGUGGUUUUGGGCACAAGAGAUGGUGAAUUGGGAAAACCAGUAGAAGGAGAUCAGCCAACAGUGGAGGUGGAGGGAGCACAAAGAGGAGGUAAAGAAGCAAAUGAGGAGGAAGCAGUAAAGAUCCAGCUGCAGGGAGAAGCAGAAGCAGAGAUGGAGCUCAAAGGUGAUGAAGAAGGAGGAGGAGAAGAUGAAGAGGUCAAAGCCGAGGGUGAAAGAAAAUCUAGCCUGCCUGUACAGUGGCAGAGGUGCGACUCUUCGUCCCAAGAGGAGAAGAGGCGGCGGCGGCACAGCAUUUCCUCUGAGAGAGAGGCGAGGCGGGGGAGCUUGUCCAAUGAAGAGGAACGAAGAAGAGCUAGCUUUUCCGUAGAUUGCGAAGCACGGCGGUGGUGGAGUUUCUCCAUAGAUCAGAAAGAAGAUCUGAUAUCUGAGUUAAAUGCUUCAGCAGGAUUAGAGUUAGAGAAGGAGAAAGAAUGCUCUUCAGAGCCAGAACUGGCUAAAGAGAACAUACAAGGACAAGCCCAUGAAGCCGCAAACGAAGGAACGGAAGCAACGAGUAAAGUAGACGAAGCUCAAGAAGCGAAAAUAGAGGAUGAAUUGAAGGAAGAGGAAGAGGAAGAGGAGAGGGAUAAAUGCGGCGGAGACAGAUUGCCUGAUUGCCUUCUAUUGAUGAUGUACGAGCCGAAGCUAUCGAUGGAGGUCUCGAAGGAGACAUGGGUCUCUAGCAACCACUUCCUCCACUGGCACCCUCACUACCGUCCCCGCCACCCCUCGGAUGAUGUUGGAGCCAACGGAGCAGAAGCAAAGACCAAUAAGGAAUGCAAGACGUGUGUUGGUAGUGACGAUGAAGACUGUGGCAAUAAGGAAACGAUCGAACCUGUGAAUCGGGCAUCACCGCCACCUCCGCCGCCGCCGCCGCCGCCGCCGCCGCCGCCGCCUGCAGCGCGCACCUCACAAGUUGUUGAGCAGAAGCUGAAGCCAGCGGUGCAAACGCUGUAUCAACCGUUCGUGCUGACGCGGUGCAAAUCAGAGCCAAUGCGGUCGGCAGCAAGGCUGGCGCCUGAUGUGUGCUUCUGGAAGGACCGGUACCGGCCCAUCGGCGCAGCAGGGAUCGGCUUCUAAUCUGCGCUGGUUUAGCUGCUUUUUAGGUUCAAUGAGAAUAAGAUGCUAACACUUGAUUCAGCUCAUUUCUGUUGUGACACUCUGAUUUGUAGGCUAACAGAGGCAACUACCUGUUUGUUUCUUGGUGUAUUACUUAGAGCAGAGCGUUGAUGUAUUAUUCUUGUAAGAUAUUUUCUUCUCUGGGAAUUCAUGAUUGGUGUGAUCUUUAUGUAGUGAAAGUUAUGCUACAGCGUAGAAAAAGAAUGAUUAUAUCAUCAUAAAAUUCAUCCAAGGCCUCUCUUGUUUCAUGCAGAGCAUUCUACGUUAACGCCAUUUUUGCUAGAAUCACUAGUACAUACAACAAUUUAGGCAUAAUAUGCACAUUUGUAAGAUUUGGAAGAGAUUAGUGAAUAAGAAGUGUCCGAGACGGUCAAGGUUAAAGCCCUUUUUGGGGUGUUGGGCAUGUUUUGAGGGCAUAGAACACUAUCACUAACAAUCAAUUGGUGAAAUAACGACAUUCUUAUUGCUGCAAGAAUUCUCUUUUAAAUUUGAAUUCCAAAAACCACAGAGUUAUCAAGCUAAGAAGCUACUGCUUUCGAAUCCUAAACCAUGGAUUUAAUAGCUUAUCAGGAUGUAACUCAGAUAAUACAUAGAUCGGAAUCCAACUUGAUAUCAUCACCGAUUAUUGGAUUCGGAUUCAGAUGCCAUAUGGUUCCAGCUUGACAUUGUCAUCAACAUACUAUAGAGUUACAGAAAGUGGCAGUACAACACACUCAGCCUCUUCCUCAGUGUCCAACAGAAAGAGUAAAACUGGGGAAAAAAAAAGGAGAGAAGAAAAUCUUGUAAACUCUAGGCUUGCUCUUGCUGCAGCGGCUGAUGCACAAAAUAUCUUCCGUGUACAUUGUUUCGCUGGAAUUUCGUCAAUCAUCUAUGCGAAUGAAUAAUGUGAUAAUCAUUUACAGGGAAAGAUGGAAAUAAGCUUCUACUGCCAGAGUUUUCCUUUCAUCAUUCUUAUCAAUUUUUACUCUUAUCAGAAGUCUGCUGCAAGUCAUUGCUUGCGGAUUCCACAUUUUCCGAAGAGCUUUCGUCAGAAGCCUUUGUAUUCAGCUGUUCACCUUCUUCCUUAGAAGAUGGAGACUUACCGGAGCCACCGUCCAUAAUCGAACCAAUAGCAAGCUGAAGAGAGUAGAGUGUCAAGCCGAUGGAAUUAAUCCCAAACACGAAAGUCGCUAAGUAGCACAAGCCAUUAACGAUCGUCCUGUGUUACAGAAGGAAACAAGUAUGUGAGAACUGCAGGGAGUUUGAUAUGCAUAGAUAGAUAGAUAAAGGCAGAUGAGGUAUUGGAGGAGCACCUUAUUGUUAUUGUUAUCUGACGAACCUGAGGCGACAGAAGAAAUAUCUUAUCAGAGAGAAGUCACAAUCAUUAAUCAGGAUUCAGUAAUUUGGUCGCAUUAUCUAUGUGCCGAUUAUAGCUAGUUAGAACAACAGCAUAUAUUAAGAACAAGGGUGAUAUAACCUGCUUACUGCUUAGGAUCCAAAAACUGUCUAACAUUAACAGAACAGACAACAAACCCUAGUGGAGAGAAACAACAAUAUCAUUUCCAAUAAAACAUUGAUCUCUAAGUAAAACUUCGGAAGCAAACUAGGCGAAAACCCUAAACCCCACUGUAAGUAUCAGUACACUUAAAUCAAUCGAGGGGUCUUAGUUUUUGUAGUCAAAACAGAACAACAUGAGAACAUAAGAAACCAGAUUCGAAAGAAAACAGGGAAAGAGAUGAAUCACGGACCGAGAAGUUAUCAGAGAUGGCCUGCCGAUUAAGCGCAGCCUCGAUAGUGGUGGUGAAUUUGUAGAGGAUGAGCGCAAUGACCCCAGCCGCGAUCCCACCCAAGAAGGCCUGGGCCGGAGACGGUGGCGGCCCGGCGUCAAUAGAAGUCGCGCCCAUUGCCUUCAAACUAUCCAAAGCCUCCUCCUUCAUAUCCUUCGUCUUCUUCAACCCCGUCGACCUCACUCUCUAAACCACCACCAACCAAAGCACCCACCAAAUAGAAUGUCACAAUAAGGUAAAGAUGCAUAGAUGCUAUAAUUUCAGUACCUAACCUUUCUAGAAUCAUAAUUUCAGCAGCUCCCUUUCAUCUCAUACUUGAAUGUCUACCGCUGACCUCAUUGCAAAAUUUCUUUGUAUAAAAUUCGGAUCAUUUGAUUGGAUGUGUGAGAAGCGAUGCACGGAACGCGCGAAUACAUUUACUUGCGCAAUAAUUUAUACAGCUUUUUGAAAUAGUGUUUUGGUACCGAAAAUGCUAACAACAAAUGGACCAUAAUGUUCAGGUAAGCUAUCUUUCGAUAAAACCACAAAUUACAUGGAGAGAGAGAGAGAGAGAGAGAGAGAGAGAGAGAUUGAUGGAGAGGGCGGGUACCAAUUCCUUGGCUCGUUCGGCGCGGCGGCGGAGGGAGCGGAAGAGGAAGAGGGAGAUGGCGCCGGUGAGGAGGACGCUGGUGGCGACCUGGAGCGGAGACGGGUUGUCGUCGACGGCGAAGAUGGUAGAGGGGGCAGAGGAGGGGAGCUCUACGGGCCCUCCGCCGUCGUCCUCCGCCGGGGGCGGCGGCGGCGGCGGCGGCGCCGCAUCGUCGGGGAGCUCCGCGAGUCGGGAGGGGGGUGAAAUGGUAGAGGAGGUGGUGGGAGUGGAGCAUGGUGGUGAAGUGGAAGCGCGAGGAAAAGAGGAUAAUGAGAAUAAAAUGUAGUGUUUUACUCACGCGGGCCAAAUGCGGACGCACUCACCACCUAAAGCCCGCCAAAUAGACAAAACGACGGCCCAAAUUUAAGUUGGACAUCUAUUAAGCUAUUAAUUGCACUUUGAUUUUUUUAAAAAAAAAAAAAAUUGGCCCGUAGGACGUAGGUCCAAUAAAAGAAAAACAACUCCGACUCAACGUACCAGAGAAUUGAAGCAUCCUGCUUUCCCACUACACAAGUUAAAAUGGGUUAAAAAACAAACAACGUCAACGUCAAUUUAGGCACUACAAAAUAGGUAAGAACACAAUUCCCAAACCCGCAUGAUAGAUAAGGGCCGUGAUAGAACAUUGACUGAUAUUCCUCAGUUUAAAACACGGAGGCAAAAUAACUAGCGAUUUGAUAAUAAUAAGAGGUGAGGCUAAGUUGGUAUAAUACCAACUAAUGAAACUAAUGGAAUGCGUCCAUUUCUGGGAAUGCUUCGAGUCAGAAGUACAAAGAAUCUGAACAUUUACAAGUUUUGCCUCCUCGUAUUCAAAACAAGCUUGUGUGAACAUAAGGAGAGCAUGUUAAGAAUCCUAAUUACUUUCGCAGCACGUACAACCUAUGUCAGAAUAUUUCUGGUUGCAUAUGACAUCAAGGCAGGCGAAAAUGUGAUCCUAAUGUAAUUGGAUUGCAUCCAUCCAACAAUGCAUAAUGUAGAGAAAAUUUAGCGAACCUUCAAACUAGCUUAUGAUUUAGUACAACAUCUGACCAAAAUUGUUUCUCAUCCAUAAUGGUUAGGUCGAUGCGAUUGUGCCGGGACCUCUGUUGCCUAUGUCAAAACUGGCCUGAACUUUUGAACUAUGAAAAUCUUUUCUUCCGUGGUGCCCUGAGCUCUCAACAUUUUCACAUCCGAGAACAUCAUUACAAUCGACCAUUGCAAGCAAAUUAUCAUCUGAUUCGAUUCUUGAAAAGGAACUUCACAUCACCAGGCGUUGAUGAGUUCCUCCUUGCAGUAAUUUGCAUGAGAACACCAUCAGCAAGCAUACGCUGAAGAACUCUCGCUAUAUUCUUGCAAUCAUCAAUCCCAAGAUGGUGGCUUCCCCUUGGCAGCAUCUGAAGCUGCCUCAUCAUUGUCAUCAUUCCCGUGGCCUGGAACACAAUGCACGUCAAAAUUAAACUGAAACAAAUCACAUGCAUUCCAGAUUGUAGAAAUUAUAGUCACAAAUGAAAUUAAUCUACAAAAUGUCCAUUAAGUUACAGGUGUAAAGUGCACUGGCAACAAAAAGCACUUACCCUUCUAUUGUAGAAGUUGAGAUAGAUAUCUUUCAGAUUGAUCCACUCCUUAAAGUAAGAGGGCAACUUUAUUUUGGAAACUCUGCACUGCUCAGGAAUCUUAGUCUUCACAUCCCAAUUCCCACUGUUAGUAAAAAUAGCCAAAAAUGUGUCCAUUAGUGAUGAAGCAGCAGAAAUUAAUUUUGGGAAGGAUUGAAAGCACAUGACAUGUCAAUGAAUAUUUGACAUGUAUGAUGAUAAUAAUAUAUGUAGUAAUCAGACAUUUAUCAAGGGAAAACAAGACUUAUUAAUUGUAACUAUAACAUGAUGGUUGGAGGGUUUAUCCUGCUUAUUAAGUGUAACUACCACAUGAUGGUUAAAGUGUUCAUCAUAUUGGCUGACUAUAAAUGAACAGUUUGCUUUUGAGGCAUGCACAUUAGAAAACAAAUAGAAUUCACUACAGACAUUGCACUUAUUUGUGAAAUGCAAUUUGAAUGCUCAGUACGAGACCAAAACAGGAAAGGAGGAAAUUUAUUGUCAAUUAAAAGCUGAUUUACAUCAUAGAUAUCAAAUAAGAUGAUAAGAGCAAAGGUUUCAACAUAAAUUCACAAAUGCAGUUGACAAAAGACAGUUUUCACCAACCAAGUAACAAAUGCUGCUCUGUUGAGUGACCCUUCUUGCUCCUUAUUCCACAAGUGAUGAGUUGUUAUCCAUUCCUCAAACUCCUGAAGCACGUCUUUAAAAGGGAGGGCAGUAUCAUGCCAUACACUAUACAAUAAGUAACAAACAAUAUUAAAACAAAGUCUCUUGAAUUAUCUUGAAAAGGAAUUAUCUGAUAUUAUAACACUAAAGAAGACGACCAAGGUUUCCAAAACAAAUUCCUAGAACCAAAAAGUAAAAGGAAUACGAGGCAUUUUUCUGUUAUUCAGAAGAACUGAAAUAACUGUAAGUUGAAGUCUAGCAAAACUUCUAGCUCUGAUCUGUCAGUUGAAGCCUAGCAAAACUUCAGCACACACUAAAUAUAUAGUAAUAACUAUGAAAAUUCUGCAUCUUUUUGAACCUCUCUAGUACAAAGGACAAUGAAUAGUUACGAAUAUAUUGAGGUGAGUUAUAUAAACAGAAUAUUAACUAGAAUAAAAAACAUCAUGCAAGAGAUGAUAACUUAUCAACUAUGUAACAAUAACUACCACAUACCGGUCAACUCCAAAUUUUCCAUAUUUCCCUUCUAUAUAUUCCAUAAUUCUUUGCUCACUCAUUUUGCUUGGCCUUACAAACCUACAGGGAAGCGCAUGCAAAAGCGAAAUAAUGAAAUAUUUAAUCAAACUUAUAUUCCAUAAUUCCUGCAGCAGAUCUGAUUAUAUCUUGAAACAAAGUGUACCUGUGGAAUGAAUCAACGAAUUCCAUACUCUUUGAAUCGAUCAUUACAACAGGAAAUUCAAGAAUCUCAACUUUGCCUUCCAAAUCAAGAACCAAAAGGUAAUCCAGAUUUUGAGGUCGCAACUUAUCGAGGCUAGAGGAAUUUAUUCUGAGGUCCACCGGAAUAUCAUGAUUGAAUUUCUCAAGAUGCAUAGCAUCAUCCAUCUAAAACAGAAAAUAUAUCCAUUAUGAUUGUGUACUGAUAUUCUUACAUUCCAGUAUAACUACCUUGCACUUUGGCUUUGUUUAGGAUUGCGAGGAGACUGCGUUACAACAGUGAGAAAGUACAAAGAGAAAAAUACCCUCUUUGUUUUCGUUCAUAAUAUCAUAUGACGCAUAUCGCAAUAAGUCGAUUACGAAAUAUUUUCUAUGGUCCCGUUCGAAAAUGGAGAAGCAUAUCUCUAUAUGCUUUUGCCGCAACUCUGUUUGCCUAAUAGCAUUGAAUGGCCCUCAAUACCAAACAGGCCCUUUGACGACAACAUUUAUUACUAACAAAAUUUUGGAAUGCAAAGUACUAAUUAGACAACAACAUAAAUUCUUAACAAUGUUCACAAUGUCAUCAGAACAGAAAUGAGCUGUACAAUCAAUAAAGCUGUUUGCAGGAAUUUUAUUAGCUCUACCACUCAAACAAGCACAUGCCAUUUUGAGAAAUAGUGAAAGAAUAAAUGACAAGCAUUUAAGCUAUUUCUUAGAAAAUAUAGGUACAAAUCUUACCAGGGUAAUCAAUUAUAACUGCUCCCCUGACUAGGAACUUACAACAUACCAAAAAUUUAAUUCAGAGACAACAAAUUCCAUACUCUCCUACCAUAUCCGCCAAUGCAGCUCAUCAGAGGGGCAGCAUGUACCCCGCCGUGUUAGCACGAUACGUAAGAGCGUUAUAUUACAAUGCUUACAGAGACAUAUCAUUCUUUCAUAGGGACGUUGGUAUUCCGAUUCUAGUUUAUUUCUAAACCUAAACACACAUUCCACGCACUCUCCACCAACACACCAUAACUGCGGCAAAUUGUUCGAGAAAGAAGUAAAUUCGAACCACUCCGCCUACACAACAAAACUAGUACAAUCCAGCCAAAAUCUAGAUAAAUCGAAGCUUCCGAAAAAACUUAACCAAUACCAUUACACGAUUAAUUUGAACAAACAAUCACAUACAGAAAAAUGAAGAGCAAUUAGAACAAGAGCUUACCUUUGUACACUUCCCCUGUGUGUAGUACAAACACAUGGGCUUCCAUUUGUAGGGAUUUGGAACUUCGGUUUCCAUCGAAGGAUCGCAAGUUUGGGACGAGAACGAAGCAGAUAUGGAGAGGAGGCUUCGAUUGAAGAGGCGAGGGGGAAGCGAAGAGAUUGGGAUUAGAGCAUGGGGGAGGAGGAGGUGAGAGGAGGAGGAAGAGGACAAGUGAGAGAAUAAACUGGGAGAAGAAACCCUAGCGAGCGACAUCGCCACAAGCGUGCAGCCGAGGAGGCGAAGUGAGGAAACUCGGAGAAGGAAAGGUCGAGCUGGAGCACAAGCAGUGCGCUGCACGACCCGACCCGACCAGACCCGACCAGACCCGAUUGAUCGAUCCGGUCCGUUCUGAAAAAUAAUCAUAUUUCAAGAGUGGGCUGGUAUGCUUAUGAAAGUACGGAACCCUCCGUACUUUCAAGUUGUUUUCGAUAUUCGAACUUUCAAAUCGACGGUCGGCCUCAUUAGAGUUGAUCUAAAGUAUUUGAAGUACUUAGAAAAUAAAUUUUGUGAUUUUUUGAUAUUAUUUGCCUAGUGAUCGAAGGGGCUCAAAAUUAAUAAUUUUAACGGCCAUGGUGAGCCGGUUGCAAGUUUAACGGUGUAGAAAUAUCCAAAUCACAUGAAAUUUUGAUAGAAAAUUUUUUAUACCAUAUAAAACAAGAUCAAUAACUUUGAUUAAAAAUUUUAAUGUCAUAUCAUCAUAUUUUAUAAGAUUUUUAUUUUCAGCCGUUGAUUUUGAGCCACUUCGACCACUAGGCAAAUGAUAUCGAAAAGUCGCAAAAUUUAUUUUCUAAAUACUUCAAAUACUCUAGAUCAAGUCUAACGGAGCCGAUCGUCGAUUCGAAAAUCUGAACAUCGAAAAUAAAGUGGAAGCACGGAGCCCUCUGUGCUUCCAUAAGCAUCCUAGCCGCACUCCAUAUUUCAAUAUAUAGAGACUCUUUCGCCUAAAUUCUGAAAAAGAAAUUUUUUGAAAAUUAAUUUUGAUUUAGAGAAAUGAUUUUACUUAAAAGCUAUAGAGCAUUUAGCUAAGUUUAGAUAAAAUUGAUUUUAAAAUUUGAGAUUUGAAAUUUGAAAACUAAAUUUUAAAUUUCAUAUUUGAAUAGUUAAAAUAAAAAUUCAAAUAAAGUUAGAAUUAAAUUUAAAUUUAAACUUUAAAUAUAAAAUUAAAAUAAAAAUUUGAAGUUUGAAUCCAAAAUUAGAAUCAGAUUCAAAGAAGCAGAUUUUUUCUGCUACUGAUUCGAAGGCCUUCAAAAUUAAUUUUCUAAUUCUAAAAAAGAAUCAGAUUUUUCAACACUUAUUGUCAAACAUUCUAUGAACCCAAAAUUAUUUUUGGGCUCAAACACCCCCCAUAUAUAUUUUUGCACAAUUUAAAAUCCAAAGGAGCUUUUUUUUUCUUUUUUUUUUUUUGAAAAGGAUCAAUUCGAGUGAAGAUAAAAUAAAUGAUUAGAAUUAUAUUUUUUGAAAAAAAUAUUUACAUUUAUAAAAAUAGAGGAUAGAAAACUUAAUUUAGGAUUAGAAUUGUUGAUUUUAUCUGAAUAAUUUUUUAAUAAGAGUUUAAGUCUUUUGAUUGUUUUUUGAGACAUCUAAAUCAUUCAAUAGAUACCUUAGAAAAAUUCGAAAUUUUAAAUGUUAUAGACUCGAUAUUUUAGAUUACAUUCAUUGGUGUGAAUCCCUCUUUUUCUUAUAUAAGCGGUAUCAUAUAAAUUAACUAGCUGAUGAUUAAUGUAUGCAAAAUUAAAGAACAACUAUCUAAACCAAGGACAUGUGGAAUUUCGGUCCUGGAAUUUAUUGCUCAAAAAAUAGUACACCCAAUUAUUCUAAAGAUUAUAAUUAGAUGAUUGGUUGUCAAUUGACCGAAGUUUCGACUAUUCAAGAUAUUUUGAAUCAUUUCUAAUUGCACAAACCAUGCUGCAGCUUAAAAUAUUUCAAAAAACAAAAUAUCAGGCAAAAUCCCUUCAGUAACAGUGAUUUUAAGUUUCUAAAACAGUUCUAAUGAUCACUCCUAUCGAAUCCAUCAAAUAAUGAGCUCAUUAGAGGAAUAUUCAUUAGUGUUAUUCUAUGACGCAGAAUUAGGCUUAUUUAUAUAAUUUCUUUUGGUCUCGCAGUUGAUGAAGGUGGCUCACAAAUCAGAAGCUCAAUUCCUCAAAAAAAACAUUUUCUUGUUUAAAGUGAUACUUUUUAUGAAAAGAUUCAAAAAGCAACCUACACUCGGAAAGUGAAUCACCUGAUUUUAUCGUGAUUGACAAUGAUUGGAUCAAAAUGUUUACUCUUAAUAAACUUAGUUUACUGCAAAAUCAUACUCGCAUCAAUCCAAACGUCUUCUUAGCGAAGUAAUUCCACACUGACCGACAACUAAUGAGCAAUUAACAACAGUAAUGUUUUUAAAAAUGUUGAUCGAUCAUUAAAAAUUUAAUGAUUAAUUUCAUCCUCGAGAUCCUCCUGUUCUACUUCUCCCCUGGUCCCCAUCUUCUCGCUGGCAUGAUGUGGACGCAACACCAGAGAUCCACGCGACGUCCUCAUCCCUGACACCCUGCACCAACCACCAAGGAUGGUUCUUCCCACACUAGAUAGAGAUAGUACCUUAGGUUCAAUUAACCUCUGUCACAUGAAAAUUUUACACAGUACAUCUGUGACAAAUUACAUUUAAGCCGUCGAAAUCUUAUGAUUCGAAUGCAUUUCACUACAUUUAGUGCUUCGUACUCUGCUCAUUCAAAUGCAGGAUCAUUCUGUGCGCGGGAUUAAUUUUAUGAUAAAACAUAGCACCUGGUCCAAAAUGCGGGGUCGUAGACGCACCCAUUCGAUCUGCUGCAUGAUUAAACGCGAAUAUUACAGGAAAUAUAUAUGUUAGUAACCGAGAAGCCCCAAGCUGCAGCAGCAGCAGAUCGAUCGAGUAGAGAACAAAUAUAUUCACGCAAUGCAUGCAUGAAGGAAUGGGCGAACUAACCGACGUCGAAUAUCGGCAGAACAUGGAGAUCGUAUAGCGACAGGUUGCCAACGACGACGCAUAUGUCGCACCUAACUAAUUAUGAUGCCACUCCUCCGUUUGGUUACAAAUGACUAUCAAUUUGCGACCGUAUUUGUGUACUUAAUUCAGAUCGAGUUUGCAUAUGUAAGGUAUACGCUUCUUUUUUUUUCCGGAAAUUGAGAUUUUCCAGUAGUUAUUUUGUUAUUGUCACAACAAAUAGACCGAAUGUACAUUAGAUAUAAUGUGUCCUUCCCCGCGUAAUUAAUACUUCUUUUUUUCAAGGUAUAAAAUUAUAAAUGCAAACUACAUAUAUUACUCCAUUAAUUAAUGUUUUAGUUCAUCCUAUUAAUGUUUUAGUUCAUCCUUGUUUCCUUUGUUUCUCAGUCCAACAUUUUAUUGAUUUCUUUCGCGUGCGGUUAAUUAGGACCAUUAAUUAUGAAAUUGUGGGCUCUGGAAAUAGGAGUCCAGCAGUCCAGCUAGAAUAAUUUUUAAAGUACCAAUACCUUUGUAAUUUUAAGUUGUUUUUCAAUGCAUGAUAGCACUUCCUAGUUGACAAUUAGCUCUAUUAAAUAUUAUUUAUACUAUUAUGAGUACUUAAAAAUAAAAUUUUAUAAUUUUUCAAUAUUAUGCGGCGAGUAAUCAAAAGAUCUCAAAAUUAUAAAUUUUAAUGGUUAUUGUGACACGUUUAUAAGUUAAAUGAUAUAGAAUUAUCCAAAUUAGAUUAAAAUUUGAUAUAAAAUUUUUUACGCCAUCUAAAAUAUGAUUAGUUCAUUUCAUCAAAAAAUUAAGUCCUCUAUCAUUUUUUUUUUUAAUUAGCUAGGUUUUCAUGUUUAAUUAGUCAUUUAUUUUGAGACUAUUUGUGCGUUAGGCGAAUAAUAUCAACAAUUAAAUUGUAAAAUUCAGUUUUUAAGUACUUUUAUAACAAUAUAAAUCAUGUUUAAUGGAAUCGAUCAUUGAUUCAGAUAUUUUACUAUAAAUAACAACAUGAAUGCACAGAAACUUAUCUUCUUCCAAAAGUAUUUUAGCAUUGUUAAAGUAAACUAUUAGAAGAAAUAUCGUAUUAAUAUAUUCUUGCAAUAACUUAAUUCUAUUUUUUUUUUUUUUAGAGAAAUAGGUAGCAAGCUACCUGCUUCAUUCAUUAAGCAAAAUGAACUAAGCGUAUAUGGUGGAAGCAGCUAGGGCCUCCAAAUAAGCCAGCAAAAAGAGAAAAAAAAAAAUCGGUGGACAAAAUUUUACAACGUAAAAACGGAGGUGGACGAAUGAAAGUAACAGUCCAGGUUCACAGAACUUCGGUCCAAGAUUUGAUCAGAGACACGACACGUUCGAGAGCCCGGGAGGCAUCGGGAAGCACUUCGCAGAAAAUAGUGUUGUUUCGUUCCGUCCAUACGACCCACCAGAUUGCCGCCAAAAGAGUUAGAUUUUUCGAUCUCGUCACAGCGUUGGGGUUGUUAGAGGUCUCUGUCCAUAUCCGUCGAACAUCCCCUAAGUCUGAGUCGGUUGUAUCUGGACCUCCCGCAACAAUUUGAAGGUAUCUGACGACAGGUUUCAGGUACCAGUACACAAAAAAUGCAAUACUGGUCCACUGAGCACCCUCGGCGAAUCAAUCUGUCCGCUGUAAGUAAUUUCUUACGAAGUAGAAUCCAAAUGAAGAUUUUGUGCUUGAGCGGGAUUUUUAACCUCCAAAGGUGUUCGUACAUAGUGUCUAUCUGGACUGCAUCGGUGAUGAAUUCAUAAAGGGAUUUAACGGUAAAGAUUUGGUUGGCGGUCCACCGCCACUUUAUUAUGUCCGGUGCGUCAAUUGGACUAUACUGAGGGAGCAGGUUUUUGAGUAGCUCGAUAUGUUGGCGAUUACCAAUAUUGGCGGUCCACCGCCACUUAAUUCUAUUUUUUUACUUUGUGUUAUGGUAAACUUAGUUUUUUUUUUGGGGUGAUUAUUAAAAAAUAGAAGCAAAAAUAACAUUGAUCAUACAAAAAAGAAAAAAAAGAAACGUAUAUAUAGUUUAAGAAAACUAUAAUUCUUUUAGAAAAAUAUUUAGUCUACAACCAAAAUGAAUCAUAAUCUUUACAACUUCUAACCCAAUGACUUCUAAAAUUUAAACCAAUCCUUUUAAAUUUUUAAUUAGAAAAGAGUAAUUAAUAAGCCUACUGUAAUAAACUUAGCUUUUAUAUAUAUAUAUAUAUAUAUAUAUUGAGAACGGGUAAAGUUAAGAAAAUUUAUAUAAAAUAAAAAUCAUCAUCAUUCAAUAUUUCAGUUGCUUAAAAAAACCCCGCGUACUAACUAUCUCUCAAAAAAAAAGGAAGAUAGUACACUACCUAUUUUAUUUUAUUUUAUUUAGAAAUAAGUUUAGCUGAAAAUAUGAAUCAAUUAGAAUUCGAACUUAGGAUCUCGGUAUCAACUACCAAGCGCUUUAUCACUUGCUCUAGGACAGUCCGUAUAAGCUUAGUCUUUAGAUAAUUAAUAUUAUAUUAUUACAAACCAAAAUAGGCUACAGACCAAAAAUUGCUUAUUUUUAUGUAAUGUAAUAUAAUAAUAGGAAAAAAAAGAUGGCCGCCUGAUCCAGUCACUCUCAGUCUCCAACUCUACACAAAGCCAGCUCACAGCCUCACACCACCGUAUCCNUCCCUCCUCUGUCCCCCAUCCUACUACUUAAUUGUCCUCCCUCUGAUCCCCUUCCCUCACCUCUCCACUCUCACAAUCAUAACAAUGGCACCAGCACACUUCCUCCUGCUCCUCCUCCUCCCUCUGGCAUCUCCCACGCUCUUCGCUGUCGCUGCAACGGUCGCGCCGGGCCCGACACCGGCCCCGCUGAACCUGACCGGCAUCCUCGACAAGGGCGGGCAGUACACCACCCUGCUCCGCCUGCUCAAGGAGACCCAAGUUGGCCAGCAGCUCACCAGCCAGCUGAACAGCUCCUUCGACGGGCUCACGCUCUUCGCCCCCACCGACAACGCCUUCAGCCAACUCAAGCCCGGCACCCUCAACACCCUCACCGCCCAGCAGCAGGUCGCUACAAAUUCAGUACUCAUACUACUAAUUAUUCACUGCAAGAAAAUUAUCAAUAUUUAACAACGCCUUUUUUUUUAAUAUUAAUAAUAUUUAAAAGUGUUUCGCAUCGUAUUUUCAAAGUAAUGGUUAAAGCGUCGACAAAUGAAGAGCCGUCGUGUUAUGCCAGACACUGAUAAAACAUAUUCUGACGUUUUAAAGCUCGUUUCCUGUGUAGGUGGAGCUCGUGCUGUACCACGUCCUGCCGCGCUUCUACAGCCUCACGACGUUCCAGAUGGCCAGCAACCCGUUGCGCACACAGGCGUCCGGCAACAACGGCGUCUACACCGUCAACGUGACCAGCACGAGCAACCAGGUGAACGUGUCGACCGGCGUCAACCAGGUCGUCGUCAGCAACGUGCUGCACUCUGACUUCCCGCUGGCCGUGUACUCGCUCGACAACGUGCUGCUGCCGUUCGACCUCUUCGGGGUGAAGCCCCCCGCGGCCGCCCCCGCGCCGGAUGUCGCGCCCAAGAAGAAGCCCAAGAAGGCGCCCGCGGACUCCACGGCCUCGGGCCCCGCCGCGGCCGACGCCACGGCGUCCGGGGCCGGUUUGAAGAGAAUCGGAUGGGGUUUUAUCGCCGGGGUUGGUUUCAUGGGCAUCAUGAACCUCCUUUGAAAGGAGUCCGUUGUUGCAUGCAUGGAUUGUUUAAUUAAUUUAAUGUCUCGCAUUGUUUGUACAUGAGCCAGUUUGUGAUAGUUUGUGUCAGCCCACGGCCUGCAAUUCUUUUUUUUCUUCUUUCCUUUUUUCCUUCUUUGCACCACGAUUUGUAUUCCGAGAUUGAAUUUUUUUUUUUUUAAACUCCUCUUUGAUUUGAUUUAUGAUCUUCUUUAUGGAAAUAAAUUAAUAAGGGGAUUUCACGAAAUAAACAGGUUUUUAAUACACGUACGUACGUGCAUGAAAAACGAACUGAGCCUCUUACAAGCCAUGUAUAUUAAUUGAUCACCAAUUAGAUUUGCGUCCCUUAAUUAUUAGAAUGAUUAAUUGCAGUUUCCACGUACGUAACGAUUGAAGAAAUAUAUGUUUUGUCUAUGCACGCUUGACGUGCGUGCGAAUUUAAAACAUAAAAAAAUGUUAAUUAAAUAUUUUAUUAUUUUUUAUAUGUUAAAUAACAGUUAUAGACAACAUCUUUUUUCCUAUAAAUUAAGUUAAGGUGAUGAGCUAUAUUAUAUAUAAAUAUGCGGAACAUGUACAGAUGACCUUUUCAUAAGAACUUAAUUAUUAUCUGGAACUUGGCCAUAUGACAGCUUCACGGGCUGUUCAUCUCUGUCCCCAUCCCGCAGAAGGGCCCAAACAUAUAUAUACUGGACGAGAUCAUCACAAAGUGCAUGUUUUAAUUAAUUUGUAAGCGCAGUUAAACACUUAAACUACGUAAAAAUAUAUUUCAAAUUAAUUUUAUUACAUUACGUGAAAUAAGGAAAAUUCUAAUCACAGACAAUAUAUAUACCCAUUUCAUGUCGAAAUAGUGUGUCGAUUUUUAUUUAUUUAUUUAUUUUUGCAUUUUUUGUUUAGCGCAACAUUGAAAUUUCUGAAUGAUUGUUGCUAUUCAUAUAUAUAUACAGAAUAAUCAAUAAUAAUCUUUUUUUAAUUUAGAUGGGGCAUUUUACUGGCUGCUAAGGUGUGGCCGGGUGCUCAAUCUUGAAGCAAGAUUCUUUUCUUUUCUUUUUUUCAAUUACAUUUGCUAUACAAGGUUUAUAGCGUCAAACUAAUUAAUUUUAUCAAGUUAUAUAUAUGUGAUGGUUCUUAUUUAAUUAAGAAUAAUAUAAUAAUUUUAUAUUCAAAUAAUAUAAGGAAAAAAAUGUAAAAUUACAUUGUUCUGUUCUCAAAGAUAUCCUAAACUAUACUUUUUCAUAUUAACAAUUUUUUAACUUUCAUUAUUUAGAUGUAAGCUAAUUAUAAGAGUGAUGCUAAUUAACCUUUCAAUCUCGAUGGAAUUGUAAUCUUACAACUCCAUCAUCCAAUAGUUAACUUUUCUCUACUAUUACUGACCGUCUCUAGAGUAAGUGACAAAGGCCUUGAUGGUUGAUAUUCGAGAUCCCAAAUUCAAAUCAUAAUUGAUUCACAUUUCAAGCUAAAUUUAUUUCUAAAUGAAAUAAACGAAGCGGAUAGCUAGGGUGCUACCUAAUCUCUCAAAAAGAAAAAAAAAAAGCUUUUCUCUACUAUAUAUUCUUGUUAUUUUUUUUUUAAAAAAAAAAUAUCCUAGAUGAGUUGGAGGAGUAUAAUCCUUUGAUCAAGGGUUAUAAUCCUACAACCUAAAGAGAGUUGUAGACUUAAGCUUCGUUUGAAAUUGUAGUAAGGUUAUGCGAACGCUAUGUGUGGUGAGGAAAUACAAUAAAAAAAAUUUUUGUUUAGUUCUGUAUAUAUGUAAUAUCGCAUUCGAUAUAUUACAAUAAGUCGAUUAUAAUUUAGUUUCUACGAUUUUAUUGAAAAAUGCAUAGACAUAUAGCUAUAUAUGUACUUUUGUUCAAACUUUAAUUUAUCUGGUAGCAUUAGAUAAAAUAGCCACGCCAUUAUUAAAUUUAAUAAAAUUACUUUAAAUUUGGUACAAUUUCUAAUCACUGAUGUGAAACAUUACAUAUUUGGUGGUCCCUUUUUUAAAAUAAAAAUAUUUAAUAUGAUACAUUUCUCCUUGCCCAUGUGAUCUCUUUAUCAUUUCCAAUAUCAUUCCAAUUUUUUUGUCAAAUUAAUUGGUAGAAGAAUGAUUGAUGAUAAUCAUCUCAAACUAAGCAAUCCAAUCCGAUCACGAAACAGGCCAGGCUGACAGCAUCCCUUCAGCUUCCUGCCCGAGAUGACGACGCCCUGACAGCCCUCUCCCUCCAACUCUCUUCACUGCCAGCGCAUUCCACCCCCACCCUGCAGGCCCCCUCCCCCAACUCCCUCAUCUAAUUUUGUACUCCACACUAUAAUAAAUCUCACAAAGGCCACUUCGUACGUAUAACUCAUGCACGUAGUAACCCCAAUGGCCUCUUUCCAAAAUCCUUCACUACCAUUAGCAUUCUUCCUCGCCAUAACAGCAGCAUUCUUAACCAAUGCCGCCGCCGCCGUCGCGGCGCCCGCGCCGAGCCCGAGCCCGGCAGCGAUCGACAUAACAGGCAUCCUCGACAAGGGCAGCCAGUACACCACCUUCAAGCGGCUGCUGAAAGCCACGGAAGCCUAUCAAGAAAUCCUGACGCAGCUCGACGAUUCCUCCGACGGCGUCACCCUCCUCGCCCCCACCGACGACGCCUUCAAAGCCCUCAAGCCCGGCACCCUCAACAAGCUCACCGCGCAGGACGAGUCGGAGCUCGUCCUCUACCACGUCCUCCCCCAGUACUACACCUUCGACUCCUUCGCCACCGCCAGCAACCCCGUGCGCACGCAGGCGUCCGGCUACGACGGCGUCGACACCGUCAACGUCACCAGCACCGGCGUUAAUCAGGUCGAUCGAUUGCCAUACGACCAAUAAGACCGGUAAUUUUAAGUUAUCAGAUAAUGAUAUUUUUAAUACAAUACAUUCGACAACUCAGGUAUAUGUGUCGACGGGCGUCGUCGGGACAACGAUCACGAACGCCGUAUAUUUGAAGUACCCCGUGGCCGUGUACUCGCUGGAAAAAGUGUUGUUGCCGAACGAACUCUUCGGGCCGGAGUCGUCGAGGAGGCCGUUGAAUUCCCCGCCGGCCCCAGCAGCAAAGCCGAAGAACGGCACGGCAGCGGCGCAGUCGUCGGAGAACGAUCAGAGCAAUUCGGCUUCCGAGAACAGCCUUGUGAAGAGGAGGAUAGGGUGGGGCUUCGUCGUAGGGUUUGUGCUCGCGCGUGCAAUGGGCCUACUGUAAAUUAAUUUACUACUACGUACAAAGGAGAGUGAUUGUAUUCGUGUACAAAUUGUGUGGUUUAUAUAUAUAUAUAUAAAUAUAUAUGUUCGGUGCAAUUUGUGGUUUAUUUGUAGUUUAUUAGAUUAAUUUGAGUGUUUUUUUAAUUAUAUUAGAUUGGAAAAAUUAAAGCACGAGGCUUGUCGGUUGAGACGUGGGGAUUAGGACAAGGCGAUAAGGCAACGGUCCAUCGACGAAUGUUGGGAGAUCUCAAUUAUUAUCGACCCUCUUUAGUGCUUAAUCAUCGGUACUUAAAGUUUCAUUCUCAAAAAUUAUUUAAUUCAUAUUUUCAACUAAAUUUAUUAAAAAAAAAAAAAAAAAGCGAAACGAGUAACAUGUCACGUCCCUCUGAAAAUAAAAAAAAAAAUCUAAUUAUUUUAUUUAUUAAUGGGCUGGAGAAAAGCCGAUGUUGUAGGCUCCAUGUAAUAGCCCAAAUUAAAGCGCGUUUCAUAUCUGCACAUCUCUACGGUCCGUUGGUCCUUUGGGAUUUGAUCACCGUACAUGAUUAACGGUAGGAUCGAUAUUGAUCUUACCAUGAGGAUUGCUCCUGUAAAUUUUUUAUUCGUUAGUGUAGGAAAAAAAGAAAAAAAGAAAAAGGAAAAUUCUUAUAAGAUAACUAUUUUUUAGAAAUUGAUGAUUACCUUCUUAAUUUAUCCUCAUUGAAUGGAGUACCGAAACCAAGUCAGAUUCGCAUUGGACCACAACUAGCGUGAGCCCAGCUCAAUUAUAAUUUAAUGGGCUUCGCAUGGGGCUUUAGUUUGAAAUUCUCAGAACUUUGUUAUUAUUAAUAACUUGAAUUUAAAUAUGAAGUAGUUAGACUUCGAAUUUAGAAUCUCAAAUAUCAAUCAUCAAGUUCUUAGCCAACUGCGCUAAGUACUGUCGGUAUUAUUCAAUUUGUUAAAUAUGAUGGCGAUAUAGAUUAAUUACUGAAAGGGUAGGAACUACAUUGUAUAUAGCAUGAAAAGUAUCAUACCAUGUACUCAAUGGGAGUUAUUAAUUUCUUGAACCAUCAGAUUUUUUUUGGGGGACCUUUUAAGGAAAUGGGAGUGCAAAUAAGUGUUUGCGACAUUUGGACUUUAAGCGAUUUGGGCCGGUGAUUUAAAACGGAUUGGUUUGUUAAAAAGGGUGUUUGUGUUUUGUUAAUUAACAAACAUCUAAUCUAUGUUUUAUACACGAUCAAAACAAAACAAAACAAAGAAAUCUGUGAUAUAUUUCUCAUUGUUAAUGUUAAUUUAUAUCCAAAUAAAAUCAAAUGUUGGUUGGUUUUUUUUUAACCAGGGUCUAAUCCCACGAACCCCACCAAUUACUGGGCAUUUGGGAGACCACAUUCUAGAUUCUCGUGAUCAGAUCAAUCUCUCUCUCUCUCUCUCUCUUUUUAAUUAGCUGCAUCGAAAAUAGUGCCGUGCCAUAUGCUCCUUCCCAACCCUAAAAAGAAAAUCUACAAGAUAAAAAUGAAAAGGAAUAAAGUGUCCUUAAUUUGGCUUUUUAUUUAGUUACCAAAGAGUAGAAAAUUUUAAAAAUAUUUUACCCUUUUAUUUGGUUUGGUAACACCACACGUUCCUCUCCAGGACUUUGAGAUUUAAAUAUUCACUUUUAUUGGGUACCAACCCUCUUGGGUUCCCUCCACUCCCCAAGGUCAAUCUAAGGAAACAAACAUACCCUUGGUGACAAGGGCUCUCUUUUCCCCAAACCCCCCUUGUUAAAAUUUCAUUUUUUUUAUUUUUAUUUUUUGGUCCCCUCUCUCUAAAUCUCUCUCUCUCUUACUCCCAAUGUAUAGUAUAGUGUAUAGUGUAUAGUGGAGAGAGAGAGAGAGAGAGAGAGAUGCAUGGGACCAUGUGAGCCAAGGUUACAAUAAACAAACACUAAUUGUAGGGCUUUGGGAGGGAAAGAAUCUUAUUGUAGAUGGGGGGAAAAGAAAAGAUGUGGAAGAUUGGGCCUAGGGCAUGGAGAGAAUAUACUAGAGGUUGCAAGAGUUCAUACACUAAACUCCAAGGGGUUAAUACUAAACAAAGGGGAUUAAUAAUAAACAAAGGUGUAAAGCAAAUUUAGCACAACAAGGAGGAUUAGAUUAUGAUUAAUCUUUGGACUAAGGUCAGCCCACAAGCCGACGGCUUCUCACUCUUCCAAAAAUUCACUGCUUCUCUUUCCUUUUUCUGUUCCCUCCUUUCCAUAGUUUUAUUUCUUAAUUUAUAUAUACUAUGUAUUUUUCAAUUUUCUAUUCUCUCCUUAUUAUUAUUACUUCUUAUACUAUGUAUUUUUAUGGGUUAAAUGUAUUAGAAUCAUCCGAUCUUUGUUUGUUUGUUGAUAGUUGUCUUGGACUAUCAAAUUAAUUUUAAUAUUUCCCACCAAACUUUUGAAUUUGUACAGUAAACCACCUAGAUUCAUAUGCAAUCAAUUUUAAGCUAGCACACUAACAUUAACCAAAUGGUUGAGAAAUAGUAAAGAGUGCAUGCCUGUGUUUAUAAUAAUGAGACGUUUUAAAGUUGCAAAUCACAUCUAAUGGUAAAAUUCACCAUAAUUAAUUCUCACAUUUAAUUUUGAACAUGAAUGUUGACAUAAAACACCAUAUUAUAUGUUUAGUUACUGUUUUCUAAAUCAAUUUGUUGAUGAUAAUACUUUAAAUGAAGGAAUAUGGAUUAGAUGAUUAAUUGGAAAAUUUUAAAAGUUUGGGUGGCAAAAGAUAUACAAAUACCUAAAGUUUAGGAGCAAAGAUUUAAAUAGUUCUGAUGCAUUAAUUUAACCCCUCCUAUUAUUGUUACCAGCCAAUUCAUUAUUUAUUUAUGAUAUGAUGCUUUAAAAAGGUGAACAAUAUGAUUCAUCUAUCCAUCUGUAUUCAUCAAAAGGAAUCGAGGUGAAGUAUAUAGACAAAGAAUGUAAAGUUUUAUAGAGCUAGCUAGCUCAACGAAGCCCGGAUUAAUAUAUAGGACACGUAUACAGGAGAGUGCACAUGCAAACAGUGAUGAUUCAAAUUGGUGCCCAUCUAAUUAAUGUAUUAAUUAACGACAAUGUUCUCACGACACAGCGUCGUUACCUUACUGGUCGAUACAAUUAAUUUAUAACCAAGUAAUUAUGCAUUGUUAUAAACGGACAAUAGCUAAAUUCUCUCCAUCAAACAAUAUUGUUGUAACAAACACUAUAGUGCUAUUCGCAUGGGAAAGAUGGUGCUUUAAGACAAACAGUUUUUAUUGGUGACGUGAAACGUGACUUGCGUUCCUGGGCAUGUAUGUACUCCCAAAACGUAAUAAGAAUACAUGCAGGGGGUUGGAAAGAAUCUAAACUGUGACGGUCGUAUGGGGUGAUGUGAUGUUUUCUGAGAUUCACCUAUUUCAUCAUGGUUUUUAGAAAUUUCUUUUUAUUGUAUUUUCUCUCAAAAAGAAAGAUAUGAUUGGUUGGAUAUAAUGAUAUAGUGUAGCUUCUACAUAUAUAGUAGACCUCUUAGGAGAGUUGGUUAUGUGUUGGUGUAAUUGUAUCAAAUUAAUCUAAUAACUUCUAACUUUUUAGUUUUUAUAUGUGGAAGGAGAGAGAAUCAGACACACUAUUGGGUACAUUCUAGGUUUAUGGUAAGCUUAUAGUGCUUGGUAUAAAUGUAAGGGCCACCUUUACUAGUGUAUUAUAUAUAUAUGUUAAAUAAUGAAAGAAACAUUAUGUCCAAAUUUCUCUACAAGUUUACUUUGCAGCAAAGCCAAAGCAUGAUGAAAUGAAACCUUCUGCUUUUCAUUGCAAUAAAAUCUCUAAUUAAUUGUGUUUUCUUCGUCAAACGUGUAACCGAAUCCUACUGUUGCUGAAAGUAUAAGCAUAAACAGUGCUGAAUGAGCCCCGCUGGUGAGAAUCAUGUACUACAGUAAGAAAUCCUGCUAUAUAUUGCUGAAAGUAAAAAAGUAAAAAGGAGAUCAUGUACCAAUUGAAAACAAUCUUCAAGGCUGCAGAAAAUGUGCUUACAUUGUGAUGAUGAGUGGCAAAAAUUGAAAAAAAUGCAGUUUAAUUUGAGGAGGAGAGGAAUUAGUAAACAGCAGCAGCAGCAUGUCAGCAGGAACUUAAAAAAAUUCUGUGGCAGUCAGGUUCCUGGCCCAACUCUGCUAGCGAAAACGGAUUGAAACGGGUUGUGCGAAGAAAGAUGGGCGUCGUACGAGUUUUGCGAAAAAAAAAUGAUAGGUCCGUGACAAGCAGCUAAUGAUAGUGGUAUAGUAGUACUGACUACAGUAGAUCUGUGAGGAGGGUGCAAUUAAGCAAGUAGUGCAACAGUGCAGGGCAGCAAAGGGAAGAGGCAAAUGCGUGGACAAAUAUUCCAUUUCCUGUCGUAUCCGCCGUCGCCUAGUCUCGGAGUCCGUGGUGGCACGUGAUUACAUGCUGCGUCUUCACAAGGGAAUCGCAACCCAAACUGUAGCUAAAUCACAGGAUUCACAGCACCAGCACCAGCACCACCCUUUUAAUUACAUGUGUUAAUUAAAUAUUAAUUACACUGUACUGCUAUUAAUUUUAAACUAAACCAAUGUAUAAUUAUGUAUGCAUAUAUAGCUGAUGACUAAACUAAUUAACUAAGCUGAGCUUAUUAAUUCUUAUGCGAGAACUACACGUAAUUUGUUCCCUCAAUUCCUGCCUCGGGACGCGCGCUCAGAGAUAGAGAAACCUCCAUUGAGAUACCAGUAUUAAUUCUCACUCUUUGGCAGAGAUAUUUAUUUCUUUUUAACUGUAUAUAAAUCAUUUAGUUGAACAGAUUCUCAUGGACUUCAUAUUAAUAACUUUCAAUCAAAUCAUUCCAUUUGGCGUAAGAAAAAAAUAUAUAUUGGCAAAAUAUCUAUAUUGAUAUAUAUCAUUUCAAUUUGAAUUAUUAAGGCCGAUUUUAUGUCACAUUCUACUAUACAAAUCUUUUAAAUAAUAUGGUAUCUUAUUUCAAGAGGCUUUGAGUUAGAUUCUCACUUAAAUCAAAUCAUUGAGACUGGUCAGGUACAUAUUCUAUAUAAAUUAUAAAUUGGCUGUUAAUUACAAGUCUAAAAUUUAGAAAUUAAUAAGAUAUAUGCAAAAUGUCAAGACAGCUUUACUAGCUUGCCUGUUAUAAGUCACGUAAAAAUUAAGUUACAAGCUAUUCUCAAAAUUAAAUUACAUAUAAACUAUAAUUCCUAUGUUAAAUUUAGUAACCUAAUUAAAUUAAGUGGAUGUUUAAUUGUAGUUGACUAUGCACAUUUUGAAGUUUGAACUAAUUUUAAAACCUUAUAUAUAAAUGGAGUACAAACUUAAAGAAAGAAGUGAAACAUCACAUUAUGAGAUAAUCAUUCCAAAUUAGAAAGGCAUUCAAAUUCAGCUUUUUACCCCCCACAACCCCCCCCUUCCUCAUGCACCUUAUCAUAUGUGUCAUCAUGCCCAUUUCCCUGUCAACUAACAACACUUUCAACUUCACCUUUUUACAACACCUCCCUAGCUACCACCUAGUGACUUGUUACUAUUUUUUUACUCAUUAAUUAUUCAAUUCAAAAAACUAGAGAGAGAGAGAGAGAGAGAGAGAGAGAGAGAGAGAGAGAGAGAGCGCUAUAUAGGCCUUUGGUUGUGCUCUCACACAUUUUCAUUCCUCUUAUUAAGUGAUCUCUCCCUUGGUGGAGAUUACUACUAGCUACCAGUAUACACACCUAGCUAGCUAUCGAAAAGUUGGUGUUUUUGUCACUCAGGAAGAGAGGGGAAAAAAGGAAAAAAGAAGAAAACGAAAAGAUAAUGGCAGGAGCAGCCAUCUCAAAGGCCUUCCCACCAAACAACCCACCUCAUCACGACUCCAACCUCCCCCCUCCUCCCAAGAAGAAGAGAAACCUCCCAGGCACUCCAGGCAUGCAAAUUUUACACAUCUCCUUAAUUAAUUUGUUCAAUACUGAUCAAUUCUAAUUAAGCAUUGAUUAAUUUGUACGUAUAUAAGUUAGAGAAAAAUUUGUAGCAUGGGUAUGUAUAUAUAUAUGUUUGCUAGUUAUAUAUAUAUAUAUCCUUAAUUAAUUGUGGUGUUGAUGAUCGAUCGGAGCAGAUCCGGAUGCGGAGGUGAUCGCGCUGUCGCCGAAGACGCUGCUGGCGACGAACCGGUUUCUGUGCGAGAUCUGCGGGAAGGGGUUCCAGCGGGACCAGAACCUGCAGCUGCACCGGCGGGGGCACAACCUGCCGUGGAAGCUGCGGCAGCGGAGCGGGAAGGAGCCGCGGAAGCGGGUGUACGUGUGCCCGGAGAAGAGCUGCGUGCACCACAACCCCGCGCGGGCGCUCGGCGACCUCACGGGGAUCAAGAAGCACUUCUGCAGGAAGCACGGCGAGAAGAAGUGGAAGUGCGACAAGUGCUCCAAGCGCUACGCCGUGCAGUCCGACUGGAAGGCCCACUCCAAGACCUGCGGCACCCGCGAGUACCGCUGCGACUGCGGCACCCUCUUCUCCAGGUCUAACUCCUCCUCGAUCUGUCUUUAAAUUGCUAUCUAUUUCUGAGCAUGUUUCCUAGCUACUAGAUCAAUCGACCAAUAUUCUCUUAGAUAAUAUCUUUUCAUUCUCAGAGGUCGUAGGUUCGAUCCCCAUUUUUACACUGUAGAUAUAUAUAUAUCCAUCGUUAGAUAUCGCACGCGCGACACAAUUCUAAGUUACACAUUUUCUACACAAAUAUAUAUAAAAUCGAACUUGAAGGUCCUAAAAUCAAAAUUAGAACCGAUAGACGUGAUCAAUCAAUACUGGCGUGGAAAUACUCGUAAGAAUAUAUUAUUGGUAAAUUCAUAUGACGUAGAUUUACAAAUUUCGUUUAGAUGAUAUUGUAAGCUAUAUAUAUAUAUAUAUGUAAUAUGUGUGAGUUCAUGAAAUGAUCAACAUGUUCUAAUUAAGACGUGUGCAUGCAUAUAUGUGAAACAGGAGAGACAGCUUCAUAACUCACAGAGCAUUCUGUGAUGCUUUAGCCGAAGAGACGGCGAGGGUUUCUGCGGCAGUGAACAUCGCCAACACCGCCAACUUUCUAUUCACUGGCGGCGGCUUGAUCGGAUCCGACAUGCUACAUCCUUUGUCAUCCAACAAUCUCAAGCUAAAUAUAUCUAACAGUGAUCAUCAAGGUAAUAAUAAUAACAAUAACAAUGAUGAACAAUGUAGAAAUAAUGGGCUCUCACUGUGGAUGGGCCAUGGAUUGACUCACACUACUGAGCCUUUGAGCGCCAACAUUGCUACAACCCUGAACGACGUGCACCACAUGAACCCUAUGAGUGCUCAUGCAACGUUGUAUACUGAUGAUCUCUUCACCAACACUGCAUCGAAUGGGCAACUGCAUCUCGAUCACAACCAGUUAAGUUGGUUGUAUAGCGGCGGCAACAAAGUAUCGUCAAAUGCGAGCACGGGCGAGUUCACGAAUACUCUGAAGGAGAUUGAAACUCCCCAGUCUCUUCUCACGAGCAUUCCUUCCUUGUUUAGCAACCAGCACCGCUCGACGUCUGCGCCAGUGUCGGACAUGUCGGCGACCGCACUGCUGCAAAAAGCGGCUCAAAUGGGCGUCACGUCGAGCGCUACUACGCCGUUCAUGAUAGGGAGCUUUGAGUCCAAGUCCAAUGGCACUCAUGAGGCACUUGAUCAGGAGUGCAACAAGUUAGGCGAGCAGCAUCACGGUUUCUUCGGAUCGAAUUCGAACCCCUCGAGCAAUCUCGAGAGCAUCAUGAACGGAUUCACGGGGUCGAGCCCGUUCGAGAUGUUCACGGCUGCGACGAUGAGGCGCCAUGUAUCACUUAAGGAUGAUAUCGGAGGCGGAGGAGGAGAGACCAGAGAUUUUCUGGGUGUUGGAUCAGUGCAAACACUUUGCCCUCCAUCAAUCAAUGGAUGGAUUUGAUCAAGUUUCUUAUGCAGGUUAAUCAAUGACAAUUAAGCAUAUCCAAGGAGAUCAAAAGCUAGUUGUUGAGGAAAGAGGUAUCUGGGUAUGUGGGAGAAAUGCUUUUCUAUGCAAAACUUUGUAGGGGAUAGAAAGAUGAUUUAUAUAUAUAUAUAUGCAGGGUGGUUCAAUCUGCUAAUUAAGAACUAGGGCAAAGUUCUCUCUAAAGUAGGAGGAGGAUAUAGCCAUGCAUGCAUAUUCUCAAGAUCCCUGAAAAGCACUUCUUAAAGAAGCAGCAAUAUGCAGUAAGUGCUUUCGGAGAGGAGUGGGGGGAGGCAAGAAGCACCCUCUUUACAGCUCUAUUAUUGCACUACAUCCCUUUCAGUGUUUGUUUUGUGUCUAAUAUGUGGGGAUUUAAUUAGUAUUUUGAGUGGUACAAUGCUAGAUCUUUUCCUUAAUAAAGUUAAUAACCAUAAGUUUGUGCUUAACCACAUGUCAUUGAGUGUGUGGACCAGCCAUGCACCUAAUUAAUUGAACACAGGUUUUAGCAAAGGUUAAUUACAAUGUCUAUUGAUCGAUCUCCCCACCUAGGUAGCUAUAGGCCAUGCAUUUUAAAAUAACCCUUUCCUAACUUCGUAUUUCCGAUUAUCUCUUUUAAACCUUUUGUUAAUUUAAUUUAACUUAUUUCUCAAAAUUGAAUCGAAAAUUUGUUGAGAUAAACAAUUGUUGUUAACAGUUAAGAAAUUUCGUCGUUCUAUCAACAGAAAGAAGUGUUUGAACGCUCAAAUUCAAUAGAAUCACAUUUGGAAUUAAUGAAGUAAAUAAAAAAAAAUAAAAUAUUUAAAUAGGUCACUCGAAAGAAAAUUAGUUAAAGAUCUACUUUAAACUGAUCAAUAGUUGAGGGUGGUUCCUUUCUUUUUCUUUUUCUUUUUUGGGUACUUGUUUAUCUUUAGCAAGCCCUAAAUGGCAUGCCCAAUAUUAUUUAGUGCAUGCCAGUGUCCAUGGUGGAUCGAGAGCAUUAAUUAGCAUUAUAAGUUGUGCGUGCUCAUCCAACUAAUUGUGCAUUGGGAUUAAGCUUAAUUAAGAUAUAAUCCAAUUCGUGGGUAAUGCUGCCACAUGCUUAUGACUUGUGCCUUUUUGCAAAUCAAAAAGUGGUGGGGAUAAGUGGGGCUUGAAUUUUUUUUAUUUUUUUUUUAAAAACUCUCUUUGUUAAGAUAUUUAUUGCUAUAAAAUAAUCUGGCCCUUUAAUUUUAUUUUAUUUUAGUUUACCGUAGGUAUUACAAUUGUAUAUAUAGGUUAAUUCAAAUCCGAACCGCCCUAAUUCGACCCAAUUAGUUCAUUGAAUAAUAAUAUUAUUAAAUUAAUAAGAAACAUUUUGAAAUAAGUUAAACCAUAAUUCAUGACUAAGAUGUUUAUAUACAUUAUCUAUCAUAUCAAUUUUAUUAGCUGUUACAAACAUAAAAACUGGGUUUAAUGUUAACCGGCUUAUUGGAGGGUCAAAGCGGGUUAUAGAGGCUAAAAUCUGAAAACAAAUUAUUUAACUAACGAAUUAAUGGGAUCGCCCGUUUCCAGUCUUAAUUACCCAUUUAGAUUUAAGUUAAACCCGCUAAUUUUGUAUUGGAUCAUAUUGGAUUACUCGGGUCGUCCACUUCUAUACGUAAUAGUUGGACUUAUCCAAUUCAAGGGUUAGCGCAGUUCACAUCGUUCACUGCUAUACGGAAUUGUUGGACUUAUCUAAUUCCAAAAGCCAAAAAUACUGUAUCAGAGUAGUUUCCGAUAAAAAGGUGAGUUUUAUUUACUGGAAAGUUUAUUGUUUACAAUAAAUAGCAAUCUUAUCAUUUAAGAGUCCAUCUAAUCUCUAAUUGGACGGCCUCUUACUCCAACUUCAAUCACUCUUCGUAGAUACCAACCCAUAUUAGUAAACUAGAAGAAUAGGAUUAGUCUCUUUAUUAUCCCCCAUGACGGUGUUUUUAUUACCUGUAAUCACGGUAUCUAUUGGCUUGUAUCACAACUUUCCUGGAGAUGAUGUAGAAAUUAGUAAUCGCUGCUCACAGACGACCGCGCAUUCGCCGCGAUCCAAUCGAAGGCGAUCGGGCCGAGGAAAGCGUCGGGUAUUCCGAAAGAACUGACAAUAGAAAGUGCAUGGGGCCUUAGAUCACUGCACAGUGUCAUGACUUCUUUCCUCACAGCAGCAGCAUUGCUGAGCGACAAGUACCCGUAUCGAAGAAAAGGCGGAUCUUCUUCCAUGCGGACCAACGCAUACAUGGACCUCAACAACCCAGACACAUCCUGUAGAACAUUUUAUAAAUGUUGAUGGUGAGAUCAGAGAAUAGAUGAAACUAAAAGUUAAGCUACGUCGAUAGCUUCCAAUUAGCUGGUUCAAACAUAUUAUUUAGCAGUUGCUAGAAGUUAAAACAGAAUAAUAUAAUUAAGUAAAAUAAAUACAUUUACCUUCAAAGGACCAGGAGGCAGGCUCAUCUCAGCCUCCAAAAAUAUCUGGAAUAUCGUCCUCUCAGUAAACGCUCUAGCUAACUCUUCAGCAAGCUGAUAACUCUGGUGUGUAUAUGAUCGAAAGCCAAAUGAAUCAACAAGAGUGGAAUAGUUACAGUAAAUAAGAGGAAAAAGGGAGGCAACCAAUAAAGGUCUAACCAGCAAGAGUGCCUUUUCCUUGCUUUCUCCCUGAGCUUGAUAGUGAGAAACUUCAUCAGCAUAGCGCUUUAGCAAAUCCCGCUCUCGCAAGCAGAAAAUGUUGGUCUGUGUAUGAGAGAGAGAGAGAGAGAGAGAGAGAGAGAGAGAGAGAGAGAGAGAGUUGUUAAUUGGCUGACGAGGUAAUUUAUAAAGCGGAAACCUAAUAGUAUUACAUAUUAACUACCUGGAACUUUGAGCUCCUCAGGGUACAGCUUGUUAGAUUAUCGGGGACAACAGGGCAGGUUUCAUUCAUGUGUUCCAGUCCCAAACCCUUAAAUGGUCUUCUCCUUUUCUGAACUGCUAGAUAUUCUGCUAGGAGACCCUUGCUAACCUGUAUCAACAGGCCAAAGUUGGUAUGUACCCAGACCUUCCACUAAGCAGAAAAGGACAAAUUCAACUGGGAAUGUAGAAACAAAGUACCUGUUGCAUUAGUAUGUUAUUAUCACCCUCGAAUGUCAACUGCACAUCAAAUUCACCUUUUAGAAUUCCCACACGAUUCUCUGUCUUCAAACCUUGGCCACCACAGGCUUCACGACACUCCUGAUACAGCCAAAAACAUCCUUAAAUGAGAUUAAUAUCCUUCAAAAAGAAGAAGGAUAAAUGUGCAAGCAACUAAGAAGUAUAUGACCUGAAGGGUAAUCAUAUUUUGCCAGGUGAGUGUAGCUUUCAGAGCACUAGAGUAUAUAUGGAUAGCUUUGUUUGCCUCUGGGGUCCUCUGCAAAUAUAUCCUUUUCAAGUAGUUGGCAGCACAGCUCAUAACACAUCUGCAAGUUAAAAAAAAGAAAAUGUCGGGAAACUAAUUCAUGUUCUAAAGCUGACGAACACUGGAGAAUCAUGAAAGAUAUUGUGAUAUAAAGUUCUUCACAUCAUGGCACUUGUCACAAUGAGUCUAUGAUAGCAGAUCUUGAAUUGUGACAAACUCAAUCUAGGUGAUCUUGCUAAAGAAGCUAAUGAACGGGCUAGGAAUUUAAAUCUGAGAGCCAAAACACCAACUGCACAAGGGUUAAGAAAUAAAAUUGGGUAAGAGCAAAGCAUAUCAUAUUCAACUAAUCCAAUCAUGAAAAUGAUGAAUUUUACUGAAUCAGUUAAGAUCUCAAAUUCCAUUUUCAGGCAAGCAUGUAAAUUAUGGGAAAUAUCUUGGGCAUCCUGACUUUUUCAGUGAAGGUUAACUUUGCAUCCUUAUGUAGCCUUUUGCACACUCCCCCCAACCCCCCACCCCAACCCCCCUCUUCUCUCUCUCUGAUCAUGGUAGCCAUGAUGGGCCUUCAUUUUAGAUGCACACCCUCACUCAAGAUCCCUUUCUCUUCUCUUCGAUGACCAUGGCAAUUGCAUGCUCAUCCUACCAUAGCCCAGGUUAUAAGGCUCUGACAUGACAACUUAUCCUCCCCCUCUAACAGUUGCAACUAAAUAUUAGGGAACAUUUAAAAUUGUCAGAAAACAUAGUGUGGCUACAUUGAUAACCCAACCCAAUCAAUUAACAUUGACCUAUUGUGAAAUUCCAAAUCGACAAGCUACAGAUACAAUCUGUAGAAAUAGGCGAAGUAACUUAAGCAAAAAAAAAAUAUUGAAAUGCACAAAAAAAUAUGUAUAUUGAAAUGCUAAUCCAAGCAGAAUAUUACGUCUUUGCUAGUAAUGGCAAGAGGCGCCGUUGAUGACUAGGAUAGUCGAGCAAUAGAACUUCCGGACCAUUUGGUGAGAUUGAGAAAGCCCGCCUUGUCAGACCAUAUCUCACAGCAAUUGCUAAACCCACCUGACAGCAGAAGAAAUGGGAGAAUAACCAAGGAAUGCCCCAGUUGAUAUGUUCAUAAGAAAUUCAAAAAGAGCGACAACAUGCCGUGAUACUGACUUACCUUUGAUAUAUAAACUGCUGUGGUUGCGAUGUUCACACGACCAAAUGUCAGCGGAGCUAGAAAAGCUGCAAAUCUCUGAAAGUAAAUUGAUACAAAGAAAAACCUUAUUCAGAAGACCAUGUCAGUACAUCAAUAAGCUAUAGAUAACAGAACAUGCGACAUGAAAAGUCUCAAAGAAUAAUCCCCUCACCUGAUCUGGGUCCUUUAUUGAGCUUACGUAUCGGCCGUCUUCCAAUACAUCAGCAACUGAGUUCAGCAAGUUCUCUCUAGGGACACGGAUAUUGUCAAACCUGAUGAUUCAGUAAAUGAUUAACAAAAAGAAACUGGAACAGAUAAUACAUUGUGAGAGCUGGAAAGCAUACCAAAAAUCAGGAAAUUAGUGACUCACCAAAUCCGGCCAUUAUCAACGCCAUUUAGUCCAAUCUUAUGACCGCAAUCAGCUAUAUGUAUGUUGGGGCAUAUAUUUCCAUCUGCAUCUCUGAUCUGAGCUAUGAACGCAUGGACCCCUUGACUGGUUCCAUUCAUAAGGAGUUGGGCAAAAAUUACUGUAUGUGUAGCAUGCUGUCAAGAGGCGAUGAAUAAGUCACCGACAAACAGAUAAGAUAGAAGGCGAUUCUUCAAGCCCAAAUAAACUAAACGGGUGCCUUUUAAUCAGUAAAGACUAUUAUGCAGAAAGGUCUCUUACAUUGGCAGCCCCUCCUAUCCAGUACUUCUGGGCAGAUUCACAAGGAGUGUUUAUGAUAAACUCUCCAGUGUUUGUGUCAUAUGUCGCGACUGUCUCAAUUCCUCGUACCUUGGAAAUAUAUUUAACCCUUAAAUUAGAAAAGCCAUAGGCUCAUAGCAUAGAGAAAGUGUUUUAAAAUAAAAUGAGUAUAACUUAAAUAUCUGACAUACAUUGCUUCCAUGACCCAAUUCAGUCAUUGCAAAACAGCCCUUGACGACAUAGUUCUCAGUGUCCUUCAACCACUUGUCGUGAUGGCGUUUGGUACCAAAAAACUUGAUAGCGCCACCCCUGUCAUCCAUCAAGAUAACACUUAGAACAAAUGCAUUAAUACUGAAAAUAGAUAUUUUACCAAGUCAUACACUAGAGAGAGAAGAGACAAUGAAGGGAAAAUGCAUCUCCAUGCCUACGAUAUGAAAAGGAGCAACAUACACAUUGAUACACUCAAAAAGAGUUGCAAGCGAACAAUUUCCUAACAGAAUCAUCUCAAGAGCAUAAGGCAACCAAAAGUUCACUUCACCAGUACCGGAACAUCAUAUUCUUCUGUCUUCAAAUAUCAUAUUUUUAACUUAUCAGGCUUGUUUCCGAGGACCCUUUCCCUUUUAUCUGGUUGUUUACAAUCGGUUUAAAUAAUUUUCAGAUAAGAUAGAAAAAUUUCUGCAUAGCAUCUAGCCUUUUAUUGUGAUAAUUGUCCAUAUAACACUCAGUUGAUAACUACAUCUGGCUUAAACAAAAAAUUAUAGCACUUUGGUGUCUAGAUAACUAUAAAAUCGUCCUCAAUCAUUUUGUGAAGGCGAGGAGAUCUUGGAGCUCUAGAAACGAGAAAACACAUACGCCCAUAACUUCAUUUGUCAAAUAUUAACAAUAUAAAUGAAAUUGUUCCCACUAUCAAAUUAAACCGUCCCUAGCGCAAGUGGCAAAGGGCUUGAUGGUUGGUAUCCGAGGUUUCAAGUUUGAAUUCUAGUUGAUUCACAUUUCCAGCUAACUUUAUUUUUAAAUGAAAUAAACUACCUAUCUCUCUCUCAAAAAAAAAAAAAAAAAAAAAAAAAAAAAAAAAAAAAACAACUACGAUGAAGAGCUAACAAAAUAGUAAAGAUUAAGCCAUAACUUUUCUCGAAAGUAUGUCCUCGCCCUGAAAAGAAGGAAAUAUGGAGGCAUCUCUUCCCUUAACACAGGAGAGAUGUAUGAUAGGAGAGGACAAGAUCCUUGCAACAUUACAAAACAAUAAAAGCUCCUCCUUUUUGGUUCCUUUCAGUUCCUCCAGUUUUAAAAGGUUUUCCUCUUUUAGGAGUUUUCUAGGAUAAAUUGUAGCUCUCUUUUUUGUGUCUUCUUUUCUUUAAUACAAAACCUGUACAAUCCUGUUUCUUCACUAAAAAAAAAAGAAGAAGGUUUUUCAUGUAAAUUGAGCGUGAUCAUCUGAAUUGGUGAUUGGUUUAUCCUUCACAACAAUUUUGCCAUGAUCACUUUCUGGGUGAAACACUCUCUGACUUAUCUCGCAUAAUAAAAGUAGUUGGACAUGAAUAGAAAUCCAAGAAAUCAAUCUCACCAGAGGCAGAAGUGGACGCCGAGCUUGACGGAGAGGGAGUGGUCGUAAAUGGCGAGGCAUUCCAACGAGGCCAAAAUCCGCCUCUCGGCGUCGGCGCCGAAGUCAGUGAGCCAACCAUCGAACACGCCGCGGCUCUUCAGGUGCCAGAUCCGCCGCAUCGUCGCCUCCCGCUGCUGCUCCUUCGUCUGGUUGUAGUCCGGCGCCGCGAACACCCUCCCCCUUCGGAAGAUCGGGCUCUCCUCCAUGAGCCGGAAGAUCCGGUCACGGAGCUCAACGUCGUGGCCGUCCAGGAUGCGCCGGAGCUCGGCGGGGGCGAAGGAGGGGGCCGGUUUCUCCGAGAGCUCCGGAGCGGUGUAGGCGACGCAGGGAGCGGGUUCGAGCUCGGCAACGGCGGCCGGGGGCGGCGGCGAGGGAGGACGGUGGCUCGCCGAGCGACGAGAUCCGCGCCGCCGCCGGCGAGGUAGGAGGAAGAGGACGAGGAGGACGAGUCCAUUAUUAGGGUUUUGGGAAAUGUUGGGGGAAGGGUCAGCGAAGGGAGGCGGAGAGAGAGAGAGAGAGAGAGAGAGAUAGAGGAGGGAGAAGAAGCAGGGGGUUUGUUACAGCGAAAGGGAGCGUCGUUUUAAAAUGCGUGCGGUGGAAGAGACGGUAACGUGCGCGAUAGGCUUCUUGGAUAUACAUUCGGAAAAUUUAUUGCGCCCACGAGGUACAUGAGUACUUAUCAAUUAUCAUACACCAUAUAUUCACUUUUUAAUAAAAAUCACAUUUUUAAACAUAUUUUUAUUACUCAAUUUGAUAAUAAUUUUUUUAAGAUAAAAUAAAGCAAAUUAUAUAAUAAAUUUAAUUUAAUAUUUUUAUUGAAAGUUUUUAGACAACAAUGCAUGCACUGCAUGGGCUACAUACGUGUAGGAUAAGGCUCACGUGGAGUUUGGUCUACGUAUUACCAUUUAUAUUUGUUAUAAAUAUAAUUAUUAUUUAUACAUGAAGAAAAUGCAAGCCAUAGUAUGCCUCUUCCAGAAUAUUAUUGAGGAUCAAAUUUAUUAUUCAAAUCAUUGAUACGAUAAAAAAUAAUUUUUUUAAAAAAUUGCUACGCCUUCUGAAUCACAUAUGUACGUGUAAUGAAAUUUCUUUUAUUAAUUGAGUAGGUGUGGAAUCCAUGCUAGUAUUUAUUAUUGUCCGCAUAAAUCUCUAGUUAGGUAGUUUCUUAAAUUACUAUGAUUUUACGUGCACGAAAUUAUACAUGAAUGUAACAAUAUUUUUUAAAACAUAUUAUAAAUUAGAGGAGGCUCAAGAAGUUUAGAACUGAUUUUACUACUGUAGUAUCGUAAAUAUCAAGCUUUAUAAUAUAAACAAAAUUAAAAUUAAAGUAACAUUAUCGGUACUCUAAAAUAGUUUAGAACCAAUUCCCAUUCUACAACAUUUAAAAUAUUAAUAGAAUAUAAAAUAACACAGAAAUAUCUUGAAAUUACUUUAUAAAUGGAAUAUAUGAUGAGAUAAAAUAACAGUACUUGUUUAUUACUAAAUAAAAUUAUGAUAAAAUUAUACACAAGCUAUAUGAACAAAUACAUCAUUUGGAAUCGACUAUCCAACUUUCAAAUUUUUAAUUUUACUAUUCAAUUUUUUAAUUUGUUUAAUUUAAGUCCGUCGAUGACACUUCGACAUCAACUUUUAAAUACAUUAUUUAUAUAUAUAAGUUUAAUUAGCGUAUUUUUACAAGUCAAAUAAAUUGAAAAGUUUGAUAGUAAAAUUUAUUUUUAAAAAAUUAAUUACUAAUUAAGAUAAAUUUUAUAUUUUUUUAUUUUUAUUUUAAAUUAUUGUGGAGGCGGGGUAAUGUGUCGCCUUUGUUUGACACUUCAGAUUAGCCCCAAAUGUCUAGGUCUGAGACUUCAACUCUUCUAGAAACUGUAAUUUUUGACUUUUGUCUUUUUCUUGAUGUGGAUUCACUCGUGUUUGGGUUUUUUUUUUUCCUUUUUUUUUUUGGAUAAACUUUAAAAUCAUUCGUAACCCUAUGAUUUAAAGUGUAUUAAUUUAGUAUCUUGUAUUUUUUUUUUUCGUCAACUUUUCGUUAAUAUUUCGUAAAAUUAUAUACAAAAAACUUCAGAUGUCCCACCUAAGUUUAUCAAAUAUUCACUUUAAUACAUUUCAGUUUUAACUUUGUCAUUGAUUUAACGAAAAAAAAUUGACAAAAAAAAAAUCACAAGGUACUAAAUUGAUACACUUUAAACUAUAUAAUACUAAAGUAAGAAAGUGAGAAAUCAUAGGGGUGGUAUUUGAAGUUUAUUUUUUUUUUCUUUUCCUUCCUAGGAAGAUAUUGAAAGAAAUGAAAGGGAGAUUGUAGUACAGCAAUAUAUAAUUAGUGCAGUUAAUAAAUUAGUUAGAUAAAGAUUUAGAUAUCUUUAAUUUGGUGUUCACUACAUAAAUGUUAUGUACAGGGAAUCUAUCUAAUUUUAGGCUACGUACUCUAUUUUAUUUGCAAAAGUUGUUAGAAGAAAUGGAAAGAAAAGAGCACACCAUUAUUAUGUCUUUAAAUGCACAAGUUGAUAGUUAGUUCUUUAAAAAUUAACAUCAUCUCUAGUGGAAAAUUAAAUUGAACAACACUAGUAGGUUUUUCAUUUUUUUAUUAUUUUUUUUGGUAGGGGAGUACUAAUUUAUUGGUAAUACUUAGACAGAAAAACUAGUUACAUAUAGUAUUCGCGUAACUGAAAACUAAUUUUCACCGUAUUCGAACCAAACAUUAGAAAUCGUAAAACUUAUUUUUUAUGAAAAAAAAAAUCACUGAAAAUUAUUUUUUAUAAUUUUACAUGGAACCAAGAAGUCCCUUGUAAGUCACAAUAAAAUUAUUAGAUUAAGCAAAUCCAUGUAUUUAGUUAAUCUUGUACAUAGAGGAGUCCAAAUGGCUCUUGUGUCAUAUAUAAGGCAUAUAAAAUUGUAUUGGUAUUCACAAAUGGCUAAAGGAAAAUGAUCCAUAAACGUUAUUAGAAAAAUGUUACUAACAAUUAAUUACUUGCUUUUAAAGGUAGGAGAAGAGAGUAUUAGAAAUUUCAUAACUGGUAAGAGCUUUGACAAUCCCAUGCUUCUACAGUUCUACUUAAUCCAACAACGAAAUGUUCAAAAAACUCGCAAAAAAUUAAACAUUGUUACAAUACAUUUAAACUUAUCAUCAUGCCAUGUCCUUAGUUGUUUCGGGUGCGUGCACUCAUAGAAUCCAACAUGCUCUUUGUUUUCGACUCUUCUUCUUUGUUUUGGGAGGACAUAAAACCACUUUUAUUGCAGCGUCAAAUACGGCCUUCACAUUCUGUUACAGCAAACCUCAACGAUAAAAUUAAGUAAAAUGAAUGUAUAAUGUAGUAAACUUAAUUAUAUAUUAAAUUAAGUUGUUUACAAAUGUAGAUAUGUGUACCUGUUGACUCUUGGAGCUGCAUUCAAUGUAAGCAGCUGCACCUAUCAUCCUCUUUAGCUCUUCACCCUGUUUCAAGUUUCAACAAGAAUACAAGUGUAUUUGUCCUUCAUCAAUUGAUGCAUCUUGAUCGAACAAGUUAUUAUUUAUCACACAUGAUUCAUAUUUUUGUUCGUGACGUGCCUGCAAUGUUGUAAUCGGUGUUAUACUGGGAUGAUCGAUGAAGAACUCCUUGUCCUCGCGUAAAUCUGCACAAAAAUUCCAAAUUUUUGCUAUUCAAUCUGGAGAUUAGUUUAUUAAGCUCGGUUCGAAGCUAUUUAUUUAACAGUCGACACAAAUUUAAUAAAGUUUUUGUGUUGUGGUUAGUCUAAGAGCAUAUUUGGUUGAUGAAAAGUACAGAAUAAAAAGUGCGAUAUUUAGAAAUUGAAUUUGUUAUGACUGUUUGGUUAAAAAAAAGUUGAUUAUAUUUUAUUUUUUUUCAAAAAAAAAGGGUAUCUGGUUUUAUAAUAGAAUUUCCUUUUCUUUUUGUCUACCCCAACGCUCCACCACAUACCCACACACGUUUUUUUUUUUUACGAUCAAUAUUUUUAUUAUCUAAUAAUUUAUAGACAACCAAACAGAGAAAAAAAAAAAAUAGAAAAGCUUGAAAUUUUGCUAACCACUUAUUAAACAAACCAGACAACAAAAAGUGACGGUCACUUUCUAAAUAACUAUUUCUCAAAUAUAGCACUUAUGAGAAGCCUCUUUUUUUUUUUUCUGUUUUUUUAGAACCAAACAUUACACUUUGUUUCCUUCUAAACUUUGGACAAAUAUGUACAAUGAAUGGAAAAAUUUUUGGGCAUCUACUCACCAAGUUUUGUCCCCACUAAGAUAAUUGGUACAUUUGGAGCAUAAUGCCUUAAUUCAGGUAUCCACUGUGCAAUAUACAAGCAAAACAAAUUAAAUUUAUGUGCAGAUAUAAAGAAGCAAAAAUUGCUUGAGGAGGUGGAGGAGAUGAUAUCACAAGAGUAAGACCUUUUUGUGGAUAUUCUCAUAGCUAGCUUUACUUAUGAGGGAAAAGGCAAGCAAAAACACAUCAGCUCCUCUGUAGCUAAGAGGUCUCAACCUGUUGUAAUCUUCUUGCCCUGCCAAAAAAAAAAAAAAAAACCCUGCUCAAAUUGUUUUUAUAAAAAUAAAAACCUAAGAUAAAGAAAACAAAACAAUUGUUUUUAUAAAAAUAAAAACCUAAGAUAAAGGACCCAAAAAAAAACGUAGAGCAUAUCUGGCUCAAAUUGUACCUAGGCUUGUCGGUUUUGGCCCACCAACGUCCAUCAAUGGCCCCAUCAGAGAGGGAAACAGCCCAUUAUUGUGUGUUUUUUUUUUUAAUAAUAAUAAUAAAUACUAUCUAAAAAAUUAUCACCACUGUUUAAAGAAAUUGUAAGAAUGAUCGAUAAUGCUAUGCUCGAUCUCAAAGCAGUCUGAAGCUACAUGUGGGCAUGGCUUGAGAAAUGAGAAGUAGCUUGGCGUGCCGGUGAUUUUUGAAUUGUGAUACUUAAUCCUCUCCUAGUGAUCUCUUUAAUACAUACAAUUACGAUACUAAUGUUCGCUCAAACUAGUUGUUCUAGUAAAGCCAGGAAAUUGCAAGAGAACUCAUGAUUAAGCAAGCAGCUUAUAUACCUGCAGUAUCCCAGAGCCCGAGGUUCACCGUGCUUCCGUCCACCACCACAUUUGCGCUGAAAUUGUCGAACACCGUCGGGACGUAGUCCUGUAUAUGCAUCACCGCCACAAAAGAGAAAAAACAAAUAAACAAACAAGCAAACAAACUUUCAUUAAUCAUCCAAUUCGCAGAAUGAGUGAGGGGAUGUAUAUAUAGAACGAUCCUCGUCGAUCUUUACCGUCGGGAAGGUGUUGCUGGUGUAGGAGAUGAGCAUGCACGUCUUCCCGACGGCCCCGUCCCCGACGGUCACGCACUUGAUGAACCGCGCGGUGCUCAUCCUUCGACGAUCUCUCCCAAUCCUCCCCUCCCUUUCUCUCUCCUUUGUUCAUGGUGUAAGUAGCAAAGCUGACGUAUAUAUAUAUCUAGCUCUCUUAAAGGUCCUAACAACUAUUCAAAAUCAUGAUGCAUAAAAGGAAAAGCAAUGCAAAAAAAAAGUGUUAGAUGGUAGUGGGAUUUUUGUUAGCUAAGUGUGGUGGGGAAUAGGUGUAUUUUGGAAUUUUGAACAGUAGUGGAGGGAGGAAUUAAUGAGGAGUAUGAAGCCAAAAUGUGGAAGGAAAUUUUUUUUUAAAAGAAAGUGUUUGGAUGAGGUGGUUACAGCUCCCACCAGCAUUAGAGUUUACACCUCACUGGGUCUGCUAUGAUGGUUGGCACCGUAUCUUGUUGCUCUUUCAGCAAACAUGUAUGCGCAAUGCUAUCUGUGUACUUCAAAAGAUAUUGUAAAUUUUAUAAAUUUUUGAUUCAAAAAUUUAUAUUUUGUCAUCGCCUUGUCAAUUUUUAUUUUUUCAAUAUUAAAAUUUUCAAGAAUUUAUAAAUUUGAGAAUAGAGCGUAAAAUUUAUAUUUAAGUGUACAGCUAGCAUUUUUCAACAUAUAUUGAGACACCCCUUAACUAUAUAUAUAUAUAUAGCAUAAUCUCCAUUGAAAUUUAACAAAAUCUUCAUUUUAAUUUAUUAAAAUAGUAUAAAUUAAUUAAAAGUACUAGAAAUAGAAGGAAGAUCAAUCAAAAGGGGCAAGAAAAAAAAAAAAAAAAAACUUCAGGGAAUUAUUCAAAACUGUCUAUAGUUGAAGGGGUCUCUGUGCAUAUUUACCUGUCCUUUUUAGUGUCAAUUGCUUUGAGUACAAGGUCAGGGGAGGGAGAAGGCACCAAUCACCCUUAAUUUGUGUGUUGGUUGGUUAAGUGUGGGAGAAGGGAUUGCUGGGCAAUGAUGGGAUUGGAGGGUAUAAAGAAAGGUAUAGAGAGACCUUCUGCUCAACUAAUUAAUUACCAUUCAAAUGGCCAUCAUGGCUAGGGAUGUCAAUGGGUAUGGAUACCUAAAAUUUUCUCCGAAUCCGAACCUGAAUGAAACGAAUAUAUCCGAUGGAUAUGGAUAUGGAUUCGGAUAUGGAUAUCGAUAAUAGAAACCCGACGGAUAUGGAUUCGGAUAUGGAUUUUGAUUGUACCCGAUCCGAACCCGAAUUUAUUUUGUAUUAUACAUAAUAUAUAUAUAAAAAUUUGAUGUUAUAUUUGAAUUUGUAUUUUAAAAAUGUAGAUUUAAUAUAAUAUAUUUUGAAAUAUUGAAAAAAAAUAAUUAUUUCUAGUUCAAAUUUUCGGGUUCGGGUUUCGAAUUUUUGGUCGGGUUCGAGUUUGGAUAUGGAUUUUUAAAAUCCGUCGGGUUCAGAUUCGGGUUCGGGUCUCGGGUUUGGAGUCGGGUUUGGGUUCGGAUUUUUAAAAAUCCGCCCCGAAUCCGACCCAUUGACAUCUCUAAUCACAGCUUGUCUAUCAUUUUGCCACCAUUUAAAACUCAGUAAACAUACUUUAAUCCAGAGAGGUUGAUUAGUGAGAGAGAGAGAGAAAAAACAAACAGAAAGAAAUUAAGUCAAUUCAUUCAUGAUGUUUUUUCUAGCAGAUCGACUAUCCGUUUAUUUAUUGAUUAUUUUUAGAAAUAAAUUUAGCUGAAAAUAUAAGGUAACAAGUUUUCAAAUUUGAGAUUUCAAAUAACUACUAAACCCUUUGCUACCAAUGUUACGAAUGAUUGAUAGUUCAUGGUGGGUUAUCAAUUUCGUAUAUCAUAGUAACAGAAUUUUUUGUUAUGUGCUAAGUUUUUGUGUAAAGUAAAGCUAUGUGUAAUUGAAUUAUAUGUACCAGUCAACGCAAAGAUUUUAGAUCUAUUUGGAUACAGGAAGAAAAUAUAAUCAAAAUUAAUUUGUGCAAUAUAAGAUUUCUUUUACGAGUCAUUGUAAUUUAAGAGUUUAAUUUGAAAGAAUUGAUAUGAAACGAGAUGUAAUUCCAAUAUCUUUUCUCAGCAAUGAGAGGUCUUGUUAAACUAACUUAGUCCAAGAUAACUAUAGUUUACUCACUUAUACUAAUCUCUUGGUACUUUUCAAUCAUUCCUCUUGUUUUAUUAAUAUAGGAUUGCAUCCCACAACCUGGUCGAUCGAUCAUCGACCACCCAACUAAUUAUCUUAAAAAAAAAAAACAAAAAACAUAUCCUGCUUUUAACCCUGACGUAUUGUCACGUCUAAUAUGAUGCGCAUUUAUUGGAUUAUUAUUAUUAUUAUUUAUGUAUUAAAUGCUGAGUUCUCCAUACAAUUGGUUUAAUCAUCAAUAAAUGACCAUCCUUAUUUUGAAGGCUUGUUUUGGAGAGUAAUACUUCAAUAGUGUUUUAUUUUAUUCACCGUAUAAUUAUUCACGAUGACAGGUCUAGAUUAAUUUAUACAAAUUAUCGGACUCCAAUCUCUCAUGUCAAAAAUAUUUACCUGCACCAGGUGCAUCUUGCAUUUUGCGGACCACUAUUAAUUAUGGCUAUUUAUUUCUUCUUUUAAUCGGAUGAUUCAAAUAUCAAAUAAAAAUUAUUACAACUUUAAAAUAUUUCGAAUUAACAGAUUAAAUAGGAUUAGCAAUUAAUCUUUAGUACAAGGAACUAUUCCACGUUGUUAUCCAACAAAUAUCAUUAGCAAUUAAUCUUUUAUUUUUAUGCUUUGGCCAUUGGGUUAAAAUUUUUUCUAGUAUGAAAAAAUGUUUUGGAGGGUUAAAUUUUUCAUAAUCAACCUCUGAAUAAUUAUUAUGGAAUUUAUCGUAGUUUCUUGAAUGAGUUUGCCAUCUCUCCUGAACGAAUCACAACAUAGUUUCAAUUCGCAAAUCAAGAUGAUCUAAGUGAGGUCACAUAUGAUAGGGGUAAGAGUGCAAAACUCUGAUGGUUUAGUUUAGAUCGGAGAUGAACUCUAAUCCCAUUGUUAGAUCCAAAUAGGUCCGGACAGAUUCACGAUGGGUUGGGUCAGGUUAAAAUGACUCGUCUAAUGCUAUUGCUAUGUUCGCGCAGAAAAAUUCGUCACGCUGAAAUUAUUUUUAAAUCAAAAUUAUUUUUUGAUUAAUUUUUAGGCAAUAAUCAGGUUAUAUAAAUAUUGAUGAUGAUAAAUUAUUUAGUUGACAUAAAGUCCUAUGUUGAAUUGAUGAGCUGACAAAAAGUUUGAAAUUAAAUAAUUGAUUAUUUAGUUGGCAAAUUUAAAAAUUUUAAAUUUCGUGAAGUGAUUUGGUAAUUAAAAAAUGUCCCCAAAUCAAAUCGAUCGGCGGUGGCAAUUUUGGCGGGUAAGCAAAAUCUAGGGCUUUUCCCAUUCUUCCUCUUCUACGGUCUCCUUCCCCCUCCGUUAAUUUUCUCUCACCUUCGCGAUUCCCUCAAUUCCUUUCGCUCUCGCUCUCUCGUUCGUCGCCAUGGAUGAUCCUCGGAGGCGCAACGGAGGGUUCGAGGAGAACACCAUGGCCAUCCUCGAUUCCUCCGGCAUCGGGGGCUCGCAGGAUAUCCACGACGAUAGUACUAACUCAGUCAAUCUCUCUCUCUCUCUCUCUCUAGAUCUCUCUAGAUCUCUCUCUGUUAAGUGAUGCAUCUUUGUUGCUCUUUGUCGCAGGGAUUUCCUUCUUGGAAGCGGUGAGAUACGCUUCCCUCGUCUCUGAAUCUCCCUCGGUUCCCUCUUGGUACCAUCUCUAUCCACCUCCACUUGAUCACUCUUCUUAUGAUGGAAAAAACGUUCCUUUACCAUGUCUGUGGAGACAAAUGGAUACUUUCGCAUGGUAUUGGAGUAGUAGCUUAUGAUUUUAGUCUCAUUUUAUUUGCUCCAAGUCUAUGUCUUGGGUUUAUCAAAAAGUGUCGGGUCCAAACUCGACGGAUAGUGUUUGGUAUAAAUUAUUAAAAAAUCGUGCUCUAGUAGCUUAAGGCUCUUAGUCGCAUAUAACUUCAUUAUGGUUUAUUCAAGUCCACAUUUUGGGCCAAUCAGAAAGUCUUGGACAUAGACGCGAGAGAAUAUGAAUAUAAAUUGUUACAACAUCGUUUCUGGUAGCUUAAGCAUUAAGGGACAAAAUGGUUGUUUCAAAGAUUCUUAAUUUAUUCUUCCUAAAUAUUCUGUUGCUUCAAUCGGACUUCCUAUAUUUCGCUUACAGGAACAUGUAUGAUGCCACUUUCCAGAUUCUCAGAGACAGCAGAUCUCUGGAGCUGGCAGUUGCCAGUUAUCAGCUCUUGAUUGAGUUAGAUAAGGUGAGCUAUUUCAUGCUUAGUUCUUUCAUUAUUUGUGGCAGUAAGUUAAUACUUGAAACCACAUGUAUUGUCCCUCGCAGCGGUACCCAAGAGUUUAUUGCACAAAUUCUGGUGGAAUUGGUGAACUCGUCUUUGUUAAAGAAGUGAGGCAAAGUUGUUGCUCUAUUUUAUUUGGAUGAUUUUGUUAUAUUGGGUUGUUACUCUAAUGAAAGGUCACAAUUCGUUGCUUCUUUAGGCGUGGUCGCCCUUUAUUCUCGGCCAGGAGAAAUCUCAUGGCACGGGGGAGGGGGGUUCUAAAAGUACGGAUCGUCUGAUUGACUCUUUGGUGAGCUGAACCUGUAGAUUGAUGCACGUGGUUACAAAUUCUUUUCUGCACCACUGCGGUUUGUUGUUGUUGUUAUGGCUUUCUUAGUCGGAAUGCUUAUGGUUCUUCUUUUAUCCUUAUUAUUAGAAAGAUAAACGAGAGGAAGAAAAUGGCUUUGGGUCAGAAAUACAGAUAUUUAUAAUUCAGAAAGCCACAUACUUCACUGGAUCCUUGAAAUAUAGAAUAAUCAAGAACAUUCUGGAGGAAAGGUGCAGAAAGUAACUUGUCUGCAAAUUGUGGGAAAGGCAAAAGUACCUGUGUUGGAUUUCUUAAACAAUAGAAUUUUUUUAAUUUGAGCUCAACCUUGCAGGUUGCAAAUCUGUUAUUCAGGAGCUCACUCGAAUUAAAGAGGCCCCAGUUUUGUGGUUGUGAAAAAAGUGUUUUUGCAAUACAAGCUAUAAAACAUUGCAAUACUUGUGUUGAUUUUCUUUUUUUCUUUCUUUCUUGUUUCUUCUUUACUUGUAGAAUUUCUAAAUAAAUGCAGUUCACUGUUUUGCAUACUUUAUAAUUUAUACCCAAUUUUGUUAAUUAUACGCAGUAUUAUUUGAUUUUUUUUUGGUCCCUUUUGAAGAGAUUUUCUGUCUUAAUAGAGGACAUGGCUCAAGCAGUCAAGAGCAUGGAUUUUCAGCUAGGACUUAAGGCAAGUGGAUAUUAUUUUAGUUAGUGAAUUUUCCAAAUGUAUUUGCUUCUUUUCCAUGUUUGUGUCACAUUUUGCUCACACUUGAUUCAUAGCGAGUGUGGCUCAAUUAUUCAAUUGAGAAAUGGGCAACUUUCAAUAGAUUUUCAGAAAACUACUAAAUAAAUAAAUAACAAAAGUCACAUUGAUAGGUGAUUUUUCCAAACCACUUUACUUUCAUAAGUAGUUGUUUUUUAUGAAGAUUUUCUUCAUCAUGUAUAUAUGGUGCAAUUUGAGAUUUUGAGUUAUCAGAGAUGUAUGAUAAUUAUAUGAUAUAUGAUAAUUACAUGGUAAUUCUCUAAAAUGACUACAAUCUUUGUUAUUUCAUGUGAUACUUUAGUUUCAUUGUGAAGAAAAGUCUCAUAAAGACAAAUUUGUGAUGUAAUUGUUGUUUUACAUCCUUUCAUGUAACCAAAAGAAGAGAAGUUGCAUGCUGCAUAAUUUGAGAGCAAAUCAUAUAUUUGAGCUUAUUUAUCUUAUUUUCAGUUUAUGUACUAUAGAAGCUGAAAGUUUUGUCCUGUCUCAUGUUUUAGCCUGUGGAGGAUAUGCUGUUGUUUCAGUAUCUUGUCAGUGUUCUUGAAGCAGAUUUCAUACAUCGUCAUACUUUGUAUAAAGGUAAAAGAUCUUCCAUCUUAUUCAAUUUCUAACUUUCUUUAAUUGGCCUUUGUUUUGUUUUUUUUGGACAGAAUCAUUGAACUGGGUCUUGUUCAGGGAAUCUAUGCUUAAUACGCUUUUGGUAUGUUACUUCUCUUCCGAAAAUUGUAGGUGCAUUCUUUAUUUUGUUUUCUGUGGCUAUCAAUAUUCCAUGUCACCUGGUAGAAUGAACAAUAAUAGCUUUUGGAUUUUAUGCAAAUUUUUUAUGGUUUGCCUUUCCCUAUUGAAUGUCUGGACGGUCGGUAUUCAUGACUUACUGUAGUAUCUGGGAUGGAACUUAUCCAGUUGAAAAUGACUGGCAGGGAUCACGCAAGUUGAAUUUUAAAAGCUUAGUCAGGGAUUUCAUGUCGCUUCUACUUAACCAGUGCCAGCAUCAUGUCAGAAACAGCUUGCCAGAUACUGUGGGCAGUUGUGCUAUAUCAUCUCAUGAUUCUGCUUUCUCUCUAGCAAUUGCAUUUCCUGAGCUAGAGAGAAGAACCUGUAGUGCUGUGCAAAAGCUUUUGACAUUGGUAAGAAUUGUCAGUAUUCUUUUAUGAUUUAUUUUUUACUACAAAUUCGAAAGUUAAGCUUGUAUUUAUUAGGUUAUGGAGAUUGAUGUGAUUAAAAAAGAAGCAGACUUGCUAGGAGUUACUUCAAGAAUUGAUGGCUUCAGGUGACAUUUUCUUGAAUUUCAAUUGAACUGUGCUGCUUUUCGUAAAUUGCUGAUUUUCUUGUGUUGAUCUCUUGCCCUUUGGUACAGGAUCCCUAUUUUAGAGAUCAUCUUGGAUGAACUUACAUACAAUCUAAAUCAUGUAUCAUCAUUUCUUGCGGUAGUAACUCGAUUUUCAUACAUUAUUAUUACCUGUUUUUCAUUUAGAGGUGAUUUUAGUUGUUGCUUUUUAUGCUAAUUUCUGACCUUGCAAAUUGAUUGGUCAUGCCUUUUCUCUUUUUUUUCAAGUAUACAGUAUACUUGGUCAUAACUGGUUACUAGUAAAUGUUUUAUUUAAGAACCAACAACAACUUUAUAUGGUUUUUCUUUUUGGUUGAAAACCAAGUAUUUUGUUCAUUAUUAUGCAUACACUUUAGUGCCCAUUGUUUUAAGAAUGCCUAGGUGAGAAUUUGAGAGGUCAAAAUCUAUCAAAAAUGUAAGAGGACAGUCGUCCCCCCUCCGGCCCCCCUCCUCUCUUUCUCUCUCUCUUUCUCUCUCUCUCUCUGUCUCAUAUGAUUGGCUUUAGAACUCAUUCUCAAAUGUCUUGGGUCAUAACACCAGGAUAACAUGGUAUGUUAUGGUAUUAGGAGGCGGCUCUUCUUCAUACUUCGUAGUAUUGAUACAUUUAAUCCAUAAGCAUCUGGGAGCUAAAUCUUCAACAAAAUAGUUCCAAACUUCUUGAAACAAUGGGUUUAAUCAUGAAAGUGAUUUUUGCUCUUCAAGUGGAAAUGAUGGGGCAGAACCUCGAAUAAUCGAUUUUCAUGUUGCAAGCAUGGCAAAUGAAAUGAUCAUCUCUUUUUAAUUCCUCAUUUAUUAUACUUUUGUUUAUCUGAUGCAUCUUAAUGUUGUAUUUGUAAUGUAAUGAAUCUUCAUUUCUAUGGAUUAUCCCAUUAACAUUCGACUGAUGGUGCAUUGUAGGUCUUCUCUGAACCUAAAUGGAAGUUGGAGAUUGUUUUGCAGUACUUCUCAAAGUAUUGUAUGAAGGUGUGCGGCUACAUAUCAUUACAAAGUUACUUUGAUAUUCGAAUCAUAACAUACCAGUAAAGUGGAGAAAUGAAAAAGACAAUUUAGCAGGGAGUAUUUUUGCUUUUGAAAAGACAUAAGAAACCAAGUUUGAGAACUAGAAGUGCAAACCACAUAAUAAUUGGAUAGGAUUUGUGUAAUUCACCCUUCGUGUAGGUGUCAAUGCAGGAAGGUUUAAUUGUGGCUGUACACUCAAGUUAGUAUAUUUUAGUUAGUACAUACGAAAAUUUCUGAACUGCUGAUUAUCUCUCUUUCUCAUGCCUAUGUAUUUAUGUACAGAGAACAGUCUUUCACGAAGUAUUGAUCUAUAAUGAUAAUGGACAGAAACUUAUGGCAACUUUAUUUGCUUUAAUAUUGUAGUCUUCUGUUCGAACUCGAAGGUCAAAUGAUACAGCCAAUGAUUUGACAUUGGAGAGUGUCAUGAAUUUCUUUUCAACCCCCACAGCUACCAAAAAUAUUGCCAAAAAAGUUACUUCAGAAGUGGCUCUUCUGCUCCUAGCACAUGCCUUUCAGGUAAGUUUUGUCAAUUAGUCUCAAUAUAUUGUUUUCUCUCUUGUUGAUUGUUACACCAAGCAUUUUUAUCUGCGGAAGAUCUAAUGUCUUGCUAUCCUUAAAUCCGUACUGACAAAUCUGUUCUUUCAGGUCUGUGUCUCCCAACAAGUUGAUAUGAAUUUUAGUGGCUAUGCAAGUGAAAAGAUUGGAGGCACGGUUUCACAGAUUUCCAGCAAGUUUAUUUCUGCUUUUCACAAUCUCAGAGAAGUUGACGAGUAGGUCUAUAAGCAUUACUUCUAACUAUUUUGUGCACUUUGCAUUCUAGUAAGUACUAUUUCUUAAACCCUAUAAAUAUACAAUAGAAUAAUUUGGUCAAGUUAUUCUAAACCUCUGAUACAGCAAAACAUAAUCAUGCUAAAGAAAUAUGCCUUUUCCAUGAUGCCAAGUACCUAAUCCUGAUAUGAAAUUUUAACUAAUUAUGAGAUCCUUUAUAGACAGCUCUUUCUAAUCAAGAUAAUUCAUGGUUGCAACCUUUCGCCCUUUUUUAUCUGUAGUUAAUACAUCAAAUUGCUAGUUCUGCUGUCUUUCUGUUUUCUGGUCUGAAUAUCUUCCAUAAGAAGAAUCUAAUUAAGUUGUCUAAACAAGUUAUACAUUUGAUUGCUUCAAUAACUAGGAAAUAGAGUUGAUAGAGUCUUUGUGAAGAAAUGAUGCGAGUAUUCCAAUUGACAGCACUGAUUGAAUUUCGUGUGAUCAGAACAUUCUGAUGAAGGAACUGACAACCAGAGUAAUUUCCUCAUACUUUAUGUUAUUAAUUGCCGUGCAGGGAUUUGGAGAUUACACCUUUCGAGAAAGAAGCGCUUUUUACUGCUGCAACAAUUUUGUUGCAAGAACCAGAAAAUUAAUGACGAUGGAAGCGUGAUUUCCAUCAAACUAAAUUAUCCAGGUCAAGUUUUGCGCAACAGCAAAGGGCUUCAAGUCUUUGGUCUGCUUUACUAUUGAUGAGGAUGAGUUCCAUUUUCUCACUAGCUUUUCUGUAUAUACUAGCUUACAAAGUGAAGUGGUUCCAAUUGCUAUCAAAGAUUUGGAACCUUUUUACUUAACUCCCUUUCUUUCUCUUUUUUCUCUCUUUGGGGAUAAUGUUAGCUGCAUCACUUCAGUUUUGAGCAUCAAGUAAUAUUACUCUGGAAAGCUACUUGGAUGUAGACUCUGCUAAUCAGUAGAAUUUAUUUGUGAAAACCAGAGAACUAAUAUGAUGGGUUUCUUCGACUCGAUGUGUAUGUGGUGCACCAUUUUGUGAUUUAUGUUUUUUUUUUUUUGAUAAUAUAAUUUCUACUGUUUAAUUGGUACUUUUACUCGCCCCAAUAAUUACUUUCAUUGUGUCGUCGUAACGUUUUGAUUUUGUUUUGGUUUUUUUGAUAAUGAAAUAAAGUAUACAGAUUAUUGAUAUAUUGUCGUUUACAAUGUAGGUAUUUGAAUUUACGUCUGUAUAAUUUGGCUGUAAACGAAAUAUAUUAUAAAAUAAAAUUGACUUAGUUAUAUUUGUCAACUGAAUUAAUAUUUUUAUUUUGAUUUACUGUCGAAUUAUAGUUACGUUCAUCAAAAACACUCUGCUAAUUAAACCGACCGAGUUUGGGGAUCACCGCGUCUAAGGGUGUGUUUGGUACUCUGUAAAACUAGCUGAAAAUUUUUUUUCCAUGUAAAAUUUUACUUUUUGAUGUUUGGUUGCUAGUAAAAAGUUUUUCGCGGAAAAAGAUUUUUACGCAUACAAAGAAAAUCCGAAGUUUUCGUUUUCCGCUCGCAGCGAGCGGAAAACGAAAACUACGGCACCAAAAAUCGCGGCUCAGGAGGCUUCUUUGUGCACGGUCCACGAGGUGCCCAUCACCUCGUGGACCGCGUGAGAGAGAGAGAGCACAGGUCCAAAAUCGCGGCUCAGAGGCUUCUUUGUGCGCGGUCCACGAGGUGCCCAUCACCUCGUAGACCGCGUGAGAGAGAGAGAGUGGAAGCAUGUGGACCAGUGCUCCCUCUCUCUUUCAUUUUAUAUAUAUAUAUAUAUAUAUAAAAUUUUAUUUUUUAAAUAUAUUAUUGUGUAAUAUUUUAUAUAUAAAUAUUAUUUAUAAAUACAUAAUAACUUAUUUCAUAGUAUUAAAUAUAUAUUAUUAUAUAUUAUAUUAUAUUAAAUACUUAUCAAUUUAUUAUAUUAUAUAAUAAAUUGAUAAUUAUUUAAUAUAAUAUAUGCAAUAGUCUUUAUAUAAUACUACAUAAAAAUAUAUAAUUUUUAUACAUAAAAUAUAAAAUUAGUUUUUCUUUACUGUUGUUUGGUUGAAAGAAAAAAAAUUAUAAAUAAAAAAUUAUUAUAUAUAUAUUUUCUUAUUGUAUAUAUUAUAUUAAAUAAUUAUCAAUUUAUUAUAUUAUAUAAUUUUAAUAUAUUUAAUUUAUAAAUAUAAAUUAUAAUAAUAAUAUAUAUAGCCUAAUAAUUAACCUAAAUUAUAAAUAAAUAAUAUAUAGAAUACAUAAUAAUAAUAAAAAUAAAAUAUACUUUUUCCUUUCAACCAUUCAACCAAAUAACUAUAACUGAAAACUAAUUUUUUUUUCCUACAAAUCAAUCACCAAACUACGUAAAAUUUUUUUUUCAUCAAAAAUUUUUUUCCACCGAAAAUUUUUUUUCCCAGUUUUACGUCAAACCAAACAGCCCCUCAACAAAACCUCCCCACUCCAAAAAUCCUCUUCCUCUUCUUCCCCGACGAUGCGACGAGCACUCUCGAGAAUCCCACGGCUUUCCCUGAGCUCCCACUCUGAUUCCCUUCCUCCUCUUCCUCCUCUUCCCAGCGCUUCUCUUCCACCUCCUCGUCGUCGCCGCUACUUCACCUUCGGGUCUCGCGCCGCAGAGAUCCCGUGCGGUUUCGUGAAGCGAGCGUCGCUGGGAUGCUGCAGGGGUUCGCGAUUCGCCGCCGGGUUCACGCCGCUGCAGCCCAAAGCGCUGGGCUCCAUCAUCGACCUCGGCAGGGCCGAGAACUGCUCCCCCGACGACCUCGUCUCCGUCUGGGACGAUGUGAGAGCACUCCCUGAAACCCUAGCAUAUUUUUCCUGCUAUAGAUCGUGUUAUCCUGUUUUCAUUAUUACGAGGUUGCUUGUGAUUUUGUCAAAACGUCAGACAUCUGAAAUGCGCAAUGUAGAUCGCAUUUGUUUGAUCGAUCGCAUUCGGUGGGAUCGAAAAGGCAGCUUAUUUCAUUCUUUGCUAACCAAACCCUAAAAAUAUAUAAUCCUAGGCCAGAUUUCUGAUCUGUUGGAUAUAAGAAAAAUCUCCAAAAUAAGACCCUAAUCUAAGGACCCAUAUCGUAAAUAUUCGAGAGAACCAUAUGCACAUGAAGUAAUUAUUAUGCCAUUUUAUUGUCCUGUAAGCUUGUCGACUGAUUUAGAGCAUAAAUGAUAGCAAUCCUGGCGACAGGCAAGUAAAUGCGGCAGUAGUUGUUCUUUCCCUGUUUGCCAAGAUCCAGAAAUAAUGAUGGGACAGCUAAAGAUCCUCUCCACUAUUUAGAAGAUUUCAGUAAAGUAGAUAAAAUUUAUACCCUCUGUAUGUGUUUUCUUUUUUCAUUUUUUUGAACAGCCCUUUGUUGUUGAACAGUUACAUUUAAGUUUAUCGUAAGUCAUCCUAGCUUACUGUCUAACCAUUAGGUUUGUUAGUUAGAAUGAUAUCGUCAGCGACAAAAGCAUAUUGUGCGACAUCAUCUUGGCUAAUUUAUGUAUACCAUUUCCAAACCAUUAAGGACUUAAUCCCAAACUUUUGUAUCUUUUUUAUGUAAAUUCAUUUGAAUCUGUUGUAAUUACCCUCAUCACUCUUAUCCCUAUUGUUCAUGUCAUCAGGUUAAUUUUUAAGAAUCAUUUGAAGGUUUGUUUGGAUAAUGUUAACUGUUGAUGAUGUUGAAGUAUUUUCAAAAUAGUGGAAGUAAAUACUGUUGCAUCUGUCUUAUCAGUUAUUUUUAGGCCUUCAAUUUUUUUUUUUUUUUCUUGAGAAGAAGAAUUCAUGAAGCGUUUUCUUGGUCUCACAUAUUUAAUUGAUAUCCUGCGUGAUAGAAUUUUAGAUUCUUCUUUAGUUAGAUUCUAAAUUGCGUCUUCUUGACUUCGCUGUUUUUUUCCCUUUCCUUUUUUUCCCCUCUAUUUCUCUAUGAAACAUCAGUAUCACUUGGGAAGAGGUCAUAUAGGUGCAUCCAUGAAAGCAAACCUGUACCAUCUUCUUGAGCAAAGAUCAGCCACUUGGUAACUUCUUUUUUCCCCCUCUAUUUUUUACUUGUUUGCAUAAAUGUCCUACAUAUUCUAACAUAAUUUGAACUUUGUAGCCGGCAUUUCGUUAUUCCUUUGUGGAGAGGAAGCGGAUAUACCACUAUGUUCAUUCAAGGUUUCUUUCUUGAACUUCCUUUUGUGGUUUUCUCCGCGGGCCGUUCAUGCUUAUGUUUGGAAGUUAUCAACUUGUGAUAUUAAGUAGCUUUUUUUUUCUCGUUGUUAUUUUGUACCUGCUAAACUAUAUUGUUGCAUCAUGCUUCUUAUGAUGAUUGAAUACUCCUUUUGAAUCCGUUGCACUUGUUUUCACUGUCGCAGUUCAGAUGCCGCACAUACUCAUCACGGGCCUUGAGGAUUACAAGGCAAGAGGAACUCAAGCGAGCCCCUACUUCACCGUCACCCACUACACCGAAUUUGCGGAAAGUAAGGGUGUGGUGCUUAUCCGCGGGGAUGUAGUAUUCACCAGCAAGCUCAAUGAUUCUGAGGCAAAGUGGCUGCAAGAGACCACUCACUCUUUCUACCUAAAUGAUGUGCGGUACAAGCUUGUUGAGCAGUUCAACAAAGAGACGCACGAGUUUGAGUUCAAAAAUGUCCUCCGGGCACUCGAAAUGCCAACAGUUUGAUCCUGUUACACUUCUUCCUCUGAAGGUUUUAUAUUCUUUUUCAGGGGAGAACCCGAUCAAUUGAAUCUUACAGCAGCACUAUGGAGAUGAAGCUUGAAAUGUUCUUCUGUUCCUUAGGUGAAUAUCUGUCCUUUAUCCGCACUUUGUGCCCUCUAUGCGCCCAAUCAUCAUAUACCUUUUUCUUUAUUUUUUUCAAUUUCAUUGUUUAACCUUUCCCGGAAUAAGUUACAGGCUUAGUCACUAACAUCGAGCGAAAGAGAUGUUUAUGUAACAUCUGCUUCUGUAUGUACUUUACAUAUAAGUCUGCACGCUUGUGCAGUUGCGGCAUGCAUUUAUCUGUUGAUUUACAUUUGACUUAUGGUACCCGGGAAUUUAAAUUGAACCAGCUCACCUUAUGUUGAGAGUACCAAUGGAAAUUUCAUGAGCUUGUGGCUUUUUUUUUCUUUUUCUUUUUUUUUUUUCUUCGUCUUGCUUUUGGCUCAAAGUUGAGUUCGUAAUAAGUGGUCGAGUGAUGCUUUCUUUUACUGCUCAAGCUGGAUAAAUUAUUUUUCUCAAGGUUCAUUGGUUCUCUCAUGGCACUGUUUUGUCUUUAACUGGUAGGCGUAUUAAUUACUGGAUUUACGAAGGUGCAUUUCUAUGGAGUUACAAAAUCUUCAUCAACUAUAAAGCGUAUGCAGAGUUAGUGAUGCACUAAUGUUAUGAGAAUUUAUUAGCGAAUGCAUUAGAUGAGACUAAAUCUUGUCUAACGUAAACAGUAAAGAAGAUAUAAAUCGGUUUUGCAACCUGAAAUGUUUGUAUUUGAUGCAGCUUGCUUUUGAGUGCUUAGACUUGAAUGAGAGGGAUGUAUCUUCCUAAAACUCGCGUGUGCAUUUGAGAGUAGCAUAAUCGACUCUCUUGAUUUUUACAAUUUUUCGCGUGUAUAAGAAUUACAGCUAAAAAUGCACAAGGACUCCCCGUAGAUGGCUCUACUAUGUUACUUCAGAGAGUUUUUUUUCUUAAUUUCUAUCAAAUAAAUUAAAAGUUCGGUUAGAUUUAACAAUAUUGUUAGCUGUGCUAAUAAAUCAACCAAAAAAAAACUUGAAAUUAAAAUUAUUAAAACGUGAAAAAGUACGGACUUUUUUUUUUUUUUAAAAAAAGGGAGAUUUGAGGCUCGAUUUCGAAAUUAGUUAUAGUAAAAGGGGUUUUCAUAAAUCCUGAUCGACCGCAGAAUUGUGGCCCAACCUCUCGUGUUAAGCUCAACUGGUGCACCUCGCUCUCCCGCCCCUAAAACCCCCCAACCUCGUAGUCGUAGUUACUUAAUCACCGCUCCCGAACGAAGAGAGAGGUAAACGCCUCCUCCCCCUUCGCCUUCCCUUUCUUCUUCUUCCACCUCCUCCCACUUCAAAACCCUAAUUGUCUCCUGCUCCUCCUCCUCCUCUUCCUCCCCCUCCCUCUCUAGCCCAAAAUGGCUUCCCACUCCUCCGCCGAAGCCGCCGAGGUCGAGAAGCUCUACGAGUUCGGGGAGCGGCUCAACGAGGCCAAGGACAAGUCUCAGGUGCCGCUUCUGCUUAUCUUCAAUCCUACUCCUUCGAUUUUCGUUUUUUUUUUUUUUGGUGUUCUUGUGAUUCUGAUGGGGGGUUUCGUUGAAUGGCGCAGCAUGUGAGCGACUACGAGGGGAUCAUCAUGGCGGUGAAGGGCCAGAGCGUGAAAGCGAAGCAGCUCGCGGCGCAGCUCAUCCCCAGGUUCUUUAAGUUCUUCCCCAGCCUUGCCAGCAAGGCCCUCACAGCGCAGUUCGACCUCGUCGAGGACGAGGAGGAACUUGGGGUUGGCUUUCCUCUCUGCUCUUUCUUCUAUAACCAUUUUACUAUAAAAAAGUGAAAUAUUUGCUCUAAUUUUAUGUUAGUAUGGUAAAAUUUGAUAAACUUUCACUAGAAAAUCAGUUCCUUAGGUGAACAGGUAAACUAUUUUAGCUAUUUCCCGAAUUCCUAUGAUUGGAUAGGGUUAAAGGGAUCUAGAAGCCUAGAAGUGCACGUCACAAAUUAAUGUGAUUACUAAAAUCUGUUUGAUUUGUUUGAUUUAAGUGAAGUGUAUGUGCAAAUGUUAAAUUAAGGUCUUUUGGCUAUGUGCAAUUGAAUAUGUUGGUGCAUAGACUUCUUUAUUCUUGUGUAUUGUUGGUUAGUUUGUAAGCUCACGUUUUGCUUAAAAAAACAAAGAUGGAAAGUAAGUUAUUGCCGAGCUUUUGGUUUUUGGUACCAAGCAAACUUCACAGAUGCAUAGAUUGCAACUAAUUUGCUAUCUGCUGGUACAUUCUUGGUUACUUGGUACCUCAAUUUCUUAGGACUUGAUUCUUAACAUGAUUUAGUUAAGUUAUUAUUGCAGCCUAUGUUUCAUAUGUUGUUCUGAAUUCCUGGUUCUUUUAUGCCUAUCUUUGAUAUGCAUUUGUUCCAUUUAAUGAUUAAGAAGUUGAAGUAUUUUCUGAAUAAAUUUACCCUGAACAUCAUAGACAUUCAUAUAUUCUUCCAUGUAUUGAUUAUGUGCUUUCAUUACCUUGGCUGUUCGUAUUCUGCAUUGUAAUAACCUUUUACGACAUUAAUCUUAUCUAUAUGAAAGCAUAUUCAAAUUACAGACUGUCAGCUUCAUGUCAUGUUGCAUGCUUAGUUUUGUUGAGAUACUGUCGUCUUGCACUUGUUGGCAUUUUCUAUUUCUUCGCCAUAUCCUCAGAAUAGUUUAAGCUGGUUUUCUAUGUGAUUUUAAAAUUUUAUUGCUUGCUAUUAAUUUAUGGCUUCAGGUUAGAGUACAAGCUAUUCGCGGGUUUCCUCUUCUUUGCAAAGAUACUCCAGAACAUGUUUCCAAAAUUGCAGAUAUUCUUGGACAACUCCUUACAUAUGGUAUUGCUCUCUUAUGUUUAUGUGCUUUAUGCCCUAAUAGAUUUACCAUAUACUUUGCGUUGAUGGUUGAGUUUUUGUGCCCCAGGGGAAAAUGUUGAGCGCGAUGCAGUUAAUAAAUCUCUCAUGUCUAUUUUAAGGCAAGAUGUGAAAGGUACAUUUUAGUUUAGAAUCCUAUUAGAGCUCUCCUUUAUGGAAUGUGACUACUCAAACCUUAUGUUUUCAUUACUAGCACAUUUCAUUUUACAUAUUAAAAGAUGGCAUAUAGGCUAUAAAUUACCAUCGUAAUGCAUUUUAUAAUUUGCAUUUUGCCAACCGUUUCAGAGAUGGAGCUAGAAUGCAAUUCUUUGAGGGGCCCAACAAUAAUUUAGUACAGUAUUGCAUAUUUAAAAUCAAUAAUUAAUAUAUAUAUAUAUAUAUAUAUAUAUAUAUACACACACACAUAUAUAUAUGAUUUUUUCAAAACAAAUAUAAAAGCACCGAAGUAAUGAAAUCCUUUUUUUUUUUUCCUAAAUAAAUAGCUCUAGUUCAUAUUUUUCCAAAUGAUUUAGUAUGGAUGCAUUGAUUUUCAUGGAUUUAAUAAGAUUACUCUAGAGUGCAUGAUACAAGCUGUAUUUUUCUCCUUCUGAAUGGCAUAUCAAUUUUCUUUGGUAGCACCUUUUGCUGCUUUUGAUAGGAAGGCUAAAAGAUGUAAAUGAAGUAGGUAUAGCGGGGAGUUGCUAUUAGGUUUGAACGAGAUUUGGUUCAUCAGUCAGAGUUGUGAAGAUGGAGUAGCGAACGUACAGUGACCACAUUAUUGUAGAUGAUCUGCAAGCAGGGAUCAUAAGAUUUAAGAACCCUUUGCUGUCUAUCAAGUUAUCUUAUUAGGACUUUUGGUGUGACCCUUUAUAAGUAGAAAAAACCCUGGUAUUGGAAUGUGUUCCCAUCCAUUUAAAACACAUAUGUUCUGUGUGCUUCUUGCUCAUGAAUCAACAUGUAGUUCUUGCUACUGCUACAGUGGUGUGUUAAGAUUCCACUUUCUGUGGCAAUAUUCAUGAAUUUACGCUAUUCAUCUUUUUUCUGUGUCAUUUAGGAUGCAUUGAAAAGAAACCUCAACAACUCCUUAGGUCUUCCUUAUUAAUAAAGGCAAAUCAUGAGUGACAAUAUAAAUGUCUAUUUUUACUUGACUUGGUGCCUAGGGGAAUGGUUCUUAUUCUUGAAGAUAAGGAUCAGUAUACGAUAUCACCUUUUCAUUUCCUUGGGUACUCUUUUAAGAUUUUCUCAGUUGUUUUUUCCAAUUGUAAUUGAUAAUGUGCAUAAUUCUAGACUAUUAGUUCCUCUGUGGCAUUCCAGCAACUAAUUGUAGCCCCUUAGUGCUUUAGCAGCUAUCAAGGUACUGUUUUUUAUUAAACCAUCAUUACGGCCAGAUCUUAAUGUGGUUGACGUAUUAGAAUCCCUUGAUUUGCUUAUUGCUAAGGGUAGUCGUUAGUGACUACUUUGUGAAUCUUCUUAGUUGAGAACUUUGUAUUGUCUAUACAGAUGUUUUGGUAUUGAUAAGUUCUGGUUGAUGGGUAAUUUCUCUGAUGCAGCUUCAUUGACGGCUUUGUUUAAGCAUGUUGAGAUAGGCAUGGAGAAUGUUCGUGAAAAGGUCAUCUGUUUCCUGAAAGACAAGGUAAAUUCUAAAUUUAUAUGGACAAGGUCAUGUGUAGAGAAAUCAUCUAUAUUGUCUAAGCUAAAAAACAUUUGUUUUUGGUCAGGUGUUCCCUUUAAAAGCAGAGCUGCUGAAGCCCCAAGUUGAAAUGGAAAGAUAUGUCACUGAUCUGGUGAAGAAAGUAUGUUCCUAUAUUGCUUUUGAUGACAACAAAUUUAUUUUUUUCCCACUGCCAGGAAUUUGAAUAAUUUAGGUUUUCUGUGUAUAUAUAUAUUUCUCUUAGUCUGUACCAAACAUGUAUCAUUUUUCUAACAAAUGACAUCAUUUUUCAGAGCUUACAAGAUGUAACUGGUGCUGAGUUCAACUUGUUUAUGGACUUCCUGAGGAGCUUUAGCAUAUUUGGAGAAGGUGCUCCUCCAGAGCGUAUUCAAGAGCUGAUUGAAAUAAUCGAAGCACAGGCUGACCUUGACGCACACUUUAAUGUAAGUAAUUUUGCCCGAGCAAGUGAUGAUGAUGCAGAGAUGUCUUGGUAACGUUUUGACAAAUGUGAGAAGCUUUUGUUUUUUCUCGAGUCAAGUUGGCAUGUUUGAUGAUCAUUUAACACGUGACUGCUGCUCCUUUUCUCUUCCAGGUUGAUGAUGUUGACCAUAUCGAUAGAUUGAUUUCAUGCAUGUAUAUGGCUCUUCCUAUCUUCAUGGUAUGGACUGUUGGAUGCAAGUUCAUAUAGCUUUGUGCAUUUUUUAUGUUCUUAUUUUGUUUACCUUGUCUGAACUUGAACUAAACUCUGUUGUCAGAGAGGUGCUUCCAGCAGCAAGUUUCUCAACUAUUUCAAUAAGCACAUAGUACCUGUCUUUGAUAAGGUAAGCAUUGUGACUAUUUCAAUAAGCACAUAUUGCCUGUCUUUGACGAUGUAAGCAUUUGUCUUCAAUGCUUGCUGACCUUGUUCAGUUACAAGAUUGGUUUCUGGUUUUCUCUAGCUGUAUGUUUCAUUUUAUAUUCCUCGCAUGUCAAACUUUUAUCGUUAUAUGCUCCAAGUGGUAACCAGUAGAAGCCUUUAUGAGUUGAUAUGUUCGUGUUUCUGAGUUUUUCUAAUAGUUUUGACAAUUUAUUUGAUUUGUCCUUCUUGUAGAGCAUUUUUAUGACACCAAGAAGGAUUUCCCUAUGUUUCUCUUGACUAAUCAUAAAUUUUCUUUGCAUGAAAUCUUACUCUUUUCAGUUUCCUGAAGAGAAGAAAAUAGAUCUGCUCAAGACUGUUGCUGGAAGUUCCCCAUAUGCUACGGCACAAGAUUCACGCCAACUUCUUCCAUCUAUUGUCCAACUGCUUAAGGUAUAUGUUUGGUAUCUCGUGGUCUGGAAGAGCAAUUUUAUUCGUAAAAUCAUAAUUUAUUUCCUGCUUGAGCUAUUUUCUAACCUUUUUUUUCUGUUGCAAAGCCUUCUUUAUGAUACGCCUUUUCUUCUAUUAUUACAUACUGUGUUUAGUGAAAAUUUUAAUUAUAUAUAUAGUUAUAUCUCUUUAUUUUGCUUUCCGUAGAAGUGUAUGCCCAGGAGGAAGACGGAAGAGACUAACUUCAACUACGUUGAGUGCUUGUUGUACACAUUUCACCACCUAGCUCAUAAGGUUACUUUACUUUCGCGUUGGUUUCCAGUAUUUUGUUUGUGCAGCACUGCCUUGUACUUGAGCUGAGCUCUAUGUGUCAUGCAGACGCCAAACUCUACAAACAGUCUUUGUGGUUACAAGAUUGUGACUGGCCAGCCAUCUGAUAGGCUUGGGGAGGAUUUCUCAGAUAACUACAAAGAUUUUACAGAGAGGUAAUCUUAUAUGUUAAUCUAUUGUAUUUUACUCUCUUGAAAUUUAUAUUCUGCAUUUUAUUAGCUUUUUAUUGUUUUGCGGUUACUAUUUUAAUUGGCAGAAACUGUUACCUUCUCUAGUAUAACUUCUUUAAGGCCCUAUUGGAUGUAUGAAUAUCUUGGUCGGUAUAUCUUCCUGAUUUACUCGAGAAGUUUGUAUAUUUGGUAGAUGAGGAGUGUGAUCAAAUGUUUAAAAUUGAAUAUUAUAUUAAUUCAGCCUUCAAGCCAUUUUUUUUUGGAUAAGGUAAAUUAUUACGUAGGUGAAAUAUACUAUCCUACCAAACUAUGAAUAUCAAGACCUUUCAAGAAGCAAAAUUCAAACUCUUUUCUUACAAUCACAAUAGAAAAUCCUUAUACCAAAUAAGUUCCAAAUAGGGCCUAAGUAUUAGGCAACACUUAAUGUGUUGCAAUAUUUGGCAAUGUACUCAUGGUCAAUUUUCAAUGAAUUUAACAUGCUUGCUUCUGAGUCCUGCUGAUCUCAAUAUAUCAGUUGAUGAGGUGCCCUAUGAGAGAUAAACUUACAAAACAGAACAUAUGCUAUUGUUUAAUGCCCAAGUGAAUUGAGAUGAGAUCAGUUCACCAAAUCUUCAAGUGGAAUAUGAGCUGCUGCUUCAUUCUGAAUAGGAAUUUAUUUUUAAUGCAUUUCAUUGUUAUGUGUUUACUGUAUAGGCAUACAUCUUUUUUCUGCUCCAUGUUUUGAUCUUGUUAAAUGUUUCUGUGCAGGUUAACUGCAACUGAAGAAAUAGUGAGAGCAAGCUUGAAGAAACUGACCCAGGGAAUGGCAGAGCACAAUAAGGCACUGUCUGCAGCUAAGACUGAAGAGGCAAAGGCUAAGAUUGUGAGUUAUUUUCAAAAUUUCUUUUUAUGCACUCUGUGCAAGGGAAAGGUUUCUUUUGAAUAUUGUCAAAUGUGAAGAACGGAACCCUGAUAAUAUUCUUAAAAUCCACCAAGCAUCGUAUAAAAUCCACAUUUGAUGUUGGUGUCUUGUUUAUUCACAUAUAGCAUCAAAAUUGUACCUUUAACAUAUUUGAAUAUUUUGCAGAAAACUGAGCAGCAAAAAACAACAACUGGGUUGCGGAUCUGUAAUAACAUAUUGGCGAUGACACAGGUAGCUGAAUUUUCCAGAUAUUACUAGAGAUAGUUAUAUCCCUUUUAUAUUUCACUGGAUAUGGAAUAUAAGUUUGGUCGCAAGACAUUAGGAAGUAUCAGUGGCUUACCAUUGGUGAGUCUGUUCCAGUUAAGGAAUUUUCCACCUAGUAUUGAAAAGAAAUUGGAAGACAUGAGAGCACCUCCUGCUAUGCUUGCAAACCCUUACCAAAACACAAUUAGGGCUACUGCAAUUGCUAUUGCUUAGCAGUUCUGGCCACAGCACAGCUCAGCAUCUAUGUUUGGUUGCAUCUGGGUUAGGUGUCCCUACUACUACAGUAAGGCCCGCGUUUAUUUCGACCAUAGUUUGUUGACUUGUAUUCCUUUUGUAGCUGCCACUUGUCAUGUCAUCACCGUGUACUGUAAAGGUGCCCAGAGGUGGGAUCUGCAUUUCCUGCCUCAUGUUGUGUCCGGAUUUCAUGCGGAUUGCAGGUGGAGGGUUUUUUUACGCGCUUAUUUUUGGUUUUGAGAAUUGGGAGCGUGGCCCUAUACUAUAUUACUACUGCACCUGAGCACCCUUACUGGAUUUCAGACCCUCCCCAACCCUCCCUGUACCUUUUACCACUAGGAAUCCCAAUGUUCCUUUUUCUGUCUUUUUCAGCUGUUAAAGAUCCAACGGUUCCAAAAGCAUCUUCUGUUUAGGGUGGUGUCAUAUAGACGAGACAUUCCUGUUCAUAUGUUUCAUGAUAGUAGAAAUAUGAUGCUAAUACUUCAUACGCUUAUAUCUAAACACUGAAUCUUUUGCUUGUUACCUUUUUCAGCCAUUGCAUGCGAAAGCUCCCACAUUCAUCGGAGAUAAGAAGAUCAAGCUCUCGUGGCAGGAGCCGGUGAAAAAGAGUACUCCAGCUUCUACAACUGGAGCAGGGUUAGAUACUCUUCUCAUCGUUUUUGUCUGUAUAUUUUCCUAUUUUCUUUUAACUUGUAUGCAACUCAAUCUUGUGUCUCCCACUCACCUUUCAGGACCAAGAGAGCUGGAACUACCACAAAUGGUGCCAGUGCGAAUCCUUCGGCAAGCAAAAAGGGGCGAGUUGAGGGGGUGAUGCAAAACCAGCUUGUCAACAGAGCUUUGGAAGGCCUAUCUCGAGGUGGUGGGAGAAGCGGUGGAAGAGGAGGAAGGGGUUGGGGAGGCCGAGGAAGAGGUCGGGGUUUCCGCUAGAUUCAGGGAAGAGAUUCUCUACUUACCAGCUGUGCAGUAGAUAUUGGAGAGGGCGUUUCUGCUUCAAACUUAAACACACAGAAAGGUUGCAAAAUUUUUGUUGAACUUGAGAUGAAGCAUGUUCUUAUUUCAAUCUGGGCGAAAGUGAAAAAGUUUCGACGUUGUAUUUUGGCGAUCCAAGGAGGUGGUGGAUUGUGUAAUCUACAUUAGUUGGUUUAUCAGAACAUUCUAACCUUAUGCAUUAAGCUUAAACAUCUUUUUCAUUCUCUUUUUUGCCUAUUGCACAUCAUCUGUCACACCAAUGUACUUAUUAAUGGCUCAAUAACGAAAAUGUGUCUAUCAUCAGUUCCAUUGAAGCAGGCCUUUUUAAACGUCAAUUCUCAAAAUCUAUGGCUUUUUUUACAUGUAGCUCCCUCAUAUAUAUAUAUAUAUAUAUAUAUAUAUAUAUAUAUAUUUUGGCAUAUAUGGUCUCCUUCUUGUUUUGUGAACACCACGUUAACAAUUUUAAGUUGAAUACAGUGAUUGAAUCAUCCGUUUAUAUUUACAUUUUAGUUUCUUUUUCUCACUACAAGAUAAUAAAAAAAUACGGUAAUCUAAUCAGAGUGAUUAAAUCACUGUGUUCAACUUAAAAAUGCCAUUUAGACGUUCACAUGAUAAGAAAAUAAUUAGUUAUAUAAAUAUAAAUUUAUUAGGAUUAUUUAUUAAAUUUUUUUUUGAGAGGCUAAAUACAAAAAAAAAGCCCCAAAAUGUACAGAGAUAUCAGUCCACAAUUUAAUUAUCCUGAUCAACUAUCGGUAGAUAUACACAGUAGUCCGCGAGAGUGGAGGCAUGGACUUAAACACGCCUCAAGGAGAAUAAAAGACCAGUCGCUGCAUUUAACAAAAAAAAAAAAAAAAAAAAAAAAAAAAAACUUUUAGAAGUCCGAUCAGAAAAAUAAUUAUUCUGCAAUUAUACAAGUUAUUGCAAAGCGCAGGUACUCAGGCUAGUGUUGCUAUUAAGUGCUACUAUUAUCCACCAGGUUUAAAACUUUGGAUCGAGGAAAAAAAAAAUGUUUUAACAAUUUUAUCUGACUAAUCAAAAUUUGGGUGAAAAACUAACUACGUGAGCGCAAGUAGUAGCUAAACACCAAAAUCUAUUUACAGGUACUUAAAUUUUAUACGCAACACCUAGCAAGAAAGAAAAAACCAUACACCUUAAACACCACAUUGUAACUGUAGGCCACCGAAAAACAACUGUUCAACUCUUCUUUACCUAACAUCCAUCUCUGAUUCUUCUCUGGUUGUUCUUACUUGCACAUAUGAAUAUAUCUUUUAAAAACAAGACUAGUUGCGCUAACCUGUAUCUUUACCAAGACUUUCGGAUUCCUCAGCAUCCAUAUUUCUGGAUGUGACUGACUAUUUAGCGCAGCUCACGGGGGGACUGGACUGGGUUAUCUAUGGAAGAAUCCCCUACUGCAAGAGGAUCAACCUUUAACGUGCCGUUCGACAAGUUAGAUCCAUCAGCCUCAUCCCUCUCGUCAGUCUCCAAUGAUUGUUCUUUCUUCUUGCCGGAGCUUUUUCUAUUAAAUACACCUUUUAUGCUCUGAGCAGAUUUUCCCGCCUGCUUAACCAUGUUCUUUGCUUUGUCCUUCAAAUGACGUCUGCCCGGGCUUUCUCCCUCAUCUUUUUCAGGACUAAAGCGCUCGUUUUCAUUCUCCAGUUUAGACCCUUCAUUUUUCCCUCCAAUAUCUUCAUCCACUAUGAGCUUCACUGAUAUCCGCUUCUCUCCAAGCGGCCUUAUAUUCGGUGGUGGAGUUGGAAGCGGCACGUCAGCACUCUCUCUUUCACUUCCCUUUUUUGGACUUCUGUGAAACACUGAACUUAGUUUUCCAAGGCCUCUCUUUAGUUUCGCAUGCCGAUGAGAUUUACCACCAUCCAAACUCUCCUCGUUACUAGUAUCGCUAAGAUGAGAUCGUGAUGCAGGUGAACUAGGGUUUUCUUUGAACCCCUCAUUUGUCUCUCUAAGAAGUUGGGACUCCAGAUAGCGGGCCCGUCCUUUGCGAGGUUCCCAUGUUUGGGAGAUAUCACUGCCGGGCCGGUGCACCCACACUCCUGUCUUUUCUUGUCCCUCAAUGUCAAUGGGUUCAAACUCGUCUGCCAUCUUCUGAUCGCCAUCACCCAGGUAUUCAUUGCUGUUGCGGGUUUCGGCAGUAGAGCUCGAUUUGGGCGUUGUGCUUUCAGCGGGCUUGGCUGCUUCUUCUUCCUCACCAUUAAGAUCUUUCUUCACCUGCAAAAUAUUUUGCUGGCCUAAGUUCAGCAGUCAAGUUUUACUGCAAUCUUGACAUGUUGUUUUUACUUGGUAGAAAGGACACCUUUUCUGGUUCAUCUUCGAUGACAGUUAUUGCUAAGUGAAGCCUUCCCAUUUUAAUAUUAUUCAAUGGCAACCACUUGUCAUGUCUUUGUCCUCCCCUUAAGUCGUUGAUGUCCACACAACAGUUGCUGCAAAGAAUAAUCGUCCAAACACUAAUUUGUUAUAUUUUAACUGAAUGAAAAUCUUCUUAUUGGACAAAUUACCUUCAAGAUGUACAAGAAACUUUUCCCAGUCAAACUAUGAGAUUUAACAAUAAAUGCUAAAGGCACAAGUAACAAACCCGAGCGAGUCAUCGAAUAGAGGGUCUUUAUCACGAACUUGGAGAACAAGCAAAUUUUGUGCUUCCCAUGAGCUGAUAGGAAUUUUAAAUUCCUCCAGCCACUUUGGAGUUAAUGUUUUUCGCUGGAUUUUCGUCUGGAAUCUGUAAGGACCAAGGUGGGCUUUCACAUAUGGAUCAGCGAGUCCUACAUAUUGAUUAUUCAGCAGGAUAAACAUUUAAAGAGGAGUCAAAACUUUUGAAUAAGAAUGAAACAAAGAAUGACCAUCAACUACAAGUAGUUGUAUAAACUUACCAUUUAAAUCUGAUGGUUUCAUGUUAGCUCCUUCUAUAAUCUCCAGUUGUACAUAAGCGAUAGGAGGUUUCUCAUUGACAGUGAACCAGUCCCCUGAGAAAUACAGCAUAAAAAGUGUUUCAAUAAGCAAAAAAAAGCUAUAGAACAAAUUGUUCUUCUCGAAGCAUAUGCAACAUGUAAAGAAAAUAUCACAAUUCUCUGGUCUCAGUAUGAAGUAAGUGAAUAGCCUCAAAACACCUGUUCCCUUAUUUCUCAAUUAGACAAUUGAGGAUUUUGAGUUAAUACAUGCAGCUAGUUACUGAUGGUGCUAUAUUUUGUGUUCACCAACUAUCGAGUGUCGCAUGGUUGAACUUGAAAAAGAUGGUUGUCUCGCUGACCACAUCAUGUCAAAUGUCUUUGUUCGCAUAAUACAUCAAGUAUCUUAUUCUUAGAAAUAUGAGGUCUAACAUUUCUACAUGUUCAAUCAGAACUCCUGAGUAAAAGAUUAUGUUGAAAGCCUUUAAAUCAUAACCAUGCAGUCAACUCAGAGAGCCUGGUAAAGCACCAACCAUAGCGUCAUUCACAAACUAAUCAAUAACUAGUGUAUACUAUAUGUUUAAAUACUCAUAUAUUUACUAUAGCUUUUGCAAUACCAAAAUAAUAUGACAAAGGUCCGCCUUAUGCACAGUCAGAAUCCCAUAUAGUAAGAGGAAACAAAAUGCCAAAAUAAUCUUGAAGGAGUCAAGCAUUCAAACAGUGAUGGAAUAAUUGAACAGAUAUGGUAAUGACUCUAGUUUAAAAUCUGAAAAGCUGUAACCUGAAUGUUUGCGUGUUACCUGUGGGUGCUGAAGCAAAUUUUUCCACAUCAACAACAAGCAUGUUGGGCUGAGAAAAAAAAAGAAGCAUUAUCUCUAGUAAUUGGAAGUAGAAAGUCUAAUAUUUCCAGAAGAACCGAAAAGAAAAAUAAAAUUCACAUAGUAAUUGCAGAAGCUUGAUCCAACAAGAAUAAUAUAUCCACCCUUUCUUCUAAUAAAGAGACAUGAGCUACAAAUACUAAUGCUUUUUGAAUCAACAUAGUCAGAAGAACUAACCUCAACCAAUGUCUGCCCAAAUGCGACAUCCAACAGUUUAUCCUACAAAACCAAACCAGUUACAUGAAUUCACUGAGCAAUAAUGGAUGGAAUUAUAUAUAUAAGCAUACAUAUUUAAAAGAAAAAGGAAAAACCUACAAGCCAUCCUGAGAUUCCAGGAAGUUCAGUUACAUCAAGCCCAUGACCAAAUAUGGGCUUCACUGUCAUCUGGAAAUAUGGAGGCUCAACAAAGCAUACUCUGACACGUCCGAUAAACGGCCAUUCCCGGAGAAACUUCACACCUACAAGUACCUGUAUCAAAGAAAAAAAAAAAACUAAAGAGAAAGAAGAAAAAAGAAGGCCUUAGUUUGUCCAAAGGAUUAAUAACAGUGCCUAUUUCACAAAUAGUUAAAAGCACACAAAACCAACAGCAAGACAACAUAGUAGACCAAACAUGUGAUUGCUUAAUCUGUUAUAUUAUCCAAUGGAUUCAAAACCAAAUGUUGCUUGGGGAAGGAUAUUACUUAAUCUGAUCCUAAGAAGUACAUACAAUUAGAAAAAGAUUUGAGUUCGAGCAUGGCUCAUUUCUCCUGCUUUUCCCCUUUUUCCGCUCAACUCCCAUAAUUAACAACCCCACAAACAUGGAAACAAACAUGGAAUUGGAAAUCCUGUUAAUCCUCUCCCUCUGUCCCUUCCUCUAUCUCAAAUUGUCGCUAAACAUUCAUAACUCCUUACAUUUUCCAUUUUUUGACCUUUAACAUGCAUCAUACAUGAACAUUUGCUAGUUUAAAGUAAAUUAACAACUGCAGCAUAAAAUUGUGGUUACAAGUUAAACGCAUUCCACUCAGACUUUGAUGACCACUGACUUCCCUGAUCUUCAAAGAGAUUAGACCUCCUCUUCCUGAUAAUAAUUUUGGAAACUAUCUACCCUUAGAAAACUAUAAAUAAAUGUCAUAAAACAGAAGAACUUAAUAGGAAAAUAUUCCAAGGACUGCUCCACUAGAAAUUGUCAGAUUAAAUAGGCCAUAAACAAAAAUAUCUUCACCUUUCCUUCAACAUGCAUACCAGUUACAUGCAUGUUUGCUGUAAUGCCAAAUCCUAAUCUUUUCCGCAGUUGCACUGCGAGUAUUGCACUCAUGUCUUCUGCUGACAUAAAAUUCAACCCCAAUUCUAGAACCUGCAAUUUCCAGCGUAAAUGAAAAUUUUUUUAAAAAAAGAAAACUUUUUCUUGAGAGCACCAUACUGUAGCAGUAUAUGGUAAGUUGAUAGCAAAAUCAGGAAAAGAAAAAAAGAUAACAGAUUCAUACCAAAUGGUCAUCAUCUGCUUGUUGAGCAAGGACUCUUAUAUCUGUAAACAAAGGUGGAUUUCUACCCAAGUAAAGAUUCUGAAUAGCUGCUUUUCGCUGCAAAAUAUAUUGCAUACAGGAAUCAUUGAUUGUUCGACAUGAGGCACUAAGUGCAGUUAAACCUAUUGUUUUACAAAAUUAAAGGUAGUGCUAGGAUAAAAAAAAAAAACAAUGUUCUCAGAACUCAAUAGAUGUAGUUAAAGGUAAAAAUAAUUAAAGCUUAAAUAAAUUAUAAAGCAUUGUGAAAUUGGUACCUGAUUUUUUUUUUUUCUUUUUUCCUUACUACCUUACCAUUCGUUAUUUUUGGAAAUUGGAACCAUUUCAAAAUGCAGUAUAGUUUUAAAUAAGAAUUCCCUUUUCUUUUCCCUGAGGUCACAUCUAUUAAGUAGAAGUCUAGAAGAUAUGAUCAUGGAUAGGCAGAGUAAUAGUCGUAACAUAUCUACAAACUGAAUCACACAAAUGUAAUGACGAGAAAGCAUACAGCUGUCCAAGGCUUGAACUUGUCCAAGAACCAUGGUAUGAUGGGCAGAAGGAACUGCUGAGACGCAAUCUUUUCAAGGCAUAUAGGCCAGAUCUUCUCGACCGCAUGAUUCAACCAUCGAACAGAUUCCGUAUCAGAGAGAAGCUAAUGCAUGAAAUAGCAUGAGUCAUUACUAUCAACAUCUCAAACCCCCAAAAAACGAAAAGUUUAGUUCUCAAGCAGGUUUACAUUACAAUCAACAUGAAGAAAAAGUACUCGCUAAGCACAUAACUUGUAACAUACCCUUCUUUGAUUGGCACAUUUUCUUUCCUCGAACUGUAAUCGCCUUUGUAAUCGCAGUGUGCAGCGCUCAUUUACCUAUUACAAAGGAUUAAAAAAGUCACUUUUUCUCGACUAAUAAGUAACAAAUACCUGCCCUAAGCACUUUUCUACCAAAGUCUACAGUAAUGCCAUUACUCUGAGAAGUACAAAACUAGACGAUGGUCGCCUAAAAUCCCCUCAAACAUACAAAAUCGUCAAUUUCAUAAUUAUUAUGUCUUGUAUAGACCACAUAACGCAAAAAAAUUGCAAGGCAAAUAAUUUCAAGCAUAUAUAAUGAUCUAACACCUAGAAAAAAAAAAAAAAAAACAUUAUUAGGAUAAAAAGUCAAGGCACAAAGUUAAACAAGUUUGAGAUGCUAUGAUCAACUCCUGAAAUUCGUUCCCACCAUUCAGAUGAGCGAUUACUUCCCACCGCAAAAAAAAAAAAAAAAAAAACAACAACAACAGCAGUAACCAUGAAUCUUCUAAAGAUUCGCAAAAUUGAUCCACAUGAGACAACACCACAAGUAUCACCAAGUACGAUCUAUUUCACUUUUCAUCGUAAAAAAAAAAACAAACCAAAUAGUGAGGGUAAAAUUACCAAGUAGAGAUACAACAGGGCGACGAAGAAAAGGACGGGGUGGGACCAUCCGAUCGAAAUGGAGAUCCACAACAGGGCAAGAACCAACGUGAUGUGGUGUAUGAUCGACACCUCCAUUAUAUUCAUCUCUUUUACUCGAUUUUUUUGAAAGAGAGAGUAUAUGCGUUUGAAUCUCAGUAUAUAGUAUCGAGAGAAGGGAGAGAAAGGGAAGAGAAAGUGAGAGGGAUCGGUUACGCAGAGAGAAACUAACAGACUCGGAGGAUGUUAAUCAGAUGUUAUGAACUUUUAGAAAUUGGAAUUAGGAUUAGAGGCGAAUUGUGGGGGAUUCAUCCAUCUACUUUUAAAAAUUAAGAGAAAGAAAGAAAAAUAUAUAAAAUAUUAUUAUUUUCGCUGAUGAAGCGGAGAGUGAUAUAUCGUGGCGGUUGAGGCGCCUCGUCACGCGUCGGCGUCGCCGGCGCGUGGACUCGGAGUUUGGAGUUACCAGAACUGGUGCACGUCAGACUCUGGCAUGCGGGGCCCACAUCGCCAGCUUUCUCAGUAUACUGUAGCCGUCCGAUGACCGUGCUAUUGCGGUUUCCUUUGAUAAUUAUUUACGAUAUAAUAAAAAUAAGACUACUAUACUUUUGAAAGCACGGAGCCUUUUGUGCUUUCAAAUUAUUUUUUAUAUUGCGACUUUCGAAUCGUCAAUCGAUUUUGUUAAACUUUUUUUUUUGAGAGAUAGAUAGCACGCUACCCGCUUUGUAUAUUUCAUUUAGAAAUAAAUUUAGCUAGAAAUGUGAAUCAACUAGAAUUCGAACUUGGGUCUCGGGUACCAAUCACCAAGUCCUUUACCACUUGCUCUAGAGACGGCCAGUUCGGCUCCGUUAAACUUGAUCUAGAGUAUUUGAAGUACCUAGAAAAUAAAUUUUGCGAUUUUUCGAUAUUAUUUGUCUAGUGAACGAAGGCGUUCAAAAUCAACAGUUGAAAAUAAAAAUUCUAUAAAACGUAAUAAUAUGACAUUAAAAUUUUAGAUCAAUAUCUUUGAUCUUGUUUUAUAUAGUAUAAAGAAUUUUCUAGCAAAAUUUCACGUGAUUUGAAUAUUUCUACAUCGUUAAACUUGCAAACGGCUCACUACGGCCAUUAAAAUUAUUGAUUUUGAACCCCUUCGAUCACUAGGCAAAUAAUAUCGAAAAAUUAUAAAAUUUAUUUUCUAGGUACUUCAAAUACUAUAGAUCAAGUUUAACAGAGCCGAUCGACGAUUCGCAAGUCGCAAAAUCAAAAACGACCUGAAAGCACGGAAGGCUUUGUGCUUCCAAAAGUAUAGUAGCCUCACUCAUAUAAUAAUACGAUUGAUCAUAUAUAUAAAAUAUUAUAUAUAAUUUUAUAAAAUUGAAAAAAUUAACUAUUAAAUUAUACAAUUUGUAAAGUUAUAUAAAAAUUUUGUUGGAAAGUAUGAUAUUUCUAAAGCUGCUAAUAUAGCAAUAAUAUGAGCAAUACUACAUGUACAUCGUAAUGGAUAAGAUGUUUUUAUUAGACAAGUGGUGUCAAUCCCACUCAUUGAAUAAAUGGGGAGGAGUGUAAUAUAUACACCCGAUUGGGGAUGUGUAAAUAGUGUUUUUUCAAUAAUAUAUAAUUACAGUAUUGUGAAUUAAAAAUAGGCCAAUUUGCAUAAAAAAUCCACUUAUUUUGGGCUUUUGUAAAAUCGGGCCAUUUUUUUCGUUUUUGCAGAUUCGGUCCGCUUUUUCAGCAAACUGACCAAAAUACCCUUAUACCUUUUUCUCUUUCCUCUUUCUCUCUCCUUUUUUUUCUCUCGUUCUUUUUUCUUUUUCUUCCCAGAGAGCGGCGAAGACGGAGCGGAGGUGCCCUUAUACCUUUUCUUUUCUCUUUUUUCUCUCGUUCUUUUUUUUCUUUCUCUUCCCAGAGAGCGGCGAAGACAGAGCGGCGUCGCCGCCGGCGCCCCCACCUUCCUCGCGUCCGAUCCCCCCAAGGCCGGGCUGUGACUUUUUUUUUUUUGCAUUUUUCUUUUCUUUUCUUCUUUGACUCUCCUCCACAGUUUCCGACGACGGCGCCUCUCUCGCUAUUUCCUGCCCUUCUCAUCUCUCCUUCUCCCUCCUUCUCUGCUGCCUCCGACGACGAUGCAUCUUCGCCGACACCGACGCCGACACCGUCGAGAUCACUGCGGCGCUGCAGCCUUGGAGUGGGGGGUCUUUAGCGGCGUCGUCACCGACACAGUGGCUAUUGACAGAGAGGGUGACAAAAAAAAAAAAGAAAUAGAAAAAAAAUAAAGAUAAAAAAAUAUAUAAAAGAAAAGGAUGAAGAUGAAAUUGUAUCGUUAACUACAAAAAAAAUUACAAGUUGCACUACUUAAGAUGUAAACUGCAGCUUUAAAAUGAAAAUUACACUCUUUAAACGAAAAUUACACUCUUUGAAAGAUAUUUACACUGUUUCUCUUCUUAUUGCACUCUUUCAGAUAUAAACUGCACCCACUAAGAUAAAAAUUACACUCUUUAAAUGAAAGUUGUAUUGUUUCUCCUCUUGUUGCACCGUUUCUCCUCUUGUUGCACCAUUUCUCCUCUUGUUACACUAUUUUUUAUCUUAAACUGCACCCAUUUAAGAGAUAUUUAUACUGCUUCUCCUCUUGUUGCACUGUUUCUCCUCUUGUUGCACUGUUUCUCUUCUUUAAAGAGGAGAAACAGUGCAACAAGAGGAGAAGCAGUAUAAAUAUCUGUUAAAGAGGUGCAGUUUAAAAUAAAAAACAGUCCGACCCCGUUCGCCGCGGUCGCUGCCGCUGCGGCGACGGGAUCGGGCUGGGGGUCCACGCCGGACGCGACGUCUCGACGUCGUCGUGGGAGAAGCAGAGGCGCUGGUCGGCGGCUUCUGCGCGGCGGCGGGAGGAGAGGCGGCGCCGACGGAGAAGAACACGCGCGGCGCUGGUGCCGGCGCCGGUUGCGCUUCCGCCUCCCCUUCCUGCGCUCUGCCGCUCGGCCUCCCCUUCUUCUUCUUCGCCGUUGUCUUCUUCUCCGCAUCCAGCCCGACCCCGUUCACAGCGGCCGCUGCCGCCGCGGCGACGGGAUCGGGCUGGGGUCCGCGGCGGCGGAGGAGAGGAGGAGGGGGUCGCGAGCGGUGGAGAGAAGGGUGAGGAGGGAGGCGACGGUGAAGAAGAAGGCGACGGUGGGAGGCGACGGUCCGAUCCGCCUCUUUUUUUUCGAGAAAAAAAAAAAAAGAACGACAGAAACGAAGAGGAGAGAGAAAGAGGAAAGAGAAAAAAGUAAUAAGGGUAUUUUGGUCAGUUUGUUGAAAAAGCGGACCAAAUCUGCAAAAACGAAAAAGGUGACCCGAUUUUGCAAAAGUCCAAAAUAAGUGGAUUUUUUAUGCAAAAAGACCUUAAAAAUAUGUAAUGAUAAAGAAGUUUUUAUAUAAAUAAUUUACAAGUAUGUUAUAUAGUUGCUCGCACAAUAUUUUAUAGGGACAAAAUCUUGAAUAAUUCGAAAGUAUUUUGUUUCUCUUUUAAAUACGACAGCAAACUGGGAACGUAUAUAAUACGACGAAUUUCAAUUAUUUAAGAGGAAUAUACAAAUUUAUUAAUAUAUUAAUUAAUUAUUCAUGAGAGCCCAAAUUGUGGAACUCCUUUUGCCCGUUCUUUUCCCUUCUAUUUCAUUCCUUUAUAUUAUUAUAUUAAUAACAAUUUGACUGCAAGAUAAGAUGGAGACGUGGGCGAAUAUUCUAGAUUAGAUUUUUGACGCCUGGAAGAUCUGACCGACCGAUACAAAGAUUAGAGCAUUCCACGCGCAAAGGAGAAAGAAGAAGAUCGAAACGGAUGGAGACCUCCGAUGCAUGGGCUUUGAACACCUCGCAAAUUCCGUGUUUUUUUUCUAUUUCACGAGGAUGAUUAUUAUUUUGAUUAAUUAAAUUAAUACUUUUUUUUAGCGAUAGGUUAUCUAUCACUUUCUUUCAUUUUGGAUAUUCUUACGUAAGGUAAUCUAAUUAAACCCAAAGCCCGCGCCUAAUUCAGUACGUAGUUGCCUAUUCCUACAUUUUGAUUAUCCCCCAGCUAUAUCCAAAUGCACAAUUAAUUGUGAAUUUUAUUUUAAACCGGCUGUCCCUAAAACAAGUGGCAAAAGACUAGAUGGUUGGUAUCCGAGGUUUUAAGUUUGAAUCUCAGUUGAUUUAUAUUUCCAGCUAAAUUUAUUUCUAAAUUAAAUAAACGAAAGGAGAAGCAUGCUACCUUCCUCUCACGGAAAUAUAUCGAGAAAAGUUUAUUGAGAAAUUUUUUUUUAUGAAUUCUAAAAAAAUUAACCUUUUUUUCUUAAAAAAAAAACUAGCAUAUUAUAAGUUUUGUAUACACCAGAUAUUAUCAUACGCUGUGGCAGAGACUGGGCCAUAUUGGAUCAGAAUCCGACAUUUUAUAAUCAAGUCUCACAUUAGCUUAUAAUUUAGUUGCCGUAAUGUAUUAAGAAUCUGCUAACCAGCUAAUCUUACGGCCUUUUCUAGUAUAUAUAUCUCCGGUCACUGAGAAGCCACGACACUCUUGUAGAUUCUGAAUUAAUUAAAUUUCUCAGAAUCUAACUCAUUAAUGAAUUAUUUGGUUGCAUAGUUAUUUGUAUUGCAAAUCUUCGCGCAUGUACAACCAUUUCUACUGUUUGGUUAAUUGCUAUCGAACUGCAAUAGCUACAAUUGUGUAAAAAGGGUUAAACUGCAGUAGAUAGGAUAAUUUUACCAUUCUCUAUAUAAAAUAAUAAAAUUUGUAGAGCUAGGCUAGUAUUCUAUCGGUAGCACGGAGGCCUCCGUGCUACCAAGUUGUUUUCAGUGACCUAGCUUUCAAAUCGACGAUCGACUCCGUUAGAUUUGAUUUACACUAUUAAAAAUAUUAAAAAACUAAAUUUCAUAAUUUUUCGGCAUUAUUUGACUAGUGAUCAAAAGGUUUCAAAAUUGACAAUUUUAAUGAUUGAUGUGAUGCAUUUGUGAAUUUAACGGUGUAAAACAAUCCAAAUCUGAUAAAAUUUUUACAGAAAUUUUUUUUCACUAUUUAGAGUAAGAUCAGUACCCCGAUCUUAAAUUCAAGUCUUUUAUCAUCAUUUUUUUUCAGAUUUUUAUUUUCAGCCGUUCAUUUUUAGAUUAUUCAUUUGAUAGGUAAAUGAUGCCGAAAAAUUAUGAAAUUUAGUUUUCAAAUACUUUUAAUAGUGUAGAUCAAGUCUAACGGAGCCGAUCGUCGAUUUGAAAGCUAGAUCAUUGAAAACAACUUGGUAGUACGGAGGCCUCCGUGCUACCGAUAGUAUGCCGGGCCAGCUCAAAUUUGUAAAUAUAAUUUCUGCCCAGUGGCAAUCAAGCUAAUUAUUAAUUUAUAAUUAUAAUAUUAUUUACUAUAUUAGAUCCAACCAAAUAAGAUAGAUAUAAAUACAUAUAAAAAGGGUUUAAUCGGCCUGGCUCCACUCGCCGAACGAGUAAACUUUCUCAGCGAGUAAGUUUUGAAAUCACAAAAAAAAAUCAAACAUGUCACAUUUGCUCAGAAGAAACUAUUUGUGAUGAUCUCUCUUUUAAUUUUACAUUCGUAUGCAACAUUUCGUCUGCAAAUUAUCUAAUUGAAUUAAAUAAAUGAUGCAGGCAAAUUGCAAACAAUUCAGGGCCAACUGGUAAGCAACCUUGCAGCCCUCUGCCAACAUAUUUCCGCGGCUCUCGACAUAUCGAUAAAAAUAACAUCACAACUGGGUGCAUUCUGCCAUGUCAUUGCGUCAGCUCACGGAUAAGCAGGAAGCCAUGGAGAGCAUAAAGAGCCAGUUGCGGCAGUACUUCAGCUGUCGAGAUCAUGCCGCAUUUUGAUGCUUGUUGCGCAUUGCGGCUGCCUCUUGUUCCAGCUGAGAAUCCAUCCUCAGCUCCUCGAAACAAGAGAUGUAUGGUGGUUAAUUCUUCUUCGCCUUUUCCCUUGCUUCCUUUUAGCUAACUUCAGAUAGUGUUUCUUCUAAUUCCAGUUGUUCUUUAUCAUCAGGAUGUUGCAGAGCGCAGCGACGACAGUGUUGUCGAUACGCCCGCUGUUGGUUUUGCUAGCGCAGUCAUCUGACUGUUGUUGGAAUCCUAUCAAACUCAUUGCCGGUACAAUCAUCUUUGCUUGCAAGAACAGAAUUGUAAGACAAGAUCUUCUUCUUUAUAGACUCUAUGUAUGUCUGGCUGUUGCAUGAAUAAAAAGAACAAUGCUUUUAUUUUCUGUCAUCCUCUUCCAUUGCAGGAUAUUACAUUUACUCAAAUCUCCAUGUUUGUGGUGAGACCAACAGUUUAAAGAUCGCCCUCUUCUUUAUUCAGAUAAUGAAGAUUAUCAAAAUUUCACUUUAUACUUAUAAACUUACAAUUUUUUUUAAAAAAAAAAUUGCGUAAAUGAUCAGAUUCCAGUAACUUUGAUUGUGGCAUGGAUCAAGGGUGUCCAAAUGGAUCUUGACUUCGAUCUCCUUGAAACUGCAUCACUGGUUAUGUCGUUUCUGAUUACUGCCUCCAUGCUUCAGGUAACGUCGAAAAGAUCAUUCACUUCUAAAACUUCAAUUCGAAAAUCCAUGUGCUAUUCCUGUAUAAUUUGUUGAUCUGAAGAAUGGUUUUCUUUAUCCAAUUUAAACAUAAUUAGAAUCAAUGAAAAUAAGCAAACAACAAAGGUAUAACUGUUAACAUACGCAUGAAACUGUCGUUGGUGCGAAUGAUGAGAGAUAAUUAACUAAAGAGAGGUGCAGUACUCAUACUAAUAACUACGCAUUUUUGGAAAUUUUUCUUCACAUAUCGUCAUACAUAGUUGAAUGUCUAGAUCUUUUCGAUGGAAAGGCCUUUAAGUUGAACAAAUACUAAUUCACCUGGAAUAAUGUUUUGUUUCUGAAAAUCAAACAUUGCACAAUACAUCUCAAUAAUGUCAGCAAGGUACGUAGUUUCUUGGUUAAGCAGUCCAUAACACAGGUCUACUUUCGUAGGAUGGGAAUUGGCACCUCAUGAAGGGAUUUCUACUCUUGUUUUCGUAUGUUCUCAUCGCGACGUGCUUUUUCAUUCUAAAACCUCUUCAGGUAAGUGUAUAUACUAUAAGAAGGAAAGGGAAUUAUUGUUUUCACUUAAUUAACAAUAUCAAUUUUUUCGGUUUCAUUUGUGUUUGAUUACAGAGCUAGCUUGGACAGCUAAGUCAUUGAAGAACAGCAGUUUGUAAGUUCGACCUGAGCACGGAUCAAUCCCAGCAAACCAUGCAUGAAAGUGGCAUGAUCUCCAUUGAAUAUAAUGUUGCAGCAAUCAAGGAAGGAACAAGAACCAUGCUGUAGAAUGGGGUCAAUUCACUACCCUAUAUAUAAAUAUGUAACCUCAAAAAGCUCCAUAAGAGUUAUUGUUACUAUCAUUGUUCUUCCAUGGCUUUAUCUUACUAAGAAAAGCAUAAUCCAGCAGCUUCUAGACCCCCUUAGAACCAAUUAUCCGAUGAACACAGCAUGAAGAGUUUCUUUUGCUGUGCUUCUUUUUUUUUGUCUCGAUUCCGUAUUCCAGGUGAUUAAUUACCAUAGGUCUAAGUAGUAGCAAGUUCACGACAAUUCGUUAAGCCUUAUAUACAUAAGUCGAAUAAUCGAGUACAGAAUCAUGCGGCGAGGAAAUUUAGAACAGAUUAGUUGAAACAAAACUAAUGCAGGAUAAGGCCUGAUCUAUUCCACAUGUGGGUCAAAGAUGUAACAUACUUAAUAAAAUUCAUACAACCUAAAAGAUUUAAGUUUGUUAAUUCUAAAUCUAUUAGUACACAUUAAUACGUAACGUUUUCUAUUAAUUAUCUCAUAUGAGUCCUCUUAACAUUUCAUUUCCAGCUACGGAGCCUAUGCCUGCACAAAACGGGCAUCACUUUCUCCUUUCGGGACCCUGCAAAACUGCUUUUCCCUUUUAUCAUGCGCGCACCUUAAAAAUGCACCGUAGACACGCAAAAACUCACCAAAAAGCUUUAAUUUCCUGCGCAUCCUCGGCACAGCACUGUUCCCACGUACGAGCAAUUAAUUAUUAAUGGCAUGGCCUUUGGGCCCGUCAAUGCAUGGCCCAGCUCCCAAGAUGUAAAUACACAACAGGGAGGCAUUGAAACGAAAUAUGGCAAAGUCGCUUUAUAUACACACACAGCUACAAGAGCAGUAGCACGUAGAUGACUCUGGCAUAUUAUCUUAAUUUAUUAAAAUAAAAAAUUUAUAUAUACGAUAAAGGGUUAAUUUGAUACAGAUUCAUACAAAUAUAGUAAAUGAUAAAUAUAUUUCUAUAAAAUUUAAUUUUUAUAUAUUGUUCCUAUAAAAGUUCUGAUAUUUUCAAAUAUAUUCUUUUAGUUUAUCACCGUUAAAGAACCGUUAGAGAACUGUUUAUUUUUUCAAUUUUUUCAUCACAAAUAUGUUCUUUCAAAAAGCAUAACAAUAUAAUAUAAGAGAAAUAAAAAUGUAAAAAAACUAAUCAAAAUUAAAUAUUUAAUUUAUGUUUAACUAAUUUUUUUUCUAAUAGAUUUUAGCAUUAUGGACAUAUUUGAAAAUAUUAGAAUUUUUACAGCGAUAAUAUAAAUAUAGUAAAUGACAAAUAUAUUCUUAUAAAGUUUAACUAAUUUUUUUUCUAAUAGAUUUUAGCAUUAUGGACAUAUUUGAAAAUAUUAGAAUUUUUACAGCGAUAAUAUAUGAAAGUUAAACUUUAUAAGAAUAUAUUUGUCAUUUACUAUAUUUAUAGAGAGCUGUAUGAAAUUAAUCCUACGAUAAAUAUACGAUGUAAUCAAAUGAUUGGAAUGGAAUAUCAUAUUCAGUAUUCAAGUUAUUUUUUUAAAAUAAAAUAAAUCACCUCAUAAAAAGUAUUCUAAAAACAAAACUUUUGAAUAAAUAAAAAUAAAACUUUUUAAUUACAAUUAUACUAGAAAAAUCUCAUAUGAAUAAAUUAUUCUACAAUCAGACAGAGACAUGAUUUGUGACCUCUAACACUGACGAAUCUCGGAGACUUGCACUGCAAUUGUACUAUAUAUAUAUAUAUUUUUCCUUUGAAAUUCAUGUACAAGCAUAUAUAAACAUCGGUAAAUAACUAAGUAUAUUUAUUUCUAAACUUUCAAUUUUCAUAAGAAUUAACUUAUUCUAAAGUUUAUCAAAUAUUUUAAAUAUUUCUUUUUGUAGUAAGCUUACUAAUUGAGCAGGUAUACUAGUAGCACUUUGUAAAUGAUCCAGUGAUUGUUAAGCAAUUCCGGCAAUUGAAAUGGAGAGAAACAAGAAAAGGAGCGCUGAUGUGUCGUUCGGAAUCUACGCCGAACUGCACAUGGAAGAAGAUUGCCAAAUUCUUCGCGGAGUUGAUGGGUGGUGGGAAGGCGGGCGGAGAUAUGGGUUUGUCGGAUUGCAGACUUGUCCAGUCCUCUCCACCCCCCCGAGGGGAGGAGCUUUUCUUGUCUGUAAUAUUCUCCGGUGCAAAUUAACUUCAUUACCCAAAAUAAAAAAUAAAAAAAAAUAGUGGAGUGAUCUAGAACUGUAAAAUUAGUGCGAGUGGGAAAAAAACUAAAAUAAAAAGUGCUUGAUAAGGUUUUACACUUCCUUUAGACAAAUAGAAGAAAGAAAGAAAGAAAAAAAGACAAAUUAGAAUAGUUUUUUUAUUAUUAUUCUUCUAUUUAUUUAUCCAAAUAAGACCGAGGAAAUAAUGAAGGAACAGUAGUGCGUACAUGUACCUGAAUAUUUCAUUUGAGAUGUUGGUUUUGCGCCGCGCGAGUACUGCUUAGAGCACAAUUGGCUUAAUUUAGAUCUGUUUGAACUCGAUCUGUUCGGAGAGGAAGUUAAACAUAAAGAGAGUCAAGGUUAGGGGAGGCGCUACAUGUGUCACUUUAAAAACUAUGUUAUCUAUAUGUGCACCAAAUCUUCAUAUGAUGAGAUGAUGAUACGGGAAGAGGGAGUGAGGGUCAUGCAUGAUCUUGCGCAAGACCGCACAGCUUAACCAUAAUCAGCGCAUCGACGUUCAGGCCUAUCCUCUUCUUCUGCUUCUUCUUCUUCUUCUUCUUCUUCUUCUUGUCGCUCGACCGAUUCUAUAUAUUACUGAUGAAUAUGGAUAUAUGGAUAGGCCGGCACGACGAUGCGGUGUCAUAUGGAAGCGUUGCGCGGUCUUGAGCAAAAACAUGCAUCCCAACAUGCGAAAGAUAGAGAUUUUAGCGAGAGAGAGAGAGAGAGAGAGAGAGAGAGAGAGAGAGAGAGAGUCUCCCUUUAUACGGCAGCAGUCCUCGCUGGAUUGCGACCUGCAGUCAUGGCCUUUGAGCUUGAGAGUGGAAGACUGGUAGAGAUGAAGUUGAGGGGGGCAAAGAAGUAGGAAAAUAAGUGCAAUUUAUGGAUCUAAGCCCCCCACAUCCCUCCCUUAAGUUGCACCUUUUCUAUCUACUAAUUACUUUGCUUUAACAUUAUUGGCAAAUUUUAUUUGGCUCUAUUUCUGUCAUUUGUUUUAGCGGUAAUUAUUUACAGUAAAUAUUUUAAUAAUAAUAAAACAAAUUGAAACCUUUACAGCAGCAGAAUUGGAAAUAUGAUUUUGAGUGUGAAAAAAUAAGAAGAUCAGAAUUGCAGAUUCCACUUUUUUUAAAAAAUUAAGUUGCUGAAAGGAAAUUUAUUAUAGUGCUUCUUCUAAUAUUACUUUACGUUCAAGAGAAAUUUCAUUGUACUACUCCAAUAGCAACAUACCACACACACAACAUUGCGCCUGUAGGACCACAAGCCUCAAUCGACUUCUACUGACUCGAUAGCUUUGACAUAUUUAAGCAGAUCAAAUGAUCAUUUCAAUUCAAGUAAAAUUUGUACGAUAGUCUCUUAAAUCACACAUACGCUAUAAUUUGAUAUGCACGUAAUUGUGAGUGAGUACAGCAAAAUUCUUCGUAUUAAUUAACACGGGACCACAGUAAUUAUAUCGUGCGCGAUUGGCAGUUCCGGAUUCAUUAUACCGCAACUCGACCAUCCCAUCCCCGCCUACUCGGUGUCUGGUUCGAAUCAGUUUCGACAAGCCGCACCACUCCCCAAUUAUUGCGCACCUGAAAAUUUACGUCCCGGGGUGAGCGUGUGUAAACCUCCUAUCGAGAUCGUUAAUUCCAACACACCCUGGUCUCUUCGCUUGUGCACUCCCUGCCGGAUGCACUUCGUGCGUCUAACUGUUUUUGAUGCUUGGGUCGGACUAUUGCUGGCGCUACGAAAGGAGAACGUAGUCGAGCAUUAUUUUUCGUAGCCGUGCACGCUGCAGCGUGCGAGCAGGUGAGAGGAGCACGGAAAGUAGGUACACCUAGCUUUGCAUAAGAAACAAGCUAGCUCUCUUGCACACCACACGUAGCACACGCACGCAAAAAAAAAAAAAAAAAAAAAAAAAAAAAUGUACACCUUUAACGAGCUCUUNCCCCCCCCCCCCCCCCCCCCCUUUGCUUCUCUCACGUCCUUAUCCAACACCACCUUAGAAGCAAUGCAAUGCAAAGCAAAAAGUGGUUUAAAGUUUAUACCGACCGCACCUAAUGCAGUUUGGCUAUAAAUUUAAUGGUCGGUAUUUAAAAUUUCAAGUUUAAUAUUUAAUUACUUUAUAUAAAAAUUAUAAAAAAAACAAACAUAAAGUUAUACUGUUUUAAAUGAAGAAUAUGGAGAAUUUAAUCUAAGGCCGUUUGAAUUGAAGAGGCUACGAAACAAUAUCGUCAGAAAACUUUUUGUAGUAUAGCUAGCGGAUUUACAGUUUAGUAUCCUACAAAUGGCUCAGAGUUACAUCCUUACCAUUCUGUGGUUUUUAAAUAUUGUUUCCCGGUAACCUGCCCUCAAAUGUGACGGUAAGUUUCCCAUUUUACAAAAAUGUCAAUUAGUAGUACUGUAAUUUUCUUACUAUGUAACUUAUAAAAUGUAGAUUUUGCUAUUGUGUAUUUGUUCCACUGAAAAAUGGAGAGGGUUGAAAUGGUUUAAGACGGUAAAUAUCAACUUUCAUUGUUUAAUUUAUCAUAACUUUAUCUUCGGCUGAAACUCAAGCUCUCUAAAAUAACGUACGAAAAAAAUGAGAACAAAAUAAACAAAAAUAUUAACUAAUUUUUCAUAUCUCCGGUUUUUACACUAUUCACUUCUUGCCAAAUAAAUAGGAUAACUAAAAAAAUUUUAAUUUUACAGCUACACAAACAAACAGUAGUUUUUUAUUUUUUUAUUUUUUAACAUCUACUCUAUUUUAACUCAAAAAUUUAGCAUAAAUUGAGUUUUAUUUUCGGUGAAGCAAACACGUGGUCGAUGACUAGAGAAUAGUAAUAAGUGCAUAUGAACUGCACUGGGAGGGAGGAGCUAGGGUGAAGCGUUCUCUUGCUUUUUGAAUGCUUGAAACUUAAAUUUCUAAGCUUACCCCAACCCUUUCUCUCUCUCUCUCUCUCUCUCUCUCUCAUCUUUAAAGGGGCCAACUGUGAAAAAGUUACUAUGAAUAGUGUGUACUGGUGGACUUUUAAGAGAAGGCCAGUUUUCCAUGGGAAGUGGAGCCAUAAUAUGAGGCAGGAUAUGAUCAGAAGAGUGGUGAUCAUAUUCAUGGCAGGGGCUAAUUAGUCUCUGUUGACAUAAGACAAUUUAGGGUGCACAAAUGAUGAAAGGGGAAAGAAACUUUUGCAGACACCUUGUCGAGAAAGGUGCCCAUCUGAUGAAGGGCACAACCCCUGGAUUCAUUGAGUAGCUAGGGCUCUUCUCCUUCUGUGAUGGGUGGCUGUAGGGUCAUCAUUCCUUUCAUUGUGUUAUAUAUCCAGCAGCUGCAGGUCCUCUACUAUUUGCUAAUUAACUAGGUUGGAGUAGGUUAAUUUUCUAAGCAUAUCUCAUUCUAACCAAACAAACAAGCACUUUUUUUUUUGUGAAAGAGAGAGAAAAUAGCAAGUUAUUUGUUUCGUUUAUUUUUUUAAAAAAUAAAUAUUAAUAAAAAUGUAAAAUGAUUAAACAUCAAAUUUGAAAUAUUAAGUUCUCAGCCAAUCGCACCAGCUACAGUUGAUAACAAGAGUUAAUAUACUUCCAAAUGAUUUGGUGGUUGGUACCCGAUGUCCCAAGUUCAAAUUCUAAUUGAUUCACAUUUCCAGUUAAGUUUAUUUCUAAAUGAAAUAAACAAAGCGGGUAGCGCGCUAUCUAUCUCUCAAAAAAAUAUACUUCGAAAUGACACUACGCUAGCUCCAACUUUAAAAAUGAACUCCGAGUACUAGGCUGAUUAAUUUGCCGUAUUUCUUCGAGCAAGGUGAUUGUUUGUGUAUAUUGUAGGUAGAAGCUGCUAAAAUAUAAAUGCAUGUAUACGAAUAUACAGAAGCGAUAUAUAUAUUACUGCAUAUGCAUAUUUAGAAAUAAAAAGUUUAAACAAGAGGAAAUUUUUCUUUUUAAUUGAUUCAUGAGCAGUCCCGUUCACAACAUCUCCGUCCCCGCUUAUACAGUAGUUCUUAAAAACCUAGUCAAAACCGUAGGUGUUUUCCCCUGCAUCAGUCCUCUAAUUACAAGACCAAAGAAUAGUCAAUUCGACUUGUAAUGUGGUGAACCACAUGAUUAACUAUAUGAAAUUAAUAUCAUAUCAUUUUACAAACCACGCCCAUUAACGUCAUGAAUUAAUUUUGUAUCAUUUUUCAACAAAUAUCAGACCCGUCUGGUUCGUUAACUUUUCUUGAACAAGUUCAUUUGACAUGACCGGCCUUACAUAUUGAUACAACGACCAAAGGUAUUAAGCAAGCUGAGUUAUGUCUAUAUAUACGGAGCACUAAAGUUGUUUACUUCCCCGUUAUUUCCGGUGAUAGAUUAGUCAACAAUUUACACGGUUAAAUUUAAUCCAAAUUAUUUAAAUUUUUUAAUUUUUUAAUUUUAUAGUAUUAUUUGUUUAUUAGCCAAAUGAAUCAAAUGAUCUCAAAAUUAAAAAAUUUCAAUAGGUCAUAUAUAAGUGAAUUUAAGACUAGCUACUUGACACUAGGAUAAUAACAUUUCAAAACCAUAAAAUUUAAUUUCUAAAAACAUUAAAUAAUUUAAAUCGUGCUUGACAGUGCCAACUAUCAAUUUGGAUUUUGCAUUGCCAAAAAAUGAUGUGAGAGUGAGCUCUCGCGUUUAUUUUUAAAAACUUGUUAUUGUAUCAUGGGCUCAAUCGCUAGUUUAUUGGAUCGCAACCAAGAUACCUAAGGAUAUGUUUGGUAUUGAUCACCAUAUAACACUUUAGGCUAAAUACAUAAUACAUAUAGAAUGAAAAUAAUAAAUCAGUGGAUUCGCGAAAAUUAUAGCAUAAGGGAAUCAACAAAAGCACAAUAUAAUAUUACAUAUGAAUUUAUUGUGUUUUCUCACCAAUCUCCCUGAAGUGCAAGUAUGCUACAAUUGCUGGCUAGUUCUUUCGCAGCCUUAUUUCACAAAUAAAAAGGAGAGAGGCCGUCUCUGGCAUAAAAGGUAAAGAAUUUUGUGUUUGAUACUCGAGAUUCUAUAUUCGAAUUCUGGUGUAUUCAUAUUUGUACUUAAGUUUAUUUCUAAAAUUUUAAACUAAACGAAUAAUAUGCCAUAUAUAUUUUUUUUUUAAAUCAAGAGGAGAGAGCAUCAAGACAAAAGACCGGGUCAAAAGGAAAUAAAAGCAAAAUAAUAUUUUUUUUUUUUAAAAAAAAGUUUGAUGGCUGGAAGCUUCUCAAAUUUAUGGCUGCUCGAAGUCUCGAACGCGUCGCACGCGGUUGAGACUCGUAAAUUAAUUCAGCGUAGGAAUCUUCGGCCCAGCCCAGUGGGACGGGAAAUGGAUUCAUGCACCCGGUGCACCCACACAAUUCUGCACCAGCAAUAUAUGUUAUGCUACAUACAUGGCCCCCAUCAGUCCCCCGUUUAUUAGUUGCGCAAUCAAUUGGGCUGUUAAAUCCCCAUUUUAUCUAACUUCUUAAUUUUUUGCUGAUGUAUAACUAAUGUCAUGUGAUGAAGUAAUAAAUAGCAGUAAGCUACAAAUAACAUUUUAAAAUGGAUAGAAUUUUGAGUUUGCUUUCAUAUAAUACCAUCUAAAAUAUUAUUCGACAUAAGACGAAUUUAAUAUAUAUAUUAAUAACAUUUCGACUAAAUUACAUAUCUGGUUCUAAAAUUAUAAGAUACGUGUAUUAUGAUUCUCAAUAAUUUAAUUGAUUAAAUAUUAACACCAUAAUCGAUGACGCAAUAAUAAUUAAAACGUCUUGCCUCUUUUAUACCGGUAACAAACGGUUCAGUACAUCAAUAUUUAGCCAAAUAAAAUUUUAUUGACACAGUUUAUAAAAUUUCGUAGAUAUAAUGUCGGAUCAUUGGCGCUAACUAUUAAUCCCAAAAACUCGAGCUGUCAAAAAUAAGCAACCAAUUUACUUAAAGCGUACAGAUACAGCGCCCGCGAGUAUGACUCGGUCCAAUCAGUCUCACGCCACUUCGAACAUGACUCGAUCCAACCGGCCUCACGCCACUUGGAACAAGACUCGGCCUAACCGGCCUCACGCCAUUUCGAACAUGACUUAGCAUAACAUGACCUCCUGUCACAGAACAGGAUGCUUGCUCAUUUAAGCCAACAUGUAGGAGUGGACCGGGAGCAGGCAAUAACUUGGGAAGCAAGACUCGGACAGGAGGGACUAGUGGAUGAGCCUCUGCGGCCCUGGUUUCACUUCGUCGCCCAUUUCUCGACUCCUCGUGCGUUCGUCGGCGACGCCAUGAAAAAAUCGGUAGGAAGGAGUGUCAAGAAGGAAGAAGCAAAAGGAGGAGGAGGAGGGGGAGAUGUUGGCACAGCAGAAGGGAGCGGUGGUGAUGUGGCGAUGGGGAAGAUAGCGGCCGAAGUUGGGGAAAUAAUGGAGGGAGGAGCGCAUCCUUACGAUUUCCGCGUCUCCGGCCCUCGCAACCUCCCCUCCCCUAACUGGAGAGAUCUCAUCAGUUCUAACUGGUAAUUCUCUAUUUGAUCGGUUUUAUUAUUUUUUUUCCUGAUUGAUUCAGAAUGGUGUUCGGUUCCCAAUGCAGAACAAUGUGUGGUUUCGUUCAUUCCCUGCAUAAACAGUUGCAUCAAUCUCAAUCCUGUUUGUUUAAUAGGUUAAAAGAUUUGCAGUAGUUGUUGUUCAUAAUUGUCGAGUUUUCGGAUGCGAAAUGCACAAAAGUGUAGUUGCUGGAUGAUGCUGGUUUUGUUUAAUAAAAUAAGAUUGUAUAAAUUGAAUAGGUUGCAUGGUAAAAAAAACUAUGUAGUAUGAACUUUGGUUGCCCUGCUAAAGAAGUAAAUCUCUUUUAUCUAGUUCACGAAUUGCUUUUUAAGUUGCAUUUCCAUGAGACAUGCCUGUUUAUUUUAGUGAAGUUUUAUAUCCGAAUAUCCCAAGUAUAUUCUGAACAUAUCUGGGGCGGUAAUUGAGUUCAAGAUCAAAAUUGACGCAGUAUUUCGUGCGAGAAGGUAACUUGGUCCUCUGAAAUUUAAAAAAAAGUAUAGCAUGCUUUUUGAGUCCCGGACCUCAUUCGCUUUCAAUUUUAAGUGCAGACGCAGGUUCAUAACUGAGCAGUGCUUAUACUUGCAGGAGGGAUCCGAAAUACAAGCGGAUGGCGAUAUCAUGCUUCGUACAGGUUGCGUACUUGCUCGAGCUAGAUAGGCAAGAAAACAGAAUGGGCGAUGACGGUCUCGCCCCGAAGUGGUGGAAGCCUUUCAAGUAUAAGCUGGUGCAGGUUCUCGUUGACGAAAGAGACGGUUCGAUUUAUGGCGCCGUUCUUGAAUGGGACCGCUUGGCUGCCAUGUCCGAUCUCGUGGUAAUGAGACCGCUUGGUGCCCCCAGAGCCGUGCUUGCGCUCAGGGGAACGCUUCUGAAGAGCCCUACUGCGAGAAGAGAUAUCGAGGAUGAUCUUCGGUACCUGGCAUGGGAGAGCUUGAAGGGCUCGGUGCGCUUUAAUGGAGCUCUGGAUGCGGUGAAGCAUGCCAUCGAGAGAUAUGGAGGUAACAAUGUGUGCAUAGGCGGGCACUCGCUGGGAGCCAGCUUUGCGCUUCAGGUCGGCAAAGCCCUUGCAAAGGAAGGUGUAUUCGUGGAGUGCCAUCUGUUCAAUCCCCCGUCGGUUUCGCUUGCCAUGACCCUACGGAUUGCGGGGGAGAAGGCUGGCAAAGCCUGGAAGCAAUUUAGAGCCGCGAGGGCUUCCAGCGAUGGAAUUGUUGCUGCAGCUGCAGUAGAAGGGAAUAGAGUACGUGCAGAAGCUGAGAAAUGGAUGCCGUAUUUGUACGUGAAUAACAGCGACUACAUUUGCUGCUACUAUACAGAUCGCUCGGGAGCUGCAACUGAUACUUCUCCCGACAAACCAGAAACGACAGGUAGUAGCAGUGCUGCUGCUGCAGCCGCAAAGCGGAUUCUGUUGUCUAAAGGGCCAAAGAAGUUUCUAGAAGCUCAUGGGUUGCAGCAAUGGUGGUCUGACGAUAUUGAGUUGCAAACGGUUGUCCACGACAGCAAGCUCCUGAACAGGCAGCUAAGGUCGCUGUAUACCGCCAACCCGCAGCACUAACACCUAUAUAAGGCAGCUAGUGUUUUUCUUCUUUGGAGUUCCUUGCACAAGCAGGAUUGAUUGUAAAGAUUUAGUUCAUGUGGGAGGAAAAUGCGACAUGCACCUCGCAACUGUAAUUACUUCUUUUUAAGUCAGUGUUCUAUUUGAAAUCGAGUUACUAUUGCAUGUGGUUAGCCAAAUCAUGAUCCUAGCGUUUGCUGCUAUAUUACUCAUGGUAACAAUCUUGAAUUGCUUUGUUUCCUGCGUCGAGCAACCACAGGUUAAUUCAUAAAGGAACUAGUAUUAACAUAUAUAGUGCAAUCGCGCAUACAUGGUGAAUAAUAAUAUCUCCAAUUAUGGCUUGCUUAUUGAUGCUUUUUCUUGACAAUUAUCACAAUAUAAAUCUCAACCUAUAAUACAUGCCAAAUUUAUCACUCUGCAACAGCUCUUCUUGACAUCCAUAUUAACAAUCAAAGAUACAGGGGAGAAAUGUAACUCAAAUGGGAAAAAAAGAAGGGAUAAACCAUAAUCACACAAUACUAUAUAUCAUCGAUCAGAAGAGAUUACUUUUGCUUGAUAGAACUGAAUAAAUCCUUGAUUGAGCGAUUUGGAGUGUCAGCACGUGCAACAAUCUCAACAACUUUGUAGAAGGACUCUGGGCACUCCAACGCUUCGACUGCAACAUCUGCCACCUGAUCUCUGGAUAUUGAACCUUCAUAGAGCGUAUCCUACAAAGCAUGUCGAUCGAAAUUCAGGGGAACUUCAAAAAUACGACCGAAAGAGCUAGAGGCAAUUCGAAAUUAAUCAAAAGUUACCUCCGGUUCCAUGAUUAUAUUUCCAGCAGCGGGUUCGUCCCUUAAGCCGCCGGGUCGUAUAAUUGUGUAAUUAAUACCAGAUUUUCUAACGUAUUGCUCGGCCUGCAGUUUUGCUAUUAAUGUCAGUCCAAACACAUUGAGAACAAUAUAAGCUGGAUUCAGGAUUUGGCCCAUCGCCGCUCCAUUGACCAGAAUUGAACUGAUAAGUAUGAAUCUGUUCACCCCAGCUUUCCGACAUGCCUCCACGAGGUUCACCGUGCCGAGGUUGUCUACCUACAUCCAAAUGCUUCUCUGUUUGUUAUGGUCUAGUAAACCUUCUGAUAUGGUAAAUUGAAACUCAGAACGACUUAGCGGCUAUGCAUCUGCAGCAAAUGUCAUCUCAAUUAUGGUUUUCAUGAUUUGAGUCUGCCAUGCAUGCUUCACCUGAGAAAGGAGUUUUUUUUUUUUUUUUUUUUUUUUUUUUUUUUUUUUUUUUUUUUAUCGACUAGAUGUGUCUCAAAUUCUUAGUAGACCUGACUCACUUCAAACUGCGCAGCUUGACAAAAUUCGGCUCACAUUAUGUUGCGGCUUUGACAAAAUUCGGAGAGAUUGUAAACGAAAAAUUUAUUGGGGUUUCGCGCUGUUCAUUGUAAUGAGCUGCACUUCUCCACGAGUGUAAACUCAACUAGCUAGCAUCAAUCCUAAUUCAACAUGUCCAAAGCAUCGAAGCAUUAUAUACAUUUUCACAGGAAUCUCUUCAAAACUAACCUUCCAGGGGGCAAAAAGAUCCCACGAUCGCCUGAAUCCUGUAGCGCAAACCACGGCGUCGGCGCCGCCAAUCGCCUGGGCCAACUUGUCCGCCCCCUCCGUGACGUCGGCCCUCACCUGCCCGAGAAUUCAGAGAGAUCAACAGAAAUCCAACUUCAAAAAGCUAAAAAAAAUUUCUGGAGCUUUUGCCGAAACUGACGAGCUGCAGGUCGGGGCUCUGAGGGAGGCUGCUUCCGGCCCUGUCGAGGUCGGUGGCGCCCGCCCUGACGGCAAACCCUCUGGACAGCAACUUCUCCACGAUUCUCCUGCCAGUCCGCCCCGUCGACCCCGCUACAAAAAUAUUCCUCUUCUUCUUCUCCUCCUCCCCCUCCUUCUCCUCCUCGAGCUCUAUCGCGUCGGAGCUCGUAGCCAUAGCCUGCAUCUUCGGAGGCGAAAAUUUGAUGACAACGGGGAAGGCGAGAGUUGAGUAAGGGAUAAUAAUUCUACGGAGAGCAAGCAUUAUCUUUUUUUUUUUUUAUUUUUUAUUUUUUAAUCAACGUUUUCAGCGUAUUCGCUUCUGUAUCGCCUAUCCCUCACUCGUUUGUAAAUCGAAUGCUCGAGUUUGGGUCGUAAUUAACCGAACUCGAAUACGAUCCAAUCCACACUAUUGUGAGCGAUUCUGAAUGGAGUAGGCUCCUCAUUUGUAAAUUCUUUUUUAAUUUAUAUUCCCUUGGCCUUACAUUUUUGGAAUAAGAUGAUGUGAAUUAAUUAGUAAUUUCAUCAAAUUUAAUAAUUUACAUUAUUUUGGACUAAAAUUUAAUAAAAUUUUUAACUAAAUUUUUAAGAAAUGAGAAGUUGAACUGUUGAAGGGAUGCGUAUUGAAAAUUUUGAAGUUGAAGGUUCAGUUUCACAAUGGCCUAUAGUUGAGGGAUCUCCGUAUAUUUUCACCUUCUGUGAAAAUUUUUAAUAAUGGUUAAUGGAACUACAACAUGCUAUAUAUCAUGGAUUUUUUUUUUUUAUUUUUUUUAUUUUUAACUGCGUUUUCACACACCAGCUGAUCCCUCAAUAUAGGCCAUUGUUACAAUUCAGGUCCAGUCCAAAUCCAUGGAACCAAAAGAAUAUAACGUAACUAUUAAAAUACAUAUAAUUUAAAAGCUCAAAUUUUUGACCCAUUAGCAUUUAUCAGCGCUCCACUAUCUCAACAUUCCAAAUACCAAUCUUUGAAGCUAAAAAUAGUACCAUUUCUUAUCGGAUUUGCUAAUUGUAUAGAAGACGAGCUUUAUGAUUAAAUUAGAUUUUAAGAAUUGAAAAAUAACCUUGAACCAAAAUCGUAAACCGAGAAGAAUAAACCAAGAAGAAUAAACUGUUUUAUGAUUGUAAAUAAAUUAUAUAAGCACUUUAAACAACUGCCAAAAAAGCUCAGCGACAUGGUGAACAGGGUCAGCCAAAUUCGAAAAAUCAGACUACUUAAGUGGUUAACAAGAGAUCCAAGAGAAAACUUUUUGAGCGAUACAUGCUUUUCUUGUACAUCGAAUAAAGAAACUUGGAUUAGAAAAUUAAGAUGACAAUUAGUCCUUUUCUAACACACACACACCACACACAUGCGCACAACAUAAUUAUUAUCAACAUUAACCUUAUAAAAGAAAGCUAUUACAGAAGCAGACAUCAUUAGUACUAUAACCAUGAAACAUAGAGUUAAGAACCACCAAAAAGCGCGACAGCCGUAACUAUAUUAUAUAGACCUAAUUAAAGAGUAAGAGUUUCAUGCUUAAAUAAAAAGUGACAACCAGAAGAGAAAAAAAAGAAGUAGAAGAUGGAUUAGUAGUGCCAUACCCAACAUGAAAAAGAGAGAGAGAGAUAGUAACACAGUAUCAUCAUGGCAACACUAAGCCACUCCUCGCGUAAAAGGAGCAAACAAAACAAAACAAAGCAAAGCAAAGCAAAGCAAAGCACAAGACCGCACGCUACAAUGCUCGAACACCGUCGCCAACAAAGGGAGGCCCACCGCAAAGGAAAAGGAAGCAUCCUCCUCUCUCUUUGUUCCUAUUGCCCUUUUGCCCCCACUUCCAUCCCUUAUCACUAGACAAAGCACUAUUCUCCCUCCCAUCCAUUUAUCAUGAGGCAUAAAGCCGUAACGGAACGUGGGGCAGAAAAGGGCGCACCGAAUCAUCACACUGCACAAUAGCAACAGUUCAUUCUAUUAGAUUUUUAGCAAAAGAGAGUAAGAUUCCUUCUUUAAGAUUGUAACCUUGCUACAAAAGUAGUUGCAAGGGGGAAAAGAAAAGAUUUACCAUGCAUGAUUGUUACUGCUCAGCUGCCGGAGUUGUGCACUCCGAGUUUCUUUACUUCUACUUUGAGUGAUUUCAGGUACCGAACAGCUUCGUCGAGAACGGCAGGGGUAUCCAUCUGGUCUCCACCCGGGAUAAUUCCCUUAAGUGUUCUCACCAUCUUCUUCAUUCUCUCCCUCUUUCGCUCGCUGUUGCUUCCAUUGCUUCCGCUUCCGGAGGGAACAUUGUGGCUAUAAGUGGACUUCAUCUUGCCAGCCUUCCUUCCGUUUGACGACGAGCAUGACGAAUCUGGCGAGCUGCCGCUACGGUAGCUCGGGGUCCUUCCGGUGCUCACCACAUCGUCUUCCUCCCCUUCUUCCGAACUCAACAACGCAUCAAUCUCUUCCGUAUCCUCUUUGUGGUACUGAGUCGAGUAAUCUUCCUCGUAUUCGUUGUCUCUGUAAGUGCUUUUUCCCGCCUCAUGGGCAUGAGUUCCGUAGACGUUGAAGCUUGGGGACCCAAAUUUGUGGGCCAAAGAAGGGUGGAACAUGACCCUGCUUUUGUUGUACGUCUGAUCGAAGAUUACAAAGUUCUUGGGGCAGGUCUCGGAGGGCUGGAACUCGACUUGGUUAAGCGGAGCAGGAAAGUCAUGAUAAUUCCUGCCUACGAGAGAGUCGUCGAAGCCAGGGGCUACUGCAGGGACACCGUUAUUGUAAAGAGCUCCUGCAGGGGGUGGAGAGGUCGUUCCACCAAAGAAUCUAGGGUCACUCUGCAUUAGAUCGCUACUGUGUUUAGAACUUUUAUGAUGUAGUUGCUGUGAGCGAUCAAAUGGCUGUGACUACCGGAAAACCGUGGAUUUUUCUCUCGAGUUCUUGUUUGAAGCAGAGUCGCCGCUUAGCAGGUGAGGAAGGAGCUUAUCUAUCGCGCGUCUGUCAUUCCCAAGACUUUGUUUCUUCUCCCUUUGCGUUGCGAUUGAUGAAGUCUGAAACCAAAUUUUGCCGUGUGUUUGACGAGUCUAAAAGCCAAAACUGAUCACAGGUUGUCUACUGAUUCUACGUAACGGGCUUAAGUAGCUGGCGGAAGUAUUCAGCCUACAUUGGAAUACCAAAGCAUUAGUGGAACCAUAUCAUUGGAAGCACAAUAGUAUAACAUAAAACGCCUACCGUUGGAAUACCAAAGCAUUAGUGGAACCAUAUCAUUGGAAGCACAAUAAUAUAACAAAAACACUAGGUCUACAUGCAUGUAAAUUAACUUACGAAUAAACAAUAGAUAUAACAAGCAACAGAGUUUCUGCAAAUAGAUAUGAAUCAGAGCAAAUAUGUAUCCAACAGAAGUACAUUAAUCAGAAAUAAUUUUUUGUACUCGAAUCGUGGAUAACAGGGGUCAAAUAAAGUUCUAUUAAUACAUGAACACAGCGCAUAUUUAUGUCGAAUGUCUCCAUUUGAAGAAGCAAAACUUGCUUGUAGGGAGGCUACGUAACAGGCUUAAGCAACAAGCUUAACUCUGUUACAACCUUUUGAGACAAAGAUGUCGACAUAGAUACAUACAAGUAACUGACCGUCCCUAAAGCAAGUGGCAAAGGGCUUGGUGGUUGGUACCCGAGUUCCCAAGUUCGAAUCCUAAUUGAUUCACAUUUUCCAGCUAAGUUUAUUUCUAAAUGAAAUAAACGAAGCGGGUAGCGUGCUACCUAUCUCUCUCCAAAAUAAAAAAUAAAAAAAAUAGAUACAUACAAGUAUUUGUAUUCGUAUACUAAUUAUAAACAUGUUAAGCUACUCCACACGCGUCUAUAUUUCAAUAUACACAACAAGCAUGUCACUACAUUUCCCUAUGCUUAAAAAGGUCUCUCAUACAGUUAUACUCCUCUGCUGUAAUAUGUAUAUCACGAAACAGAUACAUACAUUUUCACCCCUCACCAUUUUAAUGUAGCAGUGCGAUGCACGGACGUAUCAGAAUCAGUAUCUGAUUGGUAACAAACCAAAGAACAUGUACUUACGCUGUAAAAAGAUUUACAGCAAAUGCAAAAUUAUAAGCAGUUCGAAGAAGAAGAAGAAGAGAUUGAAACAAUUCCAGUUUUUAAAAAAGUUUUCACCUGACAAAUUCGGACUAGCUGGGAGUAGGCGACGACUCGUGCUUUCAUAAUGAUCUCUCCAACCCUAACCGUGCGAUAUCUCGUGAGAUUGAGCGCAAUGCACAUUCUCAUUCCCGCAGAACCAAAACCAACCAAUUCCCCCCUCCCCCCACCACCCUACAAAACGAAAAACAACCGUCUCAGCAGUUGAGACCGGGAACUCGAUCUGAUCACCUGCAAGCAAACCAAAAGGAACGAUCGUCGUCACGACUUCAUUAAUUUGUGUAAAGCAAUCCGAGAAUUCGAAGAGAUUCGGAGCGAGAGAGGGAGAGUCGAAGCUCACAGAAUGACGCGGAAGAAGACCACCAAGCGGUUGCUCCCGAACAGCCACACCCACGGCAUGUUGUCGUUUAAAACUUCUCUGCUGCUGCUGCUGCUGCUGCUGCUGCUUCUUCUUCUUCUUCUUCAAACCCUGUAAUUUGAUUGAUCGAUCUGAGUAAGAAGAAGAAUCGCGUGAAUUUAAGAUGAAAGGAUAUUUGAAUUGUUUAGAGAGAGAGACCCUGCGAAAAUUCGAGUCUCCAAAUCCUGGUAAACAGAGGAAGAAGAAGAGGAGGAGGAGGAGGAGGAGGUAGUAGUCGAGAGUGGCGUGGGAUUUUAAAGCCCUUCAGAGGGUAUAAAAAGAGAGAGUUUCCUCUUUUUGUUUUAAUUUUUUUUAAUAAAAAAUAAAAAAAUAAAUUUUUUUUAAAAAAAAAAAAUUAUGUUUGUUGGGGUGUUUUUUUUUUUUGAAAAAAAAGAAAAAAAGGGGACGAUGGAGGGAGAUAAUGAAUGAGGGCGUGGGGGCGAAUGGAUGAGUUUUGGGUGCGCGUGCCCUUCCUCCCCCAGUCCCCCCUCUCUCUCUCUUCUUUUCUCUUCGGGCGCUUGUCGUGUGCGUAUGCAUAUGAGACGAGAUGAUAUGAUAUGUUUCUCUGCACGAGCGGGAUGGAAGAAGGCCUCGGCGCCGUCCGAUCUGGCGCCUCGGAGGGCGAGCCCGAGAUCACCGCCCGGUCGGGGAUUGGAGGACAGCCGUCGGAUCGAGGGCGCGCGCGUGACCGCGGAUUCGCUUCCUCUUCCUCCCUCUCUCUCUCCCCCCUUCCCUUCCCUUCAUCCUUCUGUGGGGCCCGCGUGAUUCGGGGGACGUCGUGAUCGCUGUCUGAUAUUUUGCUGCUGUCGGAGAGAGAGAGAGAGAAGAGAAGAAGAGGAAGGAGAGAGGGGCGGGGUGCUGACUGCAUGCACCGCUGCCCGUGCACCGGAUCUAUUACUCUCCUUAUCUCAUCUGCAGGCAGCAAUUCUAUUCCACAUACAUAUCUCAUAAAAAAAAAAUAUUUAAAAUUUUAUAAUUUGAACCUGUUGAUAGAGACUGAACUAUAAUAUAUAUAUAUAAAAUUCGAUUACUAUACCUUUAUAAGUAUAUACCAUUUUAUAUUCAUAAAUUUUCGACCGUUAAAUUUAAACCUUUUAACUAUUUUUAUCCGUUGGAUCAUACUAUUCAACCACCUACCUAUUUAACUUUAAGAACUACUAGCAACCUAAUCGGAACACUUCACUAAAAACUUGCUCAAAAUAUUUUUAAUAAAAUUCAAAAUUUUAUUUUCUUUCGAUGCAAAGCAUAGCUGUAAUUUAUUUUUAUUCUAUGGAAUGUUUUAGUUUUAUUAAAUAUAAAUAUGAGAAGACAACAGAAGCAGCAGAGGCGGGAGGGGCCAGCUAGCCGAACAAACAAAAACAAGGAGGGUGGGAGUGCAUGCAUUGCAUUGCAUUGCAUUGCAUGAUAAUAAUAAUUGAAAUGGAUGGGAGGGGAGGGGGGAGAGGGCAGAGGGGGGUGGAGGGGCCAUGAUCGUAGUCAUUAUAUCAUCCUCGCGUCGGGCGCAUAAAGGAGGGGGGGUGAGGUGGACCACACCGACACCGGGAGGAGAGCUGGGUGUGAUACGGUUGGGUGGAAAUACGGAGUGGACAGCCAGCCCCAGGCAGGCGACGCCGCGCGGCCGCAUACCUCCCCCUCUCUCUCUCUCUCUCCCAUCCAUCCCCCCACCCCGUUUUUGUGGGGCGCCUUUUUUUAUUUUUAUUUUUAUUUUUUUUUGCCAUUUUUGUCCUUCUUGUCUUGAAAAAAUUUCCGAACUAUGCCUCGCGAACUUCUCUUCUCAUUACGAUCGAACUUCUUUUAGCUUUUUUUUUUUUGUCGUAAAAUUUUCAGGUAAAAAGAUACAUCAAAUCUCACAUAAUUCAUGCUAAGUUUGUAGUAGCUAUAAAUAUAAUUUUGUUUGGCGGGAUAUAAUUAAUUUGUAUAGUUGUAUAUAGCUAAAAAUUAUAUUUAUAAAAUUUUAUCACUUAUAUAUGAAAUGGUGAUAUUAUUUUCACCGCUUAUUUUUUAUUUUAAGUUGCUAGAUCUUUUCAAUUGAUGUACUUAUGAUCGUGAUCAAAUUGGAUAUAAGUUUCAAUCAUUAUAGUUGAAGUUGAAUUCAAAUGCAUCAAUUCGGACAUCAAAUUAAAUUUAUGUAUAGUUAUAACUCAAUGCGCGCAACCAAAUAAUAAACUCAUGUAGGACUGACCGUCCGUAGAGCAAGCGGCAAAGAGUUUGAUGGUUGGUACGUACCCGAGGUUCCAAGUUCGAAUCCUAGUUGAUUCACAUUUUCAGCUAAAUUUAUUUCUUAAUGAAAUAAACGAAGUAGGUAGCGUGCUAUCUAUCUCUCAAAAAAAAAGAAAAAAAAAAUCAUGUAGGUAAUCGGCACCAAAAAAGUGGGUUAUGGUGCUUCUGUAAUUACAGUUUGCAUUACAACUUUAUUAUAGCAUUAGAGUAGUAAGCUGUUGAUACUUGUGAAAUCACCAAAACGGAUGCAUUUAGUCUUUAUCAAUCUAGGCCAAGAUAGAAUUUGUGGAAUAAAAAAUGCGACUUUCCGUAACAACUAGUAAAGACGGCUUAGUAGAAACAAAUGAUCCAUUCAUAUUAGCAAAGUUGCAUUACUAGGGACAAAUAAAGUUGAUUAAACUUUAAUUUCAGUCGACAGUGAGAAGAUCCAAUAAACUUAUCUAUCAAUUUUGAGGGUAACAAAAAUAAAAAAAAAAAGAAAAGAAAAAAAGAAUGAGAGGGAUAUCUUAUUAACGAACGAACAAUUUGAGCAAGUGUGGGGGUAGUUUGAGAUAUUUUAUUAAAGAAUGGGGGACAAAAAGGGAACGGGAAAAAUAGAAUUCGAAAAAGUCCCGUUUGUGGUUAAAAACCGACCGCCACCAUUGAUGAGCCCGUGCGAUGGGGUCAUCAUCAUGUUCAUGCCUUUUUAUUUCGAUUUCGAUUUGAUCUCGAUUCCAUUCCAGCUCCGAGCUGUUGCUUUUUAUUCCCCCAUGGAUAGAUCCUCUCUUCGAUUCUUUGGAUACGAGGAUAUCUAUUCCAUUUCCAUCUUGGUAUAAGCCCCAAAAAAAGGAAAAAGAAAAAAGAAAAAGGAAAAGAAAAGAAAAAUUUUGAACGAAAAUAUAAUAAAAAGAAAAUAUUCAAAAAGCUGGUUGGGCAGCUCCCAGAAUCAUAAUUUGGAAUGAUGUGAAACGUGAAGCAAUUUUACCUCUUCCCACCGCUUCUUAGCUGGCUUAGUAGUAAUUACUACCUCUUCGGCCUCGCAUGUAUCCAUAAAGGUUUGGUUUUGAUGUCGCAAGCAGCGGAUACAAGCUUUUCAGUUUUCCUAUAUUUUGUGGCAUAAAUAAAUAAAUAAAUGAGCCGAUUGUUAGCGAGAUGAUCUAAGGACCCGUUUACGUCAAAAGAGAUCUUGAAAGCGAAGCGCGAGUUCGAGUUUUUAGAAACUAACUCGGCCCAAAUCAAACAGAAACUUCAACUUUGAGUAUGUAUUUAUUUCGCGGCGAAUGAGUUGGGUUUGAGCGAGUUGAGCUAAGUUAUUUGAGUGGUUCAAAGUUGCUUAAAACAUUCGACUGAGUUCGACUAAGAAGCUUUUGGAUUUCAAAACAGAAACUCCAAUAGAGAACUUGUGUAGUUCUGUUACAUUUAUGGAGGCAUUGAGUUGUUCGACUAAGAAGCUUUUGGAUUUCAAACCAGAAACUCUAAUAGAGAACUUCUGUAGUUCUGUUGCAUUUAUAGAGGCAUUAACGACCUAAGCUAAGCUCAGCUUGGCUCGAAAUUGAUCGAAGGCCUAUCUCGCGCUUGAUUUAAGUUGAGCUGGAAUAAGUUUGUGGAAACUCGAGCUCUGAUGGUUAGGUCAAUAAGGGAGGAGGGGAGCUCAUUUCAUGCACAAGCAUAAAAGUACAUAGAAUUAGAAAUACAUAAUUGUAUUCACCAGCAAACAUUUGCAUUGGGUGACUGAUUCACGGUUGACAAGGAAGAUUGUUGUGAAUUUAUAUGAACUUAUAUGUCGGAAGAAAUAAUAACUAGAGUAAAUUAAUUGACAGAUAAUAUCCACAUACCAAAUACGUUCUCGACGCGAUCCAUGUAAAGAAAAAGGGGUUGGUUGGAGAAGAUCAAAGAAAGAACUUGUUCUUCUUCCGUAAAAAAUUCUUCUAAUAAUACCAAACCUAAUCUCUGCAAAUAAAGCAUGCCGUACUCUUAUGUUUACGAGCUAAAGUUGACUAACUACAGGUCGCGACGCACAAGCCCCGUAUGGUCUGUGAGGCGAGGUCACAAGUUUCAGAACGAUCUUAGCUUGUGAAUUCACCUCCCCUCCACACAUGUUGAGAUCUGUGUACAGCCCGAGGUCUGCGGUUUGUCGUGGUCAUGGGCUUAAGGGAUUGGAUUGAGGAUCAAAGUUUGUCAGAUGCAGUUUUCCCUGAAGUUUGGAGUUGAUCAAGUAGUUCAUUUGUAGACACUCCACAAGUUUCCAGUCUAGAGUGAAGGACCACGCCGAGGGAAAAAGCAGCAGCAGCAGGAGAAGGAAAAGAAAAAAAAAAAAAGGUCUAAAUUUUGAUUGAUAGAGCAAUGAAGGGAAGAAAAUCAACUCCAGAGUGCUCAAAAUUUUGGGAUUAUCUAGAAUUCCGAAUUUCUUCAAGGAUGAUAUACUGUCAACAGUCUUACUGGAAAGGUUAUUAAAUGACUGCAUGAGAUUUUGAGUGACGAAAAAGGAAGUUUGAAGUGUAUUGAGAAAUUUAACAGCAAGAUUUGUAUGAUAUUGAACUAUAAUUUGCAUUCUAAAAGUGGGAGAAUGUUGGGAAAAGGGUUUCAAUUUCACAGCCCUAUCAGGGUUUAUUUUUCAGCCAUGGAAAAGAGCAGGUAUCUGAAAGAAUAUAAAAAGCUUUAAUCCGAAAUGUGCACAAUUCACGAGAUUGGGCAUACAACAACUGUGGCCUGCUUGGAGAUAGUUUAACUGAAAUACUGUAGUAUCAAAAAGCUGUAGUGACUAGUGCUCACAAGAGAAAUCCAUGGAGUUAUCGAUACAAAUAUAUGACAUGAUUGACGCUAAAUCCUAAGAAAGAAAAGAAUGGAUUUUCAACAGAACAAGCAGUAAAUGCCAACUGAACCAAACAUUGUCCUCACAUUCUGUAUACGAGAAUUUAGUAACUAGAAUUGCCUAUACAGUGUACAAUUACAAGAUCCGUCGUACACUCCCCGACAAAGAAAGAUACCUAUUAACAAAGGAAUGGAAGGAAGAAAGAAAAAGAAGACAAUUUAAAUUUUAUAUAGGACUUCCUCUAUUACUCAAGCAACUAGAUGUCUUAAAGAAUUUUCAAUACCCGAAUUUAGCUAAGACAACAAAUUGGAUAGAACUUAACCAAAGUACUCAUACUUAUUAACAUUGACAACAUCUUAAUAACAAUCAGGUCAUGUUUGGAUGUGGAAUAAGAUUCCGACGAAAACUUAUUCAGUAUAAAGAUGUCCCUGUGUAAUUGUUUGAUUUUUACUCAUUGAAAGGUCUUGACAUACAUGCUUUUGGAAAAUAGCAUAUUUCACUUACAGGUGAUUUAUCUUAUUCUGAAUAAAUGAUUGGAAGGCCAAAUAUGGUAUCCAUUGUUAAGAGUUGAUUACACUCAUCUACCAAAUUCUACAUGCUUCUUGAGUAAAUCAAAAGGAUAUACCGAAUAAGAUGCUCGUUCAUCCAAACAAAUAUCCAUCGUGAUAACUAUCUCAUUAUGCAUCUCCAAUCAAAUACCCAAGCCAAAUAAUUUUGUAACAAUCAAACAUAUAGAGUAAAUCAGACAUUUACAUGAUCGAACUUAAAACAGUCUCUUCCCGGAGAGGAGCUUUAUACAAGAUGAACAAAGAUACAAUUUGAUCUGACUGGUCUGCUAUUUAACAAAAUAAUCACCUGUCAUUUGUUUAUAUGAUGAAAAUAAUGCCAUUCUUUUUCCUUUUGAUUUUCAUAAAUGAAUCAUACUUCCUAAUCCCCUUUAUGGUGGGACAAGUGGUAUAGGGAUAUGCAGCCACUUGUUGAGUUGAUGUAUGGCAGCUUGGAGAUGAUGCAAUGAGAUAGAUAAUGAGUCAGUUCAAGAGAACGAUAGAACAGGAAAAGGAUGACAAAGAAAGUUGAAGUCAGAGAGAUGGUCAUGGUACAGAGGGUUGGACAGUGGAUUGAUUCAAUUGUAGUACUUACACUUUGAAUAGCAAGCCCUUCCAAAACCGAAGGAAGGAAAUAACUUCUACUAGGGGCCUGUUUAGAUACUGGAAAUAACUCAUGAAGCAUAUAAGAACUAGAUGAAGAAAACAUCACAAUAGUGUGCCAAAAGAGAGAAAAGGGCCAAACUUCGACAUUCAAACUUCUAAUGACAUCUCCACCUAAUUCUUUUCUCUGGACCUUGUUCAAUCAAGAGAUCCUCUUCACUCUGAUGUACCAAAAGAGCCGCAUUUGCCAUGAUUAUAUCAUAGUAAUAGAGCAUGCUCCAAAUAUGCUAACCAUCUAAAAUGUUAAUUACCACAGAGCACUACAACAGAGAAAACACAGUGAAAGAAAGAAAGGCGACAAAUCUUCCGCACUAACAGAGUUCUCUUCUUAAAAAACAAAUCUUCAGUAAUUUGAGGAUCAUUAAGAUCCAUUCAAGCAAGAAUACAUAUUCAACCAACUACUUUAGGGUCUAAUAAUUCUGAUAAUACUUUAGUCCAAAAGAAAGCGAAGAUUCCGCAAUUCUAAUGAAAGCUAAAUGCAAAGUGAUUCUUUUUUUUCAUUGUUCGGGAAUGCGAGCUCACCAGAGGUAUCCGGGGACCUUGAUGCGGAUGAAGAGCAUGGCCAUGACGUAGGCGAAGGCGACGGCGGCGACGCCGAAGGAGGCGAAGGAGAGGCGGACGCUGCGGGCGCGGUUGCGGUCGAGGGCGAGGUCCAUGAGGAUGAGGCCGAGGCCGCCGAGGAGGAACAUGAAGCCGGAGGAGAGGCCCUCGAUGAUGUACUGGCCGUUGACGCGCCCGGGGAGGAAGACGACGGGGCGGACGGCGCCGGUGAAGCGGUCCUGCGUGCUGCCGAUGCCGGGGGGCUCGACGAUCACGUCGUAGACGAGGCCGGAUACCACGGCGAAGUAGGUGAGGAGGACGAAGGAGAGCACGGCGGCGGAGGAGGGGAGGGAGAGGGACGAGGGGAGCUUGAGGCGGGUGCGCGGGGCGCGCAGGAGGGAGUAGGGCAGCACGCGGAGGACGUGGAGGAUCGGGUCCAAGGAGUCCAGAUCGGAGGCGGCGGCGGACGCCCCAGCGCCGGCGCCGGCGCCGGCGCCUGCGACGGAGGAGGAGGAGUGAUCGGGUCGGUGCCGCAUCGAUGCAAAAUGGGUUGUGCGCUACUGAUGCGCCUUGCGGAUCUGUUAAUUAGGGUUGGAACUUGGAACUACAAUGCUGUAGACUACCGCGUAGAGCAGUAGCCCUGACCUCACCCCGAAAAUUUACGGAUGGAUCGAGGGUUUAAGUCCGAGUUUGGUCCAAAAUGGUCGAGCUAGGGCAGGUCAGUUCUGGAUGAAACGGAAAAAAGAAAAGAAAAGAAAAGAAAAGAAGGGCAAGGGCCUAUAUUUGUUUCCAUGAAUCUCAGUGGUUAGAACUCACAACUUCAAGAAAGUAGUAGGCGCAUCAGGCAAUAGGCAUUAAAGGCGAGAUCGGCUGAAUUUUCACUCACAAUUAUUUAGAGAUCGAUUUUUUGACUCAAGUGUGGUGAAAUUCGAAGUGGAGUUCGCGAAACUUAUAAGUUAUUUGCGCCCCAACUUUCAGCUUUCAAACAGGCCACCAGAUGAGGUAUGAUUAGAAUUUUUUAUGAGCUUUAUUUUGGAGGCCUGCCCUAGCCCAAUGAACCAGAUCGGUACAAUUAGAGGCACAAAAAGUUAGAUCAGGUCCAGUUCGAUUGCACUACAUCUCUUAUUAAUAACCAACAAUCAAUCGGCCACUAGAGAUGCAAUUUCUUAUUAAAAAAGCUUAUUAGCCACUUUAAUCACAAAACAAAAGAUAUUAUCGAUACAUCUUGGAUUGAAAUUUUACAAGCCUAAUAACAAGUUUCUUCAAGUUGGUGUAGAAUGAUUUGAGCGCCAUGCUGUGGCUGCAUUGUUAGAACGGUGUAGGGAGCAUGAGCAUAUGUAGGUGAGAGUUCAAAAGAGAAAUGCUGCAGAAUAGUGGCCAAAGCCAUUUUUGCUUCUAUCAAAGCAAAGCUCUGUCCCAAGCAGAUCCUCGGACCCCAUCCGAACGGAAAGAAAGCGUUCGGAACUUUUGAUGCCUUCGAAAUCCCUUCUGAAAAUCUCUCCGGGUUGAACUCUUCAGCAUCCUCCCCCCAAAAUUCACGAUCGUGAUGAACAAGAAUCGCCGACAGCAAAAGAUCGACGCCAGCAGGAAAGAUGAACUCUCCUAAUUUAGUGCUCUUAACCGUAGUACGAAGCAAAGAGACCCCCGGAGGAUAUAACCUUAGAACCUCAUAAAGUAGCAUAGUAACCUGCAUGAUACAGAAAAAAGUUGGAUAAUGUUUAGCAAUGAACAAAGAGGAAAAUUUCGUCGAAAUGAAAGCGUUUUUUCUUACGAUCUUAAGGUGGCUAAUGGACUCAAAAUCAGGUUUGUUUCUCCCACAAACUGCAAUAACUUCUUCCCUCGCUCUCCGCUGCCACAUUGGAUGAUUGGCUAAGAGAACCAAAGUCCAUGUGAGCCACACAGAGGUGGUCUCUUGGCCGGCAAAGUAGAAUAGCUUGCACUCAUGUAUUACAUCCUCUAUUGAGAUACUGUAGCCCUCGGCAUUGUUCACACUACUUAGCUGCAACAGCAAGCCUAGCAAGUCAUCGCCGACGGAUUCUUCUCUUCUCAUCAUACUCAACUUUUUAUCGAUCAUUUCUCUUAGCAUGCCGUUGACUUGUUUGUUUAUGUACUUUCGCCUCCUGUUCUUUGCUGUUGGCAGAAACCUGAAGCGAAGACAUUCAAGAGAUGAAACAGAACCGAUAUCUAUCCUUUCAAUCAGAGUUGAAUUGAUCAUCAAAACAAUUAGACCAACAAUUACGAUACAUUUUCACAAAAUGAAACUUUUCUGAAGCUUUGAAUCAACCAUUCAUUCUAAAAUUGCUUAAUAACCGAAAUAUCCCGAUUGGUUCGACUUCUCUACUUAUGGAAUAGGAUAUUACGGUAUCUUAUGGAUAGAAUCAGAAUUGAAAGAUAAUAUCGAAUACGAAUGGGCUGAUCAUAAGUACCUGAAGCCGGGAAUAUAAGGAGUCCGCGCAGCUUCGAGUGCUAGCACGGCUUGCUCUUUUUGCAGUUCGAAUAUCUUCUUUCCCUCCUGAUAGCUGCUUCCGAAGGCAGUUCGAGAGAUGACAUCACCGGUAAGAUUCUGCAACUCGGGCCAGACAUCUAUCUCACAAGAUCCGUUGGAUUUGCUCACCAAGUCCUGCCACUUCUUGACCAUGUCAAUGCAACUGGUCAGGAAGGCCGGAAUCAUCCCCUGAAAUUGAAGAAACGGAACACAUGUUCAAUGAGAAUUAAGUACUGGAAGGAUCUUAUGUGUGGGACACUGUCCUGCGGUGUAAGAACUAGUUCUAUUAUGAGAAUCAGUUAUAUACUCAUAUUAGAUUAUAUAGAGCAGUGCAUAUUAGAUUAUGAAUUAGAGUUGUAAUUGUUGGCUUAAAUGGGUCAGAAUCCAGGUAUGUGGCGGGAGGUCAAGUGAGUCGAAUCACGUUCGAAAUGACGUGAAACUGGGUUGAGCCGAGUUAUAUUCAAAGGGGCGUAAGGCUGAGUGGGUCGGGUCAUAAUUGAGACCCGUGAGCGUUGUAUCUAUACGCUUUAAAUAAAUUGAUUGUAUAUUUCUAACAGCUUGAGUUUUUAAAAUUAACGAUUAGUGCCAACGAUUCGAUAGUAAUAGCACCUUUAAUUUCUCAAGAUGAAAAGCCGGGACAAUGGCCCUCCGCCGCAUAGCCCAUUCCUCUCCUUCAAGAACCGCCACCCCCGAUGCAAGAAGCUGGACGAGAGGGUUCACUGGCGGUUUCUGAAUCUGCCCCAGCUUGUCCGUCAGCACCUCCCUUAUCAUCUCUGGUUCGCAUAUGAUCACCCUCGGAGUCAUCCCGACCCACAUAGUGCUCAUUUUCCCUGCCAUUGCGAGGAUACAUCAUUCAUCGCAGCAGAGAUCAGUCAAUUGAACAGCUAAUUAGACAGAGUAUGCAUGCAUGUUUGGCUCUGAUCCAGACCUGCGGACUGUUGUUCGUGUUAUGACAAACGCACAAAUAAAAACGAAAAAUAGACAAACCAUAAGUAGAAAAUAAAAAAACACACAAAUUUAAGUGAAAAUCUUUUGCGGAUAAAAACUACGGACGAAUUCACUGUCGGUGUCGAAUGAAAGAAAAAAAACAAAGUACAGAGUACAAACAUCAUCUGUCGCCUCUAAGGGAAAAUAAUAAAGAAAAUCCGAGUUCUCCACUACACAGAUAUUCAUUUUUCUUUUACAAUACAUUUCCAAAUUAAUCGUACAGCAAAAACCGUCGACAAGUCGGAGUCCCAAAAUUGAAGUCGAUUACCAAUUUCGAAACACAUCUAACAAUUUGCAUAUAGCAGCAGUAGAAGCAGAUGCUGCAAAUUAAAACCUGUUCUCUUGGCUGAAAUUCAGUUCAGCUUCGCGCUUCAGCGGGAGUUUGAGAGCAUAAUCAAUAAACCAAAUAUUGAUUGAUGCAGUUUAAAAAAUAAGGUAAGUACUUGUUUGGGUUCGCUUUUAAUUUCAGAGGUCGUUAGAUCAUGUAUACCACAGGAGUCUGAUAAAGGAAAUCACACCGUAUUUCUGGACCGUUUGAUAGAUGAACGGCACGGCACGCGGCACGAUCUGGUGGGUCAGAUCGAUGGGCUUGGACCACGCUUCCUUGAUGGUCUCUAUCUCGUCCUUCACGUCCCCGUGAAGUAGCCGGUAAGGGUUGCCGCUGAUGCCCUGGCGCCGUAGCUGCUUCUCCAGCGUCUUCGGCUUCCACCACAGGGAGUAGAAGAUCCUCCAACUGCAGUACAGCAGCAGCGGGAGAGAUAGUGCAUAGAGCACGAGAAACGAAAGUUGCUCCAUUAGUUGUUAAUGCUCCUUAAUUAGCUAACACUUGUGGAGUUGGGUGGAAUGAGUGGCGCUAUUUAAACUAAACGUAUCCGAUGUUUUCUCCACUGACUUCAAUCUGGGAGUCAGAAAAAGUUGUCACAUCACCAGAGAUUGUGGACGGAUUUUGUUUCGUGGAGAGCAGGCUAUGUGACAAGGGAGCAGAAUCUAACCACUUAUUAUUGCACACCUUGACGUGAGAUGUGACAUCCGGCGACUCCUUAAUAUGAAUUAAAAUAAAGGCCGGCAAGUCCGUCACGGCUCUCAAUUAGGCCACGUGUAGCUGGCCCAUAACAUGAAAUAAUAAUAAUAAAUUCUAUAGUACAACAGUUCUAUUUCUCCAAUUAAUUAAAUUACUUUUUUAAAACUCUUCCUUUCCAAUACGAUUUUUUAAAAAAAUAUUUUUAUUAUUAUUAUACGUUUUUUUUUUAAAUUAAGAAAUAUAAUUAGAUGGAUAUAGAUAAUAUAAUGUGACUGCUGUAUAGUAGACUUCCUUCAUGACAUGGCACGAUAAGGUUUAUACUGAGCAACACGCUGGGUUAAUUUUUUUGUUUAGUUUUAAAAGUUUUUUAUUUUUCUUAUUGCAAAUAUAAUUUAAAGUAUUCAAAUUUCAAAUAUUUUUAAUCGAAGAAACUUUUUUUAUAUAUAUUUAUACAUAAUAAAACAAAAUUUAAAAAAGAUUUUAAAAAUAAAAUUAAAAGAAUUUCAAAGAAAAUUAAUAGCAAGCUAGUAACUGUUUCAAGUCAAAAUUAUCAAUCCCCAUAAGAUUAACUUGAUUUGUUUUUCCUCUGACUUACACCAUCUUUGUUCUUUAGCCAUUGCUUCAAGCCAACUAUGUGAGUUGUAACUAUGCAUUAAUUAAGUUACAUUAAAUCUCCAAGAAUUGAACACCGUGAGCACCAGUACAUAAGCGCGAUCUCACCGAAGUGGCGCGUAACCACAAUUCAAGCACAGUGGCAAGCGAUCUCGCAUGUUUUUUUUUUUUUUUUUUUUUUUUUUUUUUUUUUUUNUUUCUUAUGGGUACUAUGGCAUAUGAAUGUGCUGAUCAUAAUUAAGUACCUAAAGCCGGGAAUAUAAGGAGACCGCAGAGCUUCGAGUGCUAGCACGGCUUGCUCUUUUUGCAGUUCGAAUAUCUUCUUUCCUUCCUGAUAGCUGCUUCCGAAGGCAGUUCGAGAGAUGACAUCACCGGUCAGAUUCUGCAACUCGGGCCAGACAUCUAUCUCACAAGAUCCGUUGGAUUUGCUCACCAAGUCCUGCCACUUCUUGACCAUGUCAAUGCAACUGGUUAGGAAAGCCGGAAUCAUCCCCUGUAAUCAAAGAAACGGAGCGCAUGUUCAAUGAGAAUUAAGCAUUGGAAGGAUUCUUGUAUGAGAUUAGAUGCACUAUAGAGUGUGGGGAUGCUGUACUGUGGUGUAAGAACUAGUUUCUAUUAUAAGGAUCAGUUAUAUACUCGUAUUAGAUUACAGAGAGCAGUGUAUAUUAGAGUAUGAAUUAGAGUUGUAAUAGCACCUUUAAUUUCUCAAGAUGAAAAGCCGGGAUAAUGGCCCUCCGCCGCGUAGCCCAUUCCUCUCCUUCGAGAGCCACCACCCCCAUCGCAAGAAGCUGGACAAGAGGGUUCACCGGCGGUUUCUGAAUCUGCCCCAGCUUGUCCGUCAGCACCUCCCUUAUCAUCUCCGGCUCGCAUAUGAUCACUCUCGGAGUCAUCCCGACCCACACAAUGCUCGUUUUCCCUGUGAUUGUGAGGAUACAUCAUUCAUCGCAUCAGAGAUCAGUCAAUUGAACGGCAGAUUUAGACAGAGUAUGCAUGCAUGUUUGGCUCUCCGGACAUGCAGACUAUUGUUUGAGUAUAGCAGCAGUAGAAGCAGUUGCUACAAAUUAAAACCACUUUUUUCAGCUGAAAUUUAUUUUAGCUUCACACUUCAGCAGAAGUUUGAGAGCACAAUGUUGAAGAUAUACAUUCUUUUUUUAUUGGUUUGAUCCAUGCACCGGAUCUACAGAAUAUAUCAAUAGAUCUUGAGGUUAAUGGUUAUUGGUGGAGUCCAAGAGAAGAUUUAGUUAGAUUUUAAUUUGGCCCUAUUGUAAUCCGGAUGGAUUGAAUUAGAAUCCCUAGUCUGACUUGUUGACCGGCUAAUGCAUUAUAUAACCAUGCAUGGUAGGGUCGUAUGGGAUAUAGAGAGACUUAUUAAUUAAUUUGUGGUGGCAAGUUCUCUUGAGUCUGUACGACGUCGAGAGAAGAGAAGGUGCUUGGCAGCAUCGCAUGCAACGGAAUUGAAGUCGGUGGCGGAGUAGCGGUUCUCGACCAAUUAUUUGAACGGUUCGAAAAUUUUAAAGAAACGACAUAAAGGAUUUUAGUCAGAACUUUUUUAUAUUCUCUAAUUUGGUCUUCUUGAUUUUUACGAAAAAAAAAAUCAAUAUUUUUUUAGAAUUUUCGUUGAAAUAAGAGACUAUAGAGCUCUUAAUUUUUUAUCGGAGAAGAUAUAAAGUGUAAGCUUAUAUUUCUGCUUCUUCGUAUAGUAAAAUAUAUUUCUCUUGCUGUUUCUGUGGACGUAGGUAAUUAUCGAAUCACGUAAAUAUUAACUUAUUUUUUAUAUUUAUUUUUUUUUAUCAUUCGUUCGACUUUUUUUAAUUUUUUUCGUACAUCUUUAUUGGUAGUGCAUGAUGAACGAUCCAUCCGGUUCCCAACACACAAUCAAUAAAUCAAAAAUUGAUGCAGUUUAAAAUAUAAGCUAAGUUUUUGUUUGGCUUCUCUUUUAAUUUUCCUUUUAGCACUUUAUAUAUCUCUAGCUUAAUAUUUGGCAAGCAAAAAAGCUUGAAACUUUCACUGCAUAAAAGAUUGAGCCGUAAUGACAAGCCUUUUAUUACGGGAGAGGAUGCCACGUGAACUACUAAAUAUUUUGACAAAACCAUAUAAAGGAAUCAAAGGUGGCAAGAUCAUGUAUACCACAGGAGACUGAAUCAUACCGUAUUUCUGGACCGUUUGAUAGAUAAACGGCGCGACACGUGGCACGAUCUGGUGGGUCAGAUUGAUGGGCUUGGACCACGCUUCUUUGAUGGCCCCUAUCUCUUCUUUCACAUCCCCGUAGAGGAGCCUGUAAGGGUUGCCGCUGAUGCCCUGGCGCCGUAGCUGCUUCUCCAGCGCCUUCGGCUUCCACCACAGGGAGUAGAAGAUCCUCCAACUGCAGUACAGCAGCAGCGGGAGAGAUAGUGCAUAGAGCACGAGAAAUGAAAGCUGCUCCAUUAGUUAAUGAUCGAUCCUUAAUUAGUAAUUAGCUAACACAACUGGCGUUGGGCGGAAUGAAUGGGUGCUAUUUAAACUAAACGUAUCCGAUGUUUUCUUCACUGACAUCGAUCUGGGAGUCAGAAAAAGUUGUCACGUUAGCCGUCAUUAUGGAAGGACUUUGUUUCGUGGAGAGCAAGGUAAGACGAAGACGUGUCACGAGUGGAGUAGUUAAGAGCCCAAACCAAUUACUCUAUCACUGGAUGUGAGAUGUGACAUCCGGGACUUUUUUCUUUUUAUGUUUUUUUGGGAAAGCGGUAGACUAGGGAGCGAGCCUACCUCGGCUCAAAUUCAGCUUCAAAUUAAUUUCGAGCAUAAUUUAAGCACAAGUUUGAAUUGAAAUUAAUUCGAGCCGAACUCGAGCGAGCCUAAUUUCAAGUCGAGCGAGCUCGAGCCCUAAACGAGCCGCUUGAAAUUUUCAACAUUAUACGAUAAAUAGUUUAAUUUGUAUAAAACAUUAUCUAUAAUUUGAUAUAAAAAUAUAUUUAAUAGUUCAAAGUACAAAAUAAUUAUAUGAAAUAUAGUAUUAUAAUAUGAAAAAAAAUAAUUUAUGAGUUGAAUAUCUAAUUUUUUCAGCUUCAUAUGUCUUUUCUUUCGCCUUCAAUCUCUAUAUUAUUCAUUUUCAUUUAUGCAGUAAAAAAUAAAUCAAUUAUAUAAAUAAAUAUUUGAUUAAACUAUCCAAUCAUAUAUAACUAAAAUUAAAAUUUUAUAUGAAUAAUAAUUUUUUAUUUUAAAAAUAUUAUGUAUAUUUUCUCAAGCAUACGAUUAAUAGUAAUGUAGGCAUAUGAUGUUACUUGGUAACUUAGAGGGCUACCGGUUUGGCCACUUAGGGUGAGAGACAGAAAAAAAGAAAGAGAAAAACAUAUUGAAAAUUUAGAGCUCUGUGAAAAAAGAAAGAAAAAAAGGAAAAAUAUAUAAAUUUAGUAAAAUUUUGCUCUUUUAUUUGCCUAUUGGGUUUGUUUUUAUGAGCCAACAACAUUGGCCCAAUUUAAUUAAAUUCAGAUUAUUCACUCAGCCUAUAUAUAAUUAAAAUAUAUUAUAUUUAUAUAUUUUUUUAAUAUAUAUAUUAGUGUAGAACUAUAUACUAUCGAAAAUAUAGAGAAUUGAUGUUUUUGAAUUUUUGACCUUUGAUUAAUUGUAUGGUUGGAUGCUAUUGAAAAUAUAAAGGAUUGAUGUUUUUGAAUUAUUGACCCUUUGAUUAAAAAUUAUAUGGUUGGGAUGAUUGCGCCUCCCUUAGAUUAAAUAAUACUCUUAGAAUUGAGCGGUCCCUACAGGGUAAAAUAAUAUAAUCCAAAGAUAAGAAACGAUUAAAGGGAUUGAUCUAAGAAUCAAAAAAUCGAAGCACCAGAUCUCUAUACCUUUCGAUAGCAUAGUAGCUCUACUAAUAUAUAUAUAUAUAUAUAUAUAUUCGAGCUUUUCGAACUUUUCGAGCCUAAUUCGAACGAGCCGAGUAAUACUCAAACUCGGCUUGAAAUGAAUUUUGAGCCUAUUUUUUUUGUUCAAAUUCGACUCAUUUAAUUUCGAGUCGAGCUCGAGCGAGCCAACUAUCGAGUCGAACGCAAGUCGAACGCGAGCCGGCUCGCUCAUUUGCCAGCCCUACGGUAGACAAGCUACCUGCAUUGGGGACUUCUUAAUUCGAAUAAAAAAGGGCCAGCAAGUUUGCUACGGCUCUCCACUGUGCUGAAAAAAAAAAAAAAAUCUAAAAUAUAACACUCACGUUGCCCAAAUAUUGUCUCUAAGUAAUUAAAUUCAUCUAUUUUACUAUAGUUUUUUUAAAAAAUAUUUUUUUAUUAUAUAUAUUUUUUAAAAGAGAUAUACGGUUGACUGAAUAUAAAUGGUAUGAUAUGAUUGCUAUAUAGUAGAUUUCCUUCAUGACAUGGCAUGGCACGAUACGGUCUAUACUUAGCAGUGAUGCUCGUCGACAAUACAGAACAGCAUGACCUGCAGUGCAAUAUUCUUUUUUUUAUUUAGUUUUAAAAUAUUUUGUUUUUUUUCAAAUAUAAUUUAAACUAUUCAAAAUUUUAUCAAAUUUUUAAAUAAUUAUUCAAAACUUAUUUAUUGAAGGAAUAAUUUUUUUAUAUAUUUAUACGUAAUAAAACAAAAGUUGAAAAAAAUUAAAAUAAAAUUUAAAAAUUUUAAAGAAGAUCAAUAGGAAGCUUCCUAAUACGGAUAACAGGAUUGACCGUCGGAUUAGAAUUCGUAUGUUUCACAAACCAAGAUUGAGUUUCGAUCUGACAAUACAUAUCCGUCCUAACUCGAUGGAGAACUCUGCACUAAAUUUUUUGUUCAAAUUGUGAUCUAAAUUUGCUGCAAUCUAGUAACAGUUUCAAGUCAAAAUCAUCAAUCCCAAAAAGAUUAACUUGAUUUGUUUACCUUUGACUUAUACUAUCUUUGUUCUUUAGCCAUUGCUUCAAGCCAACUAUAUGAGAUGUAAUUAAGGAUUUAAGUGUUGUGGCAUGUAUCGAAAAUUUAUCAGCACUAUACGACAUGCUGCAUAUCGGACCAUAUCUAUAAGUGGGUAGCAAAAAAUAUAUGCAUGCCAACACGUAAUAACAUAAAAUAUUUAAUUUUUUUAGCAACAAAAUAUGCUAAUUAUUUAUUAUAUAUUUUUAUCAAUUUUUUAAAAUUUUAUUAAAAAAAUUAUUUACUAAUUUCAUGAAUAGAGAGUUUUGAGUUGUGCUAUUGACACGAAGGCUGUAUCGUACAUAUAUUUUACUGGUACGAUACAGGAGGGUGGAUACCAUCCGUACCGAUAAGCACUUUAAUUUUUGGAUAUAACUAUGCAUUAAUUAAGUUAUGUUAAAUCUCGAAGAAUUGAACACUGUGAGCACCAGUACAAAAGCGUGAUCUCACCGUAACCACAACUCAAGCACAGUGCCAGGCCUACUCAUGGAAAUCAAAGCCUCCCCUCAUACAAGGCUUGAUGGUUUAUAUGUGAAAUUUCAGAGUCAAAACUUAAUUACUUUAUAUUUUCAGUUAAAUUUAUUUUUAAAAUAAUAAACAAAAUGAUAGCAUGUUACUGUCCUCUCAACAAAAGGAAAAAAAAAAGCCACAACUCAAUCAUCAACUAGGUACAUUUCUUAUUAAGAAAGACAAUUGGGCUCUUUAACACAAAGUGAAAGAUACUAUAGAUACAUUUUACAUUGAAAUUUUACAAUCCUAAUAACAAGUUUCUUCGAUUUGUUGUAGAAUGAUUUGAGCACCAUGUUGUGGCUGCAUAGUUAAAACAGUGUAGGGAGCAUGAGCAUAUGUAGGUGAGAGUUCAAAAGAGAAAUGUUGGAGCAUAGUGGCCAAAGCCAUUUUUGCUUCUAUCAUAGCAAAGCUCUGGCCCAAGCAGAUCCUCGGCCCCCAUCCGAACGGGAAGAAUGCGUUCGGAACUUUCGAUGCCUUCGAAACCCCUUCUGAAAAUCUCUCCGGGUUGAACUCUUCAGCAUCCUCACCCCAGAAUUCUCUAUCGUGAUGGAUAAGAAUUGUCGGCAGCAAAAGAUCUACGCCGGCCGGAAAGACGAACUCUCCUAGUUUAGUAUUCUUAAUCGUAGUACGAAACAAAGAGACCACCGGAGGAUAUAACCUCAGAACCUCAUAUAGUAUCAUAGUAACCUGCAUGAUACAUAAAAAAGUUUGUGUAAUGUUGAGUACUGAAAAUAGAGGAAAAUUUAGUCGAAACAAAAGCUUCUACUUACGAUCUUAAGGUGGCUAGUGGACUCAAAAUCAGGUUUGUUUCUCCCACAAACUGCAAUAACUUCUUCCCUCGCUCUCCGCUGCCACAUUGGAUGAUUGGCUAAGAGAACCAAAGUCCAUGUGAGCCACACAGAGGUGGUCUCUUGGCCGGCGAAGUAGAAUAGCUUGCACUCCUCUAUUACAUCCUCUAUUGUGAUGCCGUAGCCCUCGUUGUUGUUCACGCUACUUAGCUGCAGCAGCAAGCCGAGCAAGUCGUCGCCGAUGGAUUCUCCGCUUCUCAUCAUACCCAACUUUUUAUCGAUCAUUUCUCUUAGCAUGCCCUUGAUUUGUUUGUCUAUGUUCAUCCUCCUCCUAUUCUUUGCAGUAGGUAGAAACCUGAAGCAAAGAUGUUUAAGAGAUGGACAUAGAGCUGAUCAGAGAUUGAAUUGAUCAUCAAAAGAAUUAGACCGACAAUAAUAAAGAUACAAUUUCAGGAAAUGAAACUUUCAUGAAAGAGAAGCAACUGAUAGCUUUUCAUAGGAUCUAAAAUUAAUUAAUGUAUAAUUCAUUCUAUAAUUGCUAGAUCAUUAAUUAGUUACUGCAUCCAAUCUCUUACGGCAUCUUAUGAAUAGAAUCAGACCUAAUUCUAUGAUACUUUCUAGAAAAUUCCUCUUUUUUAAUGCUCAAGCAAUCCAUGCAACUAAGAAUCUGAAGGAUUUUUUCGAAUAUGUACGUAUUGAUCAUAAGCACCUGAAGCCGGGGAUAUAAGGAACCCGCGCAGCCUCGAUGACAAGCACGGCUUGCUCUUUUUGCAGUUCGAAUAUCUUCUUUCCUUCCUGAUAGCUGCUUCCAAAGGCAGUUCGAGAGAUGACAUCACCGGUCAGAUUCUGCAACUCGGGCCAAAUAUCUAUCUCACAAGAUCCAUUAGAUUUGGCUACUAAGCCCUGCCACCUCUUAACCAUGUCGACGCAGCUGGUAAGGAAAGCCGGAAUCAUCCCCUGUAAUUGAAGAAGAAAGGGAACACAUGUUCAAUGAGAAUCAAGUAUUGGAAGGAUAUACUUACAUGUACUGUAAUGUAAGGACUAGUUUUAUCAAAGCUCGUUAUAUUAGAUUAUAAUAAAAGAGGAUGCAGCAAAGGCACACCAGAUGAUACUUAUAUAUUAGAUUAGAAAGAGCAGAAAAAGCGCCUUUAAUUUCUCGAGAUGGAAAGCCGGGGUGAUGGCCCGCCGUCGCUUAGCCCAUUCCUCUCCUUCGAGGCUCGACACCCCCAUCGCCAGAAGCUGGAUGAGAGGGUUCACCGGUGGCUUCUGGAUCUGCCCCAGCUUGUCCAUCAGCACCUCCCUCAUCAUCUCCGGCUCGCAUACGAUCACCCUCGGUGUCGUCCCGAACCACACAGUGCUCGUCUUCCCUGUCAUUGCGAACACAUACAUAUACACAGCAGCCGAGAUCAUUCAAUCGAACAGUAGAGUAGACAAGAGUAUAGCAGCACUGCAUCUUCUCUAUCUGCAGUAGCAGCAGAUGCUGCAACUCAUAACCAGCUUUUUCGGCUGAAAUUUAGGCUUCAUUUGGGAUUGCGGGGAGAUUGCGUUACGUGCGGUGAGAUGAAAAAAUGUUCUGUUUAUUUUCGUACGUAAUAUUAUAUUUCGCAUACCGCGAUGAGCCAAUUACGAUAUAUUUUCUGCUAUCCUAUCGGAGAACACAGAAACAUAUUCCUAUAUAUUUUUUCCUCAACUCUACUUUAUCUAAUAGAGUUAGAUAUAUCUUAAUACCAAACUAAACCUUAGUUUAGCGAAGGGAUUCGUACAGCAAGGCCAAGCAGGGGUCUGCGAAAGGGAAUCAUACCGUAUCUCUGGACCGUUUGAUAGAUGAACGGCACGGCACGCGGCACGAUGUGGUGGGUAAGAUUGAUGGGCUUGGACCACGCUUCUUUGAUGGCCCCUAUCUCUUCUUUCAUAUCCCCGUAAAGGAGCCUGUAAGGGUUGCCGCUGAUGCCCUGGCGCCGUAGCUGCUUCUCCAGCGCCUUCGGCUUCCACCACAGGGAGUGGAAGAUCCUCCAACUGCAGUACAGCAGCAGCGGGAGAGAUAGUGCAUAGAGCACGAGAAACGAAAGCUGCUCCAUUAGUUGUUAAUGAUCCUUAAUUAGCUAAUUACACUUCUACUACUACUGCUACUGCUGCAGGGUAUGCGUGGGUGGAGUGGCGCUAUUUAAGCUUGACAUAUCCGAUGCUUUUGUUCACUGGCUUAUCCGAAAGUCAGAAAGAGUUGUCGCAUCAGCAGCGAACGGAGUGGUUUCUUGGAGAGCAAGGAGUGGCAGUGGAGCCUCCUUACCAGCAGAAGCUUCUGUGUACUCACUAAUAGCAAGGUAGGCUUGGAAACGGGACACACAGUCCGUGGACCGGCCCGGUCCGCUAAGAUGUGUUGGGCCGGACCUAUAGGCCCAUGGCAUUGCACAGUACGGUUUAUAACAUGGCCUGCCUUACGCGGCUUUUAAUUUUUUUAAUUUUUUUUUCUCGCAUGUAAAAAAGAUGAUCGGAUGCUUCAAUUCAAGAUCCGAGUUAUAGAUCUUUAUCUAGAUAGUGAAUAAAAUUUUUUUAUCAAAAUUUCAACAAAUUUCGAUUCUUUUACACCUUUAAAUUAGCAAGUAUUCCAUACCGGCUAUUAAAAAAUGUCAAAUUUGUGACUUCUUGAUCGUAAGGUAAAUGAUGUCGAAAAAUUAUAAAAUUUGAUUUCUAGAAGUUUUAAAUGCUGUAAAUAAUGUUUAACGGUAUGGAUCGUCAAUUCGGAAGCUCUAUCAUUGAAAACGAUUUAUGAGUACGAGAACGAUCGUACUCAUAAUAAUAUAGUAACCGGACCCUAUAUAUAUAUAUAUAUAUAUAUAUAUAUAUAUAUAUAUNGUAGCGCUACACUCUCUCUAUAUAUAUAUAUAUAUAUAUAUAUAUAUAUAUAUAUAUAUAUAUAUAUAUAUAUAUAUAUAUAUAUAUAUAUAGUUCACGUGUAGUACGGACAAGACAGAGUACAAUUUUUAAAUGGCCCAUAAACCUAACACAAUUGUAGGGUACUCGGUUUUGGGCAUAAUGGCGUUAUGUGAAGGAUUAAAUGUAUAUAUAUAGGAGAAAGAAGCCAAAAACGCGAGCCCAAUUUCGGAUCCCGCAAACAUUUAUGCGGAUUGGUCAACACAUGCACGAUGUAUGGUUGGGGCCGUUCCAAUUUUAUUCCGAGAAACCAUACCACAAUAUUGAUGGAAAAAUAUACUAAACAAAAAAUUGUAGAUAUUAGAAGCAUGCAAUAGCACCAGCUAAAAAUCCUAGAGAAAAUUGAUUGAAAUUCGACGGCUCAAAUCUGUAGGUCUAAGUAGAUACACUUAGACACUUCUUGAUGAGACACCCGUUUUUGUGCAUUUCAAAAUAAUGUCCAAUGUGAUCCAACAGUUCAUAUAUGGGUGUCAAAUCGCACCACUUUUUUUAGAAAAAAAUAACACACUACUGCUUUAUUUAUUCAGAAGAUAAACUAAGUUACAGAAUGAGACAGCCAAAUCUCGAUGAACAAAAAAGAAAAACUAUAUAAUGCAGUAUGAGGCCCAUGCAAUAUGAGCCGCACCGCAUUUUUGUUCGUGGAUCAUUGCACUGUGCAGUUGAGCGUGUUGUUCUGGAAUUUCGAGAAUGCAUAUACGCACAGAUUGGGAUGGACCCCGAUCGAUUAAUGAAACGCAGUUCCAUAAACAGAGGCCUAACACUCGGCCUAACUAACUGAUCUGUGCCAAGUAUUUAAAAAAAAAAGAAAAAAAGAAACAGCCUCAAUGCAAACCACUUGCAAUUAGACCAAACCUAAGGCUGCGUUUGGUUCGGGUAUAAGUAAGAACUGCUAGUUCUAGGGAUAGGUACAAGUUCAGGUAUAAACAGGAAUUAGACCAAUUUUGCGUUUGGAUGAAAAUUGGGUUGUUUCUAGGAAUAAGAUAAAUAGUGUUUGGAUGAUUAGAUUGGAACAAGAGGAAUAAACGUUAUAAUUUGAAAUUAAAAUUAUAUUAUGUAAUUAAUUAACAUAAAAAUAUUACUUAAAAAUAAAUAAAAAAUUAAUUAUUAAUAAUUAAUUAUAAAUAAUAAUUAAUAAUAAUAAUUAAUUAUAAAUAAUAAAUUAUUAAUAACGAUUAUCUAAUUAAUAAUAAUAAUAAUUAUUAUUAAUUAUUAAUAAAUAAUAAUAAUUAUUAAUUAUUCUUAUUAAUUAAUUAUAAAUAAUAAAUUAAUAAUAAUAUUGAUUAUCUAAUUAUUAAUAAUAAUUAAUAUUAAUAUUUAUUAAUAAAUAAUAAUAAUUAUUAUAAUAAUAAAUUAAUAAUAACACUCGAUUAUCUAAAUUAUUAAGAAUAAUAUUAAUUAUUAAUUAUUAAUUAUAAAUAAUAUAUUAAUAAUAAUAUCGAUUAUCAUUAAGAAUAAUAAUUAUUAAUAAUUAUUAAUAAAAAAUUAAUAAAUAUUAUUAAUUAUUAAUAAUUAAUUAUAAAUAAUAAAUUAAUAAUAAUUAUUAUCUAAUUAUUAAUUAAUUAAUUAUAAAUAAUAAAUUAUUUAAUUAUUUAAUUAUUAAAAUCAUAAAUAAUAAUUUAAAUAUAUUAAUUAGAUUAAUUAAUAAUUUACUGCCAUUAAAAUUAAAUUUAGAUUUUAAUUAAUCUUGUUCUCAUCAAGGAACAAGCUUGUUCCAGGAAACGGGUGGAACAGCAGUUCCAGCCUUAUUCCAGCUAAUUCCAAAUUCCCGGAAAUUACUGUUCCCGGAAACCAAACAUAGCGUUUGGGAACAAAGGGGGGAACAAGGGCUUAUUCCCCCCCUUGUUCCCCAACCAAACGCUACCUAAGAGGUCAACUUGAUCACUCUCUGUUCAAAUCGUUAUCGGUAUAAAUCUCACCUCCUUAUGUAUAUCUCUCACAUUCAGCAACACUUAAAAGUUUGUAAUGGUGAGAAGCGUCUUCUUCAUCUUAGCUUUCGCCAUCGCAUUGGUGAGCGCUUCUUCGUUAGCAAUGGGCGGCGAAGCACUCGAAGAGAACGAGCCGUCGUCCUUCACAGGGCCGGGACGUUUUCUUCGCCAGCGUUACUAUGAAUGUUACAAUGCAAGAGCCACCAUGACAUGCGACAAGUUUCUGCGGAUGUGCCGCUCGAAGGGAAGUCCCGGGCCCGACUGCUGCAAGAGGCGAUGUGUGAAUGUGAUGACCGACGGCCUCAACUGCGGACGGUGCGGGGCGAAGUGCUGAUACGGGCGAGCCUGCUGCAAAGGCAAGUGCGUUGUAGUUAUGUACGAUCGCGACAAUUGUGGCGGCUGCAAGAAGAGGUGCAAGAAAGGCACCUCCUGCAGAUACGGGAUGUGUAGCUAUGCUUAGUGUGUACUCCACUAGCAAGUUCAAAAGGACUAAUUUUGCAUGCAAGUGUAUAAUAAAGUAUAGCUGCAAUAUUAUUCGCCUUCGUCGAGUGAUGCAGUAUAUAAAUGCAACGUAUGUUUGUUACGUGGAUUCAAAAUACUUUUAUUAAGAGAGAAAGUGACUUAUCUAUUUUGUUCAUUUUUUUAAAUGAAUUCAGCUGAAAAUGUAUAGUAAUUGUGUUUCGAAUUUUAAAUCUCAUCUAAUAGUUAUCAAGCUUUCGGUCAAUUGUAUUAGGUUCAAAUAUAUAUUUUGACUGGGGUGUGAUAUAUCUUAUAUGUUGAGCUCUUAUGUGGCUUGUUUAGAUCUAGCGUAGAUUGAUUUGAAAAUGCACGUAUGGAAGAAUUUCGAGCUUCUGCGCAUCGAGAUUCAUUUUCACUUGCUCGAAGAGCUUUUUGAGUAUAUGAACUCGGGUAAAUGUGUAGUAGUUAUUUGAGCAUAUUACACUCUUUUCGUAUUAACUAGUAUUCUGCUCACGUGAAGUUAAUGUUCCAAAUCUCCAUAUUAGUUUAAGAUUGGCCAAUCUUUUAAAAUUUUAAUUUUACUAUAAUUUGAAUCAAUCAACAAUAACAUUUUGACUUCAAAAUUUAAAUAUAUCUUUUAUCUUUAUAUGUUUAAUUAAUAUAUUUUAUAUAAUUCUAGAGACUAUAAAUUUAUAUUUAUAUUUAAAGUUAAAUCACCACUAACUCACUCAGUUAAAUAAAUUGAAAUUGAAGAGUUGGGUAGUAAAACUUAAAUUUUCAAAAAAUUGAAUAGCCAAUUUAAAAUAAUCCAAAGUUCAAAUAAGUUCUGCAUAUGUUUAAUAAACUAACGUCAGAAAUAUCGGAGUACUCUGGCUAAAAUCCAAAAAUGAAAGAAUUUUUUUUUUUAAAAAAAAAAGCUAGCCGUAGACUGAGGAGUCUACAAGACCAGGUUGUGUUCUUUUAUAACUGAGUGUUAGGUAGAAAAAUCAAUACUAUGUAUGUCAUGCACCUACAAGGAUCAUCAAAAGAAGGGUAAAAUGCAUGGGUACUACUCACAUGCUGCGACUUUUUUCCAGAUACUCAGAAAAUUUAAGAAAAUAAAAGGAAAAUAAAAACAAAGUACAGAGAGUACAAGAACCGACUUGUCAUAUCGGGAUAGUACAGAAACAAUCCCAUAUAGUUUACAAACAAACUGAACGAAGAGGAAGAAAACACAUUAAGCAAAAGUUGACAUAUGGAGUUAGUAUAGGAACAAUCAGGGUAACCACUAACACUCAAUAUAAUCAAUUUCAACCUUCCAUUAAGGAUUAACAUGCCAAGAUCCUGAAAUUUUUCUACAGUUGUUUCCCAGUUCAUGCAGAGGCUUCCAGAAAAAGUCAGAAGUCAGUGCUCACGACUGAUCAUCAGUCAGUAAUCUACUCUUUGCUCACGAAAAACAGUCCAUAAAACUACGAACGAUCUUACAGUUGGAAUGAAGCAGAAUGCCCAAAUAUCACCAAAGGCAAAGAAGAAGAAGAAAACAAACCUACAUUUUUGAGUUGUAUAAAAAGUUUCACCAGAAUAUCCCUCUGUGACGGUAUGCUGCUAUGUUCUAAUUCUUCCAGUUAUUCAGUUUUAUUCUGCGAUUUGUUACUGAAGAUUCCUGCUAUCCUAUCCUUUGAGAAUUAAAACCCUCCAAAGGGUCAGUACAUCGAUAAAUAGCAACUCUUAUCGAUCAGCACUAAAUUAUUUGUGACAUGCCAUACUGAUAGGAAGGAACCUGCGCAUGAGAAGCAGGAAUAGCAACCGCAGCAUAAGGAUGAUUAGCCUGCGCUAGGGUUGCUUCUGAAUUUGUUGUAAUUCUGUUGUCAGCUGAAUUAGCUGUAGUUUCAUGGGGUGGCAUGUAGAAAGGAGGGGCCCGCAUGUCUAUAGAUACCUCAGGUCCCCCGGUGUUUCCCUGUAUGGGCACACUUUGGCGUGGGGGUGGCAUAUGUUGCACCGCAAUCCUAUCUGUGUCCAUCGACCUCCUUUCUGAGCUCCCCAUAUAUACCAUUGUACUCUGAAUAGGGAAUAGUAUAGUAGGCUGCAAAGGAACCGAAGAAUGCCUUAUUAGCCUCCUGGGAUCAUAUAUGUCUGUGGGAUUUCCGCUUUCGUAGGGCAUUACAGGUCCCACAACUCUCGGGGGCUUUGCUGAAACAAAAGAUGCUAUUUAGUUAGUAGUGAAUGGUCAUCCAGUAUAACUAGAUUAACUUACUACGCAGAGAAGAUAACAAGAUGGAUCUGACAUAUUGGUUUACGUACCAAUAGGAAUUCUCUGAGGAAGAUGUGAGGUCCUUGCAUGGUACCCAGGAAAGCCUUCGGUAUAUUUUGCAUUGUUCUGUGUCUCAUCUGUGAAAUACUUCUCUCCGGACGGUGCUAUAUAAUUUUGUUCCUUUGGAGCAAUUGUAGAAGAGUGCACCACUGUAGAUCUAAGUGAAUAUUCAAUCAAAAUAAGUCCAUGUAGUCAGGCACACAAAAAGUAAAUUAACAAAGGAUCUGAAAACUAGUGAAUUACGUCCAAAGAAGUGGUGGACAAGUCGUCCAGAAUCUAGAUUAAGCAUGCAGACUACAACAAUGACAUCUUGUUUUGGUUGGACCAGCUAGCUCAGUAAUUGAAGGAAAUAUUUUGGCCAGCGGCCUUGAUGAAGUACGUUAGCCAUGAGAGAAAAGUCUAGUUUGCUAGAAUGUACAGCCUAUAGUUAUUUCUACAUGUAUGCUCUUUUUUCCCCACUGCAUGUGUAGACAUAUUGGUUGUGAUGAUGACCAGGAUAAUGAUGAUGAUGAUGAUGAUGAUGAUAGUGAUGUUCGAUUGCUGAAAAGAUAGUGGUUAACUCAGGUAGAACUGAACAGGGAAACAACAAUACCUAGGGAGAGAAACAUGCUUCCUCUCUGGUGGAAUCAUUGGCCCGUUUCUACCACCAUUUUCCUCAAGAUGAGUAAAUUGCUUCCUAAAUUGAUCCACAGCACUGACAAAAUGGACAUAAGAAAAGACUGAUAAGAAUAUGACCACAAAUUAGAGUUAAUUAGGAAAACUCAAAUAACCUCGUUGAUAAAAUUCAACCUUAAGUGAAGGAAGUUUUGCCUUUCGGUUCCAUUUAGGUACUCCUUGAGCAGUUGAGGAUGGUAUUCCAAAAUUUCAUGAAAGAUGAGUUCCUUGAUGUCCUCUUUUGUCACUCUCCGGCGCUCAAAUUCAAAUUCCAUCUUUGAAAUUGGUUGGCAAGAAGGCUCUCUCUCAAUUUUUCCGAGACCCUUAAAGUACGGAUCAGCCAAUGCCUAAUAAUCGCAUUGCAAGUAUGCAGUUACCAACAUUCACACAUUAAAUAACAUCUAGUAGUCAAUAUACAUGCAGAAAAUACACAAAGGUAGAAACUGCAGCACCAUCACACCUCUUCGGCAGUUGGACGAUCCUUCGGAUCGAAAGCUAACAGCCUUUCAAGCAAUUUUAGUGCCAAAGGAUCUGCUUUUGGAAACUUCUGUGAAAAUGGUACAGGUUCUUUUUUCCUGAUGCUGCUCAAGUAUUUCCUUGCCUUUUCAUUUCGCACCUGAACACAAAACGAGUCAAAUCAACAACUAUAUGAGAACUAUAGCUGAAUAGUAUGCAAGCGCAAUUUACUCAUAUAACUUCACAUAAUUAACAAAUAUACCCGAGAAAUUGUAUCUAAUGAAGGUGUCCCUAGAAGAUCAGUCAUCAAAUCAAGCUGGUGAACCACAUUUUUGCCAGGGAAUAGCGGCUUUCCAGUCAAAAUCUCAGCAAAAAUGCAGCCGAUGCUCCAAAUAUCUAUUGCGGGGGUGUACUGCAAUCAGAUAAGAAUGAAAAUUAGUAUAAUCAUUGAAAAGAUUUAUUGCUGGGGUUAAUAUAAAGCAUUAUGACAGCGACAGAGAUACCUUAGAGUAAAAUGAUCCACAAAGUUCAGGGGCUCUAUACCAUCUAGUCGCAACAUAGUCCUGCCAAGUAAAUUUAAUGAUUGAAAAGGCUGGUGAGACUUAAUGCAAGAGAAACAUGUUAAAGGAAAAGAAAGCAACUGAUUGUAAGAAGAUAGCAAGAUAGAACGAAAAGAAUUUUCUCAUUUUUCUUACCGUCCAGAAGAUCGUAGUGGGUGUAUCGCUGAAAGCUACUCUUGCUAAUCCAAAGUCACAUAUUUUCAGUUUGCAGUUUGCAUUAGCAAGUAUGUUUUUCGGCUUGAGGUCUCGGUGAUAAACAUUAGCUGCACUCAAAUAGAUCAAUAUCAGAUAAAGGAAGAAGAACAAAGGAGUAUGGAAAGAAGGUCUAAGAGGUAGCAAUGAUUGAAAAGGCUGUAGCUACCAAAAAAUAGAAAACAAAGAAAUAGAUAAUUAGCAUGCUGACAGAUACUGCAAGUACAUGAGGAACAAAUUCUCUCUGAAUAGCCCAUCAAGGAACACAAACACAUAAAUACAUGAAUGCACUCUCUAUCAGAAUUAAAAAUAAUCGCUAUAAUAUCUUUUGCUGCAAACUAAGACACAUAAUAUGUUCAAUCUUGUACAUACUGAGACGAAACUAAGCCCAUCAGAUAGCGAGACGAUAUGAUGUGAAGCCAAUGAGGCCUACGCGACGAAUUCUUACCAUUAAUUCGGUACAGAGAGAAAAAUAAGUCAUUACAUAUGCCUAACAGGACAAUUCAUGCAACUCUUACAGAUGGCAAGGACAGAUAUAAUAAAAUUACAAUAUGUAGCUUAUCAAGCUUUAUGAAGUAGGUUGCAGAGUAACACAAACCGCCUCCUGGAAGCAUGAAAGCGCAUCGCCAAUGAAAACAAAAAUGAAAGAAUAUAAUUACAUCAAUGAUCAUGUUAGGAAGCACAAAACCUGUGUGGAUAUAUUUCAGCGCACGAAGCAUCUGGUAAAGGAAAAACUGAUAGUGCUCCCUUGUCAAGUCAUCGUUAGCCUUUAUGACUUGGUGAAGAUCUGAUUCCAUGAGUUCGAAAACGACAUAAAUAUCUUUGAAAUCUUUUUUUGAUGGAGGCAGCAUAAUGUGCUUGAUCUCCACAAUGUCAGGAUGCCUUAAGAGCCUGAGAAGUUUGAUCUCACGAAGGAUCCUGGCAGCAUCAGAUAUGUGCUCAAAGAUAUCGUGUAUCUUCUUUAUUGCAACCUUUUCCCCAGUAUGCGUAUCGAUGGCAGAGCAUACAAGUCCAUAACUUCCUUUGCCUAUGACCUCCUGGGUUUUGAAUCUGUUGACAUCCCCGUACUCGGUGAAGAAGUCCGUCUCUAAUGUAUUCUGCGAACAUACAGAUCAUUGGCAGUACAUUAUUGAUAUAUGUUCAAAGCAAAUCUGUAGCGACGUAUUAUUAUAAUACACAUUAAAAGCUAGAGCAAUAUCGCGCAAUAACAAAGCCCAUAGGCCGGCGGUUAAAUAUGACAUUCUUGUAAAAUUUCAUGAGGCUAAGAUAGUAGAUUUCUUCUGAAACAAGUCUUUCCACUAGAGAAGCAAACUGGUGCAGAUCAAAGCAGGGAAGACAUUGAAAGUCAUGGAACGGAAAUGUGUUGUGUAAUUCAUGCUCAAACAGACUGCUGCAUGCAGUAUUUCUCAACUGAAACAGUAAAUUGAUCAACCUAUUGGAGGGGAAGUCAGCAGAUUUGGCACCGUCCAGAUUCCUAAUUUCCUCCAACCAUCCAAAUUAUGAAUCAAACAGUAGAACUCUAAUCACUAAUCAUGUAAACAUCGGAUAAAUUUUGAACCAAAAACCUCAUGAUUUGCGGCUAUUCCCUCGCAUUAUAGUCAAUUACCAAAUUAUGAGUGGAAAUUUUCACCUGAGAUAUGAAUCAACCAUAAAAUCACAAAUCAAAGGCAUCAUCACGAACCUUCUUCCGGCGAUCUUGCUCCAUUACGUCCCUCAGAUUCCUCUCCCUGUAACAGAUCCGAAUCGCAAAAUCGGAGCACCAAAUUCAGAAGAAAAAAAAGCAGAUCCGAGCCCCGCGCCGCGCAGAAACGCACUAUCUCAGCCGCAUUUGCCCCACCUGCCCCUGCUCCGGAUCAGGAGCUCCCGAUCCCUUCCCCUCCUCCGCGCGCCCCGCACCGACCAUAGAGAUCGAACCCUCUCCCUCAUACAAUUCACAGACGCGCUCGCUCCGACCAUCAACAGCUCGCCCUCAACUCCUCCAUCCCAAUCUCAUUCGCUCCUACCAACACACUAAUAUCACAUCAAAAAAUAAAAAAGAAGAAGAAAAUCUACAGGAGAUUUUACAGAGUUUUGAUCUGGGAAUCAAAAAGCUUAAUAAAGAGAGAAAGAUAUGGUUGGGGAUAGAGAUGGGGGAGUUUUCAAAAGUGGGGGAGAGAAAGAAAUAUAUAACGUAUUAGAUGCGGCAGUAGGCGCUACUGCAUCUUAUGGGUUUGGAGGAGUUUAUUUGUGACGCGUAGGGUCGUGCCAAUUUCCGAAUUUAGGAAUUUGUGGUGAGGAGUCAACGAUGCGGCAGAAACGAUUUUACCUACACGCGCUACUCGAUCAUCUACACCUUGCAGCCGACAAAAAUUGGUGCUCAGGAUAUUCCGGAUAGAGGCACGGUUUCAAGGAUUUUCCUAUUUUUCUUUUUCUAUUUUACAACCAAACAAACAUAAACUAUUUCGAAAAAAAUAUACCAGUAAGCAAGUAGCGUGCUACUUUGUCCUCAAAAAAUAUAUAUAUAUAUUAGUAACUGUAUAUCUCUAAAUUCUAUAUCAGCGUAUAUAUAUGAACUAUAAGAACUUCAAAAUUUAAAUUUUGUACUUAUAUUAUUGAAUGUAUGGAUAAUUUUAUUUUUCGAAAAAUAAUUCAAAAAGUUUAAUUUAAAAAACGCAUUCCAAAUUGGCCUAUAGUUGUAGCGCUUGAGGAGUCUCCAUAUCCUCUAUUUUAAAUGAAAAAUAUAAGUAGAAGUAAAUAGUGAUAAGAAGUCAAGAACAGAGAGAAUUGGUUGAAUCUAAUAAAAUUUAGAUAGCGCGUAAUAACUAAAUAACUAAAUUAUAUCUGUUAUUAAUAAAGAAAAAAAUUUAGAUGCUGAAUAUUAUUACACUUCAUCGUUGUGCGAUACACGAGGGUGUUGACGUCGCCCGGUUUCUACAUCGGGUAAAGUUGGCGAGCAUUUGGACGGUGGGUCGGUACGGGUAGAGUGGAAUUCAUUUCUCGCUGAAUAUAAUAAUUUCGAUGAAAACUUCGCCGUUGUUUUUAUUUUUAUUUUAAUAUUUCUUUAUUUUAUUUGUUUACUUUUUUUUUCUUUUUCUUUUUCUUUUGCUGCGUAGGUGGACCAGUGGACGCCUCCGUCCAUUGGACGGCUCGAAGUGGUGCAACCGCAAGCGCCAGUGGAUUUGACCCUCUACUGUAGCUUUUUAGUACUUGUUUUCAGAGAAAAACAACUUGUCUAAUGUCUGGUACUUGAUGUUACGGGGCUCUUUCCAUUAGCUCUUUUCUUUUUUUUUUUUUCCUUUUCUUUUUUCCUAAGAAAGAGAUAACAAGCUACUUAUUUUAUUCAUUAGAAAAAAUAAACUAAACAUACAUAGUAAGAACAAUUAGAACUUUCGGGAAAAAAAUAAAAGGAGAAACAUAAGUAAGAGAAAAUUAGAGAAAAAAGAGUGAAAAAAAGGAUUCAAAAGCUUAUGGCAAGGAUGGGAUCAGCAGUCAGUGAAUCUCGUUCCAAAAGGCCAUCAAGAGUCUGACACGCUCCAACGACUAGAAAGGAUUGGGCAAUUUCGCUUGAAAAAUAAUAUUAUUCCUUCUUUAUCCAAACGAUCCACCAGAUUACCGACAAAAGGGUUAAAUUUUUUGUUCUCGUCGCAACAUCGUUUAGGCCAGUUGUUCUAAUCCAAAGUCCUCGAACAUCAUCCGAGAUCUCAGCGAGCACUUUCGAUCCUGCCACACAAAGGAGUAGAUAUCUAACAAAUACAUAGUUACACAAGAGGUGAUCGCAGCUUUCCUCAUUGAACACAUAGAAAAUACAAUGUUGCUCCACCAACCGACCUCGGUUGAGUAGUCUAUCGGCAGUAAGAAUUCUUUUACGUAGAAGCAACCAUUUGAAAACUUUGAUUUAACAAAAAUUUUCAGUCUCCAGAUAUACAGACUUGCCAGGUCUCUCUGUCCAUUAGUUCUCUUUUAUACUUUCAAAUUUUAUAUAUAUAUAUAUAUAUAUAUAUAUAUAUAUAUAUAUAUAUAUAUAUAUAUAUAUAUAUAUAUAUAUAUAUAUAUAUAUAUAAUAUAAUAUUGAACUCCUAAACUUUUAAAAAUAUAAAGAUUGGUGCUUGUAGGUUUUCAGUCCUUGAAUUAAAAAAUGUGCGGUUAGGAUGAUAGUGAUCAUCUAGAAUUGAAUAGGUGGUUGGUUAAUUAAAUAGUAUGAAUAAACGGUUGCAAAUGGUCAAAGUGGUAAAUCUAACGGUGGAUUACUUACAAAAACCAUGUGUUUUGUAUUUUUACAAACACCACAACCGGACACCAUAUAUAAUUUUAAAAAACAAUCCAUAUACAAGUUUAUUUAUAAAUUGCCAUCUCUAAGAAAUCAUUUUGUUCAAGACUCCAUGCAAAUCGUCGAGUGAAACAAACGGAUGUCCAAGCACUUUCCUUUAAGGGUACGUUUGGUUCGCAUUAUGAAAGAUUACUAGGAGUAAAAAGAUAUCCGAGAAUCUUAUUUCUAUUCAUCCUAUUACUAAGAUUGUAAUAUUUCGGUGUUUGGUUCGUACGGUCAUAUUAUUUAGUCAUGUUAUUUAAGAUUACGAAAAAUAUACAAUCAAUUAAUUAAUUAAUUUAAUUAAUUUUAAAUAAUACUAUAAAAAAAAUUCAACAUCUUUUUAGAAAAAAGAGAGAGAAUAUAGGUUAGAAAGAGAGAGCAUAAUUAAAGAAAUAGGAAGAGAAAUAGAGUCGAGGUUAGAGAGAAUGAGAGGGUUGAGAUUUUAGAAAAAGAUAGGGAGAAAUAGCUUAAUUUAGAAAGAGAAAAAGAGUUGAAGUUUAGAAAAAAAAAAGAUAAGUUUAAAGAGAGAUAUGAGGUUAGAGUGUAAAAAAAAAUAAAACCAACUAACCGGCGGGUGAGAAGAAAAAAAAAAAAUAGACAUAUUAUAAUUACUCCAAUAUAUUAAUAUAAGAAUACCAACCCUCUCUCAAAGGAAUGAGAUUAAUACUUUGGGAUGCAUCUCAGUCCCAAGUAAAUAUAGUAUUACCAACUAAAUUACUUAAUCCGUUUAGCCAAACACCGCCAUAUUUUUUUAUUUCUAUUGGAUUAUUAGGAAUCUUAAAAAGAUAGCGCGAACCAGACGCACCCUUGAAGUAUUCUGACUAGACCUGGCAAUCUCGACCCAAACCCGCGGGUACCAGCGGGUUACCCGCAAAUUUGCGGGUAUGGGUACCAACUUUUUCAACCCAAAAAAUUAUAAGUAAAACGGGUGGGUACCCAUUAAGCUAUGACCAUUUUGGGUAACCCGCGGGUACCCACGGGUACCCACACAUAUAUAUUUUAAUUACAAAAUAUAUUUUUUUAAUUAAUAUAUUUAUUUAUUUAUUUAUNGUUAGAGAGAAUAAGAGGGUUGAGAUUUUAGAAAAAGAGAGGGAAAAAUAGCAUAAUUUAGAGAGAGAAAAAGAGUUGAAGUUUAGAAAAAAAAAAAGAAGAUAAGUUUAGAGAGAGAUAUGAGGUUAGAGUGUAAAGAAAAAUAAUACCAACUAGCCGGCAGGUGGAAAGAAAAAAAAAAGAUUAGACAUAUUAUAAUUACUUCAAUAUAUUAAUAUAAGGAUAUUCACCUUCUCUCAAAGGAAUGAGAUUAGUACUUUAGGAUGCAUCUCAUUUCCAAGUAAAUAUAGUAUUACCAACUAGAUUACUUAGUGCGUUUAGCCAAACACCGUCAUAUUUUUUUUAUUUCUAUUAAAUUAUUAGGAAUCUUAAAAAGAUAGCGCGAACCAAACGCACCCUAAGAGUAAGUUUUCUGCAGUUUCAUGCACAAAAAAUUUCCCCAUUCAGAAUGAUUCUUAUGUCCAUUAGCAACAAGAUCAAUUUCACGCCAUCGGGCUAUUUUAUCUGCACCUCCUUUUAUUCAGAUCUCUGGAGUGUCUAGUAUGGCCUAGAAUGGCAAGGUUUAUCGACCGUAGCACGACAAACAACAUUUCAACCGCGAGAAAUAUUUCCUCAGUUUUGCAAUUACUGCAGCAUCGUUCUACUUCAUGAACAAGGUGAUAUAUUCACUGCUGCUGCUACUGAUGGGCCACUUAUAAGUGUAUUAAUAGAGAUUGUAGGAAGCCUCGAUCACUUAUUAGUUUCAAUCAUUAUCAGACAAGUUUACUCACAUUUCGCUUUGCUGGAUUUAGCUGGAUUUGAAAACUCUGGUCUCUUCAAGCAGAUAGGGAUGGGGUGGACUUGAAUGACUUGUUUUAAUGGCUUUACUCAUUUAUAUUGCGGUGUUUAUGUUCUCUUUGGUCAAUUAUGAUCAAUUCGUAUACGCUUCCUUUGACAAAAAUGCAUCAGAUCUUGUUUGAGGUUCCCAAGUUUCUCGAUAAAUUAACUUACUUGAACAUACGAAUAAAAAUGAUAGGUAACUUGUCUUUGCUUUCAACAAAGGUUCAUUCAACGAAGAAAACAAAAAUUGUUUUACUUUGCUCCAGACCGAAACACAAACCUGCCGGGCUAGGUCUAUAACGUGCUGCACUUUUCUCCUGCUGAUUCCAGCCGGCAAAAGAGGAAGAUGAAAACCGCUCUCGUUUUUCUACUUCCAUAUGCAAUUAUAUUUUCACGUUCGUUCGAAUCCUAAGUUUGGUAUAUUCCUUUUCUCCGAGUACUUUGAACUUUGGUUCAGGUUAUGCUUCAUCUUCGUCGAAUCUGCAAUUGUACUGAGAUGUUAGAGUUAUUAUUAAGGUUCAAGGAAUUGCUAUUUCUAUUCUCCCCUUUCUUCAUUGCUAAUUUAGGCUAAACAAUAGGCUCGUAAUUGUAUCAAGCUCGAAAUCCGCUCAUAAAUAAUUUUUCAAAACAAAAAAAAAGAAAAAAAGAAGUGACUUUUUUUUUUCUGUAAAAGAUUAAAUAAUUAAAAAAGCUGGGUGUUUCGAUAAUAUAAUGUAGUGAUUGGUUCUUUCAAUCGACUUUCAUCGUCUCUUGGCAUGCAACAAGAAAAACAUAUGAUGAAACAUCCAAAAUUCGCAUUAAUUUCCAUUCGAAUUGAGGAAAAUAAAUGGCCAAUUUGCCUAUAAUCUCUUGUUAAUUUUCGACUAACCAAGCUCUAACAAGCUUUCUUAAUUAUGAGACAAAAACAAAGCCUAAUUAAGAACAAAUUUUCAGAAUUACCAUCACGAUCAACAUGGUUAGAAGGGAAAACGCAUCGUCAUAAUAUACAAGUAUUAAAUCCGAAUUUACACCAACACCAAAUCCCCAAUCACUCGUACGACAUUAAUCUCUCUUUUUAUUAUUCGAGUCGAAUAUAUGUUCCGAUCAAACUCGGCGCAGUCUCAGCCGCGGGGAUCUUCGACGGCGCCAUCGGGAGGCGGCGAAAGCGCGGCGGCGGAGAGGGCGUCGGCGAGCGCGCGCAUCGCCUUGACCUGCAUCUCGAGCGCCGCGACGUAGUCGGCCGUCUCCUCCAGCAGGCUCGGCGCCGGCAGUUUCCGGCACCCCGGCACCAGCCGCCCCAGCAGCCGGAGCCGCUCCUUCACCUUCGGCUUCGCCGGAGACGGAGCCGGAGGUGGCGGGGGGAGGCGGCGGCGGCGGCGGCGGCGGAGUUUUCCGGCGGAGGACUUGAGGAGGAGGGGCUUGCGGCGCCGGGCGAGGAGGACGGCGCGGCUCCAGCGAGACUGGCCGCCGGCGGUCAGGGCGAGGGCGGAGUCGGCGGCCUCCUUGACGGCGCGGGCGCGCGCGGCGCGGAGCGCCGCGAGGAGGCGGCGGCCGUAGGCGCGCUGCUGGGCGCCGGUGCGCCACUUGGUCUCGGCCGGGGGCCCGGAAGCGGCCGGUUUUUUUCUGGACCGGGUCGCGGAGGACGACGACGACGAGGGUUCGGAGGAGGAGGAAGAGGAGAUGGAGAGCAUGAUGAUGGUGAUGACGAUGAUGAUUCAAUGGAGUUAGAGAUAAAGAGAGAAAGGAAAGAGGGGAGGAAGGAAAUGUGGCGGAUUUAUCGAAAGAGGGGAGUUAGUGGUGAGAUUAGCGAUAUUUUUUAUUAGGUAAAAGAAUAUAGAAAACAAACUGUUACUCUCAUUCAAUAAGAUAUAUACAUCUUGCACUCUUUUUUUGUUUUUUUUUUCAAUAAUUUUUGGUAUACAAUAAAAUUAAUAUGAUUAGUAAAUAAAUUUUAAUUUUAAAAAGUUUAAAACGUAAAUUUUACAUCUAUAUUAUAAAUGUACCAACAGUAUUACUUAAAAAAAUUAAUAUUUUUACUAACACUACAAUGAAAAAUGAAUUGCAAUAUUAUAAUAUGGCAAUCUAAAGGUUAGACUUUAAACAUUAUCUUAUUAUUUUUUUAAAUAUACAUAUGUUUUCAAUAUUAAAAUUUGGAUGGCCUUGGCUCAAUUUCAAGACAGCGGAUCUUAGAAUUACAAUUCCAUUUGAGUUGUACAAUUAACAUUUAACAAAAGAUAUUGUAAUAAGGCCAUUUUGAGAUUGGUCCCUAUACACUCUCUUAACCUUCAUUUUUAUUUGAAUUAUUAUUUUACGUAGUUAAGUUUAAAAGUUUGAUAAGCUUAGUGACCCAACUAGCUAUUAUUUGUUUAUUGAUUUAAUUUUAUUUUAUAAAUAAUUAAAAUUUUUAAUUUGAUAAAAUUAUAACUAUUUAAUGAAAUAAACUCAAGAGAAAAUAUUGAUAAAAAAAUAAUGUUUUUUUUUUAGAAAAAGCUAGUACGCUACCCGCUUCAUUCAUUUAGCAGAUGAAUUUAGCUGUAGAGAUUGAGACAACGCGGUCUCGAAAAACAUUGAGGGCAACCAAAACAAAAAAGACAAAUAAAAACUAAAAUAAAAAAGUAAAGUUGAGAGGCUCAUUUUAGAUGACCUAUAUAGUUUGAGGGGGUCUUCAUACAUUUUUUACUCUUUUUCUUUUUCCUUUUUAGUAUAUAUUUAUAUUUAUGUAAUAGUGGGGUUUGGUGUGUGGUCUUGCAAAGCAUGUUGUGUUAAUGGUUUUAUUAAGGGAAAGGGGGGGAAUAUGUUUGUGGCACGGCAUGUGAAUGGAGUGAAAGGCCAAUAGGGCAUUAGGGGCCUAUUUCAUUUUAGGUUACAUGAUUCCAUCACUAAAGGGGGAAUUUAUUUAUUUAUUUAUUUAUUUAUUUAUUUUUUGGUUGGUAGCUUUUGCAUGGUCUAUUUAUCGACUAUUCUUGUGACACACUCGAUGACUGUUAAUUAAAUUGAGAAAUGAUUUUGCCUCAAAUUGAUUCACAUUUCUAGCUAAGUUUAUUUCUAAAUGAAAUAAAUAAACCGGGUAGCGUGCUAUCUAUUUCUCAAAAAAAAAAAAAAAUUACUGAGGAUAAAGCUGAAAUAUAAAAGCUUGUUAUAUAGCUAAGUUCAAUCAUUGGAGCACAUUAACCUUUAUUAUUUAACUGCCGAGGCUAGCUAUGAUAUUAUUUUACUUACUAAAUGGUCUAAUAAAAAACAUACAAAGAAUGAUCAACAACUACGAGAGACUGAGAGAGUGAGAGAGUUAGGAUCGAUUAUCCUAGAAAAUGAAUGCUCCUCGAGUACCCGAUUAUCCUAUAAAUUAUUUAUUACACUAAUAAAUAAUUUAUACAAGCAUGUUCUUACUCUAAAAAAGCUUCCCUAAUAGAUAUAACUAAAAGGUUACAAGCUAUUACUGUAUGUGAAAAUAAAUAUAAUAUAUAAUGGAGGAAAUGAGUUCACUGUAGAAACUUUGUAAGUAGAUAAUGAGUUUUCCAUGAUUUGCUAUAUAUCCACCAUAGUUCACUUAUUACAAUCUUUUGGGAUUUUUUUUUUAAAAAAAAAAAGUUCACAUAACAACAACAGCACAAUAAUGUGGCUACCCCGUACGAGCCGAGCAACAAUCAGUAGACAAUUUCAUUACGUAUAUUGGUGGGGAUUUGAUUGAUACUCGCCUAAUAAAAACAACAAAUUAAAAAACUCUUCCCAUAUAUUCCUCUACGUACGUACUACACUGCACCUCGAUCCGCAUCUUCUAAUUACAAUAUUAUCAACACUCAAAAAACACAUGCAUGCAUCCCAGUAGUAGUUAAUUAGUAAUUGCUUUUGGACGUCCUAUUUUCUACUUAAUUAAUACAACAAUUGUAGGGACUUAAUACAAUUGCAUGCUAAAGUAAAAUGUAUAAAUGAUCUAGUGUAACGUUAGAAAAUGUAAAAUUAAUUUGUGUUCGUAAAUGAUUUGUCGUGAAAAUAAUGGAGGGGAGAGCCCGAGAAAAAAAGCGUUACUCGCUUCGCCUUUGGCUUUCCCACUACGCAAGUGCGGAACAGGCUCCACCAUUUUUUGCUUUAUCCGUGGACGUCGCUUUACGCAGCUUCUUUUUUUUUUUAUAUAUAAAAAAAAAUUAUUAUUUUAGAAUAAAUAAUAACAGCUAGUUAUGUAUAACUAUAUUAGAAUAAUCAAUUAAUUAAUUAAAUAAUUAAUUGACAAGUAUUAAUUAAUUAAUUAAUGAUGUUCCUUGUUGCUGUUGGGUAGUGGUGGAGGUGGAUGUGUUAGCGAGCUAGUGGUUUUAUACUUUGUAUGUAGUAGAAAUUAUGAAAAGGGAAUGAAUUAUAAGGGGAAAAAGAAGUGGGGCUUAAUUAGGUGGGAGAGCAUUUGUCCAUUAGGGAUUGGAUUUAUAUAUAUAUAUAUAAUUUUGGGUUUAGAUGUUAUGUUAUUUGAUGUUGCUUGAGUUUCUUAAAAUAGUAGCCCAAUUAAUUAAAUACCUUCUCUUCGCAGCAGGUACUUUAAAUAUAAUAAAAUGAUGAUUAUUUUUUUAUUCAACUAAAUAUUUUUUAAAACUUUAAUGGAUUAAAAUUAAGUAGUUAUUAAAUAUAUAUAUAUAUAUAUAUAGAGUUGAGUUAGAAUACUCUCAAUAGUAAACGGGGCGUUUUACUAUCGAGUUGUUUUCGAUGAUAGAGCUUCCAAAUUGACGAUCGGCUCCGUUAAAUAUGAUCUAAACCAUUUAAACUACCUAGAAAUCAAAUUUCACGCACUUUCGAUAUUAUUCUUUUAUCUAUCUAGUGAACAAAAAAUGAAUGGCUGAAAAUGAAUAUUCUUUAAAAAAUGAUGAUAGGAGUCUUGUAAUCAAGAUCAAGAGUAUAGAUCUUGUUUUAAAUAGUUUAAAGAAUUUUCUAUCAAAAAUUCAAUUGAUUUGGAUAUCUUUACACCGUUAAACGAGAAAACGUCUUUUAUCCACCAUUAAAAUUAUAAAUUUUGAAACCCGUUGAUCAUUAGGCAAAUGAUGUCGAAAAGAUUUGAAAUUUGAUUUCUAAACACUUCAAGCGGUAUAGAUCAUGUUCAACGGAGCCGAUCGUCAAUUUGGAAGCUCUAUCAUCGAAAACAACUCGAUAGUAAAACGCCCCGUUUACUAUCGAGAGUAUUCUAGCUCAACUAUAUAUAUAUGAUUGGUAAAAAUAUAUUAUUUAAGUAUGAAGUUGUCUAAAAAAUUAAUGGUGCAGAAGUUUCCAACUUUUUAUUUUCUAUAAAUAAGGUAUUGUGCUUAAUUUUUUAGAAAUAAAUAUAUAUUGAAACCUCUUGAACUACAGCUGGUACUUUUGAUAAAACCGCUCAACUUGCACUUUUUGGAUUAGCACCUUCUUAAUUUUUAGAACUAAAUUCUUUUAGCUAUUUUAGUUAAAAAUUUAUUACAUUUAUUUAGCUCUACUAUUUUUUUUUUUCUAAUUUUAUUAGUUAGAAAUAAAUUUAAAAAAUAAUUAAAAUAAGUAAAAGUUGACGGAUCCAUUUCAAAUUGGGAAAUAGUUUUUUUUUUUCUUCGUUUAUUUUAUUAAGAAAUAAAUUUAGCUGGAAAUGUGAAUCAACUAGGAUUCGAACUUGGGUCUCGGAUACCAACCACCAAGUCCUUUGCCACUUGCUCUAGAAACAGUCGGUAAUUAGGAAAUAGUUGAGGGAGAGUUCCUGAUGGUUGUAGCGAUAGCUAUAUAACAUUGCUCUUUAUAAUUUGCGAAUAUGCAUAUAAUCAUCCGUAAAUUAUAAAUUUUAUCACUGGUUAUUACAUUUUUAUUUUAAAUAUUUAAUCUUAAAAAUUUUUAUAUAAAUACUUUAGAUAACUGGAUGGUUAAAAUUGAAAAUCAAAAUUAACAAAAGAAAACAGGUUAAAUUGGUCUAAGAUAGAGUGGUGCAUACACGCAACAAACAUUUUCUCUCUCCCUCGUAUCGUCUGCCCGGAUAAGAUUAUUUAUUGCCUGAACCUUGUUCACCAUGUCAUUCAUGGACCGCCCAAGUGAUUUACUUUUCGUCAAGAAAAAUUCUUGAAAUAACUAUGGUUUAAUAAAAAUAAAAUAUACUAUGACAGGUGUGAUUUACAAUAUUUAACUAACUUAUGCAUAAUUAUUUGGAAGAACUUCAAAAAAACCCCUGUGGUUUCACACUUUUUAAUUUUAGUACCCUGUGUUUAAAGUGUAUAAAGUUAGUAUUCUGUGGUUUCUCACUUUAUCACUUUAGUACCCUGUGGUUUAAAGUGUAUCAAGUUAGUAUCCUGUGAUUUUGCACUUUAUCAUUUUAGUACCAUGUGGUUUCACACUUUAUCACUUUAGUACCCUAUGGGCGCGUUUGAUUCGCACUAUGAAAGAUUACUAGGAGUAAAAAGAUAUCCGAGAAUCUUAUUCCUAUUAAUCCUAUUACUAAGAAUGUAAUAUUUUAGUGUUUGGUUCGUAUGGUCAUAUUAUUUAGUCAUGUUAUUUAAGAUUAUGAAAAAAAUACAAUUAGUUAAUUUAUUUUUAAAAUUAAUUUUAAAUAAUACUAUAAAAAAUUUCAACAUCCUUUUAGAAAAAAGAGAGAGAAUAUAUGUUAAAAAGAGAUAUUAUAAUUAAAGAAAUAGGAAGAGAAAUAGAGUCGAGGUUAGAGAGAACGAGAAGGUUGAGAUUUUAGAAAAAGAGGAGGAGAAAUAGCAUAGUUUAGAGAGAGAAAAAGAGUUGAAGUUUAGAGAGAAAAAGAUAAGUUUAGAGAGAGAUAUAAGGUUAGAGUGUAAAGAAAAAUAAUACCAACUAGCCGGCGGGUGAGAAGAAAGAAAGAGAUUAGAUAUAUUAUAAUUACUCCAAUCCAUUAAUAUAAGGAUACCCACCCUCUCUCAAAAGAUUGAGAUUAGUAUUUUGGAAUGCAUUUCAUUCCUAAGUAAAUCCAAUAUUACCAACUAGAUUAUUUAAUGCGUUUAGCCAAACAACGUCAUAUUUUUUUAUUCCUAUUGAAUUACUAGGAAUCUUAAAAAAAUAGCGCGAACCAAACGCACCCUAUAGUUUAAAAAAUCAUAGGGUACUAACUUGAUACAAAAUUAAAACCACAUGGUACUAAAGUGAUAAAGUGCAAAACCACAGGAUACUAACUUGAUACACUUUAAACCACAGGAUACUAAAGUGAUAAAGUGAAAAAUCACAGGGUACUAACUUGAUACAUUUUAUACCACAUGGUACUAAAGUGAAAAAAAAUUGAAACCACAUGGGUUUUUUUUGAAGUUUUCCCUAAUUAUUAAGCAUAGGUAAUUUUAAAAAUCUAAUUUUAUAGUUGGUCUAUGGUGCAUCAGGUGCACCAACAAUUUUACGAGGAGAAUCUAUCUCACCAUUGAAAAAGAAAUAAAACUAAUAGAACCUAAUGUAUGAAUGUAUCAUAAAAAUUGUACAGAAUAUUUGAUGAUUAAUGCUUAAAAUAAAAUAUAAUAUGAUAUGUGUAAUAUAAAAUAUUUAAAUAAUUUAUCGGAUAAUAAUUAUUUUUAAUAAUAUAUUUAAAGUUGAUUUACGGUGUAUCCGGCACGUUAAAAGUUUUUGAUGGAACAGGUGUCCUCGGCUGCCUUUUCCACGGACUUUAGUGUAUAAAAUAAAAAAUAAAUAAAUAUACAAUAAUAAUAAUCUACAUAUAUACAUAUAUUUGAUGUAUAAUAGAAUGAAGUGAAGGAUUAUAUGCAACAAGUUCUUUUUUUAGUUAGUAAACAUGCAUCACAUCAAUCGUGUUCAUUUGUUGUUGGGAUUUAAUAAUCACUUUUUUUGUAGUGUUUUAAUUGGACAAAAAUUUUAUGGGCGAAUUAAUUAGUUUAGAAAUUAUGCGAAUUGACGCCACGUGGUCAAUCCGACGGGUGCCUUUUUCAGUGGUCUUUUCUCUCUCUCUCUAAAAACAUAGGAGUUUUUAUUUUUUCUUUCCAUUUCUGGCUGUUGGAUAGGUCACGUGGCGCUAAUCUGCAUAGUCCCCAAACUAAUUAGUUUGGGUACUACGCCCAUAAAAUUUUUGCCCAAUUUAAUCUAUCUUAUGUUAGAAUGAUGAAAGGAUAUCGUCAUAAAUUUUCUCAUAAAUUCCUUUGGAAUUAAAGCACUAAUUGGGAGGUUAAUCUUUCUAUUAUUGCUUUAUUAUUAACAAGAUCGAUUUUAAUAUUAAUUGAUAGGUCGGUGGAAUCUGGUCGUUUUAUGCUGCCCAAUUUCAAUAAAUUUUACAAUAAACUUGAAUUUGUUGCUCUACAAUUUAACUUAUUUUCACUUUAUCAUUUUGUGGUUCAAAAAGUUAUUUAAGUAUCAUGUAAUUUUAUCUUUAUUAUUACUAAAGAAAACUAUUAUUAAAUAGAAUAGUAAAAUAAAUUUUUUAAUAACUACAGAAUAAUUAAGUGUAAGUUUUUGAAUCACUGGGUGACUGAGUAAAAAUAAGCUAAAUAAUAGAAUAGUUAAGUACAACUUUUUGAAUUACAAGAUAAUAAAAAUGAGCUAAAUCACAUAAAAUGCGAAUUGAAGCUUACCCUAAAUUUUAUUUUAUUUUAUUUUAUUACCGUUAAAGUGGCUCUGUCGAUAUUACAUCUCUCUCUCGCUCUCUCAUUAUUGAUAAUUCCCCUAGUAAGUAAUACUGUAUAUAAGUGUGCUUAAUGAAGUUAAUUAAUUGUAUUGCCUCUUACGCCAACUGAUAAGUUUGUUUCAUCUACCGCAAUAAGAUACCGCACCUUCCAAUUACAUGAGAAUCAACCUGAUCAACGUGCCAACUAAUCUUUCAAAUCAAGUGUCCACAUUAUGGUUGGUGAUCUUAAAACACUAUUCAAAUCUUAAGCUUGAUUAGGUCGAAAGAGUGCAUAAUUGCAUAGCUGGUCCUCCAAAAGAAAUAAAAAUAAAUCAAUUAAGUAAAAAAAAAAGGGUAUUGUAUGACGAAUAAGAAUCUUGCAGCUAGAACAUAGAAAAGAUAAAGGCGUAACUAUUAAUUAAUGUUGGAUUCUUAUUGUAAUGGUGAUUAUUUAGGCGCUUAAGAUGGCCCAAGUUCAUGCAUCUAAUAAAUACUAAUAUUCACCAAAGUGAAGAGGAUGAUAAGGGACGGAGAAAGAAUAUGUGAAAGGAAUUUUGGUUUUCUUAAAUUUACAGCGCCUUGAAGAAAGAUAAAAUAAAAUUAGUGAUGUCUCUUAUGAAAAAUAAUUAGCAAAAGAACUCAAUUAUCGCCACGUUCGAGAUGCGCUUAAAAUAAUUCAGAAUACUAACAAGCAAACACACCAAGAGCAUCCCAUAUGGAAAAGAUAAAAGAUAGAGUAAUUAGGUCUUCGAACUACUCAAAAUUGAUUAAAGAGCCUGUGAAUUAGCGAUCCACAUCAAUAGAUAUUAAUAUAGGCUUUAUUAAGCUUCUUGGAGCCAAAAAAUAUGAUUCUCAGUAUUGCAAUCCCUCCCCUGCAUCAUCCACUGUCAACAUAUGACACCAGUUAUCUUGUCCCGAAUUGAUUUUUUUUGGCAAAAGAAGAUACGUGACAGUGAUUUCAAUUAAUACAUCAAAACAUUGCUACAAACUAUUUCUGCUAUAAAAGGAUUUACCAGCAACAUGUAAUCAAUACCAAUUUGAGAAAAAAGUAGGAAUCUGAGCCAACAAGUUUAACACACAUUAUAUGUCAGAUAAUCGUUUUAAAUCAUAAAAAAUUGCCACCUGGAGUUCUAGUGAUGAAAAUCUAAACAGCAGCUAAAUUGCAGCGACUAGUAAGCAAUCCGAACAAACAUCUCUUUUGCUUAUUCAUGUGAGCAUAGAAAUACGGACUCAUUAAUUGCAACAACAAGCUAAAGUUUGCAGGGUGAAAAGGGUUUCCAUGGGAGAGACAUUCGACAAUCUUGCUCAACUCGUGUUCAUCUCGUCUGCAGCAGCAUUGCUUCCAUCUGUAGAUACACGAUGACAUUAAGCAAGAUUGAUUACUUGAAGACAAAAGGAAGACAGAAAUAAGAUAAGGCACAGGAAAAAAUGAGGGAUUCUAUUAGCUAUUGUACCAUCAGUAUCGGAAGAUGUGUAAAUUGACCGUCUUGAUCGAACUUGCUGGUGCGGCGUGGGCUGAAAAAAACAAUAACAAAAUCACGAAAAUAUGUUUCUUAGGUUUAAGUGAAGAACAUCAAGCUGAUGAACAUAUGCUUCUAAAAGGCACCAUGAGUAAACCUGAGGAAGCACACACGCACUCGUAGACACACGUAGACACAUGUAGAUUCCGAUCCUUAAAAAAAUUAUUGCAGAUUAAACAAAAUGUGAUACCUGCAGUUUUGGCCUCAGUGCUUCUAGCGGUCCCUUGGGCUUCUCAGCAGGUGCACCUUGCUGUCACGCAACAACAACGACAACAACAACAAUGAGAUUUUAUAUCUUGCGUACUAGCUCAAAUUUCACAGCCCGCAAGAUAACAACUGAUAAAAGAAAGUAAAAUUAUUAAGGUAAUUACCUUCCCAAGAGCCCAAUCAGCAGAAUCAAAGUAAGCACGUUCAUGAUCCUGGAAGCAAAUUAAAUCAUUAUGGGCAAAAAGAGGAGAAGAAACUACAUUAUUGAUGGUUGGAGAGCGAAGUAUGUUGAAGAUCAUUUACCUUGGAUAAAAGUGGUGGUUUCUUUGGUAAAAUUCCUCCAUACUUUUUCUUGAUUACUGCUUCCUGUGAAAGGAAUAUGAUAAGUCUGGUUUUCCCACAGACAAUUUUUGCUCCACCUUUAAACAUUCUAUAGCAUUGUAUACAAGUUUACCAUAUGUUUGACCAACAAAAGAGGGCUCGGACUAACCAUUCAAUGGAAAAAUAGGCAACUUUAUUUGAUGUAAGAUAAAAAGCAAUAUUAUGGAAAAAAGAGAAAAGUAUAACCUCGGCUUGAGAUGAAGGCAUGGAAUUCUCUCCGCUUUGAUCCAUAGUUUCAGUACCUUCCUGAGAAAUGUGGUCAUUGGUGUCAGUGCUCUUUAUGUCCAACAUGAUGAUUAUGAACUACAACAGUUAUUUAGUUUGUUCAUUUCGAUGAAUCCUAACAAAUACACCAUAGUCACCCAAUUUGCAGAAUCCAGGAGUCAAAUAGGAUCAUUUAGGAGUAGGACAGAAAUUAUAAACAAAUUAUUUUGUGUUUUGAGUGAAAAGGAUAAGGUUAGUAGAAAUUUUAAAACUUCACGAAGCAACUCCCAAUAUAAGCUGUUCAAUAAAUUAAAACAUCAAUCAGUAAACUCAUGAUGAAUUUUCAUUCAGGUGACCGAAUUAAUUUCGUUCCAUCUGUGCACUAAGCUUCCAUUUCUAUGUCAAUCAGGUCGCUUCAUUAAACGCCAUAUUGUUUUCCUAACAAGAUGACAGAAUGGUAGCUGAAUCAUUUACAACGUCAUCUCAUGGAUAUGACAUGGCUGCUAAUUCAUCUCUUGGAGGUGAUGCGGAUGCUGAUUUAGCUAACAUACCACUUCUUAGAGAUGAUGUGGUUAUUGAAUAAUAACUCUUGAGAUGAAAUAGCAGCCAAAUCAGCUGACAACCACAUCUGCCCUUCACUAGGACAAUGAAAUUUAAGUUUGACGGAGAGACCUAAUUGAAGCAGAAAUUAAAGUUCAAUUCUAAACUGAAACAACAACUGAAGUUUGGCGGCCAAAAUGAAACUUCACCAUAGUUUCAGCGGAGGUAAAUGUGUAAUUAACCCUAUUUUUAAUGACUGAAUAUAAAAGGACAAUAACAUUCUUAACAGGUUAGGUUUCAGGAAUAACCUCUUUAUAUGCACAUAGUUUAGAUACAACAAAUUUGCAGCCAAUAAAUAGCUCAAUAUAGGUUAGUGUUCAUGAGUAUCUUUUGAGAAAACUACACAAAAGCUACAAGUACUUUGCAGGCAAUGAAGAACUCAAUAUAGGGUCAUGUUCAUCACUACCUUUAGAAAGCUAAAUCAUUAGAUUCACUACAUAGAUAAGAUGUACAAGAAUUUUGCAAUUAUUAAUCUAUUUGUGAGAUCCCAGGCAAUUCUAUAUAUAUGAUAUAAUAGGGCUAAUACUCUUAACGCGGGUUAAAAAUUUUGGGUGGUGGUUAGGCCCAAAAGGUUAAGAGAGUUAAGCGUGCUAAGAUGGGAGCAGUCCUAAGAUGGGUAUCCCCUUGGGAAGUUGGGGCGUCACACUAUUUAUAAGCACGCAUUAUUCACAAAUUGUGAUUCUAGUAAGGGGGAAAAAAAAAGAGUCAAAAGAUCAAAAUUAUUGCUAGUUACAAAUAUUUGUAUAGGGCAAGUGCACCAGAAGUUCAACAUCAACAUACUUAUCUUUCAUAUUCACAUUUCGUUACAGCUACAGGAGAUCCACUAGUUCCUUGCCUUGGUUAGCAAUGAUUAUCGAAAUAAACAAAUUAAGACAUGCAUGAUCUUGCAUGGUAUAAAUUAUUCUACAGGAAUCAAUAUGUAACAAUACUCCUAAACUCUUCACGCUUUACCACCGAAGAAUAAACAAAGGAUAUGAGUAACCUCUACAACUGCCAAAGGUAAGGAACCCUUAAACUGUAACUCUACAAUGUUACAGACGAAGCAUAGGUAUUGAGUCAGUUUCGAAAUGUUCCAAAGUGCAAAGGUGAGAACUGAAAAGUUUCCUAAUCAAGCAGAUCACAGAAAAUCCCGGCGGGAAACUCGCAAUGAAUUUUCAACAGCGGUAACACCGAGAGUUCUUAGAGAUAAAUCCUUCAUUAACCACAUCUCCAUUGGCCAGAAAUUUUGUGGCUUAAAUGGCCAAUAAAAAAAAAAAAAAUUGAGAUGCAAAAAAGACAUGCACAAAGGAAACAGGAUCUUCCCUACCCUUCGAGUUGCGUUUGUGCCUUUAACAAGGCAAAAAUUCAAGUAAACUGCUAUAGUUCCAGGUCCAACAUGUUCUAUUCCAAGAGAAAUUAGGUUGUGAAUCUUCAGUUAUGUAAUACUUUAAACCAUCUUAACCUCCGUGGUGUUAAAAGUAUGAGAACAUGUAAAAUUGCAGAAACAAAACAUUCACUGAUCAGAACAACUAGAUCACAGAUCUAUGCUAAGCUUGGAAAAAGGAGGAAAACAUAUUAAUGAUUUGAAAAGCAAAAAUUUAACAAGUAGAUCUAAGAUCACAUAGGAACCAACAUAGUAAUCAAACUUCUUACCACUACAUGCCCAAACUGAAAGAGUAGGAGAUAGAUCUACCUUUUUGAGAAAACAAGGUGAGAACUGAAAAGUUCAAGGGCAGAAAUCCGAACUCCUCCUCCUUAUUUUUAUUUAUUUAUUUAUUUAUUUUAAUGUUCUGCAGGCGUGGACGGAAGGGACGAACCGAGGGACGCGGAAAAGAAGAUUGAGUGAACUUCAAGCACUUUUCUUUUUUUCUUUUUUUCUUUUUUUUUUUUUUAUAAACUUCAAAUAUCAUUUUCUCACUUUAGUAUUUUAUAUUUUAAAAUAUAUUUAUUUAAUACUAUGUAAUUUUAUUUUUCUCUUUUUGUUAGUUUCUUUAUUAAUAUUUUGUUAAAUUAUAUACAGAAAGACUUCAGAUACCUCUACCUAGGUUUAUCGAAUAUUCACUUUAAUAUCUUUUAUUUUUAAUUUUGUCAUUGAUUUGACGAAAAGAAAAAAAAAACCACAGAAUACUAAAUUAAUACACUUUAAACUAUAUGAUACUAAAGUGAAAAGGUACGAAACAACAUAGAUGUUAUUUGAAAUUUGUCCUUUUUUAUGUUAUUAUAUAUAAUAAUAAUAAUGAUAAUAAUAAUAAAACGUGCAAAUAUAUAUGGAUUAUUCACCAUUUUUUGAAUUGUAUCCCUAAAUUUUCAAAAUUUUAAUUUUAUUAUUUAAUUUUUAAAAAUUUAUUUGAUGUAAAUUAAUUAAUAGUAUUUUGAUUUUAAAAUUAGAAUGCGUCUUUUAUUUUUACAGAUUUAAUUAGUAUACUUAAUUCAUACAAUUCUCGUAACUAUAAAUUCAUUAAAAUAAAUAAAUAGUUUAAAUUUUUAAGUUAAAAUAUCUUUGUCCUACUUCAAUAAAAAAAAUUAAAAGAUUGGAUAGUAAAUUAAAAUUUUUAAAACUUGGUACACCAUUCAAAAUGAUCUAUUGUUGAUAUAAAUUAUGUAUGUUUUUAAUUCUUUGUUUAUUUCAUGAAAAUGCUACCUGUGUGGCCGUGUAUAUGUCUCUUGCAUCCAAAAAUUUAUAAUUUAUAUAACUAUUUUAGAUUUUUAAUGUUAGAAAAUAUUAUUGAUAUGAUAAGUGAGUAGAUUACAACCUUUGACUAAAAUGUAACUUAAGAGCCCGUUUGAUUCAUAAUUUGUAACAUUUCAGUAAUUCUUUAUAUUUUCUAUUGAAAAUAUUCAAAUUAUUAUCAUCCAACUCAAGUUAAGUAAUUAUAAAAAGUAUUAGUAAAAUAAUAAAAUCAUCGUAGAUUCUUACAUUAUAGAAAAUACUAAAUUUUCAUAGCUCAAAAGGUAUUCUUAGGGGGACGUUUGAUUCAAGAUUUGUAAUAUUUCAAAAUUAUUGCAUCACAUGAUAAUUUUGUGACUAAUUUAUGAAGCCACUUAAAUUAGGAGGUUGCUAAGAAAUAGAUAUUCUUAUCAAUAGACUACUAGUAAUUUCUAUCAUAAUGAGAAUAUCUCCGACUCAAUAAUAAUCUAGCAUUUCUGCCGCUUAACAAUUUACAAUAAUUUCACUAUCUUACUAAUAUUUUUUACUAUUAUCCAACUUGAGUUGAAUGAUAACAAUUUGAAUCUUUUCAAUAGCAAAUAUGAAGAACUAUUGAAAUCUAGUAAACCUUAAGGCACUGUUUGGUUUGGGAAUAGGGAUAGGGAUAGGUCCUUAUCCCCCUCUUUAUACCCAAACGCUAAUUUUUUAUCCGAGAAUAGUAGUUCUCGGUUAUCCCCACCAACACCUCCAUUUUCUAUAUAAAAUUUCCUAAUAUUUUUCUUAUCCUCGGGAACAACCCAAUUUUCAUCCAAACGCUAUUUUUUUUAUCCCCAUACAUAUACCUAUCCCUGUAAUAGCUAGUUCUUGUUUAUACCCGAACCAAACGGUACCUAAAGAAACGGCUUCUUAUUUAUAUACUUGAUGGAAAUCAACAGUAGUUUAUUAAUAAAAAUAUAUUAGUUCUUAACAAACCAAACGACCUGCAACUAUAGGAUAGGUGUACUUUAGCAUUAAUCCUUUAUUGAACUUCUUUAUGUACGUAAAACUCUCUCAAUAAUUGUGGAAAAAUAAAAAAAAAAAUUAAGGCAUUUUAACACUUGAUUUGUCUCAAAAUAGAGAAAAGUAAAGAUACAAAAAAUUAAUAAAGUUUUGUUAAAAAUAGAAAAUAAUUCUUUUCAAAGAGACGAAAAUUGAGUAUUAAGGAAUAUCAUUUUUUUUCAAAAUUUUAUUUUAUUUUCUUUGCUCCUUUAGUUUUUUAAUUCAAACAAGAAAAUAUUAAUUUCUCUAAACCAAGUGAAGGGACAAAAUUUAUGCAGUGAAAAUUCCAUUAAUUUUGGAUCUAUGAGACGGCCCUCACUUGAGGCCAAGUGGUCCAUCACGAGUGAGGUGCUUUUCAACGAUUCUCAAGAAGUCGUAAUUUAUCAUCAUCUAUUAUUUUUAUUUUGAUUCAAAAAUUAUAAUUUUUUUAAAAAAAUUCAAAAUUAUUUUAUUUAAUAUUAGAAUAUAUCUAAUAAAUUAUUGGACGGAAGUAAAAUUAAUACAUGAUAUUGAAUCAUGAGCUUUCCAAUAAGAUGGCGUUGGAGAGUUUUCCACUGAAGUGGAUCGUGGGAUGGCGACAACAUUUUGUUGUCAAUAAUGUGGGCAUAAUUAGUGGCGCAAAGAAAGGGUAGCAUUUGGUAGGACUCUAUGAACUUCAAAUGGGUUUUUGUAAAAAAUUAACUAAGCUACAAUAUAUUAUUUUGAAUUCAGUACACAUAUCUUUAGCCAUUCAAAUAAUUACAAUCCACAACUAGUUUGAAAUCUUUUUCUUUUUCUUUUUUUUUUUUUAGAGAUAAGUAGCACGCUACCUGCUUCAUUUAUUUCAUUUAAAAAUAAAUUUGCUUCAUUUAUUUAAUUUAAAAAUAAACUUAGCUGAAAAUAUGAAUCAACUUGGAUUCGAACUUGGGUCUUGGGUACCAACCAUCAAGCCUUUUGCCACUUGCUCUAAGAACAAUAGGUAUCUAAUUUGAAAUCUUAAUUGCUUUAUAUUUAUAGGUAAGUUCAUUUCUAAAAAAUGAAUAUAGCAAAUAAUUUCCUCAUAUUUGGAUAAUUACAUAUGUGCCCUUACAAAAUGAUAAAAUUGUUUAUUUAUUAUAAUAAAAUUUUACUGCAUUUCUAUAAGGUUUUAAUUAUCAAAUACAUCCUUUUAACCUUCACAAUGCAAAUUCAUCCCUAGAGAAUGAUUAGUUGACCAUUAAAUUUUUACCGUUUAAAUUAGUAUGCCUUUAUAAAAAUAAGUUUUUUAUUUUUUUUUUAGAAUUUAUAGCUUAAAGUUCUCGGAGAAUGACACGAAAGUUAGAAUACAAAUAUUUAAAAUAAUAAAUAUUAUUAAAUAUAACAAAAAAAUAUAUUUAUUUAAGGAUAAAAUAGUUAUAUUGUUAACCAAAUGUCAACUUUAACCGGCCAAUUAACAAAAAAGAAUCUAUUUGCAAACUAUGCUACUUUGGAGGGGUAUAUAUAUUUCAUAACUAAAACUUUGUUAGGCAUAAAUGUGAAAUUUUAUUGCUUUGUGGAGGCAUAUAUGGAAUUUACCCUUAAAUAGCUAUUCUCCUAAUUCACUCUUAUUUCAUUUGAAUUGAAACUAUGUUUACCAAUAUGGUAGUGUGUGUGUGCGCGCGACAGUGUUGCAUACCUGUAACAUGUGACAUUAAUGUACAUCAAUAGAUGUUUUACCUAUUUUGACGGUGUUCAAUAUCAAGAGAUUUCGAGCUUAAAUGCCCAACAAAAAAGCCUUUUUUUUUUCCUUUAGUUAGCAAUAUUUUGAAUAAAGACACAAUUUAGCAUAUAAACAAAGCACAAAAGUCACUAUAGUUGGUAAUUUUGACAAAGACAGUAAUCGAACAUUUUUGUAGGAAGGACAAGAAAGCGAAGCCACAUCUUCAAGAAAGUCGUAGUUGCUAGAAAACCUAACUAAUGGAACUUUAUUAAUUCUAAACUAGAAAGAAAAGUAAGAGGAGACGUCCCGUCACUGGGAGUCGACUUUUGUUAGAUAGAAACAAGAAUCGAAAACCCAUAAUAUAGUGUUAACUGACUUUGUAGGAAAAUCGAGUUCUACCCACAACAAUUAUUGGUAUAAGAAUCUCACCUCCCCUAUUAUAUAAUUUGGCUCAGGCGAAAGUUAUCUCACACUUUCGGCUGGUAAUUUGCUCUGAUACCAACUGUGACGUUCAACUUCUCAGAAGUCAUCUAUCUUAGGACUACUCUAAUCUUAGCACGCUUAGCUCUCUUAACCUUUUGGAUCUAACUAUCGUCCAAAAUAUUAUAGUCGAUUAAGAGUUUUAGCCUUAUUAUAUAUUUUAUAUAUAUAUAUAUAUAUACUCGUUAGGAUUUAAAGUAGGGAGCAUGUGAGAACCAAGAUAAUCUUAUAUAUAAGAUAUAUAAGACUAAAACUCUUGAUACGGCUAUAAUAUUUUGGACGGUAAUUAGCUAAAAAUUGUUAUAAGAGUUAAAUAUACUAGAACUAGAGAGUCCUAGAAUGGAUGGCCCCUUAGAAGUUUGGGGCGUCACGCUUAAUCUAACUUGGAUAUGUUGUAUGCUUAUAAAUUCUUUCUUUUGGUACAUAAACUUUACAAGUACAUAAAAUUCAACAGUAGAUUCAAAAUCAAAUUUAUAAGAGAUAACAAGAUAUCCGUAAUCAAAGAUUUUAUAAUAGAAAGUUCUACUUUGAUUGUCGAAUUUGAAGAUCUAAACAGCAUUCAAGUGGAGUGUAACCUUCUAGUGAGCAUCAGUAGUGUAUUAAUAUGCUGCUUGAGAAAAUAAAUCGCCUCAAUUGGAGUUCGGGUAAGACCGAUAUGACCUCCGUAAAGUCAUAAUAAUUUGUUUAACUAGUCCCUAGCGCAAGUGGCAUGGCAAAGAGCUUAAUGGUUGAUACCUGAUGUUUCGAAUUCGAAUCUUAGUUGAUUUGCAUUUCCAGCCAAAUUUAUUUGUAAAUGAAAUAAACGAAUUUGUUUGCUCUGAUUUCGAUCAAUCCUUGUGGUAUCUUCAUCUGAAUCAUAUCUCACAUAGAUCUUUCUAAAUCAAUAUUAUGUGUACAACUAUUUACAUUCUCAAACUGUCUUCUUUAAUUUUAUGAAAAUUAAAAUAACUAUUUUGAGAAAUUAUUUUGCAAGAGUGCAGUAAUAUUUGCAGGAAAUGUCAUUACAAGAAAAAACACUCUUUAUAGAAUGUUCUAGUCCUCAAGGAUCUACUGAAUCUCAUACUCUAGUCAGAAUACAACAGCACUAUCUAGUAAACUUUAACCAGUUAGUAUAAUAAUAAAGUUCCUCCGCUUAAAAUAUUAAUUGUAGAAAAUAUUGAAAUUCAGGUAAGAAUGUAUUAAAAGCCUGUCAACUAUAGAGUAUUUGGAAAUAAAUCUCCUAACUAAUUUUAUCUUGAUUACGAACUCCUCAAAAUUAACCUCCUAGAUACUUUUAUUUUGUUUCCACUAUGACCUCUUCAACUUCUAAUUAUUUUUAAUUAAAUUUGUAUAUUAAAAACUUACAGCAACCAAUCAAUAAGAUGUUUGUAGCAAAGUUUUUUGAAUGUCCAUAUUGCUAAAAUGCGAAAAUCUAAACCUGAACAGUAUCGAUGUCGUAAAAUUUCAUUUUAUCUCUGCAACUCUAAUUCUUAAAAUAAUAUUUUUUUAUAAAAAACUUUUUUAAACAGAUCUCAGGACGCAGAUUAAGUUAAGUGCUCUAUUUGCUAUUAGUCAUUAAUUGAGCCGUAGCGUAGACCGUACAUACAUCUGCAGGGAUGGACUUCCUACCCGCCAUGUUUGAUCAAUUCUAGCAACUUAAUAAUAACAAUAAUAAUAAUUGCACAAUCAUUUCCAACUAUAAUGAGACUACCCUCUGAAAAAAAAAAAAAAAAAAAAUUUUUUUUUUUUUUUUUUUUUUUUUUUUUUAUUUUUCAAUCUCACGCCUCGUGGAGUGUGGACCCGAGCAAAACACCAUCAAUACCCAACCUCCCCCCUUCUCUGUCUCUCUCUUUCUCUCUAAACAACAACUCAGCCUCCGACAUCUCUCCCACCCCCUCCCCGCUUGCUUCAGAUCUGCUCCAAAUCCCACCAUCGUCACCACCAACACCUCGAUUCGCAUUUUAAGGCGGAGCACAAAACAUUCCAAUCCUCCUACAUUAUUCACCAGCCCCGAAGAUUAUCUAAUUCGUCUUCUUGGUUUUCACGAGAGGAGAAGACGUACAGCAGGACGAGAUCUGAUCCGGUCGGAUCCGGUCAGAUCUCAUCAGAUUAAUUUUGUGGCUUUUAUGAUCCAACCAAUACUCUGAUCGGGAAACAAAGAAAAAGAAAAAAAUUGGCCGCGAAGAUGGUAGAAUCUGGCCCUUGGACUCCUGGGCAGGUGCGCUAUCAAUCUAUUUAUGUUUUCAUACAGAAAUCUUAUGAGUUGUGUUGUGUGAUGAAUCUGAAAAGAUCAUUUUGAAUGGUUAUAAAUGCUGCGUUUCUCCCGUAGAUUUUUAACUUUACUCCACAAUAAGAUCUAUAUUUGAUACGGUAUUAUUUAAUAUUGGGUGGGUGUAUGUAUGUAUGUACAGUUCGUUGUCUCUCACGAAUUUUCUUUGCUAUGACUGCAGGUUUCUUUCUUGCUUGGUUUCGCUCCCAUAUUUAUAGCAUGGGUAUAUUCAGAGAUACUGGAGUACAAGAAAUCCUCCUCUCCUUCGAAAGUGUAAGAUCCUUAGUACUAAAUUGAUGUGAUGAAUUUUCAUCAUUUCUUUUGCACUCUUUGGUUGUUGAAUUACUAUUUCUUGGGCAAUUAAAGUGUGUGGAAAGAAAACAUUUUUUGUUUUCUACGAUUUCUUGUUUUGUAAAUUCAAAUGUCUUAGGAGGUGUGUUUUUUUUGCAUAAUCAUUACAUCAAUGAAAUGCGAUAGUCUCUCGCUGUAGUACAUGGUUUUCGAUGCUGUAACUGCUUGGCUAGAAGUUCCCGAGGACAAAGAUGUUUAGCUUCACUAUAUCCACUUAGUGGGAGGAGGUUAAGAUCAUAUAGUUGAUCAUAUUACUUGGAGAUUAAUCGAGUUACUGACAAUUUAGGCUUAAGUUUAUUUUGGCUGUGGACAGGAUCAGAAACUGAGAGACAAUGGAGUUGUGAUUCACUCUCUUCAUUUUUCCUUUUCCGAUAGAAAUACUACUAUGCCGACGCUCGCCGUAGGACAAUGACUAUUUUUUGCAAAUGGUUUUCUCUACCUCUUCAUUAGCUUUGACUUUUUGUACAGUCGUUCAGAUUCAAACCUGGUGGAGCUAGGGAAAGAGGCCACCAAGGAGGAUGAGAGGGCUGUUUUGCUUGAAGGUGGGCUAGCAAAACCAGCAUCUGUGAAGUUUCAGAACGGAUCUGUCCGAUCAAAUUUAGUAAGGUUAUAUCAAAUAAGAGAGAGAGACAUCAAGUAAGAAGAGCAACUUCUCUUUGUUCCCGAUAGUUAUUUACUUCGGCAUUUGCGUGUGGUGCAGGUUCCUAAGAAGGGACGAGGCAUUUUUACUUGAAAAUCGUGCAUUACUAAGAGCAAUGUAAGGUUCUUCAAUUUGUAUGCUAACUGAAGUUUUCAACAAUAUAGUUUUUGUCUUACUGCACUAAAUUUCAAACGCCAUCCAGGUCGGAAUUUGGGGCAAUCCUCAUUUACUUCUAUCUAUGUGAUCGCACAAAUCUUUUUGCAGAAUCUAAAAAGGUGAUUAUUCUCUGAAUUAUUUUCUAUAGUACAGUUCAUUAGAGUGAUUGAUUUGAUUGUUUGCUGUAGAUAAGUGCGUAGCUUUAAUGCAAACUCAUGAUAUCCGCAAAACUUAUUAUUGAUAGUACUAUUGAUAUAUCUUUAUGCUCUGUGUUGACAAAGGCUUGAUAACACACUAAAGUAACACUCUGUAUGCAUAUUAUAAUGGGUGCGUAAUUAAAAGGCAGCGUUGCUUAUUUACAUCUCUUUUAAAUAGUAAGGUACUUGCAUGUUGACAAGAAAGAAAACACACAAGUUGAUCUGAUAAAACCAACCAAAAGAAGCUGUUCAGUUUAUCCUCGUACAGAGUGUUUUCUAGUUUUAUACAAAUGCUCCAACUCUAUCUACAAUCGUUUGAAACAUUCUGCAUUUGGUAAUCAUAUGAUGUCACCUAUUUACUAUAGGAAUUUGUUGCUUUUCAUCUACAUUUUUAACAUUUUGCUUCACUUAAAGCCCUUCACAGCAAGUAUCAGUUUUGUGUGCAUCCUUCUAUCAACUGUGAUCUUGUAUGUUCUAGAAAAUUUUCUUUUAAGAUCUGUUGUCAAAUCAUUUUUACGUACUAUAUUUAAUUCUUAGAAGAUUUCUUGAUACGCGACUUAACUUUGACAGAAUUACAGUCGGGACCUCUUUCUAUUUCUCUACAUCCUUCUUAUCAUAGCUUCAGCCUUGACUUCUUUGAAGAAGCAUCAUGAUAAGUCUGUUUUCUCUGGGAAAGCCUUGCUUUAUCUGAAUCGUCAUCAAACCGAGGAGUGGAAAGGGUGGAUGCAGGUUAGUAGUUUGUAAUUUAAUUUAGUACCAUCUUUAUGAAGAUUAAAGCAUGUAAAGGGUAAUAUCACCAUAGGUUUCUACUUUCUUAGCUAGUGCUUUUACAUGGUGGUAUUCGAUUCAUUGACUCCUUAUGUGAUUAAUUAGCUAAAGAUGUUAGAUUCACUAGUCCUAACUGUUUCAACCAAAGAAACAGUAGAAUGUGAUCUAAAGUCAUUGCCUGUAACCAAGCAUUAUCGUUUGUGGACAACCUGUCUUAUGCAUCUCGUCUUAAUAUUUUUAUCUAAUUAAACAUUAAUACAAAUGCAAACAUUUUUCAUGACAAAUUAGCUAGAUGUGCUAACUUCAAAUAUUAUGUCAAACAAUAAACUAAUGAAACAGUAAAAAUAAACAAAGUUCCAUAUAUUAUUUGAAUAUUCUUUGUAAAUUUUUCUGUCUCUGCUUCUUAUGUUCCAUUAUUAUAGAUUUUUUUUCAUUACUGGUGUUCACAUAUCAUGCUAUUUGUGAUUAUGAUCAAUAGUUAUAAUUAAAUUAGAUAUGAGAGCCAUAUUAAUGAUGCUCAUUUGUUUUGUGAGUUUAUGAUUCGUGCAGAUUCCUAUAGCUGACUUUUCUUAUUGAAUGUUACAAUGCGUCCUGUCUCUUUUGGGCAACUUGUAACAUUUUUGCUUCCUUUUUUCUCUUACAGGUCUUAUUUCUAAUGUACCACUACUUCGCUGCCGCAGAGAUAUACAACGCAAUACGUGUGUUUAUUGCUGCCUAUGUCUGGAUGACUGGAUUUGGCAACUUCUCUUAUUAUUACAUCCGCAAGGAUUUUAGUGUUGCCCGCUUUGCCCAGGUUCCAUUCUUCUUUUUGCAAAAGCUGCUGUGGCUUUGAUACUAUUUUUGUAUAUGUGAAUAUUCUAGUGAAAUUGUCUGAUGAAUUGCAGAUGAUGUGGCGGCUCAACUUCUUUGUGGCUUUUUGUUGCAUCGUUUUGAACAAUGACUACAUGCUUUACUAUAUCUGCCCCAUGCAUACCCUAUUCACUCUUAUGGUAUAUGGAACGCUCGGCAUCUUUAAUAAAUAUAAUGAAAUUAGAUCAGUGAUGAUCAUCAAGAUUCUCUUUUGCUUCUUGAUGGUGUUUGUGAUUUGGGAAGUACCAGGAGUUUUUGAUACUAUAUGGAGCCCCUUGACUUCUCUUGUCGGUCAGUACUCAGUACCCUCUCUGUCCGUAUUCUGCUGUUUCUUUUGCAGUUCAAUUAUGGCACAUAUGGAAAAUUUUAACUUGCAUUUGUUCAUUCCAGGGUACAAAGAUCCUGAUCCUAGGAAAACAAAUCUCCCUCUCUUACAUGAAUGGCAUUUUAGAUCUGGUCUUGAUCGAUAUAUCUGGAUCAUUGGGAUGAUAUAUGCGUACUACCAUCCAAAUGUAAUUUCCCAGACUCUGGCUCUUCCAUGUUAUGUAUUAUAUACACAGUACUGAUUUUUCUUUUCAUUGCUGUCUUCUGACAAAAGGCUUAAGUAUCAUGAUCAUGGCGCAAUAUUUUGAGUAUUUUAUUGUUUUCAAGUUCAAUUUAGUGGUGGGUCUGGCUGUUGUUUUCUUUUUUAAUUUGAUAACAUGACUUGUCCUACUUUAUAUUGAUCUAUUAUGAAUCUUCGUAGUGAACAUAGACAUCUAUGAGGAUGCAAAACAUACAAAUUCAAAUCCGUUUAAGCACAGAUUGGAGUUUCACUUUCUCUAAGUAGCAAUUAUUAUUUCUUCUUCACUACAGGUUGAAAGAUUGUUGGAGAAAUUAGAGGAAUCAGAACCCAAGCGGAGACUCACAAUCAAGACAAUUAUUGUAUCCCUUUCCUUAGCGGUUAGUUAUAUUAUCCUGUGCUUGGCUACAUCAUAGCAUCUCUAUCUUUGAGCAGUGGUGUUUUAGUAAUUACUUCUUUUUCUUUACAGGUUGGUUAUCUGUGGUAUGAAUACAUUUACAAGAUGGACAAGCUGAGUUACAACAAAUAUCAUCCUUACACUUCAUGGAUUCCCAUUACGUGUGUAUCUCAAUUCUUAUUGAUUUGAAAUUUCUUUUAUCAUCAGUUAGAUGUUAUAUAAAUACUGUUCAUUAACUUUUCAUGCUGUCCCUGUAAUUCCUACGGAUUUCAGUGUAUAUAUUUGUCUUCGGAAUUUCACGCAACAGUUGCGCAAUUACUCUCUAACUCUUUUUGCGUAAGUUCUUUUCCUACUUCUCUGAGUAUAUUCCUGUAAUCUGCACUCUGUUAGCUAUUGUAAAGCUGAGUUGAUCUGUAUUCUGAUGUAUCUGAUGGUCUACUGUUUUUCCAGGUGGCUUGGCAAGAUCACAUUGGAGACUUAUAUAUCUCAAAUCCAUAUCUGGUUAAGGUAGUGACAACACUCGAUGCAGUUUCCUUUUUUUUCUUUUUAUCUUUUGGCAUUAUUAUUGUGUAGUUUCCAAUGGCUACCUUAGCUGCUGCUUUUUUAUUUUCACUCAAAAAGCUCCAUACAAUUGUAUCAAACUAAAAAUUGACAUACUGAAACUUUGAAAUCCAUUUUCAAUAUAAUUUCAAUCGAUUAUCUAUCAACAGGUUUAGCAGGCUUGUAUUGUAAAGAGUCUACUACUGCUUAAUCUGAUGCUCAUUUGUCUUGGCAAAAUAUAUUGCUCGAAAUCACCGCAUCCAGUACCUUUAACUUCAUUCAACCAAAAUAAUAUUUUUUCUUUCUUGCAAACUUUGCAGGUCAGGCAUGCCAAAUGGUCAGCCGAAGUGGCUUCUUUGUUUCAUCCCAAAUUACCCACUGCUCAAUUUCCUGCUUACAACUACGAUAUAUGUCUUUGUAAGUUGACCUCCCUGGCUCUUCACAAAUCCAUGGAAAACCUCAGUUUUGGAUGUUCUCUUACGUUAAUGCUCUCGUGGCAGAUAUCGUUGAGGAUUUUUGAGCUCACAAAUUCACUAAAGACAGCUUUCAUACCCAGUAAGGACAACAAGCGACUAUUUCAAAAUUUCAUCGCGGGAGUAAUGUUAUCUCUGAGCAUAUACUGCAUUUCUGCGGUUCUUCUACACAUUCCAAGACUAUUGGUAUGAUGUAAUUCCUAUGCCUUUUUUUUGUACAUCAUACAGGAAGUUAUGCUUUCUCAGCGUACUUAUGUAUGUGAAUACUUCGACAGGUUUGACGGCAAAUUCAUGCAUAUACUACGUACUUAUCGGUUUACAGCGCUGCUCGCUGUAUCUAGAAAAAUCUUGAUAGUCUUAGCUCAGCUUCAAAGCAUAGUAAAGGAAGAUGAGAAAGGAUAAUAGUCACACCUGAAAUUGUUUUGUAUGUGGCUCCAUGUUUUUAGAGAUAUUCAGGAAAGAAAAAGUUUGAAAUGGUUGAGUCAGGGUUUUGAUAGUAUAUGUAGAUUAAUCUGGGGCAUAAUUCUUAUAUAUAUGGUCAUUUCAUACCCACCAUUGAGAUAUUUGUGGGGUAAAUGGCCUGGAUUACAUUCUUUUUGUUUUUCUUCAACAUUGUUAAAACAUUUAUUGUACUAGCAACAUUCAUUUUGUUCUGAUUUGGUUUAUCUCUAUAGUGAGGUUCAAAAUAAUAGAAGAAAAAUAAUUUGCGUCAUAUCAUCACUCUCCUUAAUAGCUGCUAGUAAGGUGAUGUUUUGUUUCACGCCAAAAAGUUAAAAGAACUCUUGUUCCUCUAUAACGGCUUGUUUGGUUAGCUUACUUUAGUCCCUGGAAUUAGAAUGGAAUUUAUUGAUUUUAUAAUUGUUAUUUAUUUUAUAGAAAUUAGAUUUUUAUUUUUAUUUCACUCUAUAAUGUAGAUAAAAACAUACUUACAAAUUUGAUGAUAAAUAAAAAAUAACCUAAUAAAUAAGUAAAAUCUCGACUAAUUAAAAUUAAAAUUAAAAUUAAAUUAAAUAGAAUAAAAAAUUAAUUUAGUAUAUUUUUUAAGGAUCCGCAAGGUUUCCGCAGAGGAUAGUCAGGAGGAGGACGGGGACCGGGGUAGAAAGUUUCUCAAUUGCCUGGAAUGGAAGGAAGACGAGAAAUAUAAAAACUCUCAAAAACUAGAAAGGGCCCUUCGUUCCCGUUCUGCCCAAUUUCAUUGCAGUUCUAUUUUUAAGUAUCAUUAUCUUAUCCAAAAAUUUUAGAAAAAAAAAUAAACGUAAGUACUGCUGCAGACUCAACCUCAAAGUUUGUUGUACAGAAAAAUUCUACGCAUAAAAUAGGCUAAAUUACGGGAAACCCCUAUGUCAAAACCCGCUUUUUCACUUUCCCCCCGUCAUUUAAAAACCUACACUUUGCCCUCUUGUAAAAUAAAAAAUGUUCACAGGAAUACGGUGCGACAAAAUGACCAUUUUGCCUUUCGCCAUUUUCGUCUUCUCCCUCAUCCUCCUCAUCCGCGGCGGAGGAGGCCGACCUUGGGCGGGACGUAGGCGGCGAGGCCGUCGUCGAGGAGGACAAUCUCGUUGAGAGUGUCGGCCAUGCGGCCGAUGGAGGGCGGGAUGUAGCCGCCGAGUUUGUUGUGGGCGAGGACGACGAUGGAGGCCGGGGAGUUGCCGAGGUUGGCGGGGAUGGGGUGGCGGCGGCGGAGGCGGUUGGAGUUGAGAAAGAUGGCGUCGAGGGGGCGGUCGAAGAGGAAGUUGAGCUCGUGGAAGAGGGCGAGGCCGGCGAGGGCGCCAUCCCGGAAGCCAUCGAAGUAACAGGGAAGAGGGACGGAGGGGUAUUUUUGGCAUAAAAAAAUGUUAUAACGGAACCCUAACGGUAGGGAAUGAAGUGCAUAUUUUUUAUUUUACAAGGGGACAAAGUGUAUAUUUUUAAAUGACAGGAUGAAAAGUGAAAAAGCGGAUUUUGACAGGAAGAUUUUCUGUAAUUUAGCCAAUAAAAUAAUUUGUUGUUCAACUAUAUAAAUAAGCAAAAUAACAACUAUUACUAAAUUAUCUCUGUGUUAACUUGUUCCCCAACCGCCACAUCUUGCUAUUCUUUUGAAAACAUCCCCUCAAAACACAAAAAAAAAUAAAAAAAUGAAAAAAAAUGAGAAAAACAUAUCUUAUUAUUCUAUGGCCUUAAUCCGGAAUAUAUAUUAUUAUUAUAAUUAAGGAUCAGCCAUGUCGCGCUCAUCUGAAGCCAUAUAUUCAAAGCAAAGAAACAAUCUUUACAGCGAAAAAUUGAUGAUGUGUUUGACAACAUACACCCUCAAAUCAUUGCUUUAUCUAUAAUCUUUACUUACACCCGCAGAAUAGAAUUUACAAGCACUUUAUUCUCUGACGAGGUGAGCGCCGUAGUGUCAACGGACGCGAAUUGCUGAUUAAAUUUCAGCAAAUUCAGGUUAUGUAACCACCAAAGUUUGUAUUAGUGAUUUCAUUUCAAAUUCAAACUUUGUUCCUUGAGCUUUUAAAUUAAAUAUUCGGGUUCUUAUUAUACCAUACGCUAGUAGAUGUGCUCUAUUUUGAAUUGGUUAAGAUACAAUAUUCUGAUAUUUAGCUUGUACCUAAAAAAAAAAAAAGAAGUAUAUUUUACUAAAACAGAUCAGAUUUAUUAGAUCUGAAUAAUGAUUAGAUUCAAAUAAUUUAGAGUUUUAAAUUUGUUAGUAUUUUUGCUAGACUUAAGAAAAAAAAAAUCUAUUGCCUACAUGGCUACAUUGACUUUAUGCUAUUAUUUAACCGUGUACCUCCAUUAAAAAAUUAGCUAAAUUACAAAAAAAAUUUCUUAUAAAUAUUUUCUUUUUACUUUUUUUUUAUAACUUUCAAAAAUCUAUAUUAUCCCUCCUCAACAUUUCAACUUGCUGCAUUUAGUCCUUCUCUGUCGUGAUUUCAUUACUAUUUCGUUCAUUUCUUAUGAUUUAUGAUAAAAAUAUUUUUUAAAAUUACAGAAAUAUAUUAAAAAAUAAAUAUUUUAUAGAAGAAAUAAAAAUAAUUUGGUCAUUUUGUAUAUUUAUUAACAUUGUACAUUGUGAAAAUAUUUCUAAAAUUUUAAGAAAACAAAAUAUAGAUUUUUAAAAUUCAAAAAUAAAAUAAAAAAAAUAUUUAUAGAAGGAUUUUUUUAUAAUUUAGCCUAAAAAACUAUUAUAAUAGAAAAAUAUAGAAAUUAAAAUUUAAUGGUUGGAUGUAUGGUGAAUGAAUUUAUAGGCGCUCCUGUUUUAUUAAAUUAAGAACUAAAAAACAGUCCCUUAAAUUUUCUAUACAUAAAUAUUUAAAUUUUCUCUUUCCACAUAGCUGUCUCUCUCAUGGGCCAUAUUAUUUUUUAAAAAAUAUAUAAUAACAAUCACACCCACACAAAAUUAAUAAUUAAAUAAUCGUAUUCAACUCAAUAUGACAAUUUCAUUAAAUGUAAAAGUGGAAUUGGAUUUUCACUUCCCGUAUACGGUAUAUCCCUUCUCUCUCUCUCUCUCUCUCUCUCUCCUCAGUCGCUGUCGACUAGUUCUUCUGCGUCCAAUCAUCUUUCUCCUCCUCUUUUCUAAGUCCCCUCAAAUAGCAGAGAAAAAUUACAAAAUAAAGAAGAAGAAGAAGAAGAAGAGCUCUGCAUUUCUUAGGAUCUCACCUGAUGCGUAAUAAGAAACUUUAUUUGGUAAGUUUUCUUAGACUCAUUAGAUUGUUGUUGGUGAUGGAAAUUGCUGUUUGCUGUAAUUUGUGCAAGAAAAUUUGUACUUUUGUUUUCUGGGUUUGCGGUCUAUUUUGAAUUAAUUCAAAGUUAAUGUUGUCUAUUUCAAAAAUCUAUUUGGCAAAGUAAUUGAUGUUUUUAUUUUUUUUUUUUAUUUUUUUUUUUUUUUCUGUUUCCUUUCUCCAUCCGUGUUUAUGGUAGAAUAAAUAGAUAUUUGGAAGAUCAUUAGAAAAUGCUUUGAUUAGAAGCGCUUCUGAAGGCUGUGUGUUAAGAUACUUUUUUUCUGAGAGAAAUUGGGGGAAGAGUCAGGAUGGUUGGCUCCUGGAAUACUCUUCCAGAUUAUUAUUUUCUCUUGAUGGUCUACUUUUCGUGCUAUUGCCCUAUUUCUUUUGUAGCAUCAAAUAUUUGCUUCGUUUUUCCUAAUUUCUCAUUCGAUUGGUAGUAUUUCGUUCUAUUUCAUUUGUUUAAGGAAUGGAAUGAUAGGCUCUGAAGUAUGCACAACAAAAUAUUAGUUUGAAUUGCUUUCUUCUUCUUCUUUUUUCUUUUUUUUUUUUUUAAUGUUUGGUAUGGCGACGUAAAUCGAUUUCUCCUUCAAACCUGCAGUGAUUGACGAUAUGGAACGCUUCGUGGACAAUCCGAGUCGAUCCGGUAAACUGCUAGGAAGGUUCCUUGAUUUUUCCUCCUCAGCAGCGCAGCUCAGUUACAUCUGAAUCUGAGAAGUGAUUUUUUUUUCAAAAUUUUGCAGUUGUUUCGAGUAAUCUACCUGUAGAGGCUGAUCAGAAGGAUGGAAGCCGCAGAUGGGGGAAUCUGGCUGGAUUCGAUGCUAAUAAGAAUGCAUCCACUUAUGCUAGCCUUUUCUCAAGCUCGCUGCCGCUUCUUCCGCAUGAUGCUUCCACCAGCAUGAAAAAGCUUGAUCACGACACGGAGGGAAGGGACUGCAUGUAUGAUGUUUACAUCCGACAGGUAGGGAACUCUUUGCCUGAUGAUGAAGAAGAUCUCCUAGCCGGCAUCAUGGAUGGUCUUGAACCUAUCACAUUGCCGAGGAAAGCGGAGGAGUUGGAUGAGUACGAUGUUUUCGGCAGUGGAGGGGGCAUGGAGUUGGACUCCGAUCCUAUAGAAGGCAUAACUGCUGGUAUGACGAAGGCGAGUAUCGCAGAUUGCUAUGCAGGGAAUGGGGCCAAUCAGCACAAUUUUCCAAACGGCGUAGGAACCGUGGCCGGGGAACAUCCAUACGGGGAGCAUCCUUCUAGAACCUUGUUUGUUAGGAAUAUCAAUAGUAAUGUCGAAGACUCGGAGUUGCGUGAUCUGUUUCAGGUUAUUAUGUCAAAUCUUUGUAUUGCUUUGCUACCCCUUUGCUUCAGGAAACAUCAAUUGUGUCCGUGUAUUUUCGAAUUAGAUAUUCAUGCCAUGCCUCACUUCAUUAGUGUUUUCAUCCUGUUAGUUGAUUGUCUUCUGAAUAACUUGUAAUGGACUUUCAACUUUACAUACAUAUCUUGUGAUUGUGAGAUAAACUUUGUAGUCCGAAUAUUUUGUGCUUUAUCUAAUCAUUGGAGUGUCUCAUAAGCUAUAAAGCGAAUAGCCUUAACUUCUUCAUUAUCAAGCUGCCGUAGCACUAAAUAUUAAGUACUCAUUUAUAUCUGGUUCCAUGUUAAGGUUUUUGAUCAAUAGAUCAUCAAUGACAAAUUUUAUAUAGGUUCUUGUGUGAGUAAAAGUUUGUCUUGUGCAUAAUAAAUAAUGUCAAAAGUUUAUAGGAUAUUUCCAUCUACGAAUUUUAGAUGACCUCCCUUUGGUACUUUAGCUUGAUCUUAUCGAACUUAACAGUCAAUUUGGUUUGUAACUUUGAUGGAUAACUAAGAGGCUUCAGUACAGCCUGCACUAGAUAAGGCAAAAAUGACUGCAUUAGAAUGUUGGAAAUCUGAUAGUGGAUUGUUCAACAGAAAUGCUCGACUAAUCAAUCUCCCCAGCUCUUUGCUCUGUUCAGCAACAUUACUUUUAGAAAAUCACAAAGUUCAAUUCGCUUUUGUGUUAUGGAUUUAGUGCUCCCAUUGCGGUUUUCCUAGUUAAAUUUUGAGAAGAUUCUAGCUUUAUAAACAUUGGUUGAUUUAUUUUGCAUUGAUGCUGUGAAAAUAAUAGAUGUUUGACAAAUGACAAUUUUUUUUCCUCUUAACAGGAAUAUGGGGACAUCCGGACUCUUUACACUGCCACCAAACAUAGAGGAUUUGUAAUGAUCUCUUACUAUGAUAUUCGAUCUGCUCGAAAUGCUAUGCGUGCGCUACAAAAUAAGCCUUUAAGGAGGAAAAAGCUUGAUAUUCAUUUUUCAAUCCCCAAGGUCUCUAAGAAGAUCUCUCUUAUUGUAUAGCCAUAAUCACUACUAGUAUAUUCCGUGUAAAUUGCUGUCCCCUUUUUCUCACAGGAUAACCCAUCGGAAAAAGAUAUCAACCAAGGAACUCUUGUUAUUUUUAAUUUGGAUCCAUCAGUUUCAAAUGAUGAAAUUCGUGAAAUUUUCGGGGCUUAUGGAGAAGUAAAGGAGGUAAUUAGCUGUUUUAUUUUUCAUAGAUUCUUUGGUUUGUUAUAUUCAUUUGCAAAAAAAAUUAACAAAUCAAUUUAUGUCUCUGCUUCUCCACCUCUGGUUUCAGAUAAGAGAGACGCCUAAUAAACGACACCACAGAUUUAUCGAAUUCUAUGAUGUCAGAAAUGCUGAAGCAGCUCUGCGAUCAUUGAACAAGACUCAGAUAGGUAGCAAACAAAUUAAGUUGGAACACAGUCGUCCGGGUGGAGCUCGUCGAAAGUAUGUAAUGCUUAAUUUUUACCCUUUUUCCUGUGGUUAAGAACUAUAGAACUACUUAAUCCAGCACCUUUCUGUUUCCUGUUUGCAUAAUUUAAAUUGUACAUGCAAUGCAUGAGAAGCUCUUUCUGUCUCCUCUUACAUGGUUUCCGUCUCCAUUUUCCAGCAUCUUUCCACCCCUCCCUAAAUUUCUCAACCCUUUCCCGUCUCCAACCGCUCUACUGGAAAAUCCUAUGUGUGUGUGUGUGUGUAGUUGUCAUGAAAAAGGUUUAUGCUCAUUCAGGUCGUGUGUAAUAAACGGUUUUGAUUGUCAAAGCCAGGUCUUUCACUAUUGCUGGCCCAUUAUUAGCUUGUAGGGAUGAUUUCUGUAUACUUUGAACUCCUGUACCGUGUGCAUCAGCAAGUUACUUCAAGGGAAGGAGCCCCUGAUAUCUUAAGUUCUUAACUACAAAGAAAAGACCAAAAGAUUUAAGGAAAGAAGAAAGACUUCAUUUCCUAGUAGAUGUACCAGGCUAUGUAUGAAUCUGCAGGAUGCGUUUGUCUUGGUCUAAGUUGAGUUUUGGAAUUUGAGAGUUGUUAAUUUUAGCUGUCUAGAGUGAUAUCACAUGGCAAUGUUACGGGGAGUGGAAUAGUAUUUGCUGUUCGUUUUAAUUCCAUUAUUACAAUGUGCUGCCUCUUUUCCUUGAAUCUAAUUAAUCUUUGAAAUCUGGAGUUAAUUACGAUUUGUUUCAUCAAGUUUGUUUACUUCUGUGGAAACAAGAAAAAAAAAAAAGUGGCCGAGUUGUAACUACUUUCUCAACCAGCUUGAUGCAGCAAUUGAGUAAUGAAUUCGAACAAGAUGAAAUGAGAACUUACAGACAUCAUGUUGGUUCGCCAGCUUUCAACUCGCCUCCAGGUAUGCUUACUAUAAUAUUGUUGCUCUGUGUCAUAUCUUCUGUUCAUGUUCAUAUUCCCUAUCUCUGCAGCACACUAGGUGCAUGCUGAUCUGAGUGCAUCUUGAUGGCAGGUACUUGGGCUCAAUUCGGCAGCCCUGCAGGUAGCAAUCUACUACGAGAACUCAGUAAGUCUCCAAGUGGUGGAGCAGUAAAUCUGAUAGGCACCAACCAUUUGUCUGGGAUAGCUUCUCCGCCUCCACCCCUGAAAUCAAACUCUCUCCCAACUGAUAGCAAUCUACCACGAGUACUCAGCAAGUCUCCAAGUGGUGUAGCAAUAAUCCCUAUAGGCACUAACCAUUUGUCUGGGUUGGCUUCUGUGCCUCCAUCCCUGAAACCGAACUCUCCUAAAAUUGCACCUAUUGGAAAAGCCACCAGGGCUAGUCAUGUCGACCAAGUUGGUAGAAUUACGAGCUCUAGUCCAUCUUAUGGUCCCUCAACUUCGAGUGCACCAGGUAUUGGAACGUUGAGUGGACCACAAUUUCUGUGGGGAAGUCAAAAUGCUUUUUCAUCAUGGAGGGGGAAUUCAUUCUUUCCCAAUAACCAUGCACAAAUACAGGGUUCUUAUCCGAUCCGUCACCAUCAUGUGGGAUCAGCUCCCUCUGUUUUUCCUCUUGAGAGCCACUUGGGGCCUUGCACCAAUUCGAAUCCUGCAAUUUCUUUAAGCAGGAUAUUUAGUGCAGCUAAUUUUAGAAUGACCCCAUCUCAGAGGUGUGGGCAGACAUACUCGGCUACUAUUCCUUAUCUUGGACCAAGUUCGAUGGCUGCCGAUGGUUUUGUUUCUCGUGGCCGGAACAACCACGUAGACAACAUUGAGAAUCAAACAGAUAUCAAGGAGAUGUGUCAACUUAACUUGGAGAAAAUUAUUAGUGGGGAAGACACUCGGACUACAUUAAUGAUUAAAAAUAUUCCAAACAAGUAUGUUCUUAGCAUCACGUAUAGUAAAAUGAUGUUGAUUUUAUUCCAAACGAGAAUUUGAUUCUGAUAACUUGCUCUGGGUUUCUAGGUAUACAUCAAAGAUGCUUUUAGCAGUCAUUGAUGAAUAUCACGCGGGUACUUAUGACUUUUUCUACUUGCCUAUUGAUUUUAAGGUAAUCGAACUUCUGGCUUUUUUUUUCAACUUGAAACUGAUGCAUUCCAUUCGCAUUUUAGCUUCCAUUUGCAUUUUAGCUGCACCUAAUAUUUUGUUCCACAUCCGCAGAACAAGUGUAAUGUUGGUUAUGCAUUCAUAAAUAUGGUGUCUUCUGCGCAUGUGAUCUCUUUCUGUGAGGUACAUAUUUUGAAUCUUUGAUCCGUAUGCUGUCUUUUCCUUUUUUUACCACUAGAUAUGCGGUAGUACCAGCGAGAUAUAAUUUCCAAGAGUUGGCCUAGAAUGCUACCGGAUGCUUUUGCAUGUCAGCUCAGUUUUGAGAUACACAUGCAUACAAUCAGCAGUAUUUUGAUAUGCAUUGCAUGGCCUCUUGAGGCUGGUGUGUGUGUGGAUCUCAAAGCCGGUUUGACGUGUGGAAAUGUAGUAAGCACCAGUAGAUCGACGCUUUAUAAAAUACUGUAGCACAAGUUAUAAUCCUAAGAGUCCUUGCAAUGAAAGGAAGCCGAAGAUGUAAAUUGCAAUCUAUUCAUUUUCUGGAAAAUUUAGCUAUGUUUGAAUUAAGACUAAAUUAGGCAUGGCCUAGAUCAACUAGAAUUCAUGAGACUUGUAAUACAUGCACAGGCAUUCAAUGGGAAGAAAUGGGAGAAGUUUAAUAGUGAGAAAGUGGUCUCCCUGGCAUAUGCGAGAAUCCAGGGUAGAGCUGCACUUAUUUCGCACUUCCAGAAUUCAAGCUUGAUGAAUGAAGACAACCGCUGCCGUCCUAUUCUCUUCCAUUCUAAGGGACCAGAGGACGUUAGUCAGGUAAAAUUUAAUAUAAUAUUUUAAGUCGUGCUGCUGUGCAAAAUGCAUUACAUCCUACAACCGAGAUCAGGAAGCAGAACUAUCGAUGAAACAUCGAUGUCCUCUGUGCAAUGUUCCUCUUUUAGCUUUUCUUGCAUCUACUACACAACUAUAGCUUCUGACAGAAGUUUCAAACAGUUAUAUGUUUUCUGCUGUUUUAAUACAGAUACUGUCACUAACAAAUUGAAGCCUUUUAGGAACCAUUUCCUUCGAACGGCAUAAACAUCCGCAUGCUUUACCAAGAUCCAAUCGAGAAGCCAAAAACAAGCUCCCCACUUGGAGUUAGCUUGGAUGAGAAGAAAAUAUUCACAAAACAAGAUUGGGAUAAUGCUGACUCUUCAUUAGGUAAUCAAGUGUACAAAACCGAGUAAAAGCGCUAAUGGGGUGUGCCCACUUUUGGAGCAAUGGAUGCACGGAGCACAUUGGACAACUGUGGGUGGAACAUGUGAAUAUACUAGUUCUUUUGUACAGAUAGGGAUGGACUAAUGUUCAUAUCUUCGAGUGGUGUAAACAUCAAAGGUCGAAAUUGUAUAGUCAAAUUCAGGCUGGUUUGCUGGAAAAGUGGAUUGCUAUCCAGCUAUCAGUCCUCACAGUCAUUUUCUUUUUCUUUUCCCUUUUCUUCUAGUGAAGUUUCUCCCUUUUUUGUUGAGUUUGUCUCUCAUACAAUUGUACAGGGUGUAAAUAUCAUUCAAAUCUGGUAGAUGCCUCUCGAAUUGUAUAAUAGGAACAGUAAUGGCAUCAUAUUAUUGAUAUCAACUAUGGGCCUUCUUGACUUAUUUGAAACCUAGUAUUCUGUGUUUUUUCCUUUUUUUGGUUUGAAGAAACUCUUCUUUCUGUAUUGUAAGUGGUCCGGACAUGUAGAUUUUCUCAUUUCGACAUCAGUUUACACAAGUAAAACAGCCAGAAUCUACUGAGAUUUGGAAAAGAUUUGUAAACAUCAUCCAUCUUCUCGUUGCCUACUCAGAUGGUCAUGGUAUUACAGACGAGCGGAUGGUCGCCCACCAUUAGUAGAAUGGUUUUUUUAUCUGAUGUAACUGCAGUGAAACUGCAGAAACAAGAUCAUUAAAUGGAAAGGUACAGGCAUUCUAGGGAAAUACAAGAGUUCGCAUUAAAAUUUUGCUUGUCAAAACCUGAGUUCUUUAUUCACUGUUGAGAGAACUGGUAAAAGUCGUAUUCAGAGUCACAUAAUACAUGUACCAGGGGAGCCACAAACAGAAAUACAAAAGCAAUACAAAAGCAAUAAGGUGCCCUUUACAACCGUAAAAGAAGCUCAGAAUGGUACAUUCAAAACAACAAUAGAGUUUCAGUAGUUUCCCCGGAAAACAUCAUAACAUUAUGGGCAUAACCUGUAGAGGAACUUUCAUAUACACGGUGUAGAAUGCUCUCAAGGAGUAAACCUUUCUCUGUCGUGAGGAGAGGAAUAAUCUAUGUUGGGACCAGCUGGGAUGAUCCCAUAUGGAUUUAUAGACGGAUGGCUCCCAUAAUAGUGUUUCUUUAUGUGCUCCAUGUUAACCGUGGCGCUCAUGCCUGGGAUCUGGUAUAUGUCCUUGAUGUAGUUGAAGAGAUUUGGAUACUCGCGCAAGAGCCUUUUGUUGCACUUGAAGUGAACAGCAUAAACCUGUGGAAGAGGUAACAACCAAUCAUUACUCGUGAUACCAACUUUACUAAUGCUAAAUUGAACACCAACUACUAGAGUAGAGUUAACUAGGACAGAAGCCUCUGUUGUUCUGCUAUUAUUAUUAUGUUGUUGUACUUAAUAAACAUGCUUAAUGGGAGCAUUGGUCAAUUUUUGAAAGAAAUUGGAAAAAAAAUAAAAGAGAGAGACAUUUUCUGCCCUUCAUAGGAGCAUCUUUUGUAGUAAACUGUCGACCAAUUAGCUACAGAGGUAGAAAAUCAAGACCUUCUUGUCCCGAUUCUGAACUAAUACAAUUAGCAUGCAACUUACACAUCCUAAUUCUUGGUUGCAUAAUAUAUGGAAGUACCAAGCCCGACAUUAACCAAUUGUUCUACUAAAGACGACAGGAUAGUUAUGAUGCCAUACCUCAUCAAACCUUAUGAGAGUGACAAACAGGCGAAUAUCUGCUUCUGUCAAUGCAUUACCACAAAUGUACCGCUGCUUGCUCAGAAUUUCCUCGCAUCUGUCCAAGGCCUGAUAUAGCUUUUCCACGGCCUACACCAGUACAAAUGCAGCAAAGGAACCAUAUAAAGAUGAGAAAAACCUUAUUAGGAUAGAAUCUCAUAUAUAUAGAGUGUAAUGAGUUGUAAUCACCUCAUCAUAAGGACCUUGCUUCUUAGCAAAACCACAUUUAUAAACACCAUUGUUUAUUGCAUCAUAUACCCAUUCAUUAACCUCAUCUAUCAAAUGUUGUAAAUCAGCAGGAUAGAGAUCCAAGCCAGCAUUCUCAGCUAUGUCGUUGAAUUCAGUGUUCAGCAUGCGAAUAAUCUCUGCGCUCUCAUUGUUCACAAUUGUUUUCAGUUUUUUGUCCCAAAGAACCUGCCAGAGACAUAAUAUAUCAAAAUAGAUAAAGCGGACAACAACAAACUGGUAAAAUAAACUAUAAAGCAUGGAUGGGUGAAUGAAAUGUAGGAUACUUACAGGAACAGUAUAUUUCCCAGAAUAAUUUGAACUAGCUAGCUCAUAAAGUGCUCUGAUGCUUUUGGCGCUGUUGAGAGGAUCAGGAUCAGCGCCAGGUUCUUCUGCGCUAGACACAGGAAAGACCCAUCCGAAAUGCUCAUCGCUUUCCUUGGUCCUCUCCCAAAUUGGUUUAACUGACUAAAUAAUACAUUGUGGGGGAAAAAAAAAAACAUUAGAACAGAGUAUGAGAAGGCGAAAAUGGAGUAAGAGUAAAGAGAGUCACCGUGAAGCCGAUAGCCUUGUCAAGCCCUUUGAGCUUCAGAUAUGAAAGGCAUCUGGAUGCCCACGGACAUGCAUAUGAUAUAUAAAGAUGAUACCUCCCAGAUUCUGCAGGAAAUUGAGCCGUUUUCUCUUUCGAGAUAAAAUUACGGAAGGUUGAUGGCGAGCGGUUAAAAGCACCGGAUUCUGUCAGCUCAUCAAGCGCCGAGCGAGCCAUCUGCAAAAAUUUCCACAAAAUUACCAACUCAAAGCUAAAAUAAAAACCGAGAAGUAGGCACUGAACAAGGUUGAUGGAAGAUCUUUGGGAGACAGAUGAGACGAAAUAACAAAGAAAUAAUGUGAUGCAGAAAGCGAUCAAUAUAGGGCCUGUUUGCCCUGUGGGUCGCGACAUGCAGUCACACAAUUGGGCGAGUGUUGCGACUCGUAAUCGCUCUGAAUCAAAGAAAAGAAUCUCCUCGUUUUUAAGAAAAAGAGGGAUAGUCUUCUAAUUCAUAAGGGAAGGAUAUCCUUAUUGACUAAGGCUAAGGCCCUUCUUUGGAGUUCGGAAUAAGAUAUUCAAUGGUAACUUAUUUGGUCUGAAAUGAUUUUUCUUGUAUGAUUAGAAGGUUGGAGUUUGACUGUGGCUCCUUGGUGGUUUCGGCAUCCAUGAUUGAACACGAAAGCAUAUUUCAUCUACUUAUUAUGCAAACAUGACUCGAAGGCCGAUUACGGUAUUCAUUCUACCAAAUAUUACAUAUUGGUUGAGUAAAUCGAAGGGAUAUACAUAAGAUGUUUGUUCAUGCAUCCAAAUAGAGCCUAAAUAUUUUCAAACAUUGUGCUAUUUCAAAAUUUCCCUUUUCGCCGUCUUUGCGACUCCGAAUUGUAAACUCUAGGGGCAAAAAAUGGCCUCAAGCUCUUAGCUUUUGGAAUUGAAGGCCAAUCCCCUCAAAGUGGUCGAUUAUCUAUCUUCUUAAUCUCUUUUAUUUCAACAAUAUCAUCAGAAACAGAGGGAACUAAAGUAUGCUGAUUCGAUUCAAGAUCUGAAGCAACCAUAAACUGGAGAGAGAGAGAGAGAGAGAGAGAGAGGGGUUUUAAUCAAGCACCUUGAGGGAGAAGGCGAGAGGGCGAGAAAACGAGACGAUCCGCGAGGAGGGUGAGGGUGAGAAUGCGAUCAUGCAGAAGCCCUCUCGUUCGCAGAGCUUGAAACAACCAUACACACACUGCACCUACUCUCGGCGAUUUAGGGGCGACUACUACUAUAAUAAUAGUUAUAAAAUAAAAUUAUAAAUAAAAGAGGAAAGAGAAAUGUCAGUCAGCUGCAGGCUCUUAUUUUUAAAACUCCGGUCAUCUCUGAAGCACCUGCGUCAGGGAAGUUACGUGGCGAAGGACGGCUUCUUCUGCUAGUGACGCUGGCAAGUGGCGGCUGCAUCUAUAAUUUUCUUCUUCUUUUUUUUUUUAAAAAAAAACUUUUGUUUUCGACCGAAAAGCCCAUCAAUUACUAAAUAAGGCUGUAAAAAGCUACACGCAGCCAGUCCAUACUUACAGAACAACCCGGCCGGGCCCAUAAUAUUUUGGCCCGCAGCACGGCACAAAAAAAAAACUUUUAAUUUUUAAUUUUUAAAAAAAUUUCAAGGCCAAUUUGUAAAAAAAAUUCACUAGUUUUGCGCUUUUACAAAAGUGUGCCGUCUUUUUCGAUUUUAUAUAUUCGGUCCGGAUUUUAGUAAACUGACCCAAAUAGCCUUAUACUUUUUUCUCGAGUUCUUUUUUUUUUCUCGCCGAAGAAGGCGACGGAGGCAAAGGCGGAAACGACCCUCAUCAUCUCUGCACCUCACACCUUCACCCUCACCCUCGCCCACGCACCCCUUGCCCUAUUCGCCUCCAACCCCGACGAAGCAGCACUGCAACCCUCUUUUUUUUUUUUCUCUCCGACCCUCCUUCACCAUCUCCGCGGCCCUCCGCGACAAUAACAAGGACAGCAACGCAUCCUCUUCCUCCACCUUCACCCUCCACCUCCACUGCAGCGGAUUUUCUACUCGUCAAACAAACCUGCCGUCCCAACUGCUGCUGCUGGCGAGGAAGAGGAAGUGCUUCGAGAAGCUCGCCGGCGAUAGAAGCGAGGAGGGCGAGGAAUGAAUGGAAGAAUAUCUGAAUUAGCACUUUUAUUUAUUUAAAACAAAAAAAAAAUACUAAAAGGUCAAAAAUUAGAGAAUAAUAAAGAAAACGAGAGAAGAAGGAAGAAAAAGAUGAAUAUACACCGUUAAGAUUAAAUUGCACUGUUUUAAAAAAACGUUGUACUAUUAUAGACGUAAGUUACACUCUUUUAAAUAUAAACUGCACCUCUUUGAGAUAAAAAUUACACUCUUUAAACAAAAAUUAUACUUAUUUAGAAAUAUUUACACUAUUUUUUUUUCUUGUUGCACUCUUUCAGAUGAGAUAUUUAUACUAUUUCUUCUCUUGUUUCACUAUACACUAAUUCAUUUAGUACUAUAAAAAUUGUCAUAUAAACUUUAUAAAAUUAAGAAAAAAAACUAUCUAUGCAUCUCUUUUUGAAGUGUACGAUAUACAUCUCAUCUAUCUAAUAGAUAAAAAAUAAUCUGGCAAGAGAAAAAAUUAUUAAUUCAUUAACAUAAAAUUAAAAAAUUAAAAAAAGGACUAGUUUUAAACAGAGUUGUUGAGGGAUGCCGCUGGAUCUGCCUUCUGGUUUUUCUUACAUCGUUCUCUUACCGAAAUAUCAUAAUCUUAAUAAAUCAUAGUUUAGUAACUUAAAAUUUAAUUUUAAGAUAUUAAUAAUUAAAUAUUAAGCAAUUACCAUCGUACUUUCGAGAUGGACAUACGUUCCUGCCUCAAAUACGUCCACGUGGAUCCAUCUCCAACCGUGAAAUUAACCUGCUUAACUUAAUACCAGGGCUCUAGUCCUUACCUUGUGCGCUAAAAAAGAAGAGAGGGAGGCACAUAAAAUAAAAAUAAAUAAAUAAUUUUUUUAGAAAAAAAAAAAAAAACUGGAAAAAGGCUGUGGCCAAAAUGGCCACGCGAUGUCCUCUGAGCUCAUCUUCGUAUCAUCAUCGUUUUUCUUCGUAUUAUUACUCCACUUCCUCAUCAUCCCUUCCAUUCAUCUCCCCGUCUCUGAAGAAGGAGGAGCUCCGCCUCCCACGCCGCAACCGACUCUCCGUGCGCGCCAUGGGCUCCUCUCCAUCUUCUCAGGGACAAGAACAAGUUCGAGGUAUAUCUCUUUCAUUUGUUAUUAAUUUGCUUGUGAUAUUCGUUUGAUAAAUUAUUUUAAAGCCUGGAUGCUGUAUGUUUUUAUAUUGUUUAUCUAGCGAUCAGGUGUCUCAAAAAUUAGCAAUUUUAACAGGUUAGAUAUGAUGCUUCGAUUUUGGUGGUUCAUUUAAGUUCUAAAGAUUCAUGAAAUUGACUCAUAGAAUUUCAAAUGGCCUAAAUCAUGUUCAAAGAUGCUGACCAUUGAUUUGGAUGUCCUAUGUUUUCGAUUCUAUUAUGCAAAAGCCUUAGCUCUAUGAAAACCACCCUAGCUCAAUUCUCUCUCCAUAAUCUAUAUAUAUUGCGUACUGUAUAUAUAUACAUACAAAUAUUGAUGUAAAGCAUUCUGGCUUAGUAUUAAACGAGUCCAUCAUUGGCGGAUCAAGCUAUCAAUAGUUCGCAAGUCGGUUAAAUCAGUUGACUAAAAAAACCGCAAUACUUCUAACUUCAUUAACUUAACUCUUGUCCUUGUAAUGAGCAGCUUAUUUCAGUGUACUUAAACAAGGCUUAAAAGCUGUUUGCAGCAGAAACCAAAGGAUUAAAGGGUAAUAGAUGUAAAAGUUUGAUUAUUUUGCCUCUUAUGUAAUAUCAACAUAAAUCGACAUGAAUUUUUUUUUGAGAAAAUUCACUUGGAGAACAUAAAUCGACAUGAAUUUAUCCAAACAAUGUCCUGAGAAAUGCACUUGGAGAGAUCUUGAUCCAAUGCCAGUUUUGAACGCAUGCUGAUAUAUUUCUUACCAUAUUAGUGACAUGUUUAGCUAUCCAUCGAUGUGUAUAAAACAAACACUAAGGUCCUGUUUUGAUUACGGGAUAAGUUAUCCAAGGAUAACUUAUUCAGUAUGAGGAUUUUCUUGUGUUAUUGAAAGUAGAGAGUUUUUUUUUGCUCCUUGAUAGAUUUGAAUAUUAUAUGAGUUGAUAGAAUAACAUAUUUCACCUGUGUGGUGAUUUAUCUUAUUCUGACAAAAUGAUAUGAAGGUUGAAUAUAGUGUUUCAUUUUAGAUAUUUAAUCACACACCUUUACAACCAAAUAUAUUAAUAGUCUUGAGUAAAUGUAAAGAUAUACAUAAUAAAAUGUUUAUGCAUCCAGACUGGAACGAAGUCAUCACUUCCUAAUCCUUUCCUCGUUGGCAUUAAAAGACUUCAAUGCAUCAAACCAGGUUACACGAUUUGGAGUGAACAAUUUGGAACACACUGUAAUAAGGGUUAAUGAGCUAAUAAUGGCUUGCUUUUUAGUGAUAUUUCUUGCUGCUUAGCAGUUGAAUCAUUGUCGAUUUUAAGUAUUUUCCUAUAUAUGUAUGUUGCACAGAACCUGGAAAAGUUGAUCCUGCUUCCCUGUCUGAUGAAGAAUGGAAGAAACGCCUUACACCCGAGCAGUAUUACAUUACCCGGCAAAAGGGUACUGAGAGGGCUUUUACAGGGUAGGAAUUUUGAUUUUCUAGUUCUUCUUUGAUUUCCAUCACCACUUUCAGUUAUUGUCAUGCUACUUAUAUAUGACUUAUAAUUUAGACUUCUUGUAUGCUUCCCUAACCCUUUAAUGGAUGUUAAACAGGGAAUAUUGGAAUACUAAAACCCCAGGCACUUACCACUGUGUCUGUUGCGACACUCCUUUAUUUGAGUACGUUUUAUAAUUUACAAUGCAAUAGCAUGUUCCAAACAGAACAUGAGUAAGAUUGUUGCUUUUUUAUUUGCUUUUUAUUUUCUGCUUGCAGAUCAAGCACAAAAUUUGACAGUGGAACAGGCUGGCCAUCCUACUACCAGCCUAUUGGUAACAAUGUCAAAACGAAGCUAGAUACGUCUAUCAUAUUCAUGCCUCGGACGGAGGUUCUUUGUGCUGUUUGUGAUGCUCAUCUUGGCCAUGUCUUUGACGACGGUCCGCCGCCUACGGGAAAGAGAUACUGCAUCAAUAGGUACAGUUUCUGUUGCAUCUCUUUUAAGUUACGUGGAGAUUUUGUGCCGUGUCAUACCAGUUCCAGUCUAACAACAUGAAGUUGUUGGUCUCUGCAGUGCAUCCCUAACGCUGAAGCCGCAGUAGCCGAGCUUUUGUAUACGAACUGAGCUCCAGAGUUUUGAGUGUUAUGUAUAUAUAGGUCAUCACUGCCAAAAACAUUCAAGUCAAACUCUUGCUAUGUUAAGUUACAAGUUGUAGUACAGUAAGUGGAAAUGCAUGUAGAUUAUGGAUCAAAAGAUUGUGCUAAUGAUUGAGAUUUAUGUGCACUUUUUAUGCGGUUAUUUCAUCAUACGCUUUCCUUGUUCUCUUUGGCUGCAGCCUUAUCUGAUCUCACGCGCUUUCCAUGUGUUAACUUGAUGAUUGAUUGUGAUAUUAUUGGAGCAGAACGUGUACUCUUCACUGCGGUUUUAACGGUUGAUAGGCUAAUUUGAACUAGUUGUUGGCUAGUGGAAUUGCUAUGUACUGCAGGAAAAGAAACACUACAAUGAGUGCAAUGAUUCUGUGAAAGCCCUGUCCCCAGUAUUUUGAGUAGUUCUUAGCAAAUGGUAGUCGCAUAUAUGCUUACAUGUGUUCUUACUUCUUACCAUAUGUCGUUGCUCAUAAGUAAUGGGGCUCAUUUUUGGGAAAGAAUUUAGGUUUUUUCAAAUUAUUUCUUACAACGAGUCUUAGACUAACCUUACAACCUGGACGGUGACCGCGUCGAAGGUUUUCUCAGCAUGGUGAAUGUUUCAUAGUGUACUCUAACAUACGGUGAUCUUCUCAACAUAGUAAAUGCAUCAUCGUGUAUCUUGAGAUUUGGUGAAUGUUUCAUCUGUGUAUUCUUAGUUAUUUACAUAAGUGUAGCAAUGAUAAAUCUACACUUUGUGCUCUGCGAGUUGACAAGUACCCCUGUUCUGCAUGUUGUUGCUGCACCAUCAUCUGCAGGUGUAGAGCGUGUUCCGUAUAAAUUCAGUUGACACUUAAAUGUCGUAGCAAGUCAGCACCAUAAUCCCCGUAUCCCAACUAAAUAGAUCCAAUUAUAAAGUUUAAGUAUUGUAGCUCUAAUUUGUGUUCCAACUGAAAUUUAUUUUAGCAUUGUUUAUACAGUUUGAGUUGAACCAUAUUAGUAUUAGUAUUUCAAUACAAACUUUUUAUCAUGGCAUAUGAGGGUUAAUAUCUUUACACCCACCACAAAACAAGUAAAGGGAAUCCCAACCCUCCGCUCCUACAUGAGUGGAGAUAUCGUAUCACCACCGUGAACUAUCAGAACUUUCCAGAUUUUCCCAAACGUCCCUUAAUUAAUAUCCACGGAUUAUUUCAAGUGGCCAGGAAAUGUGCACGUUACUUGAUUUCGGCCUCUCAACCUCCUCCUCAGAAAAGAAUUCGAAUAGAAACGGGGAAAAGAAAAAGAAAAGGAAAAAGAAAAAUCUUCUGCUUAUGAACUGCUCGGUAAAUAUCUGGUAGAAUGUAGCGGCUAAUAAAACGCCAUCUAUUGGUCAUAAUCCUCAGCCUAAGGACUCCCCAGCCAAUGAAAUGAAAGAUAAAGAUUUCCUGGGAUAAGGACUCCCCUCUCCCUAUCUCUUCUCUCCAGCUAUUAAAUCCCCGCUCGUCUCACCAAAGAAAGAUCAGUUACUACUAGUCUCUCUCUUCGCCACCAACAAACACAUUACAAGUUCAGUAGUCAUGGCUGCGACAAUGGCCUUGUCGUCCCCCUCCCUCGCCGGCACCGCAGUGAAGCUGGCCCCCUCGGCCGCCUCCGACAUCCUCGGCGAGGGCCGCGUCACCAUGCGCAAGACCGUCGGCAGGCCCAAGCCGGCCUCCGCCUC
rnacentral:lncRNA from 1 species